CCAGAAAUUACAUAUUUUUGUUUUUGUAGGACUACUUUUGUUUGAUCAUUGUAGAUCUCUAUGCUAUUGUGUUAUUUCACCCCAAUUCUAUUCUUUUCAGUAUAUCAGGUAAAAUCUUAAAUAUGAAUAUGGGGAACUUUAUGUCUUGAUAAUAUCUGCUUGUAAAUGUAAUCCUUUUUUUAGUAUGCUUAUUGGAAACUUUUUCAUGGGCACUUUGAAGCAUUGCGGUCUUAGAUGGAUAGUAAUCUUUGGAAAGGAAACAGUCUUUUCACUUUCAACGAUAGUAUAGAUAGUAUUGAACUAUAACCUUGUGUUAUUGACUUAUUGGUAUUGAUAAUUCUGAUAUCAUCUAUCUGCUGCUAUAUGCUUAUUAUGCUUGAACCAUGUAGUUCUUGCACUUUUUUAAGAAGAAAAUCUCGUUCUCUUUGCCUGUUGUGUCCUUGGCUUAUUGUAGCUGAUAUAUGAGUGGGUGGGUGGUUGUAUUGUAUAUUUUUGUUCAUGUAUGUAUGUGCCUAUGUCUUGUUGGCCAUGGCUGCUAUACAUUAUUGCUAAUUUUCAUGCUUUUCCUUCAAUACAACUGGUGAUGAUUUCCUCUUUUAAUUAAUUUAUGCAGCGAGUCAACUACAGCAAGCACCCUGGUUGCUUAAUGAAGGCGUGGCUACCUACUAGCUAGAUGAGCAAUUCUCUCAUACUAGUCAUAUCGGAUCUUUGUACUGAAAUUGAACUCAUUUACCUGAAUUUUAGAGCAGACAGAAAACAAUUUCUUGCAUUUUUUAAAAAUUUAUUUUAGUUUUUAAAGGGAACAGAUUACCUAAUCUAUUGUUUUUAUUGGCAAUGUUUCACACUUUAUCCUAUUGGAGCUGUAAAAUUUUGAUAUGGGUUAUAAGCUACAUGUUUAUGUUCAGUGAAAGGGAUAAUUUCACUCCUUCAACUCAGCAUUAACCACUUUCAAGGUGCCUAUUUGAGCAACAUAAUACCUUUAAUUUAUGUAACAGUAAUAUGUAACAAUAACACGACUCUUACUGGAUUCUGCUAAAAUCAGAAAGUCCCAAUAUGAACAAAUUAUUCUAGUUCUUUCAACUGGUAGAAAACUUUCACUCGGUAUCUUACACAACGGGGAACCUUUUACCUGUCCAGAAGGAGAGAGGGAAAAGAUUCCUCUUGCAAGGAACGGCCGUCUGAGGACUAUAUUCCUUCCAAAUCUUCGGCUCAAUGAUUCUUGCAGCCCGAAGCACAUAAACUUGAAGAUCUAUUUCCUCGAAGGCGUCAAGGGUUUUCCUUUGGUAUUCAAGAAAGUGAGAGAAGUCAGAAAUUGGGAGGGAAAGAAAAAGACAAGGAGGAAGAACCGAAGAAGUAACAGAUAAGAGCAGUAAUUAUAUUAUCAACCUUCUCGUAUCUCGAGAUCAAUACUCCCUUACCGUAUAGCUAUUCAAAAUAUCACGUGGCGAAAACCUUUUUCUCUGCGUUUUUCAAUUUUUUUAACUACAUUUUUUGUUUAAGCUCUCUGCUAUAAUGUAGUGUCACAGCUCACAAUUCAUCUUUCUCAACUGUAACGAACAGUUCAAAGUUAAAUUUCUAUUGAUAAAUAUCACAAGUUUUGUUUUAGCUUCAAUGAGAUUAAUAUUGUUGUAUUGCAAUUUAAGCUACAAAGUUAAGUAGCUACCCUGAAAUUUAUGAAGAGUGUUUAUUGCAACAUAAAAAUGUAAGGAUUUCCAUGAAAAUGGUAGGUCAAUAAUCUGCACUUCUCUGUUGAGUCUGCAAACUGGAACACAUUAUCACAGCAGUGAGAUUCUGGUAAGUCAAUUUUAAAUCUUUUUCCUUUUUCUACCAAGUUGUGUUGGGGCUUAAAGAACCAAAAAAUAAAAUAAAAUAAGAAGGGAAAAAAUAACUUACACGCACAAAAUUCACUUCACAAUUUCAUGAAAAAAUUUUGAUUGCCAAAUGUACAAAUGUACAACUAUGUCAAACAGAACAACUGGGUUCACAGCUAAAACACUAACAACCUCCAGGAGAGUCCAUUUGCAACAAAUAUGCUAGUGGAAAUUUAGCACAGCCAUGUGAACAGUCGUGUGCAAAUCUAAUUUAACCGGUUGCCUUAGGUUCUGACAACAAUUUGGUUGUAGUGUACAAUGAUUGCAUAUAAGAAGAGAGUAAAAAUGGAAGAAAACUCGCCCAGGUAGACUGCAAAAUGCUUUCAGUGUCUAUAAUUUGUUCUUUCUUCAGUAGUUCACAAAGAUUUGAAAUAUCUUUCUGAUCAAUGAGGAAAACUUCUGCAUUACUAAGUAGCUGCUCGUCUACAGUAUGUGAUUCUGAACUUUCUGAUGCAGGAGGCAAUUGAUUUUUUCCAGAUGGACUUUCGGAGUUUUCUCUAUGUUUGGGCUGAUCAUCUGGAUCUUCUUUCUCGUUCUCUUUUUCACUGUGACUCCCACCAGUACCAUCUUUAGGGAUGCCCCGGACUAAAUCUGGUCGAGCUUCAACCCCAACUCGUCGCAAGUGUAGCUAUAUGCAGAUAUACAGUUAGUAAUACAGCAUAUGUUGGCAAGCAGAGUGUAUAUAAGCAAGCAUAGAUAUUCUAUCAACCUGAAGAUGCAAGUUGACUUCAUCUGGGCGAGAAAGAAAUGGGAAAUCUCCUCCUGUUUUCAAGUAAGCCCGCCUUGCUUCAGGAUAUCUUUCACCCAAUUGGUCUUUGAGUUGUUGAGGAAUUGCACAAUAAUCAUUUGUCUUCGAUGAGUAAGCAGUAAAUAUGCGAAGGUUCAAUAGGGUUAUUAGCAAGCAUUUAACUUUAGUAAUCAAAUUAAAAAGGCACAUAGCAAAGCUUUAGUUGUAACUGUCUUUUGUACAGGGAAUAAGUUACGGUCCAGUUUCCUUAAAAUGAAAAACAACUUCCUCAAUCACCUUGUUAUCUAGAUUCUAAUAAUGCAUGAGUAGUGGAAUGAUUUCUCAAAACACAUAUAAAAGCAAGCUUCAGCUUACAUCCAUUAUAGUGAUGCAGGAAUCUGAAAGUAGAAGAGAUCCAACUGAAGCAGCAUCAACAUUCAAGGUCAACCUGGAAGCCAAGUCUUCUCUUGAAAGCGUUUCAACCUGAAUUAAUAAGCACGAGUCACAAAGUUAAAGGACAGCAAAAUACGAAGGCUCCAACGUUUGAUAAUCACCAUGCUAACCACCAGUCCAUCAGUAAUCACCCAGCCUGGCCACUGUCAAAGUCACAGUCGACAGUAAAAGUAAUACAGAACUUUCCUCUAUAUUCUACUGAUUCUGAACUUGAAAUUUCUCCUCUCAAUUAGAUCUACUAAUUCAUUUUCUUUUCUACUGAAAAAUAUGUAUUGAACUUGUUUCAUGAACGGGUGCUUUUCUCAACAUGAUUAAUUAAUGAAAAAGUGAAUAUUGACAUGUGUGGACAAAAAUCACUCAUGAGCAUAUACAAAAUCUUUGGACUUCUCUACUUUUAACUUUACUCUUACGAAGUGUCUUGGACAAAUUACUAGACUGGUUUCUUCAAUGUAUUAUAUUAUUUGGAUGUGUUGAUUACGAGUCCUAACAUGUCUUGCAUUCUUCAUUAGUUCAAAGUGCAAGGAUAAAGAAAACGAAUAAGCAUGCAACACUCUUGUUUGACAAUAUGUGUCUAUGAAGGAGAAUGGCAAAGUGGUGAAUUUUGAUUGUUAUCAUUCUUACUAAUCAUUCACCAAUCACAAAAUCGUAUUAUGUGAUAUAUGUGUCUAUACCACUAAGUAGUCUGAAGAUUGUGUACUUGGCAUCUCUAUGUAUUCCGCAAGUUUGUACUUAUUCCUAUAGAAGUUUGAUCAUCUCCACUUUUCCCCUGUUUGUUUUAAUAACAAGAAAUAAAAUUUGCCAGAGACUAGACAACAGAAAAUAACUUUUUCUGAAAAGAACAUUUUGCAUAGACAAAUUAUUUUCUGUAAAACAAACAAAGCUUGAGCAUAAGUAAGAAUGAAUCCACCUUAUACAGAAGAUAGGGAAACAUUCUCCUUACUAAUAGGUCAUAGAAAUUUUAAUAACACUAAAAAAGCCAAAAACAAAUGCAAAGUCCAGCGAUUCCAAGAAUAGCAACACUAUUCAGCAAGGAACCAACAUUCAAAAUGAAGAACAUGCAUGCUGUUCUACACUUGUUAUAUCCUUAAUAUUUUGAACAAGAGACUUUUGUUUUAAAAUAAGUGAACUGAAACGCUUCAUUGGAACUUUUAUGCUAACCCAAACUUCAAGUUCAAAACUUUAUAAAACUGUAUUCUUGUGGGCUUUCUUAAAUCAUUAACUGCAUCUUCCCACUAAAAGGAUGGUAACAUUUUUAGCAAAUAACAUGAGCAACUCCAAUCUCCAGAACGUGAAUAAUCUAUGACUGCAGUUCCCACCCUCUGAAAUCUGAACAGGUGGUUGUUGAUGAUAUAGCAAAAUGAAAAGAACAUCAUGACCCUCAACAAUUGUAGAUGCAAGCCUUACAAGAUGGAGUUUGAUUGUAGGAUAAAAAGAUCAGAGAACAUUAAAAGCAUCAAAAGGAGACUGCUUAGACAUCAUAGAGAUAAUGUUAAUGAACAACUGACAUGGGCUUUUCAGCAAGGUCUGUAGAAUUAGGUUUAAGACACUACCUGAGAAACAACAAAAUCCACAGAAUCUGCAAUGAAUGGUUCAUGAGGACCAUCACGAAUUCCAGUUAAGACAUAACGCUUAAGCAAAAAUGAAGGGGUCCAGCUAACACUGCAUGAAUAAUAUACAAAUCAAUUUGUUAGAUAAGAUUAUAAAUUUAUGCCCGGGAAAACAUGCCAGAGAAAAAAAAAAAAAAAUCAAUUUUUAGGUAAUGCAAUCUUUAGGUAGAGGAAAUGUUUCAUUCACAUAAUAUCAUUGUCUCUUAAUAUCUCAUAAAAAGCUCCCCUGGUUAUUAGCCAUCCCUAAUUAAUAUGAACUGUAUUCUUCUGGUGUGCAGUGUACCUAUACAAAAUGUCAUGUAUCCUUUCUAUUUUGCAUAAUCAUAGAAUCUUUCAUGCAUAUGAUUUCCAUGUUAUCAAGUGAUCAAAUAUGUAUUGUAAUAUAAUGCCAAUGAUUCUACUAAGGAAGAUGGUUAAUAAAAUAAUAAAGAUUAUAUAAUAAUAUGACAACAUACACUGGAGCCCAUGGCAUUGCAGCUGCAAAAUCCCGUGUGUCCAGAAAUGUAUUUGACAGUAUUAGUGACCUCACUCGUCUUGGACGAUGCUGUGCGAAAAGUUGUGCUAAGAAGCCCCCGAGAGAUGAGCCAUACAGAUGUACCUGUUAAUACACAUUAUUCAAUCAGUUCUCAGUAACAAAAGUUGACAAUAAGAUGAAUGAAAAUAGUAAGCGAUAUAUGCAAAUAUAUAACUAGUUACUUUCAGUUUGAUAUAUAAACUGAACUUAUGCCACUGGUGAGCAAAUUUACAAUCUCUUCCUUUUAUGAUAGGCCCCAAUUAAUCCAAAUGCCAACAAUAAAUUAUUACUCAAUCUAUAAGUCCCUAGUGAUUAAAGGAAAUCAAGAAACAAUAGAGUAUUUUAGCAUUAUAUUGAUUCCAUGAUGCACAAAACUCUCAGCCAUGGGUGUUUCCCUCCGUUUCGGAAAUGUUUCCGCAUAUUCGUCUCUCCUUAUAAUUUUCCCAUCUAAAAGUAUAAUUAAAAUGUUGUUUUUCUGUAUUAUUUCCAUGUUUCCACGUUUUUGCAUAUCCAUUUCUGUGCAACACAAUGAUCACAACAAUGAUAAUCUUAUAAACUUUUGAUCACUAUGAGCAUGCUAUUUCAUGCUUUUACUCAUAGUUGAUUGUCACACAAAUUCUUACCAAUUCUCUACAGCUUGACUGUGUAGAUCUGGUUCAAAGACUAUUUAACAUGAACCAAUAUAGUUAGAAAAUAUAGCAUGUGUUGUUCGGAAACUAUGAGCAAAACAGCAAAGGUUAUCCUUUACAAGAAAAAACAUAAAGGAAAUGGAUCUAUCUUGUAACUCCUUGGCGUUGAACCAAAUACAUAUAAAUAGAACUGAAAAAGGUACCAAAAGUUUCUCUCAUAGGUUAGUAAUAUAGAAUAUACGAGAUGUGUGGUGCUUAGAUAUCAAUGAAUCAACCUUAUAAUAAGUUCUGCUGUUCUGGUCCUUCUGGACUCAGUAACUGCUAACAAAGCAUUUUACAAUCUAAACUAAGUUAAGCGACCACUCUAAAAAGGGUGACUCAGUGCACACUAUUUGUUAGCUCUGUGAAGAAUUAAUAUAUGCAGCCUUCACAUUACUUUUGUAGAAAGUUAUUUCCAUGGCUCAAAGUAACAAGUGGAGUAACUUCAUCAUUACAGACCUUUAAAAUAGCAGAAGCACUUGAAAUCAUUAAAAAGCUGUGUCAAGAAAAGCAAACAUUUGGCACACUAUAAGAACACCAUGUACAAAGUUUCAAUGUGAUAUGACAGCUUCAUGGGCUAGGAAAAGUAUGUGAUACAUGCUAAUGAAGGUCUUACAUGAUGAACAUCGAUGACAUCCAAAAAUUUUUCAAAUGCUUGGAUCCAUUCAUGAUGAUUCCAUACACGCGGAAUAUCAAUAGAAAUCACCCGAUAACCCUGAAUUUGCCAAAAAAAAAAAAAAAAAAAAAUAUAAGAAACAGGAUGAGAGCAACUACAAAGAGAUAAAUUACAAAACGAAAAAAAUAAUGGACAAGUUGCCUGUCCGACCAGGCAUCAUAACACCAAUUUUUGGGUUGGGUUUUCAGUUCAUAACUUUUCAAUAUUUUAUUUUUAAACUUGAAAAUAUUUUAUAUGUUAAUAUAAAAGAAAUUUAAUAUAUUUUGAUAAUAUUUUUAAGAAAUUGGCCAUAGGACUUGUUACCUUCAACUUAACAGACUGGUCCAGUUUUUAAAGGACAGGUCACAGUAAAAGGUCAAGCAGUUUGCUUCCCACGAGAAAAUAAAAUAAACAAAGCAGUCCAAAUGAUUGCCGUCAUGUAUGAUGUGAAUACAGUUGAACCUUAUAAUUAUAUAGUUCCCGAGCAUUUAUCAUAUAUUUAGCAUAUUUCUGUUGAAAUGGAUAAUAUAGAUUGAACUUAGAAUAGAAUGAAGGCAUGAUGCAUAUUUCUAUAUCUAAUAAUACACAUAUCUCCAAGUUCCAACAUGUUCUGAGUCUACAUGACCCAUGAGGUAUUCUCCUUGACCAUUAAGUACCGAAUGGGACAACUUAGCCCCUAGGUUCCAUAACUGAUGAACUAGAAUUGAUUUUGUGAAGAGAAGUUUUUGCUUUUUCCAUUUUAGCGACAGAAAAAGGCAGAUUCAUAUAAAAUUGAAGUGAGAAUGAGAUCAAUAAUGUAACUUGUUCUAAAUAGCUUAGAAGCAGAAAAGGAAAAGAACUAACUCAAUUGCAAAGAUAAGAAAAGCGGGGCUUAUUAUUAUAUAAAAGAUAUAUGAUAAUUCUAUUGAUAUACAUAUCAUGCUGGCGACUACCGAAUGAUAAACUUGCCAUGUACUCGACAAUUAUGGCAAGAAUAAAUCUUUCCAAACAAAAAAGUUGUUUCGAUAAUUUUAGUUGGUUUCCUUAUAUUUCCUUUGAGAAACAGUAAUCCCGCAUCAUGUACCAUGCUUUAGGACAUGACAUCAUCAGUCCCAAGCGAGUACUGGCUUUCUCUAGAACAGCUAUACAAGCAACAUAUAAUCCUAUGUAAUGCGCAUGAAAAACUCAAUUGUCAACAAAUUAUUCCACAAAAGAAAUAAAAAGCAGAAAAAGAAAACCUAAACAUGUCAAUCCACUUUCUAGCUAGCUACAAAAUCUGGUUAAUUACCUUCAUGGACAAUGACAUUAUCUGUUUAUAGUAAACAUCCGCUGUCCCUGCUAUUCCAGGAAGACAAAUAAGAGGUGGAACCACUUUUGGACCAAAAUCGUAAUACCGCCACUGCUUUGUGCCAAUCUUUUGAGGAGAACAAACAGCAAAAUGAAAAGGUAAAAUACAAGUUCAGAUGGUAAAAUACAAGUUCAGAUGGAUCACAUAAGAAUCUUCAAGAAAAAGAAAAUAAAAAUGUGCCUUUACUUGAAUCAAACAACUGACAGAAAACAAAGAGCCUAUCUUUAUAAACAAAAGGCAGUAAGAUAAUAAAAUGGAGAAUGCGAAUCCGUGGAAUUCAAUACUAGCACUCAAUAUAAGCAACACUUAAAUGAGUAAAAUAUAAAAUAAAAAUCAAGCUCAUAAGAAUAUAGAGCUACAACCUCAAUCAAUUACUGGUUGAAGCAUGUCGAGACCAAAUAUUGCAUCUUUUAGAUUGAUAGAGACACCAAAUCCCAUCAAUGGGGUACUUGUAUGUAAGUCUAAGUUUGUCAGUGACAUAUACAAGACUUCAUGAUUAAAACAAAAAGCAUGCCCAGUAGCCAGAGCAAAUUAACAAGUAAAAGCCAUGAUCAAACAAGAAAUAAAAACACAGAUCAAUACAUGUCGAAAUUGACAAAAAAAAAAAAAAAACACAAAUAAAAAAAUGUCAAAAUAGAAAAAAAAAAAAAAAAGAAAACGAAACCCAGUGCAGAAAAUUGGCCAAGGAGAAUGCAACUACCAUUAAAACAAAUUCAAACCCAGUAACAAAAUGAAGGUAACUGAUAAAACCCAUGGCCAAAUUCAUAUUAAAAUGGCAAAAAAUCGAAAUCAAUAGAAAGGAAAAACACUAACAGGGAUCUUGUGAAGAGGAACUUGAGACUUGAAGUAAACAUAAUCACCGGGCGCCGACGAGACGCCUUUCAUUGCUGAUUGCGGCUAUGAAACAUAAAAUCUCAUGAGAGGAAAAGAAAGAAAAGGAAAUUGGAUUUGAUAGAUCAAAUCACUGUUUAUUUCGAGAAUAAAAGCUAUUUCCUCUUUUCCCCUAUCAUCUCUCUCAUUAUUAUUGAUGAUCGUGUUAGUAUUGGCUGUUCGUUUAAAUUUUCAAUUUCUAUUUAUUUGUAAUUAUCGGAGAAAGUGGUUGACCGGAUGAAUAAACACACGUGGCUUGGUCUCAACGGUCAAUUCACGGUAACGUUUUCAACUGCUCGUCAGCGUUAUUCUGUCUUGCUCGCUGGAAUUUUAGGUUCACCAGAAAGUAUUUUCUAUCGUUCCAACGACACGAAAAAGUACAUUCCUCCUUAUCAACUUACUAGCCCGUCGUUUAGGAAUUCUAGUUUAUUGUGGUAGUCGAACGACCAUGCGACUGAUCUCUACAGAUGGGCUAUUGGGCUCCGGCCCAUUAUUCACUGACCUGCAAACGCCAUUUUUUCUUAAGAAAUAAUUGACGAGAAUACGAGCGUCUCAACAGAGACAAGCGUUCUCUUCUUUUGCGGUAGGGAGUCUUGCUUCUGAACAAAUACUCGUCGUCUUAGUUUUUCUCGUUUCUUUACCCAUGUUAUUCUUUUGAUUCAUGCUUUCUUUUGUACAUACCUUUUGACGUUAACUAUGUUGCUCAAACUUCGUGUUUGUUUCCGUUCAAUACAGUCCAGACAGCUAAACCCAUGUCUCAAUUUGUUUAGAUACUGUCAUUUCGAUUCAAAACUGGGUUCUAAUUCUACAAACCCAAUAACAACUGUUACACCAAUAGAACCCCAAAAUAAUGUUGCAAUUUUCUGGGAUUUGGACAACAAGCCACCAAAUUCAUUCCCGCCAUAUGAGGCUGCUUUUAGGCUUAAAAAGGCUGCGUCUUCGUUUGGGGUUGUUAGAUAUAUGGUGGCGUAUGCUAAUCGGCAUGCGUUUAGUUAUGUGCCAAAUGUUGUAAAAAAGCAAAGAAAAGAAAGAAAAUUGUUGAAUCAGCUAGAGAAUAAGGGUUUGAUUAAACCAGUAGAACCAUAUUUGUGUAGAGUUUGUGGUAGAAAGUUUUAUAAUAAUGAGAAGUUAAUUAAUCAUUUUAAGCAAAUUCACGAGCGUGAACAGCAGAAGCGGUUGAAUCAAAUAGAAUCAGCUAGAGGGAAUAGGAGAGUUAAGUUAGUGGCAAAGUAUGCAAUGAAGAUGCAGAAGUAUAAGAAUGCUGUGAGGGAUGUUUUGACUCCGAAAGUAGGAUAUGGUCUGGCAAAUGAGUUGAAAAGGGCAGGGUUUUGGGUUAGGACUGUAUCAGAUAAGCCACAGGCUGCGGAUUUGGCAUUGAGGGACCAUAUGGUGGAUGUGAUGGAUAAGAGGAAGGCUGAUUGUUUAGUACUUGUAUCAGAUGAUUCGGAUUUUGCUGGCGUUUUAAAGCAGGCUAAGUUGAGAUGUCUGAAGACUGUUGUGGUUGGGGAUAUUAAUGAUGGGGCAUUGAAGAGGGUUGCUGAUGCUGGUUUUUCUUGGCAGGAGAUUUUGAUGGGGAAGGCUAAGAAGGAGGCAGUAUCAGUUGUGGGGCGGUGGAAGGACCGUGACAUGUUGGAGAGACUAGAGUGGACACACGAUCCAAAGGAGGAGAAAAAUUUUUCUAGUGUGGUUAAUGCUUUUGAUUAUUGUGGAAGUGAUGAUACUUGUGAUGAUGAUGAUACUUGUGAUGAUGAUGAUGAUGAUGGCGAUGCUGAUGAUGGUGAUUGUGAUAGAGAGUGUGGAGGUUUUGGUGGUAUCUUUGAUGAAGAUGAUGUUGACUGUAAGCAAAAGGAAGCUGCGAGUGCUUGGUGGGAGUUGAAUUCUGAUCCAGAGGCUAAUGCUUAAAAACAUGCUUUGGUCACAAGAUCAGUUUUUAUUACUUGGGUGAAGUUCACCAUUACAUUUUAUGAGGUUUGACAAGCAGACCACCUGGAACCAUGGCCUAUGAUUCCUGUAAGUGGCCAGAAUUAUGCUGGACUAUAAAUAUUUUUUUAUCUGUUUCUAUUAGAGUAAAAGUGUGUGCCAUAUAGAUUUUUUUUAGCCAUUUGCCAUGGUAUCUCAUCUAAAUAUUUGAUGAGCUUUCUCUUGGUUUUUGUAUUGUUGAACUCCAUCACAGUUCAUUUUUUUGUGGAUGUUGAAACACUGGCUUGUAUAUGCCCACUGUUUGGUCUCUUCAUAUUGCUACAUUCAGGACACUGGUCAAUAAGCUACAAAUAUAAGACCUUGCAUCAAAUCUUCAUAAAUAGCUAUAAAAAUCUUGAUACUUUUGGCAUAGAGUGUGAUCCUAGACAGUAAAAUAGGUGAAGCAGGAUUUAUGUACAAUGAAGGGCUCUGUUGAGUUCAGUAGUUCUAUUGUUAUUAUUUUAGCCUCAAUAGAAUUGCGCACCUUUUGUGAUGGAAAUUCAAGCAGAUACGCGCUUGUUUAUGGUGUUGAUCUUUUCACACUGACAGCAAUUAUUAGUGGAUUGAAAUUCAUAAUAUGUUGCAGAUUGUUCAUUUCUACUUUCUGUUGGAGAUAGUCUUUACUCGAUAUUUAAUUUAUAUCCAUCGUAAGUUGAUGGUGAACAGUUGCAAUCCAAAUGCCAAAGGAAUAAAUGAUCACCAAUAAUUUUGACAGGAACAUUCUAUUUAAAUUUCAGCUCCAAAAUGCGAUUAUUGCUAUGGAGAUAACAUGUGAUAAUUUGAAUGUAGCUGGAAAGUUUUGGGCAGAUGUACAGGAAAUUAUAAGGUAUUAAAUUCUUUUUUCUAGAUUUGGCUGUGAUUAGCAAGCGCAUGGACUUCAUAUGGUCGAUGAUGUGUUUUUCUCGGAUGCAGAUGGUUCAUUGCUGGAUCAAGGGGUAUUAUGUACCUUAGUUGAGAAAUGAUCUUCAUUGUCUCUAACAAUGAAAUUUUCGAACUGGAGCCUAAAAUCCAUUUUUCUGCUGAUGGCAAGCACUGAAAUAUGAAAUCAAGAAUGAGACCUUCGUGCGAAAUUGAAUAAUUGAAUUUGAUAUUGAAUCGAUCAACUACUUCAAAAAGGAAGUAGCUUCCUUUAUGAAUGUUGAAUUUAUCCGAAUAAUUCUCUAUUCUAACAAGAAUUUAUACAUGUUACUUUUCAAAUAUAUAUAUGCUUCUUGGUCCAAUCCAUUUCCCAUGAUUGUGAUUACAUGAAAAUGAAUUGUUUCUAUCCUAUCUAGGAAUGAAAGGGAGAAAAACAUCAAAGCUUUUUCAGGCUGUACAAUUCAAAGUUGUCCAUCCAAAAGAGAAAUUUUUUAUCAAACAUUAGACUGUUAAGUUUGGCUGCUACCUGCUAGAAAUUGAUCUGGUAGCAAAUGCCAAACCAAUAAUAUGAUAUGAACUUUGUUAAUUAUUGCUACGAAGAUGCUAUGUGAGAAUAUGAAAUUACAAGGUGUUAUAUUUUCCACAAUUGACUUUGAUUAGCAAGGGCAUUCAAAUGGUUUAUUGCAGCCUAGAAAUGCUCUUCCUCAUGUUGUGAGAAUUUUCAAACUAGAGCCCAUCAGCAAACACUAAUGGCUGAACUUUUGGCGUACAAUCAAGAAUGAAGCUUUUCUGGGAAUUUGCAUAUUGAUCAACUACUUCAAGAGAUUAAUUUUUUACAAUAUUUGAUUGUUAGAUUUUAAAUGCUAGAAAUUGAUCUGUUACCAAAUUUCAAUUUAAUUACUGAAUUUUAAAAUAGGAGGCAAUCCUUAAGUUUGGAGAAGGAACAGUUGUGAGAAAGCUCUAAAAUGCGACGCUUCAAAACAAAAUCCUUUUAAGUUCUUCCAGCAAGAAUAAACAGUCAAUCCAUGCUCAAAUCAGAAGCAAUUCAAUGACAGUCAAAUAGAUCAACAAGGAGAUGCAGACGAUGCAAAUGACUAUGGAAAUGCAAACUUUGAGAUAAACUCGUGUCAUUAUAAAGACAUAAAUACUUAACAAAAAGCUUGUGUAACUAACAAUAUAUUCAAACUAAAUUGAGACUACUUGCUUAGUGAUUCCUAAUUCCAGGAUUGCAAAAACACCAAAACCUCAAAAUAGUGAGCUGCUGUCACCUAUCUCUUUUCUGAAAGAUGUUCUUUUGGGAAAAUCAUAUUGCUUCUGUUAUUAUUGGCUUAGUCUGAUCAACAAAUACAGGAACGGAGUUAUUAAAUCUAGCUGAUGUGCAAAAAAUAGAGAAGAAAAGAUACAAUAUCUAACUGAAAACCAAGUGAAAUCAUCAGUCAGUGCAUAAAUUUCUACGUAGUGAUGCAAUCAAGAAAUGACAAGAAAAAGAAGUGAAAUUUAUAGUAUUGGUAUUUGCAAUCUUUACUUCCCUAUUAUAUUGUUCAGUAGGUUCGCCAUGUUUUCUUCUCAAGUUUCUGUGUCCUACAUCAACAUUACAAAAAUAUGAAUGACAAAUAAAAGGGUAAAACAAACUACAGGGAGUAUUUACAUGCCAUGCACACAUUUACUCAAUGAACAAAAGACCAAAAUAAGUCAUGCCAAUGCAGAUUUUACCAUUACAAGCAUUUUUUCAAUAUCUAGCCACCUACAUUAGGUAUAUUCUGAUGCAAAUAUAUACUUACACUUGUGCAUAAUAUAAAGAAAAGAAGCGCAGAAGCACCGUUAAUUUCCAAUCUCUUCCCAAUCAAGUAGUAUUAAUAAAAGCAAGGGGAUAUAAGCUUAAUCCAAGAUUAAAAGUAAUUUAUUGAAAUUGCUUCAAAAAUCAUCAAAAAAAUUACAUUAUCUACACUCUAAACUAUAAAUGAAGCAAUAUGUGGGGAGAAAUUAAGAAUAAAUAACCAUUACUGUUCGAUACAAAUCAGAUAUGCCCUGCAAAGCAUAUUCUCAUCAAAUCAAACACAUUGCAAGACAAAUAUUCCUCCUUGUGUCAAUAAUCAAAUGAACCAAAGAUAUCAAAGUAUGUGCCAACAAAGAUAAAUCAAAUUUAAAGCAUAUUUAUAAUUCACCAUGAAGAAGUCUUCUUCUUUGACCCUGAAUAAUAACUGAGGUACCAUCUCACAAACUUCUUAAGCCCCGUCUCCAAAUCAGUAGUAGGCUUAUAUCCUAGAUCCUUCUGUGCCAAACUAAUAUUAGCAUGUGUAAACUCCACAUCCCCAUUUCUAGGCAAAGGCAACACUUUUUUCUUAGCUUUAACUUGCAAAAGGCUCUCUAAAAUCCCAACAAGCCUACUCACAGGAACAGGGGAAGUAUUCCCCAAAUUGAAAACCCUGAAUUGAGCUGGCCCUCUCUUCUUCCCUCCGCUUCCUGUACUCUUCUUUGCAGUAUCCAGAGCUGCCAAACAACCAUUAACAAUAUCAUCAAUGUAAGUAAAAUCUCUAGCCACACUUCUUCCAUCAGCAGUUUCAAAGACACCAAUCUCCUUCCCCUUUAGAAUAUCCUUGGUAAAAAAGAAAUAAGCCAUAUCAGGUCUGCCCCAUGGACCAUAAACAGUAAAGAACCUUAACCCAGUAAUUGAAAGACCAUAAAUAUGAUUAUAAGUAUGAGCAAUUUCCUCUCCUGCUUUCUUAGUUGCUGCAUAUAAACUCGCAGGCUGAUCAGUCCUAUCUUUCUCUGAAAAGGGUACUUUCGAAUUAAGCCCAUAAACUGAACUAGAAGACGCCCAAACAACUACAGGUUGUGGGUUAGCUGAUUUACAUACUUCAAGCAAAUUGACAAACCCACCAAUAUUACUAUGAACAUAAGAUUUUGGAUUCUGCAUUGCAUAACGCACCCCAGCUUGAGCAGCUAAAUGCAUAACAUGGGUAAAAAACACAACAUCAAAAAGCUUUUUCAAUAAAGUCAUGUCAUUUAUAUCUCCUUCAACAAUAAAAACCCCAGAUCGCUCCAGUACCUUUUGCCUGGCUCUUUUGAGAUUAAUAUCAUAGUAAUGAUUGAAAUUGUCAAGCCCAAGUACUCCAUCACCGCGUCGUUUCAGGGAAACGGAGACAUGGGUUCCGACAAACCCAGCAGCACCGGUGACUAGAACGGUCAGGCCACCACGCGACUUGGGACGCGCCGAUUUGACUACUUUUUUUUCCCAUAGAGGACCGCCCGGUGGAUAGGUGUUGGGUUGGUGGCGAGAGGAAGGAGAAGGAGAGGAAAGGAGAAAGAAGAAGAGAAAAAGAAUUAGAAAGAGAAAGGAAUAGAAAGUGAGUUUAGAGAGAGAAGAGUGUAACCGGAGAGAGCGAUGGUGCGGAUGAAGGUACGCUGACGAUUUGUCCGGUUUGAAUUUGCCUGGUGUAGAAGGUGGAGUAGUAUCAAGGAGUGAGGCCAUAUUGGAUAAAAAAAUAUUAGCAACCAAAACUUUUUGAUUCUGGGUUUAAUUGAUACGCGGUAAUGGUGGUGGUGGAGACGGCGUUUGUGACAGCGGAAAAAGGGGAUGGAGGUGUUUUACAUGGAUUGCAUUGGGUUCUCUCUUUUCUGUCAAAGCGGUGGCUUUUACGAGUCAAGUGUGGUGGGAAAGAGAAAGUUGGAACAUUUGCAAAUUUAUGGAGAGAGCGAGGGAGGUGAAAUUUGACCAAAUUUUGAUGAUUUGUUGACAGAUUUUGUGAGGGUUAGAUUAAUGUUGAUCCUUCUGUUAUUAAUAUCUCAUAAUUUUCUUAUUAAUAUCUUUCAAUUAAAAUUAAAAUGAAAAAAAAGGGAAAAUAUAUGAGAUUAAAAAGAUGUUCUUUUUUUUGGAAAAAACAAUUAAAAAUACCAAUUUCUUUUUAAGGGAAAAUUAAAAUACCAACUUAGGAAGCAGAAUUUGGCCCAUUGUUUAAUUAUUAGAUUUAACAUGAACAUUCAAUAAAAAGGAAAAAAACAAAAAAAAAAAGAAAAAAAAAAGAGAAGAAUACGAAAUUGAAUGCUUGAUGUGGAUAAAAACAAGAUAAAUAAAAAUCCAGGGCAAUUGAUUUUUUUUUUUUUUAAUCCACAAGUAUAGCUUCAACAGAGAAAAGAAAAUAUCAAAAGGAAAUUACUUAUAGUAUAGUAGCGACUAUCUCGCGUAAUUUUUCUGAGUACAAGCUCAGAUUUGUGACUGGCUAUUUUUAUAUAAUUAAAUUCUCCAAAGUGCAUUUUUUGUUUGUUUGUACUAAAUGUAAUUUAAUUUUUUUAUUAAUUUAUAUAUAUAAUUUCUUUAUUACUUUUUUUAUUAUAAAUAAUAAUAUUAUAAACAGUUAUAUUACUUAAAAAUCUAAAAACAUUCACAAAAUAAAAUAGAGAAAAGAAAAUUCUAUGAAAUAAUAAAAUAAAAAUUUAAUAAUUAAAUAGCUUGCGAAGGAAAGAAGGUACUUAUAAUAAUAAUAAUAUAAUAUUAUAUGACACUCAAAUUUUCGUGAAAAUAAAAUUACAUAUCAAUCGAUUUAAUUUUUUUUAUAAUUAUUUUUAUUUAAUUUAAUUUUUGAUUCGUAUAUAUAAUAAAUUAUCUGUUUACCAAAAUAUGAGAAAUCAGUGUUAGCUAUUAAAUAAUUAAUAAAAGUAAUUUUUUUAGCAUUAUUUAUAAUUUUGGUGUUUUUCUUUUUUCUUUUUUUUACUGUUAAAGUAUAUUAGUAUAUAAUUAAUUUAUGGUUACUUUGUUUGAGAAAAAAAAAAAUCUUUCUAUGAAUUAUAUGGUGCCAAUAUAGAAAAAAAAAAUCCUUCUAUGAAUUAUAUGGUGCCAAUAUAAAUACAUGAUUAUAUAUAUAUAUAUUUUUAGUGAGUUUUAUUUUUUAUUUAUAUUAAAAAAUAAAUCUAAUAAUAUAUUUCUUAAUAAAUAAUAAUCAAGUGCAUUUAUUUUUUGUGGAGUAAUUUACUUGUAGGAAAUAAUUAUAACUAAUAUAUAUUCAUUAAAAACAAUAAUGGAACAUAUUAUAGUUUUGUCAUAUUUAAUAUGUACCUUAUAUUGUAUAAUAUAACCAAUCAAAAUAAAAUUAAUUUUAUUUUUUCAACCAAAUAAAAUUAAAAUCCUUAAAAGAUAUUAUAUCCUUACCACAUUUAAUAUAUAUAAUAUAAUUUCUUACCUUAUCCAAUAAAAUUUAGAUUUAAAUAGAAAACUUAUAUUACCAAUCAAAAUUAAAUUACAUUUAUUUUUUUAACCAAUAAAAUUAAAAUAAAUCGAGAUAAUAAUUUAUCUCUACACAGUAAGUCGAGAUAAUAAUUUCUGUCAAAUUUCAUAGAUUUGAUAGUAAUUUAUCUUUUAUUUUAUUUUUUUUUCCAACUUAUCUUGAAUGUUUAUGGGCCAUAUCAUACGAAACCAUUUCCUAAAAUAUUAGAUUGACAAUAUAAUGAGAUUGCAAAAAGUUGUAGUUUCAAAUAUUCAAAAUAAGUAGGCAUAAGAUUUUUCUUGUUUUGACAUUAGCAAUUUUGUUUAAUUGGCAGUCUUUACUUUGUCUUUUUAGAACAUUGAACCAUAUUGAAUGAGCACAUUCAUGCAUGGCUGAGAAGAUAUCUUUGAACAUUGCAGAUUGAUAAGGAAAGGAUUAUGAAUACCAUUCGCGGCUUCAUCUUAAAGAACAUUCCAGUAUAUAAUGGAGUAGCAAAUGAAAUGAUUAUUAUUAUUACUAUUACUGCUGGUCCUUUUACUAAUGUAAAAUGUCCAAAUUUAGAAUCUUGGUAGCUAUCAUUUUUUCCAAAAAAAAUAAAUGUAAUGGAUUUUAAAAAAUAGUAAUUAGAAAGGUCAUUAAUGGAGGUGGGUGAGAGAGCUAUGGAUGCAUAAUGCAUUUUGGUUGAAAUAGUAACAAGAAGGUGAGCAGUGAAAAGGAGAAACUUGCAAAGAAGGCAACUAUAUUUUCCUCAAAGAUACUUAUAUGGUAUCUUGUUUUCUAAUUUAAGUUAGGUUUUGUUUCUCAUGUUUUUUUUUUCUUUUUUUUUUUUUUAUAAAAAAAUUGGUGAAAUCCCAGACAUUCACCAAAUUCACUUGUGUAAUUUCAUCAUGAAAAUUAACCUUCAAGAAACAUGUUAUACAUGUCUUUGGCACAAUUCUUUUCCCUAGUUUAAUUCGAUAUGUUAUUCAACUUCAUUUCUUCAAUAUAUAUGGUAAUCAAUACUAAAAAAAAUAAUAUAUAUAUAUAUAUAUAGAGAGAGAGAGAACUUCACAGUUUGAAAAGUUUCUAUCGUGGAUGACUAUACUGGUGGACUACAUUUUCGAUUGAACUUUACUUAUAAAGUCAGGAGUUAAAAAAUUAAAGUCGCGAUUGCUAGGAGAGAUUUAUCUUUAAUAUAAACAAGUUGUGAUUGCUCUUACUUAUAUAUAUAUACUGAUCGAGUGAUUUUCUAUCGAUAAAGAUUAUGAGUUAGAACAGAACAAGUGAUCGCGAGAGUAACUUUCAUAUUAACUUAGGUCAGAUAUUAAGAAUUCAAAUAAAAUGAACAAAAGAGUGAACUAAAAGUGAUACCAAAACAAAAUGAAUUAAAGAACACAUGAGCCAAAUUGAAGAUAGUGGAGAAAAAUGGCUUAAUUAGAGAGUAGUUGAGGAAAAGUUCGAUUUAGACUGUAUUGGUUUCGAUUUUAUGGUUAUAACUUAACCACUCCUAUUGUCUUCAUGCAUCGACGGUUACAAUGUGACGGUUUUUUUCACAUGGCCACCGGCCGGACGUAUUCCCUUUCUCGAAGCUGGUGCAAAAAUUUGUACAGACAACCAAAUUUCCAUAUUUGGGAGACAAGGUGAAAGGAAAGUAAAUAAUAAGAGGUAUAAUAAUUCAAAUAAUUAGAUUAAAUUAUUUAAUUAGUUAAAACUCGCGGUUGGAUAAAUCACUAAUCCUGAAUGAGUGUAGAGACAGUGUGCAAAUAAAAAAAUUGCGUUUAAAACUCUAAAACGACAAAGAAAUUAAUACAUCAAAUAUCCCAAUAUUUGCUAUUCACGUCACUUCUUGUUUGGCUAUAUUUGCACAUCAACAUUUUUGGCCUGCAAUUUCUUCAAGUUAUAAAAGAUCUAUCUCUUCGUAAUCAAAGAUGGAACCAGAAAAUAGUGUUUCCAGAGGGACUCAAGUUAAGCUAUAUUCAAUAAUUAAAGCCUAACAGCUUUAUUCCGUACUUAAAAGCCUAACCACUAUAUUCUUAGCUAUAAAACUCCCUCUUAUCCUCUUUGGAAGGACAGUUGACAUAUUCUACGGAAUACUAUUUUUCUUAUUAGUCUCAGUUUAAUUUUUGUAACUAACAAUCAUGUAUAUUCCUUAAAAGCCUUUUCGAAUCUUGAUACACCCUCAUCACAGGAAGAAACUCACCAUGGAAAUUGCUUCAAGUCUUCAUUUCACCUUCUUCAUGUUCAUGUUUCUGCUCCUUUUCGCAUUUUUUUUAAACAAACCAGAAUCCUCCUAUAGCUUCACCUCCAAGAACCGAAUUUACUCCAAGUUCGGUUCAGUUUUAGAAACCCAAAUACCAAGAAACCCCAAAAUCAAUGAUUACUCUGGUCCAACACCUAAACACCCGUUAGAUCCACUUACAAUACAAGAAAUCAAUAAGGUUAGAGCCAUUCUUUUAUCUUUCUAUAAGCCCUUUUUGUCUUCUAACAAGUUUCCUACUAUUCAUUCUUUAUCACUUGAUGAGCCUGAAAAGUCUUUAGUAUCGGAGUGGAAACAAGGUGACCCUUUCCCUCCUAGAAAAGGACUGGUAAUUGCAGUCUUGAAUGGUCAAACUCAUCUUCUCAAUGUUGACUUGGCUUUGGGCCAGGUCACAGCCCAUGAAAUCAACUCAGCUUCAGGUUAUCCUAUGCUGUCCAUGGAAGAUAUUUCAGCUGCAGUUCAAGUAGCACUGUCUUACAAGGAGCUGAACCAGUCUGCUAUAGCAAGAGGAGUUCACUUAUCAGAUUUGUCUUGCAUAACCCCCUCACCUGGUUGGUUUGGGUCUCAUGAAGAAGGAAGAAGGGUUAUUAAGGUCCAAUGCUUCUCUAGCCAGGGUACACCAAAUUUUUUCAUGAGACCACUUGAAGGGUUAACCAUGACAGUAGACCUUGACAAGAAAGAAGUGGUAAAAUUUUCUGAUACAGGGAGGGGAAUUCCAAUUCCAAAAGAAACAAAUACUGAUUACAGAUAUAUAGAACAAGAAAAGCGAAUUGAAAUGGACCCUAUAAACCCGAUAUCAAUGGAGCAGCCAAAAGGUCCUAGCUUUACAGUAGAAAAUGGACAUUUGGUUAAAUGGGCAAAUUGGGUUUUCCAUUUGAAGGCUGAUCAAAGAGAAGGCAUGGUUAUUUCUAGAGCUAUGGUUAAAGAUUCAGAGACUGGAGUGCUAAGAAGUGUAAUGUAUAAAGGGUUUUGUUCAGAAAUGUUUGUCCCUUACAUGGACCCAGAUGAGAAUUGGUAUUUUAAGUCAUAUAUGGAUGCUGGUGAGUUUGGUUUAGGGGCAACUGCUAUGCCACUUGUGCCAUUAAAUGAUUGCCCUAGGUUUUCACAUUAUAUGGAUGCUGUUUUUGUUUCUUCUGAAGGAACACCCUAUGUUCAGCCCGAUAUGAUUUGUCUGUUCGAAAGAUAUGCUGGGGAUAUUGGUUGGCGUCACUCCGAGAUUCCUGUUAAUGGUUUUAAGGUACCUAAAAUCAAUUACUGCAUAUUUUUGUUUGUGAAAUUAGAGUAUAUAUAUAUAUAUAUAUAUAUAUAUAUUUAUUUAUUUAAGGUAGAUAUUGAACACUUGAUUUUGGCUUCAAAAUGUGGAGCAGAUCAGAGAAUCAAGACCUAAAGUGACAUUAGUGGCUCGAAUGGCAGCAUCAAUUGGAAACUAUGACUACAUAUUUGAUUGGGAAUUUCAAACUGAUGGUUUAAUUCGGAUUAAGGUAAACUCUGUUCCUGUCAUUUAUUUAAUUUCACUUCAUUUUCUUUAAUUAUUAAGCAUUUUAUACAUAUCUAAGCAGGUCUCUCUUUCUGGGAUGCUAAUGGUAAAAGGGACUCCUCAUCAAAAUGUGCAUCAAAUACCAAAUGAAGAAGAAAUGUCAAGCCCUUUAGUCUCUGAAAAUGUUAUUGGUGUUGUUCAUGAUCAUUUCAUCACAUUCCAUCUCGACAUGGAUAUUGAUGACACUAAUAACACAUUUGUUAAGGUUCGUUUAGUCAAGGAACAGAAAUUUCCUGGUGAAACACCUAGAAAAAGCUACUUAAAAGCCAAGAGAGAGACAGUUAAAACAGAGGAAGAUGCAAAAAUUAAGCUUAAGCUUUAUGACCCUUCAGAAUUUCAUGUAAUUAACCCUUCAAGAAGGUCUAGAUUGGGGAAUCCAGCUGGGUACAGAAUUGUUCCUGGUGGUACUGCAGCUAGCUUGCUCGAUCACCUUGAUCCUCCUCAACUACGAGGUGCUUACACUAACAAUCAGGUACUUUCAAUCACUUGCACUUGUUCCAUGGAUUAACAGUAAUAAAGAUUUUGAAUUUCCAUUUGCAAAAUUUAAUGUUAAUUAGAUAUGGGUGACCCCCUAUAACCGGAGUGAACAAUGGGCUGGUGGACUUCUGGUGUAUCAAAGCCGAGGGGAUGACACACUUGCUGUGUGGUCUGAAAGAUAUAAGACAUUAAUUUGUAUUAUCAAAUUCUGUUUUGUUUUUUGAGCAUAAUUAAUCAAAUGUUGUAAUUUUUAACGUUAAACAGGAACAGAGAUAUCGAGGAUAAGGACAUUGUGUUAUGGUAUACACUUGGAUUCCAUCACAUUCCAUGCCAAGAGGAUUUCCCUGUAAUGCCAACAGUGUCAUCUAGCUUUGAUCUAAAGCCUGUCAAUUUCUUUGAGAACAGUCCAAUUCUUAGGGCUCCGCCCAUUUUUGAAAAGGAUCUGCCCGUCUGCCGGCCUGCUGUCUGAUCUGGGACGGUCUGGGCCAGUGUUCACGGGCUUGAGAAUCAUGGCCCAAUGAUUUCUGACAGCACAAUGCGAAUUUUAAUGAGUUUAAGUAAUUGAUUGAAAAAAAAAAAGCAAAAAAAAAAAAAAAAAAAAAAAUUUAGACACUCCAAAUGUAAGUAUCCGUUGUUGUUAAUAAGGUCCAGAGGUUAUUUUAAUUUUUAAAAAAUUCUAAAUGAGUAUUCUGCUGCUACUAGUGCGCCAUGAUUCUUUUGUGAAUAUCUUAUUUUGGGAGUGGUGGGCCGGCGAGUCUUUGUCCGUUACGCGAAUCUCAAUAUUCCAGAUCCAGAUACCAACUAAUGCUCGAAGAUUCUAAUAUUUGGCUCCACCAGAUAUUAUUGUAUUGUAUUAUGCAUAGAUUUCUCUUUGUAGUUAGUAAUAGCCAGAAAUAAUAUAGGAAAAAUACUAUGCAAGACGUUGAUUGCGGACAAUUAUUUUGUGUUUUCCAAUAAAAACAAAUAAAUUAUUUAUCAUUAAAUCUUGAAAUCACACAAAAUAAAUCUGAUAAUGCAAGUAGUAGUAAUUAAGUAUUCAUGUUAUUUUUAUUAAUUAUUAAUUAUGAAUUGUUGAUCUAAAAAGAGUUUAUAUUACGUACACUUGGAAUUAUUAAAUUUAUAUUUUCAUAUUAAUGUGAGUUUUUAAUAAAAAAUUUGUGCUAGCAGAUUUAUAAUUUUAAGAUGGUCCAUAUAUAAUUAUCCUAAACUUAAUGAUGGAUGCGCAGGGUUGGAAAAAUAUAUAGUAUUAUUCAUGCCAUUGAUUUAGCAAAUUAAUGAAAUAAAGAUACUAGCUUAGUAUUUAUACAUGUCUAUUUAUGGAUGGAAGCUUAAAAAAAUUUGAGAAAUUGUGUCCAAUUAGACUUUUGAGAAUCAAGAUUCAUUUUCCAAAAUCCCUUUUAUCUUCUUUUAGAACCUAACACAAAACAUUUUUUCUUUUAACACUCAACAUAAAAUAUCAGACACUGAUUCCUAGUAGUGCCAGGUGUUUUUUAGGCCACGAAAGCAUAUAGUAUGCUUUUGCGAGUGUACACCUCAAUGUCAUCACUUGUCAUAUUGGCACUUUCCUUCUAAAUUAGUCCCUCCAUUAGCUCUCUGUCACUCUUAUCCAUUUCUUUCCAUUCAGUUCCAUCCCUUAAUAUUACAACCCAUAACAAACAGCUGAGAUAGCAGUAAUUAAGAGUGAAGUUCAUGGAAUCAAGAAACUUCCUCCGUUUCCUCCUAAUCUUUGCAAGUGGAGCUCUUCUUUUACUCUUCACUUGGACUCAUCUCCCCUACGCUACACCCCCUACCACGGCUGACUUCCUCGACUGUGCCACCGCCACCACCUCCCUUUGGUGCACCAGCUCCAAAAACCGUUUCCAAUCCAAAAAUAUCCUCAAGAAACCGCCAAGACCCACUCGCCAACACAACCAUGACUCCGACGUCCCCCACCAUCCGCUUGAUCCUUUAACCAUUAAAGAACUUAACAAAGUCCGUACAAUCCUAUCAUCGCAUCAGCUGUUCAAGUCGUCAUCUUCCUUUGCUCUUCACUCUGUAGUCUUGGAAGAGCCAGAUAAGUCGCUUGUUCUUAGAUGGCGAAAGGGAGAUCCCAUGUUGCCAAGAAAGGCUGCCGUGGUCGCACGUGUCAACGGCCAAUCACACGUGCUAACGGUGGACUUAACUACGAGCGAGGUUGACAUACAAGAAACGAAUCCACUAUCCGGUUAUCCGACGAUGACGAUAGAGGAUAUGACUACAGCGACAUGGGCUCCACUAUCAAACGCUGAUUUCAACCGUACGAUCAUCCAGCGUGGAGUUGCUCUUAAGGAUCUGGCUUGCCUGCCCAUAUCUCUAGGCUGGUAUGGUAAAAAUGAAGAGAACAGGAGAUUAAUUAAGGUACAGUGCUAUUCCAUGAAGGGCACUGCAAACUUUUACAUGAGGCCAAUAGAAGGGUUGACUGUUCUGCUUGACAUGGACACUAAAGAGGUAGUGGAGAUAUCAGACAAAGGAAGGAACAUACCCAUACCGAAGGCCGCCAAUACAGAUUAUCUUUACUCCACCGUUAAAGUCAACCAACAGAUGAAGCUGGUCAAUCCGAUUUCCAUAGAGCAACCAAAGGGGCCGAGUUUUACUGUAGAAGAUAAUCACUUGGUUAAAUGGGCAAACUGGGAAUUUCACCUUAAACCCGACCCGAGAGCUGGGGUUAUUAUUUCUGGCGCUAAGGUCCAGGACCCGGAUACUGGAGAGACGAGGAACGUGAUGUACAAAGGGUUUACAUCAGAGUUAUUCGUGCCAUAUAUGGACCCUACUGACGCGUGGUAUUUUAAGACUUACAUGGAUGCGGGUGAAUACGGGUUCGGAUUGCAGGCCAUGCCCCUUGACCCGCUUAAUGAUUGUCCCCGGAAUGCCUACUACAUGGACGGAGUGUUUCCCGCCGGUGAUGGAACGCCAUAUAUCCGAUCAAACAUGAUUUGCGUGUUUGAGAGUUAUACUGGUGACAUCGGGUGGCGGCACUCCGAAAGCCCGAUUACCGGUAUGGAGGUAAGACUACUUCGAAAGACACUGUACAGUUAAUGCAAUCUAACUAUUAAACAAAAAAAUUGCAGGUUUAAUAUGCAAAUUUUUUAUACUGAUUAUUUUUUAUUCCAAAAAAAAAAAAAAGAAACAGUAUGGAAAAAACUUGCAGCUCUUAUUUGCUGAUAACAUUAGCACUAAAAUUGUUGUUGUCGUUUCUUUUGUUUUUGUUUGACAGAUUAGAGAAGUCAGGCCAAAAGUGACGCUUGUGGUGAGAAUGGCAGCAUCAGUUGCUAACUAUGAUUAUAUAGUUGAUUGGGAGUUCCAGAUAGAUGGGCUAAUCAGAAUUAAGGUUAGUGAUUAUAUAUAUAUAUAUCUGCUGUUACAAUUAUAUUAUAAGCCCAGUUAGAGAAGAACUAUAAAGCUUACAUCUUUAUGUUCUUUUACCUUUUUCAAAAGCAUCUUUCUGUUCUUUGAAAAUAUCAGAAAAGAUGCAAUCUUUAUCAAUCAGCAUCAGCUCCACUUGCUGGGGUGGAAAAAAUUUCAAUACGGACUUCUUGCCUCUAGUCACUAUAAUUAUUUUCUUGGAAAUGUUUGAAUUGGACUUUUCUUUGGCUAAUCUGUGAAGCAAAAUGGUCAUUUGUCACAGGUUGGACUUAGUGGAAUUCUGAUGGUGAAAGGCACCUCAUAUGAAAACAUGAAUCAAGUAGCUGGCAAAGAAAAUCUCUAUGGUACCCUUUUAUCAGAAAAUGUGAUCGGUGUCAUCCAUGACCAUUAUAUCACAUUUUAUCUUGAUAUGGACGUUGAUGGCUCUGAUAAUUCCUUUGUUAAGCUAAACGUCCAAAAGAAACGUACCUCACCUGGAGAAUCACCUAGAAGAAGCUACUUGACAGCUAAAAGAAAUGUUGCGAAGACUGAAAAAGACGCACAAAUCCAACUCAAACUUUAUGAUCCGUCGGAGUUUCAUGUGAUUAAUCCGAAUAAAAAGACUCGUGUGGGAAACCCGGUUGGUUAUAAAGUGGUGCCUGGUGGCACCGCUGCUAGCUUGCUUGACCUUGAUGAUCCUCCACAGAAACGUGGAGCAUUUACAAAUAAUCAAAUAUGGGUCACUCCAUAUAAUCGGAGCGAGCAAUGGGCCGGCGGGUUAUUUGUUUACCAGAGUCAAGGUGAAGACACUCUUGCUGUAUGGUCCGACAGGUAAGAAAUUUGGAUAGUUUUUGUUCAAAAAGUAGGAAACUUUUUUUCAAUGGUUAAAGAGUGAUGUUGAUUUUUUUUUUUUUGUUUUGAAGGGAUCGUCCAAUUGAGAACAAGGACAUAGUAGUGUGGUACACAUUAGGAUUCCAUCAUAUACCAUGUCAGGAGGAUUUUCCAAUAAUGCCAACAGUAUCAGCCAGCUUUGAUCUUAAGCCAGUCAAUUUCUUUGAGAGCAACCCUAUUCUUCGGAUCCCACCAAAUGUUGAGAAAGAUUUGCCUGUUUGUAGACCUUCAGAUUCUGCUUGAAGUGGCAUAGUACCAAAUAAUUUGCAUAAUUUACAAAUGUAGCAGGUUGUCCCAUGGCUUGGGAAAUAAAAUUGCGUAUGGUCUCCUUGUACAAAUAGCAUAUAUUAAAUGAAAAUAUUGUCAUGCUCUCAAAUAAUGUCAUAAAAAAUAAUGAUGAAACACUAAUUUAUUUUCAACCAAAAUGCUGGUUUUACUAUUUGAUUUUACAAUUAUUUACAUGGUACUGAACGCGUUUAAUCGUUAUAUUAAGUUGUCUUGGUAAUAUCGAUAAGAUUAUUAAUCAAUUCGCAUACUUCAACUAUAAUUUUUUAAUACUUAGUUCCAUAUUGUACUUUUCAGUUUUUAAUUAGGAUUGAGAUACUAAAGUAACCCCAAGAACUGCAGUUAGCUAAUUAUACAUUGUCCCCAUGCUCUUUUCAACCCUAUAAGAGCUUCCACCAGUCAUUUGUAUUGCGCUUUAAACAGUGGCCAUGAUCAAGAAAUGAUACAAAAGAUGAAAAAGACAUCCAAAUUGUACGUGAUUGGUGAUUUUUGCAUGCUCUUUUUGUGCUGAUUGCGGGUAAAAAAUCAUAAGAAAUUAAAUUAACGAUUAUGCCAAAAGUUGCUAAUAACGAUUAGUGUGAUAUUAUAUCCAUCAACCACGUAUAAUGUGUGUCCACAUGCAGAUAAUUGUAUAUAGUUAUGAUGAGUCAAGCUUCCACUCACCGUGAACAUCAUAUAGGAACUAAAAAUAAAAUUAGAAAAAAGAACAGCGAUAAUAUCAUGAUAUUAUCUCAACACAUUUAGAAAUAAGAUUAGGUUUAAAUGAUCUCAUACACAUAAGGUUUCUAUCACAUACCAUGUCGUGAAGAUUUCCCAUUAAUGCCAGCAGCAGUAUCAGAAAGCUUUGAUCUAAAAAACCAGCAAUCUUAUGCUUGACAGUAAGCCCACAUCAGAUUCAUUACAAGAACCCAGAAUACAAAAAUUAUAACAAAAGCCCACCAUCUAUGUUCAUGUAGAUGGAAAAUCGGAAGAGCUCAAGGAGUAGCUCACAAGUUAAAUGGAUUGGCCUAGAUUUCUUAUCAAUUCUUGUAUAAAAUCACUUAAUAUUGAGAAUAUUAACCUAAGUAAAUCUUUUUAUCUUUGGUACAAUCAUGGACUAUACAACAAAAGUAACCUCUCUUUGAAGUAACAUUUACUAAAUUAAUGAAAAUUAUUGGGUCGAAAGUGUUCAAACUCUAAAUCUCCCAAUAUUUUACAUUACUAUUAUUCUUUUAUUUUCAUUUUUACAGAAAAACCAAAAUAAAUGUCUACAGUCACUGUUGCUAUCUAUGCAUAGAGGGCUAAGUUGGACAAUCUAGGAGUCGGAAUAACCAUCAGAGGAGUAGCUUUCUCAUGAACAAUCCCAAACUUCUCUGAAGUAUCAGGCUUUUCACCAUUCGGCAAUUCCCAAUUAAACAUAUGCAAGAAUGUGGCCAUCACAUACAUUACCAUUCUUUCAGCUAAAGGAAGUCCUGCACAAACCCUCCUACCAGACCCAAAUGGUAAAUACUGCAAAUGAUUCCCAUUAUAAUCCAACUCACUGCCCUUUCCAUCCAAAAACCUCGCUGGUUCAAACUCUGUAGGGUUGUCCCAAAACUCAGGGUCCUUGUGCAGAGCCCAAGCAUUCAAGAAAACCGUAGCGCCCUUUGGGAUGGUGUAGCCACCGACGUUGCAGGAGUCUUUAGGGCAACGUGGCAGGAGUAAUGGUGCCACCGGAUGAAAUCUUAGUGCUUCUUUUACAAUUGCAUGUAAAUAUGGCAAUUCUUGAAUGUGGGAUUCUUCAACUAGGUUGUUGGCUCCUACUACUUUUGUUAAUUCUUGUUGAGCUUUCUUUAGCAUUUGGGGAUGAAGCAUCAAUUCUGUCAUGGUCCACUCUACUGUUCUUGAAGAUGUGUCGGUUCCACCAAUUACACUAUUCUGUUAAAAAGAGAAAGAACGAAGGAUAUGUAUAUACUUGUUUUUGGUUAUUAUUAUUAUUUGGAUGAUAAAUAAAUAAAACAAAAAAAGGAUACAAACAAAGAAAAAAUGGAGCAUGGGCCAAUCAAAAUUUUCAAAAAUUACGAUGUCCAUAAAAAAUUCACUAUUUUGUAAAGCCAAAUUCAAAUAAAAAAAUCUAUGGGCAAUAUCCCCUCCUUCUCCCAAUGGUCACGAACUGAUUUUUGUUUCUGCAUAGUAUACCAAUAUCUCCUCACAUGUUACCACUUGAUUUAACUUUUGUGAAAGGAGUUCAUCAUAAAAGAAAUAAAUUCUCCUCUACUUAAAACUCUUUAAAUUUUUUGAAGCGAAAAGUUUUGAGUUUGAAUCGUUAAAAAAAUUUCAGUAACUUAUAACUUAAAGAGAGUGUUACUCAUUUCUAUAUAUUGUGUAACGCACGUAUUAUUUUAGUUCGUAGAGUCUCCUAAUCAAUAAAAAAAAAAAAACAUAAUAUAUGAUCAUAAUUUCUAAUGAAAUAUCCUAAAAUCAAGAAUAAAAAAGUUAAAAUGACGCAUGCAGGAGACGAAAAAAGAGAUUAUUUACCAUAAGCAAGCCCUUAAUUUGUUGUCUGGAAAUUGAUCUUCCAGUUUCUUGAUCUUUAAACUCUAACAAGAAAUGCAUGAAGUCCUUUCUUUCUUUAUUUACCUCCACCUUUUCUUUUCCUUGCGUCAACUCUUUCUUCAUUACAUACUUAUCUAUAACAUAAUCAUAUAUAUCCUCAAUCUUUUGCGAUGCCUCCUUCAUUUCCCUCUCCACCCCUUGAAUAUCAAAUCUUGCAAGAAACGGGAAUAAAUCUGAAACAUUUGGCUUUCCUAAAAUCUGAACCAGCUCUGCCGUUGCGGACCUAAACUUAGCUCCAACACUAAUCUCCUCUUCUCCGUCAAGGGUGGCACCCCAAAACAUUCCUGACAUCAUGUUAAUUAUUGUCAAAAAUAUCAAUUCUCCAAAAUUAAUAGCCUUUCCGCUUUUCUUCUCAAACAAAUCUUUUACACUUUUCCUGACUUUGUUUCUCCUAAGUGGAUAAAACGACUCAAGAUUUGCAUUGCUCUGCAUCUCACGGACGAAUAUCUUGCGCAGCACCCGCCAUUCGGGACCAUACGGUGCAAAUGCUAUGUCGUUUCCACCGUAUGAGAAGGUUUUUGCUGCGACAGAUGGAAUUCUGUUAGCGAAUGUAAUGUCAUUUUGACGUACGAUUUCUCUUAUCAGAGUUUGAGAGCUCACUACGACACAUAAUUUUUGUCCAAUUGAGAGCUUGUAGAUUGGACCGUAUUUUUGAGCCAGUUGCAUGAAGAGUUGGUGCAUAUUGUGGCGAAUAAAAGGAAGAUAGCCAACUAUUGGAAGGCCAAGUGGCCCUGGUGGCAACCGAACCUUAGGUUUUGAAUUCUUGAAUGCCCACAAGAGUAAACAAGCUAAUAAUAUGGGAACUGAUAAAGAAAUGAAGAGUGAUGAUUCAAUUUGGUGCUGUUGCUCUUUGACAUUGAAAAUCCAUGAAUUGAACCAGUUAUAGAUUGUCUUUGCGAGGUUACAGACAGACAUUGGAGAAAGAGAAUUGUAAUGAAAAGAUUGAGUGGAGGUAAUUAUGGAUUGAGUACUCAGUAGUCUCUCUAAUUAUAUACAGUUGUGAGCUUGGAAUUAAACUCAGGCUAUUGUUUUGUUGUCGCCCAAAAAUAGCUUACGUAUAUGUUUUCAAUUAUGAUUUUUUAAAAAAAAUAAUCUAAUAGUAAAUUAAUUUUCAAUAUUAGGUUCUGAUUCAAUUCAGUCAAUUUAAACUAGAAUUUUUCGGUUUCAGUCAACUUUGGCAGGCUCUAUGGUUAAAUUAAUUCUGCAAUUGCUAAGGAAAUGUCCAAGAAAAUAAUAUUUAAAAGCUUGAAAUGUCAUUUCUUGCUAACCGUCUAUAGUUUUUAAUUGCACGCUUUUCCAAUAAUUACAGAAUCCAAUUGUAAAUUUGGCCGGCUCCAUAAUUUAUUCUGCAUUUGAUAAGGAAAUGUCCAAGACAAUAUUGUUUUUAAUGCUUGGAACCUAAUCCUUUCUCAUUCUUGGUUUAAAACUUUUAAAAUAAAAUGAAUGAUUAAUAUAUCAAGAUUUUAAUUAAUUUUUAUUAGACUUUUUUCCACCAUUUAAUAAAUUCAAUUAAUAUUAAUAUUUACAUACGUUACUAUAUAAAAGUAUCAUGAAAAAGUAAAAAAAAAAAAAAAGUUCAAAAAUAUAAAUGAAACUCUUAUUUUGAAAUAUCUAAAAGAAUAAAUGAAAAUUAUAAUUUUAGAUUAUCGUGGAAUCGGUGUUUGUUGUCUUUUCCAUAGAUGUGGACAGGAGCACAAUAAUUCAACAUCUUUCGACAAAAUUGGAUGUAAUAGUACAUCACUAACCUUACUCUCGUCCGGAUGUAUUCAAAACCAGCUAAAAUAUGUAGAGUUGUUUUUUAUUUUUUUAUUUUCCAAAAUUUAGCUGUUGAAUCACAAUUUAUAUAUUAUUUAGUAAAAUUAAGUUCGAUAUAAUCAAAACCAAGUAAAUGUAAAUUUAAGCCAAAAAAUACUAGCAUCUUUUUUUUUUUUUUUUUUUUUUUUUUUUGGAAACGUUGAAAUUUUUAAAUGAAAAAAAAAAUAGUAAAAGCUAUUCUUAUAAAUAUGCACUUAUGUAAGGAUAAAUUUAGUAGUUAACUAUAUUUUAUUUUAAAAUAAAUGUAUAUUAUUAAUUUUCUGUCUUACUUUAAUAGAUUAUCAUAUCAUGUCAUGUGUGAAAAUUUUCUAAUACAUCCAUUUCACCUUUUUGAAUUUUUUUUUUCCUGACAUUGACACGCUAUGCCUCAAAGAUUGAGAGGAAGAAAAUUAUAGAUAAGACAGGAAGUCAUAUAUAUAAUCUUAACCAAGUUUCGUAAUUGGCUAUAAUUUUAUUUUGACUAUUUAGCUAUUAUAUUUUGUACAUAAAAUAAUUAGAGUCCUGUCAUAUGUGUUUAUAGAUGUAAAGUGGAGUGUGGACCGACGAAAAUGAUAUUUCACCAUUUUUGAACUUGUCCGGCUACGCAUAAAUCAAGGUAAUAAUAAUAAUAAAAAAAAAAGCACUUAAGGAAAUUUAAAUUACACUCAAUAUAUGUAUGGAUACGAUUUAUACGAAGCAGGAUAAUAUAUAGACAACUGGCGGCACAUAAAUAUGCAUAUGAUGCAAAGAAAUAGAUACGUCUUCUUCUAGUACAAGUCCGCAUUAGAGAGCCUAGGUUUAGGUACAAGAAUUAAGGACUUCAUUUUCUUGACGACUAUACCAAAUUUGUCUGAUAAUUCUAGUUCAGUACCUUGUGGUAAUUUCCAUUCAAAUGAAUGCAAGAAUGAAGCCAAAACGUACAUAACCAUCCGUUCUGCUAAUGGAAUUCCUGCACAAACUCUCCUUCCUGAUCCAAGUGGUAAGUACUGAAAAUUGUUGCCAGAAUAAUCAAAUUUGCUAGAUUCACUAAUUAAGAACCUCUCAGGUAUAAAUUCCAAGGGAUUGUCCCAAAAAAGGGGAUCCCUAUGGAUAGCAUAAACAUUGACAAAAACAGCAGUACCCUUGGGUAUGGUAUAGCCACCUAAUGUAGUUGAUUGACUUGAAACAUGAGGCAGUAACAGAGGAAGUGCAGGGUGCAAACGUAAUGUCUCCUUGAGGACAGCAUCUAAAUAUUUCAACUUGUGCAAAUGGGAAUCUUCUACAGUGUUGUUAAUUCCAACGACUUCAUCUAAUUCUUGAUAGACUUUCUUCAUUACUUCUUGAUGUAGCAUUAUCUCUGCCAUUGCCCAUUCUAGCAUGGUCGAUGAUGUGUCAGUGCCACCCACCAUAAUGUCCUAUCAAGAACAGAAUUUAUGAAGCACCAAAAUUGUAGUAAGAAAAUGUCUAACUCGUAACAUAUAUUGUUUUAACAGGAAAAGAAAAAGAAAUGAAAAAACCAAAAAUUAAUAAAUUAAGAAUAAUCAUACUAAUAGCACAGCUUUGAGUUGAUCGGUAGUGAUAGAUGUUUCAGAAUCUCCAUUCUUGUUAAAAUCCAAAAGAAUCUGCAAGAAGUCUUUCUUCCUCAUCUUGCUCUUAUCUUCUUCAACACCAUCGAUAUACAAACGUUGCUCUAUUAUAGAAUUAAGAAUCUCAUCAAUACGUGAAAGUACAUUUCUUGCUUGACUUUCUAUACCUUGCAAAUCAAACCUUGCAAGAAUCGGAAAAAGAUAAAAAAUAUUAGGCCUUCCUAUAAGUACCAUAAUUUCCCCUGCCAAUUUCCUGAACUCUGAAAGAGAACUUAUAGCUUUCUCUCCUGUAAUCAUUCCACCGCACAACAUUCUGAUAGCAGAAUUUUCAGUUAUCUCAAAUACCAAUUCACCAAAGUCUAUUGACAGGUUAUCACCAGCUUUUUUAAACACAUCUCUUAUACCUUUCUCCACUUCGUGCUUCCUCAUGGGAUAACAAGCUUCAAUAUUUGAAUUACUUAACAUUUCUCGAACAAAAACUUUUCUCAUCUUGCUCCAUUCAGGACCGUACGAUGACCAUGAUAUCUCAUUUCCACCAUAAGUGACAACCUUUGCAGCUAUUGGCGGGUCUCUGUUGGCAAAAAUCUUAUCUUUAUCACGGAAAACUUCUUUGGCUAGCGAUGGAGUGCUUACAACUACGUGUAAUUUGUUCCCAAGCCAGAGUUUGUAGAUAGGGCCAUAUAAUUGAGCUAAUUCUGUGAACUCUUUGUGGAGGAAAGUGCCCAGGAAUGGAAGGUAACCAACUAACGGCAAGCCCCGAGGGCCUGGAGGCAAUGGAGGGAUUAGUUUCUUUAAUUGCUUGAGUUUCCAUAAUAAGCAGAAGAGUGUAACUAUUGUGACUGUUAUGGUAAUUGCUGCUUUGAAAAUGUUAUGCCUCUCGUUGCUGCUAGAAGCCCAGUACCAGGACCAUAAACUAUUAGCCAUUUUCAAAGUUUUUGAGAGUGAUAUUGAAGAUGGAAAUGGGAUCCAAUUAGCUAGAGCUGCUCUUUUAUGAACAUAUUGUAAAACUCUCAUUUUUUUUUUUUUUUUUGUUAAAAAGAAGAAGAAACCACUGUUUAACUCAAUUAUAUUAAAACUGUAUUGUCUUUUUUCGAUCUGUUGGAUAGACUGAUAAAAAAAAUUAUAUUAUCUUUCUACCCUAAGAUAUUUAUAUAUAAAGAAUAUUUUAUAGAUAUGCAUUGAUGAUAGGCCAAAUAAAUAGAUUGUCCACUGAACUUUUAAAAAAUAAUCAUACGGUACUUCUAACUUUAUAGGGAACCAUUUAUGCAUCUAAAGCUAAUGUUUUUGACCAUUUAAGCACCUGUCAAAUCUGGUAUAAGUGCAUCCUUUUCAAAUAUGUAGACUACGAUAAAUAAUUUAAAGUAGAACAAAUUUUAAUUUUCAGAUCAGCAAUCUAAAAAAAAAAGAUAAAUAAUACAACCACCGAUCUCAAGCCCCAACAACCCUUUAUUUUCUUCCAUGGAAACCUCACACUCCUUAUUAAACACACCAGAUUCCAAAGACAAACCAAAAUCCAACAGUAGAAAUAGAAGCCAAACAGAAUGAAUUUGAAGAAGAAGAAGAAGAAGAAACUGCUAAAGUUAGCGAUCGAGUUUUACUGAUUUGAUGUAAGAUUUUAGGAUCUGGAGGGAGUUCUUUUAUGUGAGGGAUCCAUGAAUUUAGAAUACGAGGGAUCCAUGAAUUUAGAAUACGCGUCUGAUGAGCCAAAAAAAAGCAUCAUUUUUCUCUUACUCCUCUGAGUUCUCUCACUCUCUAAUGGUUGAUAUUGUGCAACAGGCAAUGAAAAAGUUUUAUUUAUAAUGAAAUUUUAUUUGUUGGAGCUUUCUCUUUUAUAAUUAUAUGAUAAAUCUAUAUAUUUCAAACUAGAUCAGGAUUAAAGAUUUUUACUUUUCAGAAAUGUAGAAUUGAGAGUUGGAUCUAAAUUUUUUUAUAGAACUAAAAAAACAAAUUUGAAUUUUUUCAUAGAACUAAAGAAAAAAGGGAGAAAAUUUGCACUAAAACGAUACCAUUUAAUCUAUGUUGACAAAACUUUUUCACAUCAGUAGAAAUAUAUUCCUUUUACGCUCCAUUAUGCGAUUGUAUUUACACUCUGAGUCAGCUUGAAAAAGUUGCUUAACUGGUGUAAAGAAAUUAAUCGAAUGUGCAUAAAUAAUUCCCUGCAACAUUAAGGAUGCGUUAUGAUUAUUUUUCAAAAAUUUAAAUAUAUAUCGAAAGUUGAAACAUAUAAAAAGUUCAAAUGGAAUAUAUGUAUUUGGCAUUUGAUGUGCCAAAAAACACAUUAAAACUUUUACAUAACAAUUUAAUACAUUAUUAUAAGUUACAUCACAUUCUCAAAAUAAGUAAAUAAAUUACGUCACAAACUCAUUAAAAGGGUGAGCACAUGAACUUGGAUACAACGUUUAAGUAUCAGCCUUAGUCAUCUUGGGUAGAGGUCAUUUGUGCAUAAAAAAUAUUUUCAAAAUAAUACAAUUAUAAAUUUUAAUUUCGAUUUGAACCAAUUAUUAAAUUUUAAGUGCUUUAAUUAUUAAAUUAAUUGUGAUCAAACUAUUCAUAUAUACAAUAUCACUUUAUUUAUAAUAAUAAGUUGAACUAAAUUUGUUGAGGAUUAUGUAAUAAUUAUGGACAUCGAAUUUUUAAAUUAAUUUUUAAAAACUUGCAAGUAGUAGAAUUUCAAUAAAGUUAAAUUCAAACUUCAAAUUCACGCGAAAGAUUUUUGAGAAAUAUACAUGACGAAUGUAAAAUUUUUAAAAAUAAUAAAAUAAAAUUUAGAAUUUUAGUAUUUUAAGAUUUUAGGUAAGGAUUUUUAGGAGUUUAUGAAAUACCCCGAAUUUUUAUUUUCAAAACAUUUUCCAAUUUAAUUUAACGAACCGACAGCCUGGAAAUUGCUAUUAAUAUUUUAGUGCGAAUACUAUGAGAAAUCGAAUCGAAAACCGAUUGAAAAAGCCGAAACCGGUUGAAAAUCGAAGAUUUGGGCCGAAUCGAACCGAAUCGAACCGGUUCGACCCAAACCAUCUAGAAACAUCCUUUUCCCUUUAUCUUCAACGCCUAUCUCCUUCACUCUCACCAUUUCUAUGCCACCUCCAGCCCACCACCGCACCACCACACCUCCCUCUCUUCUUCUUUUUCUUCUUCUUUUUUCUUCUUCUUUCUUUCUUUCCUUUUUCUUUCUUUCUUUCCCUUUUCUUCUUCCCUGCAACUGGGUCUGCGUCACUGCCAGCGACUGCAGCAGCUCCAGCANNNNNNNNNNNNNNNNNNNNNNNNNNNNNNNNNNNNNNNNNNNNNNNNNNNNNNNNNNNNNNNNNNNNNNNNNNNNNNNNNNNNNNNNNNNNNNNNNNNNNNNNNNNNNNNNNNNNNNNNNNNNNNNNNNNNNNNNNNNNNNNNNNNNNNNNNNNNNNNNNNNNNNNNNNNNNNNNNNNNNNNNNNNNNNNNNNNNNNNNNNNNNNNNNNNNNNNNNNNNNNNNNNNNNNNNNNNNNNNNNNNNNNNNNNNNNNNNNNNNNNNNNNNNNNNNNNNNNNNNNNNNNNNNNNNNNNNNNNNNNNNNNNNNNNNNNNNNNNNNNNNNNNNNNNNNNNNNNNNNNNNNNNNNNNNNNNNNNNNNNNNNNNNNNNNNNNNNNNNNNNNNNNNNNNNNNNNNNNNNNNNNNNNNNNNNNNNNNNNNNNNNNNNNNNNNNNNNNNNNNNNNNNNNNNNNNNNNNNNNNNNNNNNNNNNNNNNNNNNNNNNNNNNNNNNNNNNNNNNNNNNNNNNNNNNNNNNNNNNNNNNNNNNNNNNNNNNNNNNNNNNNNNNNNNNNNNNNNNNNNNNNNNNNNNNNNNNNNNNNNNNNNNNNNNNNNNNNNNNNNNNNNNNNNNNNNNNNNNNNNNNNNNNNNNNNNNNNNNNNNNNNNNNNNNNNNNNNNNNNNNNNNNNNNNNNNNNNNNNNNNNNNNNNNNNNNNNNNNNNNNNNNNNNNNNNNNNNNNNNNNNNNNNNNNNNNNNNNNNNNNNNNNNNNNNNNNNNNNNNNNNNNNNNNNNNNNNNNNNNNNNNNNNNNNNNNNNNNNNNNNNNNNNNNNNNNNNNNNNNNNNNNNNNNNNNNNNNNNNNNNNNNNNNNNNNNNNNNNNNNNNNNNNNNNNNNNNNNNNNNNNNNNNNNNNNNNNNNNNNNNNNNNNNNNNNNNNNNNNNNNNNNNNNNNNNNNNNNNNNNNNNNNNNNNNNNNNNNNNNNNNNNNNNNNNNNNNNNNNNNNNNNNNNNNNNNNNNNNNNNNNNNNNNNNNNNNNNNNNNNNNNNNNNNNNNNNNNNNNNNNNNNNNNNNNNNNNNNNNNNNNNNNNNNNNNNNNNNNNNNNNNNNNNNNNNNNNNNNNNNNNNNNNNNNNNNNNNNNNNNNNNNNNNNNNNNNNNNNNNNNNNNNNNNNNNNNNNNNNNNNNNNNNNNNNNNNNNNNNNNNNNNNNNNNNNNNNNNNNNNNNNNNNNNNNNNNNNNNNNNNNNNNNNNNNNNNNNNNNNNNNNNNNNNNNNNNNNNNNNNNNNNNNNNNNNNNNNNNNNNNNNNNNNNNNNNNNNNNNNNNNNNNNNNNNNNNNNNNNNNNNNNNNNNNNNNNNNNNNNNNNNNNNNNNNNNNNNNNNNNNNNNNNNNNNNNNNNNNNNNNNNNNNNNNNNNNNNNNNNNNNNNNNNNNNNNNNNNNNNNNNNNNNNNNNNNNNNNNNNNNNNNNNNNNNNNNNNNNNNNNNNNNNNNNNNNNNNNNNNNNNNNNNNNNNNNNNNNNNNNNNNNNNNNNNNNNNNNNNNNNNNNNNNNNNNNNNNNNNNNNNNNNNNNNNNNNNNNNNNNNNNNNNNNNNNNNNNNNNNNNNNNNNNNNNNNNNNNNNNNNNNNNNNNNNNNNNNNNNNNNNNNNNNNNNNNNNNNNNNNNNNNNNNNNNNNNNNNNNNNNNNNNNNNNNNNNNNNNNNNNNNNNNNNNNNNNNNNNNNNNNNNNNNNNNNNNNNNNNNNNNNNNNNNNNNNNNNNNNNNNNNNNNNNNNNNNNNNNNNNNNNNNNNNNNNNNNNNNNNNNNNNNNNNNNNNNNNNNNNNNNNNNNNNNNNNNNNNNNNNNNNNNNNNNNNNNNNNNNNNNNNNNNNNNNNNNNNNNNNNNNNNNNNNNNNNNNNNNNNNNNNNNNNNNNNNNNNNNNNNNNNNNNNNNNNNNNNNNNNNNNNNNNNNNNNNNNNNNNNNNNNNNNNNNNNNNNNNNNNNNNNNNNNNNNNNNNNNNNNNNNNNNNNNNNNNNNNNNNNNNNNNNNNNNNNNNNNNNNNNNNNNNNNNNNNNNNNNNNNNNNNNNNNNNNNNNNNNNNNNNNNNNNNNNNNNNNNNNNNNNNNNNNNNNNNNNNNNNNNNNNNNNNNNNNNNNNNNNNNNNNNNNNNNNNNNNNNNNNNNNNNNNNNNNNNNNNNNNNNNNNNNNNNNNNNNNNNNNNNNNNNNNNNNNNNNNNNNNNNNNNNNNNNNNNNNNNNNNNNNNNNNNNNNNNNNNNNNNNNNNNNNNNNNNNNNNNNNNNNNNNNNNNNNNNNNNNNNNNNNNNNNNNNNNNNNNNNNNNNNNNNNNNNNNNNNNNNNNNNNNNNNNNNNNNNNNNNNNNNNNNNNNNNNNNNNNNNNNNNNNNNNNNNNNNNNNNNNNNNNNNNNNNNNNNNNNNNNNNNNNNNNNNNNNNNNNNNNNNNNNNNNNNNNNNNNNNNNNNNNNNNNNNNNNNNNNNNNNNNNNNNNNNNNNNNNNNNNNNNNNNNNNNNNNNNNNNNNNNNNNNNNNNNNNNNNNNNNNNNNNNNNNNNNNNNNNNNNNNNNNNNNNNNNNNNNNNNNNNNNNNNNNNNNNNNNNNNNNNNNNNNNNNNNNNNNNNNNNNNNNNNNNNNNNNNNNNNNNNNNNNNNNNNNNNNNNNNNNNNNNNNNNNNNNNNNNNNNNNNNNNNNNNNNNNNNNNNNNNNNNNNNNNNNNNNNNNNNNNNNNNNNNNNNNNNNNNNNNNNNNNNNNNNNNNNNNNNNNNNNNNNNNNNNNNNNNNNNNNNNNNNNNNNNNNNNNNNNNNNNNNNNNNNNNNNNNNNNNNNNNNNNNNNNNNNNNNNNNNNNNNNNNNNNNNNNNNNNNNNNNNNNNNNNNNNNNNNNNNNNNNNNNNNNNNNNNNNNNNNNNNNNNNNNNNNNNNNNNNNNNNNNNNNNNNNNNNNNNNNNNNNNNNNNNNNNNNNNNNNNNNNNNNNNNNNNNNNNNNNNNNNNNNNNNNNNNNNNNNNNNNNNNNNNNNNNNNNNNNNNNNNNNNNNNNNNNNNNNNNNNNNNNNNNNNNNNNNNNNNNNNNNNNNNNNNNNNNNNNNNNNNNNNNNNNNNNNNNNNNNNNNNNNNNNNNNNNNNNNNNNNNNNNNNNNNNNNNNNNNNNNNNNNNNNNNNNNNNNNNNNNNNNNNNNNNNNNNNNNNNNNNNNNNNNNNNNNNNNNNNNNNNNNNNNNNNNNNNNNNNNNNNNNNNNNNNNNNNNNNNNNNNNNNNNNNNNNNNNNNNNNNNNNNNNNNNNNNNNNNNNNNNNNNNNNNNNNNNNNNNNNNNNNNNNNNNNNNNNNNNNNNNNNNNNNNNNNNNNNNNNNNNNNNNNNNNNNNNNNNNNNNNNNNNNNNNNNNNNNNNNNNNNNNNNNNNNNNNNNNNNNNNNNNNNNNNNNNNNNNNNNNNNNNNNNNNNNNNNNNNNNNNNNNNNNNNNNNNNNNNNNNNNNNNNNNNNNNNNNNNNNNNNNNNNNNNNNNNNNNNNNNNNNNNNNNNNNNNNNNNNNNNNNNNNNNNNNNNNNNNNNNNNNNNNNNNNNNNNNNNNNNNNNNNNNNNNNNNNNNNNNNNNNNNNNNNNNNNNNNNNNNNNNNNNNNNNNNNNNNNNNNNNNNNNNNNNNNNNNNNNNNNNNNNNNNNNNNNNNNNNNNNNNNNNNNNNNNNNNNNNNNNNNNNNNNNNNNNNNNNNNNNNNNNNNNNNNNNNNNNNNNNNNNNNNNNNNNNNNNNNNNNNNNNNNNNNNNNNNNNNNNNNNNNNNNNNNNNNNNNNNNNNNNNNNNNNNNNNNNNNNNNNNNNNNNNNNNNNNNNNNNNNNNNNNNNNNNNNNNNNNNNNNNNNNNNNNNNNNNNNNNNNNNNNNNNNNNNNNNNNNNNNNNNNNNNNNNNNNNNNNNNNNNNNNNNNNNNNNNNNNNNNNNNNNNNNNNNNNNNNNNNNNNNNNNNNNNNNNNNNNNNNNNNNNNNNNNNNNNNNNNNNNNNNNNNNNNNNNNNNNNNNNNNNNNNNNNNNNNNNNNNNNNNNNNNNNNNNNNNNNNNNNNNNNNNNNNNNNNNNNNNNNNNNNNNNNNNNNNNNNNNNNNNNNNNNNNNNNNNNNNNNNNNNNNNNNNNNNNNNNNNNNNNNNNNNNNNNNNNNNNNNNNNNNNNNNNNNNNNNNNNNNNNNNNNNNNNNNNNNNNNNNNNNNNNNNNNNNNNNNNNNNNNNNNNNNNNNNNNNNNNNNNNNNNNNNNNNNNNNNNNNNNNNNNNNNNNNNNNNNNNNNNNNNNNNNNNNNNNNNNNNNNNNNNNNNNNNNNNNNNNNNNNNNNNNNNNNNNNNNNNNNNNNNNNNNNNNNNNNNNNNNNNNNNNNNNNNNNNNNNNNNNNNNNNNNNNNNNNNNNNNNNNNNNNNNNNNNNNNNNNNNNNNNNNNNNNNNNNNNNNNNNNNNNNNNNNNNNNNNNNNNNNNNNNNNNNNNNNNNNNNNNNNNNNNNNNNNNNNNNNNNNNNNNNNNNNNNNNNNNNNNNNNNNNNNNNNNNNNNNNNNNNNNNNNNNNNNNNNNNNNNNNNNNNNNNNNNNNNNNNNNNNNNNNNNNNNNNNNNNNNNNNNNNNNNNNNNNNNNNNNNNNNNNNNNNNNNNNNNNNNNNNNNNNNNNNNNNNNNNNNNNNNNNNNNNNNNNNNNNNNNNNNNNNNNNNNNNNNNNNNNNNNNNNNNNNNNNNNNNNNNNNNNNNNNNNNNNNNNNNNNNNNNNNNNNNNNNNNNNNNNNNNNNNNNNNNNNNNNNNNNNNNNNNNNNNNNNNNNNNNNNNNNNNNNNNNNNNNNNNNNNNNNNNNNNNNNNNNNNNNNNNNNNNNNNNNNNNNNNNNNNNNNNNNNNNNNNNNNNNNNNNNNNNNNNNNNNNNNNNNNNNNNNNNNNNNNNNNNNNNNNNNNNNNNNNNNNNNNNNNNNNNNNNNNNNNNNNNNNNNNNNNNNNNNNNNNNNNNNNNNNNNNNNNNNNNNNNNNNNNNNNNNNNNNNNNNNNNNNNNNNNNNNNNNNNNNNNNNNNNNNNNNNNNNNNNNNNNNNNNNNNNNNNNNNNNNNNNNNNNNNNNNNNNNNNNNNNNNNNNNNNNNNNNNNNNNNNNNNNNNNNNNNNNNNNNNNNNNNNNNNNNNNNNNNNNNNNNNNNNNNNNNNNNNNNNNNNNNNNNNNNNNNNNNNNNNNNNNNNNNNNNNNNNNNNNNNNNNNNNNNNNNNNNNNNNNNNNNNNNNNNNNNNNNNNNNNNNNNNNNNNNNNNNNNNNNNNNNNNNNNNNNNNNNNNNNNNNNNNNNNNNNNNNNNNNNNNNNNNNNNNNNNNNNNNNNNNNNNNNNNNNNNNNNNNNNNNNNNNNNNNNNNNNNNNNNNNNNNNNNNNNNNNNNNNNNNNNNNNNNNNNNNNNNNNNNNNNNNNNNNNNNNNNNNNNNNNNNNNNNNNNNNNNNNNNNNNNNNNNNNNNNNNNNNNNNNNNNNNNNNNNNNNNNNNNNNNNNNNNNNNNNNNNNNNNNNNNNNNNNNNNNNNNNNNNNNNNNNNNNNNNNNNNNNNNNNNNNNNNNNNNNNNNNNNNNNNNNNNNNNNNNNNNNNNNNNNNNNNNNNNNNNNNNNNNNNNNNNNNNNNNNNNNNNNNNNNNNNNNNNNNNNNNNNNNNNNNNNNNNNNNNNNNNNNNNNNNNNNNNNNNNNNNNNNNNNNNNNNNNNNNNNNNNNNNNNNNNNNNNNNNNNNNNNNNNNNNNNNNNNNNNNNNNNNNNNNNNNNNNNNNNNNNNNNNNNNNNNNNNNNNNNNNNNNNNNNNNNNNNNNNNNNNNNNNNNNNNNNNNNNNNNNNNNNNNNNNNNNNNNNNNNNNNNNNNNNNNNNNNNNNNNNNNNNNNNNNNNNNNNNNNNNNNNNNNNNNNNNNNNNNNNNNNNNNNNNNNNNNNNNNNNNNNNNNNNNNNNNNNNNNNNNNNNNNNNNNNNNNNNNNNNNNNNNNNNNNNNNNNNNNNNNNNNNNNNNNNNNNNNNNNNNNNNNNNNNNNNNNNNNNNNNNNNNNNNNNNNNNNNNNNNNNNNNNNNNNNNNNNNNNNNNNNNNNNNNNNNNNNNNNNNNNNNNNNNNNNNNNNNNNNNNNNNNNNNNNNNNNNNNNNNNNNNNNNNNNNNNNNNNNNNNNNNNNNNNNNNNNNNNNNNNNNNNNNNNNNNNNNNNNNNNNNNNNNNNNNNNNNNNNNNNNNNNNNNNNNNNNNNNNNNNNNNNNNNNNNNNNNNNNNNNNNNNNNNNNNNNNNNNNNNNNNNNNNNNNNNNNNNNNNNNNNNNNNNNNNNNNNNNNNNNNNNNNNNNNNNNNNNNNNNNNNNNNNNNNNNNNNNNNNNNNNNNNNNNNNNNNNNNNNNNNNNNNNNNNNNNNNNNNNNNNNNNNNNNNNNNNNNNNNNNNNNNNNNNNNNNNNNNNNNNNNNNNNNNNNNNNNNNNNNNNNNNNNNNNNNNNNNNNNNNNNNNNNNNNNNNNNNNNNNNNNNNNNNNNNNNNNNNNNNNNNNNNNNNNNNNNNNNNNNNNNNNNNNNNNNNNNNNNNNNNNNNNNNNNNNNNNNNNNNNNNNNNNNNNNNNNNNNNNNNNNNNNNNNNNNNNNNNNNNNNNNNNNNNNNNNNNNNNNNNNNNNNNNNNNNNNNNNNNNNNNNNNNNNNNNNNNNNNNNNNNNNNNNNNNNNNNNNNNNNNNNNNNNNNNNNNNNNNNNNNNNNNNNNNNNNNNNNNNNNNNNNNNNNNNNNNNNNNNNNNNNNNNNNNNNNNNNNNNNNNNNNNNNNNNNNNNNNNNNNNNNNNNNNNNNNNNNNNNNNNNNNNNNNNNNNNNNNNNNNNNNNNNNNNNNNNNNNNNNNNNNNNNNNNNNNNNNNNNNNNNNNNNNNNNNNNNNNNNNNNNNNNNNNNNNNNNNNNNNNNNNNNNNNNNNNNNNNNNNNNNNNNNNNNNNNNNNNNNNNNNNNNNNNNNNNNNNNNNNNNNNNNNNNNNNNNNNNNNNNNNNNNNNNNNNNNNNNNNNNNNNNNNNNNNNNNNNNNNNNNNNNNNNNNNNNNNNNNNNNNNNNNNNNNNNNNNNNNNNNNNNNNNNNNNNNNNNNNNNNNNNNNNNNNNNNNNNNNNNNNNNNNNNNNNNNNNNNNNNNNNNNNNNNNNNNNNNNNNNNNNNNNNNNNNNNNNNNNNNNNNNNNNNNNNNNNNNNNNNNNNNNNNNNNNNNUUUUUUUUCAGGUAAUAGAAAGAAAUAAAAGCCUUGUGGAGUUGAGACACUUAUUGUAGAAGACUUUUAAUGAUAGAAAUAACGAUGUAAAUAUAAAGGUAGAGUUCCGCAAUUGUAUUCCAGUUGGGUUGUAAAUAAAUAGUAAAAGUCCAUAUUAAAUAUAUGAACUGCAUUUUGAGUUAAUGGGCCUGAAUCUAUAAUUAUGAAUAGAAGGUGAGAUUUAAAUAAGUUAGGCUUACUACGGGCUUCGGGGGCCUUAAGCCCACCCAGGUCCUAGGGCCGGUCCGGUCCAUGGAAAUGGGUCGUGACAGUUUAAGAUUUAAAAUUUAAAAUUAUAAUAUACUAUUUUAGAAUUUAAGAUUUAUGAUUUAAAAUUUAGUAGUAUAAUUUUAUUAUAUAGACGUAUUCUUUUUGUCAAAACCCCACAACAAAUUUCUCCAAAAAAACCCACAACAAGUGGACCGCAGGUAUUUAUUAAAUUUUGUCAUGUUUCAAUAAGUUUUCCUGAUAUGACGUCGUACAGGAGAAAAUCAAUUUGGGCUAUUUGACUUUUCUGUGGAUAAGUAGAUUUUUUUUACUUUUCUGUGUUUAAGCAAAUCUUAUCCUUUGGAGCAACUUGCUUAAAUUCCUAACGCACAUGAUACGGCAUUUCCUUUUCUGGAAGUAAAAAAAAAAAAACAAAAGAGAAAAAAAAGUAAAAAAAACUCAAUUUUUAAGUUUCAUUAAAAUAUAAGGACUAAUUAGUAAUUUACCUUUAAAAAAAAGUAUAAGAGACUAUAAAUCUUCAUUUAUAAAUUUCAAAUAGAAAGUGAUUAUAGGAUAAAUUACUUUUUCAUCUUUUUUUCUUUUUCCUUUUUUAAUAAUCUUUUCUUCUUUUUAGCUUAGUCAGUCAGUUAGUUUCAAUUGAGGAUUGAAUUUUAAAUGAGAGCCAAAUUUUUCUUUUUUAAUCUUGAAAUACCAAAUUGAAUUUUGAAUUUGGUUUUGAUGAUUUAUUUAUUCUCUUUCGAUGAAGAUCUGAAAGAAAUUUUUUUUUUUUUUUUUUUUUUUUUCCUUUCAAAAAAGUAAAAGUAAGGUUAUUUCGAUGAAGAUCUGAAAGAAAUUUUUUUUUUUUUUUUUUUUUGUUCUCCUCCUUAGAAGUACAAGUACUGUUAAUAUAAACAUAAAUUCAGCCGCCAAGCCAAAGGGCAAACACAGAUGAAUCCUUUCAUUUUAGUAAAGCUCUAAAUUAGAGAGCCUAGGUUUAGGUAUAAGAAUUAAAGGAUUCAUUUUUUUUAUUACAAUCCCAAAUUUUUCUGACAACUCCAACUGUGUCUCACAUGUCAAUUUCCAUUCAAAUGAAUGCAGUAGGGAAGCCAAAACGUACAUCAACAUCCUCUCUGCUAAGGGAAUUCCGGCACAAACCCUCCUUCCAGAUCCAAACGGUAGGUACUGAAAAUUGUUCCCUGAGUAAUCGAAUUUGAUAUGUUCAUCACUAUUUAAGAACCUCUCAGGCCUAAACUCUGAGGGAUUGUCCCAAAGAAGGGGAUCCCUAUGGAUAGAAUGAACAUUUAGGAAAACUGUAGUGCCCUUAGGAAUGGUAUAGCCACCAAGUAUGCAAGAUUGGCUAGAAAAAUGAGGUGCUAACAGAGGAAGUGCUGGGUGCAAACGAAAUGUUUCUUUUAGGACAGCAUCUAAAUAUUGCAACUUCGGCAAAUGGAACUCUUCUACAACGUUGUUAAUUCCCACAACUUCAUCUAAUUCUUGGUAAACUUUCUUCAUUACGUCUUGAUGGAGCAUUAGUUCUGUCAUUGCCCAUUCUAGCAUGGUUGCCGUUGUGUCUGUUCCACCCACCACAAUGUCCUGUUAAGAACACAGAUGAAGUUAAAAUAAAGAACUUAAAAAGGAAAAUAAAGAAAGACAAUAAUUAUGUAAGAAUCGUACUAUUAGCAAGGCUUUGAGUUGUUUGCUGGUGAUUGAUGUUUCAGCAUCUCCAUUCCUGUUAAAAUCCAAAAGAAUCUGCAAGAAGUCUCGCUUUUUCUCACUCUUUUCAUCCUUGGCACUCAUAUUCAAACGUUGCUCUAUUACAGGAUUAAGAAUUUUCUCAAGAAAUAAGAAUACCUUUCUUGUUUGCUUCUCUAAACCUUGCAAAUCAAACCUAGCAAGCAGAGGAAAAAAGUCUGAAACAUUAGGUUUUCCCUGCAGCACCAUAAUCUCUUCUGCUAAUCUACUAAACUCUGGAACAAAACUACCCAAUUUCUCUCCUUCAAGCGUUCCACCACACAACAUUCUGAUAAUAGCAUUUGCAGCUAUUUCAAAUACAAACUCGCCAAAGUUUAUUGAGUUAUUAUCAGCUCUACUAAACACAUAUGUUAUGGCUUUCUUUACUUCUCUCUCCCUCAAUGGACAGCAAGCAUCAAGAUUUGAAUUACUUAACAUUUCUCGAACAAACACCUUCCGGAUCUUCUUCCAUUCAGGACCGUAGGAUGACCAUAGGAUAUCAUUCCCACCAUAAGUGAUAACUUUAGCAGCCACUGGUGGAUCUCUGUUAGCAAAUAUUGUAUCUUUAUCGCGAACAACUUCUUUGGCUAGCGAUGGUGAGCUGAUAACUAUGCAUAAUUUGUUUCCAAGCCAGAGCUUACAAAUAGGACCAUACACUUCAUUCAAUUCUGUGAAUUUCUUGUGCAGGAAAGUGCCUAAAAAUGGAAGAUAUCCCACUACCGGCAAGCCCCAAGGGCCCGGAGGCAAUGGAGGUGUUGCUUUCUUUUGUUUCCUGAGAAAUAACAAGCAGAAUAAUGUAAUUGUAGCGACUGAUAUGGUAAGAACUGCGGCGGAAACUUUCUGCUCCUCGUUGUUGAAAACAGACCAGCACCAUGACCAAAAACUAGACACCGUUUUCAACAUUUUUGUGGAAAUAUUGAAAUGGGAUUUUCAUCAACUUGAGGACUUUCCUUUUGUAUAUAAAAAUUCAAUUAGCACCAGGAUGGAAAAAUAUUAUAAAAUUAAAAUCAUGGAGAACCAAUCAGUUCUUGUCACCUAUAAUAUGAAUGUUAAUUACAAGUUGUGGGCUAUCACAUGACAAUGAAUGUUGAUUAUAUGUAUUUUUUUUACAACUUCAUUAUUAUUGUUAAUGCGGACUUACCUACUAUCCAUACACAAAAUCAAUUUAUAAAGAUUUUUUAGAUAUUAUUAUUUUCAUCUAUUUUUACCAGAUGAAUAUUUAAAAAUAUCAUUAUUACAAUCAAAAAUUUAUUUUUAAUUAGUUUGAUAUACGAAAUGAGUCUAUAUACCAAGUAUAGUUAAACACUUGCAAUUGUCAAUUAUUGAAUUCUAUAAUUUAAGUCUAUUUAAUUAAGCUCUUUCUUUUCUUUUCUUUUUUAAAUUUUCUCUCUGAUGCUAAUAUUUAUAAUAUCCUCUGCACACUCAACGUUAUGAAUUGUCAUAUUCUACAAUGUUGGAGAAACGCUCCGAUGUCUAAAAAGUUAGGCACCCUAUCAUUUUCUUAAUAGGCGACCAUUAUGUGGGAACUGUGAAGUUUGGCUAUUCCUAAUAGAUCCAUUUCAUUUUUUUAAAAAUUAAAUAUGCAAAACUUAUUUUUUAUGGAUAAAAAACUUAUGGACAGAAAUAAAGCAAUAAUCAAUAGCCUUUUAUUUUAACUUAUCAAAUGAUCGAAAACUCUUUUAAUCAAAACACUUUUAUACAGACUCUCACCCUUAAACAGUCAGAGAUGGGACAGAUGAUGUGUCGUCAGCAAUAACAUCACUUGUCUUAAGUAGCUAUGUAGUGUCGUCAUUUUUUAAUUGCAAUAUAUAAAUAAAAUUAUAGUGUUUUUAAAUAAUUUUAUCUAGUGCAACUUAAUUUUUGCUUUCAAUUUAAUUUAAUUUAAAAAAUUACACUUAAUGAAAAGUGACGGGCAUUUCUUCCUUUUAUACAUAGUAGAUAGAUAAGAAAUUUCUAUUGCAAGUGGCAGACAAUUACUCACACAUGAACAUAAACAUAAACAGAAAGGGAAUAUAGAUAAAUCUUUCUCUCUAGUACAGGUCUACAUUAGAGAGCCUAGGUUUAGGUACAAGAAUUAAGGGCUUCAUUUUCUUGACGACUAUACCAAAUUUGUCUGAUAAUUCCAGUUCAGUACCUUGUGGUAAUUUCCAUUCAAAUGAAUGCAAGAAUGAAGCCAAAACGUACAUAACCAUCCGUUCUGCUAAUGGAAUUCCUGCACAAACUCUCCUUCCUGAUCCAAGUGGUAAGUACUGAAAAUUGUUGCCAGAAUAAUCAAAUUUGCUAGAUUCACUAAUUAAGAACCUCUCAGGUAUAAAUUCCAAGGGAUUGUCCCAAAAAAGGGGAUCCCUAUGGAUAGCAUAAACAUUGACAAAAACAGCAGUACCCUUGGGUAUGGUAUAGCCACCUAAUGUAGUUGAUUGACUUGAAACAUGAGGCAGUAACAGAGGAAGUGCAGGGUGCAAACGUAAUGUCUCCUUGAGGACAGCAUCUAAAUAUUUCAACUUGUGCAAAUGGGAAUCUUCUACAGUGUUGUUAAUUCCAACGACUUCAUCUAAUUCUUGAUAGACUUUCUUCAUUACUUCUUGAUGUAGCAUUAUCUCUGCCAUUGCCCAUUCUAGCAUGGUCGAUGAUGUGUCAGUGCCACCCACCAUAAUGUCCUAUCAAGAACAGAAUUUAUGAAGCACCAAAAUUGUAGUAAGAAAAUGUCUAACUCGUAACAUAUAUUGUUUUAACAGGAAAAGAAAAAGAAAUGAAAAAACCAAAAAUUAAUAAAUUAAGAAUAAUCAUACUAAUAGCACAGCUUUGAGUUGAUCGGUAGUGAUAGAUGUUUCAGAAUCUCCAUUCUUGUUAAAAUCCAAAAGAAUCUGCAAGAAGUCUUUCUUCCUCAUCUUGCUCUUAUCUUCUUCAACACCAUCGAUAUACAAACGUUGCUCUAUCUAACCACACAGUUGAAAAGGAAGAAGAAAAUUUUUUUAGGUGAGGUGAUAACCUUUGCAGCCAUCGGCGGAUCUCUAUUGGCAAAAAUCUUAUCUUUGUCCCGAAACACUUCUUUGGCUAGUGAUGGCGAGCUUAUAACUACGUGUAAUUUAUUCCCAAGCCAGAGUUUGUAGAUAGGGCCGUACACUUGAGCUAAUUCUGUGAACUUUUUGUGGAGGAAAGUGCCCAGAAAUGGAAGGUAUCCAAUUACUGGCAAGCCCCGGGGGCCUGGAGGCAAUGGAGGGAUCUUUGAUUUCUUGAGAUUCCGCGAUAACUAGAGGAGUGUAAUUAUUGUAGCUGAUAUGGAAAUUAGAGCUGCUUCGGAAAUUUUAUGCCUCUGAAUGGUUGGAACCCAGUACCAUCCCCAUAAACUAUCAGCCAUUUUCAAUAUUUUUGCGAGUGACACUGAAAAUAUUGGAAAUGGGAUCUAAAUUUCCUUGAUAACUAAUGAGUGGGCUUCUUCUCUUCCCUCGUUUCCUGUUGUGCGGUGCCCACUCAGUGGGACCCACACAGUUGAAAAGGAAGAAGAAAAUUUUUUUAGGUGAGGUGAUUUAUUUUUCGGUGAAAGCGUGAUUAACACCUCCACCUCUUCUAUUUGUAGAUUGCUCAGUUCAUCUCACUACACUAAUAAGAGAGAAAAAUAAAAAAUUUUUAAUUUUAGAACGAGUUCUAAAAUUAAGGUAGAGAAAAAUAAUAAAGAUAAUUUGAAGUGUUUUUUUAGAAAAUACUUUUUGAGUGCCAUUAUUUUUUUAUUACUUUCUUUGUAAAUUUAUUAUUUUUAAUAAAAAAAAUAUUUAGAAUUGAUCCCAUAAAUGUAAUCUUAAAUAAUUAAAAAAUAAACCAUAUAAAUUUUUGUGUUAUAUUUUUAUUGUUCGUUUCGUAAUUAUUCCUGUAACUUUUAUUAUCGGUACCUAACAUUUCCUUGAUAACUAAUGAGUUGUAUUGCGUUGUUAAAUUCCGACCACACAUGACAGACAUGAUAUUUUCUUUUUCAUUUUUAUCAACAAAACACGAAGAGGGCUUAUUUUAUCGUACACGUGUCUACAAACAAAAUUUAUUUUUCCUUAUUUCUCAUGAUUAGAGGCUCAGUUUUGGUAGAAUCUCUUCGAUCUAGAUUUGGCAUGAAGCAUCUUCUCUCUCUCACGUGAGUGAUUUCAAAAUAAAAUUUACUUUUUUUCAUUUUUAUCAAAAUCGAGACUAUUUAUUAUUUCGAUUAAUAUAUUAUUUAGAUUAAUAGGAAGAACAAUAUAGACAAAUAAAUGAACGUGAUACAUAUUUUAAAAGAUCAAAAAGAUUUUUGAUUUUGUGGCUACUUUCUGCAAAGUAACUCUGGAUCGUCUGGUCUUUUUAAUGGCAGUUGUCUUGAUAAUUACUAUAAAGAGAUUUUGAUGGAGGAGAAAAUUCACAUUUAAAAAAACAAAAUCAAUUAGGUUAAAGCUUGCAAUUUAACAUCUCAAUUUGGGUUCUCAUAGAAUUAUAAUUCAGGUAAAAUACUAUGAUUUUAGAUUUCAAGCCUUUUUUUUUGCAGUUUUUUGAAAUUGAAAUCUUUGAAAAUUAGAAACUUUUGUUCUCAAUCAUGAAAUAAUGUGUGAGAAUUCAUGCAAAAGCAUGUAUAAUAAAAAGAGUAAGUACUAUUACUAAAAAAAAUGAAAUUGUUAAGAUAAAGCAAAUUUUGCAACCAAAAAAAAAAAAAAAAAAAAAAAAUAACGUGAAGAAGAACUAAUGCAUGCCCCUCGUUUUUAAAGUAGGUCUCUAUUUACUUAUUUUUAAAAUAUAGUCUGAUUUAUGUUCGUAUUUAUAAAAAUCUUCAAAUUCUGGUACUUAAUGUACAACAAUUAUAAGCAGUACAAAAGAGAACUACUCAUAGAGUUUCGGAUCAGACAACCUUGGUGUUGGAACAGCGAUCAGAGAAUUUUUCAACUUCAAAACAAUCCCAAACUUCUCAGAAAGAUCCAUCUUCUUUCCUUCUGCAGGCAAUUUCCAAUCAAAAGAAUGCAAUAAUGUAGCAAGUGAAUACAAAAACAUCCUCUCAGCCAUUGCAAUACCAGCACAAAUUCUCCUUCCAGACCCAAAUGGGAAAUAAUUAAAAUCAUUUCCACUGUAAUCCCAUCCACUAUCCAAAAACCUCUCUGGUUUAAAUUCCAACGGGUCUUCCCAAACUGAAGGGUCUCUAUGUAUCGCCCACACGUUAAUGAAAACUCGAGCACCCUUCGGAAUGGUGUACCCUCCUACAGUGCAGGUUUCACUAGGGCAAUGAGGGACUAAUAAGGGGAGUGCUGGGUGCAAUCGCAAUGACUCUUUCAUGAUAGCAUACAAAUAAGGCAGUUGGUGUAUGUGAGACUCUUCUACUAUAUUGUUUUUUCCGACAACCGUGUCUAAUUCUUGCUGAGCUUUUCUCAUUACUUCUGAUUUGUUCAUAAUCUCUGCCAUUGCAAACUCAAUUGAGUUUGAUGAUGUGUCUGAACCGCCCACAAUCAUAUCCUGUAAAUAGAGUACACAUAUUUUGUAAAUUUAACCAAUUUGGAUAGUUCUUAUAAAAAUUCCUGUUCUCAAAUAACAAUGUACACACAGGUCAGAGUCAUAGUUGGAUUUUCUUGAAAGCAAGUAGUGCUUUUAGUGAUAACAAAAAGGCCACCACCGUAAUUACCAAGAUCUGCAAUUCGGCCAUAGGUAUCUAUUGUAGCCGGCCAUUUUUGUGUUUGUCUCCUUUGGACAAGUAGCUUUCUUUCUGUAUGUGAUCGAGAGUCGAAGGCCAUAGGUAUCUAUAAUUACCUUGUUUUGGCUGGUAAUGUUAUUGUUCUAUAUUGUUUAUAUUAUAUUCUUAAUCAAUAACCAAAGCACAAUUAACUAAUAAUUAUAUUACAAAGAACAAUAUUAGAAGAUUUAAUAUCCUCAACAUACUAAAGUGUAAAGGUUUUUAGAAUAAAUAAAGAUAGCUAAUUACUUCCUCACUUUACGGGUGAACAAGAGGAUUCAAAUUUACCACUUGUUUGGAAUAAAUAAUCUCCAUAAAAUUUGUGAAAUUUAUUUAUAAAUCUAAUUUUUUGUGUUUUAUGAAAAAAAAUAAAAAUUUAAAUUUUACAAAUUCAAUUGUAUGGAUUUGAAUAUAAUUAAAUUCUGCCAAAAAAACGUGAAAUUUCUAAUGAAUUUUACAAAUUUAAAUAAGCUAAAAGUUUAUGAUAAAAGUAUUCAUCCCCUAAUCUUAUAAAAUCAUUAUUAUGGCAAAGGUAUUUUAAGAAAUAAAAAGAAAUGUUUUUUAUUUUAAAUUAAUUUAUACCUAGCUGAGAGUUAGACUCCUAAUAAUUCUACAUUAUUGUAACUGAUAUUGUAAUUAACUAAUGAAGUUAAUAAUCCAAAUAAUUAAAUGCAUAUUUUCUAAUAAUGAGUUCAAGAUUCAAUCUAAAGGUAGAUUUGAAUUUGUAUUUUAAAUGAAAAAAAAAUCAUAAAAACGAAUACAUGGUAAUAAAUAUAAAUGCUCAGUUAUUUCAACUAACUCUAUGUUGAACUUCUAUAGUGUAAUUUAAAGAACAAAGUAAUGCACAUAAAAAGGAGGACAAAGAUAAGAAAUUACAUACCAUGAGCAAAGCUUUGACGUGAGUCAUUGUAAGAGGGGUCUUAGUAUCUCCUUCUUCUUUCACCUUCAACAAGAAUUGCAAGAAGUCUUUACACUCUCUGGCACUUUCUCCACCCUCUGAAUCCAUCUUCAACCGUUUCGCAAUCAUUCUUUCGAAGAUCCCAUCAAACUGAACGGACAAGCUGUCCAUCUUCUUUUGCAGACCUUGCAAGUCAAAUCGAACCAAACCCGGGAAAAAAUCCGAAAUAUUGGGUUUACCCAGUAAGGCGGUCAUGUCAGCAACCACCUUCCUGAACUCUGAUCCUAAGCUCGCUCUCUCUUCCUCUUGUACUGUGUCUCCCCAUAACAUAUUGGUAAUCACAUUCAGUAUAGCUAAAAAUAUUUGCUCUCCAAAGUCCACUGGUGAACCGACCCGAUUAUAUAGGUAACCAACGGUUUUCCGGACCUCAUGGCGGCGAAGGGCGUAGACAGAGUCUAAGGUGGUGUUGCUAAGCAUUUUGAGGACACAAACUUUCCUUAACAUCCUCCAUUCUGGCCCGUAUGGGGUCCAAACAAUAUCGACUCCCCCAUAGGCGGCGGACCGGGCGACAUCAGGGACAUCUCGGUUAGCAAAGGUGAUAUCUUUGUCUUUAAGAACUUCACGAACCAAAGAUGGGGAGGUUACGACGAUACCAAGCUUGUAUCCGAGUCGGAGCUUAAAGAUUGGCCCGUAUCGAUGGGCCAGAGAUGCAAAGUAUGAGUGGAGCUCCGGGUCAAGAGAGGCCAGGUUGCCAAUAACCGGUAGGCCAGGUGGUCCUGGCGGCAGCGGCGAACUCCUUUGGUUAUGGGACUUGAUACAUGCCCAUGUAUACCAAAUGACUGCAAAUAUACCGCAGAGAGUAAACAAUAUGGAUGUUGGCAAAUCUGUGCCAAGAAUUCCAAGAAAAUUUGUGAUGGGCGUCAUGUUGGUGUGUGUGGAAGAACUCAAGAAACCUAGAGCAGCAGAGGUGAAUUUAAAGAAGCAAAAGGAGUGGAAAGUCGUAUUAUUUAGGAAACUUACUAUUAGAUCCUUAUAUUGUACCAAAAUUAAUCACUCUUCUCGAUUUUCUAGAAUGCACUUGGUCUUUUUUUCGUUGUACACCUUAUGAAAAAGAAGAAAAUAUCUCUUUGGUUUAAGUUAAGGGAUAAUUUUGUCCUUUUAAUAAAUCUAAAGCAAAAAAAUUCUAUGAAUAAAUGAAAAAAUUUAAUUAGUUUUUUUUUAGAAAAACGAAAUAUUAGAUAGUUGAUAAAUAAAAAUCAUGAAUAAAGUAGUGUAUUAUUAUAAAAAAAAAGAGAACAAAGUCAUUAAUUUUCAUAAUAUAAAAUAUAAUAAUAAUUUUCGUUUCUUUUUUUUUUUUUAUUAGGAAAAGUAAAUUCAAAUUCAAAUCUAUUAUCAAUUCGUAAAUUAUACCUUGAUCUCUAUUAGUAUUCGCUAUUAAGACUGAUUAAGAAUCUCAGAAGGGAAGAUGCUAAGUGAGAAUGAAGACAAAAAAAAAAAAAAAAAAAAAAAAAAAGAGANNNNNNNNNNNNNNNNNNNNNNNNNNNNNNNNNNNNNNNNNNNNNNNNNNNNNNNNNNNNNNNNNNNNNNNNNNNNNNNNNNNNNNNNNNNNNNNNNNNNNNNNNNNNNNNNNNNNNNNNNNNNNNNNNNNNNNNNNNNNNNNNNNNNNNNNNNNNNNNNNNNNNNNNNNNNNNNNNNNNNNNNNNNNNNNNNNNNNNNNNNNNNNNNNNNNNNNNNNNNNNNNNNNNNNNNNNNNNNNNNNNNNNNNNNNNNNNNNNNNNNNNNNNNNNNNNNNNNNNNNNNNNNNNNNNNNNNNNNNNNNNNNNNNNNNNNNNNNNNNNNNNNNNNNNNNNNNNNNNNNNNNNNNNNNNNNUAUAUAUAUAUAUAUAUAUUUUGGAAUAUAUUAGGGAAUUCUCACUGAUGCCAUAUAAUGUUCCAAAUAGAAGGGCUAAUCCAUUUAUAUAAUUAAACAAGAAAAAUCACCCGCAUGUUUGUUAUUGCAGCGUUAAUUUAAUAUUAUAUUUUUAAAAAUUUCUUCUACCAUAAAAUAUUAAGAAUUUUGAAAAUAAUUAUAAUUAAUAAUUUCAAAAUACUUCAUGAAGUAAUUUUAAAAUUACUUUAUUUUCAUUUGGAUAAAUGAGAAUUUAAUAUGAAAGAUUAUUCAAAUUUGACAUUGUAUUUAUAUUUUAUAAAUUUUCAUUUAGAUACACGAAUCCAUAAAUUUUUAUAUUAUUAAUAAAUGUUAAUUUAAGGGUAAUAUUCCUUUAAAAAAAUAUAAAAUCUUUGUGUGUAAUUACAUUUUAAUUUGUUUGUAUUAUUUAAUAAAAUGAUAUAGUUUAUUUUUUAUUAGUUAUACUCUCUAGAAUUUUUAACAAUAUGUCUUUAUUAAUUUCAAAUUAAUUUAGAAUUUGAUAGUGAACGUAAUUUAGAUGAUAAUUUUGAUAUUUAAUUAGUUAAUGUAAAUUUUUUGUAUAUGCAGCUUAUUGUUGCAUUUUUUUUUAUUUUUGAAAUAUAUUUUAUGAAUAUAACUUUUUUAACAGUCAUUAUUAACAUAAAAUUAUGUUAUAAAUAUAUAUUAUUAUUAUUAUAUAUAUUAUAAUUUUUUUGUAAUUGCUAAUAAACGAAAAAAAAUAAUCCUAAAACUCUGAAAUACGCCUUGAUUUUCUCAAAGUUAUAUAUUUUUUCCAUUAAAAAAUCAAACUUCUCAUAAUUUUUAUUUUUGUGGUAGAGAAUGGUUGAUGCUUUGUUUAAUAAUUCCAGCAAGGGAACCAUUUUAUUUCUUUAAAAGUAAAAAAAAAAUAAUAAUAAUAAUGGUCUGAAGUUGACACUUUAUCUAAAUUUGAAAUUGAUACAGUCUAUGUGAGUAAUUUUUAAAGCAUGGACCCCAUGUUUAUUAUCAUUAGGUUGCAGUCAGAUUAGGUAAGCAUAUGAUAAUGAUAAUGCAAAUGCACAUUUUUAAGCUUUGUAAAAAUAGACAAUUUAGAUGUGUUAUAGUGCACACAAAGCAUAAUCUAAUACUAAUCUAAUAUUAACUGCUACAACCUUCGAAUCUCAUUCCUCAAUAUUUAAAAAAAAAAAAAAAAAAAAGUGAAUUUGUUGAUCUUUUUACUUAUACAAGGAGUGAAAAAUCUCAGAUUUGAGAUCUUUUAUUUAUAAAAAUUUUCUACUAAUUUUGGUGAGUAAAGGGAAGGACUAUCCUAAGGUGUAGUCCAAGACAUUCUUUCGGCCCAUUCGACCCUGUUAAAUCAAUAUAUAUAUGUGGAGAGAUAUUGCAUAUACGUGUCCAAUUUGCCAUUCACCAUAUUGUAUGGUCAUCUAGAUACAACAUAUAACACAAUCGUUGACAGUAUAUGUGUUAAAUUUUUAUGUACAACAUCAAGGACUACCUCUACAUUCAAGGGGCAAAUUGUCAAGCCAGGAAUCAUCCAAGAGAGGCGUUGAAGGUUCCAAUUCAGUAGGCCACUGAGAACUAACAUCUACUUCAUCAUAGAUAAUAGGUUUACACUUCCAAUCUCUACUUUGGCAAAUUGCUUGUAACCAAAGAUUGCAAUGAACAAAAACCAAAUCAUUCAACUUUUCCAGCUCAGUUUUGUUGCGUUUUUUGUUAUGUAUACUCUCAAAGGUUUUCCAGUUCCAUUUGCACCAAUGGGAACUACAUGGUUGGCUAAGUAUUCUUAUAGCAACUCUCUGCAGAGUUGGAAUCUCGUAGCCGUAUCCAGCCCACCAAUCACCUAAAGAUGCGUAUGAUGGCAUAUUAGAUGCACUUGUAAGGCUUCUUCAAAACUCAAAAGCAUACAAAUGCGAAAUAUUACAUUUCAUAUUCUUUUUGUGUAAUGCACUAUGCACAAGUUGACAGAAAUGACAGAAACUUCAACAUACCUGGAGAAUUCAGUGUCCUUCCCAUGAUUGCAAAAUCAGUACCCAGUGCCCCUUGAGCAUUUAUGUACAUUGGAUGUUCUUUGGUGAUUUCUAUUUUAUCUUUAUCUGAGGUAGCCAUCUUGAUCAUAGUAUCUUGAAACCCAUUCCUCAUCCUUAAAUCAAUUUUAAAAUUCGGGUUGUAGAAAAUUGAGGGGUUAAGAAAUGCCGCUGCAGCAUGUAAUGGUGAGUGGAGCUGUAUGUUCCAUCUGCGAUCGAUUAUAUCCCAAAUUGGAAUAUAUUUUUCUUCAAUACCUUUAUAAUAUGUCUUGAUCGCAGCCUUUGCCCUCUCAAUUCCUUCAUAUAUAUACCCCAUAGCUGGCAUGUCCCCAUCAACAAUCCUUAGAAUUUUAACAAGGGGUUCAGAAACACUAACAGCUUCACGCGCAAACUUCCAAAAACGAUCUUGAUACAACAAAGAUUUGAUGACUUGAGCAUCGGGGCGUCUACUAUGCACAGAUGAUAUCCACUCUGAAUGGGAGAACAUAUGCUUUAGAUUGUCCUCCUGGAUAACAAUAGCCCUCAAGGAGAGAUAAUUACUCACAAAUCUUGUGAUUCUAUGUCUGACCAAUUCCCUUCCACCCAUAAACUUUCUCAUCAUAUUCAAAGUCCAUGCAUUACUAUAUAUGUACCUGGUUAUGGUGUUUGCCUCCUCCAAAACUGUACCAACCCACUCUUGUUUACUUAUAUCCUCCAGCAUCUUAUCAAUACAAUAAGAAGCACAAGGCGACCAAAACAAUGAGGUGUACUUGGCCAUGAGAAGCCUCCCUGCAUAAACAUAACUGGCAGCAUUAUCUGUGAUUACUUGUAUCACAUUUUCCAAGCCAACCUCCAAGACAAUUGACUCAAGCAACUCAAACAAGUAAUUAGCAUCAUCUUCAUGACCCGAUGUAUCAACUGAUUUCAAAAAUAACGUUCCUUUAGGACACGUAACCGAAAAUACAAGAAUUGAUUUGGUUCUUCCAUCAGACCAGCUGUCACACAAAAUUGUACAGCCUGUUUCUUUCCAUUCCUCUCUAUAUUUCCUGUAACAAUCAUGUACAUCACCUUUUACUUUUUCCAACAGUGUGGAUCUCAGCUUGUCAUAACUUGGAGCUUUGUAUCCCACCCCACACUCAGCCACAGCAUCAAACAUAUCCUGAUAAUAUAUAGAUUUAGCAGCACUAAACGCAAUAGAAUUAUGGAAGAAAAACACAGCAAUUUUUUUAUCAGCAAUAUCCUGUUUUCGCUUCUGAGCAUCAUCUACUUCUGGCUGUCCACUAGGUGAGGGGUGUGGAAAUAACAAAGAUGGGCAGGUGCUACCACGUUGGCCACUGGAUCCAUGGUUUGGAUGUAAGCCACCACUAGCAGAAGAGCUAUUUUGUUGAUCAUUAACCACUCUAUCCACCUUUGGUUUUCUGGGAGUUUUCUGUUUCUUAGGAGUGUUUAGUAUACUUUGAAUGUGAUCUCGCACGUUAUCCGGGACUUCUACACAGGGAACUAUGUCUUUGUUCUUUAUUUGGGCCAAAUGGAACUUCAUCCGGUAAACACCUCCACUGAAUUCCCGAUGACAAUAAUUACAUCUAACCUUUUGCCUUGUUGCAUCGACAAGAACACAGUGUUCCCAGCAAGCAUCUCUUCCGCGUACCAUAAUCCCUAAACUAAUAUGAAAUUUGUUCUGCCAUUCAGUUCAUAGAAAUAAUUAAGGAAGUAUAUCGAAAUUAAACUGAUAUAAACCUACAUGAGACUCAAAACUAUAAAUAAAAUCUAGAGAAAACACAGGAAUCGAGAAUUGAAGUACAUAAAAUGAUUUAUCAUGUCCAAAGUCUCUUGAUGCAGCAUGUUUUUUUGAACAUGAACUUAUACUCUAUAUAAAAUGACCAAUGACAUACCAUCAGACCAGCAUAAAUUUAUGUUUCCUUUUCCUUUGCCAAAGGAAGCAAAUUUUUUGACGCACAAAAAGAACUUGAAACAAUGUCAAGCACAACAAGGUGAAAAGAAUUUCGAACAGCCUAAUUAAAUUGAACCAAUGACAAAGAAAUCUACAGUCUUGAUCACAGGAAUAAUCAAUAGCUUAUAUUAACCUAUAAAUUGAGAAGGUAACGUUAUGUUCCAAACCAAAAGCAAAUGAAAAGUAAGUAAUUCUGAUCAUCCAAAGCUUUAUUUAGCUGCAAAAAUUCAGAAUUCAUAAAGUACACCAAGACUACCUUCUUCUAGACACUCUAAAGUCCAGUAUUUAUCUAUAUUGGUAUAUAUACAUAUAUCAUCAUCAACCAUCAUGCUUUCAAAAACCUGAAUUUUCCUAUGCUAACAUUUCUAGUUGGAAAAAAUAAUAAUUCUCUCUUUUAAUUGUAAAAAACCCACAUCUUUUCAUAAAUCUUGCAACUUCAAUUUCCAUGCUUUAUUCAAAAUAUCAGGUUCUUAUUUAUCACACCAAUAAAAGCAAACAGUAAAUUCCUGCAUUUAAAAUUGCUCUAAUGAAGUACAUUUAACGCCAGAAUAUACAAAUAUCAUCAAUGCAGAUAUUCAAAUUCCAACACAAGCAUAUUCUUCUGAAAAUAGCCACCCUGAAGUUGCAAACACAGUAUACUUCAACAAUAAACACCAAACUAAAACUUGCACAAUAUAUAUAAAUACAAAAAGAGAAAAGUUCUAUAGAAAUAAACCUCAUCUGCAAGGCUACUAGAGAGAGAGAGAGAGGUAUUUUAGUUACCUGUAACGGAGAAAACGACCUGAAGCAGUAGUAGCUUGCUAGGGAGGUGAAGAAAAGCGAGAGAAAAGGUCGGAGAUUGGUCGGAAUCUGGAAAGGAAAUGGAUCGGCGAUUUUGGAAGUACAGAAGAAACGAGGAAAUGAAAAACAACGGCGAUAAAUUAGUGGUCCUCGCCAGCGCCAGGACCGCGACGUUGGACAUCGUCCACCACUCUCACGUGAUCAGCGCGUGAUUCUCUAUUUUUUCCUUCAUUUCAAUUUAUUUAUUUUUAAUUAAUUACUAAAGUAAUUUAAUACAAGAAAAAUCUUAUUUCCUUUGUAUUAAUUCCGGUGGUACAACAUGAAGAGACUAGUUUAGCGGCAAAAAGCACUUAUGAGAUUUAUCACCAUAAUAUAAAUCAUGAGUUCAAUUCUCUACAAAAUAAAUUUUCUCAGAUUAGCCCAUUUACCUCUGAUGACAAGUGAAAAUUAAUGCAAGUGUCAAAAAAAAAUUCUCAUGAUAUCCCCUUGUAUAUGUCACUUCAAUUAAUGGAUUCAUCAUUAUUAACAAGCAUUUCUAACAACAAAUUAAUAUUUUGAUGCAUACUGAAAUAUAUAUAAAAAAAAUUCUCUUUGCAAAAGAAAAAUAAAAAAUUUUAAAAUAAAAAUCUAUUUUCGCUAUAUUCUAUAUUUAAACUCAAAGUUAUUUGCUUAAAAUAAUAAAAUAAAUAAAUAAAUUUUUAACAUAUUUUAGUUAUUUAUUUAUAUUGAUUUUUAAUAACAAAAUUUUCAUUUUACUUCUCCUUUUCUUGCUCUAACUUAUAAUUUUAACCAUCAAACUAACUUAUAUUUUUUAAAAAAUUUGUAUUUUUUCUUACAAUGAUUUUUUUUUUUUUUUUGCGAAAAAAAAAAUCUUAUUGUAAUAAAAAACUUUGAUGAAAUUUUUUAAAAUUAUAAGUUUUUUUUUUUUGAAAAGUUUUAAAACUAUAGGUUAUUUCAUAUAAAUUAAAUUAGUAAGUAACCAUCGGCUGAACGCAAAGGAAUCAUCUUGCGCCAAGCCGCCAACUAUCCAACACGUGUAAUCACAGUUUCCAUCGUGACAGCCGAUGGUGAUAUAGAGAUUAACCAAAAAGAACUCAGGAUAACUAUUAUAGAGUUUACCCCAUAAAAGCAAAACUCUUCAGUAAAUGCAGAAAAUACGAACUCACAAUCGGUGCCCUUCUUAUUGAAAGAAUGAGUCGAUUCUCCAAGCAGGAAGGAAGGAAGAACCCUAAGCGGAUCAUGAUCUUCUAGCUAUUCUUCAAUUAUUUUCUUUAUUUCUUCUCUAACUGGUAUGCCAAUUUUUCACUCUCUGAUCUUUUUAUUUUCAUUUGUUUAACCUGCCCAUGAAUUACAAUGCUCUACCCCUGUUUGUUUAAAUGCCUCUGAGAAAUGUGUUUUUUUUUUUUUUUCCUUCCCUGUAAUGUUUUUGCUAGUUAUAUUCUGAAAUGUGCUUGGUUACAUUACUUCACUGGGAUUAAGGUUUUGCUUUGAUCAGAGUUCUACAAUUAAGCUUAUAUAGUAAGCACAGUAAUCCCAUCCCAUCAAACAAAUUUGUACACAAUUUUUCCUAGGACGCAUCCUUUUCAAUUUGUGUGCUGUUUCUUGGAUUUAUUACCUGUAAUUUCUUGUGUUGGUUGACACAAUGCAGUUUAAAUACUGCAUUCUUGCUUACUUUCUCAAGUUUUGUAAUUUUACACCAAUGUCAUUGUUGGCACUUGGCAGUACUGGUAUUGUGCUUGGCAGGAAAUUGAGAGCCAUGUUUAACUAAUGGAGAGCAACCUUAUAUUAUAUAAAACGCGAAAUUCUUGUUCCUAAACCAUGUAUAGAAUUCCUCUCCCAAGAGUUGCUAUCUUAGGAAAAACAAUAUUUUGUGCAACUUGUUUUUCAUGGGCAUGUCACAGAGAGAUGGAAUGUUGGGGCCAAGAAUUCAAAUCAAGCAUUGGAAAUAAAGUUAAUAAACCAUGGGAGAAGUAUAGAAGGUGCAUGGUGUGACAAUUGAUGCCUGAUGUUUGUAGGAAUUGCUGAGUACCAUAAAACUUUGCAAGUUUAUAUAAUCAAUGUUUUUGUCUUAUAAUGAAAUGAUCUCUGAGUAAUAGCAUAAACUGCAUACUUUUUUAUUAACUUCUUAGGUUCAUCUGCCAUGAUUGCAAGUGUUUGAACUGGCAAAAUAUUGACAUUCUUAUCUUGCAUCCUUGAUCUCUCUAUUUCAAAUCCUUAUCUUUCAAAAGAAGAAAAAAAGAGGGUGUAAGCAUAAAAAGUACUUGGUGUUUUUGUUAUAAAUUUCUUAACUAAAUAUGGUGGCAUCUUUUUCCUGUGUUUCUUAACUAUGCUUUUAUUAUCGAUGUGUAAGCCUCACCUUUUUUUGACCUUUAUUUAAACUCGCCCCUCAUAUGUACCUAUGAUGCAUUUCUAGGAGGAACGACACUUGGGAUUUGAUGAAAGGUGCUUCUAGCAGCCUACGUGCAGCAUUUUCCCACUGUGUACAGCAAGUGCGAAGUUAUGAUUACCAUCACUAUCUCUGCCUACUUGAACUCCCUCCUAACAUGCGAAAGGCUGCAUUUGCCCUCCGUGCCUUUAAUGUUGAAACAGCCAAAGCUAUGGAUGUUGCUUCAGAUCCCAGGAUUGGUCUUAUGCGACUCCUCUGGUGGCAAGAAACUAUAGAUAAGAUUUAUGCUAACAAGUUAAUUGAGCACCCAACUGCACAGGCCCUCUCAUCAGUGAUAUUAGAGAAUAAAAUUACUAAGGGAUGGUUGAAACGGUCAGUCGAAGCACGCAUCAAUGAUGCAAGGAGAGAAGUUACUGACAUCCCAGAAACCUUAGAAGAGUUGGAAAAAUAUGCUGAGGACACUGUGUCAACCAUUCUGUACAUGACACUUCAAGCUGGUGGUAUUAGGUCCACUGCGGCUGAUCAUGUGGCAUCCCACGUUGGUAAGGCAAGCGGGCUUCUAUUGCUACUUAGGUCACUCCCAUAUCAUGCUAGUCGCAACCGUCACUUCUCUUAUAUACCAACUGAAGUGGCAGCCAAACACGGGUUAUUAGUUAAGGAGGGAGGUCAAUCAGAAAUUCGAUUGGAUUCACGCGAGGGCUUAUGUGAUGCUGUCUUUGAGAUGGCAUCAGUCGCUAAUGUUCAUUUGCAGAAGGCUCGUGCAUUGGCUGGAACAAUACCUGCUGAAGCUCAGCCGGUGCUUCUACCAGCUAUUCCAGCCCAAGUUCUCAUAGACUCCUUGAGUAAAGUGCAGUUUGAUGUGUUUGAUCCAAGGUUGGAACGAGGAGUUCUUGGCAUUCCUCCUCUGUGGUAUCAACUGAAAUUGAAGUGGUAUUCAUGGAAGGGCAAAUACUGAUAAUUUAUUUUUAUUUUUGUACUUCUAGUUCCUUUACAAUAAAGGGAUUGUCUUUUACAUGAAAAAUGGUGCUUUCCCCUAUAGUACAAAAGCUUUGGCUAAACAUUUAGUUUGUGAAAUUUUUUGAUAGCGACAUUACCUGUGAUUUAGGAGGAACAUCUUUUUUUUUUUUUUUUAAUUGAAAGGAUCAGAAGCUUCUAUUCUUGCUUUAUUUGUUUUCAAUAUAUUUAAAUUAAGGUUAUUUGCUUUAAAAGAAAUAGAAGAAUGAAAUAAAAUAAAAUAAAAAGUCAUAACAGUUAAAUCUAAAAAUGAAUUUUACAUGUUAGUCACAAAAACUGCAAAAGCAAAUUAGUUUCUGAACACUCCAAGAAAUAGUUUCGAACAUGAUUGUUAUGAAUAUAAGCAGGAAAUGCAUCAAGAUUUCACCACUCGAUUGUUCAUAAAAAUUAUAAUAUACAAUCAUAUAGAUCAAAUUCUUCCAACGUGCUAUAGGAAAGAGCAACUCAGUAGCAAAAAGCUGUGAUAUUGAAUUCUGUAGGCAUCAAAUGCUCAGUACAAUGUAAGCUCUCAUAGUUAAAUUGUUGAAAACCAACAAAAACACAGUUCAGAGAUGGAAAGAAGCAAUAGACUUGACCAAAUACUAAAUGACAUCACAAAGCACAGCAUAAAUUCCAACACCGGUAAUAAGAAUAAAUGUUUGAUUUAUUGCACCGCAAAAAUGUAAUUGGCUCAUCUUUCAAACUGGGAUUAGCUUGGAAUCAUGUAUACAACUAUGGAAAAUUUUCCUCCUAACUCGCUUGCUUCUUCACGCUGCGAACACAAUCAACAUAGCUCCUAGUUAGAGGGGCACAUUUCAGUAUAUCAUUAGGAUUCUCCUUGUAACAAGCACGGCAGGCUUCAUAAUCAGCCAAACAGGGCAUAGGCUUCUGAUAUGGAAGCUUGAAUUCCUUAUCACGAAGAUUUUUGGCUCUUUCUGUUACUUCUUGCACCAAGGCAUCCUCCUUCUUCUCCAACUUUUCCAAAACCAUUUCACUUUUCUGAAUGACAGAUCUAAUUGCCUCUAAUUCCGAGUUUUCAGAAUGUGCGGGUGGGGUUACAGGCAAGAACAAUGGCGGUUGCACUGGCCAACCUGGAGAAGCAGCACCUUUAUGUGUCUCAGGAUCAUUAUGAAGUUGACUCUCAAUCACCUUAGUUUGGGGUUGAGCAGGUUCUCGUGGUAUCUUAGCUUUAGUUUUCUUCGGUUUUUUCUUCAACUUCUCGGCAUCAUUGGCAAGCCUAUUAACAAGAUCAGCACUGAUCUGAAUUGAAAAAUCACCCAUAGCGGCAAUACCCUUGAAAUUUUUACCUGGGAAAAAAAGAUUCCAAAGAGAUCUUGCUGCUCAGAAACGAAUAGUUCAGACUUUCUAGUACAUAUAAUAAGCAAUUUGGAAGUGAACUUUGUUUCAUAUCAUUAAUAGUAGCAACUAGCUUGUUCUGAUGGGUUUGAGGGAGCAAUGGUCAAUCGGAGAUUUAAUAGUUGAAAAGCACCAAUCUGAUCAUUCAGAAAAUAAGAUAACAAGAAAGGUGUCUGUUCAUUAUACAGGUACACAAGGGAGUCAUCAAUGAAUUAUUAAAGACCAAGCGUACAUUUCUAAUGAUUAGGCCUUUCUUCGCUGAUCACCUACACUGAACGAGUUAUGCAUCAAUUUAAAAGUUCCAAUAAUGCCUCAGCCAAAACCAAAAUUGCAAUGAUAAAUCAGCCAAAACAUUGGCUGUAUCUUUUCUUCGUUCAUCAAGUUCACAAAAUGAAACGAAAUCUCAAAACAAAACAUUUGCGGAAGGCAAAAGAAGGCAUUGUCUGUCACUUCAAACAUGAAAAAUAACAAAUUACACAAACAGAAGCAACAAGCCAACAAAACCCUACUAACUAAAACGACAUGUUCUUCGCUUUUUUACAAGUCCAAAACAACACAUAUAACACCAAUUCCAAGUUUCUAAUGUAACACAUGAUUACCACUAAAAUUAGAGAAAAUCUGAAUUCACUUAAUCCGAUAAUGUAUAACCUGAGACUUUUUCUGCAUAAAUAAAAUUGGGAUGGAAUUGAGUAUUCUAGGGUUUAAAAAAUUAUGUGAAUUUUUUUUUUUUUUUUUUUUGGUGAAAAGAAAUUGCAAAAUAAAAAUAAAAAAAAUCAGAGAGUGAAAAAAUGGCAUACCAGUUAGAGAAUGAAUAAAUAAAGAGAAUAAUUGAAGAAUAGCUACAAGAUCAUGAUCCGCUUAGGGUUCUUCCUUCCUUCCUUCCUGCUUGGAGAAUCGACUCGUUCUUUGAAUAAGAAGGGCAGCGAUUGUGAGUUCGUAUUUUCUGCACUGAAGAGUUAUACUAUUAUGGGGUGGACUCUAUAAUAGUUAUCCUGAGUUCAUUUUGGCUAAUGCCUAUAUCAUCAUCCACUGUCACGAUAGAAACUGUGAUUACACGUGUUACAAAGUUGGCGGCUUGAUGCAAGAUGAUUCCUUUGCGUUCAGCCGAUGUUUACAAUUUACUAAUUUAAUUUAUAUGACAUAACCUAUAAUUUUAAAAAAUUUCAUGAAAAAUUUUAUAUAUAUUUUUUUACAAUAAGUUAGAUUGAUGGUUAUUAAUAAAUUUUUUUUCUUAACUAAAUGAACUAUAUUGUCGAUAUUUUUAUAAGAAAAAAUCGAGUUCAACACUACAAUUCAUUUAUAUAUAAUCAAUUAACGAUAAAAAAAAUUAAAUCCAAUAAAUGCUUUAUGUAUUGUCACUCAAAAUAAUGGAAAAAAUUAAUAGAAUUAUAAUCAAUCGGAAAAUUAAAAUAAAUAUUUAAUUAAAAAUAUUAAAUUAAAUGAAAAAUGUUAACAAAUGGAAAGUAUAUAGACAUUCGAUAAGUUUAACAUUUUAUGUAUCCAAGGACCGGAUAUUUGCAAUUUUGAAAUGCACUUAUGGCUAUGGGCUAUGGGGUAUGGGCUAUGGGCUGUGGGCCAAGUCCAAAAUCAGGUUUGAAGGGGAAAACUCGUUUCCUAUUUUAUUCAGCAUUUUUGUUCUAUUUCAUUUUCAAGAAAUGUAAAAGAAGAAGAGUUUAAUCGUUUGCCUCUUUUCUUUUUCAUCCCUCGCAAAAGCAUAGAGAUUUACCUUUCCCAGUUCACACUAUUUUGACAUUGGAACCAAGAGCAGUAUUUAAAUAAAACCCUUUCAGAACAAGGACUCCAAAUUUUUUCUUUGAGUGAGUUUGCAUUUGUGUUUUCAUUCUUGAAAUGAGUAUUUAACUCUAAAAUCUCUGAUCUUACAGAUAAAAUUUACUUGAUACAGUCUAUUUUUUAUGAUCCAACUAUCUGUUGCUUGCGUGUGAACAUUAUUUCACUUGAAUUUUUCUAAAUUUUCUUCUUUAUAGACACGAGUGGGAUGAGAUGUUUAAGUGUUUCCCAUUCUGCAGGACAAUACAAGUGAUUUAGGCCUUAAAAGGGUUUAAGACCUCAUCGGUAUUGCUAUGGAUAAUAGCAAUUUUAAUAUGGGUUUCACACAUAGUGCACUCUUUGAUUUUAAAGUGGUCGGAGGUAUAUGCUUAGUGUCAAACCAAAAUACGAAAUUUGAUGAACUGUGCUCCACAAAGUAACUGGAAAAGAUAUCUGCUUAUCCUGCCAACUCCAAUAUAAAACUAAAUAAAAACAAAAAGCAUGGAGGCCCAUCACUAUUUUUUUUUUUUUUUCCUUCUUAAUUCUUGUGUCCAAAUUGUAAUUUUUGGAAAAUUAUGAAAAUAUUAUUGAAAUAAUCAUUAAAAUUUGAAAAAGAUUAACUCUUUUCUAAUGAAUUCUUGAAAUACUGUGGAGGCCCAUAGCUAUAGGUAUAGAUGCUACAUACACAUCAAGACGAGAUGGGCAGCUUUUCCCUCUCAUUAUAAGAUGGACUCUCAGUUGUUGUUUUCAAAACAACACUUGAAAUCAGAAGCAGAAGUAUCAGUAGAAAUGAAUUAUUCAAAGAAAAUGUCAAAGCCAACAGACCAACACCAAUACACCUUCAUGUCAUGAUUCCACAUUCCACUUUCUAAUCACUCCAUUUUAGUUUUUCAGGACAUGCCAUUGCCAUAGCUAUCCUAUCCAUCCAUUUUAGAAUCUUUAGGUGUAGGGUCUCCACCUUUCAAGCACUCAUCAUCAUCAUCAUAUGUUCUAUUCUUUCAAAAAUUUAUUUUCUUUUUUCUAAGUCGUGCCAAAAAGUAAUUACCUUGAUGUCCAAUACAAGAAAACUCUAUCAUCAAAAGUACCUUUCCUUUACUCUUUGUUAUAUAUAAAUAUGUCUGUUUAUAUAUAUAUAUAAGCAGAAUUUUCUUUUCAUUUUCUUUUUUAAGUGCAUAUAUAAAUAUAUAUAUAUGCUAAUUUAUAGGCCUAAAACGUUUAGCUUAUGUAACUUGAUAAAUAAUUUUUUAUGAUUAACUUGUUUUUUAAGAAAAUUUACAUCGACACUAAGCAUAUAUAUAUAUAUAUAUAUAUAUAAUGAUAUCAAGCUCUUCCAGAUCACGCUUGUUAAUUAAUCUGUUGUUUCUUUUUUUAUUUUUUCCAUUGCAUAUACAUUAUUUUUAGUAUUCUUUUGAGCUCAAAAUUAUGUCUUGUUUAACUUAGCAUUCAAUCAAAUAUUAUCUCUAUUAUUUAUAGUUAAAAUUUGCAAAAGUGAAUUAUGACAUGUUAUUCCUUUUUAAGGUUCAAUUGAAUAUUAGUAAAAUAACUAAAAAUUAUUAGAACAGUUAAUAACUAGUAAAAUAAUUAAGUUUGCUGAAAAAAGCCUAUAUCUUAUUUAGUAACAGCUUUUAACGAAACAUUCAGUGUUUUGAAUUUUGUCAAAAUAUUAUUUCUAUUAUUUAUAGUAGCGUUUUAUACUAGUAUUUAAAGUUUUGUAGAACUGGAUUAUGAAAUGUCCUUCUUUUUAAUAUUUGAUGGAAGGUUGGUAAAAUAACUAUUUACAAUUAACGACUAGUAAAAUAAUUAAUUUUGCCGAACAAAACUUACGUUAAAUUCAUUAAAUUCAUUGUCAACUUUUCAAACUUGAAUGAUAACCUAUAUGUUUGAAUAUAUGUAAUAAUUGAAUUUAAGGUCCAUUUUCAAGUCACAAUCCAGUCAAGAUUAUAAUAUCACUGAUGAAAUUAACUUGUAUCCAUCAUUUUCUUAUUAGGACAUAGUUAUUUCAAAGUGCAUGUAUGUAUGUAUGUAUAUAUAUGUCUUCUUCAUCAAGCGACUGCAGUAUAUAUGCUGACAUUUAAUCAGCGGUCAUGGAUGAUCAAAAGACAAAAUUGGCGGCAAGGCAGCUUCUAAAAUUACAAAAACAAUCAAAUGGAUUUACAAAAACAUUGAUGUCAAGAGUUCUUAUUUUGGAUAUAUAAUUACAUUCCCAUUAGGGUUUGAACCUAAAAUUUCACAAUCCUAAAUUAAAAUUCAUAGAGUCAUAGUUCUUGGCUGUUUUAUUGUAGGCAUAGAUCAUAUAAAAGAAAAUGAAAUCAGCAGCACUGAGAAGUACUUAAUUCAAUGGAGAAUAUAAUCAUCAAAUUGGAAGGAUAACACAAUUGAGAUUAUUAAUUAAAUUAAUUAGUACGAUCAGCUUUAUUAAAUCGUAAAGAGAUUGAAAAGCAAAACAUGAUUAGUGUGUGUGCUCAGUUGAUUAAUUAAAUAAAAGCUAAUUGGAGCUUAAUUAAUUCCUUGUCUUGCACUUAUGGAAUUUCAGUAACUGCACAAAAUCAUAAUUGGAUAUUCCACUGGAAUAUAUUAAUUGCAUUUGCCAUUGAAACACUGUAGUUUAAUUAAAAAAAAAGGUGCAUGAUGAUUUAUAAUUAUAUAUAGAAAAUAUCUUUUAUGUUGAUCAUUAAGAGUAAUAUAAAGUUUCAACUUUUUGUACUUUAGACGAGUACUGGCUACCUAAUUAAUGGAUGCAAUGGAUAUACCAUAUGCUUUAAUUUAAAAACCCUAACUAGGGACACUGCUUAUUAGAAAAAUUUUAAAAAAUAAUAUUCUCUUCGUUCCAUUUAUAUAAAUAAAGUUAUUUUUGCACAACAAUUAAAAAAUUAUAUUUACCAUCAAAAAUUAAAAAAAUAAAUUUCACAAUUUUCUUUAUUUAUCAUCAAUAUAUCAAUAAAUGAGUUUGUCACUGCAUAGAAACUUUUAUAUAUAUAUAAAUUUCAUAAAACUUACAUGUACCUUUAUAAACUUACAUUUAUAAAAGUAAUCUUACUUAAAAAUGGAUUUUGCCUUAAAGUAUAAAAAUAAUAAUUUUUUUUAUUUCCGUACACAUUUUUAUAUUUAGACUAAUGAUAAUAUUUAAACAAAAUUCUUCAAUUGUAAUAAUUUAAAAUUUAAAAUCCUUAAUUUUAUAAUUAAAACUCGCUUGAAAAAAUAUUUUAUCUAUGUUGGAUCUAAAUAAAGCAUAAUAUUACAACAUUAUUUUCUUUUGAGAUGAAUAUUUAUAAAAAGAUGGAUGAUCUUUAUUUCCACCAGUUAUUUAUUACAAUAAGAAAAACAAAUAAUAUUAUCCACUUUAUUCGACAUUAAUUAAUUAUCAUACAACAAUAUUUACAAAUGUUAUAAUUAAUGAUAAUUUACUAAAAGACCCACUAGCCACAUAUGUAUAUGUUUUUUCGACAAUGGCCCAACAUGUCCCUGUCUCUUACAUGUAGGAUUACAGCAACUUUCGUAAAGCACCAAGAAUAUAUUAAUAAUGUCACAUUUUAUGAUUUCCUUUUUCAAGUUAUUUGGGAUCACUGUUUUGACCAGGUUGGUGAGAAAUUGAGAAACCUGUAAACAAGACAGGUUUUUGCUUCGACCCUCACAACAAUAAUUAAUCUAAUGAUAAAGCACAUAUAUACCGUAACCUAACUUCACCUACCCGUACAUGAUACUUAGUUCUGUAUCAUUUUUGUACCUUAAAAUUUUUGUUACUACCAUAUCCAUAUGUACAUACUUGUGUAUCUUAGUUCUUGCCUUCCAUCUCUAACGCAUGCAACGCCGCGCUGUCCGAGCAAUCAAACCCGAAAUCAUGUACUCCAAAAUCUUGGCAAUCCAAUAACCAGGUGCAGUUAUCUUCCCACGACGGAUAUGGAUAACCCAUUUCACGAUUAGGGUUUUCAAGAGCAGGAGGACUAUUGUUGUUAUUGUUAUUAUUAGUAUUGUUCCAUGAUGCGUCUAUGAGAGGAGGCUCGUCCAUCAAUAAACUAUUCAAUAACGUCGUGUCGUUGCAAAUACUAUCUAAUAAAAUUGAUUCAUCCCUACAGAAAUUUUGAUCAUUUUGCGAUGAGCUUGAAUUUUCCUCUGAUGAGUUGACUAUGCCAUCAUUUUCUUGUAUGCUAUCAUUGCUGCUGUUGUUGGCGGGUUCUGGUAAAAGAUGGUCGGUUUGAGACACCGAUGAACUUUCUUCAGUCUUGGCUUCUUUCUGUAAGGGUUCGUGUGUGACAGGAUCAAUUCCCAUUUUCAGAAGCUUUUUCUUGAUAUGGGUAUUCCAGUGAUUCUUGAUUUCAUUGUCUGUCCUUCCUGGUAACCUAGCAGCAAUCUUGGACCACCUAAUCACAUGAAAGAAGAAUCAAGAAAAUGUGUUGGAGAUAUAAAAUUAAUUCAUCAUCACUUGAAUCUUAAGCAAAUUGAAGAUGAAAUAAUUAUAUUCUUGCACUUUACACUAACUUUCAAAAUCUUUGACAUUUGCUGCUGAAGGUUUUCUUAUUCGUUUUCCGCAUGUUAAUUAUCAAGAAUGUAACUAAAAAUAUAAUGUUUGAAGUAUGAUUAUUGUUCAAAUACAAGAUAUUAUUUAAUUAAGUCAGCUUGUCCAACACUUUCAUUUCAAAAAUGAAUUAUCUUGUUCCUACAGAACAUGAUUAUCCGUUACAAUAAUAUUUAAAUGUGUCAUUACAUAAGCAACCAAAAACCAACAUGUAGAAGAUGGAGGCACCGUACCAAACCCCAUUAAAUAAAACCACUAAAAACAUUUAAAAUGCUUUUUAAUUAAUGCAUGAUCAUCAACAACAAAACUAAUAAUAAUAACAGCAACAAAAACUUACAAAAUAAGAAAUUAACUAAUUAAAAUAAGCAAUUAACCUAUUGCCAAGACGUGCAUGAAGAUCAAUAACCAAUUGCUCUUCAGCUUCAGUGAGAAGACCUCUCUUCAAAUCAGGACGAAGAUAAUUAGUCCAGCGGAGACGACAACUCUUACCGCAUCGCCGGAGACCGGCGAGCUUAGGGACAGCUCUCCAACAACAUUGACCGUUUGUAAGAAUGAAAUUAAUGAGUUUCUUGUCUUCCUCAGCUGUCCAUGGCCCUUUCUUGACUCCAAGCUUAUCACAACAAGGUUGCCUACCCAUAUCACAGGACAAACACAGUAAACGUUUAUGCUAUUCCACUAAUUCCAAGCAAAGAAAAAGUCUCACCAACACAGCUUUAUAUAAAGUCCUCAACUUUGGUACCCUAAAAUAUAUAUUAGAAAUAUAUAUUAUGAGAACAAAAUUAAUAUUGUAUGGAGAGAAGGGGACUUGAGAAGGGGUCCACCAUUGGUUUAUGAAAAGGACAUGGGAACAAAAAUGGCUCGUUAGGGUAUGUGUGGAUACAGAAAAUUGAGUGACAAAAGAAUGAUAGGUGACCAAAAGACUGAGCUGAGCUACAUCUAAAGAAGCACCCCCUAAUAAGGAGAAAACGAUUUAUAAAAAAAAAAAAAAAAAAAAAAAAAAAAAAAAAAAAAAAAAAAAGAAAAAAAGGAAAAUUUUUCUUCCCAUUUUCCUACACAACCCCACUCCUCCUGAUUGCACUCUUACUCAACCAUUCCAUCACUCAUUUCGUCAUCACCACGUUUACGUGUCCUUAUUGGGAUACUCUUUUAUAUUAUUCAUGUGCCUCAUAUUCUUUAUUGGCAUUUUAUUUUUAGAGAUUUCCCUUUGAUAGAUAUGUUGUAGGUUUUGAUUUUCCUUUACUUUUUCUUUCUUUUUUGUUCUUUCUAUUUUGCAAUUCCAACAUUUUUAUACAAAUUAAUUGAAUCAUGGACUUUGCAGAAAUCGUACAAUGAAUUUAAAAGUGUUUUAUUACUUGCAACUACAAAUCUAUUUUAUUCUUUAAUUUUGCACAUAUUAAUUGAAAUUUGAAUUUAAAACCUGACAGCUAUAAGAUAGUUCUAGUACCACCGUAUCAAAAAUUCAUUAUUUGCUUAAUUGUUAAUGUAUAUAUAUAUUAUUUUUUUAAGGCAAUGAAUUGAUGAAUAUAAUUUUAGGCUCUAAGAGGAGCAAAAAUUAAACACUCUGGAGCAUAAAUAACUGAUAGUCUAAUAGUAAAAAAUAAGAGAGUCAUAUGUUCAGUCUCAGAGAAAGUUAAUGCCAAUUAAAUAAUGAUUUUUUUCAGACAAUUUCCCACAACAUUUGCCUACUUUUUCCUGGUAUGUAGAAUGAUCUAGUUGAAUGCGAAAUAAUUUUCUUCCCUGUAAUUGGAAGAAAAAAAGAAUAAAGAAGAAAGCACUUGGAACAUCUUAGAAGGCAAAAUGCGAAAUGAUUUUGGAAUACAUUUAAUUUACUUCAUGAAAUUUGGAAGACAUUCACAUUUUUCCAUUUGCAAUUUGAGUAGCGUUCUUGCAAGUGGUUUCGGCUUAUUAUUCUUUGCACAAUCGGUGAGAGGAAAAAUAAUUCAUUAAUAAUGUAAUAUUAAAAACAAAAACAAAAAUAUCUUAAAUGAGCAUUUAGUUAUCCAAAUUCAACUAUUUCAUCAAAAAGCACUUUCUUAAAAUGGUAAUCAGUUUAAUAAAUAUAAAAAUUUUCAGUAAAAUAAGUUAAUUGAAUGUUUUCAUAUAUAUAGGAAAGCAGAAAUCAAACUCAUGAAUUUCAAAGAAUCGAAAUUUUACUUUUCCAAGGAUGAAAUUUGAUCAAUCAAACCUUCCAUAAAUGUAAAUAAAAUAAAAUAAAAAACACACAUAUUUUAGUUACAAUGAAUUUAAAACCAAAUUAAUAAAUAAACAUGUGUAGAUUCUCUAUUGGGUUCUAUAUAUUUACAUUUCCAUAUUUUUGGGAACUUUCAGAUCGCUGUUGACGAAUAGAGGGAGAUAUAGCAUGUUGGUGAACUAGAAAAACAAUCAUAGUAAAAAAUUGAAAAAUAUAGUUUACUUUUGUCUUAAGAAAAGGUAGUAAUAAGUCAAAAUUGUCAAGAAACCUCCACUGUUUUCCUUCAAGUAUGCAUUACAUGAUUUGUUUCCCUAUCAAACCACAAGAUCAUCAGUCAUUAACAAUUUGCUAAUCUGCUUAUCUUCUAAGUUCUACAUAUAAUUACUCAAACUAAUGACGUUUUUAAAAGAAAACCAUGUUCUGAUUAUUCUUUCUUAUUUUCUUUAUUACCACUAAUCCCACAUUAUUGCCUCACCAGCUUUUGGAUAUCAAGAAAGCAAAGCUAAUUUAAAAUCUUAAUUAUGCUUAAAUUGCUAUUAAUUAUCCAUCUUAACCACAAAUAAGCAUAUUUAGGUGUCAUUAUCAUAAACAUGCGUGCACAUUUUGGCAAAAUGGUACGCAGGAAAAAUGAUUUAACUUCUUUUUGACAAGGACAAUAUACGUUUAUAUUAACCUUAAUACGCACCAUUAUAAGAUACAUGACACGUAUGUAUCAAAUUCUAGAUUUUUCGAUUUCUCAAUCCAAAGAAGAUCAUUUGAGGUUUCUUGAUUGGUUCAAUAAACCAAACAUAUCAACCCUUUACAAGAUUUUGCCCUCAUAUUAAAUUAUAUUCAUGGAAUGCCCAAUCGAGGUAUUACAACUAUAAAAUGUGUCUCUUUGGAUUUAUGAUAAAUUAACCUAAUCAUAUCAAAUUUCCUUUUUCUUUUCCUACCUUUAUAAACGAAAUUUUCUUCAUUCGGGUCAUAUUCGGUAAAAUUAAUUGUCUUACUAGUUGUCAGUUGUUUUACUAGUAUUUCAUUAAAUAUUAAAAGAAUUAACGUGUCAUAUUCUAGUCCCGCAAACUCUAAACAUUAAUAUAAAACGUUAUAUCACAAAACACUAUAAAUAAUAGAAAUAGUGUUUUGACUAGAAGUUACAUUAAAAGGAGUUCCGGAAUAGGGUACUAAUCCACAAAAUAUCAUAUCAUCUAUACUUCAUGAAUCACAUAUUUAAUUCAUAUAUUAAUCACAAAUGAAAUUGUGAAUUAAUUAAAUAAUCCAUUAUUCACCGUAUUCAUAUCAAAUUGUAAUUUUAUGUUAAUAAAACCUAAUAUGUUAAUUGAAAAUUGUGACUAAUUGAAAUUUUUAAUUUGAUGUGGGAAUCAAUAGUUAUCUAAAACUUUAUUUCUAGUUUUUAUAAUCAUUUUAUACUUGUCUUCCCAAAGGGACAUUCAUGCAUGUUUCAAAGUUUAAUUUGAUAAAAGCCAAUGAACAUCUUGUGAUGGUUGAUCAUAUAAUAGGUAAAAGAUGAGGCGGGGUAGUUGAUGAUCCAAUUUCUUGGUCUUUGACUUGUCUCUCUAGGCUUAGGUUAAUGUAGUUCAAUGUGGACCCUUUAUCCUCAAUAUCACUUCUUUAGACUUAAAUAAAAAUUACCCUUAUUUAUUCCCCUAUUAAUAUUAAUUAAUUAUAAUUAUUUGGUUAUUAAUUUCAAACUCCCUCCACAGAGGCUGCUAAUUUGUAGAGAUUAAUCAUAACAGAUUCAAUCUGAAUCUUGUCAUUAACUACCUCUCCUCUCCUAUUGCCAAGUGUUUAUCAAACACAAACUUUAAAAUAACUUGCAAGACACUAAACCUAAUUGGUGUGUUGAAAGUUAAUUUCUGCUUAAUUAUAUCAUUUUUUGGCAUUAAUUGUUAAUUAAUUUGAUAAUUAAGAAGCAAUUUAAUUAAGCACAUACAUACUCUCUUCUCCGUCCGAUAUUAAUUAUUUUAUGGGAAAAUAAUUAUUUCGUCCCUGAGGUUUGUCAUAAUUAUUUAAGUAGUCCCUGACAUUUAUACAAAUAUUUAUAACAUCUCCGGGGUUUACUUCCGUCUUAUUAAUUAGUCAUUCCGUAUGGAAAAACACACAUUUUCUGUUAAUUUUAAAAGAAAAAGACGAAAUUAUCAUUUGUAAGUUUUCAUUAUUUCGACUCUAAGGUUUGCCAUAAUUAUUUAAGUAGUCUCUGAUAUUUAUAUAAAUAUUUAUAACAUCCCUAAGGUUCACUUCCGUCAUAUUAUUUGAUCUUUCCAUCCAAAAAACACACUUUUUACUGUUAAUUUUUAAUAGAAUGACCAAACUAUCCUAAAUCUUCUAAUUAACAUAUCCUCCCUUUCAAUUACCCUAAAUCCUCUAAAUUUACCCAAAAUUUAGAAAUUUUAAUUUAAAUUUUGGGUAAAUUUCUAAAUUUCUAAUCUGUUUAUUCAAUUUUGGAUUUAAAUCAAACUGGGUGAUUACUUUAAAUUUAAUUUACAAUUUAUGAUUUAAAAUUUACAUAGGCAUUUAUUAAUGGUGGUUUCAGGUUUUAAGUGAACAAGAUUAAGCUAAAUGUGCUAUGUAAAUUUUUGCUUUGCUAUAUUGGUCUUCUUUUUAGCAGAUUUUGCAUAUGGUUGCUGAUUCUAGGAUUAAUUGCUGAGGUUAUUGAGCAAAGUAAUGCAUUGGAUGCAAAUACAAAUAUUAAAUACAUGAACAUGUUUGAUGCUCAAGUAGAGGUUGUUCAUUAUGCUUUGAGCUCUAUGGAAUUUUUUUAUACCAUUUUUGUGAGUGAGUGAGAAGGAAAGCAAAUGAGUUGAAAGGGAUGAUAUAUUAAUUAGAGGAUUUAGGGUAGUUUGGUCAUUCUAUUAAAAAUUGACAGUAAAAAGUGUGUUUUUUGGACGGAAUGAUCAAAUAAUAUGACGGAAUAGAACCUUAGGGAUGUUAUAAAUAUUUAUAAAAAUAUCAGGGACUACUUAAAUAAUUAUGGCAAACCUCAAGAACAAAAUAAUUAAAACUUACAAAGGAUAAUUUCGUCUUUUUCUCUCAAAAUUAACGAAAAAAGUGUGUUUUUUGGACAGAAUGACCAAUUAAUAAGACGGAAGUAAACCUCAGGGAUGUUAUACAUAUUUAUAUAAAUGUCGGGGACUACUUAAAUAAUUAUGACAAACCUCAGGGACGAAAUAAUUAUUUUCCCUUAUUUUAUAAAUAAACAAAUAUCUUUAUCAAAAAACCUUUUUAGACCACCAAUAAUAAAACUAAAAAUUUAUAUCUCAACCGUUAAAUGGAAUGGAAGAAUACCCUUUGAGCCUUGGAAACUAUGAAAAAAAAUAUAAAAGAAAAUUUUACUUAUAAUCUAAUAAAAUAAAUAAAUUUAGUAAGCCACCAAACUUUUGAACGUUUCUUAGUAUUAAGGUAUAUGUACAAUUUUAUGUAACUUAAACAUUUGCAGGUAGAGAGACAGCAAUGCAUGAACCCCAUACUCAAUGUGGUCCGGUAGCUGAGGAUUAGAUUGCUUGUACCAGUUGGUUCUGUCUGGUUUCAGGCUUAGCCACAACUGCAACCGUUGUGACUUCAUGAUCACCUCAACGUCAAUAUAACAUUAAUUAUUAGCCAUCAAAAAUUAUAUACUCUCUUCGUUUUGAAGAUAUAAACCGUUUUUAAGUGAUUAUUUUAUCUCGAAAUAUAAAUCAUUUUGAAUGUUACUUCUUAAAAUACUAUAUUAAUGUAUUAUUGACAAACUCAUAAAGUAAAUGAAAAUUAUUCUCUGGGUAUAUAUUAAUGGCUAAAUAUAUAAAAAUACCCAUAUUUUUGCAAAUAUAUAUAUAUAUAUAUAUAUAUAUCUAAAUAUAAUUAAAUGCAAUUAAACUGUAUUUGAUCAUCUUAUGUUACCGCUUGUCAAAAUUAUCCUUCUUCCAUUUUAUUAUAAGUGUAAAUGGAUUUAAUCUUAUUAACAAGAUUUAAUAUUUCUUAGUAUUUCAGUGAUGAACGAGUGGACUAUGCCUACCGCCAUGGGAAAAUUAAAGUAGAAUUAUUGAAAUUGAAUUUAGUAAUGGGGGAUCCAAAAUUCAAAAUUACAGGGACUAGAAAUAAAUUUUAAAUAUUAGAGGGACGAAAUUUUCACAUUAAUUUGUGAAAUAAAUUUUUAGACUUAAGGAAUGAUGGUCAUCAGUCAGUAACCCCCUCGUUCCGUCAUUAAUUGUUAAUUUACAUUUUAAUUUGAUCAAUCUAAUCUAAUAAAAUAAAAGUACUUAUAUCAAAAUUAAGGAAUUUAUAAAUAUAAAAAAAAAUUGUUAUGGGGUAAUUAGCACCUUUAAAAAUUAAAUUAUGAUCAACCAUGAAUAGAGUUUAUUUUUUCUUUUUCGUUAAGAACGACGAAUUGCAAUAAGAAAUUAUCCAUUUUAAUAGUAAGUAAACUUUGCUACAAGAAUCAAUUUCAAUAGCAACAGAAAACGAUGUUGUCUGUAUUCUGUUGCUAACAUUGUCACAAAUUUUUUUUUUUUUUUUUUUGAAGAGAAAAGAUUUAUUCAUUAACCGAACUUGCAAAUCAACAACCAUGAGAGCUCCAAUAUUUUGAUGAAACUUAUAUUAUAUUUGAACAAUCUUCUUUUCUAAAUUGAAGUAUUACUUUUUGUCUUAUGAUAUAAUAAAACUAAAAUAACUCAAAUAAAUUAAUUUAAAUGACAAUUUAAACCAACGAACUUGCGUUCAUAAUGAGCAUCCAAAGAGUAAAUUGCAUAAUUAUGCCUUAAACAUCAUCAAGCACAUUACAGCGACUUGUGAACUACUGCCAAAUGGCAACUCAUUGAACCCCAUUGUAAAUAACUAUUUUCCACAUAUAUAUUUGACUCCAAAAAAUUUGAUAUAUCAAUUAUAUAAAAUUCACAUUAUUAAACUCCCUAAUUUUACGUAAUUUUCCAGUAAUCAAUUCGUCAUUAUAGAAACAUGAAAUUAUAAAACCCAAUAAAUAAAUCCGAAAAGAAGAAAAUGCAAUGCCAUGGUAAAAAAUAAAUAAUUAGAUGUACAUAUUCAAGUAGAGGUAAGACCAAUUAAUAAAACAGUCACACGUUCAAUUCAACUCCGCCAUCAAUAAUAUAAUGACUACUUACAUAGAUACAAACUAAGUGCUAAACCCUUUUGUUUAAAAAAAAAAACUACUUUUUGUCUCAAGAAAGAAGAGACUUGAAAAGGAUUCAAAAGGAAAAAAGAAAGAAAAAGGAAAUUAUGAAGACAUAGCUUGAUAAGAAAUUUAUCUUAUUUUGGAUAAAUGAGAUGUAUAUUUGUGUUUGAAUUAGGUACCUUAGUUUGGUAUUGAAACUUUCAUUGAAAAGAAAAUGUAACCUGAUCCAUUACUUGUUUUUUUUUUUUAAAUUUUCUUGUAUACGGUUUGGUAGCUAAAAUUUUCAAAGGAUGUCAUUGACCAGUCUUUUGACGCAAAAACGACAUCUCAUUGGUCGGUAAUUCCCAAUGGGUGACAGGUCGUUUUCUUUGUCUGCCAUCUUGGCAAAGAAUUACAAUGUUCAAGAAUUCAGUUCAAAAAAGAAAAAAAAAAAAAAAUACAAUGUUUGGUGUGAUAAGAGGUCUUUCUUUUUCAGCAAAAGAAAUUAAUGUUCCAUACUGAACUGACAUUUUGACUCUGUAAAAUGACAAAAAGCAAGCAAACGCCUUGGUGAAAUGCAAAUUCAAAACUUUUUAUGAUCAUACUGGAGAUUUUAUUCAUCCAUUCUCAUCAUCUAUCUUGCUAUGAGCUGUACAUCAUAAAGGCACUUUUCAUUCUUAAGUGGCCAGUUCAGAGCUCCAGCUGAAUAUCGCUGGUCCGCCUGUAGCACCUAGGAUUGCUCACAAUGGAGGGCAAAUCAAACCCAAAAUGACCAGGCCUGACUUGAUUUGGUCUAACCGAAACUUUAACAACCAGCAUAUUGAAACUGAAGCCAACCCGAAAGAACCAGUUCAGGUUCCAAUUCACGUAAUUUAAAAUUCAGGCCUGCCUUAACUCUUCAGUAUGGAUCAGGCUCGCAAAGGUUCUUAACUAUAGUUUUCUAAAUUCCAGAACUUGAUCCACGUAAGAGGCAAAGAGAUCCAGUUACCUAUUCCUGCCCAAGUCUGGAUAUUUUUAACCGCGCUACAGGUCUUAAGCCCACUAACACCUCCUGCUAAAUAAUCUAAGAUUUGCCAUCCAAUUGCAGAAACCAAGUACUAAGAAUGAUGCAUGUCAAAUCAUGUUCCAAAAUAAAUUACUGGAAAUUUAACAACUCUGAAAUCAAUCAGUUCAAUCUACAAAUGAGAAGUCCGCACACAAAAUUAAUGUGAUACCCAAACAUAUACUAUGCCCACAGAGAGAAUUACACAUGUAUCAUUGAUGUGACAAAAGGAAACAAAGAGUUCCUGCCACUGAGAUCAACUUUAGAGACCCUUUCACUUUGGUCCUGCAAAUUUGUUCAUCAUCUUAGCAAUUACAGGAGCCACCUUGGGAUUGGCUUGAUGCUUAGCGAGAUUAGCCGGGUUCUUCAUUACUGCAAAACCAAUACCCAAAUGCAUAAGAAUAAUCAUAAAAUAGGAAUUAAUAAUUCAGAAGUUAUUGGGGAAAGUUAUUAGUUAUUUUAAGUGAUACAAUAGCUUGUUUUGCAUAGACGCGUCGAUUGACUGAGAAAGAGUAAACAUAGAAUAAGGACUUCAACUAGUUUCUGAUCCUCAUCAUGCUUGGCAGGCAUAAAUAGAGUAUAUAACUCAAUCCAACAGUCAUCUUAUCAAAAGCUAAAAAUUAGCUCAGAGGUGGCUUCAGAAUGAAAUGAUCCAACAAAAAACUACACAAAACGGCAAAAGUUUACCAUCCUGAAGAGCAGCCAUGAUUUCAGGAUCACUAAAUGCAGCCAUCAGUUCGGGGUCCUGCCAAAAUGGUUGAAAAAUAAUGCAAGCAUUAAACAAGCAUGCCAACAAAAAGCAGUCACUAGAUUAAUCAUCCAUUCAAGCACAGAAAUUUGACCAAGACCCAAUUUCACAAUAUCAUGCUUCUAUAAGUGUGCUUCUGCACAGACACGCCUCCAGUGACAGUCUAGUAGAUAAGUUAUCAUAAAGUAACUAGGGUGAAAGAGACAAUGUAAGAAACAAAUUUAGCUUCAACAUUUAGCAAAAGCAUGGCAAACCCUUUUCGGACUAUAAAAAUGAAGUACAAACCUCCAGAGACACUUACAUUCAAGAUUUUACUAAAAUCCACAUUUCCUGGCAUCCCUCCAGGCAUGGCACCUGGGAAACCUCCAGGCAUUCCACCAGGCAUUCCACCAGGCAUUCCUCCAGACAUCCCUCCUGGCAUUCCACCAGGAAAGCCACCAGGCAUUCCUCCUGGCAUUCCACCAGGCAUACCUCCAGGUCUUCUGCUGGAAGAUGAUUGCUCUUGCUUCUUUGCCUUCUCAUAUUCGGCCUUUAAAAAGAGUUCAAUAAAAUAAGCAUCAUGCAUUAAAAAAAAUAGCAAUGAAAUGUGUUACAGUUGAACAAUAGACGGGAUUAUAGCUACCUGAGCUUUGGCACGUCGACGUUGUCUCUCACAUUCAAUCUUUCUAUCCUCUCUUUCUUUGCGCAGCCUUUCAUACUUCCUACGAUGUUCCUCAAUCCUGUGUGCAUUGGGUUCAACCUAUGUAGUAAAUUAGUUGCAGUGAGAUCUCAGACUAAUGUUAUCCGCCAAUGAAGCUCUCACUUUUGCAUGACAGAUAAAUCAAUAAAAGCCAACAAUUUGGCACUUGAAAACAAAUCAACUUAAUUCUUUGGAAACAAUCCAAUAUCCACGCAGCUAAGAUUUAAACUGGCAAGAUCCUCCUUUCCUUUUUUUUUUCCAACUUAAUAAUGCCAUUGAAAUUCCAAAUACCAAAUUAUAAAAAUGGAAACUAAAAGAGGAACAAUUGAGUGCUGGACAAUGUCUCGCCAUGUUAACCUAAAUGAUAAUCUACUAUUAAGCUGUAUAGCUGACUGCAGAUAAAUUGUACAUAAAAGUUAAUCAAAAAAAAUGAACUUCAAACUAAAAAAUAUCUCAAUCUCAACAUUUUUCAAUUUUAGCCAAAGACUGAAAAGUGGAUAUUUGAUAAUGCAGUUAUCUUCUAUCAUUAACCACGGCCAGGACAACAAAAAAAAGGGAGGGAGGAUGGGGAUCACCGCCUGUUGCAUGCUCCACUUCCCAGUACAUGACCACAUGGAGCACAUACAUGUGAGCAGAAUAUUGCUGUUUCUGCUUCAGGAUCAAACAUUUUGCAAUCAUUUUGAAAUUUUGAACAGGAAUUAACAUAUCUGUUUAUUAAGUGUAUAUCGAUAAAAACAAAUUAAUAUACAUGCGCACAUCAGAGAGAAAAGACCUUUUUGAGUACAGCACUUAUUUCUUCAUCAUAAUCCAACUUUGAUGCCAGAUGGAGAUCCUUAGCAGCUUCUUCCCACUGACCAAGCAUUGCUCGGGCUAUGCCACGAGACUUGUAACCCUUAGCUGAAUCUGGGUUAAUCUGAAACAACAAUUAUGGAAUUCAGACUUCCACUCAAAGUAUCAGACUACCGACCGUCACUUUAUUCAUAAUAUAUUAAAAUAUUACUUAAAUUGGAAAAAAAAAAAAAAAAAAAAAAAAAAAGGGGAAAAAAAGACAGAAACAAAUGGUGCAUGGGUAGGCAAAAACCUCAAGAGCUGCAUUGGCAUCUCGGAUGGCAGCAUUGGGUUUCUUCAUUUUGACGUAAACGAUAGCUGUGCCAUAUUCACACAAAACAAUAAAAACGAUAAUCCACACAUAAACCCCAAGCUAUACAAAACCUAAACUUCUAAACUACUAAUAAACAUUUACCUCUGGUCCCAUACAUAAUUGCCGAAGUAGGAUUGAGAGAAAUUGCUUCUGAUAAGUGCUCAAUUGCUUCCUCCAAUUUACCUGCAUUGCAGAGAACCGCCAUAUUCAGAACAAAGAAAUGAACCAUAUCAAAUGGAACAUUCUAAAUGAAGCAUAAGCAUCCAUCAGAGCGGUCAUUACAAUACCUUCGGAGAUGGCCUCCAUGGCUUUGGCCUUUGCCUCUUGCGAAGCCUCGCGUUUCUCAUCUGUGACCUCAACAGACGGGUCUCCCAUCUGCAAACAGCCAAUGUCCAUAACCAAUACUAGACAAGAUAAACUACACUCAAUGAAACGCACAUAAAAGACGUUUUAAUUCCUAAAGAGUACCUUCUGAGGAGGAUCAUUAUCAGGUUCAACAGUCUCGCCCUCGAGCUCAAUAUCUGAUUCGAUUAUCUCAUCUUCUUCCUCUUCCUCUUCAGACUCUACUCGUGCCUCUUCCUUAUCCUCUAUUUCGUCAUCGCUCUCCUCUACCACAUAGCUCUUUAGCAUCGCCAAAAUACAUAUCAAUUAAACAUUCAUUUGCACAAAAAAAAAAAAAAAAAGUACAGAAAGCGGGAGAAGAAAAGGGGCAAUAACAGUACCUUGGAGUCACCCUGCUUGUAAGCAGAGGGAGGAAGCUUAGCGCCAAGACUAAAACAAUAAAGAAAUAAGAGAAAGGUAAAUCAUGAGAAAUAGAGACUGAAACUGUGAUAGACAUGAAAAAUUAGAAAAAUAAAAUAAAAUAUUACCUCUCGAGGAAGUCCCGAAAGAAUAAGAGGGAAGGAUCGCUGAGAAUGGAGGGAUUGGAUUUGCACUGUUCGACGAAAAGCUUGAGUUCAUUCAGUUUAGUUGCGUCCAUUUGAAUUUGAUCAAAGUGAUUUUUCUGAUUGAGAAAUGGCAGAAAAAGGGCUUAUGUGCCGGAUGGGGUUUAUAAUGCUUUUCUCCGAGAAAAGAAAACGAGGAGACGAGUAUAGGACCUCGACGAAUCGUUUGGCAUCUUCUAGUAGCUUCUUUCUAUCGGAUAGGCACGGGCUUUACAUUUUCCUUCUUUACGAAAAAAAAGAAAAUACUGCUAAGCAUUGGUGGUGGAUCAAUCUGUUGAUCAGUGAUGGACCAGGUCCAAUUCGGAUUGGAUUGAUCAAAUAUCAGAUUGGACCUUCAUCAAAUUGGGCUAUGGCCUAUUCCUGAGAAGGAUUUGUUUACAAAAGUUGAAUUACGGUUUGUCCGGCGACAAACCAAAAUUACCUAUUUUGUUUUGGCAUUUUAGUAAAGUUUAGUUAUUUGAGUAGCAUUUUAUAAACACUAAAAAUUAAAUAUUAUAUAAAUUAACUUUUUAAAAGUUAAUUUAAAUAAAUAUUAUGUGGAUAAACAUUAUAAAAAAUAACGCUUAAUCAAAAUGCUAGAAGCUGCUUAAACAAUCGUCGCCAAACAACACAAUUUUAAAUCAUGCAGAAGAACAUCAUUCACUCAUUUACUCCUCGUAAACGAAAUCAGCUAGCCUAGCUACCAAAUGAGCGAUUGACAGUUUAAUUGCUGACUUAUUAAUGAAUUUUCACUAUGCACAAAACUCGAAUCAAACUCAAAAUCACUUGCUUAAAAUAAUCAAGCUCCUUCUAUUCAAACCAAUUCGUACCAAUACCAAAAGACAUAUUAUUUCAUUUUUAUGUGUGAGAUUUUUCUUUUAACUUUUUAAUUAUUUUGGGUAAAGAAUUUGGUUAUUCAAAGUUGCAAUAUAACAAUUGUAAUAAAGAUCAAAACACCAAAUGCUAUAUAUAAAGUUCAAUAGGUAAAAAAUCAAUGAGAUACAAAGGAAAAGGAAACGAAAUAAGUGAACCACAAAAAAUCUCCAAAUGGGGAAAUACAUAUAUAUAUCUCGCUAAUACAUGAAUAAUGAUCACGCCAUCAUAACACUCUACUAAUAAAUAAUCAUCUCAGAACAUUAAUGUAGAUGGCCUAGUAAAUUAGAGAAUAAGAAGCCCAUAACAAGACCAAGCUUGAAAAGCCAGUCCAUGCCAUCCUGCUGCCAUCAUUUCCAGGUACUCCUGUAAACAAAACAAUUCCUCCCACUGUUACAUUAUUGAAGCUCGAUGUUAAAAAUAAAAAAAUAUAUAUAUGUUAAUAAAUAAUGGCUUAAGCCAAUGUCUUUGUGGAUUCAGUUGAGAAUUAUUGCUCCUUAGCAGUAGCGUAGCCACAUGGAGACAAAAUGAUAAGCAAUGUAUUAGCUCAAACCAUGUGUUCGGUAGACAGAAUUAAAAGUCAAAAUUUGUGGCACCGAAAGCAACCAAAAGCCCCAAAAAAUUAGCAUACCAUGGCUCAUCAUCCUAGUCCCACUUUUACAAUCCUAAGGCUUAAACUAUGCAAGUUCUGCCGCCCAAGUCUUUCACUAGAAUAAAUACUUUUUCGGUUCCAAAUACACCAAAUAUUUAGGUGCUGUUACCCAUAGUUAAUUGUUUUAUUUUAAUAACCGUUAAUUAUUUUAGAAAUAUUUAAUUGUUUAAAUUAUUUUUAAUUAAAAAUUAAAUAUUACGUGAAUUAAUAUUUUAUAAAACACUAUAAUGUCUCUACCUUAGUCGGUGGUAUUUUUAUUUUCAGUCAUAAAUGCGAUGCAACCUUUCAAAAAAAAAAAAAAAAAAAACCAUUGAGAAUUCACAGGAAAAACAUCAUUUACGAGCUUGUCCCACUCCCUCAUAUUUCAUUUUUCACGGGCGCCAUAUUCCAGUAAUUAAUUGGUUUAUUAGCCAUUUUAAGAACUUAAAAGCCAAUAAGUUAAAUUAAAAUUUUUUUAAAAAAUUGAAAAAUUAAUUCCAGCAUCAGAGUUGAUCAGUUGAAUUUUACCUGGGGGCGGCGUUCCGGCGCCAGCAGUUGGUGCUUCAGCUGCAACAGUAUAAUUAUAAAGUAAAUGUUAGUACACAACCCCUAAGUAAAUCUGAAGAAGGGAUUUAUUUUAAUCAGAAAUCACAUAUAGAAAAUUAAAAUAAAAAAUUAAUUACAUGAUUCAUCAUUCACUAAUUUCCAAAGUAUGUGUUUGAAACUUUGAUUUUAUUUUUCCAAAUUUUCCUUCCAAACAAAUGGUCAGAGUUUAACUUUACCAAACCCACAACCCCUGUACCCAUAUGAAUCUUCAAAUUUAAUUACCACAAACAAAUUCAAAUCAAAUAAAAUCCUAAGGACCUAAACAGAAAUAAAAAUUUGAAAAUUUACCUUUGCUGCAAGCGCUGAGAUCAGUGCUAACCCCACAUCUCUUGGUGAGACCGAGAGCCUGAGUUACAUUGAUACCAAAGCCUGAAAGCAAACCAGGUGUAUUGUAGAGAUUGCAGAGGCAAGCCCUCUCAGUAUUAACUGCUUCUUUGAUGGGGUUGCAGCAAGUAGAGGGAGGCGUGACUGUGGUGUUUGAUAUAUACUCGGCGCAUGGAAUUAGUUUCUGGGCACAAGAUGGGAUAUUUUGCGCUUGUGUUAUGAUUGUGGUGGUGCUCACAAAAAGGAUCGCCACCAUCAUCGCCGCCGUGGACAUGGUCAAGGAUGCCAUCUCUUUGCCUGUGACUUUUCAGUUGCCCGUGAAGAAGAAGAGAGGGAGAGAGGGUUGGUGUGUGUGGGACACGUUUGUAUUUGUUACUUGCUAUCUCUGUCUAUAUAUAAUAUAACUGCUCUGGAAAAUGAUUGUUUUUCUUAUAAUAAUAAUAAAAGAGAAAGCUGAAAAGUAGCAAUUAAGUCAUUUCCAUAGAUACAAAUACACUGGUCCUUGUUUUCCAGACGCGGAGAGCUUUUAUUUAAUUAUCAUAUCAAAUAAAUGGAACAAUCUUUUGAAAAAUGCUUUCUAAUAUUAAUAUUUAUUUAUGAUGUUAAGCGAUAUGACAAAAAUAUAAAUAGACAUAGUCUAAUAUACCUUUUAUUUCUAGAGUCUUUCAGACAAUUUUAAUAUGUAUUGCUCUUUGUUAAUUAAUUACAUAUUAAAUUGUGGCCCAAGGAGAGGAAAAAGAAAUAAAAGAAGAUUCAAAAAUAAUGCAUUCGAGAGAGUUUUUUAAAAUUCAUUGUCUAUAAGUAGACAUUCAACCAUAUUAUCAUUCACACAUUUUAUUUGAAAUGACACAUCAGUCACAAUCCAUGUUAAUAUCGAACAUGCUCUAAAUACUAAUAAGUAUAUUUUUUUUAAUUUAGACACGUUUUUUCAUAUUUGAAUUUCUAUAGUCAAAUUUAAAACAUUUAUAUUCGGAUAAACAAAUAUAUCUUUUAUGAAUUUUUUUAGAAGAAAUCAAAUAAAAGAUUUCAUUAAAAAAGAAAUAGUAUACGUACAUAUAUGAAAUAUAUUUAAGAAAAUGUCCGCACUUUGCUCGGUUAUUAUAUAUUAUACACCACACUUGUUAGACCUCCAUUAACUUAUAACUUUUUUUUUAUUUAUGCAUUUAGAUAAAUUUUCAAUUCAUUUAAAAUCAAAACAUACAAACUUUAAAAUUAAAAUAUUAAUAAAUAUUAUAUGUGAAUAGAUAAAAUAUGAUUAAAUUUUAAAAAUCUUUAUAUAGAUAUCAUUAGAUUUUCUUUUUUCUCCUGCGGAGCCAUGAUAAAGUCACUGGCAGAAGGUUAGUAUACUUCUCCUCCUCCCCAUUUAUUUCAAACUAAUAUAAUUUGAUGGGGAGCACCCAUUAACGCAAAAGACAAAUUUUAAUUAUUAAAAAUAACCAUUAUCAAGUAAAAUGUUAUAGUAUUAAUAAUGUUAGUAUGUUCAAAUUUAGAUACUAAAAAGAAAAAAAAAUUCUUAUAUGUAUAUGAAUUAGUAUGAACCUCAAAAUUGUGAACAUGAAUAGCAAGGAAAGAAGGAAAAAAUUGCAAAUGUCAUGUACUUGUCUCCAUUUUCUUUGUUCUAUGAUUCUUUUACGUCCUUUUUGCCUUCAUUAUCAAGGCCUAAGCUUCAACCAAAACUAAGCUUGGGCAAACCCAAAUUCUGUGCCUCAACGAAACAUAAGUUUUAAACAAUUCAUGUGCAUUGUAAGUAUAAAUUCUAGCUAGAAACAAAGGAAUAAUAUUUUCUCAGAUGAAAUGCAUCAUGGAUAUACCACAACACCAGCAAAACAGUAGCCAUAAUGGGAAUAAAUACAUUUGUAUCCCCGGAAACAAACGCUCCACUUCCACUUCACUCUUUCUCCACUGUCAAGCCCAGAGGACGAAGAAACACAGCUGCAGCGACGGUGUGAGUAUCAAGCCUUGGACAUUAGUUGGCAGGGACAAUAACAGCAAGGAGAUUGUUUACACUUUGAUCAAAUCUUACCGAAAUCGAUAAAAUUUUAAAAUUAAUUUAAAAAGGUGUAAGCUACUAAAACUAAUGGAUUAUAAAUAUAAAUAGCUAAUGCUAACUUUUAUAUUUUUAAUAAAAUUCAUUUACAAGUAAAAUAAAAUUUUAUAUGAAAUCAUUCCAAAAAGUAAAUUUUAAAAAGAAUUUAUCAAAUUAAAUCAAAUCACGGUCCUUGUCAUAAUGAAGUAAAAUAUGGUAAAUUUUCAUUUCCUUUCAAUUUUUUUUGAUAGUUAUUGGAAAUAACUAUAUCAUCAAUGUCUAUUUUUUAAAAGAAUUGUAUUUUUUCACAUUUAAAAAAAAAAUUUCUAUUUUUUCAUGUUUGUUUUAAAUAAGUGGUUAGAUGGGUAAAAUUAUUUUUUAAUUAGUGUUUUCCUUAGGAAAAAUAUUUUAAUAUUGUAGUACCAAAAUAAAUUUAUGAAUUGACGUGGAGACGUGGAGUGUUUCUUAAACGGUGGCUGCGGACUUUUUUGUUUGCUUGAUAAAGAAAAUGGCUAUUCAUGACUUACAAUUAUUUAACUUCAUUAUUUCUAGAUCCAUUUGACUUCAAUGUUAAAACUAAACAAUCAAAUUUUCUAAUUCCAAAUUACAUUAUUAGCCCUGUCAAAUAUCAAUUCCCAAAUUUAAUACCAUAAUUCCCAACAACUUUCUAAUUGUCCUCCCUCACUAUCAGUCGGGUGAGAAUAAUUAUAAAGUGGUGUCGUUCGCCACAUAAAUAAUUAGUACUUCUUUGAACAACUUAGACUUUUUAACUUGUGAAUUGAGUAGUUAUUAUUUAUAAGGACUUGCUAAAAUAGUAUGUCAAGACCUUCAUAAGAUUAGGGUCUGCAUAUUAAAAAAAAUAUAUAAAUAAAAAUAGCCUCGAAACUUAAAAAUGAACGUUUAUAUAUUUAUUUAGAUAUUUGUAUACAUUAAAUUGUCAAUAACUUGAAUAAUUUUAUUUUAUCGUUUGUUAGCUAUGAAGUCAAGUCAUAGUUUGGAACCAAAAAUAAACUAAAAGAACCAAGAGACAAAAAAUAGCGUGUUGAAAAAUUGAUUUGGGCGACGAAUUGACCGUGGAAGGAACCUACUGACAUUCUCAGAAACAUAACCAAAGAUAAGAUAUAUGGGUCUCAAAAUCAAUUUUGACUCAGUAAGAAAAAUCGUAUCAUAAAAUAAUAUUACAUUACUAAUAAAUUUACUUGUUGCAAGAUAGUAUAUGGGUCUCAAAGAGUGAUAUGUAUAAGUUUGAAUUUUCCAAACUUUAAAUUGAAGUUAGAUUCUUUGAAUUUAUAAAUAAAUUUCAUAAAAUUUAUUUAUUGUAAAUAAUGGAUUAAUAUAAAAUGUAUUAUGUCAGCAGUAUAAUUUGAUAUCACAAAACAACAAAGCAUAAGAUCACAUGGGAGUUGUGGAGUGUGAAAGCAGGUACUACUCUAUCGUUUUGAAAUCUUCAUUUAAUAGUUUUUGUUGUUGAAUAGUUUUUGUUGUUGCAAAGUCACGUUCACACAAUAUUAUUAAUAUUAAUCAAUUAUCUAUCUCAAUGGGUCAGCAAAUGCGUCUGCCCAGUCUCUGUGUUUUGUUGAAUUAAUGCCAACAAAAAUAUAAAUAAUUCAUCUUUUUAUCAGUAAAAAGAUAUCAUUUUCUUGUUCGGCCCAAAAAACAUAAUGAAAAUGAUCUAUAAGGAUUUGAGAAAUAAAUAUAUUUUUGUAAAGUAUAAAUUUUAAUUCAUAUUGUUGUGUAUAUAUAGAAAAUGCAACGGAAUUUGGUUUUAUAUAUAUAUAUGCAAAACGUGUCCAAAUGGUAAAAAAUAAAUUAAGAUUUGGGAUUUGAAGAUUGUAAACUCAAAUUUUAUUAAAAGCUUAGGAGAUGAUAUUAAAUAAUUGUGUUUAAUCAUUGUAAUUUGAUACUGAGAUAAUUUUAUUUUCAAUAUUAAAUAAGUCUGAAUAAUAUUAUUGUGUCUUUAUCGAUUAUAUAAAUGAGUAUAUAAUUUAUCCAGGAAAUUGAAAGAUUAACUAAUCAAAUUACUCUCUAAUUAUAAAAUCAUUCCGAAAUGUCCUAAUCAACAAGCAAUUGGAAAGAGAUUUACAUUUCCCUCAAAUGAAAAAACCUAGAAAUAGAAAUAUUGAGUCAUUUCGCUUAUUGGCACAUAUACGAAAUGGACAUUCUUUUGAAACUAAAAAAGCAGUUUUGAGUUGUUAAAUUAGACAUCACAUUACAUGGCGCGAUAUAAGGAACCAUGCUGCCAGUGGGGACCGAUGUUUUCAUGUGGGGCUUCAAAUAAUUGCUCCAAUUUUAUUAAUUAAGAAAGCAAUUUAUGUUUUUAAUUAAUCAAUGUAAUUAAACAAAAUAUUUCAUUUAAAAAAAAUUAUAAGAUUAUAAGAAUAUGUGAUUAUAUUGAAUAUUUGUUUUAAAUAAAAUAUUUCACUAUUUUUAAUUAUUUUUUAUUUAAAUCAAAAAUUUUAACAAAAUAAAAAUUUGGAUUUUUUUAAAUGUGUUUUUUGCUCUUUGGCGUAGGUUCAAGGCUAAGUUACAUAAAAAAAAAAAAAAAAUGAUUCUUCGGCAAAUUGUAAAUUGUUUCCAAGUUUAGGGGCAACUUUUUCUUUAUAAAAUACUGAAGUAAGAUAUUUAUUGGGUCACCAAGCUGUCCUUUGUUGUCUUCUAUUUGAUAAUUUGAAUGGCCUGAAGAAGUGGAACAAAUUAGCCUAGUGCUAUUGUGAAUGGAUAGAGUUUAAUAAGGAGAAUUUUUGUAUCUUAGCUUGAUGGUGUCAAUAAUAAUGCAUGUGUAUGGUUGGAUAAUUGCUUCUUUGUGGUUAAGUUAAGAGUGGGAAAAGUAUGUCUGAACUCAAUUUUUGGCUUGGUUCUCUUAAUAAGCUACCUAUAGGAAUUGUUCAUCUUAACAUUCCAAUGCUUGUAAGCAAUGUAUAUAUGUGAAAGUAGAAAAACAAUUAUAUGAGAUGUUGACUGAUAUUUUAAUUAGGAAAUUUCUAGUUUUUUUAAAAAAUAUUAUUAUUUUUCUUUUUUAGUGUAUGAUCAUAAAUAUUUUCGUUUAAAACGAAAUACUGUUAAAAUUGAUUUGGUAUUUAAAUGGUUUCAUAUACAGAGUGUUUGUAAGUCUUUCUCUCUUAAUUAAUAUUCCUAAUUGAGUUUAGUGGAUUAGAGAGCUUUUUUUAUAAAAGGACAAAAAGAAACUAUAUUUAUAAAUGAAAUUUAAAAAAUACAGCUAUCGAAUUAGUAAUUCAACCAUCAACCAUCUGUUUUUACGCUAUAAUAGAUGAAAAUUUAAAUUAACUUGACACUUUUUUUUGUUAAAAAGUUUUUGAAAUAUAUGGAAACAAUUUUUAUAUUAGAAAAUCAAGUUUGGAGGUAAGAAUUAUUUGAAAGGGCAAAGAUAUCUUAUCUUGUAACUCUUGUGUGCAAAAACACAAAAAACUACGAAUUUAUUAGCUAUGAAUUUUAUUAAAUUUAUUUAAAAUUCACAACUGUUGUAUUUGAUAUUGGAAAAAAAAUUUAAACGUAUUAAAAUUGAAGAAACAACAUGUCAAGGAAUUUUAAUUAUUAUUUGGUAUAGAUUUGAGAAAACAGUAUCAGAGUCGUUCAUUGAUGCAAGUCAAAUAGCAGGAAGAUUUCUGUUCCAACAACCAGCUUAGCCUAUUUCGGCUUGUAACUUUAAGUUGGGCUUGAGAUCCUCCAGACAAUGAAUUGUCCUUUAUUGAAGCCCAUUACAGAACUAUGUGGGCCAGUCCAUAUUUUUUCACACCGACGGUUCAGAUGAGCUAGCAACUGCCAAUGAAGAUGUAAAAUAUCGGACGGUUAUAAUUCCCGCCAAGCGCAGAAAUGCCAUUGCCAUAGGAAUGAAUAGCCGUAGACAACUCUCCAAACGGAUAACAGACGUUACUAUUAAUUGCAGAAAGCUAUACUUACUUACUUACCAGAGCUUCCAUAAGGGCCACCGAUGGCCGCUCUUAACCUUGGCAUCGCCACCUCCACCACCAUCACUUUCCGUGCAAGGCCACUGACGAGAACCGCUCGCAGGCCUCGAAUCUCCUGCAUCGGUUGGGUACCUAUCCUAAUAAAUCCUACAGUUUAAUUUUCCUUCUCUGUUUUUUUGAUUAAUAUUUAUGAUUUUAAUCAUUUUCUGCGAAGGAAGGAUCCAGAGGGCGUAUUUGGUCCUCCACAGACGGGCCAUCUCGCUCGGCGCGAGUUUCAAAGACGUCUGGAGAGAGACGCCGAGGCUCGUGAAGCUUUCGAGCAACAAGUUCGCGAAGAGAAAGAGCGUCGCCGAGCUCUUCGCGAAGUAAAUUUAUAUAUGAAUAACCUCCUCAACGUUUAUUUUUACGUGAUUGUUCGUUUUUUAAUAAUUUUUUUUUAUUGUAUUAGUCUCGGAUAAUUCCGGAUACUCCGGCGGAGCUUAUUGAGUACUUUCUCGACACUGAGGCUCAGGACAUUGAGUUUGAAAUCGCCAGGAUGAGGCCGAGGUUAGUUCCUUUAACUUCCUCUGAGGUAGACAAUGUGUUUGACAGUUUGCCUCUUCCAACUUAAUUUAUACAUAUCUAACUAAUGGCUUCUACUUCCUAGUUUACACUUAUUUGGAGUUUUUUUCCUUGAUGGAUGCCUUUGUUGUCUGCUAAAAUCAUCUGCAAAGAAAGGAAAGAAUAUUUUGCACUGUCCACGUGAUUAAUUACAAGUGUGGUUCCGCUCUCUGUAGCAUUGCCAUUUAGGCAUUUACUCUCACUGCGAAUCAAUUUGUUUUUGUUCUUUAAUAUUAGAAUUUACAAUUGUAUUAUUGCCAUUUGAACACGUGCAUUUUCCAGAUUGAAUAAGGAGUUUUUCUCGAAGAUAGAAUUUGAACUUGGGCAGCUUCGGUUUGCUGUUUCAAGAACAGAGGUUUGCUCCUCAAAUUACAUAUUAGAGUUGGAUUCUAUUUGCAUAACCAAACAAAGUGACUUUAUUAAAUCUGAUGGUUUAUAUAGGAUAUGGAGGACAGAUUGAUUGAGCUGGAGGCAUUACAGAAGGCUCUGCAGGAAGGAACAGGUCCUUCAUCUCGGCAAACUGUUGCUUAUAAGAAUUCAACUUUUUUUUUUGGCUACGAACUAAUGCAUCCUAGUUUAUUGUUCCGUUACAGAAGCCUAUGAUAAAAUGCAAGUUGAUCUUGUAAAUGCAAGGAAAAGUUUAACUGAAAUCUUGACAUCGAAGGAUGUAAAAGCAACUGUAUGCAUUGUUAUUUUCAUUCAUCCAGUCCUUAAUUUAUAUAGUUUAUCAUUUUUAUGCUUCUUGUUGUGUUGACUAUAUGGCCUUGUCUGCCCUUGCUAGUUAUUGGAGAUGGUUGAGCAAAAUAAAAUCAACAGAUCCUUGUUGACUCUUCUUGAUGAGAAUAUUGCAAGUGCCCACCAAAGUAACCAGGUAUUACCUGUUGCAUUACUUUUAUUAUUAAAAAAAUUCAGUAAUAAUUAUUUUUAUUGAAAUUUUUUGAGUGUGUUAGCUAUUCUCAUUUAUUUUUUGCAUAAUACAAGGGGAUUUAAUCUUUUCUGGGUAUAUCUCUCUCAUGCUUUCCAUCCGUCACUUAUAGUUUGACAGUUCACAUUGAAGUUUUUCUUCAAGAUUUAAGUUAGCUCCAAGCUUUUGAUUUUUACUUAUUCUUGGAUGGUUGUUAGUCUUUCGUAAAAAUUCUACUUGGAUUCUUCUGCCUGUACCACCAUCUGCAAUGGAAUUGCUUCUCUUUCUGUUCAGUGUGGACUGCAGAAAGUGUGCUAACUUAAUGUUUAAAAUUAGAAUUCCUGUGCAGACUAACAUUGCUUUUAGUUCCCGAAAGCAUUGCUAAUGAUAUUACUGAUUUUCAGCCUUCUGCUUUUUCACACACUGGGUAGAAUGUAAUACAUCACAAAUCCUCCUUUCUUUGGGAAGAGAGUGUGGUAACAUAAGUAGUAAAUAAGAUGUCUUUUGAGUAACAAUACAAUAAUAAACUAAUACUUUAUCCUUUGGUUGAUGAAAUUUUAUGUUCAGUUAAUUAAAGAUGGAAAUCUAUCUAUCACUGAGAUCUGUGCUUGCUCUCAAGGCAUGAUGAAUGCUUGAGAAAAAAGCUAUUCAGUCAACUUAUUCUUACUCUUAUAUUGGCAAAAGAAAUCUUGAUCUCAGUUGUAACUUGAUUUGAAAAUUUUGAUUGCUGAGUAGUCCAUAGUCUAGUAUAAUUUAUGAACCUGAUAAUAUGGACAAAAGUAAAGUUUCAGUAACUUGAGAAAAGUUGCCUGUAAGAAUCAAAUAGAAAGAAGUUACGGGUUUGUUUGUUUGAGUAUUCUGUGGUAAGUGAUGAUUCUUGGCCGGAGCAUUAUUACGACUUGAUGGCCUGAGGAAAUUAUGAAACGAGAGUGUACGUAGUGUAGGUCAGCUGAUUAUGGGAACUGCAUACUUAUUUUGUAAUUUAUACAGAAUUCAGCCUUCCCUUUUGUAUUAUGUAGAGAAAUAAUUCUCUUUGUGUGCUUCAUGCAGAUUUGAGUCAAUUUCUUUUUGCUUCUUAUAGUGUCAAGUACUAUUUUUUCUGCAUUUAGUCCUCUCAGUGCUCUUUUGUGCAUUAUACAGAAUCUGGUCUAACCAUUUUCUGAUUCAUAUAGAGUGGUGACUACCUUUUUUGACUUAAUACAGAAUCAAGAAUAUUUUUAUGCUUUGUGUUCGAAAAUUGUUGAUCAAUGGAAGCCAAUUUACUCUUCCUAUUUUCCUGUAUUCGCAUUAAGUGCAUAAUUAAGAUGUCCCCUAUAAGAAACAGCAUUGGACAAAAUAAAAGUGAGAAUGUACAAAGACAAAGAAGUAAUUAAUUAAUGGUUAUAUCUGAGUGAUUUUUCCUGUUGAAUUAAUGGGGAACUUAAUUCAAGAGUGUGCUAGUGUUAUUAGGAAAAUUGUCUCUGCAAAGAACAAAAACAGUGCUGUUCCAUAUGAAAUUCGCUAUUGGCACUCCUCUUCCCAUCAGUUUACCAAGCAAAACAAUGUUCCAUAUGGGGAAGAUGCACUCUAUUUUUUCAUUAGUCGGUCAAUUAUCGAUAAGCUGUAUCAAUUUAUUUGAAUGGCUAAAGUUUACAUCGAGCUUUAUCUGUAUCCUGCAGAAAGACGCAGCAGCUUUCAUGGAAAAGCUUCGGGCAGCUGUGCUCAAGUACAUGACAGUUUAGCACUGCAGUGGUAAAUAAUAUCGCCUCUGUCAAGUUGGACGCACUGCUGAUUGCUCCGAUUGAGGAUAAUCACAAAUCUAGUAUUCAUUGGUUUAAAUUAAAUUUCAGAGUCAAAAAGUUGAGAGAGGUAGAUGGAGUAUAGUAUAGAGUCUUGCUUUCAUGACCAGUUUUUUACGCGUGCUCAGGAACAUUGUUAUCCCAACACUAGAUUGGUUAUGGUACUGAAUCGAAAUUUUUGCUAAAAGUUUUUGUUGAACUUCAUCCAGUUUAAGAUUCAUUUCGUUAGCCUGAUGAGACUAUGUUUUAGAUUUCCAAACCAUCAUAGCAUCAUGCAUUCAUAAUAUAGGUGUAGUGGAGCCCUUUUUGAGCAAUAAUUGUUAGAAGGAGUGCAUUCACUUGAACAGCACUUAAAAGGCGUCAAGUUCCAAGCACUAUCUAGUGGACCUUACCGUGUUUCAUUUGUAGGCCGACUUGUUUGUAGAGAGUUGCUACCUUAAGUUGAUUCAGAAUCUAACUGUGGGAAAGAGAGAAGCCUUUCGUCUCUUUGGUCAGAGUAGCAUCUCACUUGCCCCCUAGUUCCUAUCUAAAAAAAAUAAAACUUCUCCAUUCAAAUGAUAAAUAAGAAGACUUCUAUAGGUCCCAACCAAGGUGCAAUAUUAUCAAUAAGCUGUAUCAAGGAGUAUGAUCGGAAAGUGGGCCAGCACAUUAAAUUAUUAUAUGCUCUUAAAAGGAGAAGUCAAUUUUUGAGUUACUUGGGAUUGCAAAUUUGAUAUACUUAAGAUAUUGCAGCGUGUAACCGUUGGUUAAAAUGCAUUAGCACUUAGCAUCAUCAAUAGUGGAGUUCCUGCUGGCUGAAAAUCUUGACCUCAUAGUCGAUAUCUAAAUGCAAAUUGUAUGGCUGUUGCUAUAUUAUAUUGCUUAUGGUUGUUGGGUGACUUGAUAGACAUAAAACAAGGAUAUGUAUUUUGAUGGUUUACUCUUGAAACAGUAGAAAUAAAUUGGUAGAUUAUAUCAUCAAGUAUGUUUAUUUAAUUUAAGAACCAUCCAGAACCAUCAUGUAUAUUUGUGCAUUUAUAUUUAUAUAUUGAAGUUAUAUUCAUUUUCAGUUUUUGUGGUCUAUGAUCCCGCAAAUUCCUCUUCGUGGCCUUACUGAUCUCAAUGAGCAGGAUGUUACUAUUAAAUGCUCAUUUAAAGAAAAUAAAAAUUUGUGUUCCUGAAUGUUAGUUUUUACUGUCAAAUGGCUUGCAUCGAAGUCACAACUUGAUUAGAUCAAAGCAUUUUAGCGGGUAUUGUCAUGCUAAUUUGUUUAGACCACUGGCUGGCCUUUUCAUCAUUCAUCUUGCUUGUUUGCCAAAUCUUUGCUUUUAUUGUGUUUUCGUACCAAAUUAGACCUGACUUUGUGCGUUUAAGUCCACUGAACACAUCUUAGAGGUUAGGCAUGUCGCACGUGCACAUACAUAAUACAUACAAAUGCCUUCGUUAAUUAGGCAGCCGCAGAGUAUUUGAAGGAAAAAGUAAAAAAUUGGAAAAUUUCAAUUCUUUGCCACUGGAUAAUGGAAAAGAAUGACUCAAUGACAUUCAUAAAGAAAGAAGACCAAAGGGAGCAAAGAAUCAUGGAGACAGAAAAGAAGGUAUGGGCAUGUGACUUCUUUUAUCUAAUUCUAGGACAAGACAGAUAACAACCCUUUUUAACUCUCUCUAUAUAUUUACUCAUUUGCUUUCAUUAUUCAUUCCAUUUGGACUAUUCCCAAUUUCCCAUCCUUCAGAAUCCAUGGCAAGGUUUGUCCUUUCCUUAAUACUUCUCUCCUUUGCUCUCUACAUGGCUGGCAUGAUAGUGUCUGGCUCUAGUCCCACAGACUUCAUCAAGUCCUCGUGCAAGGCAACACGCUAUCCUGAUUUAUGCGUUGAGUGUCUAUCAGGAUAUGCUAGCGCGAUUCAACAAAAUGAAAAACAUUUAGCUGAAGUUGCUUUGUCAGUGAGUCUAGCAAGGGCUAAAUCAGCCACUGAUUAUGUAACUACAUUAACUAAAGUUAGAGGAAUAAAGGCUAGAGAGUAUCAAGCUGUGAAAGACUGCAUAGAGAAUAUGGGAGAUAGUGUAGAUAGACUAAGUCAGUCAAUCAAGGAGCUUGGCCAUAUGGGUGGAGCUGUUGGUCAGGAUUUUGUUUGGCAUAUGAGUAAUGUGCAGACUUGGGUUAGUGCUGCAUUAACUGAUGAAAACACUUGUCUUGAUGGUUUUGCUGGCCGUCGUAUGGAUGGAAGUGUGAAGGCUGCCAUUAAGCAUAGGAUUACCAAUGUUGUUAAAGUCACCAGCAAUGCACUUGCAUUAGUUAAUCGCUUUGCAUCUAGACACCGCAGUUCUGCAUCUGGUGAAAAGCCUUAGAUUUUUGUCUUCGUGGAUUGUUGUUUCUGUGUGAUACUAUAAAGUUUGUUUCUGGCUGGCCUGGUUUGUCUUCAAGCAUCUAAUCUAAGUUUGCUACCUUACAUAUAUGUAAAUGUAAACACAAAAUGAAUUGAAAUGAGUGUUGUGUGAUAACUGUGGCUCUGUUUCUUGUAAAAUAGUAAUUAAACAUGAUCAAUAUAUAUACAUCUCUUUCUUUCUAAGUCAAUUUGAGGAUUUGUUGAUUGAUUAGUGAUUAUAGCUUCGUUAACUUGUCUAUGCAAAUGCAAGUGUAAGAAAAAGCUUCCAUUGAUGUCUACAGGAAAACAAUAGAUUGCGGAACCUUACCUAGAUCCUUAUGUCCCAUGUGUAAAUAAUGGAGUUAAAUGAAUCGUAUUUAUCUCUUUUAAUUUGGUUGGGUGACACUAUUACCUAAAUCUUUGUCCUCUACUACAAGAUAAUCGUGACUUUUUUUUUUUUCUUUCUUUUUAAUCGGCAUUACUAUAUUAUCUAGAAAUACUUAAUUUUCUAAUUGAUGAUUACUUUCUUGGUCCCUAGAAGGCUAGAGCGACCAUUACCUACCCUUUCGAGUAGGCAUGAGAAGCACCAGGAGGACAAUAUGUGGGCUAAUUAUUAAAAAAAAAAAAAAAAAAAGCAAUUAAAGCUUAAGUAUCAUUAGCAACAUGUAAUGAUUAUUAUUAGCACAAUUUCAUUUCCUUUUGACUGCCUUUGUGAGCGGGCAAGUGACACAAUCUGAUAUUACUAGAUUUUGCGAGUAAGAAAGCAGUGUGAAUCUAAUAAAACAAGAAGCUACAAGACAUCUUUUUAUAGUGCUUAUCUUCUUAGGCUAUCCAUGCAUCUAUUUAAUUAUGUAUGAAUCUGUGAAAGAUUAUCCUUAGAAAGUUCUCCAAUUGGCAGCGAAGAGUUGAGAGUGAAAAUCACUCAAAAAGCAUUCGAAAGUUAAAGCAAAGCAAAGCAAAGCAAUCUUCAUUUCUUCUAUUUUGUUUUUUAAUUUAGAAAUCUUUCCAAGAAAGCUGACACAAUGAGCGAUAAAGAGCUUUUCAGUCCCCAUAAAAGUAAUGUCUGGGAACAUGGAUAUUGUUAUCAGAUUCAAUCAACUGCCCAGAAAAAAGAAAAAAUAGAAUAGGCAAUAACUGAGGGAGGCCACAUGUAGCGAAGUGAGCGUCACAUAUUAAUACGGAUGACUUGGGUUGUGGACCCUUUCAUGUUUUAGAUAUUAACCAUUGCAGCAUUAUUAGAUAUGAGCCAAAUGAUAUGGAUGGUAGGCCUCUUUGGUAAAAAUAGAUGUUUUAAUAAUUAUUAGGUAUUUUAACUGUUUGGAUAGCUUUUUAUAAGAGUUAAAAAUUAUACAUUUUAUAAAAUAUUAUCUUAACCGUUAUAUUAUUGAACAUUAUAAAAAAUAAUAUUUAUAUUUUUAAUCAACUAAAAAACAUAAACUUAUACAUGGACGCCAACGAAACCUUAACCUAAUGGCUAACCUGGGAAGUACCCAUAAUAUGCAUUCAUCAUGUAAUAUUGUUGAUGUAAUUUUAUGCUAUCAUUGAAUUUUUUAAUCCGACUUGUAAUCUGCCUUUGGGGUUGUCCGCUCUAAAUGAUUAAUUUUUUAUUCGACCGAAUUAUAAAAGUUGAGAUUCAAAAUUCAAAUCAAGCUAAAUAGAAUUAAUUAUAUUAUAUUGGAGACUGGGAAAAUAGUGAGAGACCCUUUCUUUAUUUGAGCAUCAUACAUGUAAUCUUGCUUUGUGAAAGGAAAGAAAGGAUAGAAAAAUAAUUGUGAACGCUUUAGAAUUGGCCCUCAACUGUAUUGAUAAUUGGAUAUUCAUUACCUUGUUCUGGAAGAAUUCCAGAUUCUACGAGAUUGUUCAGUUUGACGGUCCAAAUUUAAUGACGCCAAAAUUUCCCUUCUCAAACAUUUAUUAGGAACAAAAUAUCUGGACCACAAUCAGUAUGGAUUUGAAUAUCUCUGUCAAUUAUAUUUGUUACCAAUUUACAUCCAAACUCCAAAACAAACAAUCCCAAAGAAUUACUUUGCUCUCUGUUUUCUUAAUCGCAUUCAAUCUUUGUUCGUAAAUUAUAGCAUUUUUUUAGACAAAAAAAAAAAAACUCUAAUCUCAAUUUGACCAAUCCAUUUUCAAAUCCACUAGAAAAAAAUUGUGUAAUGAUUAUUAAAUAAAUUAUAUAUUAACUUCAAUUUUUGAUCAUAUUUAUAUUUUCAUCUUCUACGAAAAAAAAAAAAUUUUUUUAUUAUGAAAAUUAUCAUCAAUUUAAUAAAUAUUAUAAAUAAAUUAUCACUUAUUAUAUAAUCUGCAGACGGAACUCCCUUUGACACGAAUGAUUUGCAUUUUAUAGCAAAAACAAAAAAAGAUUCCAAGGUUAUAUGCUACCUUAUCGCCAGAAGAACUUCCAGGCCAUAAUGACCUCUGGGGACAAGUCGCAAUUAUCCCAGUACGUUUAAAAACGACUUGUCAAUGUUUUAUUGCAGAUACCUCGUAAAGCCAAAUUCACAUGAAUUUUUCCAUUUUGCUGUAACUUAUUAUUCCAGACACUAUACGACCGACAUUUUAUUUCAUUCCGAAGACCCAUAAAACUUGUUAGAUCUUGAUUUAUUUGCUAAUACAAUAAAUUAAAUAUUUGAGAUCCUAUAUUAACAUUUAAUUUUGAAUUUAGAAAUUGUAUUAUAAUAAUUGAACUUAUAUGCCAAAAAAAAAAAAAAAAUUGUAAUUGACAAAGAGAAAGCAAUAAAUAAUGAAUUAUCUUGAUCAUAAAUGGAGCUUAAGCUCAAUUAAUAACACAAACUAAAAACAUUCAAACCAUUUUGCUCGUCUUGUCCUGCAACUACGUUCCGCGAAAUAUUUAGUGUUUAGAAUUAGAUAGAACGGACUAUAAAAUAAAUAUUAAUGGGUUUGGCGGAAGCAACAGCAAAAGGUUUUUAUAUAUGAAAAUAUUUAAACCUUUUUGUUUUCGAUCUUUUAUUUAUAAAAUGGAGUAUAUUAAUACUCAAUUAUAAUAGAGAAGAUCAGUUUUCAAAUCUUUAUUUCUUUUUCUUUUUUCUUUUUCUUUCUGCACAUGGAAAAAAUUAACAUAAAAGAUAGAAAAAUAUCUUUGAAGAAUUAAAUAUCAUCAAGGGCCACAAGAACGAUAUUUCUUUUCACACAUUAAACGAGGUUUUCAUUGUAGACAACUUGAGUACCUACAGCAUCAUAUCUUUCCUUAACUAUGAUAAUUCAAAUUUCAGCGCUAGAUAUUCGAUCGAACACCUCACUUAGCUAAACAUCCAAGAAAAGGAUAGAACAGAAAGGUCGACCAACCAUGGCUCUUGCUAUUAAUUACGUGCAAGAUUUUUUUUGUGCAUGGGUUUUAUUGUAAUUUGUGAGAAGUUCACAAAGAUGUUGAUAUACUAAUAGUUUGUCUUCUUCUUUCAAAGUGAUGACUUUCAAACACCAGUUGCUUUGUUCCUGAUUUUCAUCGAUUCUUAUCCUUAUUUUCUGGAUUUGAUGACGAGAUUCCCUCAUUACAGACAAUAUUGCUUAUCCAAUGGAACGCAGAAAGUUUGAACCGUAACGACCUUGGGAUUUUAAUUCGGAUAAUUACAGAUCUUAUUAAAACAUGUAAAACUGAGGAAAAAUUUAAUAACAGAUGGAUUUGAAAGUUCUUUAACUUAAUUUAAUAAGUCUAUAACUUGGAAGAUAGAAUCAUAGAACUAUAAAUUGUAUGCUCUCAAGGUUUGAAAUCGUUCUUUUCCUUUAAUCUUCAAUAUCACAAUAGAUUAAGUAAUCCUAUGGAUUGAUUCAAUUGUUUAGUGUAUUUUCCCUUUACUUUUUUUACUAGACUUCAAUUCUUAAUGCUACGUUUUUAUUCUUUUAUGAAUCUUUAAUUUAGUUAUAAAAGGUGUGUCUUUGAGCAAAUUCAAGAAAUAGAUAAAUUUCCUAAUGGAAUAGAUUUUAUUAUUUUUAUUUAUCUUGAUUAAACCUGCCCUAAAAGAGUAGACGUAAUCUCCUAAUUUAGCCUUAAAGUCAGGCUUUUUUCUCCACUACGUGGGAGCCACAGCCUGAGCAUUUCUAUAAAUGAGCUUCUAUUUUCCUUCUCAUACACAAAUUAAGAACAUAGUUCCCUUAUUCACCUUUCAAAGAAUCUCCAAGAAAACAGAGCAAUGCAAGCAAAUUCUCUUUUAUGCUAUGCACUAGUAGCAAUUCUCACUCUCCAGUUCUCUACCCACAUAAAUUCUAUCGAACCUUCUAAACCAUUACCAAAUAACACAAACACCCAGUACAUCAAAACCUCCUGCACCAACACGACCUAUCCAAGAUUAUGUUACCACUCUCUCUCAAUCUAUGCAAGCAAAAUCAAGACCAACCCAAAAUUGCUAACCAAUAUUGCUCUUAACGUAACCCUAAAAGCCACCAAAUCGACAUCAAGAUUGAUGAAGAGACUGUCAAGAAUCCAUGGGUUAAAGCGUAGAGAGGCUGCAGCUUUAGUUGAUUGUGUGGAGGUAGUUGGUGACUCAGUGUAUGAGCUUCAAAGAUCAAUUGGGGAGAUGGGUCAAGCAGAAGGAUCAAAGUUUGCUCAAGUAAUAGAUGAUAUACAAACAUGGGUUAGUGCAGCUUUAACAGAUGAUGAUACUUGCAUGGAUGGAUUUUCUGAAGUGUCUAUGAAUAGAAAAGUGAAGAUUAUUGCAAGAAAGCACUUACUGAAAAUUGCUCAUUUGACUAGUAAUGCUUUAGCUCUCAUCAAUAAUUUUGCUUCAUCUCAUAACAAUUUGCAAUAAUAAUUGUCUUUUUAUAUCUAUUUGUGAUAUAUAUACAAGUAUAAUUGACUUUCUUGGGAAACCCACUUCCCCAUGAGAGCUGAAAAAGGGAGUGAAUUUCAGUUCUCAUUUAUUUUGGGCUUAUCUUCUUUUGCAAUUAUUGAUUAGUGGUUUGCCAUAUAUAUAAAAUUGCCCGUGCGUACAAGUCUAUGUAAGUGAGAGUUAAGCACAAAGCGGAGUAGUUAAAUGUAGAUUUUCUUUAAUGUUUUGUGGUUAAGAUGUAAAUUAGUAAAUUCUUCUUUGUUUCAAAAUAUAUACAUAGCUUAUUUCUGAUAUUUUAUUUAUUUAUUUGUUGUUUUCCUUUCCUUUCCUGUCCUCUUUCUUCUUUUGCCUUUGUCAAUCUUUUCUGUUCCACUACUCCUCUUCACAGUAGAUGGUAGUGUGGAUACUGUACGCUGGGGGACGAAUUCCCAACUACUAGUGUACCCUCAUCAUCAAUGGAGGAGCAACUACGAAGAAAAUGAAAAUAAAUAAAUGGAGGGCCCAAAGCAAAAUCUCGGGGACAUUAAUUAAUAUAUGGAGAUGGAAAAACGAAUAGGACUCUGACAUUAGUCACAUGGAAAACAUUGCACGAUAGUGUCAUUGAACAAAAGGUUAUACCAUCUACAAAGAAUAAAUAUCCAACUUUUUUUUUUUUUUCUAAGAACACGGAGCUAUUAGAGUGUAGAUAUAUAAGACGCUUUUAAGGAUUGAUUGCGCUUGGGCCGUUCCUGUGGGCUAUUUCAUUACAGUAUUCGGACGGUACGAACAAGCUCCUUUGUUUUACUAUAAUUGAGCAUGUCGUUCAGUUUGAAAUUAAAUCAAAUGAUGGCUGUCAAUAGGUAAUCUUUAUUAGUAAGAAUUGAGAGUAGCUUGUAAUUUAGAGUAGUAAAUGAGUUAAACCAUUCGUAAACUACUUGAAUCAAGUUCAAGCCUAUGGGAGGUACUUUUUUUUUUAGCAACAAAUUGUAAAUGAGUUGAGUUCAGUUAAUUUAUUUGUCUAGCUAGUUUUUUCUUCUUAAUGAAUUAGUAUAUAACAUAUUAAUGAUUAUAUUUUGUUUAUCUUUUUUUAUUCAUUUAUAAAUUCAAAAAUUAAAUAUUUUUUAUAAUAAAAAAUAUUUUUCAUUGACUAAAUUUAUUUUUGAAGCACAAUUUUCCACUAAACAAAAUAGAUUAAGCAACUUAUUUUUAAAGAAAAAAGAGGUAGCUUAAGCAACUUUUAUUAUUAUUAUUUAACAGAUAUCAUUAUAAAUAUAGAUAUAAUGCUGUAUUUUAAGCAAAAUAUUAAAAUCAAAUGGAUAUUUGUCCUGUUAUAUGCAUUAGGAAACACUGGUGUCAAAAACAGAGCUCGAGAUUCAUCAAAUAGAGAUACCAUGCCAACUAGCUAAUAAUCAAAAUUUGGUGGAAUAUGAGGAUUGCAAGAGGACAACAAUAGAUGUAUAAACUUCCCAGAAUCCGUAUCAAGUGAGAUUGUCUUGCGUAUCUCUUAUAACUAUUGAUUACUGAGGUGGCUACCCAUAUAAUAACAUACAUAAUUUAGAUAACACUGAUUUGUUUUUAAUGCAAAUUACAAAAGAAUAUUUCAACCACUAUAUAAUGUAUUGCUGACCCCAAAUUCCUUAUCAUCAUGUCUUGAUAACCUUAUACGUGAAUAGGAUCUGAUUGAUCGUCUCAUUUUUGUCCAUCAAUCAUGUAAUCUUAUUAUUAUUUGAGAUAAUAUUUUCUUAAACUGUAAGCAAUUAUACAUGCUCGUCGGUUCAUAUGAGUCUUCCGCAAUCUCCACCCACCUCAGCCAAUGCCUUCCCUGCAUAUAUACUUCCCCUCUACCUAAUCUUUUGGCGAAUUAAUAUAAAUUGCGAACACAUCACAACUUCAAAAUAUAGAGAAAUAUUACUUUAGUUGAUUAUGGAAGGUCCAACUCUUCGCGUGGCAAUAAUAAUAAUAUUACCUGUUUUUAUUCUCUUCUUCUCUAUCCAAAUAAACUUUAGCUCAGCAGACACAAAUACCCAGUACGUACAAGCAUCUUGUAGUAACACAACUUAUCCUGAAUUAUGCUAUUCCUCUCUUUCAUGCUAUGCAAGAAAAAUUCAAAGAAACCCUAAAACUCUAGCCUAUGUUGCCCUUAACGUGACUCUAACAGCCACCAAAUCAGCAUCAGAGUUUAUUAAAACCCUGUAUAAUAAUAAACUCCAUGGAUUGAAGCCUAAAGAGGCUGCAGCUAUGGCAGAUUGUGUGGAGCUGGCAGAUGAAGCAGUCGAUGAGCUGGAAAGGUCUAUCGGAAAGAUGGGUCGAGCAAGAGGAUCAAAUUCUGAUCCUGUAAUUAAUGACAUUCAAACUUGGGUUAGUGCAGCUUUAACAGAUGAUAAUACUUGCAUGGAUGGAUUUUCAGGUGAUGUUUUGGAUGGAGAAGUGAAAAGUAUAGUACUGAAAAAUAUGACACAAGUUGCUCAAUUGACAAGCGUUGCUUUGGCUCUUGUAAAUAGGUUUGCCUCCUCGAAAGGAAAUUCUGUGUUAGUACUUUGAUUAAUAAUUAAGCUCUAUAUGAUAAUGUAUUGAAUAAGCAUAAAAAAUUGUAAAAUUGUAAAAUUUUAAUUUUGUGCUUGAUAUUGGAGUUGAAGUGUGUCGAAUUUGAUAUGUAUAAUAAGUUUCAUAAUAAAGAGUAUCAAAAUGUAGUUUAACAAAUUCUUUUGUUUCCCUUUUUAUCCAUAUAUAUUGUUUCAGUAUUUUACUUUUUAUACCACGACUUCAAAAAAAUAUUUAAGAUUUCUGUAUUUUCUGUAUUUAUCCAUAUAAUAAAUAACUUAAAAAAGAUUUAAGAAAGCCAAUACAAAUCAAACAAAGUACUUAUUUAUUAUGGAUAAGGUUGGCCCUUAAGGCCAUUAUUUAAUACAUGGCAUUGUUCUUAUAGCCUAAUAAGACCAUGGUAUGUUUAUAUUUUAUAUAUGGCCUAAUUAACUUUAGGCACAUUGACAAAAGGGUAAAGCUUAUAUCUAACAUUACAGCUUCCAGUCACCACUCUUGCUCCUUUUUUACCACUGCAACAACUUGGAAGUUCAUUAAUAGCAUCGUCAAGACAUUUCUUACACUCCAUGUUAGAAAGAUCUCUAGUACAUUGAGCCAUACCAUAUAUCUUCUUAUACUUCCCUCCAAAAAGCUUUAGCUCUCCUGUUGCAUAAAACUUCUUAUUCCCGUAAGCUUUACCUGAUAAUCCACUUAACAACUCCUUAACUUUUUUAUUAAACAGGGCAGGAUUCAUCUUCUCCACAUCCUGGUAAUUAUACAAGUAAAACUUGUUUUGUUCAUCAAUGUCUCCAAAGAAGUUAAAGUUCGAGUAUUUCAAUAAACAGUCAUCGUACCAAAUAAUCGCUCCCUUGUUAUUAGAGCAACGAUCAAUAAGAGCAUCACCAGCAUUUGCGACACAAGUUUUACAGUCUUUUUUCGCAACGUCGCCACGGCAGAGAGCUAACGCAUUUACAUGGCCUCUGCCUCUUGGUGGCCCGGUUGAGGCUAGUCCGAAUCCGGUUGCCGGAGUUUUGGUGGAUAGGAGGUUUAGCAAGCCAUUCAAGCUGUUGCGAUGAUGGCCAUAGUCAGCGUAGUUUUCUUGGCUAAAAACAGAUAUGGUAAAGUGGGUCUGCAGGAAAUGCUACAUUGAGCAUUAAAAAAAAAAGAAGGAAAGAUAAUGGGAUUGAUUUAGAGAUAUGCAUUUUUGAUUAAGUUGAAAGGUUUAUGUGUAUAUGGAGUUGAUGAUGAAAGGAUAAUUCAUUAGGUUUAUAUAAAGAGAAGGUUUUGGCUAAUUUAAUUAUCAAUUAUGAAGUUGAACUUUUCAGUACACAGAAAAUAAAAAUAGGACAAACAGGAAUCAGGGACGAGUAAAAAUUUUAGAGCAGAGCAUUUAUAUUAAUGUUUUCAAUAUGCUGAAAUCUGUCGCUUCUUUAUAUGUUAUAUGAAAGCCAAUGAUCGAUGUAUGUUAGACGAAGUGUAUAUAUAUAUAUAUAUAUAAGAUAUAUAUUAAAUGUAGGUGUAAAUUGUCAAAUUUUGAGUCAAACUAAUUAAGUUUUAAGUACAAGUCUAAUGGCUUCUUUGUAUCAAACUACAGGCACAGUGAUAUCCUUAUCAAAAUCUGUGAGUCAUACUCUAUGAUACAUUUUUUUUUUUUUUUUUUGAAGAAAGCUAUAAAGUAUUAUGAAUCUUGUUAAUUACUUGUUCAAUAUAUAUACAUUAAGCAAAAUUUUCACUAUUACAUAAAUUUAUUGGGAUAAACAAGAUUGGAAUAUUAUCUGCUGAACUUAUUAUGUAACAUAUAUUGAAUCUUUUGAUAGCUUUACUGGUAAUUAGAGUGUAAAAGAAAUAAAGAAUGCCAGUGAUAAUAACAUAAACCAUGGAGUGGAUUAAGUUAUGUUGACACAAUUUGUGUGAAUUUUUGAAACUUUGAAUUUAAAAUAAUCAUAGAUUUAGAAAUGGUAGCCUUUCCUAAUAUACCAAUUGGCAAAGCAGAUCAUAGGCUCACACUGAAACCCACUAGUUCUCGGCCCUUUUAAUUUUGAUGGCCCGCUGAAAUUGGACUUGCACUUAUAAAUAGGCCUCCUAUUAUAAUAGAAAUUGUUCAUUGAAAUGAAAUUUGAAGAAAGUUAAGAACAAUUUCAUUUCAUUUAAUUGAUCCGGUUUGAUUCAUUAGUCAGUCCAGUCCAAAUAUUUUUUUAAUAAAAAUUUUAAAAUAAUUCAUAAAAAAAUUAUUCUCGAUUAAGAAAUUGGUUAAAUAUGGUUAACAAGAAAUAAGACUAAAAUGCAGAGUCGUGGGCUCUUCUAAGCUUCAAGUUCGGAUGGGCAUUUUCCCAAAGGUCCACCUCUUUUUGUACACUUGAGGAUAAAAUUGUGAGCGAGUUAUGUGGCUUCUUUCAAGCCAUUGUUUGCUGUUCCUGGCCUUAUAAUUUCUCAAUAAGUUUCCUUUUCAUUGCAAAUCUGAAUAAUACAAAGUUCCAUUUUUCCAAAAGAUAUAUAAAAAUAAAAAUACGGAUGUAUAUUUGAGGCCGAGAAGCAGCGAGAACAGAGAGCUAAGCCAGAGAAGCUGUUUCGUUAUCCCUAAAUAACACCCAUUCACAACUCAACUAGUGAGCGAGGGAAAGACUCAGACCACUAACAUUAAACCAAGAAAAUGGCGGCAGAGACUGUGAAAUUAACGGUUUCACUCUGCAGCUUCAAUGGGUCUCAAAGAAGAGGGAAUUCUCCUUCUACCCCAAUUCGGUUUCUGGGUCUCCCUCCGCGAUCUUCAGUCUCCGCUUCUUCAAUCUCUUCUUCGCUUUCUCAUUUCCUGGGAAGUGUGCGUAUUGGCUCACGGUCUUCUAAAGUCUCCAUUUCACGUCAACAACAGAGGAGCAGAAACUUUUCUGUCUUUGCAAUGGCCGCUGAAGGUCUUUAUUUCUCUAUCUCUUUCAGUUCAGUUGUUUUGAUUCUUUAGUUACUGAAUUCCUUUGUUUAGAUGCCAUUUUAUAUGUCCCCUUUUGCUUAUAUUGUUGUGAUUGGGCUAUUUCGUGGAGUUAAUGUUACUUAUGAUUUCUUGAUAAUGGAAUUUGAAAUUUGGUUUUUAGUUUGUUUCUUUAUGUUGUUAUGUGUUCCUUUCUUGUUUCUUUGUUUCUUUUCCUUCCUAAGCUUUCCCAAGCUUUUCUAAAGUUUAGACUUUGUUAGUUUUCUGUAAUUAGGCUGCUUAUUGUAUAACUUUUUGUUGGAUUGACAAGAAGAUAAUGGUAGUGAGCUGAAUUAUGAGCUCUGGAGUUUGCACCUAAUCUGAAAGCACAAAUUAAAUUUACCCUGCUCAAGGUUUCUACUUUAUUCCAUGUAUUCAAAAGAAAGGCAGUCCAGGCAUGAUUAAAAAUGUGUGGAAAUUAGAUAAUUAUCUAUUUAUCUUACCUGACUGUACAUGGUGACUGCGCUUCUGAACAUCUUCGCUUCAAGAGCUUUGAUACUUUUGAUUGGUUGUAAAAUACUAUGACCUACUAAUUGGAGCCCACUUUACUGUGCAUUAUUUAUUAUGUUAGCUCCAUAAUGUGAAAUAUUGAAAUAUGAAGUUCUCUCAAUUGCUAACAUCUGUGUGUUAUACUAUCAAAUGUUGUUCUAUAUUUCAUUUUUCAGUUAACAUGUUUUCUUUCUUCUCCUUUGGCAGAGGCAAAGCGUUCAGUACCUUUGAAAGAUUACCGCAACAUUGGAAUUAUGGCUCACAUAGAUGCUGGAAAGACCACUACAACUGAACGGAUUCUUUACUAUACAGGAAGAAACUAUAAAAUAGGAGAAGUACAUGAAGGGACAGCUACAAUGGACUGGAUGGAGCAAGAACAAGAAAGAGGGAUCACAAUUACUUCUGCUGCAACCACCACAUUCUGGAACAAACACCGCAUUAACAUUAUUGAUACUCCUGGCCACGUUGACUUCACACUCGAAGUGGAACGAGCACUCAGGGUAUUGGACGGUGCUAUCUGCCUAUUUGACAGUGUUGCUGGUGUGGAACCACAGUCUGAAACUGUAUGGAGGCAAGCUGAUAAAUAUGGAGUACCUAGAAUUUGUUUUGUCAAUAAGAUGGAUCGCCUUGGAGCAAACUUUUUCCGAACAAGAGACAUGAUAAUUACAAACUUGGGUGCUAAACCCCUUGUUAUUCAACUUCCAAUUGGUGCAGAAGAUAAUUUUAAAGGAGUUAUUGAUCUUGUAAAGAUGCAAGCUAUACUUUGGUCAGGGGAAGAAUUGGGUGCAAAGUUUGAAUAUGCUGAUAUCCCAGCUGAUCUUGAAGAGUUGGCUCAAGAAUACAGAGCACAAUUGAUAGAGACUAUAGUUGAGUUGGAUGAUGAUGCUAUGGAAAAAUAUCUAGAAGGAGCUGAACCUGAUGAGGAGACAAUAAAAAAAUUAAUUAGGAAGGGCACAAUUUCCAGCAAUUUUGUGCCAGUCUUAUGUGGCUCUGCUUUUAAAAACAAGGGGGUUCAGCCAUUGCUUGAUGCUGUUGUUGAUUAUUUGCCUUCCCCUCUCGAGUUGCCAGCAAUGAAAGGGUCUGACCCUGAGAACCCAGAAAAAACAAUUGAAAGGACCGCCAGUGAUGAUGAACCAUUUGCUGGAUUAGCCUUCAAGAUCAUGAGCGAUCCAUUUGUAGGAUCCCUCACGUUUGUGAGAGUUUAUGCAGGGAAGCUAUCUGCGGGAUCUUAUGUACUGAAUGCAAACAAAGGAAAGAAGGAGAGAAUUGGAAGACUUCUUGAAAUGCAUGCUAAUAGUAGGGAAGAUGUUAAGGUGGCUUUAGCUGGUGAUAUUGUUGCCCUUGCAGGUCUAAAAGAUACCAUAACUGGAGAAACACUAUGUGAUGCUGAUAAUCCGAUUGUGCUUGAACGUAUGGACUUCCCUGAUCCUGUGAUCAAGGUUGCAAUUGAACCCAAGACCAAGGCUGAUGUUGAUAAGAUGGCAAAUGGUUUGAUCAAACUUGCUCAAGAGGAUCCUUCUUUCCACUUCUCACGAGAUGAAGAAAUCAACCAGACUGUUAUUGAAGGAAUGGGGGAAUUGCAUCUUGAGAUCAUUGUGGAUCGCCUAAAGAGGGAAUUUAAGGUUUGUAUAUGCUUUUUAUCCAUCUGUUUCCAAUUUAAUCUUAAAUGUUCAUGCACAUGGUUCCAAAUUUUCUUUUCACUUUUGUGGUGCUUAAACCCUUGAAUAUUGUUCCGGUGUUUUUUCUCUGUGAGAAAUUCAACAGUUAUUACUUUUUGCGGUUCUGAAAAGAUAUUAAGAAAAAAGUUAUAAAAAAGAAAUUCAUAGUUCUCCUAAAUGUCGAUUUGUAUAAAAAUGACAUGGAUUGCUUCACUCAAACAGGUGGAAGCUAAUGUUGGUGCACCCCAAGUAAACUACCGUGAGAGCAUUUCCAAAGUUGCAGAAGUGAAGUAUGUGCAUAAAAAACAGUCUGGUGGACAAGGACAGUUUGCUGAUGUAACAAUACGAUUUGAGCCCAUGGAGGCAGGCAGUGGAUACGAGUUCAAAAGUGAAAUCAAGGGAGGUGCUGUGCCUAAAGAAUAUAUUCCUGGAGUAAUGAAAGGAUUAGAAGAGUGCAUGUCUAAUGGAGUGCUGGCAGGUUUCCCUGUCGUUGAUGUACGUGCUGUAUUAGUAGAUGGUUCUUACCACGAUGUCGACUCGAGCGUCUUGGCAUUUCAACUGGCAGCUAGGGGAGCUUUUCGGGAUGGCAUGAAGAGAGCUGGCCCAAAGAUGUUAGAACCUAUAAUGAAAGUGGAAGUGGUCACACCUGAAGAACAUUUGGGAGAUGUGAUUGGUGACCUUAACUCAAGGAGAGGUCAGAUCAACAGUUUCGGUGAUAAACCUGGUGGUCUGAAGGUAUGUAAAUUUAAGUACGAUCUUUUAUUUCUCGAUUGACUAACCAACGAUUGGCAACUCUGGCUGAACUUUACCUAGAUAUUUCAUACCUCUUCUUUUACUUAUAUAGUACCCAAAAACAACAAAAACAACACUAAACCUUAAUCACAAACUACUUAGGGUUGGCUAUAAGAAUUCUUUCUAUAGUACCCAAAACAAAGAUGUCAUUAGCAAAGGCAAGAAACAUGCGCAAAGCAUUCACAUUUGAUGUUCAUGUUUUAUUAAUAUUUUGCUAAUUCGUCGAUCGUUUGUGAUUAAUGCAGGUGGUUGAUGCCCUUGUUCCACUGGCAGAGAUGUUCCAAUAUGUUAGUACCCUUAGAGGAAUGACAAAAGGCCGUGCAUCGUACACAAUGCAAUUAGCCAAGUUUGAUGUUGUUCCUCAACACAUUCAAAAUCAGCUUGCUGCAAAAGAGCAAGAAGUUGCUGCGUGAAUCCUGUGAGAGAAUCCUGUGAGAGGUGGCAUUAUUAUAAAUUUUUGUGAAGUUGAUACUGAAUGAUUCGAGGAACCAGUUUUGAUUUCAUCUGUACUCACUUCAGAUAUAAAAUGCAAACAAAUUUAGUCGAAAAGAAUUGACACACAAUUUUGUGUCCCAAACAUGAUUGUUGAUUCUGUAAAAACUGUAAGAGAAGAUCAAAUUAUGUAAUAACCUUCCAUGAUAUUAGCCGCAGCCAACUCCGGAGAGAAAUUUACAACUGGGUCUUUUAUACUUUUUCUUCAAUGCUUGGAUUAGAAUUUAUUUAGAUUAAGAAUUCACAUUAUUAUGCAACAAUAGUGAUAAUUGGGCAUAUAAUUUGGUUUGCAUUUCCGUUUCCCAAUACUCUUAAAUAAAAUUUCAUAUUUUUCUUUCAAUUCGAAUAAUCUAUAGAUUAUAGUUUUGAAUUGUUUAAAAUCAAUAUGUCAUACGAUAAUACUUUACAAUGUAAUUUUCUUCUAUUGAGAGCAACUAGAAAUGCUUGCUUCAGUUUAUCUCUUGCAUCGUGACUCGUGAUGAUUAAAAAUGAUAAAUCUAAAAUAAGGAAUGCAAUAAAUUAUUAAAAAAAUAAUAAAAAUUGUCAUCAUUAUAGAACUAAAAUAAUUAUAUUAAUAAUAUUAUUAAUCUUAAUAUUUAAAAUAGUUAUUAUUAUACUUUUUAACCUUUUUUUGACUAAAAAAUAAUAAAUCAAUUACUCUUACUGUUUUUUUUAAUUUGAGAUCAUCCGGUGAUUUUCUUAGAAAGUAACACUAAAUUAAAAGAAAACUUUCAAAAAAUCAAUCAAAAAUAUAAAACUAAAACUUUGUCUGGGAAGGGGGAAAUUUUACUAUUCAUUUUCCUCCCAAAAUGAAGUAAAAAUGAAGUUAAAAUAGGUUUAAAACAGAUGACCCUCUUUGAUAUUUUACCUCAAACCAAACAAGGAAUUUUGACACCCGAUAAAUAUUCACUUUUUAUUUUAUGUCCACCUAAACUUUACACCCAUCCAAUCAAAGGCUAAAGUUGGCAUGCCUUCAUAAAAAGGUUUACAUCUUAACGACUUUACGUGUAAGGUAGCUGGCGAAUCAGACAGGACAUCAGAAAGGGCAUAAACAAAGACAGAUCCUGCUAGAAGCAGAAGAUGAGGGAACACGCAGUGCUAGAGCAUGCGAGAGAAAGAAAGCAUAAAUGUCUGGUAGUGAACUAAAAACAGGCAAAUGCCUCAAAAUUUUUCCAACUUAAAUUAGUUUUUAUGAAACAAUCCACAAUGGAGAUUACAAUUCAGUGAAAUGAUUAAACUGCAUUAUCAUAGAAUUUGGUUGUUUUGGCUUCAACUCUUAUCUGAUCUGAACUAUUCCUGCAUUCACAAGCUUCUGAAUCUUGUUCAUGACCAUGGGAUUCUUCAUAUGUUCCUGAGCUGCCUUGGGAUUUUCUUGGAAGUCAACCAAGACCUGCAAUAUUUGGAUCACGCAAAGUUACAAAAAUAAGCGAAACCAACAAUUCUCUAGCAUUGUCAAAUAUGACAAGAAAAGUUUAUCCAUUUAGAAAGGAACUUUGAACCUUUACCUGUCUCAUGAUAGGAUCUGAGAGGAUAUUCUGAAUUUCUGGAUCCUGCAUUGCCUUGGCCUGCAAUAUGCAACAAACUUUAGACCACUUCCUCUAAAACGUUCAAUCCCCAACACAACCAAAGUGAACUCCCAAAUAGAAUAUGGCUGCAAAAGACAUAAAAACACUAACCUGUCUCUCUUUCAGUUCUUCAGGGCUUAUAUCACCACGGCUAGUCUUGUUAAGUUGUUCAACACAUCUGCAAAACAAUUGAGUACAUAAUUAACAUUUUCAAUAACAGGAUGCGCAAAUAAAAUCGGUUCAAAUAUGUGGUAGUAGUAUCGCAUACCUUCUGACACCAUCAAGCAAUUCUGGGUUCUGAGGAUCAUGUUUAAGCCCUUCCUGGUAGGUCUCCAGGGCCUUGUCAUACUCUUUCAUGAAAAAUUGAACAGCCCCUUUUCUCGUAUAACCCUUUGAAAAAGUUGGAUCAAGCUCAAUGCAUUUCUCUGCAUCCUUCAAUCCCUCGGGUAAAGCUCCCAGUUUAGUAUAGCAUGCAGCUCUAUUACUGUAUACCUAAAGGAAGCAAGUAGCAAAAAGCCACAAGUAAAAACCAAGUUGACUAGCAGAAUCAUAAUACAUAAUGUGCAACAUAACAUUUGGAUUUGAGAGUCUUUUUUACCUUUGGAUCUUUCGGGUUCCUUCUCAAAGCUUCUGUGUAAUGCUUCACAGCCUCUGGAUACUUUUGUUGCUUGAAAUACUCGUUGCCUGCAGAAAAUUGGUACCAUCAUCAUAACAGAGUUAAUUGCAUGCCCAAAUGGAUAAUAGAAGCCAAAAAUAAGCAUUUAUAUAUGAGCUUCUUAGGUGUUUGGAAUAAAAAUCGGAUUUUUUCUAUCGUUCAUUCUUUUUCUUUCUUUUCUUCUUCAUUUCUUUUUCUCAAAGGAUAAGGACAAAUGGAUGAUGAGUGAGAAAACUAAUGAGGUCAUUUAAAAAGAAGAAUGACAGAAGACAGCAAAAACUUGAAUAACUGCUCAAUUUUGAUAUUAAGUCAUACCUUUCUCACGCUCCUCAUCAGCCAAUUUUGGAUCAAAGUAUUCUUGUUGCUCCAGUUCUUUCUUUGCUCUCUCUGCAUCAUUUAGUUUCUUCAAAGUGUCUGGGUUGCGAUGCUCAGUAAGAGCUUUCUGGAAUGUCUCGAUAGCAAUAUCAUAAUCCUUUGAGCACUUGGCCAUUUUUACCAAGGCAGUUCCCUUCCUUGUCAAAGCUCUUGCUAUCAUCUUAAAGUCUGAUCUGAGUUCCCUUCCUCUCUCAACAGCUUUGUCACAGUCUUUUAUACAUUCCUCAUACUAAAAUUGCAGCAAUAGAAUCAGAAACGGGAUUACAGAUUGAUUCGAUGCCAAAACAGACACACAGAUAUAACAUCAGGUUAUUUUAAAAAAACAUAAUUUUUAAAACACCUAUUCACCUAUUCUUUUUUUUUUUUUUUAUCUAUUCCCAUUGACUUGGAAUAAAAUUAUUCAAUUUUAAAGUAUCUUUUGACUGGCGCUAAAAUUAGAAAGACAAUUGUAUACAAAAUGUUCUUUGAACUCAUUUGUAAAUACAAACAUGCAUAUAUAUUCAAAUCAAAAGCACAAAUUUUUAUCACUAGUUCAUUACCCACAUAAACUAUGAAAACAGGGUACCUCAAGAUAAUGUUAAAGGUUACUUGGAGAGAUUACUAGCUUGUUGCUGUCCUAAACAUGUAUUAGACCAACCGGCUACUUUCUAAUACGAAAAUGCUUUGCACAAUGGAUGUUAGUUCCUACUUCUAUAAGACAAAAGAGAGCAAUAUCUGAUAGCAAUGCUCGACAUUUUUAGGGAUCAAUAAAAAAUGGUUAUACAGGACAUUAUUAAGCAGUCCACAUAUGUAAACUCGAAUAGCAUAAAUGGGAACUCUGUAAAGGAAGCGUAAGUGAUUCAUAACCAAGGCAAAACAGCCUACCAACAUAUAUUAACACAAAGGAAACAGGAGCCCAUGACGUAUCUAGCAAGAGAAAUAUAUGCAAUUUCUAAAGUUUUUAUAAUUUUAACUUUCAAUUUAAGGAAACAUAAAUAAAAUAUAGCUAAACCAAAAAAAGGAAUUACCUUGCCCAUCUCGAGAUAAACAGCAGCACGAUUUGUCAAAUAUGAAAUAUCCUCAUCGUCCAGCUCCAUUGCCUUAGUGUAAUGUGCAAUUGCAGUCUCGAAAUCCUUCUUCUUAUAAGCUGCAUUUCCCAACUCUUUCUCUUUAACUGCUUGAGCUUUCCUCUCCUUAGCUUCUUUCUCCUCUACUGAAACAUCCAUAGGCUCUGGUUCAGGCUCAGGAGCCUUCUCCUCCUUCGCAGGCUCUGCGUUUUUCUCCGACUGGGAAGGAGGGGACUCCGCCUCUGGCACCUCCAUAUCGUCUCCAGCAUUCGGUGCUCUAAAUUUCACGUUCAAAAGAACCCCCAAAGCUUGCAUCACUCUCUGAUCUUUCAAGUACAGAUUCAAAUUGCUAGGGUUUCUCUGAAUCUCCUGCAUCAUCUUAACAAAAUCCGGUUGUUGCAAAUACAUCCUCGUUGACGGAUCCGCCGUUAAUUUCGCCCACAUCUCAGGUCCAGAGAACGCAUCCCCAAACGGACUAGGCGGCGGCGCGGCUCGCGACCUAGAAGCUGCCGCUUCAGCAUCAGCCAAGCCAGACUUCAACGCUUCAUUGUUGGGAUCAAUCUCGAGCCCCUUCUUAUACGCUGCGAUAGCGUCCUGAAUUUGGUGCAAUCCAAGGUGAGCCGCGCCCAGGCGAGAAUAUCCUUUAGACCAGUCGGGCUUAAGCUCGACGGUUUUCUUUGCAUCGACUAGCGCGUCAGCGUAGUUGUGCAGCGAGGCAUAAGCAGCAGAUCGGUUAGAAUAGAGGACAUGAUUAGAAGGGGCUAGUGAGAUUGCUUGAGUGAAGUGUUUGACGGCGCCGGUAAAGUCGCCGGCUGAGAAUGCGGCGUUGCCUUUGGCUUUGGCUUCGUCGGCCAUGAAACGCAAAAGAGUAGGUGUUUAGGGAGGCUUUUCGAAGGAAUUGAGAAUUUUGGAAUUUGUGAUUUGGGGAGAAAGUAAGGAUUAGGGGAAGAGAAAGAGAGGGGUAUUAUAGGAAAUAAAGUCGAGGACGAGAGAGUUCUGGUGAUUCCAGAAGAAGGUGUUCUAGAAUGUUCCGUUCCGUGGUGUACGAGGGGAAUGGAUUCACUCGUGCGUGCUCAUGCAAUUGGAGGUGUUUGGCAGCGGAGAAAUGGACGUUCCGUCGAUGAAUUUUUAGAAGCUUGUUUUGAACGUCCUAUCGUUUUACUUAUUAUCCGAUCCCAAACUGAAACGAGCAGUGCUGCCCAGAAUCAGCUGUCGUUUUCGCAAACCGCUAACUUAAUCUAUGCAUGAUGACAUUAGCCGUUGUUUAGAAGGUAAAUUUUUUAUUUAUUAGGUCCAGCAUUAAGCCCAAAACUUGAUGUUCAGAGCUAUGAUUCACUCAAAUGGUGAGUUCAAAGCCCAGAAAAAACUAUGUAUCGAAUUCCAGCCGGGCUCAAUACAAAGUCAAAAAGAAGACUUGUCAUCAUGAAAAUUUGUACGAUGAAAAUCACUAUAGAAAGGGAUCCAACCUUCAACCUUGUAAUCAGCAGUCGCACGCUCAAACCAAAUGAGCUACUCCAGCUGAACAAUCAUAAAUUUCAAAUUAGCACUUAAAAUUAAUGUUUUGGACACUGAUUUUAAUUUCUUAACAUAUUAAAUUAUUACGUUCAAAUCAGAAUAUAUUUUUUAGAAGAAAAAAAAGAUAAAAUAAUAAAUGGUUAGAAGAAUUAGGCUGAUAAGAAUUUAUAGGUAAAUACCAAAUACUAUCAGUUUAAGUAAUAGGAGAUUUACCGGUAAAAAUUGGUGUGCAAAAUCCUUGUUCCCUAACAAGCAACCUAUGAGUAAGGGCGUCCACUCCAACUUGUCUUCAUUGAAUGGCAAAUAGUUCUCUACUCUCAAUAUCCCCAUUAUUAUUAUUAUUAUUAUUAUUAUUAUUUUUACCCAAUAGCCCAAUCUUGGAUUUGCAUUCAAUAGUCCAAUUAUGUAUUAUAUUGUUACAUUUAAUAGUUGUUUUUCUUUUAGAUUUUUUUUCCCAAUAGCCCAAUCUUGGAUUUGCAUUCAAUAGUCCAAUUAUGUAUUAUAUUGUUACAUUUAAUAGUUGUUUUUCUUUUAGAUUUUUUUUUUUUUUUUUUUUUUGCUCAUAUCAAACAAGCAUGUCAUGUAUUCUUUAAAAAAAGGAAAAAAAAAAAAAAAGGCAUAUCAUGUGAUAGUUUUUUAUUUUAUAAUAUCAUGUGUAUUAUCGAUAACUUAAUAUUUUAAUUUUUCUAUUUUUGUCCAAAUAAUUUAAAAAAAAAAAAAUGAUUCAUCCAAUUAUAUUAGAGGUAGAUGAUUUUUGAGAUAGGUAAGUCCUAUAAUUUGAUUGUACUUGAUGUGUAAGAUAUAUUAAUAAAUAAGUUUUAAAUUAAUAGCACUUCUAUUUUCAUUAUAUAUAUAUUGUUUUUUCUUUUACAGUUAUAAUAGUAACAUGGUAGGAGAAAUAUAAAGUUAUUUUCUUAUUAUAAAGUAAUUAAAUAAUAUUAAAGUUUUGUCAAUAUUGUCAUUAUUUGUAAUAAUAUUUAUUUAAUUUGCAUGCUGAUGUCAUUUUAAGGGAAAAGUAUAAACUAUUAUGAAUAAGAGUAACCUCCAUUAAGAAAUCUAAUAUAUAUAUAUAUAUAUAUUUUUAAAUAAAAGGUACAAAUAAUUUUAAUGCAAAAAACAAAAGAGUGGCAGAGAAAGAAGACAAUUAAUAUGCCACAAAAGAGUGAUUAUUAUUUAAACAUUUUUUGUUAAGUUAAAUUAUUAUAUCUUUAUUUUUUAAUUAUCAUCACAAUUUGAAUUAUUAUAUAUAGUUUAAAAUAUCAUUCUAUUCUCAAGUUUUUUUAUCAUAAUAUUAGAUAAUUAUAAUGUUAUAUUAUUGAUAAAAAAAUUACAAGUACGUAGUGUUGGAGUAUGUUGGUAAUCCCACAUCGGAUAAAUAUAACUAACUAAAAGGCAUAUAAUGUAAAGGGUGAACCAACCAAAAUGGCUCCGUUUUGUGUUAAAGUUAAACUCAACUCAUUAUAAGCCCAAUAUUAAAUAUAUAAUUAAAUUUGAUUUGAUUAAUUUAUUCAUAGGGCACAGAUUCUCAAUACUUAGAAUAAGUAUAAACGUGUAAUUUAUGUUUAAUAAAAAAAACUAAUAACAUAAAAAAAUAAAGAUUGAACCGCAUAUUGAAACGUAAAAUUUCUAUUAUAAUUAAACUUCCAAAUCUUAUUUUUGCCAAUAAUAGCAUACUUAACUGAAUUUGCUGGGAUAAAGAAAUAUUAUUUUUGCAAUCAAAGCAUAAUUGCUGAAUAUGCUAGGAUAAACUUCAAUUACGCCAUCUUAUUUUUCAUUAUUCUGCUGAUUCUGUGUUUGCAAUCAAACCUUUGUUUAAGCCGUGCUGGCAUGCAAGUGCUAUAAUUUCUCCACUUAAAAAAAGAAAAAGAGAAAGAAAAUAAUAAAUUAGUGUUAUCGCACUGUCAAGUAAGGUUUAAAUAGUAAACACAUUUAAAUUAACCAAUCAUUUAUUUAUAAAUAAUUUUUUAAAAUUAAAUGCAUCUAGUCACAUGCAAAUAGAAGUUUCGCCAAUCAUAGAAAAAUAUAUAUUUUUUCAUAUUUUUCUAAACAAAUUGAGAAUUUAUUACAAAGUAAUAUAAUAUAAUUUUAAUACAUUGUAAUAUUUAUAGAGAAAUAAAAAAAAUAUGAAUAUAAAAAUUGAAAUCUUUUAUUUAGUGAUUAUUUUAGCAAAUUAAUUUUAGAGUAAAAAAUAAUUCAUUUUCUAUAAGAUGACAGGAGAAAUUUUCUGCAAUAAUUUUUAAGUACUUGUUCCAUUUAUCACCUAUAGAAAAAAUACAAAUAUCAAUAGAGGAAUAAACAACAUUAUUAAAGUGUAAUUGUUCGAAAAUUUAUUCGAACAUGAAAAUUUAAAGUCUGCAACUAUAAAAAAUCAAUAAUGCAUCUUAUAUUUCAAACCGUUGACAAAGAAAAAAUCAAACAUAUAUAGUUGUUACGAAAGAAGUGAAAACACUAAUAAAAAUUACAACUAGAUACUAUAAAUAUUAAGAUCUAUCAAUUACGACGAAUGUGAUAAAUUAAAUCCAAGGUAUUUCGAAUGGCCACAAAUUUGAAGAUUAUUGAAAAAAAAAAGUAAAUAAAAUAAAAUGAUGAAAAGAAAUAAAAGGAACCAUCAAGGACUAAAGGAUAUGGUAAUUUUAUUUUAAAAUUACUUUUAUUAUAAAAAGAAGAUGUUUUUUCCCUUGAGAAAUUAAUAGUGCAUGAAAGAUGUUUGACAAGACUACCUUAACCAUAACGCUUGAUCUUUUAGCCCAAUUACUGCAAACGACAAAUCAUAACAGACACAAGCUUUACCAACGGAAAUAGUGGACAAAACAUCACUAACAAGCACCUUAUUGAUCCUCACAACCGAAACGCCUCCCUGAAAAUCCCACUUUCUAUCCGAGUAAAUUACUUUUUAAUCCAUAAGAAACCCAAUUAUCUAACUAAUUAAUUAAUUAAUCCAUUAAUCAACAUUAGAGAAUUAACCCAAGGGGGGAAGAGAACAAGAAAGGCAAGAAAUCCAUCGAAGCCUUGCAAACAACAAACACCACUUGCAUAAUCCACAGCGUUUAUGGACCCACCAUCAUCAGUCAGUUUCAGGACGUGUCAAACCCUUCUGUUGCAUGGCUCCUUAAACCACCGUUUCUUACCACCUUCUCUUUAGUCUUUAAAUACUCCUCCUUUCAUCACUUUCCUUCAAAGCCCAGUUCCUCUCUUUCUCCUCCGGUGACGUUCCACCGCUUCCGCUUUUUCUUGCCCACUCUGCAUGGAAACCCAUAAAUUCUUGUUCCUACUCUCCAACUAUGCUCUGUUUCUUGUUCUUUUACUUUCUUUUCUAGAUUUACAAAGUGGCUCUGCCUCUCGGUUGAACCCAUUUGAACCUGGAAUUCUUUUACCGACCGAAGAAGAUGCAUCAGAAGUUGAUGAUGAUCAAAUUGGCACCAGAUGGGCAGUUCUUGUCGCUGGAUCAAGGGGUUAUGGAAAUUACAGACAUCAGGUAAUAAAAUCCCAAUUAAUCCUUUCUCUCCCUAAAAAGCAAAACCAAUCAAUCUUUUUUUUUUUUUUUUUUUAAUUAUUUUGAGUUCCGGUUUCAAGAAACUACGUUCUUGAUUAUAAAUUUUAAUCAGUUAACUUCUACUAUUUAAAGAAAUUGUUUUUUUUGGGCAUGAUCUUAUUACAGGCUGAUGUUUGCCAUGCAUAUCAGCUGCUAAGAAAGGGUGGAAUUAAAGAAGAGAACAUAAUAGUGUUUAUGUAUGAUGAUAUAGCACAUCAUCAGUUAAACCCUAGAAAAGGGGUUAUCAUCAAUCAUCCACAAGGAGAAGAUGUAUAUGCUGGUGUGCCCAAGGUAUAUCCAUUCCAUUAUGUAAAAAAUCAAAUACUAUGAUAUAAAUGCUUCCACCAUAUAAUUGCGUAUAUUAUUUUAUAUACUAUGGUAAUUAUCAUGUAAUAGUAGAUACUUGGAUUUUUAUAAGUUAAAUCUGUGGUUAAGGUUUAUUAUUUAGUAUAAUGACGUCUCCCUUUGUUGAGUAUUGGUUGGCUGGCCAUCAUAUUUGAUAGUAAUUGAUAAUAUUUAUUUAUAUGGAGAGGAGCAAAAAUCAAGAAGUUGGUGGGUCCUUGACUUUGUAUGGGUCUGUUUCACAUUAUUUAUUACAGGACUCUGUGGAUCUUCACAAUUGCUUAGAUAUUGAAAAUUUGCCAGUUCUUUUACUUUUACUUUCAUUUGUCAGUGAGUUUUCUCUGUUGGAUCAUGUUGUUGAAAGUGAUGUUUAGGUUAAUUAUUUUCUAGGUUGAAUUCUUACAUUUUGAUUUUAAUUUUAUUGGUUUGUGCAAAAUAUCAUUGUUUAUUAUAGAAUCUUGCAACUAUACAAUACACAUAGAAAUAGUCGAAAAAAACUGACCAUUAUUAAAUUAUAUAAUGCAUUUAGAUUAUGAAUUUAUUUUUUGGACUCUUCUUUAAAAAAAUCUUUCCUGGAUUAUUAGAUGUGAUUAAUUAACUUGUUGCAUAACAUUUAUUUGGAUGGUGACUAUUUUUAAAAUAAAUAAAUAAGGAUUAUCAUAGUACGAAUUGUUGAACUCACCGAUAUUUUUUGGACAAUGUUGUAUGAUUUUAAGGUUCAAUCUUGAUUGGUGCAACUACAUUAUCAUUUGGUUCCACUAAAAUAAAGCAAGGAAUUCUUUAAUUGAAAGGGAGAAAAAAAAAAGCAAUGAUGUGAAUGAUCAAAACUCAAAAGCCAUUUCGGUCGCACUACCUUAUCACUUGGUUCCACUAAUUUGGUGGGAUCAACAUGUAGACAUUUGCUGUAACGGGUCUUUAAUAGGUGAUCAUAAUUAACUUGAACUUUGAUGGAUCAUAUGUGUGGCUAGGAUUAUACGGGCGAGCAUGUCACUGCUAAGAAUCUCUACGCAGUACUACUUGGUGACAAAAGUGCUCUCUCAGGUGGAAGCGGUAAGGUAGUAAAUAGCACGGCCAAUGAUAGGAUCUUCGUUUACUAUUCUGAUCAUGGCGGCCCGGGGGUUCUUGGUAAGCUGGCAAUUUCUUCUCUGUGUGGUGCUUGCUACUUAAUUUGCUAAGUUUAACAUUAAUUAACUAUUUUUGUAAUGUUAAUAAUGUAGGGAUGCCAAAUUUGCCUUUUCUAUAUGCAAUGGAUUUCAUAGAGGUUUUGAAGAAGAAACAUGCAGCCGGCAGCUAUGAAAAAAUGGUAAUUAAUUAAACAAAGUAUAAUAUUUUCAAGUAUGAGAAUCUAUGGAAUGGAAUAAACAAAGAGAUGAAGUUACAAAGUCGAUUUUUUUUUUUUUUUUUUUUUUUUUUUUUUUUUUGUGCUAAAUGCAGGUGAUAUAUGUAGAAGCUUGUGAAAGUGGCAGCAUUUUCGAAGGGAUCAUGCCGGACGACAUAAACGUUUAUGUCACAACAGCAUCAAAUGCACAAGAGAAUAGCUGGGGAACUUAUUGUCCUGGAAUGGACCCUUCUCCACCUCCAGAAUUCAUUACUUGUUUAGGGGAUUUGUAUAGUGUUGCUUGGAUGGAGGACAGGUCAGUUCAGUUCUGACACACAAAAUUUACUUCUUUUCUUAGUAAUACUGCUAAAUUAAUUUUCCUAAUAUGUAUAUGUAAUGAACUAUAUUUUGCCUAUUAAUUUUCUUCUGCAGCGAGACUCAUAAUCUGAAGAGGGAAACCAUAAAGCAACAAUAUAGGACGGUAAUUUUGAUUAUUUAUGUGAUUUAACACUUAAUUAAUUUUAAAUGAACAUUUUUAAUUUCUUCACUUAUCUCAACUUUUCCUAAAUUUAUGAAUGAAGGUAAAGGAGAGGACUUCUAAUUAUAACACAUAUACUGCUGGGUCUCAUGUGAUGGAAUAUGGAAAUUCAAGCCUUAAAACAGAGAAACUCUACUUAUAUCAAGGUUUCGACCCCGCAAAUGUCAAUUUGCCCCCAGUUAAUGCACAUGUCAAUGCCCCUAUGGAAGUUGUUAACCAGAGAGAUGCAGAGCUUCUUUUCAUGUGGCAAAUGGUGAGUAGUAUUUUACAUUUUGCAGCUUCUUAUAAUUGAUAUUAUAAAUGAAAUUACCAGCCGUUAGUAAUUUUCUCGUCUUUUUCUCUCCCUGCAGUACAAAAGAUCAGAUGAGCAGUCAGGAAAGAAAGCACAAAUCCUACAGCAGAUUAAAGAGACAAUUAAGCACAGAAGUCAUUUGGAUAAUAGCAUAGAAUUGAUUGGAACCUUAUUAUUUGGACCCCAAAAAGGUUCUACUGUUCUUCAAUCUGUUAGAGAACCUGGUUUACCCUUAGUAGAUGAUUGGACUUGCUUAAAAUCAAUGGUAACAUUAUUUUCAUUCCAGUCAAAAGUUUUGCCUCCCCUAUUGUAUAAUUUGUUGGUUGCAUAGUAACUAAAGAUAAUUGUUCCAUACCUUGAAAUCUCAGGUUCGAGUGUUCGAGACAUACUGCGGAUCAUUAACCCAGUAUGGCAUGAAACACAUGCGUGCAUUUGCCAAUGUUUGCAAUGGAGGGGUCUCUCAUGCCUCCAUGGAAGAAGCUUGCAUUGCCGCAUGCAGCGGCCAUGAUGCUGGCCAAUGGCAGCCUUUGAACCGAGGUUAUAGUGCCUAAAUUAGUCACAUGGCAGGAAAUGUGCGAGUAGUUAUUCAUAGUGUUUCACAAAAAUCACUACUGAGUUUAGAAAUUUUAGUGUUCCUGAUGUGAAAUAUCUGUUAUAGGACUAUAUGAUAGAGUUAUAGAUUUGUUAUAAUAAAGCUACAGAUCUGUCAUGGGCUUUGCUGUGGAACAUUAUGAUAUAAAGCUUUACACUUGUACUUUGAAGGCCACUUUGUGAUAAGCGGAAAGGCCUUCUUAAUGAUAACAAGCUGAUCUUUAAUGUAUUUCAAUGUUGACUCUUCGAAUGCCCUAAAAGAUUAGUAUGCAGUUUUAUUCUUUGACCUUGUUCUUUUUUCACACGUAUAUUCCUCUUAACUCUUUGUGGUACUACACAAGGUUACGAUCUAUGAAUAGGGAUUUUGAAGAUUUUAUUCCUAUAUGGAACCUUUCAAAAACGGCUCAAAACUUUGAAAUUAGGAAGUAGGGGACCAAAAACCAAUGUGAAGACAACCUAAUACAAUUGAAGUUUCUAAUAGAGGCCAGCAUGCAAUUGGUUAAGAAAUAAAAAAACAGGGACUUGAAACUGAGUAGCAAACGUCAACCAUUAUAAAUAACCUGAAUAGUAAUAUGAUGAAAGUUGACCUUGACCAUGUGCAAUUGAUGUCUGCCUAAUUAGCUAUUAUUGUCAAUGGGGACGGAACAUUUUUUUUCCCCAUUCCCAUUUUGGAGCACUCCUAAAAGAAGUGGUUAUGACGAGAAGUAAAGUUGUAAUUUGUUUAGCUUUUCACGUAGUAAGAAAUAAUCUGAGCAAAUUCUCAAACCUUGUAUUUUCUUCUUAAAGAAAUCAACGUAGACUUUUAAAGGAGCCAACUUGUAAAACCUCUUUUAGGAAAGUAUGAUGGUUUUCCUUCUCUUGAUUGCUUGCAAGAACAGUAUACCUCUCCCACUGGAGAGAUGAGACUUGUGUCGGUUUCAGGUCCGGAAUCCUUUAAUGGAAGGUCAUUUUGAAUUUUUUUGGGAAAUAUGACAUUACGAUUUAUUAAAAGUAAAGUUUCGUUAGAGAGCAUUUUCAUAUGGUCGAAUCUCCUUAGAGGAAUGCAAUGGUUUCAUAAGGCAGAUCUUGAGCCACCAUGCGAGCAAAAAUAUCUUUUUUGAAAAUAAUAUUCUUAGUGUAGAAAGUUUCAAAUUUAGGAUCUUCGAUUACAUAAUUUUACGAGAGAUAAAAUUAUAAAUAUGUAAAUUCAGAGUUAAAUAGACUACUUCAAGAGUAUUCAUACAUAAAUAAAUAAUAUAAAAAAAUACAACCAACACUUAUUGGAAAAAUAAACUCUAAAAAUUUAAGAUUAAAAGUGAUUAGCGAUUCAAUAUUUUAAAUAAUUAAAUUUAAAUAAAUAAAAAUAUUGAAUAUCUAUCUUCGGAGAUUUUUUUAAUAUCUCCUAUGCAUCAAUGAUCUAUUUUCUAAAAUAUCGUUAAUAGAUUUAAUUAUAAUUCUUUCAAAUUUUCUAAUAAUAAAUUCUAGAUUAUUAUCAUUCUAAGAUUUUAAAAAUUAAAAGGUGUUAAUCACUUUUAAAUCAUAGACAAUAAAACUUUUUGGUACGAUUUCAAUAACAUGGUGUUGGUAUAUAUAAGUUAAUUAUUUUAAUGACAUUGAGUGAUUGAUAUGGAGAAAGAAAUGUUGGAUGCCAAAGGUGGGGAAAAGGGUGAAAUUAAAUUAUAAAAAGGAAAAAAAAAUCUCUGCGCACAACUAAAUUAUCAUAUGCUAUUUGAGUUCUUAUAUUCACGAAAACUAAGAACUAGCUGGUGGAAUCAAAUUUUAAUUUCCAGAAAAAGGGGAAAAUUUUGUUGCCACAUCACCAUUCCUGACUUUGACAAUUACUGUCCCGGUGGCAAUUGUCCCAUGCGGCGAUCCUCAUCUUCACCUUCUCGAACUCCGAAUACCGGCAUGGUAUCUUUAUUCCACCCGAAUGAUUGUACCCGUAUACCCGCUCUGCACUCUUCAACAACUCUCCAAAUAGCGGGUGAUUGAAGUAUAUGACAGGCACCACUUCUCGUCUCGCGUCACCAUUUGAUUCGCCCACGUACACAGCCAAGUGCCCUCUCGGUACCUCCGCCGGUUUCGCAUGGCCCAGACGGACAUAUCCUCUAUUCGAAUUCAAAAAACCGGCCGUUUUUGUUCCCCGUCGUAACUUUCGAGCUAAGGCCAAGAUUUUGGAGAUGGGAUUAAUGGAUCUCUUGACGGGAUAAUCCAAGGAGCGGGAACGGGUGGGUUUUCUACAGGGUCGGAUUAUCCAAUCGAAAACUCUUACAAGCCUGCGGCGAAGCCGGAAAACUCUAAGCUUUUUCAUGGCGGUAAGUUUAAAGAUUCAAGAAAUGAGUCUUCAACUUUUAGGCGCUUUGACGAUCAAAAUCCGUCAAAUGGAGUUAGAGGCGGCGGCGUGGGUGGGUGCAGAAGUGAUAUUAAUGGAGUCAAGUACGAAGAAGAAUGAACUACUUAUGGUUUGAAGAUUUCAGAGAGCUCUUUGCAAGUGUUUUGUCUGGAGAGUCAAAGCUUGGUCCGUAUAUAUACAUAUAUGUACACGUGUGUUUAAUUGUACACGUGGCUAUAUGUAGAGAGAGAUAUUUGGUCGGCACACGGUUCAGAGACCAGAUAAAAAGAAAUUGAGAUUGGACAAUGAGCAGUUCUUGUUUUUCAUUUUUUUCCUUUUUAUUUUUUGUUUUAUUCAUAAAAUGAUAACAACAAAACUAAGAACAGUAAUAAUGAGGGUUUUGUAUCUUAAUAAACAAAUAUUUGCGACUAAAAUUAGUAUUUUCAAUAAAUAAAUAACGACAAACAUGUUGUAAUUUUAUUUUUAGACAAAAAGACAAAAAGACAGAAAAUAUAGGAAAGAUAUGGAGAUGCGAAUACAGGGGUCAGCUAAAUGAACGGUCUGAUGUCUUUUGGCCUUAAGAUGUCCCGAGAAGCCAAGCCAUCAUAAUUAGGUUAUUAGUUUUUACAUUAAUCAACAAUUGUUAAAUUGCAAGUAGAAAGUUGAUUAAUGUAUUCCAUCUGUAACACAAUUUCAUUUUUUUAUUUUCAAAUUAUACUCCUAUUUCUCUACGAAUUAUACUGUUUAUUUCUCUAUAAUUUUUUUUAUUAUAAUCCAGUUAUAUCAACUAUAUUUUAUUAAAGAUAAUUUAUAAUAUAAUUCCGUAAUACGAAAUGGUACCCCUUCCUUAAUAUGACAUUGUUUUAAAGUAGUUGUACGUACGUGUCGUACGAAGCAACAGUUAAGUACUUAAAGGUCAACCCAGGAACUUGGAAGUCUUUGCUAAUGAUGUAGAAUUACUGGCAAUUGAGAGAUGUGGGCAUUUACUUAAAUUAUAUCCAUUCGUUUUUAUUUUAUUUAUUUAUUUAUUUAUUUAUUUAUUUUUAUGACUUGUCUAAGUAUGAAAAUGUCAAAAUAUCAGAAUUACGUCCCAAACUUUGCUUAUGUACCAAAAAUACAGGAAAAAGAAAAAAAUUGUUUGUCAUAGCGUAUAUUUAAUAUGGGCAGUUGCUUAAUUUAUUUUUUAAAAAAAAAUAAAUGAAUUUUCUAGUGAUUUUUUUUCUUUUGUCAAAUAAUAAAAAGCUAAUUUCAUACAGUAUAAGAAAUUAAGUCGUGAUUGUUAUGUAUUAAUUAAUUGAAGAACUUAUCCCAAAUUAAUGUGGAUCCAUCUCUUCACGCCUAGGGUGUAAAAAUUGCAGAGGAACACAUAUGCUGAUGACUCAACAUUGAUAGACUUUAAUGCCAUAUUAAUAAAAUCUUAAACAAGUUUUAUAUUCUGACUAAAGAUCUUAAACAAGAACUUUCUAUUUCACAUGCUAAGAAAUGUAAGUUGGAAAGUAAAAAAUGCAAGUUUUAGUUUGAGCAUUUUAACUAAAAUUAGUAAGUAUGAAAAUAAUAAAAUGAUCAUAAUAGUAAUGAUUUUGUUUACUUUACGUCUAUAUAAAUUUAUAUCAUUUGAAUAAUUUUUUGAUGUGCAAUGUUUUGUAUGAUUGAAAUAUCUCUAGUCUUUAGAUCAUUAUCUGCAAUAAAUGAGUGUUUCUGAAAUUAGAUUCUUUUAUAAACCGAAACAAUUUGACUUAUCAUUUUCUUCAUAAAAAACUAGCAUAUUAAUAAAAUUAAUUUAAAUCAAAUUUAUUAAUUAGUGGAUUCUUGUUCUAAGCUAUAUGUUUUAGAAAAUUCAAUGAAUUUUCUUUUUUUAAAAAAAAAAAGAAAAAACAUAUAUCAUGUGUAAUUAUGGAGGAUCACAAGGACCAAAUUAAUAUGCAAGAAACUGAAAUUUUAGCCACGUCCAAUUCUAAAAAAUGAACCACACACACAUGCACCUUUUCACUAAUAAUGAACAUGUUUUUUACGUUCCCGCAUAGAUAAUAAUUUUUAGUGUUACGUUUGAUAUUUUCCCCAAAAUUUCUGGAACAUCACACCAAAAUUGAGAAAAGUUAGAUUUUUUUGUUUGAAAAGCAAGAAGAUAAGAGCCUUUUAGGGAAAAGUAAGGCAAGAAGAGUAGAAGAGAAAUUAGUUGGAGCAAAGAGGCAACAAAAUUCAACUGUUAGUGCUAAAAGGAAAGUAGGUUACGCAAAUUGCAGGGUCACUUGCGCUUCUUGUAUCAUUGUCUUCUACGGUAAUGAGACUGCGAUCUUUCCAAAUUCCUAAGUAAAAGGAAGGUUGGUUGGUUCGUCUAAAGAUGAGCUCAUGUACGCUAAAUUACAACGGUAGAGUAGGAUUUCAAAAUUAAACAACCAAAGGAAAUUUUUUAAAAAUUAGAUUGCAAGAAUUAAUUAAUCGUUGAUAAGAACUGUGAGGUAUAUAUAAAAUCCUUUAUGAUGUGCCAAAAUAUGAGUUAAUUAUGUAUUAAGGGAUUUUUAUUCGGUGAUUCUGAAAUUGUUUUUCAAAAUAAAAAUUAGGGCUUUCAGUUUCAAUCCAAGUCAGAUUACAAUUAGAUCUAUUUGCUGAUGGAAAACGACAAAUAAUUAAAGGUAAGCAAUUGUCUGCAACUGGGCUGGUUGUUUGCUUAGACAAGCAAACAAAACCUACCGUUUUGUCGUAAUCCCAUAUUGCACGGACCUUAAUCCGCUGUGGAAAAACGUAGUACGGUUUUAUAAUUAAUAUUACUAAAUGCUAAUGACGAAACCUAAGCAGCUACUUCAAUUCUUAAACUAUUAUAUAUUAACUCUUAAACAAUUAAGCUGGCAUCUCAAAGCUAGUGAGUUUGUUUUUUUUAAUACUUAAGCUAAACUUGUGUGGAUAAAAAAUACAAAUCUGUUGUCUGAAAAUUGUAUCAUUCACAUGUCAGCUUUGGCCUAAUGCAAGUAUUAGUGUAUAUAUAUAUAUAUUUGCAAUGAAACAAAAUAGAGAAAAAUCCAAACCUCACCAGCUACUUAACUGCAAGUAAUCGAUCAUGAGUUGGAUACAGAUGGAAAUGAAGUAAUGAAAAGGCCCCGUCAAGUUAAUUACUGCAUAUUGUAUACUGUAUGUAAAAGUAUACUGUAAACUGUAUAUAUUGUAUACCGAGAAAGACUUAUCUAUACUGGGUGUGGAUCUACCUAUGUACUAAAUCAGGUGUAAAUAUUAUUUUGAUUCAAAUGAGGGUAUUUCUGAUUGCACGCAAAAAGACUAUCCACACACUGAAUAUACGCAAGAAAUUCCUUGUAUAUAAAAGUAAAAAAUACAAUAAAAAUCAAUUUUAUUUACUCAUUUUAUGAAUCAGUCUUCGAGCAGUUCGCAUUGAAUCCUUUGAAAAUAUAUUCUGCGUUUAUCAAUAUCAUAUGCCACAUUAUAAUUUUGCUGAGCCAAGAUUCCAAUUAUAGAAACCUGUUCAUCGGAAUCACCGGGAAGAAACGCUAAGCAAGACAGACCUUCAUCUAAUUUAAAGAAGAUGCUUCCGACCUCCAAUUCCAAUUCAGCCCCACCAGAAAAAUGAAAUGUGAUUGUCGGAAAACCCCUAAGGUUUCUGAAGAUAUUUCCAUAAUAACACAACUGUUUGAAACCAUCUACAUUGAUCCAUGUUGGAGUCAAGAACCCAUUAAUAAUAUUAAAAACUUUAUUUGUAAUUUUAGCAUAAGCAGCUUUAGGUAAAUGCGUAAGUUCAGAUCCAGAGUCAAUUAUCACGCCACCUCUAUCUUCAACUCUCUCAAAAAUGCUAAAAUCUAUGUCAAGUCUUUCCUGUCCUAUACUUAUCCAUUCAAGUGUUACAAAGUAAAAGUUGUCUAUCAGCUCGAAACGAGUAGAGUCACCUUCAAUGUCCACAUCCUUGCCUAGUUUUAGUUUAUUAUAGCUAUAGAAAGGAUCCUGAACAUCGCCAACGCAGUAAGAGAAUUUACGUCCCAGGUGGUUCACUAUAGAGUUACUUGCAUAUCCCAGUCCAAACAUUCCAGAUCCUAAUCCAAAUGUCCCUGUAUUGUUUAUACCACAUCCAAAGACAACAUCGUCUACUGCUACUAUACCUUCAUCUCGUGUUUCGAAUAUUAACCUUUCAAUUCCGAGUAUCCCUCUUGACCCGGUAUUGUCCAGGUAAGAUAUUUCAUAAAUGCAGUUACCGUCAUCAUCACAUUUUGCUGAUUCACAAGAGCGAUCUGCGCAAGGCAUAUUUUUGUACGUUGAAGAACUUGUAUGAUCAUAAAAUGGAACCUUUUGGCUAGAACAAUUUAUGCAUCGCCUGCAUUGAAUCCAAGUUAGAUCAGAACCUGUAUCCAUAAAAGCUAAUUGCGGUACAGGUGGUUGACCAAUGAGGAAACUAACAGAAAAACCAUGAACCACAUUUUUGAGACUGGCUACGUAGGUGUAGUCGUCGUUUUCAACUACAAAAUUUCUCUUAACCUUUGCCUGCAAGUACUUAAAACGUGCAUUCGAGUUUUUGACGGUUCGAUCAGCUCGAUCUUUAGUACUUUCGCUUGGAUUAUAAUAUGGAGAGAAAAUGGAGUUGGUGUGGAUGAGUUUUACAACAAGUUUUUGAGGCUUUGUGUUUGUAGUUAAUGCAAAGGCUAAGAAAAGCAUCAAUUCUAAUGUCAAUGAACUUGUCAUUGCAAUUCUUUCAUUAAGUUCUGAAUGAAUGGAGAAGAGUAUAUAAUAUUCUUUAGCAAAAGAUACAACUUACAAGAAUUAGGUUAGAAGAUGGAGAGAAAAGAGAGGCAAGUGACAGAGAAUGAAAGAUUGGAAGAUGGAAAUUGGAAUGCCAGAAUAAAGAAGGUGUUUGAUUUCUUUUCCAUUUAACAUUUUAGUAAUGAUUUAUAGAGAUUAGGUUCUGGAGUAGUAGAGCGAGGAGAAUAACAAUGACCAUUAACUAGUAAAGAUUGGCAGGUUAGAAUACAAUCAGUAUGCCCUUGGGAAUUUUGCUUUUGUAUUGGGCCCAAAAAAUGUAAGUGCAGACUGUGCAGUGGUUUCUCUUUCCUUUUGGGCCUCGGCCCAUCUUGUUUUCAUUUCUGCUCGGUUGUCAGUUACAUUGACCAAAUUCAUUGGCACCUACAGCAAACUAAUAGGCUCAAGAUUUUCAAGCACAGGUAAAAGACUCUCAAUUGGAGUACUAAUUGAUUAAUGAUAAAUCUAUAAUCCAUGGGAAUAGAAGAGAAAAAUUUAGAUGGACGACACAAUAGCUUUAAAAUUUUAUUUUUAUGAAAAUAAAGGAUUUAUUUAGAAAUUAUUUACGAAUAUAUAAAAUAACAAAUAUAUCCUAAUAUUUUUUUGACUCGCUUAGAAAUAUUUUUAACUCAGUUAAAAUUUCUAAUAUUUUUAAAAAAUGAUAAAAAUGUUUUGGAAUUUAUUGGAAUAUAGAAUUUGGUCAAUAUGCAAUGAAAUGAUCUCAUUUCAAUUCCAUUUUGAAAUGCUUGAAAGUUAAAAUUUCAUUACAUUCUAUUUCAAAUAUUUUUAAAUUUAAAUUUCACUCUAUACUAUUACAAUUUGGUUUAAAUUUGAUAAUUUUAAUUUUUCAACCAUAAAAAUAAAUCUAUUCAUGAAUUGCAAUAAAACAAUAAAUUAAUCUCAUACAACUACAAAUUUAAAUUCAUUCAUCAACCAUCAACUUAUAUUUUUUAUUUUUUUAGGCAUAAAUUGAUUAGAGAAGGUAAAGUAAUAAAAAAAAAAAUUAUAUGUAUUGUACACCAUAUAUGAAAGUAAAAAAAAUACAAAUUUUAUUUACUCAUUUUAAUUUCAUCAGUCUUCGAGGAGUUGACAUUCAAUCCUUUGAAAAUAUAUUCUGCGUUUAUCAAUAUCAUAAGCCACAUUAUAAUUUUGCUGAGCGAAUAUUCCAAUAAUAGAAAACCCUUCAACAUCAGAUAUAUUAAAAGGAGCCAACCACAAGCAAAAUUCACCUUCAGCUACUAUAUGGAACAAUGCUCUAAACUCCAACUCUAGUUCAGCCCCAUCUGAAAACUGAAAUGUGGUCGCCGGAAAUCCCUUAAGAUCUCUAUUCAUAUUUCCAUAAUAGCACAACCGUUUAUAUGUACCUACAUCAGCCCAAUAUGGUUUCAAAAACCGAUCAAGAAGAUUAUGAACUUUAUUUGCAAUCUUAUCAUAUGCAGCUUGAGGUAAAACGGUAAGUUCAGUUCCAGAGUCAAUUACCACACCACCUCUGUCCUGAAUUUUCUCAAAUACAUCAGGAUCUAUGUCAAGUCUUUCUUGUCCAAUACUUAUCCAUUCAAGAGUUAUAAAAUAAAGGCCGUAUCUCAGCUCGAAAGGAGUUGAGUCACCUUCAAUGUCCACGUCCUCGCCUAGUUUUAAUUGAUUGUAGCUAUAGGAAGGAUCGUCAAUAUCACCAAUGCAAUAAGAGAAUUUACGUCCGAGCCUGUGCACUAUUGAGAUACUUGAAUAUCCAAGUCCAAAUAUUCCAGAUCCUAGUCCAGGGAUAGUCAUUGAAUUAGAUAGACCACAACCAAAUACGACAUCGUCCACUGCAACUAUACCUUCAUCACGUGUUUCGAAUGCAAACUGUUCUCUUCCAAGUCUCCCUCUUGACAUGGUACCGUCCAUGUAAGCUAUUUGGUAAAUGCAGUGACCAGAAUCAUCGCAUUCCUUUACACAGGAAGGAUCUUGGCAAGAUAUAUUUUUGUACGUUGAGGAAGUUCUAUCAUCAUAAAACGGAAUUUCUUGGCGAGCACAUAGUUGGCAUCGCUUGCAUUGAAUCCAUGUUACCGUACUACCUGUAUCCAUAACAGCUAAUUGUGGUACAGGUGGUAAACCAAUUGAGAAAUUAACAGAAAAAACACGAUGAACAAAAUUUGAUAGAUUAGCUACGUAGGUAUUGUCGUAGUCGUUUUGAAUUACAAGAUUUUGCUUAACUUUUGCCUGCAAAUACUUAAAACGUGCAUACGAGUUCUUUAGGGUUCGAUCAGCUCGAUCUUUUAUACUUUCGUUUGCAUUAUAAUAAGGAGAGAAAAUGGAGUCUCUGUGGAUGAGUUUAGCGACAAGUUUUUGAGGUUUUGUGUUUAUAGUUAAUGCAAAGGCUAAUAGAAUCAGCAGUUUUAAUAUCAAUGAACUGGUCAUUGCAAUUCUCUCUUUAAGUUUGGAAUGAAUAUAGAGAAGGAUGUAUAAUAUUCUUUAGCAAAAGAUACAAAUUAUAUAUGCAUAAAGAAUUAAGAUACCCUAUGUAAUAGAAAAUGUUCAAGUGGGAAAGAAACGAAAGAUUGUAAUAAAAUGAAAAAAUGGAAUGUGGGUGUAAAGAAUGUGUUUGAUUAUUUCCCUUUAUUAUUUUACUAAUGAUCUCAAAUUAGAAAAAUAAGAUUUGAUUAUGUUUUCUAGUAGUAUAAUGAGAGCAUAACAAAGAUUGUUAAUUAGUAAAGAUUGGUAGGUUAGAAGUACAAUAUGCACUUGGCAAGGGAAUUUUGCAAUCUUUUCUGUUGUAUUUGUACCCAAGAAACGUUUUCGGGCUUCGGCCUAUCUUGUUUUCGUUUCAGGUCGGUAUCUAUUUAUACUGGCUAGCAACUUCCUGCAAAGUAGUAGGCCCAUAUUUUCAAAACCAGGUAAAAGUCUCUUCACAUGUAAAAAUGUUUAAAGGUGAUUAAUUCCAGAAAGAAAAAUUUCUAAAUCUGCGUAUCAUUGAUUAACAACAAUCUUUUUUAGGUUAGUUUGGUGUGCGUGUAUGUUAGUUUUGAAUCUUUAUAACUUCAAUUAUAAACAUAUAUUUAUGUAAUGAUGAGAAUACCUCAUAGGUUACGUCUAAUUGGGUAAUUUUUCAUACUUGUUCAUAAUCCAUAUAUGUUAGUAUCAUUAUAUCUCAAAAAUGAUGAUAAUGAACCACCUCCAAUAUCUUUUCCAACGUACCUAACAGCAUGGUAUCAUACUCCUAAUUAAAGAUGAAAUUAAUUUGUCAUCAACAUUAAUAACAAGCCUACAAAUCAUGCUCUUCUCCACUCCAUUUCUCAUGAAUAGAUGAAGCAGAAACAAAUUAUUUUAAAGCUUAACAUAAUUUUAAUUUCACUUUUAAAUCAUAUGCUUUCUCAAUUCUAUAGUACAACUCUUAUACCAACGGUUGAUGUAAUUGCCCAUAAGUUAAAUCUAAUUAACACUCUCAUUCUAUUUAAUUAGUAUUGUAAUCCUAAUUAAUCACUUCUUUAUAUAUACAUAUAUAUGUGUUUGUGUGUGUGUUUGUUUUCAUAAAAUUGAAUGGCUUUCCCUGUAGAAGAACCCUUCUCCUAUUUGAUUAGAUGUGAACACAACGUUAGGCAGACAGCCCUAUAUAAGGACGAUACUCUAUAAUCUAUAUCAAUUGAUGGCCUUUUUCUUGUGGGAAGCCCCACAGCCAUUCUCUACGAAGGAUUGCUUGUUUAUCAACUGUAACUACUUUGUGGGACAUGCAUUAGGGCAACUUAUUUAUAUACAAUUAUAGUCCUAGAGAAUUAAUAUAAAGCUCUCUUUCCCCUUCAUGCAAAAGAAGGGUUCACAUUGGCCUUUCUAAGGGUUAGUGCCCUUCAAUUCAUGGGCAUUGAGGAAAAGCAAUAGGGCAUGGCGACCUGUCUUUUAGAAUUUGGUGACAGAAACAGAGCUUUCAUAUAUCAAUUUACAAAUUAUAAUGCUUCUCAAUUGGUCCACGCCUUCCUUUUUUUUUUUUUUCAAAAAAAAAAAAAGGAAAAAGAAAAAAAAAUCUUCUAGAUAAAUUGAUACGUGGUGAUGACUGAUUAAUGAGGUUUAAUUAAAUAUUUUAUGUAGUAAAAAAUUAUAAUUAAUGAUUAUAUAUUCACUUAAAACAGAAAAAACAAAAAGAGAUAGGCUUUUGUAGAAGUAUCUUAACUUAAUAUCGAAGCAUAAGAACUGUAACCCUCCAGAAAUGCUAAUAAGUUUUUAUUAAUUUGAAGUAGAGGUAGUGAAAGAAAAUGAAAUGAUAUUGAGGUUUAAUAAUCAUGGGAAGUCGGUGGAUUUGACGGUCCAGAUUGUUGGAGCACUGGAUCUGUUUAUGAUUGAAGUUAGAUAUGUUAAUUGAUUAUUAAUGGUUAAAAAGUUUCAGUGACACAUAACUAAUUAAUCUUGAAGCAUCAAUAAAAAAGGUAAUACUAUAUGACCCCCCUUGUUAUAAUGAGAACAGCAUCUUCGCAUACUCUUCUUGGAUUUCAUAUCUUCUCCCAUUAACUUCCACUAACUUCAAAAAUUUUAAUUGUUUCCUUCCAUUCACCAAUUUUUAGGUUAUUAUAUAUAUAUAUAUAUCGUUACGUCUAUUUUUACGUACCAAUAGUGUGUGCAUAUAUUUCGGUUAAUCUAUAUUCUUGUGUGUUACUAAAUUCUAUAUAUGGUUUAUACUCAUAUUUUAUCACGUCUGUUAUUACAUGUCAGUCAAACAAAUCAUAUCACCGUGUAUUACCAGAUAUUAUAUAUAAAAAACAAAAAUUUCAUGCAAUAAUGCUUUUAUGGGCUUAAAUUUUUGGAUUAGAAUUAAUUGAUUCACAGUUUCUGAAAAAAAAAAAAAGUUGAUAAAAAUUAUCCAAGUUGUUGAAUGCGGUUCAUGAUACGAAAAUAUUUAGAAGCACUAGUGAGUUAAUUUUCUUCCAGCACACUCAUUGCAUAUGAGAGCAAUUUCACAUUAUAUGUUUGUGAAGAGUGGUGCUAUGAAUCUCAGAAUCAGUGCAACCUUUCCAAUUAAGUUCUAACCAUCAAAUUAUAGGACAAGACGUUAAACUUUUGAUCUGAUUUCUGUUUUUCUGCUGUAGAACUGUGUUUUGUGCCCUCUUAUUAUUACUGUAAAAUCUGUCUAGAUUAACAUUUUGAAAUAUGAAGAUUAUGUAUAAUGAUUUCAAAUUCCACUUUCUUAACCUUCAUUUCUUAACCCUUAUUAUUAUUAUUAUUAUUGCCAUAAUUGGUAUUAUUAUUCUGAAGGGGACAUAUAAACCAAAACGUAAUCAUACUCUUCUGUUGCUAUGGACAUAAUAUAUAUACAUAUUCCUAACAUGGCAAUCAAGACUCCUAAAAGAGCCUCAGCCAUAGAAAAUGACAUCAAGAUUGUCAUUAUUAGCCACCACGCCUUAGAGCAACAAACAGUAAAAUGAUGGAGCCCCCCCUUUGUGUGCAUGUGUUUUUGUGCAGAAGUAGUGGAGUUGACUUUCAAGUCAAUAGUCAACGAUCCCAAUAUCAUUUAAAUCGAAGGGAUAAUGUUUAAUUUGAUGUUUAUUGUUAGUUUAUUCUAAUGAUCAUAAUUACAGGGAUGGGCUUACUGUUUUAAUUAUAAUAACAUAUAUUAGAUUUAUAUAUUAUGAACGUGCUUAUGCCUCCUUAAUAUAUUCCUAAAACAGAAGAAAUAUGAAAAUAUUAAAUUAUAUAUGUAAAAAAAUAUAUAUGUGGAGAUAUGCGUGAGAAAUAAAUAUAAAAAAAAUAUACUUUUUUAAAUAAAAAGCUAAGGAUAACAAAAAUUAAAAACCUUUGAUCAGAUCUGAAAUUUUGAUUAAUAACACAUAAACCCUUUUGAUGAGAUGUGGUAUAUGUUUUUCUUGUGAUGUAACUUUCUCCUUGCCAAUUGGAUUUUUACAAUUAACUCUUUAUAGAUAGCUAAUUUGACAAUUAAAUCCUAUUCGAAUAAUAAUAAUUACAUAAAUAUUUUUAAUUUAUUGAAUAAAACACAAUAUUUGGUUUUUUUAUUGGAGUUGCGGCAUUCAGCAUUAUGGUCUUUUACUAAUUUAUUAAUAUAAAACCAUAAUUACUGAGAAAUUUAGUGAUAAUGGAAACUAAUUAUAGCUUAUAUUUCAUGUUCUGAGCUACAUAAUUUGCAGAUUAUAUAUACAUACAAAAACACCUGAGUGGAUCUAAUAGUGAUUGCCAUAAAUGCAAUUAAUGGAAGCUAUGCAGAGACAAUGAGUGCCUGUAUUUUCCAUGAAUGAGAGACAUUUGCAAAAAUUAAAACUUUACAUGUAAUCUUUACAACGUUAGAAAUAGCAAAUGGAAUAGUCAAAAAAAAAAAAAAAAAAACAUUAGGGUUAUGUUUUUCCUUUUCCACAUAAUGUUCAUGUAUUUGAUAAAUGAAUUCAAAACCUACCAACCCAACAGCAAGAGGACAAGAAACUAGAUUUGCCCAAAGUGGUGACGUGUUAAUAACCCUUUCCUUUUCUAAUUAAGAAGAAAAUAAAUGUGGGUCACGUGCUUAAUUGUUUAGGUGUUUUGUGAAGGUAAUCAUGCUUUUGGGACAAAUAGUGCGACCUAAUAAAUCUUUGUCUGCCGCGUGGUGAUGCGCGUGUACUUGUUUCCUGAUAUUAACAGAAAGAAACACCUCAGCUCUUUCUCUGUCUUUUCUGUCUCUCUCUUUUUGGUUCAUCUCUUGAUUCUUUUAAGUUGAAACCAGCAAAAAUUGGUCUUCGGGCUUUGCUACAGUGUGUAAGGAAGGUUCAGUUACAAGGGUUUGGUUUUAAUAGAAAAAUUGAACCGAACCGACAUUAUUCGAUUUGAUUCAUUCGAGUUCUUAAGCAAAAUUAGUUUGAUUUGAUUAGUUAAAAAUCAGAAUUAGGUCAUGUAUACGUAAGGUGCAAUUUGUUAUUUGAAAGAAAAUUAACAUUAUCAUAUUACUAAUUAUAUAAACAAACUAUUAGUACUGUUAGGAUUAGCAAUCUAACAAGUAGAAAAUAAUGGUUUUACAGAUUUAAUUAUAUCUCGGGUUGCAGAUCUCAAUUUAUAUAAAGAUUUUAGUCCGAAUAGAUUAUGUUUUGAAAAUUUAAUUGCAAGUCAAAAUUCAAUUUAUAAAUAGGUAUACUACCUUGUAAUCUAAGGUAUGUAUUUUCUAUAAACAUAAAAUUCAAGCUAAGAUGACCAUAUUAAUCUUAUAAUUGUAAUUAAUAUGCGAACCAACUAAUUAAUGAUUCAGCUGAAAUUUUCCUCAAUGUGAUACACUAAUUAUUUCCCUAAUUAAACUAAUUAAUUACUUUGCUUAAGAGUUUUCAAGUUUUAAGUUGGUUUUCCAUCCCACUUACUAAUCAAUCGUUUAAUUCAUGAAAAUUAAAUUUUUAUAUCAGUUAACAAUAAAAUAUAACAUAAUAAUAUUUUAUUAUGUUACUAUUGAUUUGAUUAACCUAUACCAUCAGGAAACUAAAUUUCUUUUAAUUUUUCUAGCAAAUGCCUUUUGGACCCCAUGAUAUAAUUGACUUGUUCCAUAUAUAUAUACGAUGACUCUGAAAUUUUAGCCUGAAAGCAUCCCCUGGAGAGGAGAAAGAUGGUAAACUGUCGUCAACAGAAAAUAUAUAUAUUCGUUGUGAAAGGAAUAGUCUACUUUGUAUUGCCCAAGCUUUACUCCAUACCCUUUCUAGAUUUAUAUACAUUCUUGGAAAUACUUGGACCAAAAACAUAUGCCAAAAAAAUAAAAAAGAAAAAAGAGAUCCAAGAGGCUUAUAUUAUUCAUUAUUUCAUUCCAGUAUUAAUGAAAUAUUGUUGGAGUACGACGGCAAUAAUGCAAAUAAAAUUAUUUUUGUACUUACCAAUAUCAUACCUCCAUUAAUAUAUCAAGUAUUCAUAACAUGAAAUCGUAAAAUCAAUUGGGAUUCUAGUAAUAAUAUUGAACAUUGAGUUGGAUUAAAAUUGAAAUAAUUAAAAUACAAGUUAUUAUUCAAAAUCUAUCACGUUUAAGCCUCUCGAUAUAAAAACUAAUGUUCAUUAAUUAGUAUGUAUUUAGCAAAUGGAAGGGUUCAAAAUUCAAAUCCAUGAAUAAAAACUUAACAUAAAAGAGUUGAAAUUUAUUGAAUUUUUCUUUUUUUCUUGGAGAGCUUUAAAAGCACUUAUGCUUUCCAAUUAAUUUCAUCCUUCGCUAUCUAUUUUGCAACUGUCAGAUUGUAGUCCACUCCAUUAUCAAGGUAACACUUUCUGAAAUUGGUAUAUCAUUUCUUCAUAUAAUAUAAGAUUUUUGGUAUUGAUAAUGUGUAAUAAGUUUAAACUUUUUAAAUGUAAACUAGACAACCAAUAGCAACUCACCGAGUAACUCCAUGCCAAAAAAUUUAAAAGAGAGAAAAAAAAAAAAGAAUUUACAUGAAUUAAAAAGGAAAACCCUUUAGCAGAUUUUUAUUAGAAGGCAGCCCUAUCCCAUAUGUGAUGGAGAAGGAUAAAUUUUUUCCAAAUUUAAUUUAAUUUUUAAGCACUUUUUAGAGAGUUGGGCAUCCCUAGUUGAACGUGGGGAACCAAAACAAUUAUGGGUCUAUUUCAGCAAUCAUUAACAGAGGCCCCCCACCACUUCUGCUUCUGCUUCUCUUAACUUUUCCUAAUCUCAAUCUUAAUUUUCAUUAAAUGGCAACAAAACAAACAACAUAUUGUAAAUAAGAUUUAUGAAUUUUCACAUAGACUUGAGGAAAAUUUUAUAUUUUUUAUCCCUCUCUCCAUAUGCAAAUACCCAAUAAGAAAUGGGAAAUAAAAAUCAUAUCAUCAUGUCUUUCAUUUGAUAAGGACAAGUAGAUAGCAGAAAUUAUUUUGUACAGUGUAUUUCAGUUACCACAUCACAUACCAUAAGGUAGAAUAUCAUUUGUACUCUCAUCUACAUUGCAUUUCUCAUUUUUCGAAGAUUCACCGAUUGAAGUUCGCCGGGUUAAAAUUAUAAUAAACUGUAGCUUUUCAAACUGUGAACAGCCACGCAAGCUUGGUGUGGGACAGGAUGACACUUGGAUAACGUUGGAGACUUUUGCUUCACUUCUAUGCUUUUUACAACGAAACAUAGCCAAGCAUUAUAUAUAUAUUUUUUGCCCUGAAGACCUUAACCCUAGCCGAUAAACCAGAAAAAGCAACAGGGUUAGUAACUUGACUUACCGGAAUGCACUAGCGCUUUAAAAUAAGAGAGAAAUUCUUAAAAAGUGCAAAAAAAAACUAAUGUUAUAUGUACAUGUGGCAGUCCCGGAAGGCAUCAGCUUCACUGGCAAAAAAGUGCAGUGAAGUGGGGCCCCGUCUAUGAGAUGCGCAGUGGGGCCCAAACGGGAUAACCGGAUGGGGACCACAAACACAACCGGCCUGCAGCCCAAAUUGUGAGCUUAAUGAUCGUGGCUAGCCCACGCCGGCACGCCGGACCAUAAGCCGCCACGUUCUCAGUUUUCAACAUCAUUCCGUUUUUGUGGGUCCCUUUCUCCACCAACAGAGGCUUACACUAUUUCUAUUUUUCAGAUUUCCUCCGAAUUAAUUGCGUAAACAAACCCUCAAUGUAAUUUAUAAAAUAAUAAAAGAAAAUUUUUUUUCCUAAAAAAGGAACCUUCAGGUUUUUGUGGCUGGCUUGGCUUGGAGGCUGAGCGGAGCUGUGAGUGUCGUAUUUUCAAUUAUUUAAAAACAAAAAGAAAUUUGGAGAAGUGUCCUUAUCGCGAUACAUAGGGUCGGUUGGUGGGGCCCGAAAAUUGACAGCUUUUUGGAACAGAAUAAAAAAAAAAAAAAGAAAUAUAAAAUUGCAGACCAACCAACCAGAGACCGCGUGCAAUUGGCAAGUGCUGGUAAGGACUUGGAUAAUAUUUGAUUUUAUCAUAAAGCCCACCAAACCUUAAAAAUGUCACCAAACCUUAAAGCCCCGCUUUCUUAAUUCCAUAUAAAUAUAUUUAUUAAUUUUAAAAUUGCACUUUUAGAAACUAAUUUAUUUUUCUUUUUUUUAAGGUUGUUAUUAUUUUACCAUCCUUUUUUGGUAAGCUUGAAGUUGCUGAUGAGUGUGUAAAGAAAAAAAAAAAGAAUGGAGAAAUGGUGAUGGUCUGGUCCGUACCAACAUAGUAUAAUAUUUUUUAUGCAAGUUGCAUAUAUAAAUAUUAUUUUUGAAUAUUUUGGUGGACUGAUGAAAAUUUUCUAGGUCAAUAUAUAGAACAUGCCGUAAAUCAUAUCCAUUGAUGAACUACAUACAUUUCAACAUUAUAUUUAUAUUGUUUUUUUUGGCCAUAUCUAUGUAAUUGAUUAUAAUACAUAAUGAUUUUAAAUCAUUUGUCAAUUGACUUAUAUUUCUCAAGAAUGUGCUUUACAAUCCAAUCUUCAACUCAAUGUUCUUGAUUUUAAAGAAAAUAAUAAUUUGUUGUAUAAAAUAAUCUUAUUUAUUUUAUCAAGUUAUGUAUGAAAUAAUUUGUUGAUUCAUAUAAUAACUACUUGAACAAGUUUUUUAUAGGGCUCAAAAUGAUUAAUACAAAUUUGACAAUUUCAUUGAUUACCGAUGUUUGAGUAUUGAAUUGCUACAAAGAACAGAAAAAAAGUUUUUGAUUUAAUCAAUAAAUAAAUAAAAUUUUAUUUAUUAAUCAAUGAUGUCCAUAAAAAAUGUAAUAUAUCUGAGUUUUACCCGAAGCAAAUAGGGCCUUUAUCUAUACUUAAAUUUAAACCAGAUAUAAUAAUUGGAAAAAAAAAAAAAAAGAAUAGAAAAACUAUCCCCUAAUGUGGAAGGAAGAAUUACGGGGGGCACUACUAGAGAUGCAUACCCCAACCCCGUCCCCUACCUUACCCGUUAUGUCCCCUGUAACACAGAACAUUUGAGAAAGGUAUAAUAUAUUAAUAUUAUAUCAUAAUUAGUCUGAUCGUGUACACCACGCGGAUUGAAGUGGACAAUUAAAAAUUAAUUGAUUAAUAAAACAAGUUAAUGUAACUUUUGGCGGGAGGGAGAGGGUUUGAUAGUUGAGUUGAGGGAGUAGAGAGGCAGGUUGCUUUGUGGACUGGCCAUGGCUAACUAGGUCACCACCACCUCGACCACCCAAAAAUAUCAUCUCCUAAUCGAUGGCGCUUACCAUCAAUGUCAAUAUAUGUCUUUUUCUUUUCUUUUCUUUUCUUUCUUUUUUUUUUUCUUUUUAAUAUUAAAAUAUGUUUUCUUUUUUUUGUCCUCUGAUGGAAACUUGUUUUUAAACUAGUCCAUCCAAAUCUUCCUCGCCGUUUGAUCUCAAGAAAUUACAUUCUCUUCUAGUCUUUAUCAGUUGCUGGUGGAGGUUGCCUCUCUCUAUCUGUCUGUCUUUCUCUCUCUCUCUCUCUCUCUGAAAGCCUGAGCCAUUAUCCGCCUUCCCUUUUUCGCGCAAAGCUUUUCCAGCAAUCAAGCUUCCACUUAAAAGAUAAAGUUUUCAGAGAGGAGAACAUUUGAGAGAGAAAGACAGAAACAUAUAUUAUUAGGGCAUGUGUGUGUUUCUACUCAUUGCUAUUUCUUUGCUUCUUAUUUAACCCUAUCUUCUCUCUCUUUCUCCAUUCCUAAACUCUUUCUUUUUCUUCUCUCUCUCUCUCUCUCUCUCUCUCUCUUUUUCUUUCUUUCUUUUCGUCUUCCUCGGGAUCUGAUCUUCCUCUCUUCUGCUCUUUCUCUCUUUCUACAUUCAUCGAACUGUACAAACACUUCAAUUCCCGAGGAAUACUUUCUUUCUGUGUUUUUUUGUCUGGUACUUGUUAAAAAGGUGAAAGAGAGUGACAAAAAGCUCUGUUCGAAGUGUCUCUCAGUUAUCUAUAUUCGAUCGAGCAGUUUCAACCAGAUCUAAGCAGGAGUUAUCUUAUCAAGGUUUAGUACUAUCAUCAGUUUCUUCUCCUUCUUCUUCUCCUCUUCGGGUGCAAAAUCUUUUUUGAUUUGAAUGAUUUGUUUUCUUUUUUUGAAUGAUAAUAACUGAGCUUAUGGAAGGAUGCCUAAGUUUCAAGCAAAGCAUGCAAAAGAUGCAACAAGAUUUCAUUCAGCAAUAACAAAUUAUUAACGCAAUGAAAUAGAACAUCAUAAACUUUAGUAAUCACUUCUUUUGAGAUUUGUGUUUGAUCCGACUGAUUCUUCUUCCAUAAUCUGGUUCAUGACUGAUCCUUUCAUGCUUAUUUUGAAUUAUCCAAAUCGAUGAGUAUAAUACAUAUAUAAGUGUAAUAUAUAUGUGCGAGUCGGUAUGUUAUAUGAAUUUUCCUUCUCCAUUUUAUGACGUUAGUAGCCUAGAUCCUACUUUUCACGUUCAUGCUCACGAACGUGACUCAGAAGUAUCAUUUUCUUUUGCAAUAUCAGGAUUUAAGGGCAUAUAGAAUUCUGCUACAAAUUACUUUUAAAGAGAGAUUCUAAAUCAUUGGUGCUUUCUCCUUUCCUUUGAGGCAUAUGUUCGAUGAGUUCAACAAAUAUGUUUAAGAAAUGAAGUAUAAUACUAUAUAUGGAGUUAUGUACAUUUACAAGGUGCCAUCUUACUUAUGAUGUUGUGCAAUAAUUUUGUCAUUUCAUGAUCAUAUAAUCCUUUCUUGCAAGUUUCACAAAGUAAAGCUACUAAACUUUGAUUCAUUUCCUCAUAUACUCUAUAUAUUUAGCAUUCACUUUUCUGAGUGGAAAAACUUUGUUUUCUAAAACUUGUUCCAUGUGAUAAGUGAGCUAAUUAAAAGGAAAUUUAUGCUUUUUUUUUUUUCUGAUUAAUUGAUAUUAAAUCUUAUGUGAGGUUGAUUUGAUAUUUUUUACUUCAUGUACCUAUAUUUUUCUCUCCCGCUCCUUUGAUUUUACUUUUUCAAACUAUAAAAUUGUCAAACCUUUCAAAGAUACUUGCAAGUUCUGGUACAGAUGAAAUUUUGACCUUUAUUCAGCAUUUUAAUGGUUGAAUAAUGCAAAUAAUACUAUUGUAUAUGUCCUUUUUUUUUUCGAGGAAAAUGCUUUUUUGUUUUAGUUUGAGGUUUAAAAAAAAGUUUUUGCAAAAUUUAUGAACAGAACUAAAUAAAAGUUAUAAAUAAAAGAAUUUCUCUAAGCAUGAAAUUUUUAAGAUGACAUGUUGAUUUACGUUGUCUCUGAAAGAUCUUAGAUUGGUUGUGCAACUGCAAGGAUAGUAUAUCGCCAACGAUGAGUUAAACUACAGAUUAUUGAUUCUUCAUUCCAAAACAAAAAAGAUCUUUUGAAUUCUUAUUCAAAAUAGACUUGAUUUUAUUCAGAAUAAUUUUUGAAUUGUUUGAUAUUUUAUUCUUUUCUUUCUAACACACUUAUAUAUAUAUAUUUCUGACUGGGAAUUGCAAAAGUAAUGCUAAGUUGAAAGGUUUUAUUAGAAUUAAAAAAUAAAAAAAUUUAACAUUUUCAGGAAUCUAACCCAAUCCAAUAGGCUUAUCCAAUACACACAUAACUUAUUUUCAAUCUUCCUUUCUAAUUCUACAUUGUGACAAAACUUUUUUCUUUUUUUGGUUUACUUUCAUUAAUUUUACUUAAUUGUACAAGAAAUGUACCAUGAUUCAACAUAUAAUUUCUAUCUCAAUCUUCUGCGUAGGAGAGAAACACCCUUCUACACCCAAUUCAUCAUCCAUAAGGGCAUUCUUCAAUCCUUGAAUUAAUUUUACCUUCUCUUUUUUUUUUUUUUUUUUUUUUUGGCCUUCUCAUACAUAUGCCAAAGAUAACAUCACAUUUACUAUUAAGUAGAGAGCUUUAUGAUUCCAACAUAGUUUCUUAAAUAAGCUAAGUUUUUCAUGAAUUUAAAAUACUAAAUAAUUUCAUUUUGCUGAUUAAAAAUAAUAAAACAUCAAAUUUACUACUAAGUUAAUUAGCGAUUGUUUGUUUUUUAUUAUGUUAUAAAUGUCCAAAGGUUAAUUAUGUACUGCUUAAAGAUAGUGAUAAUAAUUUAGCUUGUUUUGAAUGUACAGAAAUUUAACCACCCUUUUUGUUGGAAAAGUGCCACAAAAAUAUGUUUAAGUAAUCACUGCCAUUGUUUUACUUUGCUGGUCAGCAUUGCAUUACGCAUCCAUGAGGUUAAAUCAUACAAGUAAUAUUAAAUAAUUUAAAGUCAAAUGUUGGAUAGGUUCGCAAUUUCCAAUGUUCAAGGUAUCAUUACAUUAUUGUUAUUUUGACUUUUGCUACUACAUAUAAUUAAGGUGUCUAACACUUGAAAUUGGAAGCAUGUAAGAUUGAUCAUGGGUAACAUUGUAUUGCAGGUAUUUUUUUUUUUUAGUACUUGGAAGAGUAUGAAUACCUUCUCACAUGUUCCCCCAGGCUUUAGAUUUCAUCCGACGGAUGAGGAACUUGUCGAUUACUACCUCAGAAAAAAGGUAGCUGCAAAAAGGAUUGAUCUUGAUGUGAUCAAGGAUGUUGAUCUUUAUAAAAUAGAGCCAUGGGAUCUUCAAGGUACAGUACUGUUGUCUUUGAAUUAUCUAUAUCUUUGUUCUUUUUUUUUUCCCAUAACACUGGAGUUAUUUACUGCUACUGAUAUACUCGUGAAUCAAAAUUAAUUGAAAUUGUUUCAUAUAUUGAUUAUAAUUUUUUGCUUGGAUACAUAGAAUUAUGCAAAAUAGGAACUGAAGAGCAGAAUGAAUGGUAUUUCUUUAGCCACAAGGAUAAGAAGUAUCCUACUGGAACUCGAACUAAUAGGGCAACAAAAGCUGGAUUCUGGAAAGCUACAGGAAGAGACAAAGCUAUCUAUUCUAGGCACAGCUUGAUUGGCAUGAGAAAAACCCUAGUCUUUUAUAAAGGAAGAGCUCCAAAUGGACAAAAGUCAGAUUGGAUAAUGCAUGAAUAUCGACUCGAAACAAAUGAAAAUGGAACUCCUCAGGCAAGUACUCAAUUUUCUUUUUCUUUUCUUAUAUAAUUCUCUCUUGGUUUUAUGCAUUUUUCAUUUCCUGUUAUUUUCAACAUAUUUUUUUGAUUGUAUUCCUUUAGUUAGAAGCGUAACAUCAUUCCCUGGAUAUAAACAUUACUUGGUUCUUCACAAAACUUGUUUCAGCUGCAACUCCCUCUUUGACUUUCUUCCGCUUUUGCUGUUAAUUAAUUACUUGAGCUUAAUUUAGUGUAUGUCAAAUAUGAUAUUAUAUAUGGUGAUUCCACCAGGAAGAAGGAUGGGUUGUAUGCAGGGUGUUCAAGAAGAGAAUGCCAACAAUGAGGAAAGUUGGCGAGUACGAUUCUCCUUCUUGGUACGAUGACCAAGUCUCCUUUAUGCCUGAACUUGAUUCUCCUCGGCGAAUUGCUCAACCUUAUACAACAUACCUUCACCACUAUCCUUGCAAGCAAGAAUUUGAAUUGCAAUACAAUAUGUCUCAUGACCCAUUUCUCCAACUUCCUCAACUAGAAAGUCCCAAAAUUCCACAAUCAGCUGCAAGUGCCAAUUGCAACUCAUCGGUAGUUCCAUAUGGUUAUGACAGGAAUAAUAAUGGAAGCACUUUGCAAUCUUCAACUCUUACACAGGAAGAACAAGUGCAACAAAGCCAUCAUCAUCCUAAUUUGAACUCAAUCAAUUACCAUAACAAUGGUGAACAAGCUGUGGAUCAAGUAACAGAUUGGCGAGUCCUUGACAAAUUUGUUGCAUCUCAGCUUAGCCAUGAAGAUGCUUCCAAAGAAGCUAACUACUCAAAUUCUGCCGCCUUUCAUGUCGUUGAACAGAUCAAUAUGCUCUCUAGUGAGUCUAAAAGGCCUGAAGUUGUGCAGGAAUACGCCUCAACGUCAACAUCUAGUUGCCAAAUUGAUUUGUGGAAGUGAUCAAAGCAUAUAUAUAUAUAUAUAUAUAUAAAAUAUAUAGUUACUAGAGGAUGCAUACUAAUUAAUUAUAGAUACUACAGUUAUAUAUAUGAAAACAAGUCUUGAGGAUGAUCCAAGUGGCUGUACAUAAUAAAACUAAAAUGGGUAUGCCUUUUUUUUUCAUUAUUAUUUAGCUAUUAUUGGACUUAUUGUGUCCAUGAUAAUAUUGAUGAGAAAUUACUACUGGGCAACUAAAGAGAGUACAAAUGCCAACAGAAAAUAAGUUAGUACUCUCUGUAUGGCUGAGCUUCAUGAGGACUGACUCAGCCGUUGAAUGUUGAAUGCACCUUAAGCCUUCAAUUUACAUUUGAAGGUUUUUUUUUAUUAAUAUUGUAACUGUUUUUUUCUAUUUAAAUUUUUGUAUUUCUGUAUGUUUAACCACUUAAGAUACCUUUAAAUCGAGGUUUUCCUGUUAUUUUCAUGUCCCUAGCUAAGAUAUUCUGAUGGAAUGAAGAAUAGUCUGUUGUUUUGGUCUUGAUAAAACAUACACAUUUCUUCCUUACUAUUAAUAAUUAAUGAUGCUAUAUCAGCCAAACCUAAAUUUCUUGGAAAAUCUUAUAAUGCAACAUUCUUCAUGUCUAACUUAUUGUUUCGUACCAUGAGCCUUUUUUUGUAGCCAUAAAAUUUUUAUCACAAUAAAGAGCGGGCGAAAAGAAAAAAAAAAAAAAAAAAAGAACUACUAUGCCAAAUGCUAAAUUGGAUAUGGAUAUGCAGGAAAUUACAUCAUCUUGGGAGUAUAUAUAAAUAAGCUCCCAUAUUUGACCAACUUAGACAUUUUCAAUUUAUCAGUAUCUGCUGCUUUCAAGUCAUAUAGAGUUACACUUACAGAACCUUCUUAAAUUAUUAGCUGAACUUAGUUACCAUAAAUUACUUAACAGUAAAAAAUGAAACCAGUUAUAUAUAUACUUGGACAGACAAUGCCUUAUGAUCAUGGUGGCUGAACAUAUAAGCAUCCAUGUCCUAUACACAUAUAAAUAUUACGAGGCAUUCAAUGGGUGUGGAUACAACUAGCAAGUUUCAUUCAAUCAAUAACGAAGUGGGUUGAAUUUAUUUGAUCUAACAUGCAAAAAAGAGAAAAAAAAGGUGAUCAUUUACCAUUGAGUUUUCGCUACUGCCACUGGAGUCAUCUCUAAACAUGUAAAUUUGCUAUUUUAGAUUGCUGAAAAGCGUAAUUAACUUUUAAAAAAAGUUACUAUUUUGUUUACCGAGUAAUGUUAAUUUGGCCCUCCAAUGUAUUGUUAUUGUUAUUUUUAUUAUUCUGUGUGACACGAUAACUAUAGUCAUAUAAAUAAAAGAAAAGUUCACUGCAUAUCACCACCUAUAGUUUCUUUUCAUUUUCUUUUAUGCCUGUGGUGAUUUAUACACAUUUAUUUUAUUUGCAUAACUAAAAUUGCCAUGCUAGGUUAGACAAUGACGUUUACAUAUAUUUGCAGGUUAAAUACCAUUGCUCUUCAUUUACUCAAGUUUUGCCUAAAAGUUUCAACAAAUAACCCUCUAAUCAUGCUGCAUUCAGUUUAUAAAUUCUAAUUUUCCUAUACAUAAAAUCCUUAAACAAAUUAUUCAAGUUAAGGCUAGGAACAUAGAAAUAAUCUUAUUAGAAUCAAGUGUGCAUAUCUUGAACAUAAAAGAACCAGCAUAUAUAGCUAUAGCACUCUAAACAUCUCUAAAACUUCAAAAAGUGAAACUAAUAAACUUUUGUUUGUUUACCUCUGUUUUAAAAGAAAUUGAAUGAAAGGUAUAAACUCUCACCUGAUCGAAAGAGUUUUUCAUGAUUCUCUAAAUUUAUUACCAAAUACAAGAUACAGAGAUAAGAAGCAGAGAUGAGUAUAAACUUAUCAAGUUACAAGAAAAUUCUUCUCAGGUAGAGGAUAAUUAGAGAAUAUGCUAUUUGGAUAAUCAGCGCAGCAGUGAUAAGAUUCUUAAGCACAUACAUACCUGUGCAAGAAGAUGAAUUUCCAAUUCCUAUUUGGUUAGAUUGAUAAUCACAGCUAAGAACAAGAAUGACGGAGAGAGUUGCAAGUGUAGCCUUGACUGCGUCAAAGUAGGUUGAAAAUUUACUGGGUUUAAAUACUAAGGUGGCAAGAAAGCAAGUCACAUGAUUAAUGGGUAACAAGACUAAGAAGUAAGAAAAGUAUAUUGGGUUAGGGUUGUUAUUUACCUGGACGACACAAAACUCUUACUUGGGUUGAAGUCAAGCAUUAAAAUCCCUUUAAAGCAAUGAAAAUAUUUCCAAAGCGACAUAAUGAGUGUGGGCGUGCUUUCAUGGACUCAUCAGCAAUGCAAGUGCUUUGCCUUCUUGCUGACCAACUUUGACAUAUGCCCCUUUUGUCCUUUCUCCAUAGUUAGGGUUAUGUGUGUAUAUAUAUAAAUAAGACUUUCAUUUUUUAAUUUUCUUGAAUCGGUCACUUACGAUAAAAGAAAAGCCAUCUAUAUAAGGAUAGUACCUCCACUAGUCACUACGUACUGUCCUUGCAAGAUGGCCCAAAAUAAGAAGCCAUGCGCAUUGAUGCAGUAUGUAUGAGUGUGUGAGUGAAUAAUUAGGGUUACAAAUUAAAAAUGUUGUUUGUAUACUAAGUAAAAUAACAUGAUUGAUCAUGUGAGCUAGAUAAACAACCUCCCAUGUGAAGCACCAUUAUUGCUGUGCUUCUUUGGUCACCCAGAUCCUAGACCUCCAUACUUGCAUGAGAUCCCAGAUUUUGCGAUUUUUUUUUUAAAUCCAAAUUAAUAGCUAAGGAUAUUUAUUUGGGUUUUUUUUUAUAACCGAGAGGUUUAUUCUCUCGGGCCGUAAAGCUUAAAAAUUUUUACCUUUCUAAUAAAAUGUGCUUCUCAGGAUGAAACUUGUAUUCUCAUCUUUAUAGACAUUGAGGUGACUUACUACUCCGACCAACACCUUGUUGGUAUUAAUAAAAUUAUUUUUUUUUCAUAAGCUAGUGUGGUUUAAUUAAUCUUUUCACUUUUUAUAAAAAUGUGAAAACUGAAAAGUUUCGAAUUCGAGUAGGUUUCACUAAUUUAAUCUGCCUCAUUUAGCUUCCAAUGAAUUAAAAAUAAUGAUUCUUCUUAAAUUCACUAAGAUUUAAAGCAUAAUUAAUAAGAUGAGUACUAAAUUCUUUUGCCAACUUUAUGCGGAUUUAUCUUCACAUUAUUACAUAGAUUAUGUCAACUCUAUAUAUCGCCGGCAUAUUUAUCAUGAUGAUAUUAAUUAAAUAUUUUUUAGAGAUUUUAAGUCAAAUCCCUCUUAAUUAACAACGGAACGAGAAGGCAUGCAUGCCCUAAUUUGAUUUUUUGUAUGAUUUAGUGGGCUCCUUGAAUGGGGUCUCCUAAAAUUAAGUAAAUCCGGUCAAGAAAUUAGUAUAUGUCCUCUAAAGUGCAUAUAUAUAGGCCAGCUUCUAUAUUUGAAAAUUGAAAUGUCUUUAGUCUUUACUUGUGCCGGCGGAUGGUCACGGAAGGCCAAAGUCUAUCGAUCCCACAGUCGAUUUUGCAUCAAAAUAAUUGAACAAGUGGGUACCCUUUUCCUGCAAGACAAGGGUUUUGAGUUUGGUACUAUUUAUUAGGAUCACAUCCUACCAAAUCUUUUCCAUAUUCAUGCAUGGGGAUUGAAGUAAUUUCAAGCUUUCGAUUUAUUUUGUUCACAAUUUGGAAUUUGGAAAGAUAAAUGUUUUCUGUUUGUGCAGUAAAAAAAAAAAAAUCUUUUUGGAAAUUGCCAUUAUAUAAGUGAAUGACUAGAUAAUAAUGAAAGUGAAGCUAACUAAAAUAGUUUGAUGCAAUUGUUAAAACGUACUAAAUUCCACCUUGAUGAAUUUGGAGAGAACCUUAACCUAAGUGCUCCGAAUUUGAGAGUCUUCUCGUUGAACCGUUAAACUCUUAGUAGCAUGAAAGUAAAAAAAGGGAAGCUAUAUUAAUUUGUAAUCUAUCGUUUUUUUUUUUUUCGAAGUAAGUAAUUAAAAGAGUAGUUAUAUUGUAUUUGUCUUGUAAAAGCAAAUACGUAUAUGUGAAAAUGUGUAUGGUUACUAGUAGUAUAUACCUAAAGUGUAGAUACCACAAGUAGUAAUUCAUCAAUAAAGAGAGGCGCAAUAGCUAGAUGAGAGUAGAGUAGUGUAGUUGAAUUUGUGAUGAGAAGUUUGGAUAUUGGGAAGGGAAGCAUGCAUGUCUCUUGGUGAGGAGGACAAGAAGACAGAGACUUGAUAGGGUAAGAGGGCACAUUCUCUGAUUGGUAAUGCUUGAGGACCAACCAUCAAGGAGACAAGCAAUCCUCAGCUUCUUGAUUAAUGUUUCACUCUUUUCUUUUCUCUUCCAUUUUUGGUUUUUAAUUUAUUAUUUUCAGAGUUGAUCUUUUCCUGGUCCACUUUGUAAAAAAAGAGAAAAGUAAAGAUGAAGCAACUUGAUUGAUUUCCUUUCUUUAACGGCUGAUCGAUGCUUGACUUGGGAGUUUAGAUAUAGGCUUAUCCACCACUACUUUUUGUUCUUUGACGUCAUAUUACAUAAAGGUCCUUUUUCCCCAUAAUUAAUUAAUAGUAGGUCCUGUGUUUCUUUGUAACUAAUCUCUUUUUAGUUAAUUGACCUUACACUGCAAGACUUCUCUUCUUCGUCAAUCUUCAUAUUUCUCAUCUCAUUAUUGGUUGAUAAUAAUUCACAUAUAUAGUCCAUGAAAGACAGCUUAAGAGCCAGAUUUUGGGUUGCAAAUUUAUUGGAAAAAAAAAUUGAAUCCUAUGUAUUAAUUGCAAAUUCUGGGUUGUAAUAAACUUUGUCUUUUAAAGAGUUUCUCCUGUAAGACAUAAUAUAUAUAUAAACCAUUUCGCAUGUUAAUUCGAAAAAUGACAUAUUUCUCUAAUUAGAUUUCCAUUUGGCAUGAUUUGAUUUGAUUAUUUAAUGUAUUAAUAUAUUGGCUUGAUUUGGUUUCGUUUGAAUUUAUUUUGAAUUAGUGUUUUUUGUUUGAUUUGAUUUAAUUAUUUAAUAUAUUAAUGACUUUUAAGUAAUUAUUAUUAAUUAUUCAUUAAUGUAUCUUCAACGCUUCCAAUCUAAACAUUUCCAUUUUUUUUAAAUGAUAUAGUAAUGCACUUUUUUAAAAAAUUUUAAAUUAUUUACCCUCAAAAAACACUUUAGCUUUUUUAAAAAUACUAUAUAUAAGUUGUAUCACUAUAUUUUUCUGUAUUCUUGGCAAAUGUGCAUUGGUCUCUGCUUUUAAAUAUAUUAUUCUUUUUUUUUAGUUCAGAAUUUUCUACAGCUCAGUAUUUCAACUAUUUUCAUUAAUGGGUAAGUAGUUUUUACUCAAACUUUUUUUUUUGUCUCCUUUUUUAAAGAUUAUUUAAUAUAUUUUUGUAGCUGUAAACUAUCAAAUCAAUAUAUAUAUAUUUUUGUAGCACGGGUGUAUUGGUAAUUAUAUAUAUGGCAAGCCACAAAGUACCUAAUAAUUUUCAGGCCCCUAAUCUUAAUAAUUGUGCAACUUUGUGUGCAUCAUGUAUAUCUUCAUGCUCUAUAUGAUUAUGUUUCAAAUUUUGAUCUAUCCGAGGUUAAUACCAAAUGUUGAAUUUCCGUUAAGAUAAAAUAGUUGAAAAUUAUUAUUAGAAGUUAAAAUUCUUGAUAAAGAACUAAAUUUACCGAUUGGAAUUACACUAGAAAAUUAUAAUUGAUACGUUGGAGAUUCUUACCGUUCCUCAAAAUCUGUAUUCACAAACUAUUCAAAAGUUUAAUUAAAUCAUUUUUUUCUGCCUCAUAGUAAAAUAUGGAUCUAUUUAUAUACAUAUAUAUAGACAAUUAUGUGGGUAAAAAUCACUUAGCAUCACAAAGACCGGAUUGUUCGUCGCAGAAACCAUCACGAUCAAGCAGUUUCUGAGGAGGAGUACUAAGAAGAGGAGAAGAAGGGCUACCAUAUGCGUUCCUUUUGCUAUUUCCGCACCCUAGGCUUCUUCUGGUGCUUACUCCGGUUACUGGAUUUGUUCCAUUUGCAUAUUUGCAGAGAGCCUUUAUAUAUGAAAUCAUAAUUAAAAUUAUGUUAGUCAUUAAUUAAUUCACUGAACUUAAUUAAUUAACUAAUUACAUGUAUAUAAUACCUGCUUCUGUGGAAGGUCCAAAACUGCGUCGCUGAAAUCAGCACCUUGAAUGAUGGCUCCUCCAAGAUCACUGCGAGUGAGAACCGAUCUAACAAGCACAGCAUUUGUCAGGUUCGCCUCAUUCAAAACCUGUAUUACAUUUUUAAUUUGGACCGACCGAAAUUAGAAUAUAUUAGUUAUAGGAAAAUCAAAUUACUAAUAGCUAGUAUUAAUUGUUAUUAUCAUACCAUUCUGUCCAUCAAGGUGUCACUCAAAUCUGCACCUGUUGAAUUGUCAAAACAAAAUAUCCAAUAGUUACUUGUCUUCCUUUUCUCCUUUUUAUUAUAUGUAUAGAUACAAAAAUACAGUACUUAUAAUUCCAUUAUUAAUUAACAGCUUAAUGGCCAUUUAAAUACUAAUCAAUCUCUAAUUAAUACUUCCUUCAUCUACAAAUAACUAUCACAUUUGCAAAUGUAUCAUAUCCACAAAUAAGUAUUAAGAAAUGAUAAAUUCUUUUCUCGUUUUUACCUUUUACAAAUGACCCCCGUCAAUUGUUAUAAUUUUCAAAAAUCUCUCUAUUGUAAGUAUGAAAAGUGCAAAUAUAAAAAUUAAAGUCUUAGAAUUAAAUCCCGUCACCUCCAGCUUCAAAAGUCUGAUAUGUUGUCAAAUUUUCCGGUAGAAAUGAUUUGGUGGACAAAAAGAGUAUAAGUAAGUUACAUAGGUGUGUGUACUUCUAUAAAAUUACUAUGGUUUUGCAAAGAAGCACACUUUUCUUCCUAACUUGUGUGUUUUCAUGCACCGUUGUCGUUUAGGUAACAACUAAAAGGAAAGUUAGGCAAAUAAGAAAAUUUAUUAAUGAAAUAAUGAGUAAAAUACAUUUAGUUACCUAAAUUAUGUUAUAAUUAACACUUUCCUUUUUUUUUUUUUAUUGAAUAUCUUGAAAUUAUAAGUUACGAGAACUUACUCUCUUAAAGUUUAGCCAACGAUAUUUAAAUUUUAUCACAGAAAUCCAUAAAUAUGUACCUUUUAAAAACUUAAGAGGAAAAUUUGAAUAAAUUUAAAACUGGAGAUAUAACUUUCUUCUUCUCAAAAGAACAAAACUAAAGAUGGUUUGAUCAAAUUAUCAUUUAUUUUAAAACCAGAAAAUAAUAUAAUAUAAAUAAAAUGAUAUUGAAAAAAAUAUCAUUUAUUACUCCUUAAAAAAAACUUGGAAUUAAAAAAAACUUGGAAAGAAGGUUCAAAAUGUCCCGUGAACUUGUACUCAAUAUACAAUUUUUCCAUAUUUCACCUUUUUUUUACAAAAAUCUCACCACCUUAGUUAUAAACUUACAAACUGCUCCUUUCAUUACUUGCUUAGUUCGCAUGUGCUACACGCGGUCAAUGUAAAAUUAAAAAUUAAAUUUUAUUUUCUUUAUUAUUAACUUGAUUAAUGGAGAGAGAGGGAGUCUACACUCCAUAAAUCUCAAAAUUCCUAAAAUUGAUUAGCAGUGCUGUACAGCAAAAACAAAGAGAGAAGGCAGUCUUGUACAACAAAAUCAAUGAAGAAAUGGAACAUUUUAGGAAUCUCUUCAAACUAGUUCUAUAAUUUACCGAAUUUCAAUAAUUUAGAGAUUUGGAUUUCACAUUCUUUGUUUCACUAUUGCUUUUGUUGCUUUAUUUUCUAUCUUCUCGUUCUCUCUCUCUCUCUCUCACGAUGGCAGUAGCACAAAAUCAACAAGUAGUUUUGCCAACUCAGUUUUGUUCAGGCAAAUGCAAUUGACCUCACUUUCUUCUUCUUCUUGGAGUGGAUUAUGAGCAAUGCAAAGAAUAAGGAAUAUAGAAAUCGUUAUCUGUUUUUUAUAGAACAGUACUUUGUUUGAGAUGAGAAGCUGUUUCUCCGCAAUGGAGAAACAACCUUUUAAUUUUUUUAAUUUUUAUGUUUUGCUUUAUUUUUGUCAUAUUUAAAGUUUAAAUAUAUUCAAAGCAUGAAUAUAUAUAGAAAAAAAUCAAAACAAAAAGGAAAAGUUAAAUUUUAUAGUGCAUUGUAAUAGUUGUUCUUGUUUGAUUUUUUAUUUGUCAGGUUUUCUUUUUUCUCUUGGAUUUUCUUUAAACAUGAAGAAAAAUGUAUCGUAGAGUUUUAAGGAUGAAAAAAAAUUAAUGAAGAAGUUUUAAGGAUAAAAACAUGAAAAAAUUGAGAUAUGAAAAAACUGAGAUGUGGGCAAAUGUAUCGUAGAGCACAAAGAGCUAAGGGGAAUAAAUAAUUCACCUUCCUCACUCGCUUUUGGCCCUGUUUGUAGAGGACGAGCUCUUAUCAAGUUAGAAAAUGAAUAGCUUGCAGGUUUACGUAUAAGAUGAUAAGAUUUUUGUCAAAAAAAAAGAUGAAAUGUGGGCAAAUUGUAUAUUGAGUUUAAAUUCAAGGGGCAGUUUGAACCUUUAAAGGACCUAAUCUUACACAAAACAAUCACCCUAAAAUCGAGGAGUGGGAGUAAUUCCUGCCGCGUAUACUGACUUUCCCUCUUUACAGACUGACCCGAUCCUAAUAAUUAAUCCAAAAACUUGUAGGCUUGCUAAACCUUUGACAGAAACAGGUCAGUUAAUCCAUUAAACCUAUGACAGGAUGUUAGUUCGUUGAUUUGCAUUAGAUAUUUUGUUCGUUAGUGUCUUUUCUUUGUUUAUGUUAUUCGCAGUAGAUCUUUUGUUCUUUUUCUUGGCUGUUAUUUUAGUCUGUAUCCCAUCGAUUCUAUUUCUUGCUACGGGUCUUGUCUUCAUUAUUUCUUUUUUUUUUUCCUGGAAUCAAGAACAGGGAAUAGAUAAUUGGAAAUUGAAUAAAUUUUCUUUUCUUUUUUCUUUUAUUGUUAUUGCACUCCGUUAUGAUUUACCAAUAGAAUUAGGUUUACCUGUUAUAUUAUGGGUUGAGAUCACCUAUCCUAUCCGUUAUGGUUUACCAAUAAUUUAUCUUAUAAUGGGUUGGAUUUCUGGGUUUGCAAGUCAAUGUGCAGGAAAAAAAAAAGAUCGCCACGCCCAUCCUUCCCCUAUUAGGAGUAGGCAUGGAUAAGGAAACCGAUCAAUUUUCCCCCUCUAUAUAUUCACUAUUUUUGUGCUUGAAACCUGCUAUUUCAAAUAAAAUUUUUAUUUACAUAGGUUAUAGUAUAAUCAAGAAAAUGAAGUUUGGUUUGUGGAGUAAGUACGUUGUUUCCUUUCUUCUCCCUCAAAAUAUUAUAUAUGAUGGUUUCUUUAAUUAAAGUCUCUGUUGUGCUGUGGGAUCAGGAGCCAUGAAAUUUUGGUUCCCACAAGAAACAGAGAGAGUAAGAAUAUACAUGUGCUUUUGUUUGAUGGUUUUUGGCUUUUGUCAUUCUUACUCGUGGAAAUUACAUUGGCCAAUGCAGGUACAUGUUAGAAGUGUUGAAGUAUUUUAUCACUCAACAAUGUAUUUAGAAAACAUAUGUGAUUCUUCUAAAUUGAGUUUCAAAAGGAAGGCAGAGGCUAAUGAAUUUGCUUCUCCUGAUGUUCUAAUUAAGCAUGUAAAGAGGAAAAUAUUGGCUGUUCGCAAUUUUCCUAAAGGCUGCGGUCCUCCUAAAAGAUUAGAAAAUGGAGUUCAUUGCAGGGUGCCGGCAACAGCUGAUGGUUUGAGGUUUAAAGAGAAGUUAAUGGUUCCAUUUGAUAAUAAUAAUUUAGAGUUUGGACUGAACACAGAAGUUGAACUGCUAGAAACAUUUUUGCAAGACUCUUUGGAUAAUGCAGGAUUGGUAAACGCAUCAGAAAUUUCAAUUUGUGAAACUACGGUAAUGCCAACUAAAAUUAUGCAGAAGGUGGCUCAAGGUUAUCUGCUUCCAGCUAUUCGAUGCUUUCCUCAAGGUUGUGGAAGGAAAAAUCAACAACUUAAUAAGGAAGUUGUUCCUGAAUCCAUUGAUUUAAAAACCGAUGGAUUAGGUCACAUCAUAUCUGAUGUUGACAACACAUCAGAUAGGAAGAAAGAAGAGGUAACUAGUAAGAGUGGAUGCCAAAAGAAUAUUGCAAUUACUGGUGACGGAAAUAUGCUGCAAUCAAAUUCUGAAUGCUUGGAGACUAAAGAUGAGAAUCUGUGCGAGAAUGAGAUUGAUAAAUGCCUUGAUGAAAAAUCAUCAUGCCAAAAUAGCAUGCCUCUGUCACAGGAAAUGGCCUCUGCAUAUCUGGAGUUUCCUGGACAUCGGAUGAUAGUGCAAGCAUUGAUGGCUGCACCCAAUUGCCCAUGGAGAAAAAGGAAAAGCAGAGUGAAGUAGCACUAAUCUAGAGGAAGAGAUUUUAUAUGGUAAUGGGAACAGGAAAGGCAUAUGUGCAGUACUUCUAGAAUUAGAAACUACUAUUCUUGCUGUGUUAAUUUGCCGUCACACAAUCAUACAAUCUGAUAGACUACAAGUUUACCUGUGAAGUUUGCCUUGUAUGCAACUGCUUUCUCCAGGUAUGCACCAUUGAACGUUGAUCCACUAAAAUCUGAUUCUCUCAUAUCAGCAGCUGUGAAAUUGGCUCUUCUGUAUCAGCCAUUGAGAUAUAUAAGCACACAUAGUGAACUUGCAGUAGCAAAUUUAGUCAUUAAAUUUCAGUUAACAAGUAGAAGAAUACUUGAUGCAAUUUUUAGUAGUUUUGAGCCAAGUUUUUAUGCUUGACAUUUAUGGUGCAAGUUUAUCUUCUUCCAUUUGUGAUUUUCAAUAUUUACUUGCAUUAGUUGAGCCAUACUUCUAAGAUAAUCCUAUUCUCUAAAUUGGAAGAGAGUGACAGAGAGCAUUAGAAACAAAGGAAUCACCUGAAAUUUUCAUUCACAUGCACUGCUUUCCUGUAUGGAGAGGGAAAAGGAAAAAACACUCAAUUUAGCAAUUAAGGACACAAAAAUUCAUAGGAAAAAGCAGAAAACAUCAUAAAUUACAACAAACCUGAGAUCUGCAGAACCAAACUGAGCUGCUGAUCCGAUACCAAACUCACCGCGAAGCUCAGCUUCAAACUUAUUAAGAUCAGCAAAAGCUGGCAAAUUAGAGCUAAAGCUAACAACUGCAACUGCCAAUGCAGUUGAAACAAGUGUUCUCCAGUUGCUAGAUUUAGAACUAUUGACCUUUGACCUAAUUUUGGAACAAUCUUCCUUUUCAAGGCAAACUUGGUUAGUUUUAGAAAUUGACAAGUUUAACAUCACUAAUUUUGAUUAAGAUCAUUGCAUAUUUAUUUACUUACCAAGAAACAGAUCUUCUCUUUGUGUCUCUAAUUGGCAAACUAUUUUAAAAGGCUUAGAGGGUAAAUGGUAUGGAGACUUUGUGGAUGAAGAAUAGAUUUUGAGAGAUUUAAUGGAUAAUGGAGAGAGAGAAGUCAAUGCCAUUGCAGAGGUUUUCUUUCUGUUGUUUUUAGUUCUAUUGAGGAUGCAAAAAUGGAUGAGAAGAAAUGACAGAAGAGGGAAAAGAAGAGAAAAGUGCAGAUAUUUGCAGGUGAACAAAUUUGUAUCCACUUGUAUUUGCAUUGGCUAGGAAUACGAUAGCCACACAUUUUGUUAUGUUCUUUGGGUGGUGGGUUGCCACUUGUUAGUUACUAAUACAUGAAUUUUGCAUUUCCUGUUGAUAUUUCAAAUAAAAAUGUCAUUAAUAUCAGUAAUUAGUAAAUAAAUUAUGGUUUUAUUUUUAAUAUAAUUUUCUUUGUUCCAUUUUAUUUUUGUAAUCGUAAUGGGCUACUUUUUAACUUCGGAAAAUCAAGAAAUCGUGGAUUCAGUUGUCUAAAAGUAGCCGUAUCCUCUAUCCUCUAUCUCACUUUUGGGCCACAAAGGGCUCCUAUCAACAGCCCCACGGCUAAGAUACCUUGAGCCCUACCUAGGGCUUGUAAAAGGUGGGUAUGGCAUCUUCUAUAUGGUGGGCUAAGAUGUCGACCUGGUUGCCAGAAACUGUCCAGCCCUUAAUUCAAUUGCUCUCUGAAAUUCCGAAUAACGUAGGACAAUGCAAUUUUACUGCUUUUUUUCUUUUCAGCAUUAGCUUUCUUAUGGAUUCUUAAAAUUAAGGCACAUAUAUAUAUCUUAACAAAUACAUAUAUAUGUCUUUUUCCUUUCCUUUGUAGAUAGAAAAUUCUUAAAUGGAGUCUCACAAAACAAUUUUUAACUAUUAACCCAAUUAUAUAUAUAUAUAUAUAUAUACUACUAGCAACUAUAAAAAAUUGGCUCCUUUUCUUUUUCUUUUUUUUUAAUCAGUGUUUAGCAUUUGUAUUUUUACGCUUUGGUAGGAUAUUCGUUCAUAUUCUGCUGAAAUUCAGAUUAAACAUUAAAACUAAUAGUAAAAUUUACGCUCCAUGUAUAAAUAAACUCAAAAUAUGAAAUUCAUUAAUAAAUGAAAUCUAGAUAAAAUUUAUUUGUAAAUGAAUUUUUUCAUGUUUGAAGUAAAUUCAAAAAUUGGAAAUUCAUUUGUUUUUAUUUUUAAAAUAUCCUUGGCAUAACAAUUUUAAAAGACUAGAAUAACGGAGAGUUUUGUUAUAAAGUUUUAGGUUGUUUCAUUUGAAAAUUCCAUAUUUUUUUCGUAGAAUUUGGCUUAGUUUUUUUCAAAUUCAUAGAAUUAAAUUUGUGCAAUUUUGUUCUUAUUUUUUUUCAUACUAAAUGUAAAAAUUUAAAUUUACAAAUGUAUUUUGCAAAAUUCUGUGAAAUUGAUUUCUUCCAAACAAGUAACCUAUCUAUAUUAUAAAAAUAUUUUUUAAAGCUUUGCUCUCAUUUUUCUUUAAUAUAUAUAUAAUGGAAAGAGUUAAAAAAUCAAGUGAAUUUAUUUGAAUAGAAAUGCAUGGUAUAACUUUUCAAAAAAAGAAAAAAGAAAUGUAUAGUACAAGUUAAUUGAUGAAUUGAGUUGGUUGAAGAAAAAAGGAAUGAUAAAUGUUGGGGUGUCUCGAUAUGCGAUUGAAAGAAGCGGUAAAAAGUAAAAACAAAAUGUGGAAACACGAAGAGUGAGGUGUUUUUGUCUUUAUGCAAGUAGAAAGAAAGAAGCUCGUGGUAGUAUUAGUAGCAACAGUUGUAGAAACAGCAGGGUGGGUGAAAGAGAGAAAAUUGAUUAAAGCAAAACUUGUGGUGUGCACAUAGAAAGAAAACUCAUAACUCUCUCUUUGAGUUGGGGCUUGUGCAUGUCUUUGUGUGGUUAAAAAAGAAGAAGAAAAAUCUGUUAUGGGGCAUGCAAAGGCAUAUGUGGGGUUAUCUAAGCUAAGCUGAAAGAACUUAGCUAUCAAUAUCAAAUCCUCUCUCUAGUCUCUCCCCCCUUAAAACUCUCUCUCUCUCUCUCUCUCUCUUACAGAGACAUAAAGAGAGAGAAAGGAUUGGGAGGCAAAGCCACACCGGUCAGUUGGAGAGGCCAAAAAGUAUCAGACAUUCAAUAUCAGCUUUAUCGGAUUCUGCCCAACCUCACCCCAGUUUAAAUUUUACAAUUUUGCAAUAUUACAAUAUAGAUAAAAGAAAAAAAAAAAAUAGAGGAGAUUGAUGUUGAUCCUCAUAUCUCCCCAAACAGCAACAAAUUGCUCCCACCAGCUUUUUUACAGUCAUAGCUUUUCCUCUUUCGUACACCUUACCAUGCAUGCUGUGCUGCCACAAUAUGUUCAUUUUUACAUGUCAAUAAUUAAAUAAUAGAGUCAUCUUAUAUUAUGGUGAAAGCCCUCAUAUUAAUUAUGUAAUUAAAACUCUCCGUCCUCUGCCCUAGUGUUGUGGAACUACGCAUCGAAUUGAUUUUGAAUCCUCACAAUUAGUUGUUUAUAAAUUUCAUUUCUUUUUCUUUUUCUUUCAUAGAGCUCGUGUUUCAUCAGUCCAUAUGAUCGAAACAAUCUAACGCCUAAUGUAUGAAUUUUGCCAUUUAGACAGUAUAAUUAGGAGUUUUAAGAAUACAGUCUAUUAGGUUUAGGUUUAGGUUUAAUGUGAAACUUUUGAUAGAAAAAGAAACACUGACUCGCCUGAUCAAUAGUACUAGUUUAUCUUUUUUUGCUCGUGAUCUAGAGAAAAUUAACAAAAGUGGGAUUAUGAGUUAAACCUUUUGUGCUAAGUACGCUAGUAGCUGUGGGUAAGAGAAGACUCGAGCCUUGUGCUUCAUCAGACGAAAAAAGCUCCAGUGGUCAGCGACGCAGGAGAGCCUCUCGCGUCAGAUUUUGGAUCCCCUCUGCUCUAUUCCUACACUCACAAUUUUCCACUUAUGUCCAAAGAUUUCUGUCAGGUUAUAAGCUCUACCUAGGGUUUUAGUCUGCCAUCCUAAUUCCACCUAUAUAUACAUAUUAAACCUCAAAAACCCUAAUUAUUAGUUUAUCUUGUAACUUGUAAAUGGGUUUUUUUUCUCCGAUUUAUUGAUUAAAAUUUUACUUUUCAAAUCAAACAAUGGAUGAAUUUUUUUUUUUUUAAAUUUUUAAUUCACUAAUCUCGAUGUUAAUAAUAAAAAUGAACUUAAUACAAUUAAAAAAAUUUUGCUAAAAUUUUAAGCUCUACAAUUCAAAAGAAUUAUAUCUUCUGAUUCUAUAAAAAAAAAAAAAGUAAGUAAUACUACUUUGCCGUUUAAUAAAAAAUUAUAUAUGGGCUAAUUAUUAGUUCCAAUAAUUCAAUUUUAUUUUAUUCAUCAAUACUGAACUGAUCUAUACUCUAUCCUUUUACUGUUCAUUUAUAUUUGGUCUCGUCUAUAUAUAUAUAUAUAUAUAUACGAAUUAUCCUGUGAAUUGUAAGUGGCGAGGUGGGAGUCCCGGUAAAGGCGUACCGUCCAAGAUCCUUCAUUAAUUAAUUUGUGAAUUUUUUUUUUUUUUCAAUCUAGAUAAAUUACGCAGUCGCAUUUGCUUUUCUGAACUUUAAUUGCAAAAUAAAUUCUAUGCAGUGUAAUAUCUCUUUGAAGUUUGGAAAUAACGGUAAGUGUAAUUUCUUGCCAACUAAAGUCAAAUGUGAUUGUACAGUACUGCAGUUGGUUUUCUCUAAUUUAAUAAAUGUGAUUGUACGGUACUGAAGUUUGAGAAAUUUCAAAAAGUCCCUCUUAAUUAUAUCUACUUUCACUAAUUUAAUAAAUUAAUGAAAUGUAUUAUUCUAUUUUAGUCUAUUAAAACUCUUAACGAAAAAAAAAAAUCAUGUGCCAUUAAAUUGGGAUCUUAUCACAGUGAUUUAAUGACUUCAAUUAAAAACCUAAAAUUUUGCAAGAAAACAAAAUAUCUAAGCAUGCCAAAAUAUUUCUCCAUUUGAAGCUCCUGUAGACCUCCAGCUACCAAUUAAUUCAAGCACUGUAUAUCAUAUGAUCUGAGGCGCAAUUGACGAGUCGUUUUGGGUUUAGUUUAUAUAUAGUACCAAAUAUACGACAUUAUAUUAUUAGAUGGAGAGGUCAUAACGACCAAACCACAUUAAAUGUAUCAAUGUUAGUUACUUUUAGCUUCGCCAUCACCAACAUGUCCUAUCAUUUCAUAUGUAUUUGUCAGAAAUAUGACACAGCUAACAAAACGUAAAGAGACAAAUCGGAUAGUGGUGCGACUGAGUUUUUGAAUUGUGACGUUUUGAAUGCUGCUUAACUCCACUAACAAAGCCCCACCAAGGGGUUUUUUUCAACUCAAAGUCUUAAAUUAGUUGUUGACUGUUCAUCAUCGAGCUUUUUUUUUUUUUCCUUCUUUUUUUGCCUAAAUUUCCUAGCAUUCUAGUAAUUAUUAUUCGCUGGUAAUAAUUCGUCAAUUAUUUAAUCGUAAGACCAAAACUAUAUCACUUUUUAGAUACUAGUAGAUUAAAAAAAACCGAAAGACAAAAUUAAGGAAUGGUGUUUUAACCUGUGGUUAAAAUCGAGUAAAGCUAAAUACUGGAAUGAUUUCAAGGAAUUAGGGUGGGUCAUGCCAUGCCAACCUGUCCCUACAUCUCCCUACUCAUAAAUCCAUCUUUGUUCCUCCCCUAUAACCCAAUUGUCAUUUUGAUAAAAAAAAAUUAAAGGGUCCAAGUUCAAUUAAUUCAAAUUUGUGCUGGAUAGUUCCAAAAAGAUCUUUGUAAUUGUAGAGUUCUAAAUUUUAUAAAAUGGAUGUUGAUUCCUAUUAUUUAGCUCAUUCAAUUCAUUUCUGUUUGAAUAAUUUAAAUGAAAUCAUACCUACUUUAAAUAAAUUUUAAAAUUUAUCAUUAAAUUUUAUUUAAUUAUUUUAAAAGAAAGUUGAAAAUUAAACUUCUGAGAUCGAAAUAUUAGUUUUCUCUCUGAAUUCAUUGAUUUGAAUCGAAUAUACAUUAUGUGAAUACAUGAACUCCAAAUCCUUCCAAAAGCUAACAAUGUAGGUCUAGUCCCUCAUAUAACCACAUGUUGAUUUGAGUAUGAUGCCAACUAUCUUUCUCUGAGAAAAAAGAUUUGAACCCAACACCAAUAUCUGAUUUCCAGCUUCACUUCAAAAGUUGCUAAUUUGACUAAAGAAGGUCGAAACUCGACUUCAGUCCAAAUUUCAUUAGAAGUCAAGUAAUUGUUUUACCGUUUUAGAACUCAUUUUUCUUCAAUGAUGUUUGAUUGAUGUACCCAAAAAAAAAAGUGACACAAAAUGCUUUUUCUCCAUUGGUGAGGGUAGUAGCCUGCUCUCUUACUUUACUAACUUUAACCGAAGUGCUAAAACUUAUAGUGGCCAACCAAAAGAUUGACAUUGUCUUACUGUUUAGGAGGGAAUGAUGCUGCUUAUGAAGCGACAAAUGCUAAUCAAAAAGGUAAUUCCUCUAAUUGGUCAAUUGAUGUUUACCAAAAUUGCAAAAGAAGAAAAAUUUGUAAUCUGUUACUAUUGGAUGCAAGCUUUAUACAUCCCUUUCUUUUUUUUUUUAAUCUACUAUUUUCUCACCUGUUUGCUUUUGUUUGGGUACAACUUGAUUUCUUUUAAAAUUUGACUUUAUAGUGAGGACUGAGGAUGAGGACUACUCAUAAUUCAAGUGUAUGUCUCAGAUUCUCAGUCUUGUUUCCCUUUCGAAAUGUUAAAUGUUGGGAAAAUCGCUAUUUUUCCCGCCCUUCGGAUCGGCUUCAAGCAGGAAUAAAUGAGAAAAAAAAAUAACUGAGAAAUUAAAGAGAACACAAUAAUUUAGCGUGAAAACCCCCCAAAGCGAAUAAAAACCACGGCCGUUGCCAAACGACAAUCAAGAAAAAUAUUCACUAUGCGGCAAAUUGUUACAACCACAAUUACAAAAUAUUUUUUAACCCGACACCCUCAAAACACCCCAAAUAUUUUAUACUCCAAGGGANNNNNNNNNNNNNNNNNNNNNNNNNNNNNNNNNNNNNNNNNNNNNNNNNNNNNNNNNNNNNNNNNNNNNNNNNNNNNNNNNNNNNNNNNNNNNNNNNNNNNNNNNNNNNNNNNNNNNNNNNNNNNNNNNNNNNNNNNNNNNNNNNNNNNNNNNNNNNNNNNNNNNNNNNNNNNNNNNNNNNNNNNNNNNNNNNNNNNNNNNNNNNNNNNNNNNNNNNNNNNNNNNNNNNNNNNNNNNNNNNNNNNNNNNNNNNNNNNNNNNNNNNNNNNNNNNNNNNNNNNNNNNNNNNNNNNNNNNNNNNNNNNNNNNNNNNNNNNNCGGCCAUGUCGGAUACCGCUAAUAAUUUAUGGUGCAACCCUCCUGUUGACUUUUCCGAGAGUUCAUUAGCCAUCGACAUAUUUUUUUUCACCACACACUUUGCAUCAACUAUCAACCAAUGCCUUGCGCAUUUCCGUGAACCAGCCACCAAUAAUCCAUCCUCUUCCAUGGCAUCUCAACGGGUAGCAAUCAUGCCAUGAGGACACACAUCUCUCAAUUACAUAGAGAACACAUCAUCUCCUUCGCCACAGGGGAUCACAUUGGCAGCAACAACGUUAGAGCUUCUAGCCGAAUCAGCUCCACCGUUCGGGCAAUCCUUCCUCACGUGUCCAGUUUGACCACAAACCCAGCAGACAACCUUCCUCUUUCCGGAGCUUUUCUUCUUUUUCCUGGUACCGACAGAUAAAGCUGAAUCCUCAUAUGAUUUAUUUUCCAUUUCAUUCAGUCUUCUCUCCUCAGUGAUGAGCUUANNNNNNNNNNNNNNNNNNNNNNNNNNNNNNNNNNNNNNNNNNNNNNNNNNNNNNNNNNNNNNNNNNNNNNNNNNNNNNNNNNNNNNNNNNNNNNNNNNNNNNNNNNNNNNNNNNNNNNNNNNNNNNNNNNNNNNNNNNNNNNNNNNNNNNNNNNNNNNNNNNNNNNNNNNNNNNNNNNNNNNNNNNNNNNNNNNNNNNNNNNNNNNNNNNNNNNNNNNNNNNNNNNNNNNNNNNNNNNNNNNNNNNNNNNNNNNNNNNNNNNNNNNNNNNNNNNNNNNNNNNNNNNNNNNNNNNNNNNNNNNNNNNNNNNNNNNNNNNNNNNNNNNNNNNNNNNNNNNNNNNNNNNNNNNNNNNNNNNNNNNNNNNNNNNNNNNNNNNNNNNNNNNNNNNNNNNNNNNNNNNNNNNNNNNNNNNNNNNNNNNNNNNNNNNNNNNNNNNNNNNNNNNNNNNNNNNNNNNNNNNNNNNNNNNNNNNNNNNNNNNNNNNNNNNNNNNNNNNNNNNNNNNNNNNNNNNNNNNNNNNNNNNNNNNNNNNNNNNNNNNNNNNNNNNNNNNNNNNNNNNNNNNNNNNNNNNNNNNNNNNNNNNNNNNNNNNNNNNNNNNNNNNNNNNNNNNNNNNNNNNNNNNNNNNNNNNNNNNNNNNNNNNNNNNNNNNNNNNNNNNNNNNNNNNNNNNNNNNNNNNNNNNNNNNNNNNNNNNNNNNNNNNNNNNNNNNNNNNNNNNNNNNNNNNNNNNNNNNNNNNNNNNNNNNNNNNNNNNNNNNNNNNNNNNNNNNNNNNNNNNNNNNNNNNNNNNNNNNNNNNNNNNNNNNNNNNNNNNNNNNNNNNNNNNNNNNNNNNNNNNNNNNNNNNNNNNNNNNNNNNNNNNNNNNNNNNNNNNNNNNNNNNNNNNNNNNNNNNNNNNNNNNNNNNNNNNNNNNNNNNNNNNNNNNNNNNNNNNNNNNNNNNNNNNNNNNNNNNNNNNNNNNNNNNNNNNNNNNNNNNNNNNNNNNNNNNNNNNNNNNNNNNNNNNNNNNNNNNNNNNNNNNNNNNNNNNNNNNNNNNNNNNNNNNNNNNNNNNNNNNNNNNNNNNNNNNNNNNNNNNNNNNNNNNNNNNNNNNNNNNNNNNNNNNNNNNNNNNNNNNNNNNNNNNNNNNNNNNNNNNNNNNNNNNNNNNNNNNNNNNNNNNNNNNNNNNNNNNNNNNNNNNNNNNNNNNNNNNNNNNNNNNNNNNNNNNNNNNNNNNNNNNNNNNNNNNNNNNNNNNNNNNNNNNNNNNNNNNNNNNNNNNNNNNNNNNNNNNNNNNNNNNNNNNNNNNNNNNNNNNNNNNNNNNNNNNNNNNNNNNNNNNNNNNNNNNNNNNNNNNNNNNNNNNNNNNUCUUAUCGUAAAGAAUUAUCAUCCCCCCCCAUAAAAGAGUAUCGCCACUUGGAACCACUUUACCGACUCUAAGAAUUUUCUAUCGGCCAUGUCGGAUACCGUUAAUAAUUUAUGGUGCAAUCCUCCUGUUGACUUUUCCGAGAGUUCAUUAGCCAUCGACAUAUUUUUUUUUCACCACACACUUUGCAUCAACUGUCAACCAAUGCCGUGCGCAUUUCCGUGGACCAGCUACCAAUAAUCCAUCNNNNNNNNNNNNNNNNNNNNNNNNNNNNNNNNNNNNNNNNNNNNNNNNNNNNNNNNNNNNNNNNNNNNNNNNNNNNNNNNNNNNNNNNNNNNNNNNNNNNNNNNNNNNNNNNNNNNNNNNNNNNNNNNNNNNNNNNNNNNNNNNNNNNNNNNNNNNNNNNNNNNNNNNNNNNNNNNNNNNNNNNNNNNNNNNNNNNNNNNNNNNNNNNNNNNNNNNNNNNNNNNNNNNNNNNNNNNNNNNNNNNNNNNNNNNNNNNNNNNNNNNNNNNNNNNNNNNNNNNNNNNNNNNNNNNNNNNNNNNNNNNNNNNNNNNNNNNNNNNNNNNNNNNNNNNNNNNNNNNNNNNNNNNNNNNNNNNNNNNNNNNNNNNNNNNNNNNNNNNNNNNNNNNNNNNNNNNNNNNNNNNNNNNNNNNNNNNNNNNNNNNNNNNNNNNNNNNNNNNNNNNNNNNNNNNNNNNNNNNNNNNNNNNNNNNNNNNNNNNNNNNNNNNNNNNNNNNNNNNNNNNNNNNNNNNNNNNNNNNNNNNNNNNNNNNNNNNNNNNNNNNNNNNNNNNNNNNNNNNNNNNNNNNNNNNNNNNNNNNNNNNNNNNNNNNNNNNNNNNNNNNNNNNNNNNNNNNNNNNNNNNNNNNNNNNNNNNNNNNNNNNNNNNNNNNNNNNNNNNNNNNNNNNNNNNNNNNNNNNNNNNNNNNNNNNNNNNNNNNNNNNNNNNNNNNNNNNNNNNNNNNNNNNNNNNNNNNNNNNNNNNNNNNNNNNNNNNNNNNNNNNNNNNNNNNNNNNNNNNNNNNNNNNNNNNNNNNNNNNNNNNNNNNNNNNNNNNNNNNNNNNNNNNNNNNNNNNNNNNNNNNNNNNNNNNNNNNNNNNNNNNNNNNNNNNNNNNNNNNNNNNNNNNNNNNNNNNNNNNNNNNNNNNNNNNNNNNNNNNNNNNNNNNNNNNNNNNNNNNNNNNNNNNNNNNNNNNNNNNNNNNNNNNNNNNNNNNNNNNNNNNNNNNNNNNNNNNNNNNNNNNNNNNNNNNNNNNNNNNNNNNNNNNNNNNNNNNNNNNNNNNNNNNNNNNNNNNNNNNNNNNNNNNNNNNNNNNNNNNNNNNNNNNNNNNNNNNNNNNNNNNNNNNNNNNNNNNNNNNNNNNNNNNNNNNNNNNNNNNNNNNNNNNNNNNNNNNNNNNNNNNNNNNNNNNNNNNNNNNNNNNNNNNNNNNNNNNNNNNNNNNNNNNNNNNNNNNNNNNNNNNNNNNNNNNNNNNNNNNNNNNNNNNNNNNNNNNNNNNNNNNNNNNNNNNNNNNNNNNNNNNNNNNNNNNNNNNNNNNNNNNNNNNNNNNNNNNNNNNNNNNNNNNNNNNNNNNNNNNNNNNNNNNNNNNNNNNNNNNNNNNNNNNNNNNNNNNNNNNNNNNNNNNNNNNNNNNNNNNNNNNNNNNNNNNNNNNNNNNNNNNNNNNNNNNNNNNNNNNNNNNNNNNNNNNNNNNNNNNNNNNNNNNNNNNNNNNNNNNNNNNNNNNNNNNNNNNNNNNNNNNNNNNNNNNNNNNNNNNNNNNNNNNNNNNNNNNNNNNNNNNNNNNNNNNNNNNNNNNNNNNNNNNNNNNNNNNNNNNNNNNNNNNNNNNNNNNNNNNNNNNNNNNNNNNNNNNNNNNNNNNNNNNNNNNNNNNNNNNNNNNNNNNNNNNNNNNNNNNNNNNNNNNNNNNNNNNNNNNNNNNNNNNNNNNNNNNNNNNNNNNNNNNNNNNNNNNNNNNNNNNNNNNNNNNNNNNNNNNNNNNNNNNNNNNNNNNNNNNNNNNNNNNNNNNNNNNNNNNNNNNNNNNNNNNNNNNNNNNNNNNNNNNNNNNNNNNNNNNNNNNNNNNNNNNNNNNNNNNNNNNNNNNNNNNNNNNNNNNNNNNNNNNNNNNNNNNNNNNNNNNNNNNNNNNNNNNNNNNNNNNNNNNNNNNNNNNNNNNNNNNNNNNNNNNNNNNNNNNNNNNNNNNNNNNNNNNNNNNNNNNNNNNNNNNNNNNNNNNNNNNNNNNNNNNNNNNNNNNNNNNNNNNNNNNNNNNNNNNNNNNNNNNNNNNNNNNNNNNNNNNNNNNNNNNNNNNNNNNNNNNNNNNNNNNNNNNNNNNNNNNNNNNNNNNNNNNNNNNNNNNNNNNNNNNNNNNNNNNNNNNNNNNNNNNNNNNNNNNNNNNNNNNNNNNNNNNNNNNNNNNNNNNNNNNNNNNNNNNNNNNNNNNNNNNNNNNNNNNNNNNNNNNNNNNNNNNNNNNNNNNNNNNNNNNNNNNNNNNNNNNNNNNNNNNNNNNNNNNNNNNNNNNNNNNNNNNNNNNNNNNNNNNNNNNNNNNNNNNNNNNNNNNNNNNNNNNNNNNNNNNNNNNNNNNNNNNNNNNNNNNNNNNNNNNNNNNNNNNNNNNNNNNNNNNNNNNNNNNNNNNNNNNNNNNNNNNNNNNNNNNNNNNNNNNNNNNNNNNNNNNNNNNNNNNNNNNNNNNNNNNNNNNNNNNNNNNNNNNNNNNNNNNNNNNNNNNNNNNNNNNNNNNNNNNNNNNNNNNNNNNNNNNNNNNNNNNNNNNNNNNNNNNNNNNNNNNNNNNNNNNNNNNNNNNNNNNNNNNNNNNNNNNNNNNNNNNNNNNNNNNNNNNNNNNNNNNNNNNNNNNNNNNNNNNNNNNNNNNNNNNNNNNNNNUCAAGCAGGAACAAAUGAGAAUAAAAUAAUGACUGAGAAAUUAAAGAGAACACGAUAAUUUAACGUGGAAAACUCCCCAAGUGGAGAAAAACCACGGCCGUUGCCAAACGACAAUCAAGAAAAAUAUUCACUAUGCGGCAAAUUGUUACAACCACAAUUACAAAAUAUUUUUCUACCCGACACCCUCAAAACACCCCAAAUAUUUUAUACUCCAAGUGAUUCCAAAAGAUUCCCUAAUAUAAAACACGUUCAAGUGUUUUUGGUGUGUUUUGGUGUGUAUGGAAACCUAAACAUUGCUUCCAUUUUAUAGCCAAAUCACUACCUUCACUUUGCUUAUCUCCCCGAUGUGGGAUUAAGCAAAAACUAAUUUUUUUUUAUAUUUUUUUUUCUUUUGUUUUCAACAACGGCGGCUAACAUUAAAUAGGUAUGGUUUCAAAAUUUGAAUGUAGAGACCAAGAAUUUUGAUGGUCUGUAAAAGGCCAACAAGCUUUACAAACUUUCCGCUGAUUACAAUAUCAAAAAACAUUUAACGGAUUGUAAUUGCAUCCGAGUUAUACAGGACCCAUUCUCAUUGGUUAAAGAACGAUAAUAAACACACUAACCUUUACUUCAGUUUUUGGGGAAAAGCGAUUCCACAGGCUUUAAUGAGUAUGGAUGCUGAUGCUUCCUUAAAUAAACAAAAUAAAAAAAUAAAAAAAUUUUGGUGGCAAGUGGAAACUAUCUCUUUCAAUUCCACCAAAUUUAGCUAGCUAGGGUUUAGAGAACUGCAAAAUUUGCAAAGAAAACCCUGGAGGAGGAAACGGUGGUAAAAGAUUCUAACCAAAUAAGCAAACAUAAACCUAAAAAGAAAUAUAGGAAAGGACAAAGGUGGUAAGAGCAUAGCAAGAAGACCAAGAGCAAGAUCAAGAGGAAGUCUGUUACUGUGAUUGUUUUACUGACUUAAUUACGUGUCUGUAAGAAUGAAAUAGUGCAAGACAAAAGAGAAUGAGUAGUCAAAUCAAGAAAAGUAAUCUUUCACUUAAUUAAUAAUAAAGAGGACAUUAUAUCCAAAAUUAAAACUGUACAUUCUCAUGAUUAUGCCAUGAUGAUUUGAGUAAUCAGUUACAGCUCUUCUUCACGGGCUCGACAAUAAAGAAUUUUAAUUUCUUUUUUUUUUCUUUCUUUUUAUGUAUAAAAAAUAAAAUUCAUUUUCUAUAUAUAUAUAUAUAUAUAUAUAUAUAUAUAUAUAGCCCUAAUGUGGCGGAGAGUGAGGCAUAUGAUGAUGAGUCUUGAAGCUUAUUGUCCGGGAGAUAGAAGGAGGGUAUUAGGGUUUUGGGUUCGGAAAUUGAGGUCAAGAAAAGGGCUUUUGGGUUUUGAACCACACCACAAAAAGACACCAAAAAACACACCCUCUUAACUACUGAAAACAACAGAUGAGUAAGUGAAAGCUAUAUCACUCCAUGCACACGUCCCUUUCUUGCUCCUCUCCCCCACAUCUGCCGCCUCUCUCUCUCUCUCUCUCCCCCCCCCCCCCCCUCGCAUUGGGAAUGCCAACCACACAUGUUACUGUCCUAUGCAUGCUUCUUCUUCUUACUAUAAUGUAAAAUGUCAUCAUCAUCAUCAUAUGUAUUUAUACAUACAUGCACACAUGUAAAUGCAUGCAUGACUAGUCCUAUAAACAAAGACCAAUAAUAAGCACAAAGGGAAGCCACGAGGGGUUUUUCUAUUUCUUUCCUGUGUCUUCUCUCUUAUUUUAUCACCUUUGUUUCACAAAACAACACCUUAUUCACAAGAAAGAAAAAAAAAAGGCAGAUCCAAGGUAGUGGUGGUUAAGCUGUCAAUCCUAUCAAUCAAUCAAACCAGAAAGAAAGCCAGUAAAUCAUCAAUCAUUUCUUGUUUUUUUUUUUUUUCCCAAAAGACUUGAAAAAGGGUAUAUAUCAAAUUAAAAUUCUACCAUGUCCUCCUCUUCUUCACUCUCUGUGGACCACCUUUCCCCCUCCGAGCAGCUCUGUUAUGUCCAGUGCAACAUUUGCGACACUGUUCUUGCGGUACUAAUUUAUCACCAUGUCUCCUGAUUUCCAUUUUCCCCAAUUCGAUAUAUAUUUUCUGUUUCUCAUUGUGACCACUUUCUUUGAUUUAAUUAAAAAAUGAUGUGUAUGUAUAUGUUUAUAGGUGAGUGUUCCUUGUACGAGUUUAUUCAAGACUGUUACUGUCCGAUGUGGUCACUGCACCAAUCUCCUCCCUGUCAAUAUGCGUGCUUUGAUUUUGCCAUCUGCUAAUCAGUUUCACUUGGGUCACUCUUUCUAUUCUCCUUCUCAUAAUCUUCUGGUAUGUCUUCAUUAUUGAUUAAUUACAUAUAUAAAUAAGCCUUUUAAUCUAAUAUAUAUGUAUACCCACUCGAUCUUUUUUGUUUAAUUUGGCUGCAACUGGGUUUCAAGUCGCAGUGCUCUAGAUAUAACUCCAAUACUUGUCGGUGAAAACAGAUCUCAUUAAUGUAUAUAUAUUUAUAAUUUUUUGUUGCAGGAUGAAAUCCCGAACCAAACUCCAAACUUCUUGAUCAAUCAAACAAAUGUGAAUAAUUUUAGUGUUCCGUCUCGAGGAGUGACUCACGAUGAGCUUCCAAGGCCACCAGUUAUUAACAGACGUAAGAUUCAUAUCUCAUUUCAUGUUUUUCAUCCUUUAUUCUCUCAAAGAUUUUGCCAAAAAUGUUAUUCGAAUUUCUUUUACUUUGGCUUUGUCACAUAUUCGAUUUGAGAAUCAGACAUAGGAUGUCGCCUUCUUUAUUCUUUGAAGAAUCCCAAAAUGUAAUUCUUUUGGGUAAAAAUUCUCUCUCUUUGACGUGGUCAGUAAGCAGAUGUUUUUUCUCUUAGGGAAUAAAGAAAAUAUAUAUAGUGGGAAAAGAAUCAUACCAUUUCCCUUUUUUGGUUCACUAAGCUCUUAACAGUCUUGAAGAUCUUUUGGUCUGAUGGUGGGGAAAAAAGAACCUGUGUCACAUUAAUUAGUAGCAAAACCCACUUAUGCCUGCCAUUCAUAGAUCAUCCCUUCAGUAUCUCUUUUCUUUUUUCCUUUUUUCAGCUUUUUUUUUUUUUUUUUUGGUUAAAAAUGGAGAGCUAGGCUCUAAGAAUUACAAACAAAGUCUAGGGUGGGCAAUACCAUACAAAUCAUGGUUGAGCCACCAUGCCAAACCCGAAGGAGGUCCAGACAAAAAAUGAGUUCCUAGAGGGAAAUUCCUAGCAACCUUACAAAGAUAAUCAGCAUUAUAGUUGGCCUCUCUAUAGACAUGUCUAAUAUCACAAGUCCAACUACCUUGGAUGAGAUUGUUAAUAGCCAAAAUAAGCUGUUGGACACUUCCACUGAUUUAGUAUCCCUGAUUUGGUAAUGACAUUUCCCUCUUAAUAGGUAAAAUUUAGCAAUAAACCCUACAGUUUUGCCCAAGAUUUAUAACUACUUGAACACCCUAAUUCUUUUCAUUCUUUCUUUUCUUUUUCAAUGCAAGAAAGAAUAUAUUUAACUUAAUAGCAAAUAACAACAUUGUCAGUCCUAAUUUGCAAAAAUAAACCAAGAAUUUUUUUUCCUGUUGUAUAAUACUAUGCAUAUAUAUAUAUAUAUAAUAUAUAUAUAUAUAUAUAUAUAUAUAUAUAAAGAAAAAACAAGUACAGUUGUCUCCCCCGGAAAUGUAUGGGGGACGUGGAGAUAGGGAAAGGUAAUGACUAAAGCAGUGGCAGUAGAGAAAUGAGAGAGAGAAAUGAGAAAAGAAAAGGCAAGAUUGCAAUAAAAGUUGUAACUAAAGUGAUCUUAAUGUGUCUGUAUGUUGUGUUGUGUCCAUGUCCAGCUCCGGAGAAGAGACAGAGAGUCCCCUCAGCGUACAAUCGCUUCAUCAAGUGAGUAAUGAUUUCAAAGCUUUCACAUAGGGAAUUUCUUUUUCUUUUUCUUUUUUCUCAUUAAAUAUUAAUAAUAUGGAAAUAUAUUAUAUGUGUGUGUGUGUGUGUGUGUGUGUGUGUGUGUGUGUGUGUGUUUGUGGUAUAUAAGUUUUGCUAAAUUUGAAGCAAAAAAUAUGCAGGGACGAGAUCCAACGCAUCAAGGCUGGAAAUCCUGAUAUAAGCCACAGAGAAGCCUUCAGUGCAGCUGCUAAGAACGUAAGAUCCAAGAAAAUUUAUUUAGGGUUUAUAGUUACUUUACCAAAUUAGGGUUUCUUUUUUUGCUCUUUUUAUGUAAUUAGGGUUCCUCUAUUUUCUUCUUUGUUUUAUAUUAUAUUAUAUUAUAAGCAGAAUAUAAUGUGGGGUCUUUUCCCUGACCUUGUUUUGUUUUCAUUAUGUCAGUGGGCCCACUUCCCACAUAUUCACUUCGGUCUCAUGCCAGAUCAGACUGUGAAGAAGACUAACAUGCGCCAGCAGGUAAACUAUGCACAACCCUUUCUAGUGUUAUUAGUUUCCUUAAUUACUAGUAUUAAAGUUAAUUUGCUUAUGGGUUUUUGUAGGAAGGAUCAGAUGAUGUUCUGAUGAAGGAUGGAUUCUUUGCUUCUGCUAAUGUUGGUGUCUCUCCAUACUAAGAAACUUUAAUUACUAAUGGAGCUGUUUGUUUUCUUUCUUCUCUAUAAAAUUAAGUCUCUCUGCUCUUAAUUAAUUAGUAAUUAGUAAUUAGUAUUUAGUCGCAGAAAGAUUUCAAGUUUAAUUAAGAUGUAGAUUAACAGCUCUAAUCCAUAACCAAUCUACUACUACUGAUGUCUUUAAUGUCGAAAUUUGAUCUAGCAAUGUACUUCUACAUAAUCUAUUAAUCUCUACUCUUUUUUUUAAUUUCUUUUUUUAAGACAAUUUAUAUAUAAAUUCUCUGUGUUCAUUCAUAUCUCAAGCAACACUAACACCAAUGUUUUUUGGGUGGAUGAUGAUUUUCAUUAUUUUUUCUUAUUUUGCUUUUUUCUUAUUUCGAUAAAUACAAAUCCAAAUAAAUUUAUAAAUCUAUAUAUUUCUAGAAUGGAUUUAUUUUUUGAAUUUUGUCAUUCCUUUUGAUGGAAUUAAAUAGUUAUUAACUAUUUGGAUGUUUGCUAAUAGUUGUUUGAACUUCAAUAGUUAGAUUAACUCGAUUGAUAAAUGGAAAAAUAUUUAUGGAAUUUUCUAUUCAAAACUUUAACAACUUUUGAUUUUAAAAACUUCAUUUUGAAACUUUUCCAUGAAUUGGUAAUUGAUUUUGUUUUAUUUCAUAUUUAGGCUCAAUAACCGUUAUUAAUAUUUAUUAAUAUUAGAAAUAUACAUUCUUAAAUUAACUUCUAUAUGACGAUAAAUUAUUAAAAAUAACAAAUAAUUAUUAAAUAUUUUAAUUGAUGAUAGAAAAAUUUUAAUAGUAUUUAUAAGAUAAAAUAAAAUUAUUUAACUAUGUAUAUGUAAGGUCAAUAGUUUUCUUAAUUUGAUGUUUCCUAUUAUUUUCUUUUAUUUAAAUAAUAAAAUAAAAUAAAAAUAAUAUAAGAACAAAUGAGCAUUCAAUUGGUUGAAUUCAAACCAUUUAAUUAUAAUAUAUCAAAAAUAAAUUAUAUCCUCAAUAAUCAUUUAAUAUCUUAAUUUAUACCAAAUUUUAACAAUAUAGCUAUUAGACAUCUAACUAUCAGUUACUAGUUUUUUAGCAAGAGGUAAACCAAAUUGACGUUUUAUAUCUUUGUUUUUUAUAUUAAAUUUUUUUUUUUAAUUAAUAGAAAUAGGAAUAUAGAUUCAUAUCUUACCUAACAAAAAGCUAGUACAUAUCCAUCUCUUAUAAAUUAUGCUAAUAAAAUUAUAUUCUGAGAUUAAUUUCAUUUUGAAGAAGAAGAAGAAGAUAGGGAAUAUGAAUCACUAGUUUAAAAAGAAAAGUUACAUAGAUGAUAAGAAUUAUCAAGUUAAAAAAUAUCAAUUGAUAAUUCUUAUCCGUCAAACAUAUGUUCAACUCAAAGUUUAUUAUAUUAGUUUUCUUAAUUAAUAUUUUUUAUGUAAUUAAGAUACGCAUUAUUCAUUCAGAAUCGGAUAAAAAUGAAUAUAUAAGAGUAAAAUCAACAUUUUCAUUUUGAUCCAUAUCAAGCAUAAAAAUUUAAGUAGUUAAUAAUGAUAGGAUCAAAGAGAAAUCGGUUAAUAAAUUAACUAAAUCAUUUCGAUUUAAUUAAUUUGAUUUAUUUUUAGUUAUUUUUAACAGAUUUGGGUUUAAUUGAAAAUCGAAUUAAAUUGAACUAAAGACGUUAAAAAUUAAUCUCAGCCAAGAUGGUUUUACUGAACUAUGUAUGUCCAGCCUCAGCAAUUGCAGGCAAACAGCAGCAGUUAAGCUGGAGAAGAUAAAGAAGUUUCUUUCUCCAAGUUUUGCAUUUCCCUCCAGAAAACUCUUCCGCUUCUUUCUUUCUUUCUUUUUGUUCUGAAAAUUUAGAACGAACAUGGAGGUUGGUUUAAAGUCAAUUAUGGGUUUCCUUUGCCUACUUCUAUUACUACAGACAAUUGAAUGCAAAAUACUGUUAAAUAAAAUGGGUGCUUAAAUAUUGCUUAAGUAGUUAAUUUGUUUAUAUAAGUAUUUUCACAAGCUUUAAAAUGGCACCAUGAAUUACAAAACAGGGUACAACAUUGCCUUGUCAUUUAUCAGUAACUAAGCUUAUAAAGACUAAUUACCAUUCAAUUUCAGCUAUAUCAGUUCAUAUAUAACUUAAAGCGACUUCCCGAAAAGGCGAAAAUGGCGGAACAGAAACAAGAUUGCUCAAUCCAAGAUUGUAGGGUCAAGUAAUGAAGUUAUGCAUACGAUGCAACCAUAACCGAAAGGUAUAUAACAAUAUCCAAUACUUUUACACUGUAGUUAUGGAGAAAAAGGGGAUGCAAAUAGAGCCCCACCUUCUCAAUCUCAGCUGCUCGGAUCUUUGUAAAAGACAUUUCUUGUGAAGUUUGUCUCCAACCCCCAAAAGUGUGAAACUUUGAAACAAAAUGCAUGUAAGGAAGCCUUCAAGUAUAACAUGCCAAGCAGAGCGCAGCUUUUUAGAAAGUAAAUAUAAGAGCAUGUAAACAGAGGUCGCAAAGCCAAUGGUAACUUUUCCAUUUCCUUUUAUUUUCACUUCCCCUCCUCUUAAGAAGCCACAAAGAAAAUCUAUUACUUGUCCUAAUAGAAAAAGAAAUUAACUUAUAGGAUAAGUUCAGGGGGUCAGAAGGGCAGAAAACAUAACUCCUUAAAGAUAGCUAAACAGGGCACACUCUGCAAAGAAGCUAUAAAGCAACUCCAAUCAGUGUUACUAUUCCUGUUACUAUAGAACUACAGUAACAAAAUGUACAUUGCAUUAUCUUGAAAUCCAUCAUCCCCCUCAUUUUUCCUGAAAGCAUCACCAAAAAUAAUAAAAUGAAGGAGAAAACAAAAAAAUGUUUGAUUUGGAAUCAAGUGUUGUGAAGAAAGUCAUAUUUUGCAAAAGUUACUUAUACAGUCAAUUAAAAAAAGUUCAUGUAUUGUUUCCAUUUGUUUGAUAAUUAAUAGGACAGUGUUCAAUUCCUCUCUUCCUGGGCACUGGACCACUGUGUAUAUCAUAAACAGCCCCAGACAGGGUCAGAUAUCACAUGGAUAGUUUCACCUAAGACCCUUUUGAACAACAUGCAAGGGUUCCUGUGCCUUAUAUCACAAUCAGACGAAUGAGUUAUGGAGUUUGAAUCUCCGAGGAGAUCCAUAAUUGAGUUAAUGCACCUUAAAUGUUAGUAAUGGGUAAUUUAAAUAGCACUUCCCUCCAAAGUACAAAGGGAUACACAAACGGACAUCUUGAUCCAGCUGGGCUGGCUGCAUGUAAACAAAUGAUGGAAGGGACCACAACAAGCAACCUAGAAGGGACAUGAAUUUUCCAGCUUGGCGAAAAUCCUACUCCUAACAUAUAUUGGUUGAAGAUUGUGGGCCUUGAACAUAAUGCGUUUAUUUACCGUAUUUUACAACCAUGUAAGGAUAAGAGGAAGUUUCACCUCACCAAGUCUGAGAAAGAUUUCUCACAGCUGUCCUGUAGAAAAUGACUCUAGAUAUGCUGUUUCCUGCAUGUUAUAUAUAAAAGAAUAGCCAUUUUGAUGGAAUGAUUGUUUUUUUUUUUAACCGUAGGUAAGUUAACCACCUCAGCAAAAGAAGCAGUCACUUGUAUUAAGUAGAAUUUGCGAAUGAAAGAUUCCUCCUUUAUACGACAAUUCAAUAUAUAGAGCAACUGAGCAAAUGAGCUAUUCAAGUUGAAAGCAGAAAGCAUAUACGGGAUGCUAAUUGUAUUAAAAAUUUGAUUAAUUGUCAUCAGCACAUAAUAAAUUACAGGUAUUAAAAGAAUGACGAUCCCAAUAAAUUGAACAAGGACUGUGGAAGAAGAUUUAAGAACAUAUGUCAAAAUCACUUAAAAUUCUUAUCAACAGGACUAGACUACAAACCUAAGCACUCAGAAGUCACAACCACAAACCGCACUAAGAAGAAAGGCUCGAACGUGCAAGACAGACAGCAAGUCUUUCCCAGAGCAAAACAAUCAGCUGAAAAUGAACAUCACAGCACAGGCAAUCAUCAGCAAUGUGAAGAAAUGCUUUGUUCUAUCGCCCAUCAUUGAUGCAGCAAAAGAAGAGAUAUCUUGUGGCCUGAAAAAGAAAAUGAACACAAUCAGAAUCUAAUGCCAUGACUCCAAGAAGACUUGGAGAAGAAAAAUAAACAGCAGAAAAAGGUUAGUAGUCUAUACUUCUGCAUUUUGCUAAGAGCACCACAAAAGAGAGCAUUGUCUGGAAUGGGCAACUCAGUUUUGUUAGUCUUUUCUGGAUUCACAACUCUGACAUACGUUUCUUGGCCAAGGUACCAUGAGUCAAGGUUUUCUGUCCUGAGGUUCCAGACUCCAACAUUGUCUAGUGAUACCAAAAUUGCUGUCCACGCUCCAGGAUAAACCUACAUAAAACAUGAAAGAAAUUAUAACUCAUGAUUACAAUUUAGUGCCAAAAGUGUCAAUGCUGCUUCUACACAUCUAGAAUUACCAAUACUUCAUCAUGUUUAUACAUGAGCCUUGCAUAUAAGAAGAAAAGCACCACAGAGAAUUUUACUCUUGAUAAUCACUCAAUUGCUGGAGUUCCUAAAGGAAGGACAUGCAUGAGGAUAAUUAUUAUGAAAUCUGGAAAAAAGCCGGUACUCGAGGAACACAAAAACUCUUAGGACAAUGAUGAUUUUUACUGCUUAUACUAUCAUCGAUAGAAGCAAGAGACAGCAUUUAUAAAGACUCAAAAGGGAGUAGCUGUGCUAUAACAAUCCACGACAGCAUACAUGAAACAGAUAUCAUGCACCUAUAAGGUAAACAGCUAAAGUUUUACCAUCAGUGACUUCUCAAGGGGAAAUUUGAAACACAAACCAUGAAAGCAGCAAAUUGACAUUAGAUUCGCUUUAAAUGCUAUAUAAAUGUUUGCUUUAGAAUCAUGAAGUUAAAAGAAAAAUGAUGGCAAAACCCAAGCAAGGGUAAUGAUGGAUCAUGGAACUCUGUUGAGAACAUACCUGUACUGUGGAGCGUGCUAUGCCAUCCCAUUUGUUAUAGGUACCCCUGCUGUUCUCUGUCCAUUCACCAUAAUCCAUCCUGAAAUAAAUUGGUUGAAGAGGGAUGAUUAAAAGCAUGCUUUCAAAAUACAAAUGAGGCAUAAAGGAUGGAAAUGAAUUCUUACCCAACAACAAAAAAUGCAUAUCCACUCAUGUGAUAGCUCUGCAUCUUCGUAUCAUUGUUCUGCAGAAUGACUUCCAUAAAUCCUCUGUAUGUUCCAUUAAUUACAGAUGUUUCCAUUUUAGGUGGUCCUUCAAGUGGCUUAGUGGGGAAAUCAAGCUUAUAUACUCCUUUCACUUUGAAUUGAUCUGCAAGCCUGAUUGGAGUCGAAGGAUUUACAAAUGAUAUCCCACUAAGAGUUGUCCGUUUUUUCCCAUUAAUCGUCACUGGUGGCUUAUUUUUUAACACGUAAAUUUCAGUCACAUUAAUUGUUCCAUAUCUAAAUGAACCUUGAGGGUUGGGACGUGCACCGCUUGCAGAAACGUUCCAUCUGCAUUUGCACACGGAAACACCCAAAAGUUAAAGCCAAAAUGAGAUCAAAAUAGAAAUUCCUGCAUAGUAAAAGAACAAUUCUAAUACUACGAAGUCCCAAACUGAUAAAAAGAAUUAGUCAAGGUAUUUGAAAAACAGCGGAUGCCAACCUGAUAGAUCUUGCCUGGUUCAUUGAAAAGGUUUUGUCGAACUCAUCAUUUGGUGCAUCUGGUAGGGGGCCCUUCGCCUUUCCUUUGGAAUUUGUAUAGUGCAAGAUUGCAACUCCAGUAACUCUUUUCCACUGUGAUUCAUUCACAAACCUUGCGCUAGCUACAAUGUAGUAAUCAGAACUUGCAUUCUGAUCCAUGGUCACCAAGAACGAAUAGGAUUGUCCUACAUGAAUAUCUAAGCUAGUAUAAUUCUGUUGAACGGUAUAUGAUCCCUCUGACUCUGCUAAAAGAAGGUUAUGGUUCUGGAUCCUGAAAUUCAAACUAGUUGAUGUUCCAACAUUGUGUACACGAAGUCGAUAGGUUUUCCCUGUCCAACAUAUAGCAACAUCAUCAUUUAAAAGUGUGAGCUUGAGCUUCAGGAACUACAUCACAAGCAAAAGACAAUAACACACAAUAAUUAAGGAAGCUUCGGAUAGACUUUGAUAGUAACCUACAACAACAAUUUAUGAAUCAAGAGACAUUUAAUAUAAUAACAACUGAAAGAAUAGAUGAAAUAUUUCUUUCCUCCAAUAGCAAAACAUGCUAAUAUUCAGUUUUCAUAUGACUCAUACCUGUUGGCGGUUGCCAAAUAACACUUAGGAAGAAAACUAAAUAUAUUUACAAGGGACGCCAUCCAUGUUAGUAUUAAAAUAUUUUCACAUCCACCCAAUUAGCUAUUUCACAUGAUACUGCGAAGAAUAGUUAGGAUAAAUUAUGCUUUAGUUCUUUAAUUAACAAAUUAGUUAGUUAGUUAGUUAGUUAGUUAGAUAAGAUUAGGAAAGCAAAUAGAUAGAUAUAUGAUAAUUAACGAUAAUGCACUUUCAAAAGAGCAAUUGUUCCACUACGUAUCUAUCCAUUAUAUACAGCACAACAAACAUGGUAGCAAGCAGGGCAUACAUAUUGAAUAAUCAUCUGCAACGUAAGAUUUGAGCAGCAUACAAGCUUUAACUCAUUCUAACAGACACAAACCAAUUCCAUUUGGCAACAAAGGCAAAAAAUUGAUAGAUUCUUCAACAAAAAUGUCAUAUAUAGAAUAGUCACCUGGAUGGACUUCAACAGUUUCAUAGUCGAUGCCGUCAGGAACAAGUGUGGUGUUAUAUUGGUAAGGGCCUUUGCCAUUAAUAAGAACUCCAUCUGGCAUCCCAAGAGCUUUCCCUGCAUCAAGGGUUUUUCUCAAAGCCUACAUUACAAAAAAAAAAAAAAAAAAAAAAAAAGUCAUCAAACACCGCACUUUCCAACUUCUUUCAGCAAUCUAAAAGUAUCGAGAUUCAAUAUUUUAACAGCAAACACUAACCGUAUGGUUCCUUUUGUACCAAUCGCCAAUCAAAAUGACAAUGUCGCCAUAUGGAGUAUCAAAAGGAAUUGGAAUAAUAGGCCGGUUAUUUAUAAUAAAGCUACCAAAUCCACCAGAAGCUCUCUGCAUGUAGAGAGAAGGGAAGUAAAAGAAACUCCCAAUCUGAUCCUUAACUUGAAACUGAUAAGUCCAGUUCCACUUAGGAGGAAUUGGACAGUUAGUUCCAGGAAGUCCAUCUUGCCAUGAACUUCUCCUUUGUUGAACUCCAGACCUAACAGAGCCAUUACGUUCGAAACACUAAAAUCAGCAUAUAUAUAUAUAUAUAUAUAUAUAUAUAUAUAUAUAUAUAUAUAUUUCCAUCUAUUCUGGUUCAUACAAAUUUCAACAAAUACCAUCAGGCAAUAGAUUUUAAUGCUAAACAACAGCAACAACUAAGCCUUAAUCUCAAACUAGUUACAGUAAAUCAUUAUAAAUAUCCACACUUCAACUCAAAAUUCACAAAAAUACAGCAAUUAAGAAAUAGAAUCCUACCAAUGCAUGAGAAGAUUCUCAUCCAAUUUGUUUCUAACGUUGACAACCACAUUGUUGUUGGUGGUUACAUUGAUAGUAGGACCAGGAAACUUGUCAUUUAUAGCAAUAACCUGCAAAGCAAUGCAAAUUUAGUAGCAAAGACUAGAACCAUAUAACAUCUCAACAUCAAGUACAAGCUCAGUACACUGUACAGAAGCAGCUAAUCUUAAGAAUUAAACCUGUGAAUAAGUAAAUUUAACAGAUCUGAAGCUGAAGAUUAAAACUUGAGAGAAAAUAUAGCAAAUCCGCUUAUCAGAAAUCAAGAUAAAGCAGAAAAAACGAUAAAUUUACUGGAAGCACUGUUAAGAAGUGAGUAUAAUGUAGAAAAAGAAAGCAAAAGACAGAGAGAUCUAAAUAACAGACCUGCUGGGGCACACCAAGAGGAGAAGCAGUGAUAUAAGAGACCUCAAAAUUAUAGGUAACAAAAGGAUCUUCAGCUAAACACAAGUUGAAAAACAAGUAAAUGUGGAUAAAAAACAAAGCAAAGGAGCUACUAAAGAAAGCCAUAAUCUUUUAGACCCUUUCAAGUGUUUUAGCAAAACAAGAACUCAGAACCCAAUUUUUGGUUAUCUUUUCUGUUGUGUUUUACAUCAUCAGAUAGGGAGAAAAGGAAGGGGAAGGAAAGGAAGAAACUAGAGCCUCUAAAGUUGGAGGGAGAAAGAGAAAACGGCUCUAUUUCACCUUAGCAUGUAGAGCUAGUAGUAAUAGUCUUAGUGGGUUUUUGGGGCCGAGUCAAGAAAUUGAGUACUAUAAAGUUUAAAAGAGAGCACUUGGAUGACAGAUCCCCAAGCCUUUUUUUGUCGGUCACCAGUCAUCAUUCAUUUGAGCAUGAGAGAGAGGAGGAGGGUGACAGCCAGUAGCCAGUUCACUAUAUCAAAAUAAUUUAUACAAAUACACAUUAUGUUAUAUAUAUAUAUAUAUAUAUAUAAUGGGUGACAGUUGGUUAUGAAAAAAAAAAAAAGAAAUCCUUUAAUAUUGAUAGUUAAAUUGAAGGUUUUUUUUUUAAAAGAGAACUUUGUCGUGUGAAGCUGAAGACCCCCAACGUCUAAAUUUCCAGCUCUUUCGUGGACCCCACUUCAUAAAUUGGGCUUGUACCCUUUCUAAGGGAGCCCUGUGACCCUUACAUCUCCAACACUGUAGGCUGUUCCUUUUUCCCAAAAAAAAAGAAAAAAAAAAAAGGGGAAAAAGGAAUAGUUUUCCUACAAACAGCAUUUUAAAGGACAAAUUACAAUUUUACAUCUAAAUUUUUGUCAUAACAUAUAAUAUUGUACCGAUAUUUUUUAAAAUAUAUUAAUUUAUCUUUUAUAUUAUUGGAUGGUAUAUUGUUAUAUCCUUUUAUCAAUUUUUUAUACUCCUUUCAUCAUAAAAAAAGAGAGUUCACUUUUUAUUUUUACACAAAUUAAGAAAGUAGUAAUUAUUAUGAUUAAAGAAUAAUUUUAUUUAUAUAAUUUCUAAUUAUGUCAAUCUUAAAUAACACAUAAGCAAUUAUUAUAUUGAAAUAAUAAAUAAAAAUUAAUAAGAAUUAUUGAAAAUAAGAUAAAAUUUAAUAAGAGUAUUAUAUACACUUUAAAGAUCAAUUAUAUAUAAAAAAUAAAAAUAGACUAUCUUUUUGUACGAUAGAGUAUUUUUUUUUAUCAAUAAAUUACUUUUUUAUCUUUUUUUUUACCAAAUUCAACCAACUUAUCUUUAUAUUUAUUAUUAUAUUUUAUCAAUAUUUACUAAUUUAUCCCUUUAUGCAGGGGCCGAGCUCCAUUGCAGCUAAGGGGCCGUGGCCCCCUUCAAAAUUUAAAAAAAGAAGUUUCCUUCUGAAAAUUAUAGUUUAAGCCUUCAAAAUAUAAAAAAUUAUAUUUAACCUCCUAAUAAAAACUUUCGUUUAAUCUUUCUAAAUGAUUGUCUUAUCUCCACCCGUCUUUAUGCAACAGAAAAGUAUAAAAAUUGAAAGAAGAAUGUAAAGUAUAAAGAAGAUAAAAAAAAAAUUGGGACAAUAAUAUAUUUUCAAAAAUAGAGAUUUACGGAGUAAAUUAUUUAAUUCGACAAUCGAACUUUGUUUUAAGCAGCCUAAUUAAAUCAAAUGAAUUGGAUCGGUUUGAUUUUCGGUGUAGUUUGGUGGGCAAUUUUGCAUACUCCUAUUGCUUAUAGGUACCAAUUGGUUCAUUUUUUAAUUAUAUACUAAUUGCAACAAUUUUCUAGCUUUAUGUUUAAAUUUAACAUUGUCAUAAAAUACAAUUAAAUAAGAAAAAACAUUCUCAUUAAAUAAAGAUUUCUGCAAUGAUUAUUGUUCCCAUAAUAAAAAUUAGCCAACUGAAAAACAGUGGAAGUUAGUUGUCCAAAAGCCGAAGAUAUGUGGGCUCGAAAAAUUUUACCUCGAGAUUCCAACAGUAACAGUUGUGAGUGCCAUUAGCUGUUUAUCAUCUCUAGAUUCUCUACUUCCACUUCUAACGGAAAACUGCAACAAACCUACCAAUAAAGGGGUGCAUGAUAGACUCAUAUGGGACCAUUUAUUUGUCAUUUUAAUAUUAAAUAUUCAUAUUUUUCACUGCUUUUUUUUCCAAAAAGUUUACACUAUUUUAAAGUUUAAAUUUAAAUAAGAUUUAAUUUAGAAUAAUGUUCAGAAUACCUCCUUAGGCAUUUUUGAGUAAUCAACCUUACUACUUCAUUUGGCAGGACACUAUUAGAGUACUUGCCUUUUUUUAUGUUUCUUUUUUGGAGAGCACCCAUUUAUUACAUGUUCGAGAAAAAAUUGUAACUAUCCUUUAAGUCUGAUCACUAAAAUUAUCUGUUUUAGCAACGUUAGCUAUUUGAAUAGCUUUUUAUAAAAUGUUAUCUUUAAUUUCUAAAAUUGAUUCAAACAUUAUAUUACCGAACACUAUAAAAAAAUAACGUUUAGCAUUUUAACUAGUCAAAAAAACUUAAAGUUACUUAAAAGGCUAUUGUCGAAAAUACUAUUUAUCAAAUUUAAAAUAAAAAUUCGAGUCGCAAUUGCAUUUGUUGAAAAUGUGGAAAUUUAGAUCCAUGUGAGAUAGGAUCCUAUGUUGCUUAUAGGUAACUAUUAGCGUUGAUUGUUAUCUAUAUGUAUAUGGUCAUAUAAAUAACUUUUUGCAUAGGUACUCUUUUUUUCUAAAGCAGCAUAAUUAUAUACACAUAGUACGUGUAUUAAUAAUUGAAUUUUUGUACGUGUAUACACAAAAUAUACUUAUUUUUUAUGUACUUAUUUUCUUUUAAUUUAAAUACUACUUUUUUUUAAUUUAAAUAUUAGUAUAUUAAUUCAUAUAUAUAUUAUAGUUUAAUAAAUGAAGCAAAAUACCCACGUAAAGUUGUUAGUUACACACGAGCAAGCCAACUAGCCAACACUAUUUUAUAGUACAUCUAUUAGAUCUUUUAAGGCCCAUGCACUUGAAAUCUAAUAAUAUUUAAUGAGGAUGGAUUUGAUUUUUUUUUUAAUUAUCCGAUUUUUUAAGCUUACUGGCUCAACUAAUCCGAAUUCACACCGAGUAGAUUCAAAGUUCGAAAUCGAGAUAUCUGAUUAAAGGAAUAAAGAUUAGUAUGAUUGAUUGCGCUAUUUUUUAAAAAAUUAAUCCAAUGAAACAAAAACAUCAUUUUCACAAUUUAUAUUAAAGUUAAAAAUGGAAUAGUUAAUAUUUCUCAAAAAAUUUAAACAAUUGAUAUUUUUAUUUAAAAAAGAAACUUAUAUGAAAUUUCAGUUGACUUAAAAAUUACUUUCAACUAGAAAGUUACAAGUAAAACACUGUUUGAUUUGUUCAUAAAUCAAAAAAAUUAAUUUAAAAUAAAUAAAGAAUUAUAUUUUUAUAAAUUAGAAUCUAAUUAUUUAAAACUAUUUUUAACCAAGUUAAAAAAAUUAUAUUAUCUUAGUAAUAUUUUCUGCGAAAUGCCAACAUUACUAUUGUUUUGACAAAUCAUUAGCCUUCAUAUUAGUUAAUAUUCCCUUUUUUUUUAUCAAAGUAACAAAUUAAAUUACUUUUAUGUAUUUAUCAACACUUAAACUAUAUAAAAAUUACUUUUUUAAAUUAAUCUAGCUUGAUAUCAUGAGGAUUAAAAAAUUAAUAAUCCGUCCCAUUUUUAAUUAGCUUAUAUUGGGACAAUGAUACAUACUAAUUAAUUAAUUAAUCAUCACAAUCAUAUAGAUUGGAGAAAUCCAACCUUCCAAUUUCUGAAGUUCACCUUAAGAAAAAUACUUGCUCAAGGAAUUGUUUAUUAACCUUUAUAUAUUACACGCCAAAAAAAAAUUAAAAAAAUAUUUUAAUGUACAACAUAUAUAUAUAUACAUGGUGAGUGAAUCAUUUGGUCACAUGGAGUGAUAAUGGUGGCUAAGGGAUGGCAUGUUUGUUAAGAAAAAGAACAUGCCAACUUGCUAUAUACGAUGUCAUUCCUAUAAGAUAUAUUGUAUUCUCAAUAAUGUGAUUAAAAAAUGUUGUAGAAUACCUAUAAUUUCGUGGACCGCUGACUAUUGUCGUUUAUGUACUUUCUUUCUGAAGUCGUUUUGUGGAUCCAUUAGUAUGAACAUAUCCAUACCCACUACUAAUUUAUUAGUCAUGAUUAAGAAAAAUCAAUUAUUCUAACCUUAAUUAAAGCCCCACCGUUAUAUUAGUGCAACAUCAACUUAUGGUGUCACCAAAUACGUGGCCCAUAUCCCAUAAAUCUAGCAGAGACUGCCUCCAACAUUCUCAGGAUUUAAAAAAAAAAAAAAAAAAAAAAAGCAAUGGAUGUUUAAUUAAUAAAAAUAGACUGUAUUUUCAAGAAAGAAAAGAAUAUAUAAAACUCGACAUAUUAUUUACCUAAAAAAAUGAUAAAUAAUUAAAUACACAUGAUGGUGUUCCUAUAUAUAUAGGGUAUACUCAAAAAUCCAGGAUCAACUAGACUAUCCGCCUAUGCUAUAUUCCACUAGAGAAGCAAUGGUGUCUCCCUCCCAUCAUCAGAUUCAGCAGCAUCAACAGACAACUUUUUUUUUUUUUUUUUUUUUUUUUUGAAAAAAGGGAUUUCUUUAUUUUCAGCAAAAUUUUGUUAGAAACUUUAUUUACCAUUUGAGAAAUGAAAACUAUUGUUGUAAAAAUAAUUUUAUUAGUUUUUCUAGUUUCUAUAUAAUUUGGAAAAUUGAAAAACAAUAGAAUUUAAAUGAAAAACUACAAAAUUGCUUUACUUUGCAUCGAUCAGCCUAGCCAUGCCAAGUACCAGAAGUCUGUUCUCAUUAACAUGAACAUUGAGACUCCAAGGUGUAUCAGCAUACUCAACCUGAAUUCACAAUAUAAAAUAUGAAUAUAUGUUAGCAUAAAAAAAAUGCCACCUUACUAUAAUAAAUAAAAUAAAAUAAAAAAGAAAGAAAGAAACUCUUAUUUGAUAUUCACUAUUAAGAGAUAGAAAUUAGAAUUAAAGCUACCAAAAAUAUAUUUAUAAAUAAUGGCAACUUCUAUCUAUAAGCUACCUUGUAACUUUAAUUUGGGUACUUUAACAUACUGGGCUGGAUCUUGUAAAUCUGGGUUUGUACACUUCCAGGGCAAUGCAAGUCUUUUGGUCUCACCAGCAAGGUUUGGAGAGAAAACACAAAUUACUGUAAAUGAUAAUUGAAACUUCAAAUAUCUUCUUUUCCUUUCUCAUAAUUUCACCACCUUCAAAUCAGAAAGAAAAUCCUUACUCAAAUUCUAUUUUUGUCAUACAAGGUAUCUUAAAGUUCCUGUAUCCACCAUUAUUUGUUCGUAUCAGGUGUGGAGCUCUUUAAAGGCUUAACCAGGCUAAUGCUCUAUCCUUUUUAAGAGUUUACUGACACAGUGGAAGUGGGAUAUCCAACCCGUAAUCGCAACGACCCAAUUGCAAGAAUGAGCUCUACCAACUGAGCUAUAUCCCCCGGAGCCAAGUGGAGAUGCACGUAAACGCAAUAAUCUAUAUUGAUAGUUGAAGUGAUGGGUCAUUGGCCCUCCUGGGGGAGUUGACGUGAACCCUAAUUAUAUAAUCUCAUAUGAGAGAUAGGUGUUCCUGAUGCGAUCGCAUAGGAUCCACCCUUAUCUAUAGUGUAAGUAUUUCCCAUCUCCAACCUCCUAGAGAUUGCAGAGUGGCAGAAAGAAAAGUAGUAGUCAUGGAAUAUCCUCCAUUAGAUGCUUGCAAGCACCUCCAACAUAGUUAGUCUGAUGUCUUAUAAAUGGAUGCCUAAACCCACUUUGGUCGGAUGCUGUCAGCAACACUUCGCAGUACAGUGACACUAUUUUCCCCAUCAAGGCCCACCAAAUAAUCCAUGGCCAGAAAAACAAUUGUCAUGGUCAAUCCCAUUAUCUCAAAGCAUAAACAGCAGCCAUUAUUGAGGCCAAUAUGUGUCCAUGGCUUAUCCUUCCAAUAACUCAAAGGGCAAGAACGAGUUAAGUUCUUUUCAGUAAAUCAGAAUCAGUCCAACAAAUAUUGUAACGUGGCUCAAUUUCUCUUUGCAGAUUCCAAUUUUAUGGAUAAUAUUAACAUGUCAAUUUGAAAUCCAUGUGGAAGGAAGCCACUAAUUCAACUCUUGUGGCCAACUGUAUCAUUCUAACAAUUAUAGAACUCAAAUCAAUGCAGGAAAAGUUAGAAGAUUUGUUAAGAGUUAGGAACUCAAGUGAAGUUAGAGGAAUUGUUAGAAACAGGGUAAUAAAAGUUAAGAGUAAGCAAGUCAAUAAUGUUAGAGGUUAGAGUACAUGGUUAGUAAGUUAAGUUAGAUGGCUUGUUAUGCAGUUAGUUCCCAAAAAAAAUUGGAAAUUAAUAUUCGGAACCAAUCCCCAAUGAUCAAUAUAUAUAUAUGGCUUUGCAUGGGCAAACAUGUUUACACAUUCUUCUACUAAGAUCUAUCUCUAUUACCUCUAACAAAAUGAAUCAAAAUUGAAAAAUAAACCGAGCAAAAUAAGAAGAUAUUAUACAAGUUGCAGGAAAUCAAUGAGAAGAAUUGUACAAAUUGCAGCAAAUCAAUGAGGUAGACUUAGAAAGUUAAGUUUCAUAGUCUACCGGAUAUUCGGAUAAGGGCGAAUGAACGCAGAAUUCAUUUGCCAUAUCUUGAGUGAAGCAGUAACAUUUGUCUCAAUAGCAUUAUUGAAUAGGAACAGCUUUGCAGCUCCAUAAAUUGCCCUUGUUGGAUAAACCCUGGAGGUGAUGCAUGUUCUGCCCCCUUGAGCAAAGCUUUCGAUUAUCGAAUGAUCCACCUGUUUUUUGUGCAUGUAUAUUCUGUUAAAAUCACUGGACAUAACACAGGAUAUUGUUGCAAAAUUAGUUACUCUCAACUGAACUUACCAAUGUCCUUAGAGUGAAUUUUUCUCCUUCUAGAACUGGAACAAAGUUCCCAUAGAUUUGUUUAUUAACAUCAUUUGCAACAGAGGAUCUGUAAAAGAGAAUUAAUUAAUCAAAUGCUCAUUAUACAUUAUAUGUAAUCAAGUGCACUAGUUAAUUAUUAAUUAAUUACCUUGUUUGGUCUGUGCAGAAGAAUGUUUUGAGAGUGCCAUUAAAUCCUUUCGUAACAUAAAAGUAAACAGGAGUUUGCUCUGCAAGACUCUCGUCUGCGAGAACCAGGAGACCAAAAGGUCCUAAUGCACUGUGGUGAGCAGCUCCAUUGCUAGUGCUGCAGCUAAAUUCUUCAUCGGUUUCUGCUAUGUUCUCCAAAACAUUCUUGUCUAUCUCAAACUCAGCGAAGAUAUCAAGCUGCAUUAAUUAAUUGACCUGUAAGUUAGAUGUGUUCUUCUUCUUGUUGCCUAACUAAAAUUCUACAAGUUGUAGAAACAAACCUGUGUAGCUGCUUCAAGAUCUAGAGGCACAACUGACCCUGGCUUGACCUCUACGUUCUUGAAUUCUUUGCUUCUUAAUCUCAAAUUCUCUACUUCUUCGACUGGCCACUGAAGCAAAUUGCUGCCACUCUUUGUGUCAAAAGCAACUGUCCUCGGAAUACCCUACAUGAUUAAAACAAAUGAAUUAACUUUCCCAAUGUUUAAAAAACCAUGGUUUUAAAUAAGCGAAGUUAAGAAAAGAAUGAAUACCUGAAGAGAAGCCCAUCCUUUCUUAACAUCAGCAGCUUCACUAUCAGACUCACCAAUCCAACCCCACAACACUCUUCUCCCUCUGUGCUGAUCAUAAAAUGUCUUGGAAGCAUAGAAUAUACCAUAAUCAUAUCUAAGACCAAUACCAACAUCAAUUUCUGGAAUAUCAGGAUACCAAGUAGCAUUCUUGUCAUCAUAAGUUCCAAGGGCAUAAUAAUCAUGUCUAUCAUCAUCAAGACUUGCCUUGACAACAUGUUUCACUUCAGGACCAUUAGCUGAGGUUUCCAAUCCAUUUCGGUCAUAAAUCGACACAGGAUAAAAGUCUACGCAUUCCCACAUACCAGUUCCAGGGACACCAUGAAGAACCUGAUUACGCAACUCAUAAUUUAUAAAAUCAACAGUAUCAUAAAUUAAAGCUAUUCCAGUUUUACCAACUUUAGACCCUAUAGUAAUCCUCCAUUUCCCUUCAGAAGUAUACCAAGCAGUUGUCGGAUCCCGGAAAUCCUUUAUACCAAUUCCUGGAGGAGGGACUAGAACAGGGUUGCUGGAGUAUUUAACCCACUCAAUGAGGAGAGGAUCGUUAUGGUCUGCUGGAUAUGCAAGAUUCUGGACUUGAACAGAUUCAUUGGUGGACCCAGUGUAUAGCAUUACAAUUUUACCAUCUGGCAGAAUUGUGGCAGAGCCAGUCCAAACACCAUUGAUGUCAUACCAUUGGUCUGCAACCAUUGCUAAUGGGAGGUGAAGCCAAUGGAUUAAAUCUUUUGACACUGCAUGACCCCAAACUAUGUUACCCCAAACGGCUGCAUCUGGAUUGUACUGGUAGAAGAAAUGGUACCAGCCCUUGUAAAAUAAUGGACCUGUAUAAGUUUAUUCAGGUUAAUUGUCAAGCUUGAAACUUUGAAGCACGAGUUUUGCUUUUCAACGGAUAAAGUUUGAAUUAACCAAGCAAAUCAAUUUAUACUAGUCAGAUUCAGAGUUACAGAAAAUUGUCAAAUAAAAGAAAGUUCUGUUCUUCCCAAAAAAAUGUUCCAGUUUGAUGGCUAGUCUUAAUUUUAUAAAUGUCCAAAAACAAGAAAAUGAGAUCUUACCAUUAGGAUCUGAAGCACAAUGAACCAGAUUCCAGCAGCAGAGCAAUGAUAGUCCACCGGCCAAACAAUGGAUAAAAGAAAAUUAGAAUUAAAAAAAAAAAAAAAAAAAAAAAAAGGGAGACGUAUGAGCAUGUACAAAUUUGGAGACAGACCAAAAUUUGGUAACAUCUGCUUAUGAAUUAUUUUAAUAAAAAAAGUCAACAAAGCGGAAAAGUAAUAAAAUAUACUGUAUAAGUUUAAAAAAAAUUCCUCAGGCAAAACGUUAAUAAGCGAAAUUAGACUAAUUAGCGUAUGCAAGUCUUAAUCCCUAAACAUAACACAAGCUUUAAUAAAAAAACAAAAAAGUAUAGUCAUUGCCACGUAAGGAAUCCUAUCUAUCAAAUCCACCGAAACUGAAAGGAAACAAUUUUCGCUGGCCCACCUCAAUUAUGUGCCAAAAACAAAGAAAUUAAACACAUUAAAUUAAAUUAUUAAUUUUUUAAUAUGAAAAAUGAAGAAAAAAGAUUAAAAAAAUUAACUAGUGAAAUACCAAAUUACCAUAUUAAUUUAUAACAUCAACUCAUCAUAUAAGGUUUAUUUGAGUUUUAAAUUAAGGAAUAACUAUUAUAGAAUUUUACAAUUUAGAAUAUUAUUUUCCUACCCAAAAGGUAAGCCACUUUUUUUGGGACAAUUAAAAUUUAAAACCAUAGAAAAAAGAAAAAUAAAAAAAUAAAGAUAAUUAAAAAAUAUAUAAAUAAAAGGGAAAGUCCACGAAAUCGAGGAUUCCCGGCGGAUCUAAAACCACAAGCAAAGAAUCAAUCAAUCAAUAAAUAAAUAAAUAAAUAAAAGUUGAAAAGAAACAAAAUCAAGUUUGCAGAAUCUACCAUUCAUCCAAUUCUUCUCAGGUUGGAAAUGGAAAGCAGUUCUUUGCCAUGAUAACAUGCUAUUGUUCCAUGGAUAGUCUGGCGAUUCUGAGUGACUAGAUAUCAGGUUAGCCUUUUGAGAAACUCCGGCGGAGACGCCGCGAGAGACGGGCCUCAAAAUCUCCGGUUUGGCUGUAUCUUGCGACGUACCUAAAGAACCUACAUUUUCGUUUUCUUGGGAAAGAAUGUUUUUCUCGGAUCGAUUAUUGUUAUCAAUUAAAGCCACAAACAAUAAAACAAAAAACAACCCAGAAAGAACGACGGAGAGAAGUUUUUUGGAAAUCCGACGAUGGACUGCCGAAGAUGUCUCGGCGUUAAUGCCAUCCGGGAGAGAAGUGUAGCCGGCAUCUUGAGGUUGUGAAACGGGAAGGAGUGGAUUUAGAUCAGCCAUGACAGGCCAAUAGACAAAAAGAAAAAAAGAGAUACGGAGAAGAUUAAUAUGUGGUGGUGUGUAAGAGAUUAUACGUAUACAAUAUAUAUAUAGAGAGAAUGGAGAAUGGAGGGUCAAAGAGAGAGAAAGAAAGAGCGAGAGAGUUGCCAAAAGAAGAGAGAGUUCAGAGUUGAAAAGGACAACGGUAAAUUCUUGAUAUGAUUGGUUGGGUGGUGCAGUUUUUGAGGAGCAAGGAACCAACAAUUUUCAUGUGACUCCAUUCCAGACUAGGAUUAACUGGCUCCUGCCUAUUAUUUUUCCCUGCCAAUUUUGGUUAUUGAAAUUAUAUUUUUUUUCCAUGGAAAAUUAAUUUUAUAAGAAAGUAAAACUCUACAAAAUAUUAUAUAAAAGCUAAAUUAUCAUGUUUUGAUGAUAAUAAAUUUUUUUUUUACUAAAGUAACAUAAUUGUUAUAAUAAAUAUUUAUUAUAUAAUUUAAAGUAUUUUAUUUUUUAUAGAAAUCUUUUUUUUUCACCCUUUAAGAAAUUUAACUUUUACAAAAAAAAAAAAAAAAAAAAUCAACUUUUCCGUGAGAUUUCAGUAAUCAAACAUCUUAUAUAAAACCAAAUCAAAUUAGUAUUAGAAGUGGUAAGAAACUUAACCAACAAAGUUAGAUGAUUAGAAGUAGUCUAGCAGAGAAAAACUAGGGUUCAAAACCCACGGUAUUAUCCAAUUUCGUAUUAUUAUAGGAAUAAUAACAAUUAACAACUAAGUCGGCUUUUUGGACAAGAAAUUAAUUAAUUUGAAACAUAAUUGCCUAUAGUGGCUUCCUAGUAAUAAUUUUGCCAGGUCAAGACAGGCAUCCUAUGGUGUUGCGCUUGGAAUUAUUUAUUUAUUUUAUUUAUAUUUUGUUGAGUAUAGGAGAUAAAUUCACCUGAGAGAUACAUUUUGAAUACAUACAUGCUCAAGUUGAAUCUAGACAACAAAAAGUUCUUUAUGAUGCUUUGGCUUUUAACAAUAAUAACUAAAUGCUUUUUUCCAUUCAAAAAAAUAAUUGAAUCUAGACAGAAAAAUUUUUCUUCUCGUUGCACUCAUUGUUUUAUGUUUAUUACUAUUGUUAGUCCCUCCAUGUAUUUUCAUUGUAAAAUUUUUUAAAGUUAUUUCUUGUUUAAAAAAAAAAAAUAGGUAGAUUAAUUAUUUUUAAAAAAAUUUUAUCAACACAAUAAUGAUUGUCUAUAAUAAUUUAAAAUCAAUCUUGUCACUUCUUUUUCUCUUAAUCUAUAAUUGUUUCUGACAUUAAAACGUGUUAAGUGAGAUAAAUAAUUAUUUAAUCAAAUUAAGAAUUAUUUUAUUGUAAUUUGGGUAAAUAAUUGUUUUUUUAAUUACUAUAAAAAGCAACACAUAUAUAGAAAUGGUAUGAAAUUAAGUUUUAUAUUGCAGAACUUGCAAAACUCAUUAGGGGAGAGGUCAAUUGCCCCUUUCUCUUUUAUAUUUCCAAAGGUCAAAUCUUGGUUUUCCAAUUAUUUUUAGCCCUCCCGUCACUUUACCUCUUAAUUUAUUUUUUAUAUAUGAUUUGUCCUUUUUUAUUUUUAAUCCUAGCUUCACUUCUUUUAGUAAUUAAAAAAAUAUUAAAAAUUGAUAAUUAUUAACAUCUUAAAUUUAACAAGUCUUGCAGCUAGCUUAAACAAUUUUUGUACUCAAACUUUAUAUUCAUUAAUUUAGUACAAGACGAGAAAGAAAUUGCAAGGAAACUACAAAAUAUAAAAUAUAAAUUAAUAUUUCUGGAAACUAAUAAUAGUCAAAACCUUAAAAGAAAAGAAAAUAUAAUAAUAAUAAUAAUAAUAACAAUACUAAUAAAACAUGCAUGAUUGAUUAGUGAAAUGUAAGGACGUGGCAAUUUAGGGGAGUUCUCAAGAUGUUUGGAGAUUGUAAGUUUCUAGACUAAUCGAACUGCCACGCAAAUAAUAGAGGGCGAUGACGAGGCAAGAAAUAUUCAUCAAGGUUCCGUUAGGACCCAGUUUGGCAAGAAAGAGUGCGUUGGCCAGAGGGACCCAGAAUACAAAUUAUUUGCCAUAAACAAAGGAUAACCAUGAGUGCUGAGUCAGCUGAGGAAAAUGACAGAUUGCUAGCUAUUGGCCACUAAUUUUUUAUUAAAUGAUCAAACACCAGAAAUUGCAAUGAGAGCUCUUGUUUCAUAUUUGUCCAUCCAACAUUAUUUGUUAGAGGAAGGAAUGUUUCUCACCACAUGAUUCAUUAAUGACUCAGCUUAAUUCGCUAAUUGUCUUCCUUUGAUUGUGAUUUGUCACCUUUUAGUAUCCAUUAUUCAUAUGAAAACAAAUCAAUAAAUGCAAAAAAAAAAAAAAACCAACAAUUCGGAUCUCCUAUUUUUUCUUAAUUUUUUCAAAAAACACUAAAUAAUUUGUGGUCGGAGCAUCUCCAAUGCUAAUGUGCUAAUGUGAACUGUAGCUGAUGUAUCAUAUGGAAUAUAAUGUAUAUCUUCAAUGCACUACUUUCAUAUUCUCUUACAUUAUCUUUCUUCUUUUCUUUUCUGAAUCCACGGUUAAAUAUAUAAUUACAUCGAUAAGUGCUCGUAUUGUCUAAAGAUCCUUCAAAAGUGUGGUACACAAUGUCUAUUUUUUAUUUUCGACACAUCAGCUUGACAUGUCACAUAAACAUUAGUAUUAAAGUUUUUUUUUUUUAAAUUCAUAUUUCUGAUGUAACAAUUAAAUAAGAAUAAUCCAUGUUAACAUUGGACUUUCAGUUCUAACCAUUUAUUUGGAUGGAAGUUUUUGUUUGGAUGGGAGUGGGGGAGGGAGGGAAAGAAAAUAGCUAAGAAAAUAAGUUUUCCUCUUUAGGAAAGGAAAGGAAAAUAAUGAAGUAAAAUUUAGUUUAUUUUUCAUGAGGCCCACAUAUUUGAAGGCUUUCCAAUUUGAAGAGAAAAUCAGUCAAAAAAAAAAGUGAAAAUUUCAUUAUUUUACUAAAUUAUUUAAAAAAUCUAAAUUUUCCGAUGAUAAUAUAAUUAUCGAUUUUCAAUAAUAACAUUUUAUUUUAUUUAAAAUUAUCUUUUUCGAUCAAAGAAAAUAAUAAUUUAUUUUCUUUCUUUAAUUAUAUCUAAAUACAAUGAUGGAAAUAAUUAUGGAAAAAACAUUGACAAAAUUUCAAUUACUUUCAUUUUACAACUUUCCAAAAUGGAAUUCUAAUUAUUCAUUUCAUUGCUUAUCAACAUAAAUUAGGAAAGAGAAUAAAUUCACCAAUACAAGAAAGGAAAUAAAUUUUGUUUAUAAAUGUAUACCACUUUAUUGUUAAAAGGUAAAUUUUCGAGACUUCUGAAUCAAUAAAAUUGUAGUUAUUUUCAAAAAUAAAAUUGGCAAGUUCGAAAUCUAAUCAAAACCUAAAGAAAAAUAAUUUAAAAAAUUGGAUUAAUAAUCAAACUAAUAAAAGUAAAAUUCUAUAAAUCUGUUGGUUAAAAUCAUCAUAUAAAAUGAACACCUCAUGUGCAAAUCCGGAUUGGGGUUAAACAUAUGAUGGGUUUGGUUGUUCUUAUUUGCAAAAUAAUCGCAUGAUUUCACAAACUUGCACAUGCAUUUGCCUACCAAAAAACGGAUACCAGAGAUCGGGGAUUCGUCAUUGUUGGUUAUGUCUAUUUUAAUAUUCGAAAAUGAUACUAAUAAUUAUUUGGUGGAUCCACCGAUCUAGUUCCUCAUCUUUGUGAUUGGACCGUCCGAAAUGCAAUGUAAUGAACCCUUUUCUUUCUCUUAAAAGAUUCCAUUAACUGAAUAAUACUAAUAAUAAUAAUAAUAUAAUGUUCUCGUCAUGCCUAGGUGGAAAGGGUUUCGCUGUUUUGACACGUAAGGAUGGUCCUACUGUAGGCCGCCCUUAAUUAUAUGCAAGGAGACAAACAUGUCCCACCCCCAAAUCAAUAUGGAUUUACUGUGGGACUCACCACCGCAUAUAAUUGUAACACCAUCGUCCCAAGCCCCAUUCUUUUAUUAACACGUAGUAAAUGAUUACGUCCUCCCUCGCAUGAUGUAUAUACCGAUUUGAUUUAGCAUAAAUUAAGGAAAUUCAGCUAAUAUAAUUAAAUUAUAAAUUUUAACUCAAUUUUUCUUAAUAUAUCCUUAUACCGAUACGUAUAAAAAUUAAAUAAUUCAUAUUAAUUAUUUUUGAAAUUAUUCAAACAUUCGAGACGAAUGACAAAAAAAAUAUUAAGAUAGAAAUUAUGAAACGGAGAGUUUGACAUAAUUAAUUUUUAUCGAUAUAAAUAUUAAUGAUUUUUUUUAUUUCUUCUGUUUAUGUUUUGCAUUUUCUUAUUAAAAAAUUUAGGAAUUUUUAUCUGUGUAUUGUUCUAAAAUUAACUUUAUUUUUAAGGGUAAAAUGGUUUACUUCUUGCAAAAAAUGAUUAAAUAGUUUAUUUCACCCUUUCUAAAUAUUUUCUAAUAUUUUCCUUGUAUAUUUCCUUUUUGAAAAAAUUUCCUUUUUCCAAACAAAGCCUUAGACUUCAAUGUAUUAAUAAGAACUACAAGAUUAUGGAAAAUGGAGCAUUAAUAUUCUAAUUUUUUAUACCUAUUUUUUAUUACUUUAUUUAUCUAACUUUAUAAUGAAAAAAUUAAAGCUACUAAGAUAUAGCCUACUGGUAAGUGCAUAUACGAUGUGACAAUAAUUCUAAAUUCGAAUCCCCUUUCUCCAAUACUUAAAAAAAAAUAUUGAGAAAACUACAAAAUUUAUACAUUUAAAAUUUAAUUUAAGAUUAUAAUAAAUUUUAUAUCAUCUGAAAUGAUUAUGAUUUUAUCCACAUAUUUGAAUUUUAUGAAAUAUUACACACAUGUAAUGUAAUUUUUAUGUUCAACAAAUACGUUUUUCUUUUUUAUUUUCAUGAAUUUAAUUAAAUUCAAAUAAAUAAUUUACAUGAAUCCAGGGUAAGAAUUGAUUUGAAUAAUUUGUUAUUUAUUUAAAUUUAGUAAUAUAAUAAAUUUAAGCAAACUUGAAUUCCAAAACAAAAUUAUAGUUUAUUAUUUUUAAUUAAUUUCAUGAGCUACUGCUCAAGGUCGUGUCAAACUGGUGAAAUUGAAGUGAAUUCUAGUAUUUUAAUGGCUGAAUCGAAAUAGUCUGCGUCAUUUUAAUUUUUUUUUUUUUUACAUUAGAUACUGUUUAUAAGAAAUAUAUUAUAAUAUGCACUCAGGAAGUGCUGCAAUUUGAACAACUGGUUAUAUUUUCAGAUAUCAAUUACAUAAAAUUAAAGUUGAUUAAGGGCAGUCAAACCAAUAAGAUUCUGCCAAUUCAAUUACUACUAUUACAGAAUCAUAGUUAAUUACUAAUUUAGGAAGGUGGUUUAUCAAUCCAAUCAUUAGUUCUGUAGCUCAUUAAAUAUGACUAACUUUUGUAACGUGUCUUGAGCUCAUUAACAGUUGAAAAAACACCUGAAUUAUUGGUUGGAAUUAAGUCAUUUACAGUUGAAACAACACAAUGAUUGUAAAGUUUUAAAGUAUUCAGAGUUCAGAGUUAAUUCCACCGGUAAAGUGCUUGUUCUUAUUUAUUUAUAUUUUUUACAUGGAAAAAAUUAUUUUUAAUUUUCUUUAUUGGAGAUCAAAUACUAAUAUGUCACGAAUAAGCUUUUUUUUUUUUUUUUUUCAUUAAACUCUUGUUGACAAUUUAUUAGAUAUUCAACUCAUUUAGUUAGACAACAAUGAAAUAACUUUUCAACUUAUUUAUUUAUUUGAUCAGAACCAAUAAAACGCUUAUUUAAAUUCAGAAGCCAAUUUUUGUUUUAAAUGACAAUUUCUUGUUAUAAAUAUUUUAGUAAGCUAUAUAACUUAUUAGAUAAAAAAAUAAAAUUACCUCAUACGAUAAUAAAAUAUAUAAUAUACUAUUGCUUAAUCAUUUACCAAUUAACUCUUAAUAUAAAUUUUAAUUAUUCAAUUUAAUCCCAAGAAAAAACAUACCCUUAAGGAAAAAUAUUCCGCCAAAAAUAAUUGGACUUUUCGUCCCCACAAAAUGUGUUUUAAGUGGUUUAGCAAUUUUCUGUUUUUCCCAUUUAAAAGGUGAGAUAAGCUUUACGUAAAGAGACAAAGCACUUUCUUCUAGUGGGCUAUUGGCCUUGAAAAAGACCACGAAGUUCAAAAAAGAAAUGAGGUGAAGAGGGAAAAGAGAUCCCACACGUCCUCUAAUAGAACAACCCAAUCCAUGUGUUUCAUGAAAACAAAAAGUUCGGCAAAAGUCAACUUUUGCUGCCAGUUUUGACUAAAGAUAAAAUUUUGAUUAUCAUUUUAGUAAAAUGAAGAGCAGAAGACUGGAAGAGGAUAUAGAAUGAACAAGGGCUAAUUGAAAAACUGUUCCAUCUUUUAUUUCAUGAAGCCCAUAUCUCCAAGAAAUGAACUAGAAAAUUUUACACAUUUGGUGGUGGCCAAAUCUUUGCAAAUAGUUCCUCAACUCGCCUUGCUUGAUCAACAUAACCAUCCAGACCGGCAGCCAGAAGAUCGACUGCUGCUGGUCCCAUUGCUGAUGCAACACUUAACUGGUCCCAUUUUGCAACCUGAACAUAAAGUUAAGAUCAAUUUGAAAGGGAUAAAGCGGGUUUGCAGAAAGCUGCACAUCCAAGAGUAUGCACUAGAGAGAAUGGACAUGUUUUCAUUGUAAUGAAUGCCAAAACUAUGAUAUCAGGCCAGUAGUCAUAUAAUUGUGAUGGUUUCAAUUUGGCACUCACUCUACUCAUUCAGAUUCCUAUGGUUGAGGCAGAUUUUCUUUUCCCAUUUUAAUUUUUUAAUGGAGUAAAUUUUCACAAAAUUCCCCAUGUUUUUGUUAUUUUAACAUGGAAUUUCAUGAUGUUUAAGAGGAGAUCAAGAGAAUGGAAACAGAAUAAACCUCUCCUUCACUGAAACUGUAGGCAGCAGCAGAUUGUGGUGAUAACCUCCGAACAAAAGAGUACUUUUCAUCAGGAGUAGUGAUAGACUCUUUGAGAGACUGCAAUACCUUCAAUGGUGCAAUGAUGUAGUCAACCCUGAAACAAAAAUGCUGGUGUCAAAUAUUGAUCUUCUGUUGAGGUGUUGAAAAGUCCUAGCUAAAUAUGAUUAAAAAUGUUCAAAGUUUGAGUCAUAUUACCCCAAAAGACUGAAGAGAUCCUGUUUGUUACGAACUGCUGCUGCCAUCAACUUUGAUUUGUGUCCAUAUUUGUGGAUGUAAUUGUAAGCUUUUGUCACCUACAAUGAGAACGAGUAGUUCAUUAAAAUAAGGACACCUUGGGAUUUCAAAUGUAGUGAUCAUAAUGAAGUCGACAAGAGUAAAAAAAAAAAAGCGGUAGAAAUCUAGGGUUAUACUUUAACCAUCAUAAUAACUGACAUUGAGAUACAAAGAUUCAGACCCAAUUCUUAAGGUGUAAACAGUUAAGGACAAGUGUCUCAGUUUGUAAGAGAACACUAUAGAGUCUGAAACACAUCCAGAUCACUCCUCAUGGGCCCUGCUUAAGCAAGAUCAACAUUGGGUAAUAAAACAAAUACAAAGGGUUGUGCAAACAUAAUUGAAAAGUCUAAUACUUAGAUACUUGAAAUUUAGUCCGAUGGUAUGCUUACUCCUCCGACUACCAAAUAUUGCAUCAUCAAGAGAUAAUAUGAGCUAUUCGAUCUCAAAAUACUAGAAUAACUAAACAAAAGGGAAAGGAAAAAAGUUCUCCUAUGGAUAUUUGGCUUCAAAUAACAACAAAUCUAGUUUAGAUUUAGCAAAAAAGAAAAAUUGCAAUCUACAUAAAAUAUUUCAACAAUGCACUUAUAGAGUUAUGGGUGUAGAAUGUUCAAUUAGGUUUUGAUUGAUCCAUUAAAUAGAAAAUGAGUGCAUUUAAAACCCACUAAAUGGUCUGUAAAUCUUCUAGUGACAUUGAGGUAGAGAUGAUAAGCAAUCCUAUUAAUUGACAAAGCCAGUUCGACUCCUACUUUAUCUGGGAUAGUAAGAAAGACAGAAAACAAGGUGAGAGAAAGGAGUUUCCCCUUGCCUCAAGUAUGUCUUGUAGCUUUGUCUUAUCUCUGUAUUUCAGCAACAUCAUCCAGUGUAUUUGGCAAGAGAACAUGAUAGUCACUGAACUCAUAAAUUCAAAUUAUUUUAUGUUUCAUACGCUGAAAACGAAAUAAUAAGAAUCUCUUAAUCUCAGCACAUAAUUCAUUCAAAAGCUGCACAACAAAGAUUAUUGGCAUGCAGCAAUACGUAGAGGCAGAACAAACAUAAACCCUGGAGAAUGAGCCUAGGGAUAAGGGUGGAAGAAGAAGAGAGCGGGGGGGGNNNNNNNNNNNNNNNNNNNNNNNNNNNNNNNNNNNNNNNNNNNNNNNNNNNNNNNNNNNNNNNGGGGGGGAGGGGAGGGAUGGGGAUGUUGUUACUUUUGUGCCUAGCAACAUGACUGUUUACAAAUUAUGAUCCCCAAGCAAGGAAGGAAUAAAUAUUAAAAAGUAAAUAUAUCCUGAACUCAAUGUCAUAGGGUAGCCGCUUAUAAAAGUAGCAACCAAACAAAGUAAGCACAUAAAGCCAGUUGGCCAAAAACAUCAUAUUGCAGCUCAAAGAAUCACAAAGGAAAGUGUCAUUCGACUAACCAAAGCCAAACCAGGGUCCUCUCCUCUUUUUAGAGCAGCUUCUAUCUCAGGGUCACCAGAAUGGUUGCGUGCCCAAUCCUGAAGAAUAAUAGGAGCACCUUAACAACCAUGGUACACUAAAGCUUUGCAAGAAGAGUAUGCAAUUACUUGGUAAAAGUUGGGAUGAUUACCCUGAGGCGUCCAACAAAAAUCUGAAUAACAGAAGCACCAGCUUGUGCUGCAGCUGCAGCUUGAGCAAAGCUGAGAGAUGUGCCAAAAAAUAAACAAUUGAGAUAUAAACCUUAAAAUGAAUGCUAAUGCUUCUUUAUGUGGAGAGGAUGAAAACAUACACAUAGGAAACAAGCUAGUAAAGUGCAAAAAGAUCUAUUAAACCAGAAGGAUCAGCACAUGUGAAUGGUAUCUUAAGUGGUUUUGUUGUCUGAAAAUUGUACAAAAGAAACCAAAAAAGAGUUGGAUUUUCAAGAUAGUACAAUAAUAUGUUUACAUUUAAAAUAGCCAUUUCAGCAAAUUAUUAAGAAUGUUAGCAUAUAAAUCUUAUAUAACAAAGAUUUCCCAAAAACGGCAAAAAUAAUCACAAUUGUCCCAAUCCUCAUGAGUACCUUAAAUACAUAGACUAACCCAAUAAAAAAAAUAAAUGUAUACACCCAUGCUAAUUAAAAUUGGCGACUUAUAAACCUUCACUCAUUCACCUUUCUUUUUGUUUCUGUUGGGUUUGAUUGAGAACAUAAUAAUUACCUGUAAACAAAAGUCAAAUGUGUUUGAAUACCCUCAGAUUCCAGCAAUCUCGAGGCCUCUAUUCCCUGAAUAAAAGAUGAACUGAAUAAGGUACGGAAAAGUAAAAGAAGUCAUCAAUUUUUCUGUUGGAUUUGUGUAGGGAAUUCCUAAGGUUACUAAUGUAGAUCUUUUCUUCACAGCGACUCACUUGCCAGGUUGAAGGAAUUUUGAACAACAAACGCUCUGGGGGAACAUUGAUUUCAUCAUACAACUUCAGCAAGGCAUGCACCUGCAUGUUUAGAUACACAACCAAACAUCAAAUAGCAUUCCAAACCUCAAUACUCAUCAAAUGUCAUAAUUGCACUAGGAGUCCAAAGUAACUAAGUUAUACACACAGCACACAUGCAAGAUACAAAGUCCUUGAACAAAAAUAAGUGCUGUCUCACUCUAACACUAAUAUAUACAAACUUGCAUUGGAUGAAUUUCAUAUGACGAUAGAUUUUAUCAUUGAAGUUCUAGGCAAGCAUACACUACAUAAGGUGUCAAGCAUCGGAUGCUCAUAAAUAGAGUGAAGCCAUACUACUUAAUUAUUAAGUUAAACUAACUUUUGGAAAUAUUUCUGACAUGAAAAACGCCAAAUUCCUCUUCUUUAACACUGUUUUUCAUCUCAAGUUUGACAAGAAAGUUAUAUGUCGCUUUUGUAUUAGUUGUUGCAUGAAUCUCGAACUAACACAUCAUUUCAUGUAAAUAUCUGCAGGAAACAAAGCGUAUUGCAUACUUUGUAAUUAUCGAUACUAUUGAAAUUCCAGUACCACACAUCUUAAUGACCAAAUGAAUAACUCUCGGUUGACAGUGGAUCCAUAAAGUCAAUUGAAUGUGGAAGGUUAAGUUAGAAACUUGUAAGGGUGCUAGUACAAAAAGGGUGAAAGAGAUCAUAGAUUUUUCUAAAAUCAUCCAAAAAUGCAAGACAAAUUAGAAAGUUUGCAUAUUGUCUAUAAGAGAAAGGAUCGAAGAGAUUAUAAUAUUAUAAUAACACAACAUGCAAAAUUAUUUUUAUGACCAUGAUUUGUCAAGAAAUCACUCAACUUAAAAGCUCAAGCUUGUAGGUGAUGGCCCACAAAAUAAUCUAUAUUUUUAACAAGCCUCCUCACGCAAUGCCCAUUGAGCAUAGGGAUGGGUAAUAAAGUGUGGAAUUCACUGGACCACUCAACCUAAAAGCUCAAGCUUGUAAAUGAGGGUCCAAAAAUAGUGUAUACUUCUAACACAGCAUUCACUUGUGUUUUCUUUUCCCCCUUUUUUUCUUUCUUUCUUUCUUACUUUCUUUCUUUCUUUCUUGUUCUUGAACUUGUAUUCACUUGUGUGUAAGUAUGGAGUAAUUCAACAAAAGAUAAACCCAUAAAGAUCCAUCAGUACCAGUACCUUGUGCAACUUCUUUAACAAAAUAAAAGGAAGACAUUUUUCAACCAUUGUCCUAAUGAACAAAUGACCAAUUGAAAAUGAAAAACAUACAAUUCGGAAGAAAGAAGGAACUUUGAAGAAUUAUUAAAAGUGACAACUGAAUACUCAUAAUUCUAUAAAAAAAUUACCUUCCUAAUAAUGCCAUGAGUGUCAUAAGCCAACCGAGCAUCCACUUCUGUUGAAACUCGGCCAGGUACUAAUUUCACCAAAUCACCUCCAACAUUCACCAAAGCCUACAUAAACAUUAGCCAUGCCAUCCAUUUAACAUUCAAGCUUAGAUUUUUAACAGGAAGAAAAUAUGGAGUCAAUGCAAAGUUAACAACUUAGCAUGAAUUUUAACAACAAUGAAGGUUCAGCAAAACCAACCUUGUUAGCAAAACAAGACAAUCUCGAUUCAGGAUUUUUCAGAGCAGCACAACCUGAAUCGGCCAAAGCCAUAUCCACUGCAUUCUACAAGAAAAUGAGAAAUUUCAAUCGUAAUUCUCAAAGCAAAGAAAAACAAUCUACUGCCAUAGCUUAUAUGAAUCAAAAUGGAGGGUCCAAAUUAAUUUUCUUCCUUUCCCACUCCCCCGAGAUAAAUAAUGUCGGUGCUUACCCUAAAUAUAGUAUCGGGGAGACUCAAUAUACCCAAAAGAAGCGAAGAGCUAACAGUAGCAGCAGUUGGAGGAAACCUGCGAUGCAAACAAUCAAACAAGAAAUCAUUAAUUAAGCAAUUAUAAAGAAGAUUGAAGCUUCAAUUUAAUAGUAAUUCAAAGGGAAGAAAAAAAAAAAAAAAAAGCGUACUUCUCGAAAUCAUCGAAUAUGACGGUGUCAGGAACGAUUUCACUAAAGCUAGACACAGCAUCCAAUUCAGUGCUCGCACCUAAAUGGAAAGGAAAAAAAAAAAAAAAAAAACAAAAAAUGAAUUCGAAGAAAAGAAGAUAAAAAGUGAACCUUAAGUCAAAGCGAAAAGGAAAGAGAAAAAAAUUCCAAGAUAGAGAAAGACCAGUAUCGAGAGAAGAAGAGAAGCCAGAAGAAGCACGAAUUUGUGGAAAAGACCGUUGUAACUUGAAGAAGAUUGCAUUUGAAGCUCCCGAUCCACCUAGCAGCCUCAAGUUCCCUCCAUUCUGUGACCAAUCAAAUAAGCUACAAUACAGAUAAAUAUAUACAAAUCUACAGAUAUAAAGCGAGAGAGAACCUGAAGAAAUGAUUUGGAGUAAAGAGCAGAAAAGGGCGGAGAUUGCAAGGAGAGUGACAUUUUGGUAACUGAAAUCAAAGUGCAAGAGUCAGGUUGUAGUUUUGAGCUAAAGAAAAAUGACACUGGAGAAAGUAGAGAUUUAUAUACAGAUGAUAUUACCAAGUGACAGGUGCAAGUUUACAUUUUCUUAUUAUAAUUUCUUUAGCUUUUGGAUAUUUCUUCUUCUUUUAUAUUUCAGGUAUUAAAUUUAUUGUUUGGAUAAUCCUUUUUUUUUUUUUCUCUCUCUCUAUCCCUAAAAUUAAAAAUUUGUAUCAUGUAGUGUCCACGUAGACGGGUUCCAUUGCAAAAUUGAUAAUCUUUACACUUAAAAUUUACCAGAAAAAUGCAGUUUAUUUUCAGAAAUUAAAUCCCGGAUAAGUAUUAAACAAUUGUUUUUCCACUCUUAUCUCUAUAAAUAAAAGUUUAUAUGCUCUAUCCGAAAAUCUUCAAGUAAAAUUCCUGAUCUUGCAAGGAAAGUUUACACACAAAGGAUAAAUUAAAAUAUUAAUUAAUUGAAGAAAAACUUUUAUGUGUUUUACUAAUUUUACUCAAAAAGAUAAAUUCAGUUUGUUCUAGACAAAAAAAAAAAAAAAAAAAAAAUCAGACGAAAUAAAAAAUAUAUUUCUAAAAAUUGGAAAAAAUAAAUGACGGAGAAGUCCAUGGCCAGGGAUUGAAAAUGAAAGGGUGAAAGUGAUUGGUUUUAAGCUUUGUGGACUCCGCCCCAGUGAGUCCUGUAUUCGGCUGAAUAUGCUAAAGGCCUCAACAAGGACGGCCACGUCCUUUUAAAUGGGCUCGGCCUCAGCGUUGAUCGAAGGCCCAACAUACUAAUUUGCUCGUUUCAUGCUCAAUGUCGUUCGAAUAGGCGUUUCCACAUUCCACUGGCGUAAAACGACUUCAAGAUUCCAGUCGUAUGUCAAAGUAUGACAACCUUUAAUUUGAUCGUUUUUGUCCAACAGUAAAUGCAUGAGCAUAAUUUCUAUCCGUGAAGUUUAAAUUUAUUUAGUAUUAUUAUUAUUCCUUGAUCUGCAAAUAGCAGAAUUGGUAACACAUACACACAUAUAAUGAAUUGCAUAAAACAGAGCUUUUAGCUCACAAAUCACAAUUCGACCAAAAAGUAUAAGAAAAUUUAAUUUUACAAUAUCUAUAUAUGUUAAUAAUGAAAUAAUCAAAACUUAAGAAAAUGGAUUUACAAGAAAGAUCACCAAACUUUAACCUUCAAACAAUGCAGCUCCUCAACUGCUUUGGAAGUUUAUUAUCAUCUGUAAAAUUUUUAAAAAUCAAAUGCCUAGUGCUAUCUGGACCUUCUUCAUUAUAUGCUCCAUCUGUUAUUCAUGGAGCGUCCCCCUUCUUGUAGCUUUUUCCAUCUCACCAGCGAAUUCAGAAAUUUCAUUACCUGAACAACAUUAUCAAAAUCAGAAUAAGCAAUUGAAUAUAAUAAGCAUCACAGCAAUAGUGCAGAUGUAGAGUUAGCACCUCUGUUGGAUCCCUCAGGGAAUAAAAAGCGUUGGUUUCUUUCGGUGUAGAAGAUACCAGAAUGCCAUAACCUUUAUUACCUUCGCGCAAUACCUGAUGUUUAACAUUCAAGUAUGUUAUUACACAGAAACAAAAUUUUUCCAGAGAACUUUUUUUUAAGUACUUAAAAUUCAAUUACCUUGAAUGCAUCUUCAUCGGUCCGGUCAUCACCAAUAUAAAUUGGGAGCACAUCAUCAUGGUUAUUGAGGCCUGCUUUGCCAUUUUAUAGAUCUCAGUUAUUAUGACUUUUUUCAAAAAGUAAUUACCAAAUCUGGUACUGUUAUGAUCACCAAGAAGCAGAAGAUCACAUACCAAGGGAUUCUAGCAGAAAUUCAACAGCUUUCCCUUUGUUCCAGUCAAUUACGGGACGAACCUCUAAAACCUAAUGAGAAGAGGAGGAAAAAUGAGUCCAAUCAUUUAGUCAAUGAAGAGUUGACAGGGAAAGAUAAAAUUACAUGAAUCAUACUAUACAAACAAGAAAAGUUACCUUCCGCCCAUGAGUUAAUUUUAGACGAGGAUACUGUUUUAGAAUAUCAUGCACAAUUUGUGCAAUAGCAGGCCAGUUCUGGAAUCAAUAUAAAUAGAACACAAUUUAAAACCACGGGCAAAUUGGAAGUGCAGGAAGAGAAGUGAAUUCGAAAACAGAAAAAUAAAUACAUACAUAUAUUAUGAAUACUUUGCAUAGCUUACCUUCUCUUCUACAUUACGGUAAUGUACAGAAGCACAAAACUUGUGAUGCUCAACUUUUGCACCUUUGAUUUCUUUAGUAUUCUCAACAAGGGUUCUAAAAACCUGCAUCCCAAUUAAAAAACAAUUACUUUAUACUCUGAUAAAUUGAUAACUAUACAUGUAUCGAUAAACUGAUAACUAGGAAAAAGGAAAAUUAUAGACCUCGUCGAUCAUACGUAUAAAUUCUAUAGCAGGCUGGAACAGAUUUACCUCCUCGCCCUACAAAUCAAAAUGCCCAACAGAUCUUUAAGCAUAAAAAAAAAAAAAAAAAAUCAUCAGAAUGAAAAUCUGCAAAAGCCAAUGUUUAUGAUCUCUGUGAGACUGAAUACAUCUGGGGAGUGAUACAAGGUCUAAUCAUAUCUCAAACCUGUUGGUCAGUUGAUUGAAUACAAUUUGGAUGGUCAUUGGACACUGCCUUAUUAAUAGGGCCCACUAUAUCCAUCCCAUGACUACCAGCAUAAUAGAGCUCUGUUAGUCCUACUAAUUCAUACACCUGGGGAAAAAAAAUACAGUAAAUAAACAUCUACAAGAAAAACCAUGUGCAUGUUUACGAAAUCAUUAGCUGCUACACAAUAUGCAAAUCUUAAAAAUUGAAAUGACCAGAUCUCCACCUACUUUAUCACGACUCCUUCCACUAAUAAUUGCUGUUGGGAAAUACUUUGCAACAUUUCUUACAGCAGAACGCAUCUGAAAACAAAGAAAUUUGAUAACAAGGCUGUACGGAAGAAAAUGGGAAAAAAUUUUAUCAAAUAUCCAAAAACUUUUUGGUAAUAAAUUCUUACAUCACUAGACAUAAGGGCCUGAUCCGGAUCAUCGACUAUUGGAGAGAGAGUCCCAUCAUAAUCUAGAAAUAUUGCUAUCUUCUUCUUCUUUGCAAAAUUUGUAAUUUGCUCAAAAGAGUUGAGUGCUGAUGGAUACUUAAGCUGACAGUCAGAAACAAAAUUGUGAACAAAAAUAUUAAAAAACAGAAACAAUAACUUAAUCUGCUCAAUAAAGCCAAGCAAAUAUACCAUCCAUGAGUAGUCGGCAAUGUCAGUCUCAUCUGAAGCAAGUUCAAUACUGAAAUCCUUAAUGUGCUUCUUACGAGGGGGUGAAGAGGAUUUCAUGGCAUCAAGCCAUCCAUUGGAGCGAACAUCAUCAAGCUUUCCUGGCUUUUUCCUGGGAAUAUUUAUAUGCUUGCCAGAGGAAAAAGAUGCUCCAGAUUGUGGAUAAGCCAACAGAUUAGAAUGGAUGCAAAGUCUUGACUUGUUUAUCGGUGCAGGAUCAGUAAGUACUGGAGAUGAACUACUAGACUUCAUGUCCAUUGGAUUCAAAUGACUUGUAACAGUCCUUCUCAAAUGUAAAAUUAAGUGUUCACUCUGCCUAAAACACAGAUAUAUUAACCUUAUACAGAGUUUCUUUUUUUUUUUUUUUUUACCCAACCCUUUUAUCAAUAAAAAACCACCUCUUCAAUGUUUUCUUAUCACUACUGCUAGGAAAGCAGUCCAUUAAGCAUAGACUUCCUGAAAGCUGUUUAAGAAAGGAAAAUAAUUAAUUUCAUGUCAAAAGUUGCUUCAGACUAUGAAUAUAACACAGUGUCAAGUAUAUUUACCUUCUCAUCCCCAAAACUACACUGCAUUUAUAGCAGGUGGCCAAACAUUAUUUGCACAGUGAAUUUUCUAUAGCUCCAACAAAACGCACCAAGUACCUGCUCAGAAUAUAAUAAAAAAGAGCCAGUUAACUGAAAAUUGCCUUGGAAAUAAGUAAGUCUGCAGUUUCACAACUGUGACUUGUAUCUUCCAAAAACAAACUAAUAAACAAAAGGGAUCCAUAAACAGUAGUUCAACUAAUUCACAUGGUCUAAAAUACAACAAAGAAAAUAAAUUUUACUAAAGGGUAAGAAAUUAGUUCCUGGACAUGAAAAUAACCAGAUAAGCUACUAAUCAUGUACUGGUAUUCAGAAAAUAAAAUAAAACUUCUUUCUAUUCAAAGGUCAUGUGAAAAUGACAAAGUUUGAUAAUCAUCAUUGUCCAAGUUAAGGAACAGAUUUGUCUGAAUCAGCAUCUAAUUAAGUCAUAUGUCUUGACGCUGACACUAUACUAAACUAAUGAAUACAGCUAACAUAAUUAAAGUUUUCAAAAUUGAAAACAUUUUAAAUACAAUAGGGAAAAGGUCAAAUAUGCUUAAACCUCACAAAAGAUAGCAAUAACAAAAAGGAAAGGUGUGAUCAAAAAAUUUUUGCUUUAAGAUAUUUAAUUAAAAAUAAUAAUACUUAAUGAAAGUUUCUAAGGUAAGAUUUCUUAUGCUUCCAAUGCAAUCCAAAAGAGACAACUAUUCUUACAUAUUUGUCAGCUUAUAAUAGUUUAAAUGGAAAACAAAACCAACCUCGUUUCGAUCCCAUAUAUCACAAUAAAAACUUAUCGAAUUAAAAACUUCAAAAUCGAAAAAAGAAAAAAGAAAAAAAAAACAGACACUUCUGAUAAAAGUUUCUGCUGUAAGAUUUCUUUUGCCCCUGACGAAAUUAGAAAGAGAGAACUAUUGAUCUUAAAUAUUCCACAUCCUCUAACAGUCUAAAUGGAAAGCAAAACCACCAUGACCUUUCAGUCCUUGUUUAGAAUUCCAUAUUAUGCAACAGAAAGCAAAAUAUGCCAAAAAAUAAAAACCAAGCCAAUAAUACAAGCCAUAUAAAUUUGUGGAAAUUAUGUUCAUAUUUUACAAAAGAGAGACAGCAAUCGCAAAUUCUAAAUCAGUCAUCCACCUACUGUGUUCCUUUUGCGGCAAAUAAGGCCAAAUGAAAUUAUGCAAUAGCACAAACAAAAUUAGGCAUCUAUAUCAACUCCCAUAAUGAAAGAAUUGACCAAGAUUAGGCAUCUAUACAUCUAUCUCCAAGAAAAUCCAUGUUUCAAUAUCUGUGGACAACUGGACAUGGGAGUGACAUUUCAAGAAGUGGGCCAAAGUCAAUUAAGACUUAACAGGUUGUUGAGAAAAAGUUAAAUUUUUUAUGUAAAGGUAAUUAAUGAAUAAUUAAGAUUGCAUCAAAAGGCAAUAGUACAGUACAACAAAACAAACUACAUUCUCCAAAAGCUCUAGAAGAUGACAAUAAACAUUAUACAGAAAAUAAUACAAUAAGGAUUAAAUCCAAAUAAUUCUACACUAAUUUAGCUCGUGUAUGAUUGAAUUUUCUCCAAGUACACUCAAAGACAAGCUGUGCUAUUUCUUCGUCUAGAUGCAUCCACCUAUAGGAGAAGAUAUUGAUGACAAAUAUUUAAUAAUUCUGGGACUUCACAAUUUGCAUAGCAGCAGCAAUGGACAUAAUACAUGACUUCAUAAUAUAUAUAUAUACACACACACACACACACACACACCAGCAUAUGCAUGUAUGUAUUUAUGUAUUUGUCAUUAUAUGAUGGUGGGUCUGCGUGGGCCCUUGGCAAGGUCAUAUCACUUGUAGAUCUAAUAAUGCAUCCCUUUCAUAGUUCCAUAAAAUCUUCAUCAACAACAACAAUUAAGAAUUGAUGGAAAAUAAACAUUUUUUUCAUACAAUGACAGGACACUGCAACUACCAAAACGACCGUAGACUUUGAUCCCACAAGGAAAAAGAACUUGGAACAUAUGAAACCAUUCUGGAAACUUAAUUAGAAUGUCAAUAAAUUAGCUUUUACUUGUAUUUCGAAUCAAUAUCAAUGAAAUUUCUUGACAUGAUGAGACCAUUAUUAAAAUAAUUUCCCAGGAAAACAACAUUGUAACUAGUUAUUUAAAAAAGGGCACCUAAACAUCAAAUUAUAGAGUUUUCCUAUUAAAGAGUCAUCGAGUCACAUCAAAAGAAAGCGAUCAAGACACGUUUCAGAAUCUCAUCAGAAUUAGCUGGUUAAGAAGAACCGACAAAAAAAAAAAAAAUUCAUAUAGUACGAUAAACAAAACAUAAAAAUAGGUUAUCAAAGUCAUCUUCCAAUAUUAAAUAAAUAGAUUUACACACAAGGAGAGAUCUUAUAUCAUAUAUAUACUUUUAUAAAAUGUUAAAAUGAAGUCACAGAAUUAUUCCAUCAAAAACCAUAGGCUUUCAAAAGUCAGACAACCUAAAAACUCCCGAAUGGCCAAGAAAUACCUCAAAAUAACAGAAACACUGGGUACCUCAAAAUCCUGGCAAUAUAGCCAUACAUUCAAACUUCAAAGUGCUCCAUUUUUAAAUUAACAAAAAGGCUUCAAAUUUGAAGCUGGAAAACAAAAAAAAAAAAAAAAAAAAAAAGUUUUUAUCUUUAUGGACCAAAAAGAAAAGGGUUCACCUUUGAUUCAUGGGUUUUGCAUGUUGAAACAGAAAGAGCUAGAGGCCAAUAUGGAUCUUACAAAAGCGUUUACCUUUAUUUAAGUUGUUAAUAAUGAAUAUAACAGCAUUGCACAUGAAACAUGAAAAAUUCAAAUUCUAAAAGGAGAGAAAAUAUACAUGUACAUACCUAAUCCCAGAACGUGAGUCCGUGUCUUCAAUUAUGAUUUUCCUAUCAAUCAAACAAUAACUGAUGUCUAAAAACGCAGUUCUCAGAUCAAAAAGACAAAAACCCUGAAAGAUCCAAAUAGAAAAAUAAGAAGUGCAAACCGAAAUAGAAGGGACAAAACCCUAGGAAAGAAAGGGAGAGGAAAAGAAGGAGAAACGCAAAAAUAGGAAAAAAGAGAGAAAGGAAAGGAAAGGAAAAGGGAAGAACAAAGGAAGGAAUUGAAAGCAAAAAGAAAGGGUAUUUAUAGAGUUUGAUAGCCCAUAGAAAGACUUGCUUAACAAGGUAACCACCCCCUUCUCUACUACCUGGUUGUGGUUGUUGAAUCAGGAAACAGCCUUCCAAUUUUCACCAGAUUUUUUUAUUCUACUUUCAUUUUUAAUAAUAAAACUAAAAUAACACCUCAUUUUGGAGUAAUUUAAUAAUUGACCCUCUCUAUAUAUUUUCUAUGCUAUAUUAGGAAUUUUUCAGAAAGUAAAAAAUUGAUUAAAUUAUUAUUAUUAUUAUUAUGCAAAAAAUAGAUUAUUUAGUGAUUAUAUAUAUUCUCUCUUCGAUGACUUUAAUAGAAUAAUUCAUACUCAGUGCCUAUAUAUAUUUACACGGCACUAAAAUCAGAUUAAGAAAAUUUGAAAUUAUAAUCGGAUUAAAAUUUAAAGGGAUUGAUUCUGAUUUAAUUAGUAUCUCCUUCGGUGGUAUUCUUUAAAUGGAUUCAAAAAUUUACUAAAUUCGGAAUCAGUACCGAAACUUUGGAAAUCCUUUUCAAUCUGGAUUCAUUGAAUUGAAACGGUUGGUCAAUCAAUAGGUUAGUUAUAUCUAUAUAUAAUCACCUCUUAAAUAUGUUUGACAUCAAAAGAAAUUUAGUAACAAGAUGAAAACAAACUUACCGUUUCUCUAAAUUUUAUUUUUAUGUACCAUCCUCAUAAUAUUAAAAAAAAAAAAAAGUACCAUCGAGGAUGGUGCGAAAGUUUGUCCAAUUUUAGUAAUUUUUAAUUAUUAUAAUGAUUGUAACUGAUAUUAUAUGUAUUUUGUUCUAUAUUGAGAGAUUUUAUUUGUAUUUCGUUGUUUGAUAAAAUAAAAUUAUUAAUUAUUAGUUAUUUUCUAAUUAUCAGUAGGGUUUUAAUCGUAUUCUAAAUGCUACUUUAAAAGUACUCGUCGGACAAGAAAAAAAAAAUAAAUCUUUCGUAAUGCACUCGCUUAAAUUAUAAACAUUAUAUAAAUAAUAAUACUGUAGAAAACUAUAACUAAUAAAUUUCUUUUACUAAACAUUAUACGAAAUCGAUGUGGAAAAAUAAAUUUUUUUUAAAAAAAAGUUCAUUAAAAUAGUAAAAAGGACGAAAAAGCAAUUAAAUGAAUAGAUUAUUGGUCCGGUCCCAGGUGAAUAAAUACAAAGAAGCUAACACGUGUAAAUGGUACCUAUACAAGUAUUAAAAUGGUGCCAUCUGUGAUGGGAAAGGCGUGAUGUGGCCACAUGUCAGUUUGGGCCCCACCCAGCGCAGGCAGAUUUUGCGCUUGUGUCGCUUUCACGCACCGUUGGCAUUUUGAUUAAAAAGCAAAAAAAAUAUAAUAAUAAUAAUAUAUCUCCUUUCGUUUGUUUCCUUUUCUCUAUUUAUUUCUUUUUAUUUUGCUAUGCUCUUUGUGUUUAUUUAAUAUUUGUUUUCAGCGACAUGAGAAAAAUAGGAUAAGAAAAUAUAUACCAAUGACAAAAAUACGGUGCUACCUUUUUUAAUUUUUUGCCCUUUUUGGUAUAUGGUCAUUUCUUCUCUCUUAAGAUUUUGGGGCUGCUUGUAAUUUUAUCUUUUACCACCAAAAUAAUUUUCUGCCCAUUUUCUACCAAUCAAAUUAUUGAUUUAUAGACAUUAGUAGAAGUUAAAAGAUAUAAAUGAAUUAUAUAAGAAUUUAGAAUCCUUGAAAUCAAUUUUGUGAGAAUGUGCGAUAUGAGUUUAAUUUAGUUUGAUCAAAUCAAUAUUAAAAAGAUUAGUAUUAAUAAAUAGUUAGAUGUCACUUUUAUAUGCGUUUCGUGAAUUUAAUAUUUAAUUAAAAAAUAAGACAAUUCUAUAGUCUCUUUAUGUAUAUAAAGUCACCGCGACAGUAUAGAAUUAAUUAAGUAAUUAAUUACUCCUCGUAAACAAAUUCAACUCCCUCCUAGAGGCUAGAAGCAGUAUUGCUUUUUAACGGCUCACGUCGCACAAAUCUCGUGGCAUCACGUGACACAGUUAACUGUCAACUGUUAAUUGUGUGAUAUUCCAAUGAAAAUUAGAGAGAAGGGUAAAAUGGGAAAAUAAGAUAUUUAGGGCCCAUAAACAAUUCGAUUGACUUUUUUUUUUUUCGUGAUCGCGGAAAGAGUCUUCUACUCCCUCCCCACCUUUGAAUUUGUCAGAUCUUUACCUUUUUUUAUUUUAUUUAAAAAAUUAAAAUGAUACUGAUUAUUUUAUUUCAAUUUUACAGCUAUUUAUAUUUAUUUUUUUAUUUUAUUUCAACUAAAUGAACAUUAAUUAAGAAUUAAAUUCGUUAAUUAUUUUUAUUUUUUUUAAAACUAAGAUAAUUAAUUAAUUUUUAAUUUUUGUGAAAAGUCAAAAAUUGUCAAAUUUAACAAUCUUCCGCAAUUUUAUGCGAUAUAACCAUAAUAUUAGUCUUUCUUUUUGUUAUCCCCGGUCUUAAAUUAAUAAACGUUUCAGUUUGAAGGAGGCAACAUAGGAGACAAAAGUAGCAGUUUUUUUUUUUUUUUUUUUUUAAAGGAGCAAGUAAAUAUUAGUUGUGAUUUAUCAAUCUUACAAAUAACUAUUUCCUCUAUUUCAAAAUAAAUGUCGUUCAUUUAUCUUUUUUUUUUUUUAAAUAAGUGUUAGUUUUAUAAUUUUAACACUAUUUAAUAUAAUUAUCAUUCAAUUACUCUCUUAAUUAAUUGCAUUAUUUAAUAAUUCAUGUGCAGAGCUAAAAAAAUGACACCAGUUUUGAAACGGAGAGAGUAUAAAAAAAAAAAUAGUUAUUACUAAUUAGUCCAUAUGUAUAUAUAGUCAUGACUCAUAACCACAAAAUUUGAAACCAAAAUAAUUAAAAAUAUAUAUAUAGAGGUUGGUAAAAAGGAAAGCCUCCAUCUCAAAUAUUUGUCUCUCUUUGUUUAACUAUGCUAAAAAGAGCCAAUAUUUCAUGGCACAUGGUAGUGUGUUUUCAAAUAAUGGGUGAUCUUAGCAAUAAUGUCACCUAAGAAAAAAAUAUUAAAUGUUUAAUGUCUGGACUCUUCUUUACAAUGAAUUAACACUAUUAGGGCAUAAAUAUGAAAAUAAAGACAAUGACUUACCUAAUACAUGGCUCAUUUAGAAAUAAAUAAAUAUUUUCUCCAUCCUAAAUUUAUACUUGUUAUAUUCACGUGUAUAGGUCAAUUUAUAUUUGUGUAGAGAGAGAAUAGUCCAUAAGUAUAUUAAAUGAAAUAAUAUUUUAUUUAUUUUCUACUCGGGCUCAUAUGUUUUACAUCACUUCAAUUUGAAAAGGAAACAAUGGAGGAAAAGUGAAAACCUUUAACAUAUAAGACAUUACAUUACAUUUUUAACAACAAAAAGUCAUCUGUGCAUUUAAAAUAGUAAUUUCCAUGUUUUAAAUUAAGCUCUAAAACCAUCCAUCAUUUUUUGUUUGUGUCACCUCUUAUGACAAUAUAAUUAUAUCUUAUCAAAACCUAUAAUCAUUAAGAUUGAUAUAAUUAUCAAUUAAAAUGAAAUUCACGUGAAAUUCACAUGAAAUGCACGUAAAAAUCAACAUAAUGCACCAAUUAAUGAACUUAUUAAUUUAUGUAAUGACCAUCUCUUUUUUUGCCCUUUUAUUUUUUAAUUAAUGUCUAAUUUUGUAUCUUCUCUCUUCUCAUAUGACAAGCUCAUGCAUGUGGAUGUGGACAGCUCUCCCACUAGACAAAUCUCACCUAAUAUAUUUUUCUCUUUUCUCCAAUUUUUCAAGUAAAAAAUCUUGACUAAUGAUUAAUUAAAGACUCUGACUAUAAACGUGGAUGAUUAAUUAUAAUUUAAAUCUUAAUUAAAGAUUUCCAUCCAUUUGUUUAGAAGAACCACAAGAAACACAACAAUUUGAACAACUAGACUUAAUUAGCAAACAAAUUACAAAAAGAAAUUAAUGGUUUGAAAAAUUAGAUAUAUCCAUAUAGUUCUAGAUUUAUUUUUCUUUGUCAAAUUUUUUUUUUUUUCGAAAUUAUAGGGUUGACUACUAAUAUGUAUCUGAGAGAUUUUUAAUUAAGGAGACUUUUCAAAUUCAAACCUACUAGAAUUUGAUUCUAAAACCCCGUAGAAUUUGGAAAUUGAAACAAUUUUAAAAUUUAUUUAUUUUUAGUCUUUGGUGUUGAAUUUCUAAUUCAGAAUUAUAUAUUGAUUAUUGAGUUAGAAUAUUAUUGACAGAGAAAACCAUUUAAAUAUUAUUGUUAAAUUUGUAUGCAUUAGUAUUUUUUUUUUAUGAAAAAGUUAUUCAAAAAAUGGGCAAUUUGUAACUUUCAUUAAUUAAGCAAUAAUUUUUUUACGAAUUUAAUUAAUAAAAUAUAAUUGGAAAAACCUUUACUUUUAGGCUAGUUUAAAGGUAUACCAAACAAAUAAAAUAUUUUUUUAUUUUUACUUUUCAGAAAAAUAAUUAAGUAAGUCAUUUUCAAGAGUGACACUGUGAAAUAGAAAUAGUAGGUAAAGGUCGGCAUUAAUUUCAAAAACCCACCAAUAUCGACCAAACAGUCAGGUUAUACCAAACAAAUCCUGGCUACCUACACCAGAACACGUUCUUUUUUUAAAGUCUGGCAAUUGCCUUGCCUUCAAUAUGUUACAUGUAUAUAUAUAUAUAGAUGGGACUUUUUUUUUUUAUGUGCCAAAUAUAUAUAUUCAUUUUCACGAUUUAAGUUCAAUUUAAUUUCAAAGUCACUAUAUGAGGCAGUAAAUUAAUAAAAAGAAGAGAAAUAAAUUCUAUUCCAUUAUUUAACUAAAUUAGAUUAAUUAGACCCUAAAUAAACUCAUUUAUACAAUCUUUUCUGACCUGCAACCUUGUACUAUCAAUUUUUAGUUUUCUUUUCGAUCUUUGUCAUGGAUAUUCUGAUCAUAGAAGUCUUAGAAGAUAUUUUUACUUGCACGGCAUAAAUUGGACUAUACAAUUUUUUUUACUUAUAUUACUAAAAUAUAUUAAUCUUAUUUUUUUUUUCCUUUGAAAAAUUUAACAAAUUGAACUUUUGUGAUUGAAAGAACUCGAACUUAAAACCUUACGAUUCUGUAUAAAUAGGAAAAUCAAUCAGACUAUACAUAAUUGGUAGAAAUUAAUGUCAUUUAUUGAUGCUCAAUUAUAUCCAAAAAUAUGUCUAAAAAUUUAAUUUUGACAACUAAUUAAACAUAGAAAAAAGAUUCUAAAGAAAAGAAUAAGAUAUUUACCACAUUAUUAUAUGUUUAUUUCCAUGCAAUAUCCAAAUAUAAAACAUUUUUUUAAUUUUUUAAUCGUAUAUAAAAUGAAAUAUAUAUGGUUGACAUGCAGCUUUUUUUUUUUUUUUUUUUUGACGCUGUAGAGAAUUUAUUAGUGCUAAGUUGUAUCAAAUUAUAAAUAUCAUAAUUAAAAAACAUUUUGACUGUUCUCAAACAAACAAAAAAUUAAUUUUGACUGAGUGGGGUAAGUACGGGCGUUGCAGAGCCACCUCGGAUACACGAGGUGAAAACUUGUCUAAAAGGUAAAAGACAGAAUAUUAUGGACCCCACAUAACCAGCUUUUGGUCCAAUCAUUGAUGAAGACUAACAAAAACUGAAGAGUUUCCCAAAUACGGGACCCUUCUCCUCCUCCUCUGCCUCUCUUCUUCAAUCAAUAUACUACCUUGGGAAUGGGACCCACAUUGGCACAGCUUACGAGAAACUUUUCCUAUGACGUGGCAGUUAAGUAACGAGGUAAUAACCCAUGACUCGGUGCUGACUCGGACUUGUUCGUUUGCAAUUUGUUAAGUACUAUUUCUUUUGGCUUUGAGUGAAGGAAAGGUCGUUUUGAGAAGAAAGUAGACGAUGAAGGACGUGCGUGUGAGAGCUAUUUGUUUGCUUUUAGAGGUAUCCUUUGAUUUGAAGGGUAUCCCUUCCUAAUGUCUAUACUACUGUGGAUUGUAGACUGGAUCUUUCUGCAUAAUUGGGGUGUCCUCCUGCCUAAGUCAAGGUUUAGAAGAAUUCAAGACACCGACAGUUCUAUUUUUCCAAUUUUGGCUUCUCCGUAAAAUGGGAUUUAGUGUAAAGAGUAGCUACAAUGAUCGUCAAGCUUGAAUUUAACCGACUAUUUCUAUACUAUAUAAUAUAUAAAAUAAAAAUCUCUCUAUUAAGUAAAAUUGAACGCUCGAUCGUUUAUUUAAAAAUCCAAGUUAUUUCUACACGUAUGAAUCCCGUUACAACUGGUAAACUAUUUUUAGAGUAGCAUUUUACGUAUAAAACCAUACCAAAUUUAGAGGAUAAUUUGAUCUAGAGGGCUUGAAAUUCUCAACAGUAAAACAAGAAAUGUUUUGAAAAUCAGGGGGUGCACGUUCAAAUUUUUUGACAGAUUCAAUGCAUUUAGAAUUGUAAUACAAGAAGAAAAGGACUAGUUUAUUUUAUUUUUGAAAUUUCCGUUCCAAUCAAACGUUAAAAAGCGGUCAUUUGAAGCCAUAGAAUUGGUGAGCAAAAGACUGUCGUGAAGUGUAUGGCAUGGCACCAAGGGACAUGAUUGAUGGCAAUUUAACGUUUUAUGCUUGUAGUUCCAUGCAAGGAAAAUUUCACAAAUUAGUACUACUAAUUACAACGUUUCAUAGGCUUGGCGGUGCCCGACAAUAUAUUUUAAUUAAGCUUUUUUAAUUGACAAUCUCAGUCUCUCACCCUCUCCUUCGUUCCUUAUUCGGAGCUUUUUUUUAUAUUUUGCUUCACUCAACCUCCCUCGAUCAAUAUUUUGUUCGGUAGUGUUUUUUUUUUCUUUUUAAUAAUUUCAUGAUCUAUAUUUAUUUGAAAUAUGUUUUUUUUUUAUUUAGUCUUUUCAAAUUUGUUUUUAUUAACGUGUCUUGAAUGUUUUUGCUCUCAAGAGGUUCAGUGUUUUUGCUAUUCUUAUACUGCAAUUUUUUUAUUUUGUUUUUUCUCUUUCUAUAUAGUUGUUUCCUCAUUAUUUUGUUUGUAUUUUUUUUUUUUCUUUAGUAGUCCAAAACGCAAGAUGGAUUGUUGAAUUUUUCUUUUUAAAAAAUACAUAUCUUCAAGUUAAGUUAAUGACUUAAUACGAAUAGAGUCUGAUUGCACGACUCGAUCCUCCAUUAAACGUUUCGUAUUUUUUGUUUUUCCCUAACAUUGCAAGUUAAGAUUAAUAAAUUUUAGCUUUGUUUUUAAUAUAUUUUAUUCUUAAUUAAUGUAAGUUAAUUCUUUCUACUUAAUUAAAUUGAAUCCCUAUAAAUAUAAAAACAUAAAAAUUCCCAAUAUUUUAGAAUAAAAUAGUAUAUUCAGGAGAACAUUUUCGGCAAAUGUAUGUAACUUUUUUCCUUAUUGUUUUAAAUAUAAUUGUAUUGUUAUUAAGUAUGUAUAAAAAAUUUAUGCACAAAUAAAUUUUUUUUUUUUUUUUUUUGAAAUCCACAAUAAUUCGAAUGUAUCUUUGCGUUCCAUGUUUAUUUGAUUUAUAAAUUUUUAAAACUUAGCAAAAUUAUAUUUUACCAAGACUUCUUUUUAUUAAAAAAUGAAAUCAAAAUAUUACUGAGUGUUUUUCAUUUCACGGUGAUCAAUUUUUAAAAUAAUUAUACUUUUAUGUAUUAACAAUUAUAGUUUUGAUAAUUAAUAUACACAUAAAAAUUUAAUUUGAUUUUUAAUUAAAUUUAUUAAAGUAAUAUUAAUAUUUAUCUAUACACACGUGCAACGUAGGAGGUAAAAAGGCUGGAAAGUUCAAAGCAAGCAAUCAAAUCAAAAGGUAUUGUUUCCUAACUGGGCUGGUCUUAUUAAAAUGAUAUGACAAUUCACUAAUUGUAACGAUUGAGAAAAUCCUUUAUGUGAUUAUUGCUAAAUUAUAUUUCACGAAAACAAACCAAUUAGGUGAAAUGAUAUUACAUUUUUUUUGAACUGCCAGCCGAACCAAUAGGUUGCCAAUACGUAAGAGAUAAUUACAUUAUGCAUAAUUGCAAAGUGUAUCAUAUAUAUUAUUUUAAACAUAGGAAAUAACAUUCAACUUUUAACGACGGAUAAAAUUCAAAUACGAAAUUUCUCAUUUUCAAUCUCCAUUCCUUAUUUUUUUAUAAGAUUUGAGAAAACUAAUCAAAUCACAUCUGAUUAAUAUAUCAUUAUAUAUAUAAAACGUGAAAUAUAUUAAUUUCAAAUUAAUUCAAAUGAGAUGCAAUAUUAUUAUUAUUAUUACAACAUAACUCAUAUAUAUUAUUACUGUUGUAGACUAAAAGUCAUGAAGGCUGUGAAUAGCAAUUAAACCCUUAAACAAAUUCAUCAUAUCCAUGCAUAGACAUUCACAUAAUCACAUUUUUCGUACAUUUAUAAAUUUGUGUUGAAUAUUUAAAAUAUAUAUCUUAUUAUUUUUUUUAUUUCAUUAAAUUAAAAGAACCUCUCGGAUAUCUUAGAAAUAUUUAUUCAACACUUUUAAAAAUUUUAUAAAGUUUUUGUAAUAACUUCACAACAACGGUCGUAUACAUAUAUCAUAUCAAAUUAAUUACUAGGGAUUCCCCAAAGGGUUGCCUAAUGGAAACUACGCAGACAAACCUCUAGUUGUCCUGUAUUUGAUUCAUGAAAAUGUGGAAACAGUUAAUUAACUCUUGUUUAGACUUAAGCCCGCCAAUGCACAUUAAUCAUAACCCUGAUAUUUCAUUAAAUUUAUGUAAAUUACAAUAAAUUAUUGAAUAUUGACUAUAUUAUUCUUAAUUUAAUACUUCUAUGGGUAAUGGAAUGCGUGAUAUAAAAAUGAAUUUGAUCAUAUAUCAGAGACGCCUUUUGGUGGAAAUGACUUGGAGAGUUGGAAGAACUUCAGAGUUAAGCGUGUUCGCUUAACGGAAAUUCUAUGAUGGAUUUUACCAAUUCAAUAUGAGAUGAAAUUGACUUAAUCCAAAGCGGACAAUUCCUCUGGUGGUUGGAGUUGAGCGUGAUAUAAACACCAAAUAAUUAUUGGUCAUAUAUAAGGGUAAACAUUAAAAAAAAUUUUAUUACUCGUUGAAGCUACAAAUGUGACAAAUUAUUUUUCUUAAAUAUGACAAGUAUUAAAGAACAGAUGUAUUAAUGAAUGAUUGGAAGACUCUUUUAAGUCAUGACAAAACACAUUUUAAUCAAAUUAGUUUGAUGAACCUCUUGUGUUCGGUAGUGUAGUUUAGUUGUUUUUUUUUUUAAUCAAGUAACAAAAUGUUAAUGAUUAUCAAAUAAAAAAAAAGAUUUAAAAACUCUAAACAUGUUCUUAGCUUUGAUUAAUUAAUUGUUUAGGAUUGGGGAAGAGGAAGAAAAUUAAUAUUGGGAGUAAUUAAUUAAGUCUACAUUGACUUAUGAGUUUCAAUAUUGAGGGUGUUCAACUACUAAUUAUUAUCAUUACAUGAGGUAAUCAAUUAUAACCACCACAUUCAAGCAUAUCAUAUAAAUGUAUAAUCGAAAACACUAAUUAUUUACAGUAAAAAACAUGACCCAGAAUCCAAUUAUGCAAACCAGGAGGACGGUGAUGAAGAAUAUGAAUGCUCUCAAUGCUCGCAAGAUUAAUAUAAUGUAAAUACAAAAAAAUAAUCCGUAAGAUUAAUAAUAUUUAUAUAUUUUUCAAAUCGCAAAUUUAAUAAAUAUCCUAAUGAAAAUAAUUUCAAUGUCAAUAUGGAAAAUUCACCAGUAAAAUUUCAAUAUUAAAUUAAUACAUUGCAGGUUUGUGAAAGGAAUUCCAUUUAAUAGUUAUAAAAUUGCAGACAUUAUUAAUAACAGAAACACAUGAGAAGGGUGACAGGAAGAAGAUCAUCAAUAAGCAUGCAAGUCACUAUAUAUAUAUAUAUAUAAUUGGAAGGCAAGCAAUUUGCUUGAAGGAUAACUUAUUAAUUAAGGGACAGAGAUCAGUACUGCAGAUUAUGAAGGUGAAAAAUCAGGCUAAAGGAUAAUAUAUAUAUAUAUUAAGAAUUAGAAGACAGGUCCUGAAAUAUAUCUCAAGAACAUGAAAUUAUAGCUUCAGAAACUAAACAAUAUUAUAAUUAGAGUGUUACUUAAUUUUAUUGUUUGCAUUAAAGCAUUAAUAUAUUGAGACACACAUGCACCUAGCCAUUAUAAUACAUUGUUCCAUGAGUUAGGUGUGUACACAUUAUUGAAAUUCCUAUUUGCGAGCAAGUUGCAUUUUCUAUUUUAGAUCCAAAACUUUUUUUGCAGCAGCCUAACUACAUGUAUAUACCCUCUUGUUGCUUUUGGCAUUUUGUCCUGACUGCCUGCCUGCUUUCCAACUUGUCUUAGGGACGCAAUUGUUUACUUAUACAAACUGGGGAAUAGGAUCGUGUAUGUAGAUGGAGAUGUAAAUGAGACAAGCCGAGAAGAUCCGCUCGAUAGUUUAGUUUUGGUUCGAGACUCGAUGCUCAAAUAAUUUUAAAAUAUAUAUUUUAUAUAUGUGUAUAUAAAAGUUUAAUAAGGUCCGAUAAGUUUUCAAGCUGAACAUUAUCAGACUCGAGCUCAAUUUGAGCCAAAUUCGAACACCUCACAAGCCGACUUGACUUAUUUACACUCCUAUAUACAGGCAUGCACUGGUACAACAAUAAUUUGGUAGUGAUUGAAUUGGUUUUGUAUUGUAAGCAACUAUAUAUCAUAAAAUUCAAUAUUUUUUUCUCAUUGCCCCCCUCCCCCCCCACAGUCACAAUAUAUAUAUAUAUAUAUAUAUAUAUAUAUUUAUUUAUUUAUUUCUAUGCUCAAGGAAUUUUCAAAAUGUCUUAAGGGAUAAAGACUCUUGUUUUUCCUUUUUAAUUUCACUAUCAAUUUAUUGAAUCAAAAAAGAAAAUAUAUUCAUGAAGGAAUCAGAGUAGGGACUGAUGAUUAAUGUAUUCAAGUGCCAAUUGGCUUUUAGGUUCCUCUUUUCACUGUACAAAUUGCAUGAACAAGAGGCUGAGAAUCUAAAAAUAAAAAAAGGUGUUAAAUUCCCUUCUUACAUUUUAAUUUUAAUUUAUUUGAUGUAUCUAUCUGUCUGUACAAUUAAUUACAAUGUAUAUGUAAUUCUAUCAUUCUGGAUUUGUACUUUCAAAUUUUUUUUGUUCUGGAUAAGGAGAGCUUCAUUUUCAUGAUUAAAGAAUUAACUCAACUCUCAAGAGUCUUAUCUCUCUCUCUGAGCUUGGAACAAUACAAAGCUACAUAGCAAUUAAUUAGUGCAAAAUGCCAUUGAUUUUAUCAAUUCUGGUGAUAAAAUCAAACAACAAAAAAACAUAAUCAGGUGAUUUUUUAGCUGUUUGAUUUUAUCCUAGAAAGUUUUAAGGCAAAGCACAUGCAAGGUCCAAAUAGAAGACAUGGGUAGAUGAGCUAGUUCUGGAAAUUUUGUGCAAAAGAGAAUCUUCUUUUGCAUUAGAAUAUUUCAAUUACAGUUAAAUAAUACAAAUUGAGACAAAACCUCCACCUGAUAUGCACAUAUAUUUAUAGUAUAUAUAAAAUAUUGAACAAAAAAAAAGAAAAAAGAAAAAAGAAAAAACAAACUCACAAAAAAAUCUUAACGAAGUUAGUAAUGGUGAAGGAGAAGGUAGUAGUAAUGGUGAAAAUAUGGGCUUAAAGAAGACAACACGCCAUUUUAUGCUAAGGCCUAAGGGUUCUGAUAGAAUUAAAAAAGCUAUAACUUCUUGUUGAAAUGGGUUGGAUUUGUAAAUUAUUGGGCCUUAUGUGCAACCAUUUUCAGAAGAUUUCAAAAUAAGAAAUGGGCUUUGUUUACCUAAGUAAUUAGUUCCAAGCCAUUGUAAUGAAAAAUGAAUGAUCGAACUUGGUACCUAACUGUUUCAUAUUAUCACUCUCUACUUCAAAAAUAAUUUCGCUAAAAAAAUGAAAGCUCUAAAUAUCGACUAAUUAUGGGGCGAAAAUAAAAACUAAUCAAUCAAUAAAAUUACGAAACGCCGCCGCUUUCCGUGGGAAUGAGUACCGUGAGAGCUUUCCGGUGUUGCAAGAUGCAAACCCUGGUAAGUGGGCCCCAGUCACCGACAAUUGUGGGUCAAACGCGCUAGUUCUGUCUUAAAAAUGAAAGAUUUCUUUUUUUUUUUUAUUAUUUAUUAUUUUUAUCAUAGUAAAAAUCAGAAAUGAAGACAUGAGCGUAAAUGUAGUAACAGUUCAGUGUUAAAUCGAAGACAUCAUUAGAUCUCUACGGUCUCUCCUGCUAGCCCAUAAUCUUUCUCUCUCCGUCUAUCCAUGGCCUGUAAAUCUAAUUUCUUUUUUAUUCUCUGCGUCUUCUCUUUUUCCGUAAAUUCGAUCUUCUCCUUACGAUCAGAACCACAAUCACUUAUAGAAACAGAUUGCACCAACCGCUGGAUCCAUAUUAGACGGUUACCAUCACGCUUCAAUCUUGAUCUUCUUACAAACUGCUCCGAGUACACACUUAUCGAAGAUUUCUGCCCCUAUUUAGCCAAUCAUGGCUUAGGCCCCAAAACGCACAAUCGCUCUCAAUCUUGGUACCGCUCCGAUCCUCUUUUGUUAGAAGUCACUUUCCAUCGCCGGAUGCUUGAGUACCCAUGUCUCACCGCCGAUCCCAAUUUGGCCACCGCAAUCUACUUACCUUAUUAUGCAGCAAUUGAUUCUUUAAGGUAUUUGUACGGUCCAGAUGUAAAUAAUAGCAUGGAGCAUGGGUUAGAAUUAUUCGACUAUCUUCAAGAAAAUGAUUUUAAGAUAUGGGAAAGAAAUAAUGGGAUGGAUCAUUUUCUUGUUAUGGCAAGACCCGCUUGGGAUUUUUCACAGCCUUUGGAUUUUGACCCACCUGUAUGGGGAACUUCACUUCUUGAAUUGCCUGAGUUUUAUAAUGUAACUGCUUUAGUUGUUGAAGGUAGGACUUGGCCUUGGCAAGAACAAGCUGUGCCUUAUUUAACCUCAUUUCACCCUCCAAGUUUAGCCCUUUUUUAUUCUUGGCUUAAACGUGUUAAGGGUUCAAGAAGAACAACGUUUAUGCUCUUUGCCGGCGGCGGCGGUAUCUCUGCCACCCCAAAUAUUAGGAGAAGUAUUAGAAAUGAGUGUGAAAAUACUAGUAAUAGUACUAGUACUAGUAUGGGUGGUUUUUUUUGUACUAAGGUAUGUGAUUUAGUGGAUUGCUCUAAUGGGAUAUGUGAACAUGACCCUAUAAGGUAUAUGAGGCCAAUGUUACAAGCCAAUUUCUGUUUGCAGCCACCAGGGGAUACUCCAACAAGAAGAUCAACUUUUGAUGCCAUAAUUGCAGGGUGCAUACCAGUUUUCUUUGAAGAUGUGUCGGCAAAAUCGCAAUACCGUUGGCACUUGCCGGAGGAGAUAUAUGGGGAAUUUUCAGUUUUUAUACCUAAAGAAGAGGUUGUGUAUAAAGGGUUAAGGAUUUUGGAUGUUUUAACGAGCAUUCCAAGUGAUCAAGUGAGGAAGAUGAGGGAGAAAGUUUUAGGGUUGAUUCAUAGAGUUUCAUAUAAGAAGCAUGGGAGUUCGUUGGGUUUUAGAGCAAAAAUGGAUGCUUUUGAUAUUGCAGUUGAAGGUGCUCUGAAGAGGAUUAAUACAAGGCUUAAUGGAGGAGAGUUUUAUUACUGAUUAUUAAUUUUAAUUUAUUUUGGUUGUUGUAAUUAUUAUUAUCAUUGAUUCUUCUCUCUCUCUCUCUCUCUCUCUCUCUUUUUUUUCUUUCGUUCUCCUGCAAAAAAUGCAGAGAACAAUAGAUCAUUUUUGUUUGUAUCAGUAACCAUCUGCAUUCAAUUUUGGAGGAAAAAUAUUGGUAUUCUCUCUUUCUGUUCAUCUUAAUAUUUGCCUUGAUGUUAAGAACAGUGCUGAUUGUAAAAAGAUCAAUAAAAGAUGAAAUGCUGGUGAACAGAAGUCUGUAAAGCUUCUGUAAUGGUGAUCAAAAGAAAAGGAAAAAGAAUAAUUAAUUAAAGCUGCAAAAAUAUAUGUGACAACAGAAACCAAGCAAACAAAAGGGAGCUGUUGAGAGAUUUUGCGUUAGCGAAAUCUCUGAUUAUCUGUAAUACAUAUAGAAAGAAAGGGAGGGCAAGAAUGGUUUGACUUCACGUUACAAAGUAAUUCUCAUUCUUCUUUUAUACUAGUCAUUGAAAACCUUCAGCCCCAUCUAAUAAUUGCAGAACCCCAAGUUAGACCAGCUCCAAAACCUGCAGUUGCAAUAGUGUGGCCCGCCUUCACUUUCCCACUUCGAACCGCUUCAUCCAAUGCCAAUGGAAUCGAAGCAGCACUCGUGUUCCCAUAAUUUGCUAAGUUUGAUAUGACCCUUUCUGGUGGAACUUCUAAUCGUGUCGCAACUGCAUCAAGGAUCCUCUGGUUUGCCUGCAAAAAAAAUAUUCACCUCCAUUAUUCCUGCAUCACCAUAAUUACCCUGUCUGGCAUGUUGCAUGAUACAAAUCAGAGACUUCAUAUAAUUCAUACCUGAUGGAGCAGUAACCAAUCAAUGCUAGAUCCUGUGAGACCGGCCUUCUCAAGAGCAGACUCUAUAGAUUGUGGGACACAUCGAACAGCAAAGCGGAAGACCUCUUUUCCGUUCAUCUGAAUGCAGGAAUAUGAGGCACGCCUGGGAGGGAAGCCUAAAACUGAACCAUUAGAUCCCAAUGCAUGAUCCACUUCACUUUCUGUAAUGCCAGCAUUCAAAUGUCUGCAAGAAAAGAAGGAUAUGUCAUCUGUAUCUUAACUAGUAGAAAACUUGGAGUCUAUUUACAUGGGUACGUCAGAAAAACCUACCUCUGGCCAUCACCAUCACUAUGCAAAUCAAAACUAAAUAAACCAUCAUCCUCACUGUCACAGGCCUGUAGAAUUACAGAAAACUCAACAACUAAGCAGCUACUUAUUGAUUGUUCACCUAUAAAUACAUAAGCCAAACCAAAUAUUAACAUAGAACAGGGAGGGGAGUCAAGUUGGGGGUGGAAACAAUUAAGUUUACAGAGAGUUUGACCAAUGACCCGAGACAAAACCAUGAAACUAAAGAUGAAACAAGAUAUUUAACUUACAACCUACCAUGAAGAGGUAGGGAUCUGAACCACAAAUAAUUCACCUCAUCUAAACCUGUUUAGAGUCAAUGGCUAGAACAAUAAUAUAAGAUAUCAGUUCCCUCUUACACCUAGCUUUUGAUACAGAGAUGCAACUAACCAGGAAAUGCUUUAUCAUCUCGCUCUAGAAAGCAGCAUAAGGUGCUAAAUGGUCCCAAUUUUCUCCAAAUUUAAAAAGAUAAUAAUAGUAUAAUAUGUACUACCAUGCUUGAUCUACAAAAUGUGAUGCAUGACAUGAUUGUAGCCCACUAUAAUGAGUAUCAGUGAAAGAUGCAGAAUUUGUCAAUGGAAAUAAAAGUUUAAUACUGUCUCAAGUGAAGAGAUGCAUAGGCACCUCAAUCCCUAAUAGUUGAGGUCAGUUGCAUAGAACCUUCUACAUUCGCUUAAGGUGCACCAAUGAUAUUGAAAAAAUAAAAACAAAAAUUAACCAAUGUAAUCAAGAAAAAUUAAAUCAUAGUACAGCAGGUACACGAAUCAAAAAACUAAGGGAAAAAUAGAAAACAUACCUGUACAAGCACAGCACCAGCAGCAUCCCCAAAGAGAAUACAAGUUCCUCUAUCCGUCCAGUCAACAUAUCGAGAAAGACCAUCAGCACCGAUUACCAGUACAUUUCGAAACCCACCUCCUGUAAUUGACAACGUUUCAUUUGAUCUAUCAAAACAUGGAGGCCAUGAUCAUGCUUGAGAAAGCAAAGUAAACAAGUUUCUUUACCCCUAAUGUGACAAGCAGCUGAAACUAGGCCCAAUACAAAUCCACUACAAGCAGCUGUAAUAUCAUAAGCCAAAGGAUUUGUUUUGCAGCCAAGUGCCUUUGGGAUCUGAAAUUUUUAAGAAAUACUAAAUUAGAUUCUUGCAACAAAAAGCUAAUAUAGGAUCGAUUAACUUCAGUACUACUGACAAACUUUCACAGUGUUUUACCCAAGAAUCAGAAGCUUAAAACCAUUAAUCAGCGAAUUAUAAGGUCUGAUGAUUGAGAUUGGAAACAGGAUAAAGGCUUAUUUAUUUGUAUACUAAAGCUUACCAGGAAGGAAAAAGAGAGAAGAUGAAGAGUAGAAAGAUAGGAGUACAGAGCCAUAUAGGAGAAACAGAGUAUUAAAAUGGGAGAAAGUGCAUCUAAUAUUGAAUUUUAUAAAUUACUUUUUUAUUGCAACGCUAGUAAUUUCAUAUGCAGGGAUGUAGCACUGUAACAGUAAAUAUUAAAAUAUAUAUUUCUUUCCUUUCAACCAAGCAUGUAUUUGUGGAAGAGUUUUAUCCGUUUUUCUUUCUUUUCCAUCACUUCUUCCAAGCGAGGUGUUAGUUGUUCAUUGAAAGCCAUCAAAGAAGAAAGCAACUUAGAAAACUAAAUUCAACGUAGAUAAAGGGGAUGACUGACUACAGAAUGCAACAUAGUUGUAAAGACUCGAUGCAGCUACCAAGAGAUUUGUAUAGUAUAAUAAAUUUGAGCAAGUCCUUUCAGCACAAUUGAGGAUGACGCUUUAAGUUACUGAUAAACAAUCCAGGCACAACUUAAGAAAAGUCUCCAAACUUGCCCACCAACAAAAUAAGUGAGUUUCAAGUUUCAAGAUUGACCAGUUAACUACCCACGUAGCGCUAAACUAUGUGAAGGAUAUGCCUAUCUUGAAACCCAUACCUGAGGAGCACUACCAAAAAGAUCCUCUGGUGUAGAUGUGCACAUCAACACCAGGUCCACAUCAUCAGGUUCAACCUCUGCCAUCUGAAGAGCUUUUCUUGCUGCCUCAGUGGCUAAGGAAAUCAAACUAUCUUUUCCUGUAACAUUAGUGACAAUCAAAAUUAAUAACUAUUUGCAAUUGCACUUCCCAUUCCGUAAACAAUCAAUUGUAGAUAAGUAGGCCAAUGAUGUUCAGGAAAACACAAAUCAUAGGCUGCGAACCACAAUAGAAAUUAAUAGUUUGUGACCAAACAGUAAUAAAUAGAUGCCUCUAGGUGCAUUACCCUAAAAUAUAGUAAAAAGAUAUUUGUUUGAGAGAUAUCAUCAAGCAUGAAACUGGCAAUGGCCAUCAUGUAAUCACAGUUCAACCAAGAUGAGUUCAAAUUCACAAGGCUAAAAGUCUCAAAAUCAUCCAGAUGAAUGCCCUCUACCUAGGCUCAAGCUCAACUUUCAAGCAUUGUUAUUGAGAAGCUGGGUUACAAGCCUAGAUGUUACACUGCUCAUAUCCAUCUAACAUAUGAAACUUAAAAUGCAUUGCAAAAUGAAAAAGCCUGACCUGUAAGAACUCGUCGAUUGCGAAUCCCAGUUCGAACUGAUAUCCAUUCAUCAGAAGUAUCAACUACCUUUGCAAGGUCAUCAUUUGAAAUCUGAAGAGCAGGUACUGCUGAACCACUACCAACUAACUUGCAACCAUUACUAAUGAGCCUGUGAAUUUACAAAAUUGGAACAGAACUAAACUAAGAUAAUCAAAUUCAAUUCUUUUGUUAUCAGAUUCAUCUAAAAAGGAAUCUAUUACCAUAAAUCAGUAGCACCCACUUAUAACUAAUAAUCAUUACUAAAAACCAUUACCAAUCCAUAACCGGUGAAUCCAAUACCUACUUCAUUCAGCUCUGAACUUUCUACAACCUGCUUGAACCAAACUCCUACUUCAAUAUGAAGUUUAAGAUAUACUGCGUAAGCUACUGUAUCCAAAAAUGAUUCAACAACUUUCAGCUGAUGGCUUCAAAUCACAAUCUAACAAAGUCAACCCCUUUAUUUAGCUUUAGAUUGUCUUGCAUGGCACUUAAUCUCAUUUUAGAAGAAAAAGAAAAAUUGUAAUCCUUUUGAUUGCUCAGGAUUCUAAUUGCCAAACUAUGUACAAAUUUCCACUUCUUCAACAAGCAACGCAGACCAAAUAGGAAUUAUACGUCAUCCAAUCAAUUUGGAAUGUUUGAACCAACAAGAGAAGCUAAUACAAUCAGGAAAUACUCAUUUGCAAAUUCAUACCUGGGUAUUUGAGAUUGAGAAGUGGAAAGCUUCUCUGCACCUUCAAUGGAGCUGGAGCAGAAUACCCUUCUGGAUAUUCUUCCGCAAGAGAAAAACCCAGAUCCAGUCAUCUCUAUUGAAGGCUUAACCUUUCUCCUUAGGCUUGGAACUGAAGGACUAAAGAAACCGGAUGCAUUUGCCAUCUAUACUAUGAACAACCUAUCCUAAGAAAAUAAAAUAUGUUUUGUAGUUGCAGAGGGAGAGGAAAAAAAUGCAAGAAAUUUGUUUCAACUUAUAUAUGAGGAACCAAAAACGAGAAAGCGAUUGUAAAUAGACCCAGAGCCCAUUAGAUGAGAAGAAACCGGAAUAAAAUACAAAGAAAUAGAGAGUAAGACGCACGCAAAUUCAAAGAUCUGAUUUUUGGUUAAUCUUUUGAAGGAGGACCCAAGAAAAUAGAAGAAAAGGGGCGAUUAUGCCAAUCCAAUUUGAGGGAACUCCAAUGCCUUCAAUCUCUUUAUCAGCAACUUUGUUUGUAAAGCUCAGUCCUGGAAAUCCCUUAUAGUUAAUUUUGUUGAUACAACCUAAGCGGUUUUGGUUCAAGCGGCAUGCACUUGACACAAACAAUAGUUGGUAGAAUCCAUUGAUUGUGAACACCUAUAUGGAUUACGUGGCAAAUUCUUAUUGGUUAGAUUAUUAAAGUUUGUGUAGGGUGGCAUGUAGAAAAUUAUGAACUGAGAUCCCCCCCAUCUUUUGUUUCUGCUAGUUGCAUUCCAUGUGUUUAGAUACAAACAAUGACAACAGUUUCGUUUUUUUACAAGUCAUUUCAAAUCUUUCCUUGGACAAUACAAGUUGACAAAAUUUGUUUAGCUACAAAGUCUAUUUCUUUGCUGUAAGAUUGUUGUCUAUUGACACUUUUCCCCUUGUUUUUUACAAACCUUGUUAAACCUAUAUAUUUUCCAACAGAAUAUCCCACCUCCCUUUUUCAUUACUGUGAGAUUAAUCUAGUAGAUCAAUUUUGUUGAACUUCACUGUCUUAUUGUCAAAAUUCGUAAUUUUAAAAAUAUAAUAAAUCAGUCUAUAGUUUAAGGUGUUAUAAAAUUUUUACCAAAAAUUCAGAAAAAAUUUAUAUAUUAUGUUUUCAAAUACGAAAAAUGUUAGCAUCCUCUUUUAUAACAAUUUUUUUUUCCUUCUGAAAUUGGACAACCAAACUCUCUCUAAAAGAUAAAUAAAUAAAUAAAUGUUAUUAGUUGCCAUGUCAGAUUGUUAGGCUAGAGAAGUCGACUUUUUUAUACAAACUUGUCGUGAUCUAUGAAUUGCAUAGUUGCAAAUGAAUUGCAGACAGCAGCAUUAUUGUUUUUGUGAGAAAAAAAUUGGAAUAAAAAUAAUUAAUUACAUUCAACAAUUAAAUCGGUGUUUGAAUAGCUGAAAAUAAGAUACAUUUGCCACUUCAACAUCUAUACCAUGCUUUUCAGAUUUUGAGCUACAUUUGUGGUUUCUGUUGAGAGUUGGGUGAACAACAAACGAACAUUUCUUCAAAGAAACAAUAUUUGUAUUUAUAUCUUGUUAAAGUGUUUAUCUAGAUAAGAAUUCUAAAGCACUUAGCUACCUCACCAUGAGUCAGAGCCAAAUGGUGCUGCUCUUUCUUUAACAUGCCUAACAUUGUUUAAAUCGAACAACUCGAUGAACAAAUCAAAGUGCUCCAUUAAUUAAAAAUAACUUAAAUUAUACUCAAUGCCCUGGCUUACACAUGGCUACUUCCAUUAAGCAUAGAUGUCAAAAUCAUUUAGAUCAACCUUCAAUUUCACUGUUCAGCCUUCUUUUAAAAUUUCACUUUCAAUUUCUAGGAUGAUUUGUCUUUUUCCAAAAAAUUUAAUGGCUCACGCAUGACAGAAUUAAUGGUUUGUCGGAUAGAGCAAAGGGGCACCAGUGGUCUAGUGGUAGAAUAGUACCCUGCCACGGUACAGACCCGGGUUCGAUUCCCGGCUGGUGCAGUGAUUAUUUUUUGUUGUUUCUAUUCAUUAAUAAUGGAUAUAAUUUUUUUCCCCUUUUCAUCCACUGAAAAUUCAACGCACAAGUUUCCAAAUUCCAAGCUCCAUUUAAUUGUAUAAACUACAGAAUUUUACCGCCAACUUCUUUUUUGUAGUCAUAACUAAUCUAUCAUAUAGUUUACUGAUAGUAGUUUCAGUUUCUUUAGCAGAAGAAUAAAGGAUCGUGGACUUUCUUGCAAUGAUUAAUUGUUUUUCAAAGAAUAAAAAUAAUCUUUUUAGUUUCUUAUUUUAAUUAAUUUUUAUAUUUUUGUGGCCAUUUGAGUUGCAGGGUGGGGUAAGGAUUUCGAUGCAGACAAAUGGAAUAGUUUUGUUAAAAGUAUAUACAAAUUUUCGGUAAUGAUUCAGGCCACAUAAUUUUUGUUUUUAUUUUUGUCAUUAAAGAAUUAAAGUUAAUGUUUUUAGUACACAGAUGGAUAUGGGUAUAGGUUUGAUGUCCCUGUUGGGACAGACACAGAGCUUAACAUUAACUCGUUUACACGUUUAUGAACUCUCUGUUUAUGUUCUUAAAUUACAUUCGGUGAAGUCUUGAAUAGCUUCCAAGAUCAGGUUAUCAUCUUCCCAUUCAUCACGAUAUUUUUCUGGGUUCAAGAGGAGGUUCUUCAAAGCCGCAAAAAACAUUUCCGUUCUCCAUUCUUCCAACUCUUCAAAUCCACACUGAACAGCAAUCCACUUGUAAUACUCAAACUAUGAAAAUUACAAAAACAAUGUAAGAAAAGCAAUUAAAUUUUAGCCAAGCAAGUUGUGUAGGGACUAGGGAACUACUUGACAGACAUUAAUGACAAGGAAAUUGAUAUACAAAAAGGCUUACCUGAGACACGCUCAUAUCAUGAGUGUAUCUUUUUGAUAUAUUUGAAGCUUCAAGUGACAGGUAGAAUGCUUCAAUAUCUUUCAUCAUUUCCUCUUGUGAUGGAAGCACAAUCCUACCCGAUAAAACGCCAGCAAUCCACUUGCUUUGAAACUCGAACAUUCGGAAAGGAAGAACCUGGCACCAAUCACAGAAGAAUAUCGUUCUCUCAGUCCAAGUUGAAAAUUGCAUCAAGAAAAGAAUAUGACAUCAAACAGAAAAGAACCUUCCAUGGUAACCCAACAAAUGAAAGCCAUGGAGCCAAAACUGGUGGGAAAACAUGCUUGUAUAAUGGUCCAACACGAUUGUCAUCCACAGUCACAAUGCCAUGGGUUUCAAGAAAAGGGAAAUGAUACUUGUACCUUAUAGAAGAGGACAAUCAUAACUAUAAAUUCAGUUUCAUUCCUUUCUCUGAGACAGGGAUAUGAGUGUAUAUAUAUAUAUAUAUAUAUAAGUUAAUCAUCAAACGAAAGAAAUAUCUAAGUACCCGGUGCAAUGUAGAAUGGUAUCUGCAAGGACAACCCUCCCAUUUCGGAAGACCACAGAACCAUCUUCAUGCACACUUUGUAUCUGCAUUAUUAUUAAAAGAGUACAAUUUUAGAACAAGCUAUGCUCCUGAUACCGGGGUGCAAAUUGAAGCCAGCUGACAAAUUUCUCAAGUUAAAAUCCUCACUCCUAAACUGUGAUUUACCAUAGAAUGGCGCCACAUGUUAUCAUAUCCAGGCUGCUCUUCGUGUGUUUCGUCUACAACUGAUCUUGAGGCAACAUGGACCUCUUUGGCAACUACAGCAAUAUCCCUGGAUAUAUCCAUAGCACUUGCUGCAUUCCCAAUCAAAACUACCACCUGUUUGCAUAGAAUUAGAAAUAAUGCAUAUAAGCAAGAAAUACAAAAUGCUUUAGGCAUAAAAGAAAAGGUCAACACGGGCAUAAUACACACAGGACAUAUAUUGAAUAGAAAAAGAAACAAGUUCUGAAAUUUUUGUAAUUGCAUGAAACUGAAUCCCAAAUUGCCCAAGAGACCUAUGAUUUUUGCAAUUCUAUCAGGAAAGAAGCAUGCUUUUACUAAAAGUUCUGUUAUUUAUUUCAAUCUCGCUAACUUGUAAUUUGCUAGGCAUCAAUUGUAUCUGACAUUCCAAUUGGACAACAUCAUUGUGCAAAAGGUGGUAGCUUUGUUAAAUUUACCAAGCAAACGUACGCAUAAUAAACCCAAAAACUUCACAGCGGAAUCCAAUAAUUCCAGCAACUUUGAAGCAAUAACUUUCUGUAUCUAAAAGUAGAUAAAGGAGAAGUAGAAAUCUGAGACGGACUUGAUCUCGAAAGGGCUCAGGAACACGGUAAUUGUGGCUAUGCACUUGCUUCCCCGGCCAAGCACUGAUGCCUGAAAAGAAUAUCCUUCAUUAUUAUUCAUCUUUUCUUAUUGAACAAAGAGUGUAGAAGAAAUACAGAAAUUAGUAAAUAGUCUUUGCAAAUAAAGCAAAAACUAUUAGGAAAAACAUAACGAGACCCAUCAACAAACAUCAACUGUUCAUAAAAAAAAAAUGAUCCAAGGAAACAUAAACAAAGAAUACUAAAAUAAGCCUGAUAUUCAUUACCAAGAUUAAGUACCUGCUAUUUCAGCAACACGAGGUUCAGUGAAAUGACCAUUACAAACCACAACAGCAUCAAAAAUCUCUUCGUCAUAUUCAAAAUUAACAUCACUAUUGCCAAAGUUAUCACAUUUUUUCCUUUUAGACCUUACUUUCCACUUGUUACUAUCCUCCAUUAACCCGACGUACACAACCUCAGUCUCAAACCUCACCAACUGCUCAAUCUCAAAUUCCCUCGCAAAAUCUCGCAAGUAGAAUAACACCUCUCUGUGACCCGGAAACCUUCUUGGAUCUCUCAUCUUAUCAUUUUUGGGUAUAAACGGGUAGUCUCCGAAACCCAUCGCUUCUCUAGGCAGGUUGGUGCGGAGAGAGCUGUAGAGGCUCGAUUGGAUUAUGGGUCGGCCUGGAUCGAGGCUUAACGGGUCUGGUUCAACCCGCGGAUUGUAGACCCAUGUACCACCAAUUUGGGCAUCUCGUUCAUAGACGACGACUUUGUGGCCCUCGCGGCUGAGUUCACGUGCGGCCGCGAGGCCGGCGGCUCCUGCUCCGAUCACCGCCACGUAGCGAGAGGUGAGAGGAAUUGACAUUGCUGAACAGUUGAAUGUCGGAGAAAAUAAAUAAGAGGAGAAAAACGUGCCCUUCAAAAAUGCUCUCACUGGAAAGUGAGUGCGUAUACACUUACGAACAUGAAAAAUAGUCCAAAUACUCUGAGUCCAAAAAUUUGUUCUGUAAGAAAACUAGUUCCGUAUCAAAUUUUGUUUUUGCUCCAAAGAUAAAUAUUUGUUUAUCCACUAGGACGGUUGAAGAUGUCGUAGUUUCGGGCCAGCUGUUUUUUACUUUCUUCACAUGGAGAUGUGAUCGCUCACGCAUGUCUACUGCUAGAACUAAGACUGUUGUUUUCUAAUAUUAUUAGACUCGUUCGUUCAUUCCAGGAGUUAGCGCAUAGACCAACUGUUACCGUGCGUUGUCGUUUCAAUCAAAAUUUCAAAUCAAAUUAAACCAAAUCCUAAACCCUCCUAUUUAUUUUCAAAGUAUGAUAAUUUAAAAAAAAAACAUCUAAGCGGAACAGCAAUUUGUCCUUUUCUUUUUUUAAAGAAAGGGCUCAGAACAAUACAGAAAGAGUUUACUUUUUUUUAAUCAUAUUCCAGUCUUCAUCUUUGUACUUCAUAACAUUACAAUUUUACUCAAAUCUCUGAAAAUAAAUAAGUAUCUUCAACUCUUCAUCUUGAUUAAAAUUACAACAACACAGGUCGAAUUUUGAAUGUAAAAAGAAAUGGUAACGGCUUUAUUUAGAGGUCAGGUCCUUUUGAAUGUAUUUAGCGAAGUCCUGAUUAGCUUCCUCGAUCAAGCAGUCAUCUAUCAUCAAUUCAUCACGAUAUGUCUCUGGAAGUUGACGCUUGCCGAUGCUACUUGCAUUAUACAUUUGCUUUCUCCAUUCCUCAUACGCUUCACACCCGCAUUGUCCAGCUAGCCAAUUGUUAUACUCAAACUGCAAAAAGACAUAGUUCAUCCAGUUGCAGGAAAAUUUUCUCCAAGAAAAUUCAGUAACAAAUGUAAGAGUAAUAGACAGAGAAAAAUGGGUGCUUAAGGCGUACUUGAGAUUCACCCAUGCGAUGGGUGUAUCUUUUUGGAACAUUUGAAGCUUCAAGAGACAUAUAAAAGGUUUCAAUAGCUUCCAUCAUCUCUUCUUUUGAUGGAAUUCCAAUCCUACCUGAUAAAACACCAGCAAUCCAUUUGCUUUGAAACUCACACAAUGGGAAAGGAGCAACCUAGCAGCAAUCACACUAAAGGUGUUAUGUUUACAGAGAGUCUAAUAUUGCAUGAAAACAAAGCACUGCGACCUUCAACAGAAUACAACCUUCCAUGGUAACCCAACAAAUGAAAGCCAUGGAGCCAGAGCUGGUGGGAAGACAUGCUGGUAUAAUGGCCCCACACGAUUAUCAUCCACCGUCACAAUGCCAUUGGUUUCAAGAAAAGGGAAGUGAUACUUGUACCUUAAAAUAACAAAAAUUUCAGUUCCAUUUCUUUUGAACAGACCCAGAUAUCCCUCUUUAUGUAAAUCCUUGUGCAUUUAGCCAAAAUAAUUAAUUCAAAUUGAAAGUACCCGGUGCAAUGUAGAAUGAUGUCAGCUAGGACAACUCUCCCAUUUCGGAAUACCACAGAACCAUCUUCAUGAACACUUUCUAUCUGCAUUGUUUAAAUACAGUAGAUCAGGCAAUUCUUCCAACAUUAGUAUCAAACACAUACCUCCACAAGCUCCAUAAGAUAAGUCACUCACUCUUAAUCUGGGUGAUUUACCAUAGAAUGAAGCCACAAAUUAUCAUAUCCAGGCUGUGCUUCAUAUGUUUCAUUUGCAACUGAUCUUGACGUAACAUGAACCUCUUUGGCAAACCCAGCAAUUUCCCUUGAUAUAUCAGCAGCACUUGCUGAACUUCCAAUCAAAAUUACUACCUAUCCGCAUCCGCGUAGGACAAUGGAUAAAGCAAGACAUAAUUAGAUCUUAAGAAAAAAGAGGUUAACACAAGAAACAAGCUCAGAAUGACAUAUUCACAAACAGAACAUAAAUAUAGAAAAAGAAAUAUUAUGGAAAGUUGCAAGUAGCAAAAACGAAAGAAAAUCAAUAAAGUAGAAUAAAAUUAGGAUAAGAACUACGAACUUUCACAGUUUAACAUCUGACAUACGUGUUAUCUCCAACGGGCCAAAAUUAAUGGAUUUGAAUAUUCUGUUUUAUAUGCAGCGCAAGAAGUCGGAAGUGGCUAUUGUAAUUUUGUUAGUUACUGAGCACGCAAGAAAAGUAUAAUUUGAACCACUAUAGAGUACAGAUGUAUGCAAAAACCAGAAAAAUUCACUAAGCAAGUCCAUGACAUGCAUCGACAUUGAAGCAAUGGUAUUUUGCAUUUGAAACAUAAGAACAUUAUAGAAUUGAAGAAGUAGAAAUCUAACACAUACUUGAUCUUGGAAUGGGUCAGGAACUCGGUAAUUGUGGCUAUGCAUUUGCUUCCCUGGCCAAGAAUUUAUGCCUGAAAAGGAACUUCUUUAUCAUCAUAUUUUCCCAAAAAUAACAUCCAACCAAAACAUCAAAUAUUCCUUAACAUAGCAGAAAACAUGAACAAAUAGCAAAAAUAAAAGUAGAUAAUCAUCCUAAAGGUAAUUCCACUCAAAGAAUCUAUCUUAGUCAUCAGGAAAGAUGAGUGUUCCUCAACAAAAACAACCAACCUUGAUCCAAUCAAACAAGUAAACUAAAAGUCAACCCAAAAUUCAGCGUAAGGAAUUGGCACCUGGUAUUAUUUCAGCAAUACGAGGUUGAGUAUAAUGACCAUUACAAACCACAACGGCAUCAAAAAUAUCUUCAUUAAAAUCAAAGUCAAUAUCUUUGUCAUCUCUCUUCUUUUUAGACCUCACUUUCCACUUAUAACUAUUCUCCACUAACCCAACAUGAACCACCUCAGUCUCAAACCUCAUCAUCUCUUCAAUCUCAAACUCCCUCGCAAAAUCUUGCAAAUAGAGCAACACCUCUCUAUGACCCGGAUACCUUCUCGGGUCUCUCGUUUUGUCGUUUUUUGGUAUAAACGGAUAAACUCUGAAACCCAUCACUUCUCUGGAGAGGUUGGUGCGGAGAGAGCUGUAAAUGCUUGAGUGGAUUAUGGUUCGGGUCGGAUCGAGGCCUAAAGGGUCUGUUUCGACCCGGGAAUCGUAGACCCAGGUGCCGCCGAUUUGGGCAUUUCGUUCGAAGACUAUAACCUUGUGGCCUUCCUGAUGGAGCUCACGAGCAGCGACAAGGCCGGCAGCUCCGGCGCCGAUCACCGCCACGUCGCUGGAGUUGAAAGGAGUUGGCAAUGAUAAACGGUUGAUUGUCAUAGGAGUGAGCAUUUGACUUGAUGUACGAUCGGGGUUCUGUUGGUCAUUGAUUACCGGCAUAAUCUUGAUUCCGAGGAUAUAUGGACGGUUUGGUUAUUUUUGGUGAUAUGACUAACGGGUUUGUGGCCAUUGGUUUGGCUUCAGAAAUAUAUGAACCCAGUUACCCAGUUGCGAUAAGACACGUCACACAAGCAGCGUUUGGGCGCGUACGUUAACUAGUGAACGGUAUCUGUAAUUAGCGAAUAUUGCCACGUUUGUAAUUUUUAAAUUAAUAUUGCAGCGUCCUGCGUGCUGCCUCUGUCUGGUGGCAAUGUAAAUAUUAUUUUCUCUGUUUAUUAUUAAAACUUGCAAGCCUAAUAGCAAGAGCUUACAAGUUUAACUUUGAGAAUAAAUAUAAAUAUAAAUUCUUUCUCCACUGUAUAAAACUGUAAUUCAAUAAUUCAAAUGGUAAGAUAUGCUUGAGUGUAAUGUACGCCGUAAAACCAAAAAUAAAAAGAUGGAGAAAUUUAUAGUAAAAGAAAAAUAAUAAUAACAUUUCUCCUAUCCUAUUUCCAAGAUUUUAAUUCCAUUAAUAUAUGUAAUCUAUUUAAGGUAACUGAUAUUGUUCGUGCUCCAAUAAUAAGUAUUGGUACAAUAAUAGCAUUAUUUAGGAGUUAUCAUUAAAGAGAUAAAUAGGGUGUUGGGCCUUACAUAUACAUUUAACUUAAGCAUACAUUUAUGAACUCUCUGUCUAUAUUCUUGAAUUGAAUGGUUAAGUCUUUAAUAGCAUCCAAGAUUAGGUCAUCAUCUUCCCAUACAUCACGAAAGUUUUCUGGGUUGCAGAGCAAGUUCUUGCGACCUGCAUAUAUAAUGCAUUUUCUUUCUCCAUUCUUCCAAGUCUUCACAUCCACACUGAGCAGCAAUCCACUUGUAAUACUCAUACUAUUAAUAUUAAAAACAUAUUCCAAGAAAAGCCAUUAAAUUUACCCAAAAAAAAAAAAAAAAAAAAAAAAAACAGAGAGAGAAAGAAAAGGAGUAGGAUAAUAAUUAAACAGACAUUUACCAUAGCAAGUUGUGGAGGGACUGGGGAACCACUUAAUAGAUAAACAAAGAAAUUGCUAUACAAGAAGGCUUACCUGAGAAACAUCCAUAUCAUGAGUGUAUCUUUUUGGAAUAUUUGAAGCCUCAAGUGACAGGUAGAAUGCUUCAACAUCUUUCAUCAUCUCCUACUGUGAUGGAAGUACAAUCCUACCUGAUAAAACACCAGCAAUCCACUUGCUUUGGAACUCAAACAUUCGGAAAGUAAAAACCUAGAGCCAAUCACAUAUAUAGAAUCUAGAUUAUCAUUUCUCGGUUCAAGUUGAAUAUUGCAUCAAAAGAAAGCAAUAUGACAUCAAACAGAAAAGAACCUUCCAUGGUAACCGAACAAAUGAAAGCGAUGGGGCUAAAACUGGAGGGAAAACACGCUUGUAUAACGGUCCAACACGAUCAUCAUCCACAGUCACAAUACCAUUUGUUUUCAAGAAAAGGGAAAUGAUACUUGUAACUUAAAGAAGAGGACAAUUAUAACUAUAAAUUCAGCUUCGUUUAUGUCUUAGAGAUAAACAUGUGUGUUUUUAUAAGUUAAUCAUUAAACGAAAGAAAUAUCUAAGUACCCAGUGGAAUGUAGAAUGGUAUCUGCAAGGACAACCCUCCCAUUUCGUAAGACCACAGAACCAUCUUCAUGCACACUUUGUAUCUGCAUUAUUAUAAAAGAGUACAAUUUUAGAACAAGCUAUGCUCCUGGUACCAGGGUGCAAAUUGACGCUAGCUGACAAAUUUCUCAAGUUAAAAUCCUCACUCCUAAUCUGUGAUUUACCAUAGAAUGACGCCACAUGUUAUCAUAUCCAGGCUGCUCUCCAUGCGUUUCAGCUACAACUGAUCUUGAGGCAACAUGAACCUCUUUGGCAACUCCAGCAAUUUCCCUGGAUAUUUCCCUUGCACUUGUUGAACUGCCAAUCAAAACUACCACCUGUUUGCACGAAAUACAAUUUGAAUCUUUAGGCGCAAAAGAAAGGGUCAACAGUGCACACAGAUAUCUAUUGAAUAGAAAAAGAAAUAUGUUCCAAAAUUUUGUGAGUAGCAAAAACUCAAAUUGGACAAGAGAGCUAUGGUUUUUACAGUUUGAUUAUGGUUUUUAGAAAAGAGAAAGGCGUGAUUUUUGUAAAAGUUCUGUCUGGGUAAGCAUCAACUUUACCUGACAUUCCAAUUGGAUAACAUAAUUGUACAAAAGGUGGUAGCUUUGUUAAAUUUACAAAGCAAAUAAGAAGAUUAAUUGCACUUCGUACCAAUAUAAAUGAAUGGAUAUGUAUAAAGCCAAAAAUCUUUAUAUUAGCAAUCCGUAAAAAUGCAUCAACAUUAAAGCAACAGCUUUCUGAAUCAUCUAAAAGCAGGUAAAGGAGAAGUAUAAAUCUGACACAGACUUGAUCUCGAAAGGGCUCAGGAACACGGUAAUUGUGGCUAUGCAAUUGCUUCCCUGGCCAAGAACCGAGGCCUGAAAAGAAAGAACGUCCUUAGCUAUUAUCAUCUUUUCUUACUGAACAAAGAACCUAGAACAAAUACAAAAAGUAAAGUUAAGGAAUCAUUGCAAAUGAAACAAAAUGGACAACAUUUAUUUACGCUCUACAUUAAACCAAUUGAAAAAAAUACUUUUUUCAAAAAAUUUGUUAUUUUAUUUUUUUCAAUAAUAGUCAGAAAUAUUUUUUUAAAAUUAAAAACACUGUUUUUGAUUCAUUUAAUAUAUAGAGUGAGUUUAUAUGUAGGUAAAUCCUUCUAAAACAAAAACCAAAAGCCACAAUGACCCAUCAGCGAACAUAAAUUGUUCCUAAAAAAAAAGGUCCAACUAUGAUUAACCCAAUAUUCAGUAUAAGAAAUUAAGUACCUGGUAUUUCAGCAAUACGAGGUUGAGUGUAAUGAACAUUACAAACCACAACAGCAUCAAACAUAUCUUCAUAAAAUUCAAAAUCAAUAUCAUUAUCACCUCUCUUCUUUUUAUACCUCACUUUCCACUUAUUACUAUUCUUCACUAAUGCAACAUUAACCACCUCAGACUCAACUUCACCAUCUCUUCAAUUCCGAACUCCCUCGCAAAAUUUUGCAAGUAGAGCAUCGCUUCUCUGUGACCCGGAUACCUUCUCGAAUCUCUCGUUUCGUCGUUUUUGGGUAUGAACGGAUAAACUCUGAAACCCAUCGCUUCUUUGGGGAGGUUGAUGCGGAGAGAGCUGUAGAGGCUCGGGUGGAUUAUGGUUCGACUAGGGUCGAGGCCCAACGGGUCUGAUUCGACCUGGGGAUCGUAGACCCAGGUGCCACCGAUUUGGACAUUUCGUUCGAAGACUACGAUAUUGUGGCCUUCCUGACGGAGCUCGCGAGCAGCGGCAAGGCCAGCAGCUCCUGCGCCUAUCACCGCCACGUGGCGGGAGUUGAGAGUAGUUGGCAUUGCCAGACCGUUGACUGUCGGCGCAAAUAAAUAGGAAAUGGAAAACGUGCCUUUAGCACAUAUAUAUCGACGGCAGCUGCUUUCUGUUCACAACUGUUGUAAGCAUAAAUUGAAACAUGUCGUGUUCAAAGCACGUGACAGUUGAUAAACUACCUAAUUUUGGCACUUAUUUAAUUUGUUUAUCUAUUUUUUCACAAAGGAAAGGGUCAAGAGUACAGUAACAUUUGACUUUGUUUCAGUUUUCUUCAUAUCUCUGCAAAACAUUAUAAUUUUACCCAAAUCUCUUAAAUUACCAUUAAUUUUCAAAAUGCAUUUACAGUAAUAAUAAAUUAUCAUAACUGCAUUUUGAAAAUUAAUUGUAAUUGUACCACUUGAUUAACUGAAUUUAGCAGCAAAACAAUUCAGUGGCUAUAAAAUCAAUAAGUCAGAACAUAAUGUAGCUCGAAUUUAUUCAAUCUUUGGUAAGAGAAGAAACGGUAAAUUGGUUAUAGGUAGCUAAUUAAUGCGAAUUUGUGAUAUGAAUUGUCAUUUACAGCUGCGACUGCAGAAAAUCCUUUUGAAUGUAUUUAGCAAAGUCCUCAUAGGCGUCCUUGACCAAACAUUCAUCCAUCAAUUCAUCACGAUACGUCUCUGGUCUUUGGAGCCUGCCUAUGCUACUAGCAUUAUACAUUUGAUUUCUCCAUCCUUCGAACUCUUCGCAACCGCAUUGAGCAGCAAGCCAAUUAUUAUACUCAAACUGCAAAAAAACAUACAAAAGAUAUUACUAUGACAGUAUAUCAAAUAAUCAAAGGCACAUUCAUUACAGAUAUGCCUCAGGCCAUAAUUCAUCCAAUUGAAUCUAUUAGAUUUGUAGAAAAAGUUCCCCCCGAGAAAAUUCACGAACAAAAAUAUAGAGAAUAUGGAUUAUAUUCAACAAAAUAUCAAUUUGAUUGCCAGCAAUGUCUCUGUUAAUCUAUCAUAUGUACAGGCUUCAGAGUCUCCAUCCUGCCAGAUAAUGAUAAUGGGCCUCUAUAAAAGCAUGGGAGCUACCUAAUAGGUAUUAACAAAGAAAACGGGGUACUUAAGCUUACCUGAGAAUCACCUAUACGAUGAGUAUAUCUUUUUGGAACAUUUGAAGCUUCAAGAGUCAUAUAGAAGGCUUCAACUGCUUCUAUCAUCUCCUGUUGCAAUGGAAUUGCAAUCCUGCCCGAUAAAACGCCAGCAAUCCACUUGCAUUGUAAUUCAAUCAAUGGGAAAGGGGCAACCUAGAAGCAAUUACAGUAAAGGUGUUAUUUUUACAGUCUAAUUUUGCAUCAAAACGAAGCACAACACCAUCAAACAGAAUAGAACCUUCCAUGGUAACCCAACAAAUGAAAGCCAUGGAGCCAGAACUGGUGGGAAGACAUGCUGGUAUAACGGCCCCACUCGAUUAUCAUCCACAGUCACGAUGCCAUUAGUUUCAAGAAAAGGGAAGUGAUACUUGUACCUUAAAAUAACAAAAAUUCAGUUCCAUUUCUUUUGCUCAAACCAAGAUAUCCCUCCCUCUCUAUAUGUAUGUGCGUGUUUAAUUGCUAAAAUAAUUCAAAUUGAAAGUACCCAGUGCAAUGUAGAAUGAUGUCAGCUAGGACAACUCUCCCAUUUCGGAAUACCACAGAACCAUCUUCACGGACACUUUCUAUCUGCAUUGUUUUGAUACAGUCAUUUAAGAUCAGGCAAUUCUUCUGAUAUCAGUAUCAAAAAGAUACCUCCACCAGCUUCUUAAGAGAAGCCACUCACUCUUAAUCUGGGUGAUUUACCAUAGAAUGAAGCCACAUGUUAUCAUAGCCAGCCUGUGCUUCAUAUGUUUCAUUUGCAACUGAUCUUGACGCAACAUGAACCUCUUUGGCAACCCCAGCAAUUUCCCUUGAUAUAUCAGCAGCGCUUGCUGAACUCCCAAUCAAAACUACAACCUAACCACAUAGAGGUGAAAAGCAAACCAUAAUUAGUUCUUAAGAAAGAGGAGGUUUGUCACAAGAAACAAGCUCAAAAUAACAUAUAUUUACGCACAAAAUAUAUACAUACAUGUGUAUAUUUAAAAUAAAGAUGCUCCGAAAUUUGCAAGUAGAAGAAAGGAAACAAAAUCAGAAAAACCAAAAUAAAAUUGGGACAAGCAUUGUGAGUUUUCACAGUUUUACUAUUCGAUAGAAAGUAUAUAUGCCGUCCCAAAACUAAUGGACUUGAACAUUCUAUUUUAUUUGCAUCUCCUUGUACUUUACAUAGCAUCAGUUCUAUACUUGAAUGGGUUGAAAACAUGGCAAUUGAUCUAACAUUCUAGUCAGCCAACAUCAUAAUGCUAGAGGCAGUAGUUUUGUGCUGAAGUUACUAAAAAAGCAAGAAAAAUAUAAUUUGAAUCGCUACAGAGUAUAGAUAUAUGCAAAAACUAAAAAGUUCAAUAACCAAGUCCAUGACAUGCAUCAAAAUUGAAGCAGCAGUAUUUUGCAUUUCAAACAUAAGAACAUUAUGAGACGAGAAGAAGUAGAAAUCUAACACAUACUUGAUCUUGGAAGGGUUCAGGAAUUCGAUAAUUGUGGCUAUGCAUUUGCUUCCCUGGCCAAGAAUUUAUGCCUGAAAAGUACUUCUUUAUCAUCACAUUUUCCCAAAAUAACAAAAACAAAUAACCAAAACAUUAUAACUGGAAAAGAAAAAAAAAAACCAAUGGCAAGAAUAAAAAUGAAUAGUCCUCGCAAAAGUAAUUCCAAUACAAGAACCUAUCUUAGUCAUCAAAGAUGAAUAUUCCCUAAAAGAACAACCAACCUCAACCAAUCAAACAAGCAAACCAAAAAUCAACCCAAAAUUCAGCAUAAGGAAUAGACUACCUUGUAUUUCAGCAAUCUGAGGUUGAGUGUGAUGACCAUUACAGACCACAACAGCAUCAUAAAUCUCAUCUUCAAAAUCAAAGUCAGCUUUCUUCUUUUUAGACCUCACUUUCCACUUAUUACUAUUCUCCACUAACCCAAUAUUAACCACUUCAGUCUCAAACCUCACCAUCUCUUCAAUCUCAAACUCCCUCGCAAAAUCUUGCAGGUAGAGCAACACUUCUCUAUGACCCGGAUACCUUCUCGGGUCUCUCGUUUUGUCUUUUUUUGGUAUAAACGGAUAAACUCUGAAACCCAUCACUUCUCUGGGGAGGUUGGUGCGGAGAGAACUGUAAAGGCUGGAAUGGAUUAUGUUUCUGCUGGGAUCAAGGCCCAACGGGUCUGAUUCGACCCGGGAAUCAUAGAGCCAGGUGCCGCCGAUUUGGGCAUCUCGUUCGAAGACUACGACAUCGUGGCCCUCCUGAUGGAGCUCACGGGCAGCAGCAAGGCCGGCUGCUCCGGCACCGAUAACGGCCACUUGGCGGGAGUUGAGAGUAGUUGGGAGUGAUAAACGGUUGAUGGCCAUAAGAGUAUGCAGUGGACAUAGGACCGGGUUCUGUUUUAUUUAGUCUUGGUCAUUGACUAAUGAUCAUUUGCAUGAUUUUGAUUCCGAGGAUAUAUGGGCGGGUUGACGGGUUUGGCUUCGGCGGCCUAAUGAUAAUUUUCACUAAUAAAUUUUUCAAAAAGUUAGAAUUUCCUCCUAGAGUUAUUUUUAUUAUAAAUAUACUCCAAAUUCAACAUUUAUGUGUAAUUGCAUCCUAAUUUUUUUUAUGGAAUUUGCAAUCCUAAUUGAAUGUAAAGAUUGAAAUACAAUAAUAUAUUUGAUGAGAUCCACAAAAAAAUUCCGGUAAAUUUAAAACCAAGGUGAAAUUCAAUUUGAUACACACCUUUUCAAUAAAUUUUCCAAAAAAAUUAGACCUAAAAUAAAUUUGAUUCCCUUUAAUUUCCUCUUUCCCUAUUUCAAUAAACUUUUAUGUGGAUUUCAUUAAAUAUAUUAUUUUUAUUUUGAAUCUUAACCCAAAAUCAAUUUUGGUGUGCAAUUAUAACUAAUUAUUGAAUUUGAGGUAUAUUUGUAAUAAGAUUGCUUGAAGUUCUGAAAGUUUAGGGUGAAACGUAUUAUUAAGCUGGUUGUGAAAUAUAAGGUUGCACACGGUCUCAGGAACCAGACUAAAAAAUUUUAUCCAAUCGAAUUGGAAUCGAAAAAGGAUACCGAACCAGGUUUGACGGUUUUUUUUCAAUAGCAAAAAACAGAAUCCUGGACUUUCUAACAAUCAUUAAAUUGAUUUCUUGUUUAAUUAUGCAAUGUCUGGAUAUGUUGUAAUUUUGUUUGUGAGUUCAGUAAGUGAUAUAUAUUGAUAUGUCAGAGAUUGUUGAGAUUGCCAAACAGGUCCGUAUAGUCUUAAGAUCAAUUGCAGUUGAUAUAUUUAUAAUCUGCCUGGAUAUGAAAUCACGUGGCUUCAUUCCAAUGCUAAAAUUAAACCUUAUAAUGCUUUGUUUGGAAAAGAAAGAAAAUCGAAAAUAAUGGAAGAAACAUGGAAGAAUUACCAAUUUUUUUUACAUAGUUAUUUUUCACCUUUAUUUAUAAUUGUGGAUUUAUAACUGUGGAUGAGGAUGACAAUUGUAUAACACCAUAAUUAUUAAUACGUGUCAGCUUGAAAAUCCGCCCGAUUUUAAUUUUAAACUAUUAUAAGAAGGAAAAUCGAAUUGAAUUAGUUGCUCCAUGGUUGGACCAAUCAACCAGCAUAGAGCCAAUUGAUUAUUUUUAAUUAUUUUUUGAUUAUAUUAUGAUUAUUUUAAAUUAUAAUUUAUUUAAUUAAUAUAUAUAUUUUUAGUCUUUUAUGACCCAUUAAUUUAAUCAUUGAUUACCGAUUAAUUUAUUUAAUAGACUCAAUAUCAAGAUCGGAUUUAAUAACACUACGUAGGACCAUUGCAGAAGUAUUAUAUUUCCACCAGUUUUGGCUCUUGGGUUUUCAUUUGUCAUCAUGGAUGUGUUUAGCCUAUUUUGAUUGUAUUCCGUAACAACUUUGUAAAUGCAUUAUUUUUUAUAGUAUUGAAAAUAACUUUUAAAUGUUAAUAUAGUCUUUUAUAAAAAGUUAAGAUUGUGUUCGGCAACAUCUUUUUAAGUAAACGCUAAAAACUAUUUAAAAAGUUGUUCGUUAAUAUAGUAUUUGGACUAACUUUUAGAGAUUAUAGUAGCGUUUUGUAAAAAUUAACUCAUGAAACGUUUAACUUUUAGCGUUUUAUAAAAAGCUAUUAAAACAACUAAUAGCUACAAAAACAGUUAAGCUUGGCGAACAAACUCUAAUUCUUGUAACAUUUAGUUUUUAGCGUUUGAUAAAAAAUUACUCAAAUAGCUAAACUUCACCAAAACAUUUAAUUUUGCCGAACAAUCCAUUUAGCAAAAUGUUUUAUUUAUGUACUAUGUAAUUUCAACUGUAAAUUAAAUAGAUAAUCUAAUAACAUUAAUAAUAAUAAUAAUAAUAAUUUGUGAUCAAUAACGAUCUAACCUCCAUAAAAGUGAGAACAUAAAUGUAAUUAUUUUUACGCUAAAGAGAUUACACCUUAUAAUAAUAAUAAUAAUUGUGUGCAAUUGGUAGCGGCUUAUCCCAUCCUCUAUGUAUGAAUUGCAUUCCAAGUGAAAUAUACCUGCAAGUCAUAAGAAAGUGGCGAAGUUCAGCACAGCUAUGAACCAGUCAUAUAUUUAUUUAAAUUACUAAGGGCCACGAGUCCAAAAAAUUGCAGCAUGUCGGCACAUCUUUUUGGGACAUGUUACUUCACUUAUGCCUCUAAUGAGACCAAACCCAUGUCUCAUCAUUCCUACCAUUUCGUAUCUCUCAAUUUUCAAACUAAUAAAAUGCACAUAAUGCGAGUCAUACUUUUCAAUUUUCAUUUUUUCCCCUUUCAAAGUAAUAAAAUUAAUCUCCUUUUCCCUUUACUUCAAAAAUUUCUAAAAACUGCCAUAAUGAUUUUUUAUACUGAGCAAAAAGAAAAUCUAAAUAAAGCAAACAAACAUCACUCAAAGAGGAGUCACUGUCACAGACUCACAAUGCUAGUUAGGUAGCCUUAGGAAGUCACUUUCACCAGAAAGCAGAGGUCGGAUUUUACAUAAAUCGAUAAGGAUUGGUAGGUUUAAUUGGCCAACAAAAAUUUAUUAUCUAUAAUUGAAUAACACUAUUUAUAUAAUUGAGAAUAAAGUCAAUAUAUUCAUUUUAAUUUUUAAUUAUAUGUUAUAUAUAAGAGAUAUUUUAUAAAUAUUAUAUUUAUCGACAUAAUAUUUAUACUGUUAUUUAGAAUUGGAGAGAUGAAUCAUGAGACGACAACUAUUAGUAUAAUUAAUAAUUAUUAAAAUAAUUAAUUUUAUCCAUUAGGAUCUAAGCAUCAAUAUUAUGGCACAGAUUAGGCGCGAUUUGCUUUUUUUUGUAAUUUUCUUAAUAAUCAAGAUAUAAGAAAAAAAAUUACAACAACAAUAUUCAACAAUAUAAUUAAUAGCCAAUCAAAUGACUGGGAAGUUGUACAUACCAUUAACUAUGGACAACCUGUUUAGAUUUUGAUCCAAGGGAAUUUGGGAGGCCUGACCCUACAUUGUUUUUUAAUCCCACUUCUCUUCUCAUCCAUAAAACCAGUGGACGUUAUCAUUUUGUUUGGGUCUCCUGUUAAAGAAACCACAAUAGAUAUUUUAUUAAAGAGCUAUAACCUGAUUAUGUGUGAUAUGAUUUGUAGAAAAUAUAGACAGCGAGAAAUUUUAAAUUGAAUCAUCUUCGAUAUAAAAAAUUAUUAUUGUUACCAAUACUUAAAUAACAUCAUUUUACAAAGUACUUAAAUAUAUUGCAAAAAAAUUUCGACAACCGAAUAGCUACAAACUACCAACUUUAAUUAAAAAAAUCAUUUUUUACAAUAUAUCACGAAGUAUCAUAAGAUAUUUACAACCGAAAAUAUUAUUUUGUAGUAGGAUAAUUUUCAAAAUAUCAUGAAGCAUUACAAGAAAUGGUAACCAAAUCUAUUACUUUACAAUCCACUAACUUUGUAACCAUAGCGAAAUUAGAAAAAAUUGUUUGGAGAUGCGAAAUAAACUCUGUAGGUGAAAGAUAUAAUUUUUAUAUAUCUUAAGGAUUAAUAAUAACCUAGUAUCGAAUAUUAGAUACUAUUAGCCCAGUUGAAACAAAUGAAUCAUGGCUAUAGAAUUUAUUUAGAAAUGAAAUAUGUUACAAUUUAAGAUAAUGAAUUCAAUUGAAUUCCACAAAAUUAUAUUUGGAAUAUAUUCUUAAAUGAAAAUUCAUUUGUCUUUAUUUAUUAUAACACCCUUGACAUAAUAAUUUAAUAAAAAUAAAUAACAAACACCAAUUAUAUUUAUUAUGUAUAAUAUAAUAUCCUGUCAUUUUUUAUUAAAAUAUAAAUAAUAAAUUUCAUAUAAAUAAGUACACUAAUAUUUCACACUAAUUAAUUAAUUAUAUAAGUAGUAACAUUCAUCAUAAUAAUUAUUUUUAAUUCAUGUAAAAAAUUUUGUUUAUUUAAGUAAUUAAUUUGGAAGCAAAAAAAAAAUAUUAAGAAUGUUACUAUUAUUUUUAAUUGCAUUUGAAAAUAAUUGUUAAUGCUCAGUUUCUAUAGUUUUAUAAUAAUGAUAACUAACGUAAUUACUAGACUUCAAAAAAAAAAAAACGUCAUUACAGGUUUGCAAAUUUCUAAAAAAAAAUAUAAAUUAACUUCAUUAUUGGAUUAAAAAAAAAAUAACUGUUAUAGUUUGGAAUUUUUCAAAGAAAGUAAAUAAAAAGGAAAAAAAAAGUAAAAAUAGUUGAGUUUUACAGUGGAGGGUAAUUUUGUUAAUAAAUAUUUUAAUGGUCAAUUUUGUGGAAUCCAUUCUAUCAAUUUUAGUAGAAUUUGAGUUAGGUAUAUCUAAUUUCAUAGAAUUUUGUAUUUAUUUUCAUUCCAAACACAAUAUUUUAGACUUCUAAAUGAAUUUCACAAAAUUUUAUGUAAUUCAUUUAUUUCAAACGGAUUCUACAAUUUAAUAGCGGUAAAUUUUAAUUUUUUAUAAGAAUUUUUUUUUUAGGUGUAGUAGUCUAUCUAAUUUUGCAAACAACCACUUUUUGUAAAUUGUUAAGCAGUAUUAAAAAAAAUUCGCCAUCAAAAUUAUUACUUUGUAAUAUAGUCACAUCGCAAAAAAAUAGCCCUUUCUUACACAUUAUUAGGAAUUUUUACAAAAUAUUUAUAAGUAGAUUUGUUAUCUUGUGAUCUGAUAAUUUAAAAAAUAGCCACAUUUUACAAAAUAUUAAUAACAACAUUCAUUAUUUUGUAAUAAUUUUUUUAAAAAAUUAAUUUAUUGUGUAUUUGGAAUUUUAUAAUAGCUUUGUUUUACUUGAAGGCAUUGUAGAAAAUGCCACUACUUUAUCUUCAUUACUUGUAAAUCCUGGCUUGGUGACUAGUUUACACGUAUAGAAUAGCAAAUAAGAUCACAAUGCAAAAUGAAAAUUGUUAAAAUGAAACUAAUUAUUUAAAGUUUUAAUUAAAAUUUUGACAAAUUGGUUAGGUGUUGAUUGUUUUUGGCAUGAGGAAAAAAUAAAAUAAAAUGAAAAUUGCAUGGAAAAAAAGAAAAAGACUGAUUGAAAGGGAAGGGGCAAAGUAGUAAAUAGAGAGAGGAAAAAGACAUAUUAAAUAACCACUAUCGUGCUUUUGCAGUUGAAACUGUCAUCUCUUUUAAAGCCAAAAUCUAUUUGGCAUAAGAAAAUGGAGAGAGAGAAAGAGAGAAAGAGAGAGAAUACCAUAAAGAGAAAGAAUGGUCCCACACAAGCCACUGAGCAGAGCUCAUCGGCCUCAGGCCUCUCCUCUCCAAAAGAGAGAGAGAAAGAAUUUAUCUUUCUAAUGGGUUCUCUUCCUUCUCUUUACCCGCUGAUCUGAUUCCUUUUCUUUUUUCUCUCCUUUUUCUUUUCCCUACCCUUCCCUUCCCUUCUCUUAUAUAAUAUUCCCUCUUUGACUUAACUUGUCUCUCUUUCUAUAGAUAUUAUCAUUUGCUUUCUCCUUCUUCCUCUUCUUCUGGGUUUAUAAAGAAAGAGCACCAGUUGUAUUGUUUCUGGGUUUUCUUGCCUCUUGGUACUUUCUCUAUCUUUUCUCUACAUUUUUUUUUGGGAUUUGAGAUUUUUCUAAUUUUGUCAUGUAUCUGUAUCUUUUGUGUAUGAGCUGGAACUGGUAUUUGAUCUGAUUAAAUGUCAUUUUGUAUGAUAUUGGAAUUGUUCAUGUCAAGCCAAAGAAGACAAGUUAAGAUUCCGAUUGCUUAUCACGAGGUUCAUGGGUUUAUAUUUUUUAUUUAUUUGUUUUUUUUUUUUUGGUCGUUUUCAAAGCUGUUUAUCCUUUCAGCUUGUAUUAAUAAAAAAAUAUGCGACCUUUAAGAAAGUCUCUCUUCGUACUGCAGUUUUUUUUUUUUUUCUCUUUUUAAAAUUUUUGUUGUUUAUUAGCCUCUCGUGAAGAUAUUUUUGGCAAGAUUUUCCGUCUUGUAGACGGAAGGAUGUUAGUUUAUGGGCCAAAAGAAAAAAGAAGAAAUCUUGAGUUUGUUCUGGGUAAGCAAAGAGCAUUUGAUCCAUUUCCAAAAAUUUUAUCUUUCAAUCAAAACCUUUUUAGAAUAUAAUUGGUCCUGUUGCAUGAGUUCCCUCGCACCCUUUUGUUCUAUCCCAAUCCAGAUUCUUUACUCAGUCUUGAACUAAAAUGGCGUGGCAGCAUUUCUACAUUAUGCAUAAUUAUCCUUUUUAUUUUGAGUUUGUGUCACAGUGGAGCUUGUAUAUUCUUUCUAUGGCCAUGCCUGAAUUUUUCUUGACGUUUUUUUUUUUUCUUCCAGUCGAUGGUUUGAGAAGAAACAUGUUUGAAUUGACUUCAGCAAGUCUGACCUUUGUCUUGUAGCGAAUAGCGAUCAAGGAAUUGCCAGAAUAGGCAGAGAUAAUGCUUAUAGGGGAACCAAAUCAUGCUUUUUCACACUAUAGCAGGGUGCUAUCGGAAUUCAUAACUAAUUGCAUUGUCCAAACUAUGGGCAUAGUUGUUGGUCAUUUAACACCUAACUAGUAAGUUGGUAAAAGGCAGCAUAGUGAAAAUACAACUUGUUGAGGAAAUGCAAGGAAGAGGAGGUGGUUUCAAUGGCUAAGCACUUGAGAUUGCUCCUGCAUUUGAAAUUGAAGUCUAUGUAUAAAUAGCUUCUCUGGCUUGCUAUUUUGGUGAAUAAUUGGUUCCACUUUGCGUUUAUGUUGGUUUAUUAAAUGCUUUAAAUGGCUGGUAAUCUGCACAUGGUUGGUUGUGCUUAUGUACUAACAUAAUUAAGCAGUUGUACUUUUAUCCUUCAAUUUUUAAAGCAUAACUGAAAAUUCUGGCCCAAACAAGAGAAUGAGGAGGAAAAGGUUAAAAUAGGAAGUUCAUCGUUGAACUGCUAGAUGUUUGCGUUUGUUUGUGGCUUAGGUUUUUAGAACCUUUAUUGCUGUUAAACAAUGUAAUUUAUGCUCUAGAUUUUUUGCUAAAUAGACGAAUUAAAUACUUCUAUACUUGAGCUAAUUUUGAUUAUUCAAAUGCUUGCCUAGCAAUGAUAGUUCAGAAGCUAAUCCUAGAUUGACUAGUUUCCUCACUAUAACUGAUGUUACCUAUUUUACAGCCAGCAACAUUAAGCUUUUCUGGAAUGGAGAAUCAAUUACUGGGAAAAAUCCUUGUGAAACUUGUGGAUUUAAGGAUGCCAGAUGUGAUCUAAUCUGAUGCACUUGUUCAAUUGUAGUAUAGAGAAAAUGAUGAUGCAAGGAGAAUUUGAUAUAAAUCCAGUUCAAAUAUAUACAGAUUCACUUAAAGAAGUUUUAAAGCAGACAAUGAUCAAUCAGGAUGUUGUAUUCAGAAAUCAGGUAUGAUCUCACCCUCGCACUACAAUAUGUUGUUAGCUAGAUUAACACCAUAUGAUUCUUUUGAGUGGGUCAAAUCCUUGGGCUGCUUCUGAAAUAUAUUCCUUAUCUGAUUCCCCGUAACUUGUCUUGACUUCUUAAACAAUGUGGAUGGCUCUUUGAUUAUAUCCACCUAAUAUUGCUCAUCUUAAGGUUAUGCAAAUACAAAAACCAUACCUGUGCCUCUAUCUUCUCAGCCCACCUCUAUAUGCUACUGAAAUUUCUUGAGAUCCAUGAACUCCAGUAGUUCUGGAUUAUACAAUUAUCAGUAAUGAAGGACCUCAGUUCUGAGCACUUACUAUAUUGUUACUAAUAUUUACUUAGGUCCAUGAACUCCAUCGGCUAUACAGUGUACAAGAAUCUCUAAUGAAGGAUUAUGGUUGGAAAGAGUGUAAUGGAUACUGUUCAUGGAAUCCAAAAGCUCAAUCAUCUCUACUUCCUCUUACAAAUCAUACAAGAUACAAAUCACCGGCAAAACAAACCAGAUUCUUAACUACCGAGGUAAGUGAAGUACCAGUUUUGAGAAUGCUAUUACAACUUACAAGUGAUCCUUCUUAAUGCAUUGGGGUAGAGUGUUUUGGGUGCUUUUGUUAUUCUGUUACUUUUUAUUGUCUCUUUUUGUGACUCUGGGGCAUGAGACAUACCAUAUGAUAGUCUAAUCAAGAAGAUCAAUUAAAAGUUGGCAAUACCAGUGAUGGAGACUUUAUUAGAAUUAUAUUUCAAUUUGUUUUUUUGUCCUUGAGAGAACAUGUAAUGUCUGUAUGAUUAAAGAACAGUCAGACAUGAUAUAUCAUAUCAUCUACCAAUGACUUGGUUACAUAAAAUAAGAAUGAUGAUGCCAUGAACUUUAUAGUUUUAAUCGGCUAAGUUUGUCUUUUAGGUGGAUUCAACUCCUCUUCUAAGCCAAGAGGUGUUCAAGGAUUGUGAAGAUGCAUAUUACAAGCUUCAGCAUAGAUCUCUUGAUCUUCAACUUUCUGCUGAUGAAUUCAUUAACAAUGGUGAGGAGAAUAUUCCAAUGAAAGGGAAUGUUCAAAAUUCUUUAGAAGGCCCUGUAGACUUUAAGCUUCCAAUUUUGGGUGAUAACUCUCCAAAUGCAGAGGAAUUGAAGCUUUCCCUUAGCACUGGAGUGGAUAAUAGAACAGUAGGACAUACAACGAGAACAUGUUUCACUAAGAAAUCUUUUUCCUGCUCUCAAAAUGUGAUUGAUUUAGAAGAAUUGAAAGAAAGGAUACUAGAUAGAUAUGUAAAAUGCCCACCACCUCUUGGCCGUGCAUGUCUAGAAGUUCAUUCUAAAGGAAAGCAUGACUCACAAACUUCUGACUUCCCUGGUCCAGACAUUUCAAUCAGUAUAAAGAAAGAUCUUUCUCAUGAGAUUGCAGAAAGUAGCUCUAUUCAAGAAUACAGUGAAUGUUAUCAAGAGCAAACCUUUUCUAACGAGGGUAUAUUAAAUCAUUUUUACAAAACUAAUUAUAUUAUUAUGGGCUUGAUUUGUGCUUGAGGAUUCUCAUCUUGAAAAUUAAAAGAUAUUCUCAUUUAAUGAGUUAGCUCUUUUUGUUUGUUGGUUUCUCAUACAGGAAAUAGAGAGUGCCAUGAUGAUGUCCCAUCUAAUGAUCAUUUCACUGAAAUGCAACAGUUUACUUUAUAUCGAGGCCAGCAGUUUGACCUUAACAAAGUUCAUCUGGAUGAUGACUCUUGUUGCUCAGACGAUCAUAUGCUUGUCUACCCUUCCACAGCAAGCUCAAAAGGCAAUUCUCAUGGACUUGCAGGCAGCAUGCACGAUGGAACUUGUCCAACUGCGUUUCAGGGAAACAAAGUAAAUCAGUUCUCAAAUGGAGUUUCUGCAAUGCUAAAACAAGAUAAUAUUGUAAAUCUUGCUCUUGCAAAUUCCAACCGAGAAAAUAAGUCCGCAGACAAUUGGACCAGAAAUACUGGAAUAAUUAGUAGUCCAGAGUCCAUUAUUAGGACCGCAGUAGACAUUUCUGAAGAUCUUGGUUGCUGCAGUGGUCACAAAAAUGGUAUUGAUGAGCUGAAGUCAAAACUUGCUAGGGAAGUGAGUAGUGAGAAAAGUGAGAUAGAAAAUGCUCUUUUUUCAUGUAAUGAUCAAAGCCAAAAUACAUGUCAAGAUGGACAUGGCAAUAAGUCACCCUCCUCUUGCAAGUCCUACUGCAUCUCUGAUAAUGAUUCAAGCAGUGCAAAGACAAAGUAUUCUGGCAUCACAUCAGGUGUUUUGAAAACCCAAUUAGGAUCUCAAGUUGGUGAUGUGAUAAGUGGAGAGCAUGAUCAAAAAACAUGUGACGGCAUUGACAUUAAAAAUGACUGCUACACCAAGAAAGAAGAAUCAGCUAAUGUAGAUGUUUUGAUAAAAGAAGCAGCUGAAAUGCUCAUACAGAUAUCUGCAAAGUGUUCGGCUAGUCAUCAAUAUUUGUAUGCAAAAGUGGGAUCCAAGCAGAUGGAAGAUGACAAGAGAGAGCAAACACAAUGUUCUUGUGAUUCUUUUGAGUUAAUGACUUUAAACCUAACAGAAAGCAAUCUGGAUGACAAUUCUGUGUCAUCGAAGCCAAUUGAAGUGGAUGACAUAGAGACGAAGGAUUUUGGAUUUAAGUUUAGACGGGGGCGGAGAAUGAAAGAUUUCCAGAAGGAGAUCCUCCCCAGUCUUGCAUCUCUUUCUAGACAUGAAAUUCUUGAAGAUAUAAACAUUAUGGAGGGAGUUCUAAGAUCCCGUGAAUACCGAAAAAUGAGAGCCAAAAUGGCAGCACAUGUUGACAACUGGGUUGCACCAGUGAGAAGUAGACGGUCAAGAACUAGUUAUGCUGGAAGAAGAAAUUUUUCAUGAAUAGUUCAAUUAGAAGUUGAUAAUAGCAUUAUAACCGAACUUAAACCCACUCUUGGUUCAACAUACCAUCACUACAUAGUGGUUGGUAUCCCCAGAUUUAGAAAUUACAGUCAAUUACUUUCAGAAAGAUCAUUGGUUAUUUUGUUUUCAUUCUUGCAAGAGCAAUCUUUCUUCCGACCUUCGUUGCACCACUUAUUUUGAGGCUGGAUGGUGCUUUUACAAUUUUGUUCUUUUUGUCUGUGUUAUCUGGGAUUAAAAAAAAAAAAAAAAAAUCAGAAUCUCCCUUUCUCAUGAUGACUUGCUUCUUCACUGAUGGCAAACAAAGUUAUUAAGUGAAUCGAAGUGUUAAUGUUGUGCCUGUAUAAAUGAUAAUGCAACAAGUUUAAUGAUCUUUAGCUUCUAUAUACAUUUUCACGGUUCUAAUCUUCUCCAAUAUCUUUAAUGGAAUGCACAAACUUUGAGACCACUCACCCAUUUAUUUUUAUAGCAUGUUAUGAUCUAAAAAGUUGUCACAAAAACCUCUAUGUUUCACUGUUUAGAGUCUAAUACAGAUUAAGAUUGGAGUAUCAAGUUGGUAUUUUCUCCUUAUAUACACAUAUUUCUAGGUUUGGUUAGAGCAGCAGGAAACAAGGGGCAUAGUGGGGGUCCAUUUGCAAUUCUUUUCAAUAAGCCACAUGCCAAAUCUCAUUUUCAACUUUGCUUCCAUUCUCAGAAACACAAGGAAAGUAUCUCCGCAACUUUCAUCAGAUUUUCAAAAGAAAACUUCUUAGUUGAAGAAUGUUUGGAAUUUUCUGAUGUUUUGUGGUGUUAAAAGAAUAGCAAAUGAAUAUUUUUCUCGUUGAAGGAAAAAUUAGACUAUUUCAAAGAAAAACGAUUUCUUAUUCAAAAAAAGGAAAACUUUUUUCGGAUAAUGAUAUACUUAAUACAGACUUAAAAUACAUUUAUUUAAGCUAUUGAUCAUUAACGGUCACUGGAUAUCAUCGAGAAAGCAAAUUGUUUUUGAAUUAUCAAAGUCCAAAGGUAAUUCUAGAUGUGUAAGAUGAUGAUAACACAUAUUAUAGGUAAGAUUGCUAUGACAGAUGUGUUUUCUUCUCUUUGAUUUUCUUUAGUGUGAUAAGCACAGGGAAAAUAAACAAAUGCAAGCAAUAUGAAGAGUGGAGGCAAAGCCACUAAAAGCCACCCUUUGGGAACAAGCAUGCUUCAAUAAUGAAUCCAAAAGGCAUAAAAAUGCAAAAUGGUCCAAGUUCUUGAGUGAAAGAAACUGCUUUCAAAUCAAAUUAUGGUUGGCUGGUUUCUUAUAGUGGAUUAGAUAUUCAUGGGCAAGUGGAGCUCAGAUGAUGCCACAUGCAGCCAAAUUCUUCACCUAAAUCUUUGAAUAUUUAUGCACUUGCACAUACCCCACCACUUUUACAGUGGGAUAAUCUAAAUAUUAAAAAGUGAAAGGUUUUUCAUUUAAAAAACAAAAUACUAAACUUGUCUUCCCCUUAGAAAAAUUAGAAACUGCAAUUGCCUAGGCACAUUCUGCAAGCAGUCCCUAUAUACACAAGAGUCCUAUGAUAACUUUUAUAGAGUUAACAAGUUUUUCUUUUUUCUUUUUUAUGAAACCCUUUUCUUGAUAUUUUCUUUUUCAUGUUUUCUUGAAUCCUUCUCCUUUUUUUUUAAAUGACACUACUGCAACUUGCAGCAUGAUAUUUUACAGCCACCUUUGUUUCUACUCCACCAUUCUUAUUCAUCCAUCUGUUGUGUAAUCUAAGCCUGUUGGAUCAGUAACAGGCAGUGGUUACUCUCGCCAUGAAAGAAGGUGCAGGUGUAUGUGCUUCAGUUAAUGAGGCUGCACAAAGUAGUUUCAGGCAAGCUCACCAUUUAUUCAGUUGUAUUUCUGAUCAUAAAAACCAAAAAAGAAGCAUUCAAGAAGUGAGUCUGAUUGCUCAAGGUGCAAUAAAAGAAUUCAAUAAUCUACUCACUCUUCUUGAUGAAUCAACAAAGUCUAAUCCUAAAAGAAUUAGGAAAGGUCCUUUGCCACUUUUCCAAUAUGACAUUAACCCACUUGUAUUCAUGGAUAAUAGUCUUAGUCAACAACCUCAGAAAGUCAAACAGCUGUUCCCUUUUCACAGUCUUCAUCAAUCAACCAAUUCAAUGAUGAUCCCUACAAAUAGUUCCAAGAACAGAAGUCUUAAGCCAAAAAGCUCUUCUUUUUUAAGCUUGGAAUAUGGAAAUGUCGUGCACAAGCCAUUUGUACUUCAUUGCUCAUCAUCUGAAACCAGUGCGUUCUCCAAAAGCAAGAAUGGGAGGAAGAGUGAAGAGGCAGGAACUAGGUGCCUAGCCUCAACUGGUGGAUGUCACUGUUCAAAGCGAAGGUAAAUAAAAUUAAUGGUAAUUAAUGGAUGUUUUCAUGUUUCUUAAUUUAUUUCGUUCUUGAAUUAUUAUAUUAACAGGAAACUGAGAAUCAAGAAAAUAGUUCAAGUGCCAGCUUUAAGUGGCAAGUUAGCUGAUAUACCACCAGAUGAUUAUACUUGGAGAAAAUAUGGACAGAAACCCAUAAAGGGAUCUCCUUAUCCCAGGUAUAUUUCAUUCUUAGUACCUCGUGUGAAUUAAUUAAAAUGGAGGGAUGAGCUUAAUUUCCAAAAUAAACAAGUAAUUAAUUUUUAUUUUUAUUUUUAUUUUUAAUAUGAAAGGAGCUAUUACAAAUGUAGCAGCAUGAGGGGUUGCCCUGCAAGAAAGCAUGUGGAAAGAUGUUUACAGGAUCCUAGUAUGUUACUUGUAACCUAUGAAGGGGACCAUAGUCACUCCAACCUUACAUUUCAAUCACCUAACAUCAUUCUUCAGGUUUAAUAACAAACUCAAAGGAAAAGCAGAAAUAGAAACCUUUUCUAUCAGUUUAUCAUGUUAGUCAAUCCUUUCUUAUUUUCAUCUUGAGAAAAAAAAAAUAAAUGCUUCUCUCUUUUAUAUAAAAAAAAUAACAAUAUAAUUUUUUUUAAGCAUACAAUAAUAACAAAAUUUGCAUGUGCAAGUACAAGUGUGUAUAUGUUGUUCUAGCAGUGCGCUAAAUCAAUUCUAAUUUGCUAUUCUAAGUUAUAUUGAUAUACUCAGAUGUAUGAUGUACUCCAUUAUUCUAAGUUAUAUUGAAAUAGAAAUUAUAAUUAUCUAUUAUUAAUUUUGACAAUUAAUUAAUUGUAUAUUAGAGUUUAUGAGUUUCAAGACUAAUUGAUAAAAAAAAAAAAUGACACUAAUUAUUUUUCAACAUGAAUAAUCAACCAACACCAAUGUUAAAUAUUAACUACCUUGAAUUAGUAUCGAAAAUUACAUGCAAAAGUUUGGGCUUUAGGCCCAACCUGAAAAAUUAUAUGAAGCAAUCUUUAUACUUUCCUUUUUGGGCUCAUUGAUCCACAUGAAGUAGUAAUUGUUUACAAGUCUUCUUAUCUUGUUGUAGGGGUUGGGUUUGCCAUUUCAACGACUUGUUGUUUUUUCUAGCCAUUGGAUACUCUUAAAUUAAUUUCAAGAAUCUGAAAUUUCAAUAUUUUUUUACUACUCAUAUUAUUGUUUAUAAGAUCCUCUUAUCAUUAUGGACUAACAAUUAAAUUUUUUUUUUUUUUUAAAUGGGAAAAUAUGUUUAAUGAACACACAUGAUAUAUCUAAAUUUUGAUGCCUGAAGGGGGCUUAUAUGACUAUGAGUCCCAUAACCAAUACAACUAUCCAAGGUGUUGUCUAAAGCUAAACCCCAACAUUUGUUUUUUUUUUUUUUUAAAUGGGAAAAUAUGUUUAAUGAACACACAUGAUAUAUCUAAAUUUUGAUGCCUGAAGGGGGCUUAUAUGACUAUGAGUCCCAUAACCAAUACAACUAUCCAAGGUGUUGUCUAAAGCUAAACCCCAACAUUUGUUUUUUUUUUUUUUUAAAUGGGAAAAUAUGUUUAAUGAACACACAUGAUAUAUCUAAAUUUUGAUGCCUGAAGGGGGCUUAUAUGACUAUGAGUCCCAUAACCAAUACAACUAUCCAAGGUGUUGUCUAAAGCUAAACCCCAACAUUUGUUUUUUUUUUUUUUUAAAUGGGAAAAUAUGUUUAAUGAACACACAUGAUAUAUCUAAAUUUUGAUGCCUGAAGGGGGCUUAUAUGACUAUGAGUCCCAUAACCAAUACAACUAUCCAAGGUGUUGUCUAAAGCUAAACCCCAACAUUUGUUUUUUUUUUUUUUUAAAUGGGAAAAUAUGUUUAAUGAACACACAUGAUAUAUCUAAAUUUUGAUGCCUGAAGGGGGCUUAUAUGACUAUGAGUCCCAUAACCAAUACAACUAUCCAAGGUGUUGUCUAAAGCUAAACCCCAACAUUUGUUUUUUUUUUUUUUUUUAAGUGAGAAAAUAUGUUUAAUGAACACACAUGAUAUAUCUAAAUUUUGAUGCAUGAAGUGGGUUUAUAUGACUAUGAGUACCAUAACCAAUACAACUAUACAAGGUGUUGUCUAAAGCUAAGUACCAUCAUUUGUUUUUUUUUUUUUUUUUCUCAACCACUAGUGAUGCUUUGCUAGCUUGGUGGUAGGCCCAAAAAUACAUAUCAUAGUCUUUCAAAUCUUUUCAUGGAGUAGCUAAUGAGGAUGGUACAAUAUAAAAUAUAUUGUACAGUAUAAUAUAUAAUUGUUGUCCUUUGUCCAUCUCCACAUCAUCCUUAGUGGAUAUAAUGAAUAAAAAUGAAAUUGAAAAUUAAGGUUUAUUCUUUGAAAGUAGGUAAUGUUUUUGAAGAUCUUCAAUUGGGAAUUUAUAGCAGCGAUCCCAAGUUAAUGCAUAGACAAGUAAAAUAUAAUGGUAAUGAAACUCCAUUAGGGUUCCUCCUUAACAAUCAUAACUCCUUAGACAGAUUUUGUUAAAAAAGAAAAAGAAAGGAAAAAAAAAAUAUUUGGUCCAUAAUCUCUGCCCUAAUGUUCAAUGAUUCAUCAUUUAGCAGUAAACUUUUAUUUAAAAAUAGAAUAGUAUGUCUCCCGAUCAUUUUUGUCUUAGAAAUAAAGUACCUUUGUCUCCACAGUUUAUUAAUUAUAUUUAAUAUUGAAGUCACUACUUUCUCCUCACACACUUGUUCUUGGAAGAUGAAUUAAUUAAUUAAUUAAAUUAUCUUAAUUACUUCAUAAUAAUAAUAAUAAUAAUAAUAAUAGCAAUUAAUUAACAAUUUGAUGACAUGACAAAACAACUAUAUAUUUAAUGAUCUAUCAUAACAAAGGGUAUGGUUGGUUAUUGUCAAAUGAUUAUGAGAUUACUGAAAUCACGGGCCAUUUAAAAAAUAAUUAGAUCAAUUAACUGAAUCAACAAAUUGACUUCCUUCUCCUCCCCUCUCUCUCUCUUUUUUUCCCAAGAUAAAUUGGAUUUCAAAUCUUUAAUUCACUUUAACUUGUAAAAUUAUACUUAUUAAAUAUUUUAACUUAUAUAAUCACUCUGCUGAAUAACUCAAUUCAUAAAACACAACCAUCUCUGGAUUUAAAAUAGAAACAUUUUCAUGUGAGUUUUAAUUUCGACAUUUCAUCUCAAGAUUUUCAUCCAACUAUUAGUCUAUUACGCGUGUCUUCUUGUUCUAAUUUUUAAAAUAAAUAUAUUUUUUUUAUUAAUUAAAUUAUUAUUUCAAUUCAUUCUCUUGAUAAAGGAUAUAUUUGAUAAAAUUAAUUAUUUUAAUAACAUUUAGUUGAUGGUCGUUUUAAUAGUUUUUUAUAAAAAGUUAAAAGCUAAAUAUUAUAAGGAUUAACUUUUAUAAAAUACCACAUUAUCCGUUAAAAGCUAGUUGAAACACAAUAUUAUUAAAGAUCAUUAGAAAUAAAAUUUAACAUUUUCAUGAGUGAAAAUGCUAAAACUAAGUAAGCUGUGUUGAGGAACGCAGCAUCCGAAGUAGUAUAAUCUUUCUACUGUAAAAUUUUCAAGAAAAUGGUGGAAGAAUGGAGAGAGACUAUUAUUUUCUUGGAUGGAUGUCGUAAAAAGCCAGCAAAUGAAUUUACUUGUGUCAGGUUUCAGGGGUCUUGGCUUGCCAAUUGCCAAUUGCCAAUUGCCAACAACCUUAUCAUCUGAGCUAUGUGUACAAAACCUAACAUGAAAUGGGAUACAACAAGUUCAAAGAAAGCUAACGCACCAAUCAUUUUCAGGAGCUUUGUCCUAGAAAUGAAGUACAAAAUUAAAAUUUUUUCUCAUGUAAACAGCAAAAUUGGAAAAGAAAAAUUAUAAAAAGGACUUUUGCCAUCAUUUGAGACUGUCUUCCAAUUUCUUUUGUCACAGAGGGGAAAAUAAUUAAUGAUCCAAUGACCAAAAGACUCAUUAAUGGGAAAACAAUCAGAGAAUUUACGUUUAAAUCUUUAAAUAGAAAUGUAAUCAUCAACCAUUCAUAUUUAUGUUGAAAAGUUGGAUCAAUUAAGUCAACUCCCACUUUAUUAAAAUUCUCAAUAAUCUAUUAUUGUCAGAUUUUACACUACUAAAUUAUGCUUUAAUAUAAAUUGUUAAUUAAUACACUAUUAAACAAAAAUAAAACUUAAUCAUUCAAUUAUUAGCCAGAUAAUUUUUUUAUUAGCAUAUGCAUCGAUUAGAAUAUUCAAUUUGAAGUAGUUGUUUCUUAUAAAUCUAGAAAUCACUUAAAGAGUUGGAAAUCUUUUUCAAUAUUUAUUUAUUGUUUGGUUGAAAAAUGAAAAUUAUUUCAAGUUGUGAGUUGUGUGAAUGAACAUAUAAAAUGGAGAGGCAUUGUGAGCUGUGAAUGCAUGCAAAGCAAUCUCCAAUUUCCAUCUGUCAAUAGUGAAGAUUAGGGAUAGGGCCAUAGGGGAGCUCACAAUUACUGUUAUUACUUGUAUGCAUAUAUACCUAAAUCCUAAUUUAUUGGACCACUUAAUAAAUGUGUGACAAAUGUAAGUCCACGAUGUUUUUGUCAGCAUAUGAGAGACACUAUUAUCUUUCUCAAAAAACACAACCGUCUUUGUCCAUAGAAGAUCUCCAAAUAUGAGUGAGGCUUUCUCUGCUAGAUAGGGACAUUAGCCCUGCGCAACCCAGCUACUUCCAUCCAAAUGGCUGCUUUUCCCUUCUAACCUUGUCCAUGCCAAGCUCAAGCUGCAAGGAAUAUAUUUCAGAUAUAUAAUUUAUUUAAAAAAAAAAAUUAAGUUUUCAGAUUUAUUUUAACAAAAUGUCUUAAUAAAAAUACUAAUUUUUCUUAUUUCUGACUAUGUUAACACAUGUAAAAGAAAAUUAAUAAGAAAAUUAGUGAUCUAUUUUUUUUUUUAAUUUAAACACGUAGCUCAUUUUCACUCAGUGAUCUAGUCGAUGAAAUUAAACAGCAAAAAAAGUCAAUUCAGUGAUCUAAUAUUAAUUAUUAUUUUUUUCUGGUAUUUAGUAGACAAAGAGGUCCAAAUUAAUCUAGAAACUACCUUAAUUCUAUGUGUUCUAGAAUAAAACUAAUAUGAAGUAGUUGAACAAUACAUUGACAUUGUUUGUGUAUAUUAGAAAUUCAUUUCAGACGGUUGAAAAAUCAAAAUCUAAGCUCAUUAAACAACAAAUGCUUAAGCAUUAAUUGAUUUUUUAUUUUCCCAAAAAAAAAAAAAAAAAAAGACAAAAGAAGGCAAAAAAGAGGUGCAUUUGGUGGUGGUGCUGCCCAUAGAUAUUUGUAUUGAUGGAUGGAGAAAGUGGGGACAACCAGAUCUCUCGGCUAUCUUCCAUGAGAUACCCCAUUCAAGUACCAGACCUCCACUUCUGCCCAAUUAGCUUUUAGGGUACUCUACCCUACAUCUUACUAUUACUACUACCCUACUAUGCUCUACAGCUCUCCUACCACUACAGGGAUUUGGACUUAGGGCUGUUCGCGGUUUGGUUUUUAAAUAAAAAUUAAAUCUAUUUCAAAUUAAACUGAAUGGAACAAAAAAGAGAGAAUCAGAAUCCAUACCAAAUCUCUGAAUCACAAUCCAUAUUAAAAAUUUCUGAGUUGAAAUUAAUGAUUUGAUUCUACUUUAAAAUCUUUUUUUUUUGGUUUUACCUUUAUUUUGCAAAUCAACGAAAAUCAACUUCACGAAAAUUCUUGCAUUCAAAAAGUAAAAUUUUUACACUCUAAAAUUUUAUAAAAUUUUGAUUAAUUUUUCCUAGUUUCCCAUAUCAAUACUUGAAAAAAAAAAAGAAGAUAAAAGAUUGUACAAAUACAAAAGUUUUGAAUUCUGAAAGAUGAUUAUCAAAAAAUUAGUUUUCAUAAAUUGAGAAGCAUUGUCGAUGAUCACAAAAGGGAUGGAGAAAAUUCUCAAACAUGAGAAUAAAAUAAAAUAAAGAAAUAGAAAUAUAGGAGAUUGACAAACAGAAGCUUGUCGGUUGAGAGUUGGGAACAAAGGUACUCUAAAAUUUUUAACUCUAUAAAUAGUCCCUACCAAUUCCUUCUUCAUAUAUAUAUAUAUAUAUAUAUAUAUGCUUGAAAAAGAAACAUAGAAACAGAAGCUGUGCCGUCACUCCAGACAAAUUAAAUUAAUAUCAAAUUGGUGACACCAAUAUCAUUAAAUAUUUAAAUAAAAAUGUAAGUUUAUAAGGAACAAAAAUAAAUUCACUAAAAAAAUGAAAAUGAAAAUGAAAAUGGUAUAUUUGAUAUUUUGAAAAGAAUUUGACAUAUGUUUAAUUUUUUUUUUUUUUAAAUUUUGCUUAUAUUGAUAUAUUUGUAUUUUAGAAGAGUGUAGUUUUAAAUAUUAUUAUUAUAAUGUUUUUAUUGUAACGAACCCUAUCCUUACAGUACCUCUUAUAAGACAAAACGAAGGGUAAUACCGGUCAUUUAAAUAUGGGUCCACUGAUUAACGUUCUGUCUACGGUUAGACGACGAGAAGAUCUAGAACGUACAAACGUUAAAAGUUGACAAAGUAUCAUCAAAAUGGUUCACACAAACCCCAAUCACGCCCUAUAUUUUCCUGCCACGUCAGAACCCCAAAGAUGACCAGUAGGGUCAAUGCGUAUGAACCCACUUGCCUCUCCUGUCCCACUCUCUCUCUCUCUCUCUCUCUGGACUCUUCCCUAAAGGCAUUCUAUUAAGGAAUGACAUUGGGUUGGUAUCUGAAUUAGAUUUUGAUAAGGAUUUAGGUACUUAAACUUGUUAAAAAAUUUAUUUUUAUUACCUAAACCCAUUUAAAUAUCAGUCUAACACUAAAAAAAAAUUGCUUUCAUUUUCAAAAUAAAAAUCAUAUAUUCCCGUUUUUGUUGAAAAAAGUAAACAACGCAUUUUUUAUAUUUAUAUUACAUAAGCUCUUAUUACAUUUUCAGCAAUACACCAUAACUAAAUAACUGAAAAGAAACAACUAAAAAUAUGUUUUGCAUUUGUCGUGAUUAGUCCGGUUGAUAAAGGAAGACUCUCGCAUACGAUGAGAACGAAAAGUCCUACUUCUAUAGAUAAAAAUUUUAUUGUCGAUAGUACUCUGGAAAUAUUAAUUUUAUUUUCAAAUGUAGGAAAAAUUACAGUACGAUCUCUGUAGUUUGCGAAAUACAAUUAGUUAUUUCAUAUCUUUUAGAAAAUAGACUAAAAUAUCCUUAUAGCUUACAUUCGUUAAAUUAUAAGGACAUUUAUUCAAUUUUUACAUCUUUUCUACUAAGUAUCUUAUGAAAUGAUAAAAAUAUCAUUUUUGUAUUUUUCAAACCUUAGGAACUGCAUUGCAAUUUUUUUGAUAUAAUAUUUUAUUAUCUCUCAUUUGACCAUUGUCUUUUCUCGUUGAUUUAAUGGAAAAAAUUGUAAAAACUGGAUAAAAUGAUCUAAUAGUAUAAUAGAAACAAAAUAUAAAGACAAAUUAGUGUAUUUUUUUAAAAAAUAGAAAUAAAUUAAUUGUAUCCGCAAACUAUAGAUAUAUACUGUAAGUUUCCCUUAAAUGUAUUUUGGUAAUGUAGAAAAAUGCACUUUUGAUCAUUUAAAAAAUAGAUAUAAUGUAAUAAAGUUAAUCCGAAAAUACAUAAAGAAAGAAAGGAAGGAAGAAGAAUUCGUAAAAUAUUAUUAUGAGGAUUAAAAUUCAAUUUGUCCUUUGAAUUUGUUAUUAAAUUAGACUUUCAAGACAAAUUACAAGUUGAAAGAGUAAUUUAAAUUAAAGAAUAAUUUUAUACUUCCUCCGUCCUUAAUGUUUGUCAUGUUGACUUUUGUACAAAGUAAGUAACACAUUAAUUAUAAUGUCCAUCAUACAAAAUAUAAAUAUUUUUUCAAAAUUGUCAUCCUUUAAAAAAAAAAACUCAUAAAACAAUUUAUAACGAGGAGUAUAAAAGAAAGGUAAAUAUCUUUUAAGUCAAGUGAACAAAUAUUUUGAGACAUCCAAUAAUGAAAAUAUCCGCAAACAUUAUGUUAUGGAGAGUGAUUUUUUUUUUUUUUUUUUCUUAUCAUGACAUGGAGUACUUCCAAGCUACAUUUUCUUUGCAGUGCAAGUCAAGACUCGAGACAUAAUUACUUAUCAUGAAUGUAUGAAGGAAUUUGCUAGUAUAUGAAGCUUCAACGGUGCAAUUGGAUCCCACAAGGUGUUGUUUAGCCACGAGGUUUUAAAAAAUGGGAAUGAUGUAUUUUGAUAAAUCUCAGGAUUUCUAUUUCUGUGUUUGGAUGGAGGAGAAAAAGAAAAAAAAAAAAAAAGAAAGAUUAUAUAACAAUUUCAAUAAUUAUAUAUAUUAGAGUUCUCAAUAAGAACUUGUUUCUAAAAUUAAGGAUUCAAAAAUAUGAUGAAUGAAUUUAUACACUUAUAUAAUUUUAAAUAACUGAAAAUAUUUUUUAUUUGCAUUUUAUAGAUAAUUCUUUUAUUAAUCACAUCGAUUCAUUAAAUUGAUAAAAACACUUGUAGUCGGAAUACAUAAAUUUGAGACCUCCUUUGAGAAGACUAACCACAUCGCAUUCAAUGGGCUCUAAUUAAAGAAUCUUUUAUUUCCUUAGAAAUACAAUAAAAUUGGGAAGAGCUACCAUGAAAUUAACAUUAAUUAAUCCUGCAUAAAAGACAUAAUAUCACCACAAAUUGCAAAUUGAGUCUGGAUGUUGAAAUUUUCUUCAAUUUAUCCACUGAGUUUGACCACUAAACAACCCUAGCUCUGCCAGAAGCCCUAAUUUAUUAUGAUAGCUAUUACCAAUAAUUGAUGAAAAGUUAUGCCUAUUUUUUCAAGUUUCAUAGAUAUGGUCUAUGGGGCUCCAUAUAUUUCACUGUCUAAAAUUAAUUUACGAAAAAAUUUUUUUUGAUAUUAUAUAUUAUUUAGUGAAUGGUAGGCAAUUAGUCCAUAAACAUGCAUGUAUAAACAAAAAUAAUUAGGAAAGUGAAAUGUCUUAUUGUUAGAUCUAUCAAGAAAUGAUAUUUCAUCUAAUACAAAAAAGGAAUGUUCUCAUGAAUAAUAUGGUUUGAAGGAUAAUAUUUUUCACAGAUGACAUAAUAUUUGUUUUGACAUUAACCUUUUUUAUUAGAAUUAAUCUCACAUAUAUAUAACAAUUUUCAAAAUUAAAAAUUUUAAAUAACUAAUAAAUAAAAAUAUUAAUUAAAAAAAAUUUAUUCGAUACAUGGAAAGCGCAAUAGAUGGUAAUAAUAUUAUGAAGUUAUUGUAAACAUUUGUUAAUUGGUUAUUGUGUAACAAGGCUAAUAAAAGAGAAGAAUUAUUUUUUAUAAGGUAAUAGCUUCGGAUAAAAUUGAAAGAUUUUAAAGAUUAAAUAGCUUAUAUGGAAAUUACAGUGAUUUUCACCACUCGAAAAGCGCGCGAAAAUUCCCAAAGCCAGACCGCACGGCUUCUUAUUGAGAAACCGAAUAUACUGUUUCAAAGAAGUACGGAAUGGAUUAAAAAAACUCCAUUACUCAGCACCUAUCACACCUGCCUUAUUUAUAAUUUUAAAUAUGAUAAAUAUUAUGAAUAAUACUGAAUAUCUAAUUUACUUUAAUUUUAAAAUUUAAAAUGGAAUAGUUCAUCCGUUUAUUCAUUUUUCAUCUGAAAUUUAAACUUGAAGUUUUAUCUACUUACAUUAUUUUUUCAAAAGCAGAUAAAGUGUUUUUAUUUUGAAUUUAUCACUGAUAUUUAUUAUUUCUUUAAAAAUAAAAUCCGUUAUUUUAUAAACAAAAAAAUUUUAUUUAAAAUUAACAAAAAGUUAAUUAUACUUCUCGAAGAAAAAAUAAAAUUAGUUUUAAAUUAAAUUAAAUUAUGUAAUAAAAAUUUAAGGAUUAAAUUAUACAAUAAAAAUUUAAGGAUUAAAUUUAGGAUUAUCCAAAAGUUUAAAAACACAAGUAAAAAAACUAAGUGGAAUCACGAGGCUGUCUAUUUUAACACACACUCUGUUUCUCUUUCUCUUUUUACUUAUCGAAAAGAUUUCAUUUCCUCUCUCCCUGUCCUUUCUUUCUCUCUUUCUUGUGCAGAGAGCCCCUCUCUUUCUCUUUCUCUCACACCAAAUCAAAAACACUACUUCUCUCUAUAUAUACGUCACUUUCUCUCUCUUUAUGCGUCUCCCUCUUCUUUCUCUUUUUUUUUUUCCCUCUCUCUCUCUCCUCAGUUUUAGCUUUUCUUAUUUGAACUGAGGAAUAACUACAGAGGAGACGAGUAAAGAGGAGAGACCGAGAGAGAGAAAGAAAGUCUUUUUCCAUCUACUUUGUUGCUCUCUAUUAUAUAAACAACAUAGAUACAUAAUUAGAUACACAAACAGAUACAAUGUCGGCUUACAGAGAUGAAGAUCCUCGUAUCCAUGGCAUCCAAACUAAGAUUCGCGUUGUCCCCAAUUUCCCCAAAGAAGGUUUCUUUUGCCUUUUGGUUUCUCCCCUUUUAUCUUUUUCCCCUCUUGAUCAUUUUCUCAUUUUCUUUUUACUCUUUGGUUUGUUCUGUUUGGCUGAAAAUAAUGCAGGCAAGAAAGUGAGAAAUACACUGACUUUUCUUCUCUCUUAUGAUCUCAGGGCAAAAAACAAGUCUUUAAGACUACUGGGUUUUCCAUAUCUUCAAAAAAUAGAAACCACAAGCUCUAUUUUAUGCAAAAUUUUGUCUACCUUUUUCUGAUAACGUUUUAUCACAAAAUGCUUUGAUUCUAUGAACUGGGAUUUUUUUUUUUUUUGUCGUUUCGUUUGCUGCCCAACCGUUUCUUGUGGUUAUUGACAGAAAAAGUCGGGUUUUUUAAAGAAAAUUUCUUGACGGGUCAUUAUGGCAUUUGGCAGGUAUCAUGUUUCAGGAUAUCACAACUCUAUUAUUGGAUCCUAAAGCGUUCAAGGAUACCAUUGAUUUGUUCGUUGAGCGGUACAAAGGGAAAAACAUUUCAGUUGUUGCAGGUAGGCAACACAAGAAAGCUCCAUUUCUUCUUUUUAGUGUUUUUCCUUUUCUUUUCCCUUUCAAGGUUCCAUUUUUUUUUUUUUUUUUGAGGUGUUAAAGACUUGAUUUAUCAUCUAAGGCUUUUAAAUAACUUUUUACCUCUCUCAUUUGGGGUUGAAGGUGGUGGGGUCCUUUUGCUUACAGAGCAAAAAUGCACCAUUGCAUAAGUUUCUGGUUGCCUUUUUCAUGGAUGCUUUUUUAAGGACAUUUAUGCCAAUUGGAAGUGACUGUGCAUGUGUGUGAUGUGUCUCUUUGUUUGUGGUUUCUUUAUUAAUAUGUUUUCCUUUUCUGUUUUCCCGAUUGGGGUUGGGGUGUUAGGGAGUGAUCGAUUUCUCGUUUGACUAUUGGCCUUUGUUAGUGGAUGUGCCAUCGAUUGCUCCCUCUGUUCAAUUUUCUCUUUGAGCGGCUAUCGUUUGCUUUCUCUUUCUCUCCCUCUCUCUCUCGUUGCUGUUGUUGGCAUUGUGGGCAUGUGCUGGGAUCUGAUUUGGGUGAAUUUAAGGUGGUUGGGGAUGGAUGCCCACCCUGUUGAAAAGGAGGUGGACCCAUAUGAUGCUAGUUACCAUUGGGCCUGUUUGUUUUGGCUCUAUUGUAAUUUGGUUUUUAUACCAUGCUUGAUAUUUCUACUCUAUUGUAUCAUGCGUUUUCUGUUUCCUCCUCUUAUAUGGCUGUGUCAAACUGAGUGAUAAUAAGCACUUUUAGCUGAUGAAUUAUGUUCACUAUACCAUGGGUUUUGAUUUUUCUUUUUCUUUAUCCGUCGAUUGGUAAUUUUGUACGAUUGCUUGUAUCCCUGUGUAGUCAACCCCCUCAUAUUCAUGAACAAAUUUGAUUGCAUGAAUUGCAAUUUCGCAUUACAUGUUAGUUAACAGAAAAAAAAAAUACUGUAUUAAAUGACUACAAAUGAUGGGUUAUUGGCAUUCACAAGAAGUAGCAAAACUCCAAAUAUAGUGAGUGGUAUUGCUCCCACAAACGUGUGCAGAGGUGAAUAGUUUCCGUGAUCUCAUCAUUAUAGUGGCCUUUGGUCUUCAUUUUAAUUAUAUUUUUGGAUCACAAAGGAUUUGGUCAACAUUUAAUAUGUAUAUGUUUUGUCCUAAUGUGUGGCUUUAGAAUCUGUCUCUUUAUGUGCUCAUCUGGACGUCUGUUGUCUUCUUGUGUUCAUGUUUAAAACAUACGUGGAAUCUUCUCUUCAAAUUAUAGUCCCACAUGGAAAAGUUGUGGCCUUUUCCUCUGUGCGAUAAAGAUAUCUCUGCAUCUUCUUAUCCUUUGUCUGUCCAGCUGAUGUUAUCCAUUGGAUUAGGUCCAGAGCAUGUGCUGAUAGGGUUGGUCAUUAGAAGCCCUAGAUUGGUGAAUGAAUUAUAGGUGCAUGUCUUGCGCUCAAUCAUAAUGGAAGCUUAAUCCUGCCCGUUAAGCUUAAAAUAUCAUUCGACGUGAUGUUUUUGUCUUUUGCAAUGUAUAUUUUACUACAUAACUAGAAAUUUGAAGUACAUUAGAAUCUUCUCUUUAAUAUUCUAUGCUGAAGUUACUGUUGUACAUUUGUUUGUAACUAGUGUAGCUCUUGAAAACUAGGUUUAGAUUUUCUUAAUCUAUUAGUCGGCUAUGCCAGCACUGGUUUCCUUGGACUGCCAUGAAAUUUUAAUUGGUUAUAUCUCUAGUGUUUCAACUUUGCACUUAUUGUAGAGGCCAUUAAUAUUAUGUGAUGAUAAACUGCUUUGCUUUGAUGUUUUGUGUAAAUUUGGUGGUGGAAAUUGAAUUUUGUCUGAAUAAAGUGACAAAGCUCUAGUUUAAUCUCUGGUUCCUGAUUUUUAUCCUGAAACGAGGGCGUUGUGAACAUUUUCACUAUUUGCUAGGCAUUAAAAUUUUUCAAAAUAUUCUACAAGUUCUGCACUUUGAUAUUUUAUAUAUUCAACUAUAACUUUAGGUUGGUUUCUGAUGCUUUUUCAUAAAUUUCUUGUGUUUUUUCAUGGCUAUUGCAUUCUAGGUGGUUUGUGAGUGAGUCUAAUGCCUCUUUAGUGUAUCAAUAUUUUGCCAUUUGAUCUAAUUUCUCUCUAAUAACUAUUGAUUUUGAAGUAGUUAAUUUGUCAAUGCGACUGCUUUAGCUAGCAGCUGAAUGGUGCCUUCUGAUGUUAUAGCAGUGGUGGUGAUUCAUGAAAUUAUGAAAUCUUUAGCUCUCACUUUUUUCUUUCUUUGAUUGGGAACUGGCGGAGAUUCAAGCAUACCUCGUGUUUAUUUUUGUCCAAUGUUGGUAUGGCAUUUUUUUGUUUUUGCCAGCCAUGUAGAGUCUCACACUGUCACCAUAAUUAGUUUCAUUAAUUUGUUACUUUGCUUUUGAAGUUUAUACUACUUAUUGCAAGUUAUGACACCAUCCCUUCCUUGCGAAGGGGAACAAUAUCAAUCUUUAAACGAGAGUAUGGAACUUCAUUAACAGGUUCAGACAAUUGGAGUUCAUCUGUUUUGAUGCCUUGUUUUGCUUUUAGCUAAAUGUUACAGUUAAAUGUUUAAGCAAUUAAGAAAGUCUUUUGAAGUAUUUUGUAUUAUAUAUUUCUGAAAUACAAGGGUUUUGUUUUCCAGGAAUAGAGGCAAGAGGGUUUAUUUUUGGACCUCCUAUUGCAUUGGCAAUUGGAGCAAAGUUUGUUCCAUUGAGAAAACCAAAGAAAUUACCUGGUACUUCUUCAUCUCUUUGCAUUAAUUUAUCUAUUUUCAGCUCUCAAAAUUAGCUGUCCCUAUGAUAUAUCCAUUAUAUGAUGGUAUGAUCCCUUUCUGUGUUUGUAAUUCAUCUCCAUAAGCUUCUAUAAUUUCAGACCACUAUGACUUGAACUGCAUUGUUUUGGCCCAAAGUCUUUGUAGUUGCCCGUUCGGCAAACGGAUUUGUUAUAUCUGACAUGCUUUUAUCUUGGUUUGAUAGUGGUAAGACACAGCUAAAUUGCAAUUUAAAGUACUCUGAGUUUGUACUUUUAGCAAAUAAAUAAUGGAAUACUUAAUUGUGCUGAUUAUGCCUGUGGCAUUCAAAUGUAUGAUAACUUGGUAGACUGCGUGAAUUAUUAAUGCUAUUGUUGUCUCUAAAUACCUUUGGUUUCUUUAACCUUGUUACCUUACCAGUAAUGCUGUCUUGUUCAAUAAGAAGUUACCAUGUUGCAGGUGAAGUUAUUAGGGAACAGUAUGUUCUGGAAUAUGGAAGUGACUGUCUUGAGAUGCAUGUUGGAGCAGUCAAAACGGGGGAACGUGCUUUGGUGGUCGAUGAUUUGAUUGCCACUGGUGGCACUCUGUGUGCUGCUAUGAAUUUACUGGGUAAUUACCAUAUUAAAUCUUAAAUAUUGAGCAACAAUUACUAUCUUUCUGUUGAAAAAUUUGAUGCAUGGAUGCAUACUAUCGAAUGAGGUAUAUGCACGCAACUCUGCUGAUAAAAUUAUCAACUGUAUGUACACUGUUAGCUUGAUAUAAUGCUUGGCUUGGUAUAUUUGCUUCCCUUAGCAACAUUUAUGUUCAAUAUAUCUCUAUGCUGAUUAAGCAUCUAAUGAAUUUACGACGCGCCGCCUUUCAGAACGAGCUGGAGCGGAAGUGGUAGAGUGUGCAUGUGUAAUUGAAUUACCAGAUUUAAAGGUGAGUAGGAUGGUACUUAAUGUUUGAUUUGAACUUCCACUGCACUCGUUUUAUGUUUUGAUGUAUCUAAUCGACAGUUUUUCGAUUAUUAUGAAUGUUGCAGGGUCGCGAGCGAUUAAAUGGCAAGCCCUUGUAUGUACUUGUGGAAUCCCACUAAUGAUUGCAGAAAUGAUUCUCCUCCUGCCAUGGUUUAGCAAAAGACCAAGUGUACAUUAGAGGGAUUGCUGGUUACUUCUCAUCUGGAAUCUCUGCUAUUGGUUCAGCUCCACUGUUUCCAUGACUAGUGAAUUUUGAGAAACAAUGGAGGUUGAGACCCUUAUUUUACUUAGUAGUGUAGAAAACAUUGAUUUUAUGCCUCAAGCUGGGUUUGGAAAAAAAGAGGAGGAAAAGGCUUGUAGGGAAUCAAAUCUCUCAUCAUUUUUUUUUUUUUUUUCCUUUCUGGAAAAUGAAUUUAUAUUUACCCUCCUUCUGUUUGUCUUUGGGGUCGAGGUUUUUGAAAUUCCUUACAUAUUUCCUUGCAUGUCUUCAUACAAAUUUUACAUUGUCGGUUCAAAUCUCUACCCUGCGUGAUUCUCUGAACAUGGAGAAACCAAGGCAACUUACGGCGCUGUUUUUUGUAAUUAGAGAUAAAGUGGACUCCAUCAACCUUUCAUAAUCGCUAACUGGAAUAGAGGUUCAUCAAUUUAGCAAAAUUAGAGUUGCAUUAAUACUUGCUUGUUGACCCAGCAAAUCACUCUUUGAAGUUUGAACACCCUCAACGGCUACAAUUUAGGAAUAAUAAUGUACUAGUUAGAAAAAUGGAAUUUAUAAAACAGAUCAAAGAUGGUGACCGUAUAACCACAUUAGUCUUAUCUUCCUUCAAUUCAAUUGCACUUUAAUGAGAUGGCUAAACUAAUCAAAUACUAUAUUAUAUUAUUAUCAUCAAUAAAUAUUUAUUUGAGUCUCAGUUUUUUUUAAAUAGGGAAAAAUAUUACCAGUUGGGUGACUGACUGACUGACUGACUGGUAGAUUAAUGUUAGGUUGUUAUAUUUUUCUCUUGCCUUCUAAUUCUCAUACAACUCUUUAUUUAUUUAUUUUUUUCUUUCUUUAUUUUUAUGUAUAUGAUUAAUACUUCAAAUUACCAAACCUAUCAAUCUCUUCCUCUUCAAUUAUUUCUUUCUUUUCUUUUUUUUUUUUUUUUUUUGAGAGAGAAUUCUUCAAUUAUUUCUAAAGUAUCAAAAGAAAUUUAAAUUUCAUUUCCGUAUUAUUAGAUUAAUAUUUUAAUAGUUAAAAAUACUUCAUAUGUAAUUUAAGAGUUUAGAAUUUAUAUUUGAUAAUCAGACUCUAAUUCAACAUUUUAUAUGAAAUUUAUGUUUUUUUUUUCUUGUAAAUAAAAUUUUAAAAUUGAAUUAACGAAAGUAAAUUACAUUUUUAGAUGAUGUUUAUCUAUAAAGUUAAGAUUUGAAAGUUCUAUUGGAAGAGCUUUUUCUAUAUAUUAAUAUUAUAUGGCUCAAACAUAAAGACACGCAAGAAAAAUUUAAAAAAAAAAAAUGAAAUUAAAAGGGACAAAAAGAAAAAUGUUAAGAAUUGAAAUUCGUGGACAUUUUUCAUAUGUGGCAUCUCAACUUUUAGAAUUUAACACAAUAAGACCAAAUGGUGAAUGCUUUUUCCAAUUGAAUCAUUACCAACAACAAACAAUAAUCCCAUGAGAAAGCCAAUAUUUUUGUUUGCCAAAUAUCAUUAUUAGAAGUUCAGUAUUUUCACUAAAUAAUUAGGAAAUUGGAAAUACAUAAUCGAAAUCGAAAAGACUUUAUUUAAACAUCAUUAUAGUUUCAAUAUGAAAAUAUGUGCGCAAAUAUAAUAAAUACGAAUUAACUCAUAAUAAGAAAUUUAUUGCUGUGAAACACUACCAUGAGAGUAUAUUAUGAAAAGGGCAAAACUGAGGGUUCAAGCUUUCUUUAAUUGCAAAUUAUAUCUAAUCAAGAUGAUUAAAACUGUUGCAAAUGAUGUAUUGAGAUGGUUAAAAUUUAUGCCUUAGAACUUUUUGAUCUCCGUUUCUAACUUGUAAUUUCUAUCUUUUAUGGACCAGACAGCAUCGCCUCAAUGCAAUUUUAUAAUAUAUACCUUAUAUAUAAAUAAUUAAAUAUGUUGUAAAGGGAAGGAAAAAAAAAAGGGAAAGACCCCUUAAUCUAACUAAGAGUCAAAAGGCACAGAAUGCUAAAUGCUAAUCAUAAAAGUUGGGAAUCCAUGAAUUUUUCUUUUUGGGGGAGCCCAUCGAUAUUUUGGAUAAUUGCUAAUACUUUCUAAAAUAGAGUUAAUUAUCCUGUAAAUAAUGUUUUAUAACCUUAUCAUCCAAUUUUUAUUAUAAAAAGCCCAAUAGUUAACAUAUUUUCCCAUCUUUAUAAUUUUUUUAAAAAAAUUUCUUUUCAAAUUUUAUCGAAUUUUUGAGAAAAUUUAUUAAUUCAAUUUCCAUUGUCCAUAUCAUGCAAAAUACUUAUGAUAUUACCUUUUAUUGAAUGAAAAAAAAAAAAAAAGGGCAAGAUUUGCUAUAAAAUGCCAAUACUAUGAUUAAAUUUAAUAAACAUUUUCACAAACUAAUUAUCUAAAUUAAAAAUGAAACCUUUCAUUUUACUAGCUCCCUUGUUAAAUAUUUGUCAUAUUUUGAAUUUAACGUCACUUAAAAAAAUAUUAAAUUUAUCUAAGUUACUAUAAAUUAUUAAAUAAAUUGACUAUAUUAUUCUUAAUUUAAUAUAUCCAAAUAUUAAAUUUUUGAGGAAUUGAAGUAAUAAUUAUUGAUAAUAAAUAAAGGAUAAAUAUGAAAAAAAAUUUAUUAUCCCCAAAACCACAUAUGUGACAAGUAUUUUGAGUCAUAAUAGUUUAUUAGAUGUCAUAAUUAAGUAGAUAAUACUCCCUCCAUUAUUUUAAAUUUUGACGGUUUUUAUUAUUCACAAGAAUUAAGAAAACAAUUAAAUCACCUCAAUUUAAAAAAAAAUAGAAAUAAUAUAUUAAUUUACCCUUUAAUUAAAAUAAAAUUUAAUGUAGAUAUAGGUAUCGUUGAAAUAAAAUAACAAGUGUUAUUUUGAUUUUCUCAAAGUGUAAUGAUAAAAAAAAGCAAAAAAAUAUCAAAUUUAAUGGAACCAAUGGAGUAUAAUAUAUUAGAACGAGAUAAAAAAUUUUGAAAAUUACUAAUAACUUUAUGGUAAAAAAAACUAGGUAGUGGUAACUAAUAUAAAAAAGCAAUAGAGUAACUUUCCUUACCUUGGAGAUAAGGAAUCAAAAUCCAAUAUCAUUAUCACCAUAGUGACUGAUGACCCUACAUUUUGACCAAAAACGUUUCGAAACACAUAAAGAGGCACUUAAUGCACAAUUAAUUAAAAAUUUGUUAAUUAGACAUUAAGAAAUAUUAAUGGUCCAAACAUUAAGAGGCACUCUCGAGCAAAAAAAUAUUGUGUUGAUAAAUGAGGCAUAAGAAAACAAUCCGAGAGAAAUUAAAAAUGGAAAAGGAAAAAUAAAAAUAGGAAAUAAUUUCCAUAUAUUUUUACAAUUUAUAGAUAAUAAGAAAGCAAGGUAACACCGCACGAGGAUCAAACACCAGCAACUCGCCAUUUUCCCCACUCACCGAGUCAAACCCGACCCGCCCAUCAAUCAAUGAAUCGAACUCUAUUUGCUUCGACACGCGACCCGCUAUCACUCGACAAACCAGCAUCGCCCUCCUUCCACUGCCACCGCCAGCACUCUCGUGUGCCCCGCCGCUUCCGGAAAAUGUACAAAUCGCCGCCCCUUUUCCACCGGGGAAAACCCACGCACUGCAGCGGGCUUCAUGAACGCCACCAGUGGGACCCAGGCAGUAGAACUGCAUCAUCUCGUUUCCGUCAGCGACGCACCGCGCAUUCUCCUCCCACGUGCUUCCGCCAGAUAAUCCGGCUCGGGUUUUAACCAUCUCGCGAUACUCUUCGAACCGAGAAAUCGUUCUAGUCCCGUUAUGUACUUUAAAAAUCAUCUCGAUCCUACCCGGAAAUGACUUAUUGCUCCAACUCGUGUGAAAGAUAAUUUCCACCACAUUACGAGAAGGGUGGCCGUCGGGUACUUCUGUUAAUGCUGGAAACAGCGGGUCCGGGUUACGGGUAGAACGAGAACGAGAAGGAGGAGCUGAAACCGGUUCGGAUUUAGGUUUGGGUUUGGUAUGGGUAGGAGAAAAAGAGGUAGAUUUUUGUAGAUUCUGUCGUUGGUGGUGGUGAUGGAGGCGGUGGUGCUUAGGUUUAGUGGGUCUUUGAUUUCUGGUGGCGGUUUCAAUAACGUCUUUGAUGCUCUGAGCGCUCUUUCUGCAACUGGAGCUGGGUAUUAGAUAUUUCGGAUUCGGGCUAAGAACAUCUUCAACAGCUCUUGAUUUGCAUUGUAGCGACUUCAUCCACCGGGUCGCCAUUAAACGAACAGAAUGACAGACCAAUCCGAUCUUGUAUUUCUAUAAAGAACACAACUUUCUCUCCCUCCCUAAAGAAUAUAGUCUUAAGCAAUGUGCUUAAAGCUCAGAUUCUUGAUUUUUCUCUUCCAUGACUCUUUCUGUGUUUCAAGUUCUUGACUUCCUGUCUCUCGAAUAUUUUCGGUUCCAUUAGGGCUGUGAAAAUUCCAUCUCUAAUUUUUUAAAAUUUUUUCCUCUCUGGUUUUAUUGGGGUAUAUGUGUUGGUGUAAAGACUGGAAUGGAAAGGACAUGGCGCGAUAAUAAAUGGACAGGUCUGAACUUUGUGGAGGGUAUAGUUGCAAUGACGAUAAUGCCACUGAUAAUUGAUGAGGUGGCUCUGAGAACUGCAUGUCUACUACUGCCAACAUAAAAAAAAAAGUCCGUCCCUUGCUCCGGUAACUGAAUUAUGGUAAUAAUGGUGAAAAUAUUUAAAAUAUGGUAAAAAUGUUUAAUUAACUCAAGAUAGUGUAUGUUUUUGGUAUUAGGCACGAUGUGUAGUUGUGUUUUUACCGUUAAAAGAGCGAAACGGGUGGUUAUUUUGUCUAUAAAAUGGUUUGUCUUAACUCUUAAAUAGUGUUAGGCAAAGCUUUCAGAAUUCAGAUUAGUACUACUUAAUAAAAAGUCUUAAUUUAGCGGUUAAGAAGCAUUUAUUGUAUUUGUGACUUGAUUACCAAUUUUAGAAGAAAACCUAAACGGCUUAUUUAGGUAAAAUACCAACAUUAACCUUUUGGAAAUAAUAUGCUUUUCGCAAAAUAUUUGCGUCUUUUACAUAUAUGUUUUAAUGUCAGUGUACCAUCUGCCUGAUAUCAAAAAUUUAACAUUUGCAUUAAAAUGUAAGUUGAUGAGCACUCAUUCUCGUCAUGUCAUUUUCCAUUAAAGGCUUUAUAGCUAGAUUUCUGCCAUCUGAACUUCUUUAAUGCUUUUGUUAGGGCCUUGUUGCUACUUCAAAUCAAAGUAAUUAAGCAAACAAUAAAUAUUAGUUUGUCUUUUAAUUGUUUAUAUAUGUAGGUGAGCCUGAAGUUUCACUGCAACAGCAAAAACCUACUUGUACCCUUGUUUUUAAUUUUUGUUCUUUAUACAAACUAUUCUGAUACAUGGUGGUACAACUCCAAAACAAAUUUUUAAGGAGAAGAUUAGCUAUAUUGAAGUCAUUCUUCAAUCACUAAUUUAAGUUCAAUAAUUAUAUAUUUUACAGAAUUAAAUAGGAUUCAAACUUGCUAUGAGGAUAGUAUUAUAGUAAUCUGAGUAAUUGUCUUGCAAAUACAAAAAAAAAAAAUUAGGGAUUCAAAUCAUAGAAACUUUGAUCUUUUUUUUAAAUUGAGUCUAAUAUAUAAAAUUGAAAGAUAUUUCCUUACCCAACAUAUAGAACAUUUAGGGCGAUUGUUUUGUUAAAAAAUAUAAGACAUUUUGAGUAUUUUAAAGAGUAAUAAUUUUUUAUUUUCCAAUUUUACACUUCGUUAUUUUAGAUAUAGUUAACUAUUUUCAUGAGUUAUCCUUAUGAUUUUGAGAUAAAGGGUAAUUUGAUCAAAUUAUUUUUGAUUUUAUUAUAAUUUAAAGAGAUUAAUUAUUUUUUUAAUUUCUUUAAAAAAUUUUAAACGAUUUAUAUUUUGAAAUGUGCGAGUUGUAAAUUUAAAUUAUUAAACCUUUCUUGACCAGAUGAAGCCAUCGAUUUCAUAAUUGCAACAAUCAAUGAAUGCUAAUUAACUUACUUGUACAAUUAGUAAAAUAAUUAUUUUGGCAUCAUCCUUUUUUACAAGUGAAAGAUUGAAAACUACUCCUCUCAAAGAGGGUGAUUAAGAGUCUGCCAUUUUUUUUUUCAAAAAAGAAUAAGGAUACUACUUAGGUGGAAGUUGACACAUUAUUGCAUAUGGGAUUCCUCUAUGCAAUUUAUAUAUUGAGAAAUAUUUAUUUAUUUUUAAUAAAUCAAAUAAUGUAUUGAAUAUAUACAUAUUCUUUUUACUAUUCAAUGCCAGAUUUUGCGCAUUUGGGAUUAUAUUAUUAUUAGUAUUUAGCUUAUUCAUGGCAUUACAAAGAAGUGAAUUUUUUCUAAUAAAAAAACAAAUAAGCAGUGAAUUUUCUAGGUUAUCCUGAAUUGCUUGCAUAAAUAAAAUAAAAGAAAAAUGUAAAGAAGACCAAGAGGAGGAAUCUUUCAUGAGAGUUUGAAAGUGGAUAUGGCAGGAAUAGAAGAAUAGAAAGAGAAUGGAAACUGGCACACAGAGAGAGAAUGCAUCUAAAAAGCACUGAAAUAUAAACUAGUAAAACGACAAUUUCUAUAUGUUCGUUUAAUUCUUUAAUAAUCAAUUAAGUGUUUAACCCAUUACAGGUAGUGAGUCACCAUAUAACAUUAACAAAGUUUGGUGGUAUUGCAGUUACAAUAGGAGCCGACAACAUUGAUAUGUGUAAACCCUAAACAACAUAAUUAAUUUUAUAACCAUCUUUCCAUACCAAACACCAAAUCUUGAGAAUUGGUCAUAGCUCAGGCAUGGACAACCCAUUUGAUCAUUAUGGCUUCAAAUUUGAAUACAAAGUGUAUAAUUACACGUUUUUAUUAUAUGGCCAUCAUGAGAUCCCCACAGGAUGAUUUAGUGAAAAGAAGAGCCUGGUUAACUAAUUCAAAGUUUAAGGAAUAGAUUAAGUUUUAUCUCACAUUAUUGAAUUAUUGAUUCAACUUUACAUUUAUUUAUUUAUUAAUUUACGGUUAUUCUCGAGUCGGCUGUUUAAAGAUUUUAGAUUUCAACAUCUUAACCUUAUAGAUAAAAUUCGUUUGGAGUUUCAGUUGAUUUCUGAUCAAAACCGCUUGUUAAUUUUAAACCCUUUUGUUUAUGGAUGAUUGUAUAUUUUUGGAUAGAUGGAAAAAUGAAUUUAAACAUAUUAAGUGAAAUUGAGGGUAUUACAUUUAAAUAAAAAGAAAAUUAGUUCAGUAAAGAAAUGAGUGGUGGGGCUUAGUUUGUGGGUGGGAGUCUUUGCCAGCCUUUGGCCUCACGCCUGCAGAAUCUAUUUGAGCUCCGGGAACUGGGUUUCAUUUGGCGUGCUUAAUCUUAAGGAAGCCCCAAAACUUCUACUUUUUUAGCUUUUUCACCACUUUUUAUUAUUUGUUUUCUCCUUUCAGUAUUCAAAUAGUAGUAUAUGUGCUUUUUAUUAAUCACAGCUUCAACAGUGGUAUUUGCUAUUGCUCAAUUUGGAGGAGUGAAGUGAAGGCUUUUGCCCUCAGCUUGUGACCUAUUAUAAUCCACUUGUUGCCUCAUUGGAGGCAAAAUAUUCUUUCUGCUCUCUUUUAUAUAAUCCUUGGGUGGUUUUCUUCAUAAAUUUAUAUUUUAUUUAGAGUAUAUGAAUUAACAUGUCAUGAUUUUAUGAAUGAGCAUAUAAGUCCUAUUUUUAACCCCAUUGUAAAUUUUCUUUUUAACUAAUAGUAAAAAACUACAAAUAAAAAAAGAAAAUAAUAACAAAUUUUGACCAACUUCGAGCCAAGAGAUAAUGAAUGCGAUUUAGGACAAGGAAUGCAAGUCAAUUAAAUGCACAGAUUGAGCCUCUUCCUUUCCUUUGUUCAAUAAAAUUGUCAUUUUCUCAUAGAAAUAGAAUCAUUCAAAGCUCUAAUUAAUGCGACUCUUGGAAUUUUCCCUUUGAUGCUUCUUUGCCAACCAUUUUACAGUGCACUGCCACGUUAUCUCUACCUUACUCCUCCUUACACUCAUCUUCUUUACAUUCAUUUUAAAAUAUUACUCCUAUUUAAACCAUAUUGUAAUUUAAUACCGUGAAAGUACAUUGUUUAAUGUUUGAUUACAUUUUACCACUGAAUAUAUGUUUAUGCACUCGUGGCAGCAUGAUGUGGCCCAAAUUUAAUGACAUGGAUGAACACACUUAUCCUAGACAAAAUGAUGUCGUUUCAAUAAGUGGAACGAUAAUAUUUUCCAUUUGAAGCUACACCUAAACUUUGCUUUCCCCUACCGGCCACCGCUGCUCUCCAUUGGUAAUUGGUGCUGUGGUGCGGCGAUUUUGGAGAAUGAAACGACAGUGGAUAAGUAGCGGAACCACUUGCCGUGACGGCGCUAGUAUCAACUCUACCAACAGUGGCUGUGUUGGUCGGUGUAACUCUGCAAGUGGUGGGGACUAAGAUCGGACACGAUUAAUAGCAAAACCCACUUUGAAUUAUCCCCGAGAAAGAAAAAAGCUUAUCCAUCUCAGGGAUCCUCUCCUGAUUUCUUCCUUUUAGCACUUGGAAACGACAUUGCUUUGCUCUUCAGCAAGCUUUGGGUACGUCAUAGUACUGACAGACAUCCAUACUAAUUACAAGAAUUUAUGUAUUUUGUUUUACGAAACUUGAUAAAAUAAAAUGUUAGGAAAAAGAAGAAUGGGGCCGAGGAGGACAAAAGAGAUGAUACGGUGGGGAGUGAUUAUCGGAUGAAAUUGUUUUUGAAUGUCAAAGUGGGAGCAAAAAUUGACAAGGAAAAGACAAAGAUAAUAGCAUGUGAUUUAGAGAGGUUUGGUAAGGUAAGGACCAAGGAGGAUGGUUGGCGGGGCAGGAAAACUUCCAGUUUGGUAGGGCCCAGUUUUUAAGGUGGUCCUAAUUCACUAACUUCCGUGACAGUCACAGUAAAUCUGCCUGCCCUAUUCCAACUUGGACCUUUCUUCUGGGCUAUAUGGACAGUGACAAUGGCCUUUAUUAGUGUCUACACAUUUUGGACCUUUCCGCGGUUUCAAUUCAAUUGAGCAGGGUAACUUCUCUUUGGUAAAACCGCAAUGAUUUCUGAACCCUUUCUUUCAGUGAUUAGCUAUGCAAAUUAUCAAGGGUAUUAAAAAUUUGACAGUCUCAUUUACCUUUUGAUUUAUAGUUAUCAAAUCCAGCCCAACCCGAUGAGUCAAUAUGGAAAAAUUGCUUUAAAACGUGCCACCGUUUAAGAAAGAGAUCGGAUUGAACUGGUUGACUCGUGAUUGAACCGAUCGACCUGAACAAAUCCGAUUAAUCCAUAUCGAUUUUUUGAUAUUUUAAAUUAUUUUUUAUUAUAGUAUAAGUAUUUAGAUUCUAAUUAUUUAAUUAAUAUAUAUUUUUAAUAUUUUUAUGACAUACUAAUUAAACUAUUGACCUACUUGUUAAACCAACUAUCUAUCCACUUAAUUUUUUAACUAGGUCAAUGUCCAAGCUGGAUUUAACAAUGCUAUAAGUAUUUAUUAAAGAUAAUAUUCAAAUAAAGUAUUUGUUUUAUAAUCACAAUAUCAAAUUUCAAAUUUGACAUUGUAAAUAAGAUUAGUUACAAGCAUUAAACUUCGUAUGAAUUUCAGUUUCCGAAAAAUCAUGUAUUGAAACUUUGAAAAUCUAAUAUUUUAAGAACGCGUUAACAGUAGUAGAAAAACCAAGAUUCAAACUUAAUAUACCGAUUGUAAAAACACACACUGAAAAGAACUGGAUAAGCAUAACACAUUAAGGAAUCUGCUUUUUGUCCAACAUGUGAAAGUUUGAAGUUGGGCCGAUUUUGUUCCUAAUGGCCGACAAACAUCUUGUCAUUUGUCACACCAACUUUUCCAGAUAUGGGCCUUAAUGUGUCUACCUACAUCACGAGCCCAUUAGUUAUCAUUAUCAGUAUAUCUAUGUAUAUCACGUGUUGUCUCUUGUACGCAACGAGUUAUUAGGUUUGGCACUAUGGAUUUAUUCUAUGUUGGUGAAUGUAAUUUCUUCCAAAAAUUAUUAUGACAAAUGGGUUUACUCUCUUGGAUUAUUAUUUCUCUAAAAUGCAUUUCUCAGAAAUUUAAUUUUUAUUCUCACUCUUACGAAUUGAAAUGAGUUCGUUAAUCACUAUAACCAUCACUUUGUCGAUAUAGUUCAACAAUUAUUUGUAGCCUUAAAAAAAGUUAAAAGUAAGGUUUGUUUUCGGGUUCUACAUUUUAAUACCUCUUGAGGAUACAAUUGGGCUUUUACUGUUAGACCAAUAGAAUGCCAAAAUCAUAGCCCAAUGGCCUACUCUCUUACAUUUCUCAACGACAUCGUUUCCCUGCCUAACUGUUACACAUGUCGUACAACUUUAACGUACACAACACGAGUUUAACCACCAAUCCACCACUACUGAUGAUGGCAACCUCACCGCCGCCGCCACCACCACCACCACCACUGCGCCACCUGUUGACCCUCGACACCAAAUUCUCGUACUUUCUCCACUCGCUUUUCCAUUCAUACCUUCCCGUUUCUCUUCUCCUCGUUCUUGAACUCUCAGCUGAUUUUCGCUUUUCCUUUCCCAUUACUCUCGCGCUAUGUCUGUCUCCUCUCUCACCCUCCCUCCUCCCUUUCCUUUCCCCUCUCCUCUUCGGCCUCCUCCUAGACCUCGCUUUCGUCGGCCUAAUCAAGAUCAUUUUCCGCCGUGCUCGUCCUCCCUACAAUCCUAACAUGACUGCCGCCGUUUCUGCUGAUAACUUCUCCUUCCCUAGCGGCCAUGCCUCCCGUGUUUUCUUCGUCGCCGCAUUGGUUUCUCUAUCAGCGGACGCUAUUGAAAAGGCUCUGAUGGAAUUCAGGGCCAGUGGUGGGUACGUUGACCAGUGGAUUGCGGGGGAUGACAACACGAAAGUGGUGGGGAUUGUGGUUUUGGUGGUUCGUGUGUGGGCGGCAAUGACGGCUUUUUCUAGGGUUUUGCUCGGUAGGCAUUUCUUUCUUGACGUUUUGGCUGGAGCGUGUUUGGGCGUUUUUGAAGGUCUAGUGGCAUUUCAAUUCCUGCGAUUUGAGAAACUUCUGAGGUAAAUAAAACAGUGACUUGUCCCUCUAGAAUACUUUAAAUUAUUACAACAAAUUGAAUUUUGCAAUUACCUUUAUCAAUUUAGAAUUUAUGAUGGUGGACAAUAAGAAUUGUAUUUGGUUAAUAAUCAGGACUUAAAUUACGGUUCUUUGAAUUUAUUCUUUUGGGCCGAAACCAAAAGAGGGAAGUGGAGCAUAGCACAAUAGGUAGGGAGCAAAGUUACCCUUAAAUCUUUUUAAGCGUGCAUCAAUUUGUGUUUAAAUGUCCAGUUAGCAGUUAUGUGACAAUGGGUGAUAAUAAGUUAAUAACCUCACAGUUCAAGCAAAGUUGUCUAUUGAAAAGACUGUAGUUUUCUGCUUUCUUCAUUGGUAUUUUGAAGGCCAGAGGAUGCCACAUUGCGUGGCAUAAUAUUAGGCAUCUCUGUAAUUCUUUGUUGUGCAUUUGUCCUAAGCUGUAGAUAAUUGAUGGAUCCAUAAUGGAAGAACUCAUUUAUGUCGUCUUGAAUGUAUGAAUUAUGAUGAAUUGAUUAGAAAUGUAGAUUUCUCUGUCAUAUGAUCUUCAGCUCAGUCUCUUGUUGAAUGCUUGAGCUGAUUUGGUCUUCCUAAACGUCUGGAACUCGUGUUAGCCUUUGGCCCUAUUUUCCAAUGAUUAUGGAACUUGAAGUUUCUAAUAGUAUGCUUGCAUAUUUAUGGCUUAACAAGCAGCCGGCAAGGUAAUCUGCUGUCUGCCCUUUUCUUUAAGUGAGCAUGUUUUUCUCCAACUGAUUGAUUCAGUUUUGAGAUACUUAUUCAUGUCAGUUUUGAAAUUAAGAUUUUUGAAUUACAAUAUUACCUAAAAGCAAAAUAAUAGUACUAAACAAACUUUAUUUUCCUACGGACAGCCUCUUGCUUUACCAGAAAGUUGGCCAAAGUAGAAGUUAAGUGCAUUUGGAGUGGGAGCCAUAGGAAGUGCUUCUCUUGCAACAUAUCGGAUGAUUAUUUCCAAAAGCAGAUACAUGUUGAUGUCCUGAGGAUAUUGCUUUUUCAGUGUGUGCAAUGCGGAGAAAUUUUGCUUGACUACUUCAAUGAUCACCUAAGACAUUAAGCACUGGAAUCACAUACUACUUGGCUGUUGUACUCUAUUGUAUUCUUACUUUGAUAUUCAAACUCUGUUGAUUUUGACUACUGCUAUGGGGCAUUAGAUUUUAUGCCAAUUUAUACAAUUCAUUUAUGAAUCACAUUAAAUUUGACUCUCUGUCCCCUUCACUUUAAUUGACUUCUGUGGUGUUAGUCCCGCAAAAACAGUUUCUUUGAUGGCAUUUAUUGUAAGUUAUUCCACUCAUAUGUUUUGUUGUUUCUAAUAGCAGCAGCCUUACAUUGUAUAAAUGCAAAUCCGCUGGUAUUGCAACAUCUUCUUUCUUCUGCUAUUGCUGAUUUAAUGACCAUAUAAACAUGUAUUCAUUAAAACAACAUUUUCUAAUGUCCUUUGCUGGCAUGAAAGUUGGUUCACUUGCUAUAACUGUCUAAAAUCUGCUUAACGGGGUUGAGGACUUGGAUCUUCCAGUUUUUCAAUUACAAAAAUCUCUGUGUGGCCAAUAAGCAAUGCGCAGACAGUAGGAGUUGGUGAUUGCAUGGAUAUAGUUGCUCUAUGGGUUAUUCUUAUCAAUCUUCGAAUUAAAAAGCAGUUAGCUCAAUAAUUUAAUGCUAUGUGCGCUUUUUUGGAUGCAUGAAAAGUUGAUAAGCUUUAUCCGAUAAGGUAAGAUUGAUUGAUUGAUUGGAUUGAGAAGUAGCUUUUUAGGCAAUAUGGAAACAUUGUAAACUUGCUUGAUUAGCGCUGACAGUGAGUAUUGAAAUUUUUGCUACUUGCAUCAUUGCUGUAGUUAUCAUGUGGAAAACAUCCAAGCAAAAAGAGAUUUUGACAUAUUCUUUCAAUUUCAUUGAGCUAACAUGCGGGACUGACAUUUGAACCUGAUUGCAUCAAAGGAUCUAUCCUACUCGCCACUACAUGUUCAUUUGUUGCCUUGAUAACGAACUGACUCAUAUCCCAGCUUGUGUUCUUUUGUCAUUAAUUGUUACUAUGUCAAUUUCUGAUUGCUGUUGCUGAAAAGGAGUUGCAUAUGCAUUCUUUGAAUUCUGAAUGUGUUUACAUUACAUUGGCUUGUCAAUCAUAUUGAAGUCCUGUUUAAUCGAGGGAUAGUCUUUAUCUACCACACUAAUGCAGGGGUCCUACCAUGGAAAUUAAACUGAUAUUUGUGGUCUUUUUCUUUUCUUUUCUUUUUUCUUUUUCAGGUUGGAAGUGAGGAUUGCUGUUGGUGAUUACUUAGUUUUGUCUUGGCUAUGGAAAUGGUGUCACAGGUUGUCCAUUUGCGGAACAGGUGCAUAUGUGCUUUUUAAAUUUUGCUUGAUCUCUGGUUUUCCUUUAAAUCUAGCUCCAAACUCUUUUGGAACUGGCCCAGCCACUAACAGGCAAUUAUUCAGGCUUUAUUGAGAUUGAUCACGUGCCAGUGCCAUAUUCAUUUUGAAUGAUAUAACAGAAAGAAACAUUCUUAAGUUUAGUGUCAAUUAUUACAGCCUCACUUUAUGUGGGCUAUAGGGCCUGCUCUCACCAAGUCAACAACAACAACAUCAAUAAGAAAAAAGCUCCCUCAUUGUCUAUAUACAAUUUUUAUUUAUGAGGGGAGUCUCAUUUUACUAUAAUAGAAAAUUAAGGGUUGCAGAUCAUGAGAAUCUCUAUUAUUACCUACUUCUGAAGAAAUCCUUUUGCCCCCACCCUAAAUCAGCUUUCCUAACACGUCUAUAUAUGGUUAGUGAUUAUGGGGGAUGGGGACCAUAGUCUUCCAUAUAUUACUGUUUCUAAUAUUGAAUAGUUUCACCUUAUGCCUUAAUUAUCAAGAGAAAUAACUUCUUCACCUAAUUUUUCUGAAUAUUUCCUAUUAUUUAAUUUUGGUCUAUUUCAGUUGAAAAAUUAAACUGUUCCACCAAAAGAAAGGGAAAAAUUAAAAUGACUUUGUUAUUUUUUAUUUCAGAAGAUCUAUUCCAAAUUAACCAAAUUGACUGAUUCCUCUAAUUGAUCUAUUCUUAUCCAGGUAAGAAACUAGUAAUUAAAUUAGUGGGUUAUAGUCAAAGUAUUUGUUUCUUCUUCACCUUGUUGUAGCUAAUGCAGGUUUUGAUUAUCACACCUAUGCAUGUGGAGCUGAGAAUUGCAGGCAUGGCUAAGGCCAAGUAUUGAUUGUAUGAGUACUGUGCCACUGACACUGUUCAAUCUGGACCAUAUACGUGUGUAUGUGUUUAUAUAUGCACGUUCAGUAUCCAGUAUGAACGCAGAGUUUCACAUGUGGGCCCAAAGCACGCAUGUUUAUAUAUGUGUGUGUGUAAGUAUGCACAUAUGUGUUUUGAAGGUCUGGACCGACCUGGAAGCUACGUAUGAAAUUGCAGAAGAAAUGUUAGACCAGUCAAGGUCUUUUAUUUUAUGAUUAGGAUCAAACUUAUUAGGACAAAAUCAAUUCUGAGAAAGAAAGGUUAAUUUCAUUGGCCAUUUAGUGAGUCUUAGUUUCUUACGACAUCAUCUUGUUGUUAUUAUUAUUGUUGAUAUUUCGUGAAAGCAAGAAACUCACAGAAAGUGAUAUGGAAACAUUUGAGUCUUAUAACUGUCUCUUCUGUAUUAUUUACAAGAACAUAUAAAUUUUAAUUUGAAUUGUUUUUUUGGAAGAUUGUGGCAUGGCGUUUUGGUCUAUGAUGAUUUUUAAUGUUGUAACUGAGUUUUUGGACACAUUGGACACAUUGUUCUUUUUCAGCCAGAAAUGGUGGUGCUUUCUUUUUCCCAAAAAGCUUAGGACCACUGAGAUAUGGAUUGGAUUUUGGGGUAGUGAGGGCUGUGGUGGUGUUUAUCUUAUUUAUAUAAAUAUAUAAUAGAUUGAUUUUUUGUCAAUUUUUGCUUUUCUUUUUGGGUAAUUGGGACAAGUUUACCCAGUUGAUCAUCGUCAUGAUCAUCAGUGGCAGCAAGGGACAGAGACCUGGGCAGAGAGUUUCAGAGGAGAAAGACUGACACAAAAUAUUGGAACGUACGUAUGAAAAGGGUGAAUUAUUAUUUCUUUCCUCAAAUUUGGUCUAAUUAACGAUUUUCAUUUUUAAAAAUAUUUAUAUUUUUAUAUUAUUAAUCCGUUAAAACUAAUAUGUUUUUCUUAAAAAAAUGAUGUCAUUUUAACUGUUAAUGAUAAUAAAGAGAUAAAAAUGUCAUUCAUUAAAAUAUAAUCUCAGAGAAAAAUACUUUCUUAACAUUUUAAAUGAUUAAAAAAAAGACAUUUUGCGGAUGGAAAAAAAGAAAAUAUUUAAAUGGCUCAAUAGUAUUAAGAGUGUUUUAACAUAUUUCUUAAAAUUAAAGAAGAAAAUUAUUAAUUAGACUAAAUUGAGGGACGAAAUGGUAAUUCAGUCAUAAAAUAGAUAUUUCCAAUAUUAUUAAUUAGAAAAGGCUGAGACGAAGGCAGUGCAUCAUUUGAAGGACCCUGUCACUCUUUGCUUCUGUUAUUAUGAUGAUGAAAUUCAAUAACUCAUUUUGUUUGUACGGACUAGUAUUUUGCUUUUCUUGUUUUCGUUUUCCUUCUGCCUCUGUGUCUGUGUUCUUCACUGUGUAAUAUAUCUUGGUUUAUUAUUAUUAUUAUUAUUAUUAUUAUUAUUAUUGUUAUCAUUUUCUGGUGUUUAGUUAGAAAAGUUAUAACCAUAAUAAUAAAUUCACGUAGCAGUACUAAAGCUAAUUAUUAUAGCCAUUAACAAAUAUCUGGAAGUAUCAACAGUAUCUUUUUCGGGUAUCAAAAUGGUAUCCAAUGGUUUAACAAAUCAUGAUCUUGACUGCCGACAAAGGCUCAGAGAAUAGAAUGAAGCUAACACCCAUUUAGAUCGGAAUAAAGUUCAAUUUAUCUUUUGAAUUUGCUAUUAAAGAACAAAAAGUUAUAAAAUUGACCUUUAGACUCAAUUUAUCUCUUGAAUUUACAAUUUAUAUAAGAAUUAAUUGGAGAAUUUGCACAAAUUGAGCCAAAAGAUCAAUGUUGUAGCCUUUUGCUCCCGGACAACGAGUUUAUAGAAUGAAACAGUUAAACUUGUUAGAAAAUAAUUUCAAAAUAAUAUUUUCAAAUAUACUAAAUUAAUAUGGAAAAACUUAAUUUUAACAUUGACAUAUGUAAUAUUUUCCCCCUGUGAGGAUUCUUUUUUACCUCUCAUUUUAGCUUCUUUAUUUGGAGUAUUCAUUUCAGUUGUACUCUUUAAUCAUUUGAUUGGAUAGGAACACAGUUAAAUUAGUGAAGGUGAUAACUAAUGAGAUGAAAUUGCUUUACCUUCUAUAAGCUUCUGAUAAAAUAAGAAGAUAGAUUGACAUGACUAAACACCAUACUAACAAACCCUAGAAGAAUAAAAGAAGAGGAAGAAGGAACUCAUAAUGAUUGUACUACCAUUGGUUUCUUAACUACCCUUUUCUUUUCUUUUCUUCUUUGAAAAAGAAAAGAAAAAGGGUUACGAGAAACUUAAAGAGAACCAGCAAACAGUGCUUCCAAACUUUAUUAUACCUAGAAAAAGAAAGCUCUAGCUGUGAAGUAAGAAGGAGAAAGCUAGAUUGCUUUAUUAUAACUUUAUUAUUUUAGUUAGAAAAUUAAUGAAUUAAUUUCCAUUAAUGACCAACUAACUCUAGCUAGAUUGCUUAAUUACUCCAUAUGGUACAAAACUGUUGUAACUUCUAACUAUAUACUAUAUAGGAAUGAUUUGAAUAAAGGCCUCCAUGGAAGCACAUCUUUUGCAUUCUUUUUCAAAAAAAGAAACAUUAAUUAUUAGUUCAAGAACACAAUAAUUUUACACAUUCUAGAAUUGUUGAAUUAGUCAAUGUGAUUAAGCAUAUAAGAAUCCAAAAUAAUCAUUUGCCAUUCACAAGAAUUGGGAUCAUCUCAUUAUUUGUCAUGCUUAUAUCACCUCACUUACCUUAAAAUUAAUUAAUUAAUUAAUUAUAUAUCUUAUAUUUAAGUGGGACACACAUAUAUAAUAUCGAGAUGCAAGUUCCAAAUUUUCUAAUUUUUCUAUUCAUUUCCAUUGCCAAUAAAUUUCAAAUUUUAAGCAACAUUCCAAAUUGGGUCCACACAUAAAAUUCAAAAUUUGAUCUUUCAAAUCACUAGGGUUGAUAAUAGUUGGUGUUCAAAUUUUUGUAUUAUAUAUAAUAUUUUGAAAUUUGAGAAUUUUUCUGUACAACUAGAAUUUAAAAUUCAUCUUCUUAUCAUAGUUAGUCAAUGGUUUUUUCAUCAAUAAAAAUUUCAUUUCUAGUUUUAGGAUCCUAUAAAAGAAGUUCUUUUUUUCUUUUUCACUCUUUUGAAUCUUAUAAUUCAUGGCUGAUAGUCUCUUUUUUUAUCAUAUUAAGUAAAAAACCGAUCUAUAACAUCAUUUAUAAUAAAAUAAAAUAAAAACAAGCAUAAGAUUGAAGACAAAAAACUACCAUCUUGAAAUUAAAAAAAAAAAAAAACCUACAUCAAAUUUUCAUAUAUAAGCCUGAUAAUGCAUGUAUGGGCAGGCACAUGUUGUGCUGGUGAGGCACAAAAUUGAAAUGAUAGGAGAAAGGGAGCAUAAAAAAAUUAGCUCCAUGCACAGAGAAGAGGGGGCCAUAUUUUUUUAUUUUAGUGCUUCAAUGAGUUGUUUCCCAACUGGAAGUUAGGUAAUCUGUAUAGAAAAUUUUUGUUCAAUGUUUAGUACUUGAGAAACAUGGAUUUGAUUGAAGGUUGUUGCUUUCUUCGCGACCCUUUCGUCCCCCCCUCCAAUACUCUAGAUAUAUAUAUUAUUUUGUUUUAAAAACUAUUUUUACUGUUAAUUUUGAAAUAUUCUACCAAGUGGUAUCACCCCUAUGCAUUAUAAAAGGCCUUUAAUCAAAGGAGAUCCCAUGCAAAAUACAUUAGAUUAGAAGGCUAAUUAAGCUUUAAUUAACCAAUAACUAGCAUUUUUUUCUUACUUUACUUAUGUUAUGACUGCAAUUUGCCCCUUAACCCUAUUGUGCUUUGAGUCAGCACUUGGAAGCAUCAUUAGAUGCCUAUAAUAAAAAUGUAAUCCCAAAAGCAUCUUCUUGUAAUUAGGGAUAAUUACACAUUAAAUUAAUAAUUAAAGUACACAAAUGUAGGUUGGAAAUGAUGCUUUUCUCUCCUUUGCCUCCAAAAAAGCAAACAAAAACUAUAUGCUUCUUAGUAUUUCUAUACCUACAUAAAUAAUAAACAACAUAUAAAGUAGUAGUUGACACCAAAAAGACACAAAUAAGGACACCUCUUUGUCUAAUUUUAGAAAUAAAAACAAUUACUUUCCCUUUUUUCUUUCCAAUGAAUUGUGGGACAAAUGUGUCAAAGAGUACAUGUGAGUUAUUUAUUAAAUAACAGGAUCUAAAGUUAUGUUAGCUACAAAAUUAUCAAAUUGAGCUAAUUGAAGUUGACGCAUAUAUGAAAAUGGAGAAUGAUUUCCAAACUCACAAGAGAGACAUUGGACCCACUUAAGUUUUUUUCCAUUGGCUUAAUGACAAAAAAAUCUCAACUUUUGACUUUUUUUAUAAAAUUCUUUUAAUUUCAUCCAUCGCCAGCGUGUAUUUAGUUUUCUAUAUUAAUUAUAGCUCUCAUUUGUCUUUUUAUCAAUUUCAUGCUGAUCUAUCAGUUAUCUCUCACAGUGGAUCCUACAACAUCUAAUAUCAGCGUCAAGUCAUAUAUCCACGUAUAUUAAAAAAAGUCUGAAUUUUAAAGUUUUUAUCAAAUCUGGCCAGUUAUUUUAAUUUUAUCAAUUAAUAUCGCGUAUUAAUUAAUCUCUGUCAAAUGAUUUGGUUAUAUUGAUAUUCAUUCAAUUAAAUAGUUUAUUAAUUAACUAUGUAUAUUAAGUGUCUAAUGUGAUUAAUCAAUUACAAUUCAAUUUUAUUGCAUAGUCUUUUUUAAAAAUGUUAUUUUAAAAUUACUUAAAAAUAUUAUCAAUUAGUACAUUGAAAAAUAACUUUUUUAAAAGACUCUUCAGUAAAAUUAAAUUUUUUAAUUUAUUAAUCCCAUUAUAUACUUAAUAUAUAUAGUUAAUUAAUAAAUUAUUUAAUUAAAUAAAUAUCAAUAUAACAAAAUCAUUUGAUAGAGAUUAAUUAGUAUGACAUAUUGAUUGAUAAAAUUAAAAGAACUAGCUAGAUUUGAUAAAAAUCCUAAAGUUCAUGCUGUUUUUUAAUAUACGUGGAUAUAUGAUUUUGCAUUUACAUUAGAUGUUGUAGAGCCCACUUGUAAGACAUAACUGCCAUGUGAGCAUGAAAUUGAUAGAAUACAAACGGAUGCUAAAAUUGAUACAGAAAACUAAGUAUGUGGUAUUAAUUGUUAAAAUUAAAAAAAACUGUCUAGAACUAAUAAAAAUAUCAAAAUUCAGAGGCUUCUUUUAUCACUAGGCCUUUUCCUUCGAAUCUCAUGAAUGAAAAAAAAAAAUGAGUGCAAUAAGAUCGUUUUAUAACUUUUCUUGAUAAUAUUAAAAAUAUGCCAUGGUCUAAUUACAAAACUAGAGAUAUAUUAAGAGUAGAUAUUACAAAUUUAAAUCUUGCCAAUAUAAAUAGAUUUCUUCCCUCUAAUAUUAAUAAAAAAAAAAAAAAGACCAUUCAUUUGAAAUAUAUUAAUUUGAUGCAUUUGGAAACAAUUUUGAUAUGACACAUAUACAGGACAUAUAUUUAACUUUGUGCUAUAUUGAAUUAUGAAAUAGAAACCGAUUCAAUAAAUAAAAAUUAUAUAUAUAUAUAUAUAUUUUAAAUGAAACAAAGAUGAAUACAAUCAAUAAUAGAAUUCCAAACUUUGUGAUUAGCAUAUCGAUUGGAUGCUCAUUUUAUUAAUGAAUUUAUUAAUCGUUAGAUUUUGAAUUAUACUAACUUAAAAAUAAUUAAUCUAAUAGCAAAUUUAUAUCUGGAUUUUGAUAAUAGAUUGAAGUUUUUAGUUUUUUGCUCCAGUACAUACGAAAAAGAUAGUAGUAUAAUAUUAAAAGUUAAUGUUAAAUUAAGGGUUCAAAUCUCCUCUCAUUCAACAGAUGAUGAUGAUGUGGAUCCCCACCACCCUCACCUCCACAACCACAAGCCUCAAGCAAUUAAUAGUAUUAAUUUCCAUAGCUUGUAGAUAUUAUAAAACAAAUAGAAUGCCCAUGUCAAUCAGUGCAAGCUGCCUUCAAAAACAAUAAACAAAUAAACCAAUAAUUAAUAUUAUAAGUUAACAUAUACUAUAAAAAUAAAAAUUGAACUUUACACAUGAUAUUAAUAUUAAUAUUGUUGGUUGCCUUUAUAUAUAUAUAUAUAUAUAUAUGUGUGUGUGUGUGACACAUCGGACUAAGUUAUGCCCUUUUAACAAAACAAGGAAACGAAGAAGGGACUUGCGAUUUGAACUAGUAUAUCUUAAGCUCUUUGUAGGGUCACAUGUAAUGGGGUAUUAACACAACUUAAUACACACACAUGGCUAGGGGAUAGCACUCAUUGUUUUGGUCUCAUAAACCCCUGACACCAUUAUUUUUUGGGGAGGGUGUUUUUGAUUUGAUUUCCUUACCCAUCAAGAUAUUUAUUAUUAUUAUUUUUUAAUUCAUUCCAUGCAUUAUGGGCUAUCUUAUCAAAAAAAUAACUAUAUAUAUAGUUAUCCAAAUUAUUUUUUAUAACCAAAUUCUAUCAUUUCAACUUAUAAGAUAAAAAAUCGGAAUAGAAUUUAUUAGUUUGUAAUUAUCUACUCUAAUUUAUAAUUGAGUAUCUAUUUUGUAAUGUAGAGCGCUAUUAAUUGAAAUUUUAGAAGUUAUUUAUUUAUUUUUUUUUAAAUUCUAUAGCCUCAUCUAAAAUAUCAUAAAAUAAUUGUAAAGUGAAGAGAAAUGUGUGCAAAAGCUUCAAAGGACAAUAAGAAGACUUUUAAAUUUUAUGGAUAAGUAUUUUCUCAAAGAUAACAAAGAUGUCAUUAUUUGUAUCAAUCACACACAUACAAAGAUUCUUUUCUCUUAUUUUGUUCCAAUUAAUAUUAAAUAAAUAAAAGUUAGUGUCCGAAAAAUGCUGGCUAUUAGUUAAUUUGCAAGUAGUGUUUUGGACUGACCUUAAGCCACACAUCCCUUCAGAAUUCUUUCAGACACUAUUGAAAAAGAUAUACAAAACGACCUGUCAAAAAGAAAAAAAGGAAGUUGCAACAAGAGGCCCUACAAUUAGUGAGAUAGUCGUUUUCCAAUUACGCCAAUUUUUAUUCCUGAAUAAGUGGGGGCUUGGGGUUGUAAGGUCCGUAAUUGGGUGUCUACUUUAUUGCACUAUACUCUUAAUAGACAACACAUACAUUUCAUAAUUUUGAUCACUUCAUAAUUGAUAUAAUGCAUUAUAUUGCAACCAUGUAGAGAUACAAAGUCUAUAUCUAUCUAUGUGCUUUGGUAGGGUUUGGUUCGAUUUUUGUUUCGCCAGAUAGUACAAAUUCACCUAUAUACUUUAUAUGAAAAAUUUACAGCAUUGAAAUUUUGUAGGAACGGUUUUUAAGUUACAAAUUAUGAUAAUAAUAUAUACCUUCCAUUUUAGCAAUAAUAGUUCUUAUAAAAAGUUUUUAGUUUUGAAAUGUGAUUAGUACAACUUUUAAAAUAAUAAUUUUCAUAUUUUUCAAUUAUUCAACAAGUGUUUACUCGAUCUAAUUUUAUAAAUCUAAAUGUUUAAUAAAAUGGUUUUGCAAAGUUAAAUCGUUUUAUAGGUGGAAAUUUUAAUGGAUGAAAGUAAGGGUGUUAAUGUAAAAAUUUAACAAAAUUACAUGGAUAAAUUUAUGAAUUUGACCAUUUUUUUUACUGAACCAUGUAAUUUUAUUGUUAGCUUAUAAGUCAGGACUUGAUAAUGAGAUUGGUUUAGUCUCAGAUGGUUCAGUGCUGACACAAGAAGCAGACUCAGACCUUAACCAAAUACUGAGUCAUAUAUAUACAUACACAGAUAGGCACAAAAUCCACCUGAACCCAGAAGUGAUGUCAUAAAUGUUAUCCAUUAGUAUCAUUAUAUUUCUUAUUUUCUGGUUGUGGGUUUUGUGCAGUUGGGUGGUAAAUUUGGGUUCGGAUGUCCAACUAUUUUCAGUGUUUAACUAGUUUGAUUUUACAAAUUCUUAGAUGCAAGACUGAAAAUAAAAUGAGAUUAAAAUUUUACUAAUUAUUAUGGCACUUGGAUCUCUACCUAUUACUUCUCAAUUGCACAUGCUAAUAUUAUUAUUCUCAUUUUAAAAUUUUCUAAAGGAAAAAAAUUGAAUCAUCGACUUUUUCGUAUAUUGCAUGGUACAAAUUCAAUCCCUAAUUAAGUUAUUAAUCUAAUUGGGUAAUUAAUUAGUAUUAUAUUAGUGUGAAACAGAUAUUGCUUGUGGUAUAAGUUGUUUGCUAGGAUCUAUGACUUUGAAGAAGAAAUAGAAAGGCAUAUUUAGUUAACAGCGAAUUUCUCGGCGUCAACAGUUUUAAAAAGCUUAAAGCGCAGAAAUUACACCAUCUUAGGUAUUGAUUUACAGGAAAAGAAAGAAUCUUUGGAAGAAGAGUCGACCAAAUUUAUGAACUCCAAAAGAGCUGCCACCGCGCUGCUCGUGAGCUACUCGAAAUUUGUCUCCAAAAAAAAAAAAAGUUUGUUGGAUCUUGUUUGAUAAAUUUAACAAAUCAAGUUUCAGCCUGAAAAAUGGAUCCAAGAAAAACCUAAUAUACUAAUACCAUCCAUCUCUGAUCCUCUAGAAGAAUCCCACCACCACCAAACCAUCGACAGUAAGCUUACAAGUUACACCAGCCCUCCGGAGGCGCGACCCAACUGAUCAUCAAACGGGUGGAAUCAGAGACACCGUCACUACUUACAUGAAGGUUUCAAAUUCAUCGCCAUCGGAAUUGGAAGCAAAGGACAUGAAUCCGAUUGCCGUCGGUCACUUCUAUGGAUUUACAUCAUAAAAAACAUGUAUUAGAGUGUAACGCCACCAUCUGCAUGGAUUUGAGAACCCGUCAAAUCCAAGUGUAACGCCACCAUCUCGAAGCUUUCAAUUUCCUGUUAAAAAAAAAAAAAAAAAAAAAAACUAAAAAAAAAACGCCACCAUCUGCAUGGAUUUGAGAACCCGUCAAAUCCAAGUGUAACGCCACCAUCUCGAAGCUUUCAAUUUCCUGUUAAAAAAAAAAAAAAAAAAAAAAAAACCUCAAAUGCAAGUUGUGAGCAAACGGAAACGGGCAACGAAUAACUUACACCCAUGGGACAUGACUUGUCCUUCCUACACGCAUGGUUAAAUUAGUAAUUUUAAGAUUAGUUAAUGAAGUAAUUGAUUCAAUCCAUUCUAAAAAUACGUGAUUAAUUAGCAAAUAAUCAACUUAAAGAAACCGAAUUUCCUCAAAAGCAAGAAAAUAAUAUAGUAACGGAGGAGGUUUGGAACACGCGCUGAAGCGAAGGUGAAAAGAAAACCUCGAGUAUAGAAAAGAAAAGGAAACGGGAAGCGUGGGAAAUGGAGGAGCGAGCCACUACUUUACGCACUAGACUGUACAGUCUAUAGUUAACAGUAGAGUACAGUUCCCAUGUGAGUAAAUAUUAUUCCGGUUGUGCCGUUAGAUUUAUUAACACGUGUCAGCAACAUGAGGUUAGCACCGAUUCCGGCCCCUACGCGUCCCGGCGGACCACUAUCUCCGAUGGUGGGUUACCGGUUUCGAUCACCUUUUGUUUUGCAUAGUAGCAGUCUCAGGCUCUCAGCUAGUAAGAUAUUGCCAUUGUCAUUUCGCUUUCACAAUACUAAUUUAUUACUCUCAUAUUUCCUUCUCCAACGACUCUGUUUUCUUUUUUUCUUCUUUUUCUUGGCAUUUAGUCACCUCUCUGUUUUCACCUUUGUAAUGAUUUUUUACCUCCUUACAUUGUUUGAUUAUUGAUUGGUGGGACCCAUAGUCAAUAUAAAGAUAAUUAACAUAUCUAAUUAAUUGUAUGUAAUUUUUUUUUAAUCAUUGUUGAAAAAUUAUUGAUUCAAAAAUUUCAUCUAAUGUAAAUACUCUGAUUUUUUAGUAUUGGAAAAUGAGAUCUGAAGUCAAUUUAUUGCGAGAUCGUAGCGCAUUUAUCACUAAAUUAUGUCUGGUGUAUAAUAUUUUUCUUAAUAUUUUAAUAAAAUUAAAAUAUAUUAUGCUGAUAAAAAGAAAAAUAUUAUUUAAAAAAGAGGACUAUUUAACAUAUAAUAACCUGAAGAUUAGAAAAGGUUAUUUCGUUAUCACAUGACAAAGCUUUAUUGCCAUUUCCACGAAACUUCAUGAAUCACCAAAAAUUCAUUGUAAUAAGCAAAAAUAUGAGUAAAAAUAUUGCUUUUGUGGCGUAACCUCUGGCUUGCUAUUUGGAUCUCCAGCCUCAAAUUUCACAUUGGAAUUUAUUGUACCAUUGAUUUGUCACUUUCACCAAACAAAAAUGUAUUUAUAUAUGUAGUAUAAAUAGUUGGUCAAAGAAGAAUUAUAGACUAAAAAUAAAAUAAUAAAAAAUAAAAAAGAAGAAGACUAUAAAUAAACUGGUCCUAUGAAUUAAUUCCCAUUCCCUUAAGUUUUGGGUCAAAAAAGCAUUGCUAAGAAUGAUACAAAAAUUGUCAGCUAAGCACAUUUAUCCUUUGAUGCUCUCUCUACUUUCUGAUGGGAAUUCAGUACGAUAUGUAUAUGCAUGUGUGCUGUGUAGUUGUUGUUAUGUUGAUAGAUAGAGCUGCAACUCCAAUGCCUAUUUCCAGAGGUCCCCCUACCCUUAUCGUUUCAACCCUUCUCAUUCAAUUUUUAUGGCUACUUUUUUUCAUUUCAAUUAAUUAAUCUAAAGUUCUAUAUAUUUCAAUUUGACUUAUGAUGAUUGUUUUGUCCUAAGAUAUAAGUCUUUUUCAGCAUUUUAAUUAUUAAUAAAUGAUGUUUUUUUAAUAUUCAAUUUAUUUAAAUUAGAUAUAAUAAUUAUCUUGAGAUGGAUAGAGUAAUAUUUAGUCUUGUAAUAAUUAAAUGACUUGAUGAUAAUUUAAUUUUGACUAGUUAUAUUAAUUUUCAAUUUAUUAAAUUUAUUGAAUAAACUAAGAAAUUACAUUAUAUAUUAAAGUAAAAAUAUAAUAUCUUGAAGGAUUUUAAUUAAUUAUAAUUAUAUACCAUAUAAGGUAUAUAUUAAAAAUGAUAAGGAUAUAAUAUCUUAAAGGAUCUUAAUUUUAUUGAUUAAAAAAAUAAAGGUAAUCUCAUUUUGAUUGGUCAUAUUAAUUUAUAUUAAUUUUAUUGAUUAAAAAAUAAGAUUAACAUUAAUUUUAUUAGUUAUAUUAUAGAUACAUAUUAAAUAUGGUAAGAGUAUAAUAUGUUUAAUUAUUACUUUUAAGAAUUCUUUAAUUUGAUUGGUUAUAAUUAUUUCUUGCAAGUUACUUAUUUUAAAAAAAUAAAUAUAAAUUAUUAUUUAUCAAAAAAUAUAUUAUAAGAUUUAUUAUUUGAUAUAAAAUAAAAAAAUAAAACUCACUAGAAAAAAUAUAAUAUAAUAUAAUAUAAAAUUACAUAUAGUAUAACGUAUUAGAUUAGCAAACCAUAUACACAUUGGAAAAAAAUCUAAAAAAAAAAAAGUAACCGUAAAGUUAAUUUUAUGCUCAUAGGCUUUAGCAAAAAGUAAAAAGAAGAAAAAUACGAAAAUUAUAAAUAAUGCUCUAAAACAAUGAUUAAUAUAUUAAUUAUUAUAAUACUUAUCUAAUUAUUACAAUAAUUAUCUAUCUAUAAUAUAUAAUAUCUAUAGUAUAAAUUCAAAAUAUAAUAAUUUAAAUCAAGUUAAUCCUCGCUCUAAGAAAAUUUAUUAUUUAUUAUUUUAUUAUUUCAUAAAGUGUUAUUUUAUCUAUUUUGAGAGUUUUUAGUAAUAUAAAUUGUUGAUAAUAUUAGAAAAUAUAAAUAAUAAAAAAUUACAUAUAUAAAUUAAAUUACAUUUAUUUAGUAACGGUUGAAAAUCUACAGGUAUAAACAAUUACAUUUAUUUACCAACCGUCGGAGAACACUCGUAAUAUUAAUAAUCUAUUACAUAAAAGAUUAGUUUGAACCCAAAAUGAACAUUGAGAUGGUGUUUUGUUUUGAUGCAACUAUUUUGUCGGAAUUGGAUACGACUUGGACUGGGGCUGUGGAUAUUUUUGUAGUUGUGUUGGUUUUUUUUUUAUAUUUUUUAGAAUUUUUUUUAGAUUAAAUACACAAUUACCAUCCGUCUUGUUUUUUUUCCCCCUCUAAUGCUCCGUUUAUUUCCAUAAAAUAAUUCAUGAAAAAAUAUUUUUUAUAAUUUUCCGUUAUUUGAAAGUUUCAAAAAAAUAAGUCAAUGAUAAAUAUUUUCUUAGUCAAAGGAAAAUUAAGUCAUUUUCAAAGAAAAUUACUUUACAUUUUCAAGAGUGUAAAAUAUUUUUCAAACUUAUUAUAACCUUAUAAAUCCAUAUUUUUUUAAUUUAUUAAUCAUUGGUAGCCACAUUACCACUCACCAUUCACCACCAUCAGCCGCCACCACCACCAACACCAAGCACAAUGACUUUCAUAAUUUUCUAUUUUUUGCAUUAUUCUCACAUUUACAAUAAAAUUUUUAAAAUAAGAUUUUAGUUAAUUUUCAAUAUUGCAACUAAGCAAUGAAAAAUAAGUCAUUUGAAAAAUAUUUUUUAAGAAAAACAUUUUCUUUGGAAAAUAUUUACCAAAGAUAAGUUAUUUUCCGGAAACAAACAAAACCUAAAUUUCAAUAUUUGGUGAUAAUUCGUUUCUCUUUAUUUUGCCCUUUUUUUUUCAGUAAAUAUAAAUUAUUUAGACAUAUUAAUUUGCAUUUUAGACUAAUACUGGUUUUAUUUUUCAUUAUUUUUUCAUUUUUUAUCGGUUUUUAUGGAAUUAAAUGCUUUCGAAGUCUUAUAUUUCUUAAAUAUACAUUCUUUGCAAAUGGGAGAGAAAAGAAAAUAAUUGAAAAAAAUAACGAAGAAUUGUCAAUUUUUUUCAUAUAGUUAUUGGUCCAUCUUUGGGUUUGGAUAUAAUAAAUGAAGAAGAUAUAAUACAUUUAUUUUUAUUUUCUCGAAAAGGGUAAAAUUUUAGAAGAAAUAAAAUGUUGUUAUUUGCAAUUGACUGUUAUAUCCUCAUUCAUUUUUUAAACAAUAAAAUAUAAUUCUUGGUUAUUUUGAUGUAUUUGUUAAUUUAAUAAAAAUGAUUGAAAUACAUACUUUUCUCCGUUAUUUUCUCUUCAAAUUGGAGAGAUUAAAAUAAGCAGAUGUAAGUGAAAAAUAAGUGAAUUAUUACUCUUUUAAUAUCUUUUUUCCUUUUCUCAGACAAGAAAAAACUUAUUUUCCUUUCUUAAAAGUAAAAACAAAGGGUUAAGGAGGAGUAAAAAUUUUUGUUGCUUUGAACUUUUAGUUAACAUUUCAUUAAUUGAGCUUGUUUAAAGAUAUGAAAGUUGUUUCUUAAUUGGAAAUAGCUAAUAGACAUAACACACAUCUCAUCUAAUUGCCAAUUUUAAUGUUCUACAUCAUAUUAAUGGGAGUGAAGUGAAUUUUUUAUUUUGAUAUUUAUGAGAAUAUUUAUAGAUUUUUAUUUUUAAAUUAAAAUAAUAUAAUGAAAGAUUCCAUAAAAAUUUAGCAUUUUCUGGUUGGUUCAUCGAUUGUCUUUAACAGAUUUUGCUAUUUAAGCUAACUAUGAAUUGAUGUGUAUAAUACUUAUCAACUUCAAGGUUUUGAUAGAAAAAGAUUGAAAAAUGAAAGGAAAUUCCCAUGUCACGGUUGGUAAAGACAACAUAAGCACGGAUUUAUUAGGAGAUAGAUUUAGAUAAGGUCAAGGUAGUCAUUUAACAUUUAUCGUUUUUUUGCUAAUAUUUUAUGUCAUUCUAUAUAUUUGUACACUAACUAAAUUACAUUACAAAAUUUCAAAUUCUUUGAUAAAAUACUAUUAUGAGAAAUUAAUGUGUAAAAAUAAAAUAAUUAAAAUACUGAAUAAUAAAAUCUAUGUAAUGGUUUAUAUGAGACAGUAGUGGACCAAAUUGUUGAAUCUUUUCCACUAAUGUCAAGAGUGUUUAUGAUCGUGAAGAAUUCAAUAUAGGGAAUUUCUCAAAUCAAAUUCAAUUAUUAAGAAGAUGGUUUUAUAUUAAGAAAAUUAAAAGAACUCCAGUUAGAAAAAAUGGCAAUAAAUUGUGCCUCCUUUGAGUUCAAAGUGCCUACUCAAUUAUAUUAUAAGUGAUCCACAUCAAUUUCAAUUUACUAUAAUGGGUAUAUAAUUAAUGUUGUAUAAUUAUUUUAAGAAAAGUUAAUGCCGUAAAAUUUAGUUAUUGAACUUUAAAAAAUUCAACAACUAUAUGUUUUUUUUGAGUACUAAUUUUUAAAUCAAAUAAAAAUUAGAGUAAAAAAAAUACUACAAAAUCAAAUAAAUAUCUAUGUUGAAUAUAAUUUUAAUUAUGCAUGCAGUAAAUAAAUGGUAAUUACACGGUAAAUGCUAGUUCCCCAUUGAUCAUCAUAAUCAAUAGAUAUACUGUAUCACAACUUACCCGAUAUUUUUAUUUUACCAUAAUAACAAAUUCUCCAUUUCACGAUAUCUCAUCACAACAUCACUUCACUUUCCUUCUUCUUUUCUUCUUCUUCUUCUUCUUCUCCUCUUUCUUUCUCUCUCCACCCAUCAAUUCAUUCUCGAAACACAACUCAGAUUCAACCCCACCAUUUUAUUUACCGUUCUGCCACUGCUUCUUCUCUUUAUUACCCCACCUGCUCUUCUCCUUACAUCCUCCAUUGCCAUAUAUAUACAUAUAAUAUAUCAUUUAUAUAUUAUAUAUAAAUGACAUACAACACACACAGCUUAAGCAAAGUAACACAAUAACCCUUUGAGUACUCCCGAAUAUUUUCUUUGAAAUAAGAGAAUGAAAAAGCUCUCUUCUUUUUAGCAUCAGAGUUCAGGUUUGUAUACUUACAGUAAGCUAGUUUUUAUUUUGUUUUGUUUUGCAUAUAUUUUUGAUUAUUGGUUUGAUUUGCAGGGAGUGUUCGCUGUUUGUUUGAUGUGAAGUUUUUUUUUUGGCGAAGAAUUAUUGUUUUAUUAUUAUUUUAAUGGUGAUGAAAAUGAGGGUUAAGGAAAUGCACCCGCUGUGUUGCAUCUCGCUAGAGAGCCCCGGAAUCGGGGACCAGUCACCGGAGGCGUCGUUGACUAGAGCGAGAUCCUUACCGGCUGGGUUUUCCGGCGGAUCUGAUGGCAAUGCGGGCAGGAAUAUAGCGGGAUCGGAGGCCACCGUAGCUGGAGUACUAUAUAAGUGGACCAAUUACGGAAAAGGGUGGAGAUCACGAUGGUUCUUACUUAAAAACGGCGUGCUUUCUUACUCAAAGAUUCGGAGGCCGGAGAAUCUGAAUUUGUUAACAGCGAAUGAUGACGUCAGAUUGAUCGGAGAAAUAUCUACCAAUCGGCUAUCAAGGAUGGACAGCGGAAGUUUUCGGCGGAAGCAGCAGAAAAGUGUUGGCAUUGUUCAUUUAAAGGUAUAUACUCCAACCAAGUAAGAGAAAAUUAAAAUUGAAGGUUGAAACUGGAAAAUGGUGGUAGAUAGAGAGGAUUUAAUGUGCGAUCUGGACAUGGAAGAGUUGGUUUUUGAUGCAUUUUUUGGCGGUAUUGGGGAAAGUUUUGCCAAUAUGGGAAACAUUUCGAUUCAAAAAUUGAACUUUCCAGUAUUUACUAAUUUGGUCAAAUUGUUUACUUUCUGAUUUGUGAUAUCUGUCAACAACAAUGAGCAAGAAAGAGCAUUGAUAUCUGAGCUAGAAAGAGUAAAAUGGGUCGGUUAUGAACCGCAGGUUUCUUGCAUUGCUCAGUAGGGUCUGUUUUGUUCUGUGAGCGGCCAAAACGGAAUUUUAAUUUUCAUUACACCACUAUACUUUCUUCUCCUCUUUUUCUGAAGAUGGUCUCAAUUUCAUCUUUGCCCUUUUUUUACAGUUUAACUGGUUGUUAAUGUAGAGUGGGUCACAUCAGCAGGUGGGUAUUGUGUGUGUAUGUGUGUGGGUUGGCUAUGAUAGGAUACAGUGUAGGUCUAGGUAUGCAGCUGUGGUCACAUCAUUGGUUUUGAGUGGAUGGUCUCAGCUCUCUGAAAUGAUUCUUCAUUUCUUGCUUUGAUUUUUUUUUUCUUCACCCUAUUUGUUUUUUACUCAUCAGAUUCACAUCCCAACCAAUCCAAAUCCCUUUUUUCUUUUUUUUUUUUUAUGAAAAUAAUCCAAAAUUUUUUUACUUGUCAACUUCUGGGGUUUUUGUAUCUCUUUCUACUGUAUUUUUCGCACUUUUAUUAGGUUUUGGUUGUUUCUUCUUUACUUUGUAUUUUCUAUUUUCUUUUGCUUUCAUCAAACGUUGUUGUUUCCCUCAAGGCUUGAAAUGGGUUUUCUUGUAUUUGCCCACUUGGGUUGAUUACUCUUUUCUUUUGACUUGGUUUAAGUUAUGCUUAAUUUUAUUUUUAUUUUAAGGUACAGUUUUCUUUGAGUCUACUAUUGUGGGCUUUAUUCUACUCUUUUAUCUUUAGUGGAGAAAUAUACAGAUAUAGGAGAUUGUGGGGACUCUGUGACUACUCACUAGUAGGUGGCGCUUCAUUCAUUACGCCACCAUUGCUAAGCUAAGAUAGAAAGGUUAUUUCUUGGAGUAUUUUAAGCAUAUUCUUUUUGUAAUUUCUAGAUCCGAAUGCUGACUGUAAUGUCAUGCUCCUUCUGUCUGGGGUUUUAAAGCUGGAAACUCUGUAUUCUCGUGGCCAAACACUAGUAGAAGUUGAUUAGGAGCUUUAAACUUUACUGGUUGUGUUAAGCUAAAGAAUUAGCUUUAUUCUCGCUUAGGUUAGUUUCCUGGCGAUCUGUGGAUGCAGCGAAUUGGAGUUUAAUGGUUUCUCUUUUGGGUGUCCUAGUUAUUUGAUAUGUGCGAGUCUGCUGUUUUUUCAUUUACUAAAGAUUUCAACUUUCUUUCUGUCACCUGUAUACUCCGUAUAAAUCUACGUCAGCACAUUAUUUGUUAUGAAAAAUGCCAAUCUUGCAAAUAUUAAGACUUGUUAUAUCUAUUCUUGUAGCAGAUCUCGUCAUUCCGUGAAAGCAAGUCUGAUGACAGGCGAUUUUACAUAUUUACAGCUACAAAGACUCUUCAUUUGAGAACUGAUUCAAAAAGAGAUAGGGUUGCUUGGAUACAAGCUUUGGUCUCAACUAGGAGCCUCUUUCCAUUAAGAUCACUUAAUGAUAGUCUCUCCCUUGUACCAAAAGAUUUGUCUGUUUCAUCUGAAAGGCUUAGAAAACGAUUACUCGAAGAAGGUAUCAAUGAGAACCUUGUCAAGGAUUGUGAGCAGAUCAUGCUGUCGGAGUUCUCUGAAAUACAAGGGCAACUUAAAGUACUUUGUGAUGAACGGUCCAAUUUGCUAGACACAUUAAGGCAGUUAGAGGUAACAUUGUAACUAUUAUGACUUAGACACCCAACUAUAUUUCUAAUGAUCUUCAGUGAAUUUAUUUUUCUUGCAACUGCUGUUCUAAGAUGCUGCAGAUUAAUCAUAUUAUCAUUGCAUUACCAUUAUAAUUUUAAAAAUUCUACUGAGUUCAAUCUUUUUAUUACAUAAUUUAAAAGUCGAUGUGACAGUCACAUAUGAAUUGUUUCACAAUGAAACAUUUUCAUACAUGUGGCCAGAAAGGAAACAUUUCCUAAUAUUAUUUUUCUUCAUUCAAGCCGAUUCAUUUUAAGUCAUAGGGUAUCAUUCUUUCACUUGCUUCUAAAUUAAUUUCUUUUAUUGUAUAUACAUUUUAAAUAUCCCCAUCUAGUUGUCUCAAAAACAUCAUUGUUGUGCUUACUGAUCUGUGUUACACAGGCAAAACUAGUUCUUUUGUUUUUGUCUUCAAUCAGUUGGUUGUUGAUUUUAUGUGAUGCCACUCUAUGUUUUCUUGUCUUUCCAUUCACUUAACAUUUAGUGUGACACUAAUAUGAAGUUAUUUCCUAAGAAGUUCAACAGUGAAAUUGACCAAGUGUAUUGGUUGAUUUGUUUUCAAUUUUAUGUGGUUAUACUAGGUUAUUAAUCAAUGAAAAUGCUCUUCUUGCAAAGAUUGUGUAAAUAUUUGCUUGCUCUUGUUACUAAAUUGUCAUUUUCUGGUUAAAGUGAUUUUGUGUACAUUCAGAACUUUUUUUUGAAUUAUCAUUUCCACUUGGUGAGGAUUAAAUAACAUAUUCAACCAUUGAUUAGUUUUGGAGUUUUCAUGUCUUUGAUCUUUAUUAGUUGUUCGUUUUCAUAUUCCAUUUCUUGUUCCCAUUGCAUACUAUGUCGAUCUCAAACAAUUAUUUUGGGGCUGUACUAUGGCUUGUUCAUUCAGGCUGAAGUCAGAUGUCUUCUGCAUCCACUCUCGACAAUUUCAUGCUUUUACUAUUUAUAUUCCAUUCUCUUUUCAAAAUGCAUUGAAAUCCACAGGUUUCCUGGCUGAAUUGUAUUUUACAUUUCUUUUUCCUUCCAAUUUGCUUAGCCCCCGUUUAAUGUAUUAACAUUUAUUAACAUUUAAACUCUUUCUGAUACAUAACCUGACCACAUUCAAACUACAUUCUUGAAAUGGAUUCGAGUUUCUUCAGGAUAUUCUUUUGGGUUAUUGACUUGAAUUUAAAUUUGACUGUCUAUGUAGACCUUAUACAUAUCUAUAAUUCAUGUUUCUCUUUACCUCUUGUGCAAAAUAGAUUUCCCCAUGGUUCUCAUGCAUGACAAUGCUUAUGGAUGAUAUGAAUCAGUAAUCACACGAUAAAGAAAUUAAUUUAUUGUUUGCAAGAAUUUACUGCUGUGUUUUUCCGAACACUGGCAAACUUUGUGAUUUGUUCUCUAGAUUAAAUGCCUCAGUAUUUUGUGAUGAGCUAUUAGUGGCAUAUAUGAUUUAUAUCCUGGAUUUGCAAGUCAUAUAUUAUCUUUGGCGAACGAGUUACGUAAAAGUUUGGCAUGCUAAUGAUUGGUCUGUGACAGGUUUAUGGACUCUUCAAAUACAUUGAUUUACAGCUUAUGUUUCUUGAUCAUAUAUGUUUUCAGCUUAAAAUUUUUGUUUCAUAAUAUCUUUUGCUCUAAAUUCACUUGUAAUAUACGUGCUUCUGAAAUAAACUUGAAAACAUCACUGCACAUCACCAAUCUUUCUUUUUACUUGUGCAGGCAGCUAAUAUUGAAGCAGAAACAUCUGGAAUUACAGAUGGUGAAUUUCAAUUGAAGCAUGAAUUUUCGAGUUUAGGGCGUGGAAAGUUUAGUGGUAUGGGCAUCAUUACUUUGGUUUUUUUUUUAUUUUUUUUAUUUUGUUUGUUUAUUUUGGAUCCAUCAAUAUUUCUUAUUAUCCUUUACUUGGAGAAAAAUUCAAGUUUAUUUUGAGUUAGCCGAUUCAAAUGUGGAAAUGACCAUCAUCUGUUUUUUGGUUUUCUGUAUGGAUCCCUCUAGUUAACAUUUCUUUAAGUUUUAAUAAUGUUAUUGGAUCACCUAUCUUUCUUUUUGACCAUAGUUUGUUAAUAUUGCUGUGAUAAUUUUCCCCCUUUUCUAUUGCUACUUGUCCUGCACUCUUAUUCCAGUUAUCUUGUUUUGGGUUUCAGAAUGUAGCACUACAGAAUCAUCUGAUGAUAUUGAGAAACAAGAACUUGAGGAAGUGUCAGAAGAAGAUGAGGCUUCAUUUUAUGAUACAAAAGAGUAUUUUACUGAACCUACUAUUGUUCGUGGGUCAAUAAAAGAAGUUUCUGGUCACCAAGAGAAACACAGGGAAUGUAGUCAAUUUGACAAUGAUGAGAAAAUGCAUACUGAGAAGCAACUUUAUAAUGCUAGAUAUCCACAUAUUCAAAGGCGAAAGAAGCUUCCCGAUCCAGUUGAGAAGGAAAAAGGGGUUAGUCUUUGGUCUAUGAUCAAAGACAAUGUCGGGAAGGAUCUCACACGAGUUUGUCUUCCUGUUUACUUUAAUGAACCAAUAUCAUCUCUUCAGAAGUGCUUUGAGGACUUGGAGUAUUCUUAUCUUUUGGACCGUGCUUAUGAGUAUGGAAAAGAAGUAAGAUUGCCAUACACUUUUUGGUUUGUUGCAUUUUGUGGGUAUUGAAACAUUGUGCCUUUAUGGAACAGUAUCUAUCUUCAUAGAGUUCCAAGUAUUAAAAAAAAAAAAAGGAAUAUUUUACUUUUCUUUCUGUGUUUGAUUUUUUCCCCUUUUAUUUUAUUUAUUUUGUGUGUGUGUGUUUUUCCUCUCUACUUUCUCUUGUUAUGGUUGAUUAUUUUAAGAGAUAUAUGUGUGGGCAAAUUCAGAUGAUAGGUAAGAGAUAGUGAAUGACUCAUGGCACAUGUAUCUGUGAAGAUUGGUUAAUUCCAUUCUGUUUUGAAUUAAAAAUAUAACGUGGCUGAUAGUUUUGAUGAAAAUUGGCAUCAAACUAACAAGUAUUUCAAAUAUUUGUAUGUAAUUAAAAAAUUGUAAGGAUUUUGGCUACUUACCUUAUUUCAUUUAUUUUCUUGCUAUUCACAAGGUGAUGUUUCCUUCUGAUGGUGCCCAUUGUCUGUUCUUAGUGCAAGGAGAAGUGGAUUACUAUUGAGCCUGUACCGAAUCACCAUAUGUACUUCGAAUAAACAACUGAUUUUCAAAUUUGAUUAUUGAAAAUUAUUUUGAUUUAGGUGAUCAUACCCUUAUAUCUUGUGCAUUACGAAUGAGCUAGCAGAUAAUUUGAAAUUAUGCUAAUUGGAAACGAAACAUGGGAACAUAAAUUGUCGAGGAUGCAAUUAAGUUCAUGAAUUUAUUAUUCCAAUUCCUUAUGCACUAAAGGUUCAUUGGCAUGUUUAUAGAAUACAAUGUUUCAUGAACAGGAAGUGUCAUUUGAUUGGUUCUGAUUGUUUGUUCCUCUAUGAUUUUUAAUUUGUACAGGGGAAUAGUCUUAUGAGGAUCCUAAAUGUUGCAGCAUUUGCUGUUUCUGGAUAUGCAUCCUCUGAAGGCCGGCACUGCAAACCCUUCAAUCCUUUACUAGGAGAAACCUAUGAAGCUGACUAUCCUGAUAAAGGGGUUCGCUUCUUCUCUGAGAAGGUCAGUAAUGAUCCUAGAUUAUGGUAGAAUGAUGCAGCCUUUACUUUGAAGUUAAGCUGGCAGUUUUGAAAUUAAGCUGUGUGUUACAUGCACUUUUUGUUGUUUAAACGAUGAUUGUAAUAUCUGCAGGUUUAGACAGAUAAAGAAGGAAUGGAUUUUUUCCUCUACCAAAAAAAGAAAAAAAAAAAAAAAAAGAAAUGGUUUUUUUCCCCUACCAAAAAAAAAAAAAAAAAGAAAUGGUUUUUUUCCCCUACCAAAAAAAAAAAAAAAAAGAAAUGGUUUUUUUCCCCUACCAAAAAAAAAAAAAAAAAGGAUUUUCCAAAUCUUCCAUCUGCUCAAAUCCCUCGAAAUAAGGGAUUUAAACUCCCGCUUAGGAGGUGCAAUUACAUGAAACAUCUCACGUUUGCGAGAUGAUAGAUUUUCCCAUCCUUUCUUUCACUUCCAAAAUUACUCUUCAAUUUCUAGGAUUUUGAUUAAGUGCCAAAACUGUAUGUUCUCUAAAUCCAUGGACUUAAAAUGUUGAAAAUCAUUGGCCAUAAAUCAGGGUGAUGGAAUAUUUGGAAGCAAAGGGGUCUGCAGGACCUUUUCUCAAAGGAAGAAUGAAAUGCCACAUAUAACACAUGUAAUUUACUUACAAAGGAAAAUCUUGAAGAAUUUUUUUGAAAUCUACAGAAUAGUGAAAGAAACAACAAUUAAUUGCAAAAAGUUGGAAGUUUUCUUUGGUUACUUGUGAUGAGUGAGAAAACUUGUUGCAUUUGAAGGCAUUGGUAAUGAAUUUGCUUAUCUGCUUUUUUUAACAGGUUAGUCAUCACCCAACUCUCAUUGCCUGCCACUGUGAAGGUAGAGGGUGGAAGUUUUGGGGUGACAGCAACCUCCGUACAAAAUUUUGGGGGCGGUCUAUUCAACUUGACCCUGUUGGAGUUCUAACCCUGGAGUUUGAUGAUGGUGAAAUAUUCCAAUGGAGCAAGGUAUAUAUUGCUGCAUAACUGUGCCUGUACAUGACAUGACUGCUCAACUUUUUCUACCUUUUACCUCCUUUUCUGUUUUGAUGGUGCUUAUCUGUUUUGAUGGUGCUCAUUAUUAAAAUGGGCUCUCUCGUUCAUCAGGUGACAACUGCAAUUUAUAAUCUUAUUCUUGGUAAAGUGUAUUGUGAUCACCACGGAACGAUGCAUAUACAAGGAAAUCGACAAUAUUCAUGCAAACUCAAGUUCAAAGAACAAUCAAUUCUUGACAGAAAUCCACACCAGGUUAGUAAUUCCACUUUGUUUGCCUGCAAACUAAUCUGAAAAAGUGCUUUGUAGUGCCUUGGUUACUUUUAAUAUCUGUUAGGUUCACAUGCAGUUUUUCACUCAUUAGGGUACAGUAUUCUCUGUCUAUUGUGUGAGUUAUUGUCUAAUAUAUCAUAAUAUUAUUUAUGCUUACAUCUGCACAGGUUAAUGGGUUUGUUGAAGAUGUUUCGGGGAAAAAAGUUGCUCAAUUGUUUGGGAAGUGGGAUGAUAGCAUGUAUUAUACAAAAGGUGAUGGGACUAGCAAGACAAAGGAUAGCAAUUCCUCACCUAAUACUAUGUUGCUUUGGAAAAGUACCAAAACACCUCCUAAUAUUACUCGGUACAACUUAACAUCAUUUGCGAUCACUCUAAAUGAAUUAACACCAGGACUAAAGGUAGAGAUGAUGUAUUAUAUCAUUUUCCAGAUAUGCAUUCUCAUUUUCCUCCUAUGCAUCUCUAAUCGGUUUUUAUAGCCAUGUCUGAUCCCGGGUAUUUGAUCACGGAUUAAGGAGAAGCUCCCACCCACGGAUUCGAGGCUCAGACCGGACCAGAGGCAUCUGGAGAAUGGGGAAUAUGAGAAGGCAAAUGCAGAGAAACAAAGGUUGGAGAAGCGGCAGAGAAUGGUACACUUGACCCUUUUUUUUUUUCUCUGACAUAAGCAUACACAGAACAUGACUGCAUAUCUGGUUGAAUCAUAAUGUGGAGUGCACACAGAGCUAGAUUAUGGUUAUAUUAACAGAUUUCAAUAUGAAGCUAAAGAUAAGUUCUGCAAAAAGUGAAAUGAGUAACAUGUGACAGUCUAGAGUACUAUUAUGAAGUAUUAACUUGUAGAAUUUGUGAUAUAUAUAUAUAUAUAUAUAUAUAUAUAUUUGUUAUGAGCAUCAUGCUUUCUCUCAUUCCAUGCAGUCAAGGAAAUUACAAGAGCAUGGAUGGAAGCCAAGGUGGUUCCAGAGAGAAGGUGAAAAUGGACCUUUCCGCUAUGUGGGAGGGUAUUGGGAAGCACGAGAGCAGGCAAAUUGGGAUGGCUGUCCAAAUAUUUUUGGUGAAUUCAAUGAAGAAUUUGCAGAAUCCUCUGAGGGAUAUUGAUUUUGGUUUAGGUAUCUUCUCUUCUGGAGAAUAUUUUAUUUUUAUAGAACCACAGUAUUGGUUGACACUCCAUUUUCAUAAUGAAAUGUUAAUCUAGUGCCUAUAUAGUGUAUAGGAAAUCAGAAUAAAUUAUGAUGUUUUUAACCGUUCUGUUAAUCCUCAUUUCAUGCUACCUUGUAGAAAAAGUUGUCACAGAGUAAUCUGUGCACAUUGAUUGGUCAGUUCUUCAAAUUCCAGUCACUACUGGCAAUAACCAGGUCUGAGGUGGCAAGUUUUCACCGGGAGAAUAUGGAGCGAAAAAACUUAAUUUUCAGCUUACAGAGAAUGCAUAGAAUAGAACCUAUAGCAUAUUCCUAAUUGCCUGCUAUGGGAAGGGUUGUGUAAUGUAGCAUCUUGAUUCGAGUUUAGUUUCUUGAAAUGUACUUCUGCCAUUUUGAUAUUUAUUUGUAUUUCUUUGUUAGAAAUAAACAGGGAAAGGAAAAGGAAUUGUAUUAUUAUCAUAAUCCAAAAACUAGUUUAUCCAUACUCGUGUAAAUUUGUGCUGAUGUCAAAAUUGCGCAAGUUCCAUUGAUUUGUAUACUAUCAUACGUCAUAUAUCAAUACUCUUCUCUCUCUCUCUCUCUCUGUGUGUUAGAAUUUUUUGGGAAUGAAUAUGAUGUCUGUACCCUAAGCAAGUGUAUCAGUAGCUUAAUGAAAGAUAAAUAAACAAGAAGCAGCAUCUCUCCAAUCUGCUUUUGUUCUUGCCUGGCCCUAGUCAAUCUAAAAAGUUUUGCUUUUGAUUACAAGUUCAAUUUACAUAAGAAUUAGACUUUAUUUAGAAAUAAAUUGCGUUUGGCAUAACGUAAUUUAAAAUAUCAAAUUUCAAUUAAAUUUCAUAUAGUUCAUAAUUGAAAUUCAUUUAUCCUAAGUUCAUAAAUUACCCUCAAUGAAAUUAAAAAAUUGAUAAUUUUUACUCUAUAAAAAAAUCUUAUAAGUUAUAGCUAUUAAAUUGAUAAAAAUUAAUAAAUAUAAACCAAUUAACAAUAUAUUAAUAAAUGCAAGAUAAAUUCUCGUACUUCAAGAAGUGAAGAAGAAAAUGGAAGAAAAUUUUUUUUAAUAUAAGCAUUUUAGUUAAAAAGAAUUGUUGUGAACUUAUUUCAAAUUCCUAUCAAACUUAAUAAAUAGAAAUUACUUUUAGCAAUCAAUUCUAAAGAAUUGAAUUCUGAUAAAAAAAAUUAUAAAGACUUGGAAUUGAAUUCUACCAAAUUUUGUUGGAACCAAACAAAUUAGGAACAUAUUUAAAAAUAUAAGUUUAAUUAUGAAGCUGGGCUUCUUAAAAUUAGUGGGACCUAAGGCCCUAACAAACAAUAAAAGAACACUACAUUCAUAUUAUCCAUUAUUUUGUUAUGGGGACUAUUCAUGGCCCAUGCAUUACAACAUUUAAACUUCAUGGACGUAAUGGUAAAUUCAAUCUGAAGUAGAAUUUUAGAUUUUGUGUUGAAAAAUCGGACUAAUUGUUUUCUUUUUAAAACUAUUCCGUAUCCGAAUAGGCACAAUAAAUUCGGAUUUAUGUCCCGUACAACGAUAAAAAAAAGUAAGAUGUUAUGUUCCAAAUUUUACAGUUCGAAUUCAAUAUUUCUAACCAAGGGAGAAGACACCGUUGUCAUCUCAUCAAAUUAAAUUAUCAAAACUAUAAAUAUAUCCAUUACAUUGGUGUUGGAAUUGACAAGGCAAGAAAAUGAGUCCACAUGGGGAUUUCUAGAAAAUUCCUGAAAGUGAUUUUCCUGUUGAGAAAGAUGAGAUUUUUUUCCUUUGAAUAAAUCAAAUCCCAUUGCAUAGAUAAGCAAGAUAGAUUGAAUUAUUGUUUAACUAUUCUAAAUUAUUGGUGAAUCCAAAUUAUUGAACAAGAAAGACAGAAAAGAUCACGUGGCUAUUUGUCCAUUUGAUUUGUUUAAGUCAUAAAUUGGCUGCUUCUGCUGGAUAUUUUCUUUUUUGUUGGAAAUUAUAGCCCAAGUGUUUAAGGAAAAUUUCACAUGGUUUUGGUCAGUUUUGAAACAACAACGACGAAUAUGGAAUUCUGUGCUGUCAUUUUUUGCUUCUGUCAGAAACAUAUGCAAGCUGCUUGUCAUUGACAUUAUAUCUUUCUGUACUAAAAUUAACCAAAUAGAAUCAUAAAUCCAGUAAACUUCAAAAAUAUCACUGCAAUUUGGCCUUGAAAUAUGGCUUUAUAUAUUACCAUUGACAAAAUAUUAUACGGUGAAUUUACUCUAAGUUGAAUUUAAUUUUGUAUAAGAACGGAUUUAUCAUUCAGUAAAUUUUAAAAUUGUAUUAGAAUAAAUGUAAUUGUUGUUGAUAUAUUUGAUUUAUUUCGAUAUAAUUUUAAAAUUUAACAACUGAGUUCUUAUAUAAAUUUAAACUUAUAAUAAUUAAUCCAAAAUCGUAAUUGUUACUCACUUUUGCAUAAUUUUUAUUUUUUAAAAAAUCCUAUCUAAUGUAACAUUAAUAUGAUAUUCACAAUAGAAAAAUAUUUUUGCUGGAAAUCCUAGGACCAAAAUAAUUGUUUCCUAAAAAAAAAGAAAAGUAUGUCUGCGAAUGUAUCUUCAAUAAUAUUUCUUGUCACCAUAAAUCAGAACGUACUAUUAAAUUUCCCCCAUUGAUUGAAUUUCGAUCCUGCCCAAGUUUUUAAGGAUGACAAUGAUUAGAUUGGAAGACAGGUUGCCAAUCUUUUGCCUUUGUUUUUAAAGAAUCCUUUUUUUUUUUUUUUUUCAUAUACAUGUUUCAAAGCACACCACGUUUCCUACAUUGUACUACUCUGUCUCUUCUUCUUUCUUCCAACUUGGCAUACGGUUGCCACUCAUUUAUUUAAGUGUCUAGAGCAAAGAAGUUUACAGGUGUUUGAUCUAACUUGUAAUAAGGAAAAGAAAAAAAGAAGUUAAGAUCAAUAUAAUUGUAAUUAUAAUUGAAAUGAGACUAUUAGGAUAUACUUAAAUGUCCUGAAAAAUAAAAAAUUAUUGUAGAUCUAUUUUGUAUUUUCAAUCCCAUAAUUGAUCCAACUCAAAUUAUUCUAGCCGGCUUAAUUUAAUCAAUGUUGGUUAAUGUUUUUUUAUAUUUUUAUUUUAUUAAUAUAGUCCAGGAAAAACUUCAUGUAACUGGGAGCUAAAUGAAUUAUUAUAAGAUAGUAUAUACACAUCCUCUUCAUUUUUUUUACUCACUCAAAUUAUUAUUAAUUCUUAAAUUGAAAGAUAUAAAGAUGGGGAAAGAUAUCAAAUACCUAUUUGAACACAAAGUUAUACAUACACUUAAAAUACAGUAUAUUUUUGUAUUAUCAAAAAGUUAUUCAACACAUCUUCUUCAACUUUUGCUUCAUUUUGAUGCUUUUUGUUUGUACAUACAAAGGUUAUAGAGCAGAAACUUAAACGAAUUAAGAGCAAGCUUAUGCUUUGAAACAUAAAAUAGUGAGCUAAAAAAAAAAAGUGAAAAAAAGAAGAUGAUAAAUCCUUGAAUUAAUGGAAAGCAGGCUCAUCAAGCUCCUCCAUUUCAAUGCCAACCUCACCCAGCCUCUUGUCCUUGUACACAUACCAUUUAGAAGAAGCAAAAAAUAUCACAAAAUUCAAUGCACUCAAAAUUGCCAAUAGCCAAUAGAAAUCGUAAAGCCUCCCUUGGUUUAGAUUAUCAGCUAGCCAUGGUUUAUUUCUCGUCACCUUGUGCACUAUUGUCACCAAUAUAGAACUAACGAAAAACCCUAAUGAAAGUGUGCUUAAAAAUAGCCCUGUGCUCAUCGUCUUCAUUCCUUUAGGACACUCUCUUAAAAAGAAAUCAAGCUGCCCUAUAUAUGUAACUGCUUCUCCUGCACCCACUAGCAGAAACUGAGGAAUUAACCAAAAUACACUUAAUGGGAUCUGAGCCGUUGCAUCAUUGCUCAAACCAUUUGAUCUUGCGGCUCUUAACCUUUUUAAUUCAGUCAAUGCAGCUGCUACCAUUGCAAUAAUGGAAAACACUAGACCAACCCCUAUACGUUGCAAUGGAGUUAGCCCAUUUUUUUUCUUGAAAAUAUUCUUGGCAAUUGGAAGUAUAAUUCUGUCGUAAAUCGGUACAGUUACGAGAAUGCUAAUAACGAAAAAGAAGGUCAGGGAGGCUGCUGGUAUUUCGAAAGAUUUUCCUAUGUGACGGUCCAUGGUAGUUGCUUGCGACACAGAAAAUGUUGUCAUUUGUGCAUAGACCGUCCAAAACAUAAUGCAAGUAGCCCAUAUGGGUAACAUUCUAACCACCAUUUUUACUUCUUCAACAUCUGUUAGGGUUGAUAGAUUCCACUUGUUUACCACUGUACUUUCUUGGUUUUUGAUUGCUGCUCUGUCCAAGAAACUGUACAAACAAAGUAAAAAUCAUCACUAAUUAAUUAAAAAAAUUUACCGACAAAUUAAUAACUCAGAAUGUCUAUAUUAUAGUUUGUUUUGUUGUUUGAAUUUAGUUCACGUGUCAGGCCAACAAAUGUAGACAUAAGGUUUCAAAAAUAGCUUGAGAUUUCUAUUAUUAGACAGUGAUACUUCUGAAAUGCUAUAAAAAAGACAGUAGUGGACAAAGAAAUAUGAUGUGUUGUGUCCGUGAUUUAGCUUAUAUUAGCAGCGGUAAUAAUGCUCAACAGACUAUCAAAAUCAAUUAAUUUGGAGACAGACUGGCUUUGGUGACUCGUGACCACUUCUUAAUCGGUUACGAGUAUUAUUUUUGUGGGAACAUUUGGUAAAGAAUCUGUAAAUGAAGAGAUACUUAAUUAAUUAGGGAAUCUAUAUAUAUAACUAAGGUCUUUACAUUUAUGGAAUUUUAGGGUUUAAGUGAUCAAGAUUUGAAGCAAAUUAUAAGAAUAUGAGAGAUGCAUGCAUAUAUAUUAUACUAUAUUAUAAGGAACUGAUUCCAAGAAAGUCAAUUGGGCAUUUGAUAUUUUCUGACAUGUCAUCCAAAAUGAGAGUCAUUUUGUCCUCUAAUAUCUAAACAGAGAACAAGAUAAAAACUGACAUAUCACAUUUCAUGUAAACUUUGUUUUUUUGAGAGAAUGGUUUUGGGUCUCCGCUUGCAAGUUGUAAGGGUUAGCACACAGACUCAGAAUUCAAACCUCACCACACAGCAAAACUUAUGGUCUUGGCUGUCAAUUUGCAUACAACCAUUUUAUAUGACUGGACCAAAAUUGUAACAAUCAUUUCCAUAACUCUGCUCUCUGAUUGGCUAGCAUUGACAGGUUUCCAUCUGUGAUAUGUCUACUUACGACAGCUCCGACCCAAAUGGAAAGUUAAUUUGAGCUGUUGUUGUCACCUACCCCCCCCAGUAUUAGUCCAUAUACCAUGCACAUUCUGGUGAAAAUGAUAUCAUAUUCUUGCGUGUUGUAUUUCUAUUUCUAUUCUAGUUAGUUCAAAAAUAUUUCUAACUUAGCUUUCCUGUUUAUUUUUCUUUACAUUUUAAUCCUAUGAAAGAAGGGGUUGAUUUCAUUCAAGUAGUACCAAUAGAUAAAAGAGAGACUAACCGGAAUUGCUUGCUGUGAGGAAGUUUUUGCUUCUUGCUCUUUUUUCCUUCUUCAAUAUCUUCUACAUUGUGAAGAAAUGAAGGAUCUGAAGGUAACUCCAAGUUUCUUUUUUUCCAAGCACAGACAAAAACCGCAGCAAUCUGCGUCAAUGGGCUACCCACCAAUUUCUUGAAACGGUAUCGUCUCGUGCCGGAUAGGAAAAGAAUUAGUCCCAACACAAUAGCACAUCCACAUAUACCAUACCCCCACUUUCUCCCUACAUUAUCUUGAACAUAAACAAGGACUGUAACUGCACCGAGUGACCCGAGGUUUAUUAAGAAAAAGAACCAGUGGAAAAAGCGAUUCAUUUUUUUUCUUUCAUUUACGUCUGUCUCGUCGAAUUGGUCGGAGGCAAAACCUGAUACACUUGAUUUUAUACCGCCUGUGCCAAGAGCGUACAUGUACAGGGCCAAAUAUAGUAUUGUCAGUUGCUUGCCGCUUGCCGGAAUGCAACCGGUGUUGUUUUCGCAUUUCGGUGGCCUUAAGCUCGGAAGUGCGGUUGAGAUAGUCAGGAUUGUGAUACCCUAAUCAGUCAAAAAUAAAUAAAUAUUAAAUAAAAGUGAACAAAAAGAAACAAAUUAAUAUUGACAAAGCAAAAAUAAAGUGCACUACCUAAAAAAGAAAAUAUAAUCAGCGUGCACGAACAAACUUCACGUUCAGGUAAAGAAAAAAAAGGCAACAGUCGGUACUCUUGCAUAUGUAUAUGAAUAUUUUCACGUGGUUUAUUUUUCAUUUUCAAGAUUUUUUUCUUUUUCAUUUAUUUUGAUUUUAAAUAGAGGUUGUUGGUAAGCGCAACUAGAUUAGUUAAUUACCAUUGCUUGCACGGUUGCGAAGAUGGCAAUAGUGAGAUACCUGUCCAGAUAAUAAUCCCAGAUUCAAGAAAAGUUAGAGAAACAUAACAGGAACAAAAAUAUAUAUGCAAUAGAAAUGCAAGAAGAUGGAUCAUAUUGAUCAAACCUUCCAAGAAAAGUAUCGGCGACGAAGCCACCAAGCAAGCAAAGCAUAAAAGUAGUUCCAAGGAAGUUGGUGGUUGUAUUUGCAGCGGUAGCAUUGCCCAAGUGCAUAGUAUCUGUCAUAUAAGUCACCAGAUUAACCACAAUACCAAGUGUAGUUAGCCUUUCAACAGCCUCUCCACCUGAUCAGAAAAUAGAAAUCCGGUAAGAGAAAGAUAGAAAAGUAGUAAUACCGAUAAGUUGAUAAAAAAAAUUUAGCCUUUUGACCUAGAAUCAUGGCGGCGCUAGUCCAGCCACCAGUUAUGGAGCGCUCGGCAGGGCGGCCCUUGUAGUCCCAAGCAUCUGGGAGGAUUUUGCUGGAAAGAUCAUCGCUAGCCAUAAAAUUGGUCUGAUAGGUACCUGUGAGAGAAGGGAUGAGUAAGUGAAAGGAAAUUUGAGGCACGGUGAAUGUGCAAGGAUGGUUGGGUUUAUAUAGUGGGAAGUCACGAAUUUAAUUAUAAAGUUAAAAAAUUGUAAUUAAACAAAUAUAUAAUAAAAUAAUCUUGAAUGAAGUAACACCUGUGGGCUGUGCUUAAUUAUUAUUUAAUUUAAAGAUAUACAAUUAUUUGUACCUAUAAAUAACUAAGGAUAAACUGAAACCUUGGUUAGACAAAGUGGGUUAAUUAAACAGUUGAGUCAUGUUUCCCUCGAAAAAGAUAAAAAAACAAAGGACAGCUCAGUCAUAUGUGUCUAUCUGUGUGUUUUUUUUUUUUUUUUUUUUUUUUUUUUUUUUUUUUUUUUUUUUUUUUUUUUUUUUUUUUUUGAAAAGAGAGAAGAAAACAAAAAUUAAUGAAUUAACAUACACAUGUCUUGUUUAAUCGAUUAAUUCAAUCGGUUAAAGUAGAAAGAACACAAUUAACAUUUAGCAAUCCAUUCCACCUGUUCUGCUCUAUCAUCUUCAAUUUAUUUUUUGAUCCUUUCAUUUACGUUGUAAAUCACUAAUAUACUUUUUUUGCAUAUGAAAAAUUUAUAUAAUUUAUUUUUCUAUAAUUGUUGAUACUCUGGAUUUUGAACGAGGACAGGAAACAGAAAAUUUAAAAUCAAAAAUAAAAUUUGCUAAUUACUAAAUUUGGUGGCUCAUACAGGCCAAAUCAGCCUUUGUAGAUGAUCAUCAUCGUCAUCAAGCAUGUCCUCAUGUCUGAACUUCCAUGGAAAUUCCAAUUAUUUAUUAACAAAUAUAAUUAAUUUAAAUGUAAAUCAACUUUUUGAAAAAUAAAUCGUUUUAAAAUCAAAUAAAAUAAUAAUGUUGAUAAUAUAAAUGUAAGUAUAUUUAGAUAAUAAGAUAAAUCGAUAAAUUGAUUGCCUUUAGUUAGGAAGUGCAACUUCUCCUAUCUGAAAAAAUAACUUUCCUUUUAUAAGGGAAGUUAUUGGAUGGUCCACCCUUGUAGGUUCGACAAAAUAUGAUAAAACUUGUUUACCAAUUUGAACCGAGAUGAUUUGGUAAAACUGACUUGAUAAAAUGGUAAAUAGUACAGUAAAUUUUUUGAUAAAAUUUGAUACUCCAUAAAUGGUUGGAUAAAAUAUCCAAAAAAAAUCAAAAUUCUCACUUUACUCAAAAUGGUGUUUAAUUUUUUUUAAACAAAAGCAAACCCUAAUAUACAGUAAAUCAAUUAAUUUGGUAAAUGGUAAAACACCAUCAAUAAAUCGGUAAAUUUGUAAUUCAAUAAAUAUGUAAGUCCGUCAGCAGACAAUCAAUACUCAUAGUAAAUCAAUAAAUGCAAAUUCGAUAGUUAAUCGAACCGAUGAAUAUUGGCUCCUACUUCUUAAAAGAUAAAAUUGAUAAUGCAAAUUAAAUACACAAACAGUUUAUACACUUCUCUAAUCUAAUUACCCCAACUAAACAUCACCAAUAUUUUUGAAUACAAAGUUCUAAUGUCAUUGUUAAAUGUUAAAGUUUCUUAAGGCCUAAAUUAGACUCGUACAUGUCCAAUUGCUUUCACAUUAAUUGACAACAAGAACUACUCAUUUCUUUAGUGUACUUUCUCUUUGUUUACAAGUAAUCGUCAUAAUCAGUGAUGGAGUCGAUAAAAAUUUAGAGACGAUCAAAGAAAAUUUUCAAAGUUAGGACAGGCCAAAUCAAAGAAGAAAGCUUUAUAAUACUAUUUUGCAAAGUAAUUUUUUUCUUUAAAUGGAGAUAAUUGGCUAUAAGCCCCUCCAUCCCUCCCUCCGUCUCUGAUGAUGACAACUUUGUAUUUGCUAAAAUAUCAUUGACUUUCGAGAAUCUUUUUUUUUUGGUGUUUAUGGUUUAAAAUCUUUCCGCUACCACCACCACUGAAAUUUUUAGUGGCUUCAGUUAAUAUAAUUAUACAAGUGUAGUAUAACCAUACGCUAAUGGCUGGAAUUUACUGUGCAUUUCAUUUUUCAAAUGGUAGGCCAUUCUUGAUUCUUCAUCUCCCACCCUUCAUUACAUUAUGCGUCCCUUUGGUUCAAUUUUUGAGACUAAUAUUUAGCUUUUGUGCGUUUCAAUUAUUAAUUAAGUGUUCAGAUGAAUUUGGCGGUCGAUGAGAUCAGAAUUAUUACUAACAUACGGCCCUCCAACUCCAACUACAUUUGCUAACACUUGAGUGUAUUUUAUUAUAUUUAAGCAUUAUAUAGAGUCGCGCGGUUGGUUGGUCUUAACCUAAUGAAGAUGUUAAUUUUAGUACAGAAAAGUCAUGUAUGAGUACGAUAAUAUUGUUAUCAUUUGGCAACUAGUAAUUAACUUCGCAUGGCAACAAAACAAUAUAAACUAUAACGACAAUUCAAAAUGUUGGUAUUGUCUUGUAUCUUUCUCCAACGUUCAACUCUCCUCGUGUAGAACAUUUAAUUGAUGAUCCAUUAGCAGGGGUGGCCAUCAUUCAAAACCAAUGGUUUUUGUUUAGUCCUUUAGGAUUAAAAACUCAAGCUGGCUCAGAAGAUUAAAUAUAUUCGAUUUUGAUUUCAAUUUCACCGCGAUUUUAACUGAUUGUGAUUUUUUUUGUUCUUUUUUUCCUUAAUUAUAUGUAAUGUGAAUCAAAAUAGAUAACUAAUGUAGUAAUAAAACAUAUGAAAAAACCAUUUUUAACAAUACCAUAUGAAUCAUAAGAGGUUAGAGUGCUACAUUUAAAAAAUUUAGUUAGAAUAUAUAUGAUAAGAAUUGGACAGUUAGAGAAAACAAAAAACAUUGAAAUUAUUAAAAUCGAUUUUAAUAGAAUUUGUGAAUGGCUUAUACUAGCCCAAGAAAUGGGUGGAUGACGCACAACGUUAACACGUGACAUCUUCUAGAGGUAUAGGGUCCGGUUUCCCCAUAAUUAAUAUAAUUAAUUUUCCAAAAAUAUAAAUAAAUAAAUAAAUAAAUAAUGCAUGAUCGAUCGUUGAUUGAGGCUUAGCCCUUAGGUGUUGACAAACUUUUUUGGGGGAAUAAAAUUAAUGAUUCAAUUCAAUAAAAAAAAAUGCAAUUUCAUCCAAUAGAAAACUUGAGAUUAGUCGGUCGUGUGGUAUCCCCAUCUUUUCAUAUAGCUAGGAGGCCUCCCUUUUAUUCUAUUUUGUUAUUGAAUUAUUGCAUUCUUGUCAAUACCAUUUGGAGUCAAAAUCAAUUAUAAAUUCAUAUUAUAUACAAAAUUAAUUUUUUAAAAAAAUAUAAUAAUUUGAUUGAUUAUGAAGAAGAUGGUAUCAAAAUGGAUCAAGAUUCAAGAAUAUUUUUUCCAAGUAUGCUUUGAGGAUAUCCAAGAGCCACAUAGCAAGAUAAAAAAAAAAAAAAUGCAUAGACAAGUGGCUUAAUUAUAGCUCUUUAAAAUGCAGAAAAAGGGAAUAUAUAAUACACUAAUUGGUUCGUUGAUUUCUACUAAUAAAAGAUACCUAUAAUAGAAGAGAGAGAGAGAGAGAGGAGAAACUUAGCCAUUGAAUCUCAUCAGAUAUACGUUAAUAAGAAAUUAGGAUAAAUGGUGAGGUGGUCGGUCAACUCAUUGUUAAUCAAGAAAAUUAGGGUUACCAAAUAUUUUUCCAUUCUUGAUUUUUUUUUUUUUUUUUUGAUACAUUAUUUGUGGCUUUGAAUUGAUAAGCUAUUAUGAAUGGAGAAUGGUCGGCACAAUCUCUUAUAAGUUAUAUAUAUAUAUAUAUAUAUAUAUUUUGAAUGGUUAUAUAUCAAAAUAUAAGUUUUGGCGAGUUAAUUCUUAUAUUAAGAUGAAAGUAAUAUGUCAUCCUAUCAAAACAAUUGUGCUAUUUCUAGUAUAAAAUAUAUAUGUUUUCUACUUGUUACCCAUUCGAAUUGCCAAAGAACAACUAUUAAGGAUGGCCAAUUGUGUACUCCAAGAGGAAUUCCAGAGGAUGUUUAUAUCUUGGGGAAGAAAUCUAUAUAUCUACUUAUUAUUGAGUAGAAUGAUAUUUUAUUAAGGUUCCAAAUAAGUUUAUAGUAAAUUCCUUUCUGAAAUGAAUUUUAGGGUUCAGGUUCAAGCAUGAUCAAGUCGAAUUGUAUUGAUUAUUUAUCAAUGAACUAAUAUUAAUUUAGUUAAAUUUUUUUCCUUGUUUCCUUUAAUUGGUUGGGAAUUAAAAUUUAAGUUAUAUAUAAUUAGACAAGUGAUUAAGAAUCAAUGGCCCAGGCAGCCAAUUUUAUUUAUUUAUUUUGUAAUAACUUGAUCUUAUCACAAGUCCAACCCUAAUUGUAAUAUAUAAUGCAUGUCUUUCUCUCAUAGUGUAACAAUUACCCUUAAAAAUGUCAAAUUCACACCAUUUUGUAAAUAUUUUCAAAAUCACACCGUUUAGGUAAAUUGCCCAUAUCACCUCUCCUUUUACCAUUUUUUUUUUAAAAAAUUUAAAAUAUAGAUUUAAUAAUUGUACCUUCAAAAAAGGUGUAGCGUAUAUUGUAGUCAAACAAUGAAUAAAUACAAAGGAUAUACUAGAAACUUGGUAAGGAAAGUAAAGGUGAAUAUACCAGAAGCAUGAAUAUGACAAAAAGAUUCAUGAUUAGACUAAUUAAUUUCUACUUUCUAGGGAAAGUUGUAUCUGGGGAAGAUUCAGUUUAAUUAUUGCAGACAACUAAUGAAUCUUAUAUAUGCACGAUCCAAAUGAGUCGGAUUGUGUUUGUCAAACUUUAAAAAUGUUUUUUAGUCAUUCAUUCAAAACAAGACAACCAACUUAACUUAAUAUAAUAUUAAACAAAACAAAGUGGGUUAGCAACGAAACAAUUAUGUAGUUUGAUUUCUAAUUUUUAAAACCAAAUUAAUUCCCUAAUCAAUGAAUCUUAAUUUUCAUUUUCUCUAAUCAGUCCAACAAGUGUAGCUUGCGCAAUUUACUUGCUCUUCUUGCUAGUGGGUGUCCAAAACACAAGAUUUUUGUGGGCUAAAGUGGAAAUUAAAGCGUGAGAUUGAAAAAGUUUAAUUAAAAAAUAGCCAACUAUGAUGGUCUGUCUUUUGUAUUAGAAAAAAAAAAAAAGACAAAAGGAAAAGUGUAAUCCAAAAAAUUCUAUCCUUUCCUCAGUUAUGAAUUGCCAUCAAUCUAAUGUGCAUAAAUUAAAUUUUAUUAAAAUAAUAAUGUACAGAAAAACUUUAAUUUAUUUAAAAAUUAACCCAAGUUAAUAGGCCAUCCUCUUAAGUAAAAAAAAAAAAAAAUCUGGUCACAGCAUUUUUAUAGCUCAAAUUUGAGAAUACGACCGAAGCUAAUUACCCUAGAGUAGAACUAGCUCUUAAUACUACCUUCAUACUAAAUCAAAUAAAUAAAUAACUUGUAACAAAAAAAAAAUAUAUAUAUAUAUAUAGAAAGAAAUAUAUGGUGACCCUUUUGCAAAAAUUGAAAAAAGAUAUAUAUUUGUCUUUAAUAAAAACGUCAUGUCUUAAGUUCCCAUAUUCUUGGAAAAAAAAAAAGUGAUUAAUAUCAAAUCUUCAUUUAAAAAACACAAUUUACUAUAUUUGGUAAUAUAUAAGAAUCGAGUUUUCGCUUCACAAAAUGAAGAAAUAACCUUUAAGAAUAAUAAAAACAAGUUGUGGGUUGAAACUAUAUAUCCUAAUUAAACCCUAAUAACAAAUAACAUAACGUCAAUUUAUUUCAGUUUCUUGAGGAUAAAAAAAAAAAAAAAAAAAGAAAUAUGAAGCACAUUCUCAAAUCUUCACUUCACAACAAUAUAUCUUAAUCAAACCCUAACUAUACCUCGAGUUUUAACUUCACAUAAGAUGACCUUUAAUCAUAUUGAAAACCAGUUGGAAAUUUAAUAUAGCAAAAACAUUAAUAUCUUAGUUUGAAAAAAAAAAAUAAUAUUGUGAUUAUUCCCAUGCAUGGUCCUUCCUUACUUCACAGCUAUGAGUCACAUUUUAUUAUGCAAAUUGUUCAAACUCGAGUAUUCACAUCACAAAGGUGGCCUUUAAGGAAUUCUGAAAGAUGUAUAUUUAACUCAUAGGAAAAAAGAAUAAUAAUAUUUAUUCACUUCACAACAGGGAAAAUCACUGUUGAACAUAAAUGUUGGAAAAGGAAAUAAGAGCAUGUGACAAAAGCUCAACUUGUCUCUUCUCUGCAGUUGAUUAUUAUGUAUGGUGAGACCACUUUGACAGCUGAAUGACUGAUCUUAGCUUUCCCCUUGCUUUUUGGAAGUGGUGCGGAAUUUUCGAUAUUUUUGUUUAUUACAAAAAAUAUUAUAUAUACUAUGGAACCUUUUCCAAAGAGGUGGGAUCUGGUUUGAGUUGGUUUGGUGGAAAGUGAUGAGAAACACUAUUUCACUUGCGUUUUCCAAAAAAAAAAAAAAAAAAAAGAAAAAAAACACUAUUCACUUUAUAAUGGUAUUUAUGGGCCUAGAAGACUGGGCUUCUGUUAAUUUAAUGGGCCAUAAAAUGUAGAUCUUGUGGAUUAUUGGGCCUGCACUGUAGAGUAAUGGCUGUAGCUGACUUAAUCCACUUGCUAAAUUGAUUAAUGUUUAAUUAUAACUAUCUGCUAUUAUUAAUAUUGAAUAGACAUAUUGUUAUACAUGUCUCGAGUAGAGAAAUUGUUAUAAUUAAUUUAAAAAAAGAAUAAUCGAUCCCGCUAGAUAAAUUCUUAUUCACCUAAAAAUUUUUUGAUGAUGGAUUCCACUAAUUUAAUUUUUAAAUUUAUAUAUUUUUUAUUGAGUAUAGUAUAUCUCUAUUCGAGACAUAUUAACAUAUAUAUUAUAGAAUUUAUGUUAUUAGUAUUUUGUGAACAGGAGCUUAAAAGGAAGAGAGGAUGAGAAAGGUUUAACUACUGGCCCAACAACUAGUAUCAAUAAUUUUGGUGUAAUCUUUUGAGGGAAUUUUAAUCUCAAGAUUAAUUAAUGACAAGUAAUGCCAAACAUAAAAUACAAAUCUAACAGUUGUUUUGGUUUUUCUGCCAACUCCGUGAUUUCGUGUUUAAGAAAGAUCAAACACAACACAAGAACAUUGUAAAUUGUAAUCAAUAUUGAGAAGAGUGUCCUCUUGAUCCGUUGAUUUGCUGUUAGUUCACGGGUUGAUUAAAUCUGAUGGUCGUUCUUGUGUUUGAAAGUGUUGUUGUUGUGAAGAAUUUUGUUGUCGUUUUAACAGUAUCAUGAUUUGCAACUUGCACUAAACAUGUUCGAUUAUUAGCUUAAGAGAAUCUCUUUAUGAAGUCAUACAGGAGCAGCACUAAACUCAAUCUUGAAGCCUCAUUCCACCUCGAUUGAGUUGUGAUUUUUUCCGACUUUGAUUAGAAAAUUACCUUAAAUUGACUGUAUAUAAAUUAAAAUGCUAAAAAUUUUAUUAAACAUUUUUUAAAUAUAAAUUAUUUUCAAAAAAAAUUUAAAUAUAAAUUAUGUCCAUAUCCUUUUUAUCCGUUCAUAUAUUUUUAUACACACAUCGCAAAUUUCAUUAUUAAAAUAUAUUUUAUCAGUUUAAUAUUUAUUUAUACUUGAACAUAUAAGUUACUGUUUAAUCACUUAAUACAAUUAAAUACACUGGUUACGAUUUUUAUUUUUAAAAUAUGUAUUUGAUAAUUAUCAAAGGACUAAAUAGUAAUUUAAUUUUAUUCAUUAGGAAUAAUAAUAAUAAUUUACUAGCAAUUAAUGAAAAAAUAAAAUGAAAGAUUAAAUAAUAUAAUGGAAAUAAAAUAAAAAGAUUAUAUAAUUAAAUUCUAAAAAGAGAGAUCUAACUAAUAUAUUUGAAUAUAAAUGAAGGAUUAAAUAAUAAUUCACUAAAAAACAACAAAAGCAAAGGGCGUCCUUCGUUAAGCUUAGCCCAAAGACGAUGUGGCGACAAAUGGAGAAGAGGGCCUAGAGGCUCAGUUACGGAUUGCACCCCCGCGGCUAAGAUUUGAUAUGAGAGUUAGGUCCAUCUACAAGUUUCGAGCUGAAUUUAUAUAGCCCACCAGUUAGUUCUCCCCUAUAUUCCAAUUGAUAACCAAUAUUAUUUUAUCCAUGAUAUUUUGUUCAAAGAAUUUGACUAAUCUGAUAAAUUUUGCAGGGAAUGCAUUUUGAAAUGAAAUAUGAAAAUAUAGAGUCAUAAUUAAAUUUAUGUAAAAAUAUUUCAUUUUAUCGUGAAAUAUAAUUAUUAUUAAAAUAUGAAAGUAUGCGAUCAUAAUUGAACCAUUGUAAAAUUUAAGGAUUAUAAAAAUAAUUAACUAAAGUUAAUGGUUAAAUUUAUGCAUUAGACCGAAUUUGACUGUCAUAUCAAAAGAAUAAGCCCCACGUUGAAAGAACCACAUCACAUGCAAUGGUGGGUUGAACUUAUCUUAUAUUUCAAAUAGAAUAUUAAAAACACACAUGAGACAUGAUAUAUUUUUGUUAAAAUCAUGGCAAUUUUGAAAACAUGCAAACCUAUAUACCUCACACAUAUGUACACUCUAUAAACAAGGCAUGUGUAUACUAUUGAUUUUGAUAAAGACUAUGUCUUGUCUCUGUUUCAUGUAGAAGUAUAUGUUCUAUGAGAUCUAUAGGUAAAGCAAUUAUAAAUAAAAUGAUUAGCUUGGAAUUGCAAUUGUACAAUCAUAUAGUUUACAUAAAGAAACGCAAUAAAAUUUCACUGUAAGAAUUAUUGAACACGCUUAGGGUUACAUAACAAACAUGAGUACAAGAAAAAGCCAAAACAUAAAUAAAACACAAUAAUUCCAAAUUAAACAAUACUGCCCACAAAUUACAAAUGCUUAAUUAGGCUUAGGCGCAAAUGAAGUCAGAGGGAAGUUGCUUCCCGCAAGUGUUAAUAAGCAAGCUCAAAGAAAUGGGAAUGUUAAUGUUAAUCCCAAGAAUGUUAGCUUUAAUUGCAGUGCAAAGGCAAACAGCUGCUUCGAGAUCAACAAGCCCUUGAAGUACAGAGCAGCAAGGGUGGUCUGGGGGGUUCCCAACAACUCCACCAACUGCACCAUUAAGCAACUUAGCACAAACUCCCAAUUUUAAGGCAUCUCUUGGGCAGCUUUUCUUUGCAGGUGUAGGGUUUGGGAAUGGCUUGGGUUGAACACAAGUGUUGCAUCCACUCACUAAGGCAAAGAAUAUCAGGUUGAUAAAGAGAAAAAAUGCAGUUGAUAAUGAAUUCUUGCUAUCCAUUUCUCUCUCUCUCUCUUUCUCUCUCACACACACAAACACUCUUUACUAUAUCAAGUAAAUAAGUUGCUCUUUGGCUAAGAAAUGCGCAUGGGAAUUUAUAGGGUAAAAUGAAAUGUUUUGACAGUUACAGCUAGCUACAGGCUCAACCCAACAAAAAGUAGGUCUUUUCAUAUUGGUUGAUUGAUACCCAAUGAAAGAAAGAUUAUAUUAGCUUUAUUAAAUUCUAUGUAUAUAUGAAUAUAUUACGAAGAGUUGCUUCUCUUUUCAAACAUACUGUUUAAAUUGAAUGCGUUGAAAGUUUUAACUGAAAGUACAUAUAUUAUAUAUCUAGCUUCAAUCUAAGUUAAGUUUUACCAUCGAAAUGCUAAUAGUAUGACAAAUAAUAAUGUGAAUAAAAAAUUAGUACUAUAAGGACUUAGGAGAUCUUUCAUGUGAAGCAAGGCUGGCAAUGAAAGGAUUCUACACCACUUAUAGGGAGGGUUUUUGUCAUAUUUGUAGUUGCUACUGUUGUUUUUUGGUUGUUUGAAUCUCAAGAUUUGACGAACUAAUUGGCACUCCCGUGAACACCUUUUGGAACGGUUUUUGCGAUUCUAUGGGCGCUAAUGGUUACUACUAGAUAGUAACUAGGAAGUUUUUUUUUUUUUUUUGCCAACAUCCUUUCUUUUUCCCCAUCUCGUUUGUCCAUUAGUUGGAAAUAUUUCCAUGGAAAACCACUUUUGUUGCUUGUUUUUCUAUCAUACGAGACAUCGUGUCUAUGUCCGGUGAAUGAGAUGAUCGUGCACUGAACUUCCUUUAGAAAGAAGUUUUAAAAUAUUAUUAUUAUUUUUAUUUUUUUAGUGAACAGUCAUAAAUAUAUUUAUUUAAACAAAAAAAUUUAUUUUUGCCUGAUUUUAAUGUAUAUCUAUACACGGGAUAUAAAUAAAUCAUUCCUUCCUGGACUUGUUUGUUAUUUGCUAUUACCUAUCCAUCUUCAUUUUCAUUUAUAUCAUUUAUUUUCUCUCUUUUGUUUAUUAUUUAGGUUCUUAUUCAGUAUAAAACCAUAUAGUCAUAACCACACAUGAAAAUUAUUUCAAUAUUAUUGAAAAAAAAAAACAUAAAUAGAACUGAAAUAAAAAAUAUAUAUAUAUAUACUUCAGUUUGAUUUGAUUUGAUUUUUAAUUUUAACCAAAUAAUUUGGUGAAUGGGCUCCAGAAGUCCAAAAUUUUCUGGAAGUAAAGUGAAACCAAUCCACAAUCUUUUAGACUAGAUGGACUUACAGGUUUGGUUGAUAGCCCAAUUCAUAUCCCGCAUAUUUCAGUUCACAUGUUCAUUUACUUAAGAACCCACGUCGUUCUAUCUUCUCCAAAGCACAGAUCCUUUUUAUUGGGGUCGUUUAACUAAGGGGACUAGUCGUUCAGUCGUUUUUACAGGAGAUGGUCACUUGACUUGGGCUGAGGCAUGAUAAUGCCAGGAGGGGGCCGUGAUCCCAAUUGUUGCGUGUCGUAUAUAUAGGAUUUCAAAGUUGAUACAAGCCGUAAUAAUUGAUCAGUUUACUUAUCAAGGGUUGAUUUAGGUCGGCACUUCCAGAAGAAAAAGAAAGUCAUAACUCAUAAGUCUUUUACAUUUCUUUUUCAAAAUUGUAAUCUUUCUUACCAUUAAUCAAAUGAUUACAACUAUAUAAAUUCAACCACGUUUUAGUGUGAUCCUUAAACAGUAAACAUUUUAAUUUAUAAAAUUAUGUUUCAUAUUGUAAAUUAUGACUGCAGCAAUUUGUAAAAUUAUAGAUCGAUCAGACACAUAUUAAUUAUAUAUCAAAUUAAUAUUUUAUAUAUAAAAAUUAAAUUUAUAACUUUAGAAAUAUAAAAGAUCCUCAAAAAAAAUUGAGAUAUCGCAAAAGAAAUAUAUGAAUAAUUUUAUAUAUUUGACUAUUUAGAAAUUGAUUAUAUUAGCAUAGGUGCUUUAGGAUUCAAACUUUGCAACUUGUUUAGCGGCUGAAAAACAGGUGUAGUGAACGAAAAAGAUAUUUUUGGAAAGAAAAUUUCCUAUUAUUAGAAAAAUUGAAUAAAUUAAUUCACGAAAUCUAUUUCUAGAUUUUCCUUAGAUCAAGGAGAAAAGGAAGUAGGAUAAUAACAGCUAUUCGAUUUGCACCAAGUCACCAAAACAGUCUUAAUUUUAGAUUCAAGAAUUUUUUAUUUUGCUUAUCCUCAAAGAAAGAAAAAAAAAAAAGAAAUUAUUAUUUUGCUUAAAUUAUUAAUUUUUUAGUCAGUACGCGCCAAUCAAGGUCUGAAUUCACAAUGUUGUAGUUUUGCAGAAAAUUCCUAUAUGAAGUUAUUUUAAGGUCCUAUUUUUGAAUUAGUAAAGAAAAUUCCAAUAAUUAAAUUUUGAAUGGAAUUAGAAACAAAUCUAUUAAAAGAAAAAGAAAAUACUACAAAAUUUGCUUGAAUUUUGGCAACAACUGAAUUAAUUUCUUAAAGUUGGCGAAUUGGACGGUAUAAAUUAUUAGUGGUUGGGUGAAGAAUGGUCCAUUUCAGUUGGAAGAAUGUUUAGAUAAAGUGAACAAAAGAGAUAAUUAGGUGUAAGAAAGAAAUUAUGAGCCCACAUUUUUACUGGGAAACAGAGGAAUCCAUUUGGCCCCAUUUGUCUGCUGGCCGCUGCUAAACCCCUUUGCUUGUUUCGGUGUGCCCAUUUCUUCAUUUCAGUAAUCAGAUCAAUCAUGUACCCAACCUUUGCUUACUAUCAACUCAAAUGUAUUUCUUAUUACUUAUAUCCUUUACCUUUAAUAAUUGGAUUUUUUAUUAAUGAAGAUGAGCAACACCGGUUAAAUUAUGAGAAAGUCAUGAUGAAAUAUUUGACAGAAGAGAAUGAAGAAGGUGAACGCCAAAAUUGAAAGGUAAAGCAUAUUUAGGAAAGCAACACCGGUUAAAUCAUGAGAAAAUCAUGAUAAAAUAUUUGACGGAAGAGAAUGAAGAAGGUGAAUACCAAAAUUAAGAAGAAAAGCAUAUUUAGAAAAUUAAUCCACACAACGAUUAGCUUCACGCAAUAUACACGGUGAACUUGAAAAAGCAAAUUACUAUCUUUUCGAUUGUACAGACUUUCCUGGGCCAGGAGUAAAAAAUAUUCUAUCUUGCUGUUAGUAGUUUAUGCAAAAUGAUAUGUACGUUGUGUCUGUUUGUUUCUACCGCGUCGUUAAGCCAGCCCCCGGCCUACCUGGCUACCAGCAACAUAAAUAUAUAAAUAUAUAUAUAUAUGUCAGACAUAACAUCAAAUCCAAAAUACUAUAUUGAUAGACAAAGAGUUCAAACAUUUUCCCAUGUUUUCACUUACACGCGUUGUCAAAAAUUACACAUGUUGAAGCAUUUUUUUCCAAUUUCCAAAGAAAUUGGCUUCCAAAUUUUACUGUCUUUAUGCUACUACUUGAUUUAGGACAUGAGUGAAACUCUUAAUUCAUUAAUUUGACAAAACAUUAAGUUGAAUCUUUAAAUGAAAAAGUAGUUAAUUAUGGAUUUUGAAUGUCUAACACACACGUUUUUAGUAAAAAAGAAAAAAAGAAAAUCAAUAUCAUGAUAUUGGUUAUUGAUUGAAUUGUUGAAUUGAGAGAUCAACUUUGUGCAUUGGAUCUCAUGAUUUGAUGUUGACUUAAUUAAGCAAUGGUUAAUUGCAAGUAGAAGAAAAGAUGGCUCCACAAGGUGUGAAUAUAAGGAAGUUUAACAAAUCAUGACAAAGAUCUAAGUUUUUUUUUAAAUGUUAUUUUGCUCUCAAUGCAUAAUCUAAUUUCAAUUCAGAGUGGAGCCCAUGGUAGGUUCUAGGUUAGCCCGUGACAUUUCCAUCCAAACAAAGCAAGCCACUCCUACCAAAAUGAAUAGGCCAGGAUUGCAUAUCUAGUCAGCACCCUUAAAAAGGGCUUAAUAUAUACUUAUAUCCUUAACUUUAGAAUUUAUUACAUUUACACUCUAAUUUGAAAUUUCAUACCAUAACAAUUCCUAUGUUAUUUGGUUCAAUUACCAUUAUUAUCAAAAUGCAUUCGGUUACUGAAUUAAUUUAAUUCGAUCUGAUUCAGUUAAAAUUAAUGUUCAUUUUUAUCUGGACGGACAUCUUAGAAUACUUACCUGCAACCUAGUGUAGGAGCUCACAUAUAUACUAAGAGAAUCCUAAAUGGUAAAAUUUUUUGAUAUAAUACUUUAUUAUUAGUUUAGUGUAUGGAUGGGUGAAUAUAGGUAACUCUUAUCCAUUUUAUUGAUAUAGGUUUUUCCUUGCUUAAAUAAGAAAUUAAGACUUAACCUGUAGAAUUGCUUUUAACACUGAAAUCACAGCCAUUUCAAGGGAAAAAAGACACCAAGACAUGGAAAAGAUUACUAGGCAAAACGCAACUCAUCCAUGGGUAGCUAUCAAAGUAAAGAUAAGAAAAGAUAAGGCGUAAGUAUUGAUUAAACUUUAUAGAGCGGAAAAGAACCAGUCGACAAAAAAGAAAAAACCUUGAAGGGUCACAAUCUGGAGACAAUUUAAAAACAUUUAAGCCUUUUCUCUUUGGUAAUUAUCUAUGUUUUCAAUUUGGAAGGAACCGUAACACAUAACAAAUUGAUAUUAAUAAACGAAGAGAUUUAAUUAGACUUGUGUUUUCACAAAUCAUCCAAGUAAUAAUGUAAAGACUAGACCUAAUUGGUUCAUUAAAUCAGUAAUUUCGGUUAAAUGAAUUAGUGGUUUUGAAUCGAUGAGGUUUCCGACCAGGCCAACCAUCCUCUCAGUUCUGAGCCAACCACUUUUGGUCUUGGUUUCGGUUUGUACGGUUCCAGUGAAGUUCACUUCCCAUCAAAUUGUUAAAUCUCUUUUCAAGCUUUUUUCUUUCCUCGUCAGGAAUUCGCUGGAACAAAUAAUUUUAUGCUGAUUCGACUGACACGCUUGCUAAGUAGGAAUCUGUAAUCAAGUUCGGUCUUAUAGUUCUGAUUUGAUUUGAAAUUGAUACUCUCAACUCUCAGUAGAUUCUAGUCCUAGACCGAUUUGGAUUCAAUUAUAGUCCAAACUAGCUUUGCCAAAAUUGUUUGAGCAUGAAUAAAAUUUUUUUGGAAAAUUUAAUUGGUUGGUGAUAAAAAAAAUUAAAAGAGAUAGCCGAUACUUGAACACUAAUUACAAUGAUUACUGGAAAUUGCAUGUUAAUCUUGACAAGGCCAGUGGCACCUAUACAGUAAAAGCCAAAAUUUUGCAAGCUAGGCAGACCAAAAUGACUGAUCUUGCUAUCCAGGGGAAAGGAAUAUAGCCCACCUCAAAAAAAUCCAAAAAUGUUUUCAAGAAACAAUACCUGUACUGCCAGCUAAAAUCCCAAAUAGUGUACACAUGGGGUGCAUGACUUUAUUCUACAAUUUUCGCUGAUAAUUACUUCAUUUUAACAUCUCCAAGACCCCUAUAUAAACCCACCCCCUCACUCCAUAUGUUUCCACCCCAUCACAAUACACUCUCUCUUAUACCUAAAUUUAAAGUUAGAGUUUUCAGAAAUAUGGCUACGAAGAACACAUCAACAGUUGCUCUCUUUCUUGUAUUUAACCUUUUGUUCUUUACCCUAGCCAACGCAUGUGGUGGGGGCUGCCCUACUCCUAGGCCACCAAGACCAAAGCCAACUCCAAAGCCAACACCAACUCCGUCACCUUCAGGCGGAAAAUGUCCUAGAGAUGCACUUAAACUAGGCGUAUGUGCUAAGGUGCUCGGUUCAUUGCUUAAUAUCACCAUUGGCGAUCCUCCUGUCAAACCUUGCUGCUCUCUUCUAGAGGGUCUUGUUGAUCUUGAAGCUGCUGUUUGCCUUUGCACUGCCAUUAAAGCUAAUAUUUUGGGUAUCAACCUCAAUGUUCCACUUUCUUUGAGUUUGCUUCUAAAUGUUUGUAGCAAAAAGGUUCCUUCUGAUUUCCAAUGCGCCUAAACAUAUAUAGACAUUUAACUAUAUAUCUAUAUAUGGGUUUUGAGUUUUACGUGUUGUUCGAUCAAGUUUAGGAGUUCGCUAAACUUAUGUUUGUAUUUUAAGGUUGUAAUCGUUUGUUUUGUUUAAUAGCUUGUUAAAAUGUUUGUAAUUUCUGUUUAUUGGGGGGUUAAUCGAAACAAAUAAGUGUUGUAUUAGUUAUGUUUAAUGAAUUACUUCUAUGGGAAAUCAAUGAAAGUUUAAUCUAUUUCCUUAAUAAAAUUAUUACAGACCUUUAAAUUCAUUCUUCCCUUGAAAAUUCUUUAAAUAAUUUUAUUAAUCAGCAAUUUUUUGUUAAAUUUUACAUAUAUUAUUGUUGUGAUCAUAUCCGUGUAGUACAUGUACUUGGGAAUUAUAUAUUCUCUGGUCUCUGUUUUUCCUGUCUAUGCACACUCGUAACAGUGUAACUAUAUAAAAAGUGGUCAGCAAUCAGCUAGCCGUAUCACUCCAAACUGUAAUUGAAAAUAAUACAGUGAAUCCAACGACGGUUAUAAUAAAUAUUUUUGUAAUCUUUUCUUUUAAAAGAAGUUAAAAUUUUAAUUUUUAUGGAUGGAGCAAAUACUGUUAUAGAACACUUUAUUUCUUAAUAGGCUGAUUCAGAAUGCACGGUAUUUAAAAUAAGAAUAUGAUAAAUUAUGAUAUCCUAUGCUUAAAUAAAAAUAAAUAUAUAAUUAAGUGAAUAUCCUUAUACAAUUACGUUAUGGACAAUAAUCAUUAAAUAGAAUAAGAACAUUAUUAUCAAUAUAAUAACUAAUUAUGAGUAUAUGUUAUAUUUUAUUAUGUUAAUCGAUCAUGGUAAAUUAUGAUGAAUAUGUAUAUUCCAAUUCAUUUGUCACAUACAACAUUCAUGUGGAGGAACUAAGAAGCAGCAAUUAAUAAUUCAGAACUCUUAAAGCAUAAUCGAUUAAUUAUUAAUGACCAGUUACACCUUGGCCAUGCAUAUUAAUCUGUUAUCUCCAUGCUCAAAAGCCAUAUAUGUUCUGACAUCAUUAUAGCGAUGAUUUUAUUUCUAAUCCUUUAAAAUUUUUAUUUAUAACUUAUCUCAUAUAAUUGUUUUAUAAAUUUGAUUUCUAAUCAAUGUGAGAGUAAAGUUGAACUGAAUUAAAGAAAAACAAAAACAUGAUAAUUAUAUUUUAAAUCAACGAGUGAUAAAUAAGUGAUUUGAUAUUUUUUUUUUCUCUUAAAAAUUAAAAAAUUCUUUUGGAGUAAAUAUUUGUUAUUAUAGGCGAGUUGACAAAUGACAAUAACUAUAGAUAAUGCCAAAAAAAAUUUACUAGCAUUUUAUUUUGAAAGUCAAUUUCAUUUGGUAUAUUAAAUAAUUUUCCCAAGAAAAGAAUUGUCUCAAUUCACAGUCUAUUGAAUUGGAACCAUUUUUAUCAUUACAAACGGCCAAAAGCUUGGAACAAAUUCAUGCAAAAGCCAAAAUAAAAUUUCACUCGGUGCUUGUUGAAUAGGAGCAAAAUAGUAUAUUGGAACUUGAAAGUUAUCUUUUUCAUUAAUUAAACACAACUGUGAAGCAAGCUACAAAUCAUUAAUAUCAUUAAAGAGGCCAAAUCAAUGGUUUUUCAAUGUUAUAGUAAACAUGGGAAUUGAAAACUAUAAUAUAUUUCGGUUACAAACGAGUUAAAGCUCUGUGUCGUUUAACCAAAGAACAAAACAAAACUACAGGUGCAUAUUACGUACGCCAUUGAUAUUUUACGAAAGCCAAAACCAAAUUCCACUCGGUGGACCUUCAAUUAAUACCAAUUUUUCAAAGAAACCUAGGGUUGAAACUAGGGAUUAUUAAUGAUGAUGAGGUCAGGCAAGCGAAUGGUGAGAUAGUAACUGUAAGUCUCCAUCAAUUCUAAAAUGUCGUUUUUUCCUGGAAUUUCAAAAGUAGUGAUAUAUCUAUGUGUGGGGGUCAAACUUUAACAAUAAUAUCAAUUUUUAAGUUAGUUUAAUGGGGGCCAAAGUAUUUUUCAUAAAGUCAAUUAUAACCACCAAGCUUGUCUAAGUCCGUGACUCAAAACUAUGCGUGGUGGAUGACCAAAAUAAAUUUUUUUUUAAAAAAAAAAAAAUUCUGAAAAGACUCGUACUCUUGGUAGAAAGUACUCGUACUCAAAAUAAGUGGUUUUAAUGGUUGAUUAAUUUCAAUCUAUCAACAUUCUAAUUGUUGAAGAAAUCAAUCAUGGUCUGUAGCCACCAGUCCACCAUCCAUCCAUCCAGACCUUUUUUUUGACAAGACAACGGUGAAAUGAAAUAUGAAAAAUGAUUAAUAUAAUUAAUAUCACAAAUACAAAAUAAACUUUCAAAUUAAUUGAUGUAAUUAACUGCAACAAGUCAACAAUUAAUUCAAUAAAAAUAUAUAUUAAUUAUAAGUGCUUUGAUUAAAGAAAAACAUAUGUUAACUAACUUUGGAUGGAUGUUUAAUUUAGUGAGUAAAGUUAGAUACAUUGUCAUUGUCAAGCAAUUAACCACCACUCCCGUGAACAAUGAAUCUUAUAUUUUUUGCACGUACAAGUUUAUAUAUGUAUUAACUAUAACUAAAAAUUAAUCGCUAUUAUAUUUAGAUAAGCAUUCCUUAAUUUGUUUCGAAUAUUCCCUAAAAAAGAAUCAUCCAAUCCAUUCAACUUUCUUAUACAUAUAUAUACGUAUAUUAGUUUAUAUAAUUAUAGAUAGAUUGAUGAUGACAUAAUUAAUUAAGAUUCUAUACAAAGAUAAAUUCACGUAAUGCCAGAUUUUCUUUGAGAUGCCAGACCAUAUAUAUCUAUAUAUAAGACAGAACAGAAAGUCAUGUGAAUUUUUUGUUCUUUUGUGUAAAAUUUCUUACAUGCAGCUUAAAAGAUUGCUAAUUGUAUUAUACCUUUGUCAUGAAGCGAUAAUAUCACAUGGCUUUGGAAGAUUAUUAUAUCGCUUGCCUUUGGCCUCUAUAUAUGACUAUAUAUACAUUGACUAUUACUAAAAUUUAAAAUUGAGUUUUACGUCAACAUAUUUUAAUGGAGAAAAAAAAAAAAAAAAGAGAAAAGAUACGAUUUAAUUGUCUUUGGCAAGAAAUUGAUAUAGUGGAAACAAGUUUCACCUAAUUUUAUUUUAGCUAAUUAAUUAGUUAUAUAGUUAUUCGAGCUUAUUAUUGUGUAUAUAUGUAUAUUUAUUGUUUGUUGAAAAAUAAUUGAAGAAGCUUAUCAUUUUUUGUUACUAAGCAUUAUUAAUUAUGAAUUCAUCUUCAUUAGUUAGAUGUGGUACAAGAAAGAGUCAUGUACUUUUAUUGGAGGAGUGGGUAAGUCCACCUAUUGUUUUUUAAAAUUUAAUAUUGAUGGUUAUGUUAUUAAAAAGCCAGGCCCAGCGGGUAUCGCAGGAGUUUUAAGAAAUUCUUCAACGGUAGUUAAUUGCAUGUUUUACAAAGUAAUUAGCAUAUUAGACUCUAAUGAAGCUGAAUUGUUGGCAUUGUUUGAAGCUAUUCAGAUUUUUGUUUCCUCUUCUUUGAGAUUUGUCAUUUGAUAAUUAAUCGGACUCUAACAAUGCUAUAGGUUGGAUGUUGCAUAAGGAGAAAGACCAUAGAAGUGAUGGAAAUUGUUCAAUAAAUUAUAUGAGAUGGUGUUGUCGUGUUCUAUAUUUGUUUUGCUCAUAUCAGAAAAUUUAAAUAUCAUUAUUGCCUAGUUAAGAAAAAGGUGAAUGCUAUAGAAAGUUUUUUUGUUUGGUUAUAAUACUGUGGAUCUUAUGUUUGUUUACUUUUACCUCAAGAGUGAAAGAUUUAAGUUUAUCCUAAUUAUUUUCAGUUGUUUUUUUGGGUUUUAUUUAACUAACUUAGGUCUUAGUUUGGAUAUAUUGAAAAAAUUUAUUGGCUUGAAUUAAAUUCCUGAAUUAGUUAAACUCUUUUCGGUUUUAUUUUAUCUAAUAAUAUUAAGAAAUUUAUUUUCUGGCAAAAAAUAAAAAAAAAAGUGAUUCUAGAUGGAUAUCAUCUAAAUUAAUUAAUUAAUUAUGUCAACCUAUCGAUAAGCCUAUAAGUCUAACUUUUUUUUUUUUUUUUUUUAUCAGCAAAAAAGAAGAAUUAAUAUUAUUAAUGGUGAAUGAGAAAAAGUUAGUUAAUCCAAGUCUAACCCGAAUCUUUUCAAAUUAUGAAAGGCAUAAUCCCUUCAUAUCUGGUAUUUGACAAUGAUAUUGAUAUUAUACGCAAGUCCAAAUCAAAACAUGGGAGUAAUGAUUUUAAGAAUUAACUUAUCAUUAGUGUAUAAUUAACAAGAAAAUGACCAUAGCAUUACUAGUUGUUUUCAUGAACAUUGAAAAGAAACACGUAAAUAAACAUCAAACAUGAAAAAAUAAAAUUAAUUAUUUAAUUAAUUUCUGUGGUGUGAAUUUGAUGGAAAGGAAUUAGAAAAGGAAAAUUGAUGGUGAGGCGUAUUUAUUUGACAGUGGAUGACAACGAUUAAGCAAUUCUUUGAAAAAAAAUUUUGAGCUAGGUCGGUCCUCCUAACUCUGUCAUUUUCCAAAUACACUUGUAGCUACUGGAGCAAUUCUAAAACGGGAGAAAUAGCAUACUUGGCAAACUUGGUUCUUUUAGAAUAAUUUCGAGCAAGAAUUUCUUUUUUAUUUUCAGAAAUAUUCGGAAUAUUUCAUUUUUUAAUAGAAGAGUCGUUUUCUUUUUCAAAUAUUAUUCAAUAGAUUACGUAUUAAUUAAUAUUCAAUUAAUAUUUUCUAAGAUUAUCGACAAAAAAGAUUAUAACCUCGCGAAUGACUUCAUUAUAUAUCUAGUAUAAGGCUAUUUAUAUACCAAAUCAAUCCUAUAAAAUUAGUUAGUGUAAGUGAAGAUGGUUCGCAGUAUUGUACGCUUGCAGAAAUUUUCAGUAAUAUGUAAACUUAAAAAGAUGGUAUUGCAUGUAUGUUUUAAUUUGUAUUUUUCCUAUAAUUAGAUUUUUGAAACAAUUAAAUUUGUUAAUUAGAUAAAUUUUGUAUUUUAUCAUAUAUUAAAUAUGUUCAAUAUGAUGGUGAUUAGAAAUUCAAUAAUUUUAUAUUAUUUUUUCUGUUUAAUGUUAAGUAAAUAUACAAAAACAAAACAAAAGAAAGAAUUAUAAAAUUAUUAAUAUAUUUUAAUAACAUGUUAAUAAAAUUAGCAAAGGAUUUUAAUAAUAAAAUUAAUAAGUUUAGUAAGUGAUUUGGCAAUGUUUAUAUAACUAAGAGAUUUAGCAACGGCUUAGUCACUGAAUUACGCAAGAGAUUAAUAAAUUUAGUAACAUAUUUAGUAAUAAAAAUAAAUAAAUGGAUUUAGCAAAACAUUAGACACGAAUAAGUAACGGAUUGAUAAUAAAAUUUUGAUAUUAUAUCAUUUAGGAAAUGAAAUAUCCGUUCCUAAUUUAGCAGCGCCCGUGAUAAAAUAUUUAGUAAGGCACUUUUAGAAAGUGAUGAAAUGUUUCUAAAUUCAGUUUAGCAACGGAUUUCCUACAUAAACUGUAUUUUUUUUUAUAGUGUACAUUGGUGGAGAUACAAGAUUUAAAGCUAUAUAAAGCCAAGAAAAAAAAAAUUCAUUUAUUUUCGGAAAAUAACUGUAAAAGUAUUUUUCAGGGAAAUUUUUUUCAUUAAAUUCAUAAAUAGAGAAUUAUAUAAUUACUAAUUUUGAAUUAUUUAUUUCAACAUAAAUAGUCUUUGAUCCAAUCAAGCAGAUCAUUCAUGUAAAAGUUAAAUCACGAUGUUACUAAUUCAAUAGCAAUACAAUACAAAGGGAAAACAUAAACUCAAUAGAUAUAUAAGAAUAAUUCUUUUCAGUGAAACCAUGUGCUAUCGGUAGCCCGACUAAUAUAGAUGUAUGAAUAUUGAUAUAUGUAAAAGAUUAAAUGAACAUCGUAGGCUGUCGAUAGCUAUAUCGGAUAAUUUUUUUGUGGUUUUAUCAUGGAGUAGUGUACCGAUUAAGUUGCUGGAUGGCAUUUAAACAAAAUAAUGAAAUGCAAGUUUCUCAAUAAAUAAUAAGAAAAAGAGCAAGUCUCUGAGAGAGAGAUCUCAACUGCUUGAACAUCAUACAACACUUGACUUAAUUACUCCCUCAAGUAUAACCCUAGAAUGGAAUUUAAUUCACUGUUUGGCACUGCGAAUCAAACCCUAAAUGAUCAAGUCACAGACACUAACACUAACCAAAAAGAAAGAAACUAACACAAAAACUAAGGACAAAUGAAUUUACCCCAUAAGAUUAACCUUAUUGGUGGAGUAGUACAAUGUUUCAAAGAGGAGGACACACAAAACCAGGAGGUGGAUUCUUUCCACAAGUUAUUAAAACUUGAAGAGCAAGAGGAAUGAAAAUGUUGAUAUUAAGAAGCUUAAGCCUUAUAGUUGUGCAUAGACAAACUGCUGCUUCAAGCUCUAGCAAUCCUUUAAUUACGGGGCAGCAAACAUUCUCAACUGGAUUCCCUAAUCCAACAUGCACUAAUCCUCCUAAUACAUCAACACAAGCCCCUAGCUUAAGGGCGUUGAUUGGACAAGUGGGUUGAGUAGUAGGUGGAGGAUUAAGCCCCGGAACACCACCACCACCACCUCCUCCUCCUCCUCCUCCACCGCCUCCGCCACCGCCGCCGCCUCCGCCACCACCAGAUGGAGGGCUAGGCGUGUAUGGUGGGUAACCUGAAGAAGGCGGCGGUGUUAUUACAGGAGGAGGUGUUAUUAUUACAGGAGGGUUUACUACAGGAGGAGGAUUAAUGACUAUUGGUGGCAAAACCACUGGUGGGUUUUUUGUUGAAGGUGGUUUUGGGUGGCCGCCGUGGUGUGGUGGGUGCUUGGUGCUUGGUGGGUUAGGAUGAGGAACUUUUGGGUGGGUUGGACGGUGGCCUGGUGGAUGUGGCUGAGUACAAGGUGCACAAGCAUAAAUUGGUGGCAAUGAUAUUGCCAUGAAAAUCAUAAAAAUGAAUAACAAAGCUUCAAGUUUAGAACCCAUGAUUGUUAGGGUUCUCUUGAAAUUUGCUAAACUAAUAUUCUUUUUCUUGUGUAUUUUGAUUGGUUUGGGUCCUAUCAUUAUAUAGCUGAAUUCUAUAAGCAACCCGUGAACUAGCUAGUUUUCCGAGUACGUGGAAGCUAAAAAAAGUACUCUUAACAUCAUUUUUAGAGAAACAGGCAAUCUUAAACUGGAAAUUUGGAUUUUUGCUGGUCAAUUUCAAACUCCAAUGCGUAUCCGUGACUCCUUUUCAGUUUCUGCAGGGACAGAUUCUUUUUUCUUUAUUGUUUUUCAUUUGCAUGUCUCUUGAUUUUCUUUUUGGAUGCCAAUAUCAUUUCUUUUUUGAUUUUUAAAUGGGUUGUCUUAUUUAUUUUGCAAAAAAUAUAUAGCAUGAAAUAAUCUAUAGUUUUGAAGUUACAGGCACAUGGAGUCUUAUACUUCGGGUCUACAUACUGUACUCUAUUAUUUCUGUUGGCGGUUUUGAUGAUAAUGGUGGGUGCUGGAUCUAUUGUAGAAGAUGGAGGUUUUAGGGUUUUGCAUUUUGCAGUACAGGCAUGCAUUAUAUUAUUGAGUUCAGUUCACGAAGUAAACAUGUGAACGUUUCUAUGUGGUUUUGUUUUCUUGCAUUUUAAAACGUUAUCAGCAGUAGAAAACUUCUAUACAUGUGUUUUUCUGUAUAUGUUACUUAAGCCAUGGUGUAAAGUCUUUUGAUCCACAUUGCGAAACUUGUCCUCAUCCAUAAUUAGCCAAGACAUUAAAAUCAAACAUAUUCAUUUUCUGUCAUUUACACAUUAUUCAUGUGAAUUUUCGGAAUUGUGUUGUCAUUCUGAUCAGGAGUUGCAAUAUCCUUUAGAAGCAUUUUUCGUAGUGGAAACAAAUUUAUUUUAUUUAUGCACAAAUCCUUAAUUAUUGUUGUUAUAUUAUUAUUAUGAUUAUUUUGCAUUAAUUAAACAAAAAUUCUUUAAGUAAAAUUUAACUGCGUAGAUAGAUAUAUUCUCUGAAGAAAAAUAUGACAUUAUUUAGUUGGCGGAUAAAUAUCAUUAACUUUAAUCUAAUUUGCAUAUAAAAGAACUACAAAUUGUCGGUUCUUUCCCCUGUUCAUCGCCCCAGUUGUUCACAAAUUUUGGCCUUUUUGUUUUCUUGCGCAUAUAAGAAAUAUAAAAAUAAUUUAGAUGCUUUCUAAAGAAGAAAAUCCCCAAUGGUACAUUGAUUUGUUAUGAAUUGUUGGUGGUAACACCAUCCAAUUAUUAGUUAGCGAAGUGUAAUUUGAAAGGCUUCUAUUUUUAAGUAGCACAAACUGUAACUUCUAAUUUAAUUCGCCCAAUUUUGUCAAGCAAUGACCAGGAAAGGUAAGCGCCCACAACAGUAUUAAGUCAACUUGCUUUGGCAUUCACACACAGAGACAGAGGCAAGUGAAAAAAUUUUUUCUUAUUCCAUUUCAUUAACUAAUUGCAAAUAAAACAAUACAGAAAAUGACAUAGAAGAAGGCGAGAUGCCCUUCUUGCCGUGUAAACAAUAAAAAAUGAUUUUGAUCACCAGAAACAAAGGAUGUUAAGCUGCAAGAAUGAAAUGAGAAAAAAUAUUGAAAAUAAUAAUAAUGGAUUAAAUUUAUGCGCACUUGAAUCCUUCAGGAACCUUCUUUCCACAGUAGUUAAGCAACAAGCUCAAGUCAAUAGGAAGAUUUAGGUUAAUGCCCAAAAGACUAGCCUUAAUGGUAGUGCAAAGGCAGACAGCGGCUUCAAGAUCAACAAGAUCGCCAAGGAGGCUACAGCAAGGGGUCUUUGGUGGCUUACCAACUGUAACAUUCAACAAACCCUUCAAAACAUCAACACAUACACCCAGUUUCAAGGUAUCUCUAGGACAAGCACCAGUUGAUGGGUUAGGCGAUGGCUUAGGCUUAGGUUUUGGUGGUGGUGGACAAUUGGUAGAGCUCACUAAAGUGAAGAAGAGAAGGUUCAAGGAGAGAAGAAGGGCAGUGGAGACUAGAGUUCUUGAAGCCAUUUCUCAAGAAUUAAUUAAUUCUUCGGAUAUAUGGUUCUUAAUUUGUUAGCUUCAAGAGACUGACGAACAUCGUAGAAUGGAUUAAGGAAUUUAUAGAUGGAGUUUAAGCAUUGUUUGAGCUUAAAAAAUCAUAAUAAUAUGACCCAUGUGAGAGUACAUUGUUGGAAACAACCUGUCGCUGCAGCUUGAGCUUGGAAUAUAUGUGCAUAUAUGAUUCUUCUUUGAAAAUUCCUAAUAUUGAGUUCGUCUACUUGUAGGCACAUUCAUUCCAUACAAACCGAUUGUUGAAUGAUCUGCCAGCAUCCGUAGUUGGCCAUAUAUUCCUUUUCCGUGAAUCACGCAUCACUGAUGCGGAUUUUUAAAUUGCAUAGCUGAUCUCUUUGAUCUUGACCCAUUAUGUAAACCGUCCUUACUUAAAAGGAAUUUUUUAUGGAUAGAAAAUUUUAUGCUUUUAGAAAAUGUAAAUAAUGAAAAACCCACAUAGGUCUCUUAUAGGACUUUAAAUUUAAAAAGAAAAAAAAGAAAUUAACGUAAUUUUUGUGUAUCAUAUACCACCAUCUUCCUAAUUAUGUGAUCUUAUGCGGAUUAGAGAGGAUUCACAAUGUAUAUAUAUAUAUAUAUAUAUAUGGUUGGCCUUAAAAAUCAAACUCUAGUCAACAUAAUAUUGAGAGUAGUUUUGGAUUUUUUACCGCUAGAUUAAAACUUCAUUUUCAGAAUUUAUUAUUGUCUGCUUACAAAAAAUUAAUUUAACUUAAUUAUUAAGCCAUGUCUCCGGUUGUUUUCUAGAUUUUUUUAUUUAGCGUUUACGAGUUAGGUUGGGUGUAUCAGGGACAUAAUGGAUUGGGUUUAAAAACUUUGAUAUGCUAAGUUAUUUUUAUAAAUUAAUAAAAUAAUUAUAUUUUGCUGAUAAAAAGAAAACACAUAUCUGCAUUCUUAUUAACUUCUAAAACAGGCAUUUCCAUUGAAAGUCAAAAAGAGCAAAAACACUUAUAUAUAAAUAGUUAUUUUCUUACUCGUAGCAGCAGUUGAACGUAUUGUGGGAUCAGUAAAUUUCAGUCAAUCGCAUUACUAAAAUUACUCAUGCAGAUCGAUAAGCUUCAAACUAUAUAUAUAUAUUCAAUCAUUCAUUCGAGGAAUAGAAAGGUUUGAAUAAUUAAUCAUUACCUAUAUAAAAAUAUAUAUAUUUAUUAAAAAUUUAAACACUAAACUAAACUUAUUUAGAUUUUUUUGGAACAUAUUAUUUCAUUAUAUUAAAAAAACAAUACAGACGCACGACGAAGUAGGCAAGAAAACCUUCUUGCCAAAUCGAUUACAACAGUAAGAUAUUAUUUUGAUUGAGCUUCUAUGGCAUAUAUGCCAAGAAAACAUCUCAUGAAUAAAUUAAUACAAAACGAAAGAAUUUAUUUAAAUUAACUUGGAAUAAAUAGAAUGCAUAACAAAUUUAUGCACAUUGAAAUCCUUGGGGGACCUUCUUGCCACAGUAGUUAAGCAACAAGCUCAAGUCAAUUGGAAGAUUUAGGUUAAUGCCCAAAAGACUAGCUUUAAUUGUAGUGCAAAGGCAAACAGCAGCCUCAAGGUCAACAAGGUCGCCAAGGAGGCUACAGCAAGGGGUCUUUGGUGGGGUACCAAUUGUGACACUCAACAAAUCCUUCAAAAGAUCAACACAUACGCCCAGUUUUAGGGUAUCCCUUGGGCAAGCUCCAUGUGAUGGGCUUGGUGUCGGGUUAUUGGGCUUAGGAGAUGGGGUUCUUGGGCUUGGUCUAGGGUUAUUGGGCCUAGGUGAUGGGUUGCCGGGGCUUGGUGUCGGGUUAUUGGGCUUAGGUGAUGGAUUGCUCGGAUUUGGUGUCGGGUUAUUGGGCGUAGGUGAUGGGUUGCUGGGGCUUGGUGUUGGGUUAUUGGGCGAAGGUGAUGGAUUCCUGGGGCUUGGUAUUGGGUUAUUGGGUGAAGGUGAUGGGUUGCUGGGGCUUGGUGUUGGGUUAUUGGGCGAAGGUGAUGGGUUAUUGGGCUUAGGUGAUGGGUUGCCGGGGCUUGGUGUGGGGUUUUUGGGUGUAGGAGAUGGGUUGCUUGGGUUAGGAGAAGGGGUUUUUGGUUUGGGUGAUGGCGUAUCAGGUGGACAAGAGCAAGAGGUGACCAAAGUGAAGAAAAGAAGAUUGAGGGAGAGAAGAAGGGCAAUGGAGGCUGCAGUUCUUGAAGCCAUAUUUCUCUGUGUUUUCUUUAGUUUACUAAAAUAAGUAUGAAGUGAUGAGAAAUGGUGGAGAGGGUGUAGGGUUUUUAUAGAAGGACACCACUUAAGCAUAAAAUUAGAAAAUUAGAAUAAUGUGAUGCAUGUGGAUACAUAUAUUUUUGCAUGGGUAAUAAAUAUUAUGAGACACAAGCUGUCACUUUGCAGCUAGCGUUUGAAAAUCAUCGUCGUUGAAAAAUCUUCAAUAUAAUUAGCAACUACGUGUAGGCACAUUCCAUAGGAAAAAAAUGAAAUUUUGUUUAUUUAUUUGCUUUAAAUGGGUUGUUUUAUUGACUUUAUAAGUGCCUAGUCUCAUAAUUACAUAUAUAGAAUAUUUAUAGUGCAAUAACAGUUGUAGAUAGACAAAAUCCCUGAACUUGGGGAGAAUUUAAGUUUUUUUAAUUACUAUAUUAUUAUUGUUAAAAACCUAUUCUUUAGUCAAGAGCAAUCACCUAUUAUUACAUUGGAAAUUUAUUUCAAUUGAUUCUCUUUGCCUUGUAGUUUUACUUUCCCUAUUAAAUAUAACUCUGAUGUUCCAAUUUUUUAAAUAUUUCUAUUUUUUCAUACGGUAUUGUUUGAUUUAUAAUCCUUUUUAAAAAUUAUUAAUUACUUGCUUGUAUAAAUAAUAAUAUUAAAAAAAGAGUUAUCUAUUGGAGUACGUGAAUAAUCCUACAUCGGAUAAAUAUAACUAAUUAAAAGGGCAUAUAAUUUCAAGGGUGAACUAACCAAAAUAGCUUAGACUAUUUUGUAUUAAAAGUAAGCCCAAUGUUAAAUACAGAUUUGAUUAAUUUGCUCAUAGGCCCCAUAUGCUUAAUAUUAUAUAAAUAAUAAUAAUAAUAACAAACAAUCCCUUAUCCAAAUUCCUCUAAUGAUAUGCUUAAAAUUAUGAUUACAAUUCUUGCAAUUACCCAAAAAUAAGGUGAUUCUUAAUAGAUAAAUAUAUUAAAAUUCUUUAAUUUUAUUUAAUUAAAUAAAAUCAUGAAUAAGUUAAAAUAUAUUCGACAAUUAAAUAAAUUAAAUUUAAAUAAAAUUUUAAAUUGGAUGUAUCAAAUCACAUCUUAUUAAAUAAAAUUUUAAAUUAGAUGUAUCAAAUCACAUCUUAUUCAAAAAAAAAAAAAAAAAGUUAGAUCACCUCUGUUUAAAUUAGAUUUAUUUGAUAUAUUUUAUCAAAUCACAUCUUAUUAAAUUAGAUUUAUUUAAUAAGACGUUAUUAGGAGUACAAAACUUCUAUGCUUAUGUUUUUUUAUGUAUAUGAUAUUUUAUUUUCUAUUUAUUGGGAAGGACCACUAAAUCGGAAGAAUAUAAUGUGAUAGCCUUCUCUUUUAUUCAUAAAUUGAUGAAAAUUCUUUAAUUAAAAAGUUUCGGACUUAAAAUUUCUCGCUUAUCAUAUAAAUGAAAAGACCAAUGAUCAGAUCAUACAUUUAAAAAAUUGAUUAAUUCAACUUUCCUCAAAUAACAUUGUUCAUUUCAAAUUAUGUUAUUUAAGCCAUAGAGUAAAUUCUUUUGAUCCACAUUUCAAAGCUUGUCCAACUAAGAUAUGUAGGUAGAAUUUAUAAUAGACCAAAGUAUUAAAAUCAUACAUAUUCUGAUUAAACUUUAUUCAUUUUCUGUAAUUUGAUAAAUUUUGAAAUUCGAACUCAAUUAAUUUAUAACUAUCAAACCGACCUGAAUUAAUUUCGAACUUAGCUAUUUAUAAACGAACGGGUACUGGAGCUCAAGCUCGAGUUAUGCUGCUAGGCGUGUUUAUAACAAUUCCAAUCCUAAGCAUAAUUUGAUGUGUCCUGGAGGAAACACGGUCCAAUUAAUAGUGUUUUUUCUUUCAAAUAUAUCAAUUAAUAAUUGGCAAAGUGUAACUUAAUUAAAAUGCUUUUCUUUUCUUCUUUUUUUUUUUUUUUUCAAAAAGAAAACUUAAAAAGGCUUAUUUUUAUGUGCACGAAUUGUAACUUCCCAUUUAAUUCACUGAACUCUUGGCAAGCCAGAUAAAAAACGUGAUAAUUUUUUUUUAUCUGAAAAAAAAAACAGUAUAUUUAUUGCGUGCAUGGACUGCUACGUAUAACAUGAAGAAUUAGCAAAUUUAGGCACAGAGGAGUAAGGAGUCAACUUCCUUUGGAAUUCACCUUAAACAAUCAACAACACAUAAGCAACUGGAAAAAAAAAACAAUUCUUAUUCCAUUAAAUUAAUUAAUUGCAAAUAAAAAAUAUUACAGAAACAGACAUAUCUAUAGCAGAAGGCGAGAAGCCUUUCUUGCAAUGGAAACAAUAAAUUCUUUUAUCACAAAAAAAAAAAAAAAAAAAAAUCAAAUAGUUACAAGAAUGAAAUGAAAAAAAAAAAAAAACUUGAGAAUAAACAGAAUAAUAAUGGAUUAAAUUUAUGCGCACUUGAAUCCUUCAGGGACCUUCUUGCCACAGUAAUUAAGCAACAAGCUCAAGUCAAUAGGAAGAUUUAGGUUAAUGCCCAAAAGACUAGCCUUAAUGGUGGUGCAAAGGCAGACGGCAGCUUCAAGAUCCACAAGAUCGCCAAGAAGGCUGCAGCAAGGGGUCUUUGGUGGGGUACCAACUGUAACAUUCAACAAACCCUUCAAGACAUCAGCACAUACACCCAGUUUCAGAGUAUCUCUAGGGCAAGCACCAGUUGAUGGGUUAGGCGAUGGCUUGGGCUUAGGUUUCGGUGGUGGUGGGCAAUUGGUAGAGCUCACUAAAGUGAAGAAGAGAAGGUUCAAGGAAAGAAGAAGGGCAGUGGAGACUACAGUUCUUGAAGCCAUUUCUCAAGAAUUAAUUAAUUCUUUGGAUAUAUGGUUCUUAAUUUGUUAGCUUCAAGAGACUGAUGAAAAUGGUGCAAUGGAUUAAGGAAUUUAAGCGCGGUUUGAGCUUUAAAAAUUCUUAUAAUAGAACCCAUGUGAUACAUUGCAAGGGAAUAUUGUUGGAAACAACCUGUCAUUGCAACUUGAGCUUGGACUAUAUAUCAUCCGAUCUUCUUUGAAGAUUCUUGAUUUUAAUUAUGUCUACACAUUGGUCGUUGAAUGUAGAAUCUAUAGUUGGCUAUAUAUCUAUUCCUUUGCGUGAAUCACACAUCAUUGCUGCAAAUCUUGAAAUUCCAUAUACAAUUAAGUAUAACCGUUCUUAAUUAAAAAAGAAUCUUGUAAUGCAUAGACAAUUAUGUUCUUAUAAUAAAAUAUAAACAAUAAAAAACAGAAGAACAAUUGAGGGGAUUGGAGAUCUAUGGUGUAGUGGGUUGCAGCCCCUCUCAACAUAAAACCUCAUAGGUUAGUUCCCCUGUCUCUGGGAGCCAACGGAGAAGAGAAUUACUUGAAACAUUAACUGGACACGGACAAGAGGCAGCAAAGGAGAAUAGUCGAAUUACUUGAACUAUUAAAAGAUUUGAUUUUUUUUUUUUUUUUUUUUUUUUUUUUUUUGUUUAUGGCAAGCAUUGUGGUUGUGGUUGGCCUUACAAUUUUUUUAAAAAAAUUGUGUAUACAUCGUAUUAAAUUCCUCUACACUUUUUUUUUCAUCUUCCUAAUUACGCGAGCUUAAAAUGAUUAGAGAAUGUGCAAUACAAAAAGGAAUUAGAUGGUUGGCCCUGAAAAGUAAACUUUAGAAACAUAAGAUUAUGACAUUAAUUUUUGAAUUUUUUAUCAGCUGUCAGAUGAAAACUUCAUUUCAGAAUAUUUUUUUCCCCUUACAACAAAUUAGCUUAAUUCAAUCGUUAACCUAUGUCUGCAUUUAUAUAUCAACUUCCAAAACAGCCAUUUUCCAUUGAAAUAAACCAAAAAAACACUUAUUUAGCUAUUUUCUUACUCAUAGUAGUAGUUGAAUUUAUCGUGGGGAUAAAUACUUCAACUAAUUAUAUCAGUAUAUUUAUGUUAUAAAUGAAGUGUAAAAUUACUCAAAUUCAAUUUUGUUUCAAAAUAUAUUAUUACUACAUUUUGAUAAAGAAAUUCAACAACAAUAUUUUUAUUUUUAACAUGGUAAUUGAGUAAAAUUUCUUUAGCAAUAUAGCCUCUAGUGUUAGUGUGUAUUUAUAUAUAAAUAUAUAAUGUUUGAAAUUACACGAGAAAGAAGGAUGAAACGAUGAAUAUUUAUUUGUCAUUCAGAAAGAUAUUCUCUCUUCAAUUAUUUAUUCGAGAAAUAGAAAGAUACUAGUUAUUCAUAAUUAGUAUAUAAAAAUAUAAAUUUAUUAGGAAGUAAAAUGCUAAAGUAAUACGAAUUAUUAUCAUUAUGUUUUUUUUGCAACAUCUUAUUAUUUCAUUAUACUAAAAAAACAAUACAAACGCAUGACGAAGAAGGCAAGAAAACCUUCUUGCCAAAUCGAAUACAACAGUAAGAUAUUAUUUUGAUUGAGCUUCUAUGGCAUAUAUGCCAAGAAAACAUCUCACGAAUAAAUUAAUACAGAACGAAAGAACUUAUUUAAAUUAACUUGGAAUAAAUAGAAUGCAUAACAAAAUUAUGCACAUUGAAAUCCUUGAGGGACCUUCUUGCCACAGUAGUUAAGCAACAAGCUCAGGUCAAUUGGAAGAUUUAGGUUAAUGCCCAGAAGACUAGCUUUAAUUGUAGUGCAAAGGCAGACAGCAGCUUCAAGAUCAACAAGAUCGCCAAGGAGGCUACAGCAAGGGGUUUUUGGUGGGGUACCGAUUGUUACACUCAACAAAUCCUUCAAAAGAUCAACACAUACACCCAGUUUUAGGGUAUCCCUUGGGCAAGCUCCUUGUGAUGGGCUUGGUGUAGGAUUAUUGGGCUUAGGGGAUGGGUUUCUUGGGCUUGGUGUCGGGUUAUUGGGCUUAGGUGAUGGGUUUCUGGGGCUUGGCGUGGGGUUAUUGGGCGAAGGUGAUGGGUUGUUAGGGCUUGGUGUCGGGGUUUUUGGCGUGGGUGAUGGAUUGCUCGGGUUUGGUGUCGGGUUAUUAGGCGAAGGUGAUGGGUUGCUGGGGCUUGGUGUUGGGUUAUUCGGUGAAGGUGAUGGGUUUCUUGGGCUUGGUGUUGGGUUAUUGGGCUUAGGUGAUGGGUUGCUGGGGCUUGGUGUGGGGUUUUUGGGUGUAGGUGAUGGGUUGCUUGGGUUAGGAGAAGGGGUUUUUGGUUUGGGUGAUGGCGUAUCAGGUGGACAAGAGCAAGAGGUGACCAAAGUGAAGAAAAGAAGAUUGAGGGAGAGAAGAAGGGCAAUGGAGGCUGCAGUUCUUGAAGCCAUAUUUCUCUGUGUUUUCUUUAGUUUACUAAAAUAAGUAUGAAGUGAUGAGAAAUGGUGGAGAGGGUGUAGGGUUUUUAUAGAAGGACACCACUUAAGCAUAAAAUUAGAAAAUUAGAAUAAUGUGAUGCAUGUGGAUACAUAUAUUUUUGCAUGGGUAAUAAAUAUCAUGAGACACAAGCUGUCACUUUGCAGCUAGCGUUUGAAAAUCAUCAUCGUUGAAAAAUCUUCAAUAUAAUUAGCAACUACGUGUAGGCACAUUCCAUAAAAAAAAAAAAUAAUAAAUAAAAAUUUGUUUAUUUAUUUCCUUUAAAUGGGUUGUUUUGAUGACUUUAUAAGUAGCUUCUGCCUAGUGCUGUUUUGGACGAAUCUCAUAAUUACAUUUAUAGAAUAUUUAUAGCGCAAUAACAGUUGUAGAUAGACAAAAUCCCUAAAGUUGGGGAGCAUUUAAUUUGUUUUAGUAAUUUUUUUUUUGUUUUAAUUAUGUUAAACAAGCUUUUUUUUAGUCAAGAGCAAUCACCUAUGAUUACAUUGGACAGUUAUUUGAAUGUGUUCAAAGUUUAAUGAAAUCUCACUAAACGUCUAAAUUUCUCUUUGCCAUGAUAGUUUGUUUGUUCCAAUUUUUUAACCAAUUCUACAUUUCCAUGUGGUAUUAUUUUAUUGAUUCCUUUUUCAAACAACUUUUACAUCUGCACCUGUUUACACCAUAAUUUGAAUCUAAUUCAUGUUUUUCUUUAUUUAGUGUUUUUUCAGUGGUUUAGUGGUUUAAAUUCCUAAUUUCUUCUGCUACGAUUUCAUUCAAGAUCAAUAAAUUUUGUCGUGCUUUAUCAAUUCAGUUCAUUUUUUAUGUACGAGUUUUAAGAAAAAAAAGUUUUAUUCUCUCUGUAUUAUUUAUAUUGAUUUGAAGUUGAUUAACGAAAUUUUAAUAUAUUAUGGUAGAAAAAAAAGCUAGUGUUAAUUACAAUUUUUCUAAUUCGUUUUUUUCCUUGAUUUCUUUACAAUACAAAUAACAAACAGUUUCAUAUAUCCAAAUUAUUAUAUUGAAAAUUCUUACGUUUCAAAAGUUCCCAAACAAUGAGGUGAUUUCAAUCUCUGGCUUCUCAAAUGAAUGUGUAUUCUUUUAAUCUUACUUUAAGGAUUGUAGCUAAAAAAUUUCAAAUAAAAAUUUUUUUAAAAAAGAGAAAAGUUUGGUAGGAUUAAACAAUCCAAACCAAUCCAACAUGACUCAAUAUUAAAUUUUUUUUUUUUUAAACUCGUUCAUUAAUGCAAACAAAUCAAGCUAAAAUACAAACUGAAACGCGAAUAUUUUUGUGCAUGAGUUUUGUCAUCUACAGACUCGACUCAAAAUCCCAUGAACAACUUUAAGAAAAAAUAAUUUAUGUGCUGAUAUUAUAAAAAUAAUAAUUUUCUUUAUAUUUUAUGAAAAAUUUAUUACAAAAUAAAAGUUAAUUAAAUUUAUUACAAUAAUUUUACAUUUCAACAAUAAUUUGGUUUAACUCAAAAUCAAGUCACAUCUUAUUAAACAUUGCUCGUUUUCAACUCCAUAAAGUAGUACCCGCUUUUGUUCUUUUGGCGUGUGUCUAUGCCUAAGUUUAACAACCAUUACACUUAUAUAUCCUUAGCUAGGAAUGGACAGUUCUGAUUUCUCAUGUGUACCGUGAAAGCAACUGUGCUGCAGAUUGGUUAGCCCAUUUUGGGAGUAGCCUUGCGUUGGGAGUCCAUUUUUUUGAGCUUCCUCCCAAUGGCUUUUCUAGUUUUCUGCUCCAUGAUGUCUGUGGAGUCAGUUAUUCUAGGCUAGUAAUUGUGUAGUUGUUAGUUUUAUUUUCUCUUUUCCAAAAAAAAAAAAAAAAAAAAACCCGUUACACUUAUAUAGAAAACAUUAGUUAUCCCAACAAUUAUCGACCUACGUAUUCAAUAUACUAUAAUUGAGUGCAACAAUAUAUAUCUAUGUGGACGGAAGUCCAAAAUACAUGGUAAGAAGUUAAACCCAGCCUUGAAUUAAUUAAGAAAUACAAAUUAAUAAUAACAUUAUGAAUUAAUUAUUUCAUUUAACAUCAAUUCAAGUAUAUCAUAUACCAAUAAAUUGACGAAAUUAAUUAUUAAUCUAUGCACAUUCAAAUCCUUCAGGAAGCUUCUUGCCACAGUAGUUAAGCAACGAGCUCAUGUCAUCAGUUGAAACAUUUAGGUUAAUGCCCAAGAUACUAGCCUUAAUGGCAGUGCAUAGACAAACAGCAGCUUCAAGAUCGCCAAGGAGGCUACAGCAAGGGGUCAUUGGUGGAGUACCCAUUGUUGCAUUCAACAAAGCGUUCAGAAGAUUACCGCACAGACCCAGGCUUAGGGUAUCCUUAGGGCAAGCUCCGGUUGAUGGGACUGGUGCUGGAUCGCUUGGCUUAGGUGGUGGCUUGCUUGUUUUUGGUGGUGGUGGUGGUGGGCAAGCGAAAGAGCUUACCAAGGUGAAGAAUAGAAGGUUGAAGGUUAUUAUAAUACAUAUAAUAAUUCAACAUUGCUCAAAAAAAAAAUAAAUAAAUAAAUAAAUGUUGAAUUAAUUUUCACUAGAAUCCAGUACAACAUACAAAGACAGAUAUGGAUGAAAGCAAUCAAGAAGCUUUCAUCACAUAAAAUUUUUUUUAAAAAAAGUUGCAAUUAAGAAAUUAUUGAAUAAAAUGUUUAUAUAGCAGAUAACCAAAUAAAACAUCCAAAACCUGAAAACACAACACAAAAAAAAGAAAACAAAAUCACAAAUGUGCAUAUUUACGCACACUUAAAUCCUUCUGGAACCUUCUUGCCACAAUAGUUAAGCAACAAGCUCAAGUUAACAGGAAGGUUUAGUUUAAGUCCCAACACAUUAGCUUUAAUAGUAGUGCAAAGGCAAACAGCGGCUUCAAGAUCAACAAGAUCACUGAUAAGGCUGCAACAAGGUGUCUUUGGUGGGGUUCCAACUGUAACACUCAGCAAAUCUUUCAAUAGAUCAACACAUACACCUAGCUUUACAGUAUCCUUAGGGCAAGAACCUUUAUUCCCUUUUGGCUUUGGUGAUGGUGAUGAUGGUGUUGGUGGGCAAUUGGUAGAGCUCACCAAAGUAAAAAAAAGAAGAUUUAGGGAGAGGAGAAGGGCAGUGGAGGCUAUAGUUCUUGAAGCCAUUUCUCACCUAAAAUAGUUUCUUGGAUAGUUUUAGAGAUAUGAGCUUUGCUAUAGCUAAAGUUUCAAGAGAUGGGUGACAAUUGUGAAGUCGGUUGAGGGUUUUUAUAGAUGAUGAUUGGAGUUUAUAAUAAUUUCUAUUAUAUUUAUUGAAUUUAAAAAAUCUCCAACAUGUCAAAUGAUGGUUGGUAAUGUGCCCAUAUUUCACUCUUGUUAGUAAUUCUCCGUCUUAUUUAUUCUCUCAUUUACUGUAAUUGCACUCUGAAUGCAAUAUUUAAAAUUUAGAAAAUAAAUUUAUUUGGAUAUAUGAAAGCUGAUUCAAAUGUGAGAGAAGAAUAUACUUGAUUACCUGUGGGCACAUUGGAUUAUUCAUGUAAGAUACACAACCUGGCAAUGCAGGUUGCAUGAUAAGAUGUUUUGUGAUUAUAGAGUUUGGAGUGUUCCUAUUUGUUAGUUGGCAAUUCUCUCUCUGCACAUGCCAAUUAUGUAAUAUUGCAUUUUGUUACUAAUUCUUCAUAUAUAUGUAUGUACUUGUUUUGUUCACAUCUGCAUAUUCUGAUCUGCAAGUUGAAUUUCCAGCUAACUUUAAACAUUAUUGAUGGCUUAACAUCGUAACAAUUGAAAUAAAAUUAACAAUUUACUGUAAAAUUAUGAAAGAUAAUAAUAAAGUUUGUUUUUUUGGGUAAUUAAGAAACCAAAGCAUUAUAAACUUAUAGAGCAAAUCCCAAAUCCUAAAGUCGAAUCAGAGACUUGCAUUGCAAAAUCCACAUGGAAAAAUCGAGAAAGCAUAGUGAUGGAGAAGAGGACACUGUAGCUCUGGUAAUGGCAGUGGGAAGAUAGUAGGUAAGGUGGCCAUUGAAAUGAAGGUCGCAUUGAAAUGAGAAUAUAAUUUUUCUAUCUUAUCUCUGUUUCUUUUUUUUUUUUUUUCCACAAAUAGUAAUAAGGAUUGUAUUUCUGGAAAUUCCUAAUUAAAAAAUGGUAACAAAACAGUUCAAUCUUAAGGAUAACUUCUACGUUUUCCUCCCUAUUUGCAAAUGAUAGGAAACCCAAAACUGAUUAUUGAAGUCAACUUUAUAAUGCCCCCAAAUCCAGUGACAUAUUUUCAGACUGUUGGAAAUAUUAUAAGUCAAUUUCCUGCCAAUCAAAUAUAGUUUGCUUGGUCGUCUUUUCAAUUUUUUUUUUUAAUUUAAGACCAAAAAUCUCAUAUUAGAUUGUUUUCAAUCAUAUAAAAGUCUUAAUCAAUAUUGUAAAAGUUAUUUAAAGGGAAAAUUACCUUCUGCUUUGUAGCAUAUAUACAAGCUUAUCUCAACUUAUAUAAUUUAAAAAAAAAAAAAAAAACAAUUCUCAAACCAUCAGUCAUAAUAAUUAAUUAAUUACUUGUGAGCUUUUACAUUGAAUAGUACUUGACAAACACGAUGUUAGAGAUCUACUGAAUAUUAACUUUGGGAAUUGUCUAUUGAUUAAUCUCAUUCAAAAUUGUCCCUUUUUGGCAUUAAAACUCACAACAGAAAUUUAUAAUUUCAUCGUUCCAUUGGACACAAUAGCCAAUCAAUAUUUCAAGCUAUGCCCACUUCUAUAUAAUCUUAAUUUUCAACUCAUUCCACAAUAAAUUAUAAAAAUCUUAAUUUUCAACUCAUUCCACAAUAAAUUAUAAAUAAGCUCACAAAAAUCAGCUAACUUUGAUUAUAAUAUUUCUGUUUUAAGUCUGGUCUUUAGGAGAGAGUCAUAUAUAUACGCUUUUUAUAUUGAUUUGAAUUUAAUUACUGAAGCUCUAAUAUAUUUAAUAGCCUGUAAAUUAAGUGAUAAUAUAAAAAGUGAAAAGUUCAAACAUUAAAAUAUUUCAUUUUCUUUGGAAACCAUAUUUCUAACUAGUCUUUACCUGACAAAGAAUCAUUUGUUGCAGUUUAAGUUGCGAAACGAAGAGAUAUGUUAUGGAAGGUCUAUGCUUGCAGAAGAUUUGGAACUUAAGGCAACUGCCCAAUGGUAACCGCAUCAAGUGUAACACUUGAAAUUACAAAUGUAAAAUAUGUCAAGAAAAACAACACAACCAUGCAUAUUAUUUUCAAACAUCAUAUUAUUACUUGAAAAUUUCCAAUUAAAAUAAUAACAACAAUUUGCCAAAAGAAUACGCAUUACAAUGAAAAAUGAAGUCAGUAAACUUUCUCUGCAACGAGUACGUAACUGCAAGAAAUUAUUGAUUUACCCAAUAAAAAACCCAAAUUAAGCCAAAACACACACCAUUAAUUAGGACGAGAAAGAAACUGAAUGAAUAGUGCAGUAUUAAUCUAUGGACAUUUGAAUCCUUUGGGAACCUUCUUCCCGCAUCUGUUGAGGUACAAGCUCAAGUCAAGUGGAACAUUUAGGUUUAGGCCCAAAACAUUAGCUUUAAUGGCAGUGCAAAGGCAAGCACCAGCUUCAAGAGCAACAAGAUUACCAAGAAGGCUACAGCACUGUUGAUUUGGUGGGAUUUUAAUAAUCCCCAACACAUCUGCACAUACCUUCAGCUUUAGGGCAUCAAUAGGGCAAGUGGCAGCGCUCGUCAUAUUGAAGAAAAGAAGGUUAAGGGAAAGAAGCAAGGCAAUGGAAGCUACAGCUCUUGAAGCCAUCUUGGAUUUUUUUUUUUUUUUUUCUUCAGGAUAUAAAUGAGCUUUUGUUUUGAUGCUGAUGAGAAAUAGUGAAGGGGUUUUUAUAGAGGGAGAUUAAGCGUAAGUUAAUGUUAAACAGAUCAAGAAUGUGAUCCAUGUGGGCAUUAUUGAACAAAAGUAGCUGGCAUGCGCAGUGAAGCAUAUAAGUUAUGUCUUAUAAUCAACAUAUGGGCGCACGUCGAGUAAUCGUGUAAGUACCGAAUAAUCCCAUGAUCUUCAACUUCAGGGAUUAGUUUUUAAUUAUUGUUCGUAGCUCCUGGAAUUACUCAUAAUUAUUCUUUACGUGAAAAUUGAGUUUUAAACGUGCUCUUGACCAUACUACUUUCACAUUUUAUUUGUGGGGAUCCAUAGAUCUAGUAUAGACAAGUUAAUCCCAUCAAUAACACUCUUUGCUGUUCUCUCUCUUUGAAUUCUCAUCCUUUUCUAUCUUAUCUCUGUUUCUUUUCUUUUUCCUCGAAUAGUAAUAAGGAUUGUAUUUCUGCAAAUUCCUAAUUAACAAAAUGGUACAAAACAGUUCAAUCUUAGGGGAUAACUUUUACGUUUUCCGCCAAAUUUGCAAAUGAUAGGAAACCCAAAACUGAUUAUCGAACACAAUGCACUUAAUAAAAUCUUCCACUGUUGGAAAUACUUUCUUGUUUAUCAGCAAAUAAAAAUUUUAUUUUAGUAAACAAACAUAUCCAGGAAAAACUUAGCAAAAUUAAGAAACUUUAUCCGAGCUAAUAAACCCUCUAAAUACAUCCAAACCUACUUAAAAAUGUUAAAUGAAAAAAACCUGAAAAACCUUAAAAUUAAAAUACAUAUUUAUCUUCUGGAGAUAAAAAAGAAUGAAUUUAAAACCAAAACUGAAUCGAAUCAAAUCAAAGUACCGUGAAAGUCAAAAAUCUACUUAUGACCCAACCCUCAAUAUCCAAACUGAAGAACCAUUUGCUCUUAUCCUCUAAUCAAAGCCACCUAACCGAAACAUAAUUAUAACCAUAGCCAAAAAAAGUUCUGCAUAAAUUACUCCUUUGUUUUAGCUAGGUUAUCUGCAAAACAAUUUUUUUCUCUAUUAACAUGUUUGAAUUGAAAGAAAAACAAAGAAUCAAGAAGAAGUCAAGUCUAUUAAAAUUGAACGGCCAUCUCCAAAGGCGAUGAUUAUGUUGAGUUACCCAGCCGAAGACUACUCUAGAAUCUGUCUCAAAAGUAAUUGAAAUUUUGGCAAACUUUAAAUGAACAUAAAUCUCAACGGCUUUUGACAAAUCGAAUAACUGAGCAACAUUUGACUCUUUUAAAUCAACGGAUUCAUAAAAACUCAUAAGAUAAACCCUUGCAAAUUCCUCAUUACACCUUCAAUUUCCGCUAGGUCAGGCUUUCGUAAGGCACAUUCAUCUGUCAAGCACGAUGUUAUAGAUCUAUUGAAUAUUAACUCUGGGCAUUGUCCAUUUAUUAUUCUAUUUCAAAUUUGUCCCCUUUUUUGGCAAAAGAAAUUUCAUUGCAAUAACCAAUCAAAUAGUUCAAGCUACACCCACUUUCAUAUAAUCGUAAUUUUCACGUCGUCCGUAAUAAACUAUAAAUAAUCUUACAAAAUUAGCCAAUUUUGAUAUGGUUUUUGAUUAUAACAGUUCUGUUUUAAAUCUGGUCUAGAAGAGAAUCAUAUUUUUUGUAGGCUUUCUGUAUUAUUUUGAAUUUAUUUAUAUUGAAAUCCUAAUAUAUUUAAUAGUGGGUAAAUAGUUAAGUGUUUGAUUUUGAUAAUAUCAAAUGUGAAAAGUUCAAACAUUAAUAUUUCAUUUUCUUUAGAAAUCAUAUUUCUAACUAGUCUUUACCUUAAAAAAAAUAUUUCUUGCAGUUUACGUGGCAAAACGAAGAGAUAUGCAAUGUAAGGUCGAAGAUUUGGAACUUAAUGCCCAAUGGUUACAGCAUCAAGUGUAACACUUGAAUGUGAAAUUCAACGAUAGGAAAUUACAAAUGUAAUAUAUGUCAAAAAAAAAAAAAAAAAAAACCAACACAACCAUGCAUAUUCUCUUAGAACAUCAUAUUAUUACUUGAAAAUUUCGAAUUAAAACAAUAACCGUAAUUGGCCAAAAGAAUACACAUUACAAUGAAAAAUGAAGUCAAUAAAACUUUCUCUGCAACGAGUACGUAACAGCAAGAAAUUAUUGAUUUACCCAAGAAAAAUCCCAAAACAAGCAAAAACACACGCCAUAAUUAGGAGGAGAAAGAAACUGAAUGAAAUAGUAGUGGAGCAUCAAUCUAUGGACACUUGAAUCCUUGUGGAACCUUCUUCCCGCAUCUGUUGAGGUACAAGCUCAAGUCAAGUGGAACAUUUAGGUUUAAGCCCAACACGUUAGCUUUAAUAGCAGUGCAAAGGCAAGCACCAGCUUCAAGAGCAACAAGAUUACCAAGAAGGCUGCAGCACUGUUGAUUUGGUGGGAUUUUAAUAAUCCCCAACACAUCGGCACAUGCCUUCAGCUUUAGGGCGUCAAUAGGGCAAGUGGCAGCGCUUACCAUAUUGAAGAAAAGAACGUUAAGGGAAAGAAGCAAGGCAAUUGAUGCUACAGCUCUUGAAGCCAUCUUGGAUUUUUUUUUUUUUUUUUUUUUUUCUUUUAGGAUAUAAAUAAGCUUUUGUUUUGAGGCUGAUGAGAAACGGUGAAGGGGUUUAAGGGUUUUUAUAGAGGGAGAUUAAGCCGAAGUUAAUGUUAAUUAAACAAAUCAAGAAUGUGAUCCAUGUGGGCAUUAUUGAACAAAAGUAGCUGGCAUGCGCAGUGAAGCAUAUAAGUUAUGUCUUAUAAUCAACAUAUGGGUGCACGUCGAUUAAUAUUGUAAUCUGUGGGUGCACCGAAUAAUCCCAUGAUCUUCAACUUCAGGGAUUAGUUUUUAAUUAUUGUUAGUAGCUCGUGGAAUUAUUGAUAAUUAUUGUUUAUGUGAAAAUAGAGUUCUGAACUCGGUCUUGACAAUCGUAUUUUUACAUUUUAGUUUGAAAGAUAAACAAUCAACCAAGCACUGCUGGAGACUAUAUAGAACGCAUUUUCAAUUUCACAAUUCUUUUUGUAUUCAUGAAAAGCUUCUAUAAUGAUGGUUAAUGGAGUUUAAACUCAAGUCUUUUCCUCUCUCCAUGAACUCUAUUUUUUAAGUUAAAGGUGGGCGAGAGAUUAAAAUAGUUGAAGAAACCAAUUAGCUAGGUAUAAAAAUUGACUAAUAAAGGAUUGUAAUUAAAAGAUAUUUUAUCUUGGAUGGAUUAAUCUCACAAUAAUAAAAGCUUAGGUCUCUGUAACAUAUAAGUACGAUUAUAUAUGUUUAGAUAUCACUUUCUAUUUUUUGCAUUAACACCCUUUUUGAUUAAAAUUGCCUGGAAUGCUAUUUUGUAUGGAUGCACCUGCAUUUCUAUAUUGUAUGAAAGCAAGGUUGUUCCGUACUUCGUAUAUAUACUUUUCUAUCGACUUAAAUAAUCAAUCUUAUAAGUUUUCUAUCGACUUUUCUAUACAAAUCACUGAAUUUAAAAAGAUCUUUUAUUAAACUUAAACGUGUCUUAUCUUUGAAGUCAUUUUAUAGCUAAGUAUUGUGAUAUUUUUUACAUAUUAAUAAUACUUAGCUACAUAUGUUGUAUUUGAAAUUCUUUAAUUGGGUGUAAAUUAAUCUAUAGAUACUGCAUAUGCUUAGACAUAUAUAGGCCCUGGGGUAAAGUUUACUAUUUCCUUCUUUUAAUAUUGGAGAAAGAUACUAUUAGUAAUAUUCAAACUCUGAUUAACAUAGCCCAACACGUUAGCUUUAAUAGCAGUGCAAAGGCAAGCACCAGCUUCAAGAGCAACAAGAUUACCAAGAAGGCUGCAGCACUGUUGAUUUGGUGGGAUUUUAAUAAUCCCCAACACAUCGGCACAUGCCUUCAGCUUUAGGGCGUCAAUAGGGCAAGUGGCAGCGCUUACCAUAUUGAAGAAAAGAACGUUAAGGGAAAGAAGCAAGGCAAUUGAUGCUACAGCUCUUGAAGCCAUCUUGGAUUUUUUUUUUUUUUUUUUUUUUUCUUUUAGGAUAUAAAUAAGCUUUUGUUUUGAGGCUGAUGAGAAACGGUGAAGGGGUUUAAGGGUUUUUAUAGAGGGAGAUUAAGCCGAAGUUAAUGUUAAUUAAACAAAUCAAGAAUGUGAUCCAUGUGGGCAUUAUUGAACAAAAGUAGCUGGCAUGCGCAGUGAAGCAUAUAAGUUAUGUCUUAUAAUCAACAUAUGGGUGCACGUCGAUUAAUAUUGUAAUCUGUGGGUGCACCGAAUAAUCCCAUGAUCUUCAACUUCAGGGAUUAGUUUUUAAUUAUUGUUAGUAGCUCGUGGAAUUAUUGAUAAUUAUUGUUUAUGUGAAAAUAGAGUUCUGAACUCGGUCUUGACAAUCGUAUUUUUACAUUUUAGUUUGAAAGAUAAACAAUCAACCAAGCACUGCUGGAGACUAUAUAGAACGCAUUUUCAAUUUCACAAUUCUUUUUGUAUUCAUGAAAAGCUUCUAUAAUGAUGGUUAAUGGAGUUUAAACUCAAGUCUUUUCCUCUCUCCAUGAACUCUAUUUUUUAAGUUAAAGGUGGGCGAGAGAUUAAAAUAGUUGAAGAAACCAAUUAGCUAGGUAUAAAAAUUGACUAAUAAAGGAUUGUAAUUAAAAGAUAUUUUAUCUUGGAUGGAUUAAUCUCACAAUAAUAAAAGCUUAGGUCUCUGUAACAUAUAAGUACGAUUAUAUAUGUUUAGAUAUCACUUUCUAUUUUUUGCAUUAACACCCUUUUUGAUUAAAAUUGCCUGGAAUGCUAUUUUGUAUGGAUGCACCUGCAUUUCUAUAUUGUAUGAAAGCAAGGUUGUUCCGUACUUCGUAUAUAUACUUUUCUAUCGACUUAAAUAAUCAAUCUUAUAAGUUUUCUAUCGACUUUUCUAUACAAAUCACUGAAUUUAAAAAGAUCUUUUAUUAAACUUAAACGUGUCUUAUCUUUGAAGUCAUUUUAUAGCUAAGUAUUGUGAUAUUUUUUACAUAUUAAUAAUACUUAGCUACAUAUGUUGUAUUUGAAAUUCUUUAAUUGGGUGUAAAUUAAUCUAUAGAUACUGCAUAUGCUUAGACAUAUAUAGGCCCUGGGGUAAAGUUUACUAUUUCCUUCUUUUAAUAUUGGAGAAAGAUACUAUUAGUAAUAUUCAAACUCUGAUUAACAUUAACAAUAAGCCAUUAUUUGAUUUCUCAAAGAAAAUAGUUUAUUUUAUGAAAUGAAAAUACCUAAUCUUUACAAAAUUUUUGUAUCAUAAAUUUGAAAAAAAUAUCUCAUUAUGUAUAUAAAUUGACUAUUAUAUAUUUAAAAAAUUCACUAAUUUUAAAUUUGAACCAAAAUUAAAAUUAAGAAUAGCUAUUCUAUUUCUUUUUAUAGAUUGUCAAAAGUUCAGGAAUUAAUUAAUAUUUUCUUUUUAUAUGUUAUUACCACGUUAGUCGCGAGUAUAUAUUUAUUUUAUGUAAAGCUUAAUCUGUGUUUUAUCCUAAAUGCUUGGAAAACAAGUGUUUCUCAAAAGGCAGCACAACCAUUGCAUAUUCUUUUCAAAACAUCUUAUUAUUUCUUUAAACUCAGUAACAGUAAUUAAAUAAAAAUAUGUUUAAACUCAGUAACAGUAAUUAAAUAAAAAUAUGUUUAUUGAGUUUUUUUCUCUACAUAUGUUAUUUCUAUUUAAUUCUUAUAUAAAAAUUCUUCUUUGCUGAUAAAAAAAAAACAGUAAUUUGCCAAAAGAAUACAGAUUACAAUGGAAAAAGAAUACAAGCAACCUUCUCUGCAGUACAUAGCACCCAGAAAAUUAUUGAUUUACCCAAAAAAUAUCCCAAAUUAAUAAGCAAAAACCCACACCAUUAAUUAGGAAAAGAUAGAAACUGAAAGAAAUCAUGGACUACUAUAAUUUAAUUAAGGGCACUUGAAUCCUUUUGGAACCUUCUUCCCACAGUUGUUGAGGUACAAGCUCAAGUCAAGUGGAACAUUUAGGUUUAGGCCCAAAACGUUAGCUUUAAUGGCCGUGCAAAGGCAAGCAGCAGCUUCAAGAGCAACAAGAUUACCAAGAAGGCUACAGCAAGGUUGAUUUGGUGGGAUUUGAAUAAUCCCCAACACAUUGGCACAUACCUUCAGUUUUAAGGCAUCAAUAGGGCAAGUGCCAGUGGCAGCGCUUACCAUACUGAAGAAGAGAAGGUUAAGGGAAAGAAGUAAGGCAAUGGAAGCUGUAGCUCUUGAAGCCAUUUUGAGAAAAAAUAACAAUUUUUAUUUUAUUUUUUUGAGAUAUAGAGAAGCUUUUUGUUUUGUUUUGAGGGUGAUGAGAAAUGUUGAAGGGGCUUAAGGGUUUUUAUAGAGGGAGAUUAAGACUAGGUAAUUAAGAAUUAAGCAAAUCAAGGAUGUGAUGAUCCAUGUGGGCAUUAUUGAGCAAAAUAGCUGGCGUUUGGAGGGACAGUGAAGAAUAUAAUCCAUCUGGAUGCAUGUUGAUUAAUCGUGUAGCCACUGAAUUGAAUAUAUAAUCCCAUAUGACCUUCAAAUUGAGGAUUAGUUUUUAAUUAUUAUUAUUAGUUGCUCGUGGAAUUAGUGUUUAUUUUUUAAUUAUUAUUAAUUAACCGAAACUAACAUUUUCAUUUUCAUUUUUCGUAUAUAUGAGAGCUUCUAUGGUGGUGGUUAAUGGAGUAAUCCAUAUAGAACUUUUCACACAUAUACCUCCAACGACAUAUUUUCAACGACCAAUUGCGUAGAAGUAUUAAAAACCAAUUUUUGAACCAGGACCUCUCUUUCAAAACAUCGUCACGCAUAAGUAAUAAUUAAUUAAUUAAUUAAUUAUACAUUGGAGAUUUUACAUCCUUGACAAAUAUAAUGAUAUGAAUAUUGACUUUGGUUUUCAGUUUUCAAUUGAUUAUUGAGCUAGUGCAUAAAUUUACCAUAUAUUUUCGAUAAUUAUUUUUAUAGCCUAUUAAAUUUUACAGGAUUCAUUUACAUUUUUAUAUUUGAAUAAUAAUAACACUCCUCCCCAAAAUGAAAUAAUUUUGCAGAGAGUCAAUCAUAACUCUAUGCUUUCAUGUUUCAUUUCGGUGAGAGGCAUAAUUAUUAUUGAAAUAUGAAAAAAUUAAUCAAAAUUCAGGGUCAAAUUUCUGUAUUAAGCUAACGAUUAUUUUCAUUCAAAAUUUUCUCCACUGUUCACUAAGCUAUGUUAUGGCAUCAAAACUCAAUGAAAAUGUUAUGGUUGUAUUAUUACUCUAUCAGGGAUGGAGUUAGGAAUUAAAAUUAAGGAUAAAAAAAUUUUAUGAGUUAAAGAGGGUGAAAUUGAAAGAAAUUAUUAUUUUAAAGGGUAAAAUAAAAAAUUUCAAUAUUUAUGGAGGAUUCUUUUAAAAAAAUUUAGGGGGGUUGAGGGCCACCGCUGGCCCCCUAAGGACCUAGCUCCGUCAAUGACUCCAUUGAUUUCUUUCAUUCAAAAAAAAAAAAAGAAGCAAACCCAUAUUUGAGGCUGCCAAUCGUAAGGCCAAUAACAGUUCUAGCCACUUUGAUAUUGCACUGUUAGGCUUAGAUAAAGGCCCUGGUGGGGUAAAGUUAAUAUUGGAGAAAUAUAUUAUUAGUAACAUUCAAACUCUAACAUUAAUACUAAUCUCUUGUUUGGUUUCAGAAAUGGAAUAGUUUAUUUUAAGAAAUGAAAUACUUAUUCUCACUCCUUAAAAAACUUUUGUUUUUAUAAAUUUUUUAAAAAAUAUCUAUUUUUUGUAGACUAUUUUUUUUCUUAUAUAUAAUAGUUAUUUAACAUUUAAAUUUGAACUAAAAUCAAGAGUAUCUAUUCAUGGAAAUAACUAUUAUAUUUUAUAUUUCUUUUCGGUUCUGCAUGCCAUUGAUGAAUGGCACGAAAAUUAAACAACUUCAUUUUACUUUGAAUUAGUAGUUAAUAGUAAAUAGUUUAACAAUAUAGUGUAUCAACACUUUGAAUUAAUAAUAUUUAUUAAAUUGAUAAUAACUUCUAUAGUACGGAGAAAUCGAUUUGAGACCGCACAUUUUCUAAUUUUUUAUAAGAUGUGGAAAGAUUAAAUAAACCACAACUAAUUAACUUUUUUUUAUCUAUUAUUAUCACAUUAGUCCGUGAUAUAUUUAAUAUAUGCAGUACUAAGUAGUGCUCAGUGUUUUAUUUAAAUGUUUGAAAGCAUAAAAAAAAAACAUAACUGUUUGCAUGAAUUUGCGCAAUUGGUACCUUUCAAAAAAAAGAAUUUGCGUAAUUGUUUGUCGGUAGGCAACACAACACAUUGCUAGUAAUAUUUUCAAAACAUCUUAUUAUUACUUCAAAUUCAGUAAAAGUAAUAACAAUAAUCUGCCAAAAGAAUACAUAUUACAAUAAAGAAUAAGGCAAUAGAAACCUCUUUCUACAAUGAGCACAUAGCACCCAUAAAUUAUUGAUUUUCCCAAAAGAUAUUCCCAAACUAAUAAGCAAAAACACACACCAGAGAAGAUAGAAACUGAAAGAAAUAAUGGAGUACUAUAAUUUAAGGGCACUGGAAUCCUUUUGGAACCUUAUUCCCACAGUUGUUGAGGUACAAGCUCAAGUCAAGUGGAACAUUUAGGUUUAGCCCCAAGACAUUAGCUUUAAUGGCAGUGCAGAGGCAAGCAGCAGCUUCAAGAGCAACAAGAUUACCAAGAAGGCUACAGCAAGGUUGAUUUGGAGGGAUUUGAAUAAUCCCCAACACAUUGGCACAUACCUUCAGUUUUAGGGCAUCAAUAGGGCAAGUUGUCGCGCUUACCAUAUUGAAGAAGAGAAGGUUAAGGGAAAGAAGCAAGGCAAUGGAAGCUACACCUCUUGAAGCCAUCUUGGAAUUUUUUUUUUUUUUUUUUUUCUGAAGAUAUUAAUGAGCUAUUGUUUUGUUUUUGGGGUGAUGAGAAACGGUGAAGGGGUUAAAGGGUUUUUAUAGUGGGAGAUUAAGAGUAAGUUGAUAUUAAACAAAUCCCACGUGGACAUUAUUGAGCAAAAUAGCUGGCAUAUACAGUGAAUAAUAUAAAUGAUGGUUCUUUUUUUAUUAAAAUUUUCAAUAACUAAUCUAUCACGGGUGCACGUUGAUUAAGUUUGUAGCCUAUGGAGGCACGCAAUAAUUUUAAUUAUAUAGUUUUUAAUUAUUAUUAUUAUUAGUAGCUUGUGGAAUUAUUAGUGAUAAUUAUUUUAUUACAUAAUCCUUUCUUCGCUAUACGUUUUUACAUUUUAUUUAUAGAAUGGAAAGUAGCAUUUUCAAUUCCAUAAUUCUUUUCAUGUUCUUGAAACUUUUUUUUUUCAUAAUAGUUAAUAGAGUUUAACUUUAAGAUUUCUUAUUUCUCCGAACUUUUUUUAUUUAAGUUAAAGAUGAUAAAUUUAAAAUAAUCGAAUAAACCAAUUAAUUAUGCAUAAUUAGAUAAUUAGUUUCCUCUCAAUUUUUUCAAAUAAAGUGUAUAAUGUUUAAUUUUCUUAUCUAUUAUUAUUAUUAUUAUGAGAUUUUCCUUCAUCAAUUUAAUAAAAGUUAUAAAAACAGAAGACUAUAUUUUACUAUGUAACUUAUCCCAUUUAAUUUUUCCGUGGAGAGAAAAAAACUAUGCAAGAAUUAAAGGUAUAAUUUAUUAAAAAUCGAAGGUGGAAGUGUGAAUUUUAAAGGUUUGCAAAAAAGAAUUUUGCAAGUAAAAAAAAUAUUAAAAAUGAAUAUUCAGUAUUGCACCACUCUUAGCUUAAUAAAUGUGGGCUAGCCCAUGAUCUUCCAAAAUACAUGGGAAGAUACAAUUGAAAAUAAAAAAAGAACUUCCUUCUGUAAGAAAAUUCUACAAGCAUAUUAUAUUAUAUAAUACCAUGUUUAUUUAAAUCAUAUAUCAUGUAUUAUUUUAAAAUCCUUAUUAGACUAAUUCAAAAUUUAACAGCUAAAUCUUCAUGAGAUUUGUCAUCAAUUAAAAUAAUAUUUGAUAUUAAUGAAUGGUUAAUUGUUUAUUAUUAUACAUUAAGGAUGAUAAUCUCAGCGUUUGUCUGAAAUAGUUUUGUGAAUUGUAAGUGAGCCUUGCAGUGUGAUUGGGUUAUGAGUUGUGGGAUUAUGAGCCCUAUUUUGAUAGAGAUAAAAAUAAAUUAAUUAAAUUCUAAAGACUCUGAAUUGUAAUUGUGCUUAGCUAGUAAUUGUAAUUAGAGGCUAAAUAUUAUAAAUAUUGAUAUAAUAAUACGAUUGGUUUAUCUAGACAUAAUCUAUGGAUCUACUUAUGGACUAUACUAAUUAAAAAUGUAUUUUUAUUACAAUGAAUUCAUUUAUAGCCAUGCAGUGAAAGAAAAAAGGAUAAAAUAUGAAUAAUUUUUAAAAAAUUUUAUUUUAAUUAGUUUGAUCCAUGAGUGGGAGCAUAGAUCCUGUUUAGGCAAAUCUAAUAUGUCAUAUUGGAGAGGUAUUGAAGAUUAAAAUUAGAUAUUUCCCUUUUUAUCUUUCUUCUUCUCAAUUUCUCUCAAUUUCUAUUUCUCUUAUUUUCUUUCUUUUUCUAAUUUAAUAUGUUAGCAACACAGAAAAAUCUUACUUCUUUUCCCUCUUUUUCUUGAUGUAAAAAAUCGCUUACAUAGAAUAUAAAUCAUGCUAUUGGGUUUGGACUAUAUACAACUCGAGUAUGGUAGGAUCAUUGAAUGAAAAAAAAAUUCGAACCAUUCCAUCUAAAUUAAUGUUGCUAUCCUACUUAAAAAUUUAGAAAAAUGAAAAGUCAAAAAUCAUCAAUCACCGAUAUUUUUCAACUCAUCGUUAGCUCGAUUGUCGAUCAGGAAAAAUUUAAUUUAAAAUUCCAAGAUUGUCCGUUAGAAUUGAUAAUUUACACAAAUGAUAAUUAUUGAACAUAAUCUACGCAGGCAAAGUUACAUGUAAAUUCGUUUUCAGGAGGAAAAUGUUAAUGCAACACAAAAAUAAAAAUGAUUCAACUGGUGCAGCAUCCAUACAGUGUUUCACAGAGGGAAAAAAAUUGUUAUAAUUUUCUGUAAAGAUUACAUUGUUUUAAUAUACAAACUGCUUCUAACUAUCCACUAAUUACGGCUCUAAUUACUCCUAAAGUUCCACCUAACAUGAUUUUUACUUUUACUGUGUGUACAGGUUAGUGGACAGGGAAAUGAUGAACUAUGAUUCUGAUCCCUACUUUUUCUCUUCAUCCGACACUCCCCCUCAAGUUGAGUAGUGGGAUCUCCAAUACUUAACUUGUUCAAUACGUUAUGAAAGGAAUUUCCAUUAACUGCUUUUGUCAAAAUAUCUGCCAACUGGUCUUCAGAUCGAACAAACGGCAAUUCCACAAUUCCUGCUUCUAGUUUUUCUUUGAUGAAGUGUCUAUCAAUUUCAACGUGCUUGGUCCUAUCAUGUUGAACAGGAUUUUCUGAAAUGCUGAUCGCAGCUCUAUUAUCACACAUAAUUUUACUUGCUCCAGAUGGAGGAAAACCAAUCUCACUUAACAAUUUCCUUAGCCAAAGAAUUUCAGCUAGACCACGAGCUAUUCCUCGAAACUCUGCCUCUGCACUAGACAAUGCUACAACUUUCUGUUUCUUACUUCUCCAUGUGACUAAGUUUCCGCCAACAAAAGUGAAGUAGCCUGAAGUAGAUCUGCGAUCAACAUGACUACCUGCCCAAUCUGCAUCAGUAUAACCUUGUAUAUCCAAGUGCCCAUUCCGUUUAAACAGAAUUCCUUGACUAGACGUGCCCUUUAAGUACUUGAUGAUUCUUAACACUGCAUUCAUAUGAUCAGUUUGAGGUCUGUGCAUGAACUGACUUACUACUCCAACUGCAUAUGCUAUGUCUGGUCGAGUGUGUGAAAGAUAAAUUAAUUUUCCAACUAGUCGUUGAUACUUUUCUUUAUCAACCGAUUCUGCUCCUUCUACUAUCUGAAGUCCAUGAUUUGUUGCAAUAGGCGUGUCAGCUGGCUUGCAGUCAACCAUUCCUAUUUCUGCCAAGAAAUCCAGAGUAUACUUCUUUUGACAUAUAAAAAUUCCACUUGUUGAUCUCAAUACUUCAAUUCCAAGGAAGUACUUCAGUGCUCCUAAGUCUUUCAUUUCGAAUUCAGUGAAUAAGUUCCUUCUCAGUUUUGACAUUUCUUCAUCAUCAUUUCCUGUAAUAAUCAUAUCAUCAACGUAGAUAAUUAAACAAGUAAUAAGAUUACCCCUUUGCUUAAGGAAUAAUGUAUGAUCUGAAUUACUUUGUUUAAAAUCAUAUUUCUUCAUUACAAUUGUAAAUCUUCCAAACCAAGCUCUUGGAGACUGUUUAAGACCAUAAAGUGAUUUCUUCAAACGACAGACUUCUCCAGUUUUAAAUCCAUUUGUGAACCCUGGUGGUGCUUCCAUAUAAACUUCUUCUUUUAGAUCUCCGUGUAAAAAGGCAUUUUUUACAUCGAAUUGAUGGAGUGGCCAUCCUUUAUUAGCUGCUAUCGAGAAUAAUACUCUGAUCGUAUCAAUUUUAGCUACUGGAGAGAAGGUUUCUGAAUAGUCUAUACCAUACGUCUGUGUAUAUCCUUUUGCUACUAACCGAGCUUUAUACCUUUCAACAGUCCCAUCCAGUUUGUGUUUGAUCGUGAAAACCCAUUUUAUUUUAAUUAGUUUGNNNNNNNNNNNNNNNNNNNNNNNNNNNNNNNNNNNNNNNNNNNNNNNNNNNNNNNNNNNNNNNNNNNNNNNNNNNNNNNNNNNNNNNNNNNNNNNNNNNNNNNNNNNNNNNNNNNNNNNNNNNNNNNNNNNNNNNNNNNNNNNNNNNNNNNNNNNNNNNNNNNNNNNNNNNNNNNNNNNNNNNNNNNNNNNNNNNNNNNNNNNNNNNNNNNNNNNNNNNNNNNNNNNNNNNNNNNNNNNNNNNNNNNNNNNNNNNNNNNNNNNNNNNNNNNNNNNNNNNNNNNNNNNNNNNNNNNNNNNNNNNNNNNNNNNNNNNNNNNNNNNNNNNNNNNNNNNNNNNNNNNNNNNNNNNNNNNNNNNNNNNNNNNNNNNNNNNNNNNNNNNNNNNNNNNNNNNNNNNNNNNNNNNNNNNNNNNNNNNNNNNNNNNNNNNNNNNNNNNNNNNNNNNNNNNNNNNNNNNNNNNNNNNNNNNNNNNNNNNNNNNNNNNNNNNNNNNNNNNNNNNNNNNNNNNNNNNNNNNNNNNNNNNNNNNNNNNNNNNNNNNNNNNNNNNNNNNNNNNNNNNNNNNNNNNNNNNNNNNNNNNNNNNNNNNNNNNNNNNNNNNNNNNNNNNNNNNNNNNNNNNNNNNNNNNNNNNNNNNNNNNNNNNNNNNNNNNNNNNNNNNNNNNNNNNNNNNNNNNNNNNNNNNNNNNNNNNNNNNNNNNNNNNNNNNNNNNNNNNNNNNNNNNNNNNNNNNNNNNNNNNNNNNNNNNNNNNNNNNNNNNNNNNNNNNNNNNNNNNNNNNNNNNNNNNNNNNNNNNNNNNNNNNNNNNNNNNNNNNNNNNNNNNNNNNNNNNNNNNNNNNNNNNNNNNNNNNNNNNNNNNNNNNNNNNNNNNNNNNNNNNNNNNNNNNNNNNNNNNNNNNNNNNNNNNNNNNNNNNNNNNNNNNNNNNNNNNNNNNNNNNNNNNNNNNNNNNNNNNNNNNNNNNNNNNNNNNNNNNNNNNNNNNNNNNNNNNNNNNNNNNNNNNNNNNNNNNNNNNNNNNNNNNNNNNNNNNNNNNNNNNNNNNNNNNNNNNNNNNNNNNNNNNNNNNNNNNNNNNNNNNNNNNNNNNNNNNNNNNNNNNNNNNNNNNNNNNNNNNNNNNNNNNNNNNNNNNNNNNNNNNNNNNNNNNNACAGACUUAAAUAACCUAUGGAUGGAUGUCCCAGUCGUCGGUGCCAAAGCCAAGCUUCCCGUUCAGUAGUUCCGUGAGCCAGCAUUACAUUACCGUGUUGGGCCACUUCAUCCACAUAAUACAAUCCAUGAUGCUCAGUGCCACAUCCAAUAAUCUUCCCGCUCCUGAUAUCCUGUAAAAUACAAAAGGUAGGAUGCAUUAGUACAGUACAAUUUAAUUCCUUUGUCACAUGACUAAUCGACAACAAUUUAUGAGACAAUGAGGGAACAUAAAGACAAUUUGAUAUUUUUAAUGUCGGUGAAAUUUCAACAGAUCCUGCUCCUUCUACGGUUGCAGUGCUCCCAUUUGCAGUUUGGACAUGGGUUUUUUUUGGUUUUAAUGGUGCUAUUAUGUCAGCCGCCUCAAAAGUCAUUGUAUCAGUAGCACCACAGUCAAAAAUCCAGCGAUUAUCUUUUCUUGUCUGUUUAUUAUUAUUUUCAAAAGAUUUGGGGCAUUUCUCAUACUUUCCUUGGGGUUUUAUGUUAAAUGACCCCAUUCUUUUUCCUUCACCUUCUAGGGUUCCAUCUGCCCUUUCAUUUUGUGCCGCCACCAUCCCCAUCGCUCCUCUCUCAUUCUGACCUCCUUUGCUGUCGCCACCACUGCUGGCAGCCUCUAGGUUACCCACGGCGGCGGCUGCACUUGCGGCCUUCUGCUCCUCGUUNNNNNNNNNNNNNNNNNNNNNNNNNNNNNNNNNNNNNNNNNNNNNNNNNNNNNNNNNNNNNNNNNNNNNNNNNNNNNNNNNNNNNNNNNNNNNNNNNNNNNNNNNNNNNNNNNNNNNNNNNNNNNNNNNNNNNNNNNNNNNNNNNNNNNNNNNNNNNNNNNNNNNNNNNNNNNNNNNNNNNNNNNNNNNNNNNNNNNNNNNNNNNNNNNNNNNNNNNNNNNNNNNNNNUCUGCCGCCCCCGCUGCUGGCAGCCUCUAGGUUCCCCACGGCGGCGGCUGCUUUGCUGGUCUUUGUGCCCUUGUUUCGGUGAUUCUCGUUCCACCAUUCUGGAUAGCCAAUUAAUUCGAAGCAUUGAUCUUUUGUGUGUUUGCUCAUCCCACAAUAAGAGCACUUGAGUCUCGAUUUAUCUGGACGGGAUGAUGAACCAUCGUUUCUUGGUUCUGACCGCCGCUGGCCACGCGCGACGAGUCCUACACCAGUUGCUUCACUUGCUUCUUUCUUCCCGAUGAUGACAAAUCCGUCGCCUAUGCCCUGUGAUAGCGAUUCUCUGUUAGCUGGUCCCAUGAUGUUCAAUCGGGCGGCUUCUUUCUGAAUAGAGGCGUAGGCGGCUUCAGCUGAGGGAAGAUGCUCCGAUCUGAGGAUUUCCCUUUUGAUCUGAUCGUCCAUUAAUGAGUUUUUUAGAUAAUUAUUUGAUGUAUCGCUAGGAUCAAAAUCUAAAAUUGAGAGACCAAAGAAAAAUUUUUAAGAAUUAAGAGUUUAAUAAACUCUUUUUUCACUAUUUUAAUUAUAAAGUAAUUCUAAAAAAUUCAAUUAUUCAUUAUUUAAUUGUUAGAGUUCAAUUAUCAUAAUCAUUUUGGUUUAACUAAAUCUUGGCUUGGAUACUGAGAUUCUAACAAUUUUGUUUUCUAUUUUAAUUAAGUAUAUUAAUUGUCUUUCGUCACAUGCCGAUGUAAAUUUGAUGAUGAAAACAGGAUGCCAAAUUCUGUUUGAAUGAGAUUGUGAUGGGUGCAUGAACAGUGAUCUUUUGAAUAUAUCAGCACGGCCUCGUUUAUAGAAUUCGAUUCGAUUUGUUUGGAUUAUAUUAUAUGUUAUAUAUUCUUUCUUUUCCGUGAUUCUUCUUUAUCAGUAGUAUAACUUUUGUUAGAUGUAUGAUUUUUUUUUUUUUUUUUUUGCUAGUUAGGUAAUUUGAUGAUAUACCAAAAACGAAUAUUUCUUUUUAAUUUGUAUCAUGAGAUUCGAAAACUGUUUCACAGAGGGAAAAAUUGUUCUUCUUUUUCUGUAAAGAUUACAUUGUUUUAAUAUACAAACUGCUUCUAACUAUCCACUAAUUACGGCUCUAAUUACUCCUAAAGUUCCACCUAACAUGAUUUUUACUUUUAUUGUGUGUACAGGUUAGUGGACAGGGAAAUGAUGAACUAUGAUUCUGAUCCCUACUUUUUCUCUUCAUCCGACAUACAGAACAGAUCAAAUGAAAGGAAAACUGAGUCUUAUUGCCACAUCUUACUUAUUGUUCAAUAAUACAAAUAAGGAGGAGGCAUCCAUAGAAGGCCUUCUCCAUGCAUGACAGUAACUAAUAAAUAGUAACAUUGAAAUUAUUUAUUUAGUAUAAAUAUACCAAAUUAAUUAACUAAUAAAAUGGACUUAAGGACACUGGAGUCCUCCUGGAGCGUUCAGGCCGCAAUUGUUGAGGUACAAGCUCAGGUCAAGAGGAAUAUUUAGGUUUAGGCCCAAAAUAUUAGCUUUAAUGGCGGUGCAAAGGCAAACACCAGCUUCAAGAGCAACAAGAUUACCAAGAAGGCUACAACAAGGUUCAUUUGGUGGGAUUUGAAUAAUCCCCAGCACAUUGGCACAUACCUUCAGUUGUAGGGCGUCAAUAGGGCAAGUGGUAGCGCUCACCAUACUGAAGAAAACAAGGUUAAGUGAAAGAAGCAAGGCAAUGGAAGCUGUAGCUCUGGAAGCCAUCUUGGAAUUUUUUAAAAAAAAAUAUAAAUAAGCUUUUUGUUUGGUUUUGAGGCUGAUGAGAAAUGGUGAAGUUAUUUAAGGGUUUAUAUAGAGGGAGAUUAAGAUUAAACAAAUCAAGAACGUAAUCCAUGUGGGCGGUAUCGGCAUGUGCAGUGAAGAACGAAAUGAAGCUUCUUCUUCUUUUUUUUUUUUUUUUUCUUCUUCUUCUUCUUCAAUAAAAUCUUGAAUCUUAUAAUCCACGUAAGGGUGCACGUUGAUUAAUUGUGUAGAUGGAGAUUGGGCACUGAUUAAUUACCCUUCCUAUAUAUAUAUAUAUAUAUAUAUAAUCACCACGUUCUCCACAUCAAAAUAUUUUUGUAUUUCCCUCAAAAAAAAUAAUUGUUUUGCAUCCAUUUUCUUUUUAAAAAUAACAAGCUGGGUUUUGAGGACAGCAAGUUUGAUGCCAAGAAAGUAGCAGCACUAAGAGGGUCGGAUGCUUCUCUAAUUUGGUGAUGGUCAAGAUGAACUAUAUAGAAUAUCUUACUCUAAACGUGUUUUAUUAUAUGACCUGCUAUCUUGUAGAUGAGAUCCUUCAAUCUUGGCAAUCCAAAGUGCAAAAUAUUUUAAAUAUCUCAUGCGAAUCAAAAGUUAAGAGUAUAAAAAUUCUACAAACUACCUAAAUAUAGAUUUGAAUAGAAAAUAAAUACAAACUUGCUUAAACAAUAUAAAAAAUCUUUAUUAGAUUCUUUUAUAUUGAGAGUGAGAGAGUGAGAAGUCUUAUGUUCAACUCUUUCAAUUGUAAGAGGUUUUACCUUUUUAAUAAAUAAAGAGAAUACUUUACAAUACUAUUCCAAUCUACUACAACUCCUAGUAAAUAAAAGAAAAAAAAAAAAGUUACUAAUGGGCCUCAGUGUGGAAGGUCAGAGACAAGAGCCGCCCAAUAAGUGUUUUGCGUUUGUUUUAGUGAGAGGAUGAAGAUCGAUUGGUCUAUCAUUAGGUCUUAGAUGUUUUAAGGAGAAUUAAGCUUCUGGAUGAUGGGCCUAUUUCUUAACCAGUCUUUGCAAAUAAGAGAUAAAUUGUAAUUGAUGAAUCAAAAAAGUUGUUUAUUCCAAUGCCAUGAGACAGUUUACAAUUUAUUUAUAUGAGGCAGCACAAAUUGACAUGCCCUUUGAAAACCAACUAAGAAAUAUAUGAAAAAUAUUAGUUGCCUCUAAGAAUGCCAUUCUUGUGAUAAACUGAAGAACCUUCAAAUUUGGGUGUUUUCUGAGUCUUGGUCAUGGAGUGCGGAGAAGAAUAAGUUGCUCCCGGAAGUAUAUUGUAUACAACCAAUGGACUUCUGACCACAUAAGUCCCGUCUUUCCAUAUUAUUGCACCUGAACUGAUUGGUUGUUGGGAGAUCUUUGGUCCAUACACCUUAACUGUAAAUGUUUUGGUCUCUCCAAUGGCAGAGAAUGACAGGACAGAUGGCUCUACCGUAACACUGACAGAGUGUGGCACAUACACGCUCACAAUGUAGGUUGAAUUUGGUUUGCCAACAUUUGUAACUGUUCUUGUAAACACUCCCUGAAUUGGUUGCCCAUCUUCAAUUGCAAGUGCGAAAGUUGGGUAGUUAAGAUCCCAAGCUCUUCCAGGCUUUAUGCUGUUGCAAACGCUACUGUUAUCGCCUGUGAUUAGUCUUAGAGUUGUAGUAUUAUAACCUUGUUUGCAGAGGAAGUUAAUGUAAUCUGCUUCAGUUGCAUCAUAAACUAGUCCAGGGUCUGUUGCUUCCAAUGGAUUGAUGUGGCCAGAUCCGUAAGCGAAUUCCAAGUCUGGGUGCUUUCUUGCGUCCAUGAUAUUAGCUAUUCAAUAUGAAAUGAUAUAAAUUGAUAAGUUUUCAAACAAUCAUAAUUAGUUAAAGGCUUCUAAUCGAGUUCAUAAUUAUAGAUAUGUCUAUUUUCUUUAAAGACUUCUCUUUAUGACCUGUUGUCAUGAGGGCAGAUUUAACGGCAGCAGGAGACCAAUCAGGAUGAGCAGCCUUGACAUAAGCAGCAGCAGCACUAGCGUGCGGGCAAGACAUGGAAGUUCCUGAAAUUAUGUUGAAGUUUACACUCCUACUGUCGCCCCAGGAGAUAGAUGGUGGUGAUACAGGAGACCAAGCAGCAAGAAUGUCCACACCAGGGGCAGUCAGAUCAGGCUGUGUAUCGAUCAUCGGCCAUGUAAAAUGUCAACAAAAUUCCUCCAACGAAUAUACUAUUAUUUGUGCUAUAUAUUAAUGUUCACCUUGAGAAUAUCAGGGCUGAUAGGGUUGGGUCCUCUGGAAGAGAAUGAUACAACAGAAGGUGCCAUCACAUCCUUCCAAGUCUCACUAACCAAAAUAGUUGCAAGUGGAUACCUGGAAAAAAGAAAAGGUAUGUAUAUGUUUAGUUUUGCUAAAUUAGUGAAAUUGAUGAGAAAUAGUGCAUGAGAUCAAAUAAAUAAAAGAACAUAUAAUUUUACUCUGUGGAUUUGAUGUAAUCCAAAAUUUGUUGGCCAGCUUCUGUGGUGAUUACUGUUGCGGGUAAAGCAUAACUAAAGGCAAAAUCUUUGCUAUAUUCAGAAUCGGCCAUAAUAGCACCCACUCCAUUAGCCAAUAAAAUACCAGAACCAUCCCAAAUUGUUUCGCAGAAAACAAUCUUUCCUGAUACAAUGUAAGAAUUCAAGGCACCAGUGAAACAAUAUCUUGCGAUGUCAGGAUCAGCCCCUGCAGAAUAAUUUGCUGCAUCUCCUCCCCAAAUCAAUGGAUAUGUCCCGUCGAGCACAAAACUGUUAAUGGAGAGCCCCUAAUUUUUACAUUUAUGGAAGAAUGAAAUUAUUUAAUAAAAACUAAAUAAUAACAACUGAAAGAAAUAUCACUAAUAAAUAUAAACUCACAUUAAAGACUUGUCCAUUGCCAAGAACAACUUGUGCAACAAAUUUCCUAUCGAUGGUACUAGCAGCAACAGUCAAAGUCCAGGGAGCAAAAUUGGAGACAGAAUAAGGACCGGGACCGGAAUUUCCAGCAGAAUUUGAUGUUAGUAUGCCAUAUCUCAUUGCAUGGAAGGAACCAAUAGCAAUUGGGUCUUCCACAUAUGGGAAAGGCAAAGGAGCACCGAGAGAUACUGAUAAAAUGUCAACACCAUCAGCUAUGGCAUCAUCAAAUGCUGCAAGAAUAUCUGCAGUAGCACAUCCAAAUGACCAACAAACUUUGUAGACUGCAAUUCUUGCAAAUGGAACUCCACCUCUCGCUACUCCUUCAGCCAACCCAAAGUAGCUUGCCCCUUCGACCUUCCGACCUGCUGCAGUUGAAGCUGUAUGCGUUCCAUGACCUUCAGAAUCUCUUGGAGAUUUGAAGUCAGUUUCAAAAUACCAAUUCUCGCUGUUGUAGUACCUCGCUCCAAUAAUCUUGCUGCAAUAGUUUUUUUUUAUUUUUAAUUAUUUUCAUCAAUUUUAAAGCUGAGGUGAGAUUUAUGUGAGGAAAGCUCACUUGUUACAAGUGAAGUUGCCAUUUCCUUGGCAAAUUCCUUUCCAUUUGGAUGGUGCGGGACCCAUUCCUGUAUCGUUGAAGCUCUCAGAUUCUGGCCAUACUCCUGGAUUUACAUAGAAAAACUUGAAAUUAGAAUACUCCUGAUCAUGAUAUGAGAAAGUAUAAUUAAUUUAUUUUAAAACUUAAAAAUAAAAAAUAAAACCUGUGUCAAGAAAACCGAUAAUGACAUUCCCUUGUUGAGCACCAGAAAGUUUGCUUUUGGAGAAACCCAUGAAGUCCCAUGACCUUGUUGUGUGGAUCUUUAAUAUGUGAUUUGGUAUCACUGAUAUGACACCAUCCAUUUCUGCAACCAAUUUUUCAAUUGUCUUAUAUUUAGUUAGUUAUAAUAUAAAAAAUUAAUUAACGUAUGACAAGCUUAAUUAAUUGUAUGCUUUGUCCUUAAUUAAAUACUUAUUUAAUAAUAAACUCCAACCUGAGAGUCUUUCCACUUCUUCAUCAGAUAAUCUAGCUGCAAAUCCAUUGAAACUCCUCCCAUAACUAUAGAUUAAUGACU
rnacentral:lncRNA from 1 species